AGCUUGGCUAUAUAAGUCUGUUUUGAGCUUGACAUCUUCAGGUUCCACAUCGAAGAAAAUGGGCAGAAUCUCUUUGUUCUCAUUCAAUUUUGAGGUGCACUCGACCAUGUAUGCGAGCUCUCGGAGGCACCAAUGACUUGAAGCAUAAUUUUUGGAGGAUAUGGGAAUGUACAUUUUGGAGUUCUCAAUUGCUUGUAGAAGUUCACCACCAAUCUUUUUACCAACGUGGAGGGAUUCAUUGUCCCUAAAGACAAGAAUCCCAGCCUCAACCAUGCUAUGGUAAAGACAAUCAGUGAAUCCAUGAUGAGUGUCGACUCCUCGAAAACUUAGAAAAACCUCGUACGAAGUUCCGGAUGAUGCUGAUGAACUCAUCCCCAUCUCCAUUGCAGGAUCGUUAGACACCACAGGUAUCAAAUCCUCUCUCUCUCUCUCUCAGGAAAUGUCUGCUUUUCGAGGGUGCUUGGAUCUGAGCGUGGGCUCUCAAUUUAAUAACCUCGCUGUCUCUGGCGUUAUGGAGGUGGAGCAAAAGGCGCUGCACUUCGAAUAUCUUGUCUCCUUUGCAUCGGUUUGGCCAACGAAUUUCCCAAAUCAAUAAUAAAAUGCUAAUUUUAUUUAAAAACGCCAUACUAUUAAGAAAAGUACAUCAUUAGGUUUUAAGUGAAGGGACUUAUUUGUCAUUGGAAUUAAUGUAAUUACUAAUGUAACAAUAUCUUAACCUUAUUUGGAAUCAAUUUAAUUGUUAAAAUUAAAAUUAUCACAUAUGUGUCAUGAUCUUAACCUCACUUCAUGAAGUGCCAGUGUAACCAAUAAACGCACUUAAAUAAUAUAAGAGACUAAAAAUAGUCAUUCACAUUAUUACUUAGUUAUAAAAUAAUGUGACUACUUUAAAUGCUUGACUAUGCCCUACCUUUUCAAAUAAUACUUUGUAGUAUAUAGAUCUAGAUUCCAAACAAAUAUGGUGAUCAUUAUAUGGAUCUAAAUCCCAAACAAAUAUAGAACGAUAUAUGAUACCACAAAUUUAAACACAAGGACGAUCAUAUGAAGGACGCCUAUAAUAUUCUGAAUAUAUGGAGAUUCGACAAAAUGGGAAAUGUAUCAACGAAUAUUACACAAAAUCAAAACAAUCGUAUCUAGUAUCCCACUCAAAAUAAAAUGAUUAUACUGAACCAACUUGAGUUUAAACAUUAAUACAAGCAAACACUGGGUGUUAACAAAUGUAACUCAAGCACUUGGUUGAAAAUUGUCCGAUAAGUCAAUGUCAUAAUCCUACUUUAAACCUUUGGCUACUAAGGACAUGUUUGGCAACUUGCCAAAUAGUGUUUGAUUCCAUUCUUUUGUUCCUAGAAAUAGAUUUGGAAUAAAAAUCCAUUUGGUAAAUUUUUUAUUCCCUGAAACAAAUUUGUUCUGGAGAAUAGAUUCUGAACAGAAUUAAGGAGUAAAAAAAAGUUAUUUUUUUGUUCCCGUAAAGAAUUAAGCCAACCCAAUCUUCUUUUUUUCUUUUGUCUCUUCUUCUUUUCUUAUUGUUCUUCUUUCUUCUCUCUUCUUCUUCCAUUGCCGUUGCCCUUAGUCAUCCACUGCCGCCAGUCACCGGCGAUCAGUUGGGUGAGGUCCGAGCCUCCCCCAACUAUCAACGAGCAUUGCUUGGCUAAGCGAGCUCAGCGUCACCAGAUAUAGGCAGCCCUCACCAGGGGCCUACGACGCUCUGGCGAGGUCGUCAGCUAGAAGCUUGAAGAAGAAGAAGAGAAAGAAAAGAAAAGAAAAAGAAAAAAAAAAUUAAUAUAAUUAUUUAAAAAGUUAAAAGAAAAUUAGCAAUUUUUAGAACGGUACCAAAUGUAAUUCUAUUUUGGAAAUAAAAAUCUUAAACAAUUACCGAGCGUCUUCAAAUAUUUAAAAAUUGUUCCCAGGAAUAUAAUAAAAAAGAAUCAUUGUUGAUAAAAAAUUGUUUCCGAAAAUAAAAUGAUUACCAAAUGCUCCCUAAGUGAGCUUACUACUGCGCUAUGGAAUCAUCACAAGUGAGACUUCACUUAAAAAACCCACUGGCUAACCUCUGGUAAUUUUUCGGGGUGGACGAUCAACCAAAUCCUUCAUACGAGUCAUUUCUAAAGUUUGCAGUUCCUCAUGCAAUAGCUCCUACCAAUUAGUGUUGGAACGCGCCUCUCCAUAGGAUCGAGGUUUCAUAAAGAGUAGCAAACAAAUAUAGAAAGAUAAAUGAUACCACACGGUAAACAUAAAGAUGACUCUAUAAAAAACGCUAACAAUAUUCCCAGUAUUUAUAAGAUUCGAUAAAUCACGGAUCAUAUUAGUGCUGAUUACACAAAAUCAAAUCAAAUAAUCUAGCACCCACUCCAAAAUAAGACAUUGCAUUGAAAACAACUUGAUUUUGGAAAUUAAUCAGAUUUAGCAAACGAGUGAAUGUAGGGUGCUGUGAGCACCGAUAGGGUUUUUAUUUAUAAAAUGGAUUGAUUUGCAAAAUUCUCAAUAAGAACUUAUUAAUUAUGAUCCAACCGUGAGCAACUAGAAAUAUUUUAUUCUAAUUUUUAAAAUUGCAACUCACUUAACUUAAAUUUUAAAUUAAAAUUUUAGAAGAAGGUGAUGAGAAGAGGCGACGAAUUAUUAAAUUGGUUUGGUUUAUUCCUUCAUCUUUUGAUUGAUUCGGUCUGGCCAAUGAAUUUCCCAAAUUAAAUAUUAAGAUGCGAAUUCUGUAAAACAACAUUACUAUUAAGAAAAACACAUUAAUAGCUUCUAAUCUGUUAUUGGAAUUAAUAUAAUUACUAAAUCAAAAUUAUUAUAUAGGAAUCUAAACCUUAAUUGGAAUUAAUUUAUUCACUUAUUUUAAAAUUACUAUAUAUGUAUCAUGAUAACCUCCUUUUAUGAAGUUAGGUAUGACAUGGACAUAUAUACACAAAAGUUCAUGGACAAGCCGUUUUAUGAAUAGAUAAAUCUCGAGAAUAACUUAACUUGUUUUCAUAUAAAAUGUAAAAAGUAAAUUUCUUUGUACUUGCUCAAAUCUAUAUUUACUAAAAUGUUCAUAUGAUGAACAGUAAAACGUAAAAAGUAUUUUUUUUUUAGUUCGAUUAAGUUAGUUGGUGUUGUUAGGUACUAAAAAUUAAUCCUUUUGUAUCAAAUUUAAAUAUUUAUUUAAUAUCAAAACGCCACUUCUCACUCUUUUCUUCAUUUUUUAAUUUCAAGAGCAAAUUAAAUAUUUAACCUUGAAGUUCAUUGUGAAUCUCACCACCAUAAUUCAUUCAUUUGAAAAGGACUAUAAUUUGCUAUGCAAAACCAAAUUUCCUCGUACACGUUUACAUAAGAUCUUUUACCACAUUUUCCUUUAUCACUGAGUGGUCAUUUAGGGGCCUUAGCUGGUGAUCUGGGUUGUUUCCCUCUCGACGAUGAAGCUUAUCCCCCAUUGUCUCACCGGCCGACCUUGACCCCUAUUUUGCAUGUGAGAACCAUGUGCAGUGCAUAUACUAGGCAUAGUUGAAGAAAUUAUUUUACUCAAAAAAAAAAAAACCGUAAAAAUUCAAAGUCACGUGAAUCUUUAAAUAUCUUUAAAAAAUUAUUUUACACAUGGUUUACGAAAUUGUUCAGUAGAAUAUUGUCCAUUAGUCAUAUUUAUAAGAUAUGCCUAACAUAGGAGGGCGAUUUACGAAUCUUUAAAUAUCUUAUAAACUUGCUUUUCUAAUUCAGAAAACGACAUGUUCAUAUAUUCUAUUUUAUUUUCUCUUUUCCAGCAAAUCGCGUUUUAUAAAUGCUCAAAACUCGAGACAUAUUUUAAUAGUUUAAAUUAUAUUGACUUAUAGGAAGGAACUAAGGCCAAUGUAAGUCAUCUGACUCGUGUUUGUGCUUAGGCAGCUCUCAUGGCGUAUUUUCUUCCUACUUGAGUCUUAGGGGGUAGAACUCGUUGAGAAGUCAUCUCACCCCAUUGUGGAAUAACAUUUCAGGUCCUUAGAUGGCAGCUCUUGAGUUUUUUUUUUGGAUAACCUAAGAGGAUUACAGAGUAGGCAUCUUAUUUUCCAUUGCCUAGGAGCCCUAAGGGCUGGACCUAUGAACUAGUGAGCUUUUCUUAAUUUAAUGAUAUUAGAGAAAAUUUCAAAGGUCUCCUCAAACUUUGUAUUUGUAUCAAAUGCACUUCUCAGCUUUUGACAUUCGCAGCAAUGUUUGUCUUUAGACGAAAAUUCUUAAAGUGAAAGAUUAAACUAGCCCUCUACUAAACGCAAUUGAUGUGAUGUAAUCGGUCAACCCACAUGGCCUGUGUACUAUACAUGUGAUCCUAAUUGGCACUUAAAAAAUUUCAAUGAAAAACAUCAAUAUAGCCAACCAAUAGAGUUAGCAAAUGUAAGCUGAGCAAUUGGUUCGAAAUUGUACUAAUAAUUAAUGUCAUACUCCUACUUAAAACUUUAAGCUACUAAGCGAGUCUAAUACUGCUCUACGGAAUCAUCAAAGUGAGCCUUUACAUAAUUAAACCCACUUGCUAAGCUCUGGUAAUUUUUCCGGGUGAAAGAUCAACCAAAUCCUACGCUGGACUUUCUAAAGCUCGCAGUUCCUCAAGUAUUAGCUUCUGCCAGUGAGUGUCGGAACAGCCUCUCAAUUGGAUUGAGAUUUCAUAAAGAGUAGUAAAGUAACAACACCGAUAAUAAUAAUAAUCAAGAAGACGUAUCGAAAGUAAUCCUAUUAGAGUGCUGCAUAUAAGGUUCAACGUCGGAAGUAGUCAGAUCCAUAUACCAGCAGAUUCUGUAGGGAGAGCAAAUCUGAGAAAUCAAGCGUGCAUCAAGAUGAGACAAACUAUGUAGAGACGCAACCAAACAUGACUGACUGGCAUGUGAGAGCCAUUUGGAGUGACAUGGACGCAGAAUGCACUAUUAAAGAAACAUAAAGAAUGACCUAGACGCCACACUUUUCUCUUUUUUACGGAAUAAUGUUCAAUGUAAGGUCAGACAUCUCAAACUUUUAAAAUUAGGAGAGAGAAUUGCAAAGCUUCGCAUUUUUAUUUGGUUAUAGCAAGAAAAUUUAAUUAUAAAUAUCUUUGGUUGUUGUGAGUGUGAAUAUGAGAAAUAUAGUCUCAUCUUCUGUUGUAUUGCUAGGUGAUAAAAUCUUCUUUUUUUUUGGGUCGGUGAGGUGACAGGAUUCAGUGGUUGAAUGUGAGAACACAGAAAUAAUGCUCAAAAAGAAAUAAAAAACAAUUUAUGAGUUUCUAAGGGUCCGUUCGUUUCGCGGAAAAUGAGUCAUUUCUGGAAAAUAUUUUUUCAGAAGUCAUUUUCCAGGAAAAUGACAAUAUUUUCUGGUGUUCGGCUAAAACAUGAAAAUAUUUUAGAAAAUAUUUUCCGGUGUUCGGUAAGGAAAAUAUUUUCUAGGACUUCACCACUUAGGCAUGCAUCAUUUACCGACCUAUAAAUCCAUCAAAUAUGAACUUGCAUUUAAAUCCAAGUAAACUUACUUCAUAUCUUAGUUCUCUCAUUAUUGUCAAACAUUCAUCUACUCUAAAAAAAUGUUCAUAUGGAUUUUGAAAAGAAGCAAAAGAGAAAAGAAGCAAAGCAUGUACAACCCUAAUGAGAAUCUUCUAGUUGAGUGACUUGUUCUCCCCUUGCGUCUUUUUUUUUUUUUGAUGACCCAGGGAAUCCCGUAUAGUCGGUAGCCAACAAGUAAACCCUAGGGUGACGCCCAAGGAAACCACCACCCUAAUGCCAUGGGUAAGUCCACAAAUGACGACGCUGGGAUUCGAACUUGUCCCCGUCGUAAGGAGGACAAAGCCCGAACCAACGCUGCCACCACAUGGGGUGGUCUCUCCUUGCGUCUUUUGAAAAGAAAAAAGAAGCAAAGCAUAUAGAGCCAUUUGCUUGAGUAAUGUUAAUUGCAGAGUAUAAUAAAUAAAUAAAAGGAUACGUAAGAGUGCAAAGCGCGAGCUUGAGAUCGACGAGCUCGAGAUUCGCCUAUUAAAAGAUACGGUGUAAUUGUUCGGGGAAUUCUGAUCCAUUAUUAAAAGAAAUGCUAAAUAAGAGAAUGAGGUUUACCGUCCACUAUUAAAAGAUACGGUGUAAUUGUACACGUCAUCAAGGCUUGAUAAUCAAUUACAACUAGGCUUAUUAUUAUCUUUUUUUUUUAAUAUACAGUACGUCGUCAUAAAAGGUUUUAAAAACGAAAGGCCACUGCCCGGGAAAAAACAAUUACAUAAAGGAUUUCUAAAUAGCCAUGAAAUUGUGACAGAAGGGCAAACAUGAGAAUAAUCAAGUACCUGCGUCUUGGAAUUGCUUUAUUAGUCGACAACCAUUGAACUUUUAAGAUAGUUGCGGGAAGAAUUACUAGAGCCAACUAAAUUAUUCAUUUAAUAAAUUCUAAAGAAUUAUGAAUGGUUUUUUUUUUUUGCCGGUCGAUCAUAAUUAGAUUUUGUCCCACUUUCAUUCAUAUCAAUUUAGGCCGAACAACUGGCAAGUCUGAUUUGCAUGAGAAAAGAAAAAUUAAGAAGUCAUUGUCACUAGCCUCUAAUUAUUUGUUUUGGUCUAUUAUUAUGGUUAAAGUCUUGGCCGUUGUUUAUAUCUUCCAGCUGGGUGACAAAAGGUUUUAAAAACGAAAGGCCACUGCCCGGGAAAAAAAACAAUUGCAUAAAGGAUUUUUAAAUAGCCAUGAAAUUGUGACAGAAGGGCAAACAUGAGAAUAAUCAAGUGCCUGCGCCUUGGAAUUGCUUUAUUAGUCGACAACCGUUGAACUUUUAAGAUAGUUGCGGGAAGAAUUAUUAGAGCCAACUAAAUUAUUCAUUUAAUAAAUUCUAAAGAAUUAUGAAUCGGGUUUAUUUUUUUGCCGGUCGAUCAUAAUUAGAUUUUGUCCCACUUUCAUUCAUAUCAAUUUAGGCCGAACAACUGGCAAGUCUGAUUUGCAUGAGAAAAGAAAAAUUAAGAAGUCAUUGUCACUAGCCACUAAUUAUUUGUUUUGGUCUGUUAUUAUGGUUAAAGUCUUGGUCGUUGUUUAUAUCUUCCAGCUGGGUGACAGGGAUGCAACCUUAGGACAGUGACAAUCAAUAAUUGCCGUUUCAAAAUUUAUUGUAGGUAAUGAUAGAGCAAUUGGCUAUUAAUUAAAUUGAUUGAUCUAUCACAACCACUACAACAUCAUUUCAUAUUCAAAACAGAAUUGGGUAGGAAGAUAACUUUUAUUUAUGAAUGUGCUUGCACAAUACGAUCAUUAGAUUAUUAGGAAGAAGACAUUGGAAGCGCCAUAACUUUUAGUGUCAUUUUCUCUUAAAAAAUUAUUACGAGUUGUAAUCUCACUAAGCCGAUUUAAUGUUUUCCAAUGUUUCAUAUGUUUCUUCCGAAAUGCAGCCAGAUACUAGAAAGACAGAAAAAGAAAAAUUAAGAAGUUCGCCUCACUAGUCACUAAUUUAUCUUGGCCUUUUAUUAUGGUUUAAGUGUUGGUCAUUGGUACAUCAUCUAGCAAGGUAACAUGAUGGAACCUUAGGAUAGUGACAUUCACCCUCAGCUUAAGAAUCAAUACUUGCCUUUUAAAAACGGGUUGUGGGUAAAGAUAGAUAAAUUGGCUAUUUAAUUUGAUUAAUUAACUUAUCGUAUUGCCAUCAUUAGAUUAUUAUUAGUUAUAAUCUUGCUGAGCCAAUUCAAUGUUUUUUUUACGCUUUACGUGUUUCUUCCGGAAUGUAAUCAUCAUUAGAUUAUUAUUAGUUAUAAUCUUGCUGAGCCAAUUCAAUGUUUUUUUUACGCUUUACGUGUUUCUUCCGGAAUGUAAUCAACACUCAAAAGAGCAUGGAAAAUUCUUGCAAUUGUGACAGAAAAGGAAAACGAGAAGAAUAAGUAAAUAUUUGCCAUCUCGGAAAUGUUUCAUGGUUGACGACUAUCGUGACCUACCCCUCGGGGGGGGGGGGGGACAGUAGGUUUAGCGGUAUUGCCUAAAAGAUAGGCCUAAGGCCCAUGAUUAGGCAUGGACUCUCCCAAGCCCAUACCCCGCGUGACAUUGGGAAAUUCUUUAGAAUUUUGCAAAAAAGAGUCGCCACUAGCCUAUUGAGGUCGGCUAGAAACCAAGUGAGACAUGGGAGCGUACCUCACUUCCUACGCAACCAGAAAAUCUAGAGUCGGGGACUUAAUUACACUAAUUGACCAAUUAGUGUCAUUUCGGUACCUAAUCUUGUCCAUUUUAAUAAAAUGACUUUUUGGCAGGCAGUUUGGAUUGAUUUUAUACAUAUCCACUAACAUAUGAGAUGAUCAUGCAGGUGCGCAAUUAUAAAAAGUAACAACCAUAGCUACCAAGAUUCUAAUUGCAGUAAAAUUAACACAUGCCACUAAGCAAUUGUAAACAUAGUUAAAUAGGUAAAUUAAACAUGCAAUAUAAUCAAUAUACGAGCAAUUAAAGGCCUAAAUAUACUAUAAAGGCAAUACAUGGUCAUUUCUAAUCAAAACCUACAUAUUUUGGAUUUUCAAAAUUUUAAUUUUUUUUAAUUUUUUUUAAAAAAUAUUAUUUUAAUAUUAUAAUAAUAUAAUAUAUUUAAAAUGAACCAGGUCAGAUCCCCUGGUCGGGUCUGACUUGGGUAGAUGGAAAGGGCCUGGGCCUAGCCCGAAUCAAGCCCGACGGCCCGAACUUGGACCAAACUGGGCCGCAAGACCCAAACCAGCAAAACCAGCUAGGCUGGCCUAAAUUUUUUGAAAUAAAGCCCAAAUGAAAAAAUAGCCCCAAACCCGGCCCAAUACGCCCAAAAUCCUACCCAGUUGACUAGACUCGGCCCGAUUCUCGCGACCCAAAUUCUGGAGCCCUCGGGUUCAGAGAUCCAUGGCGCUGGAGGGAUUAGCUAGGACAUCGAUAGCAAUGAUGGGCUUGAUGACGGCGGCAAUGCGGUGAAUGGCGACAUCAGCGCUUGGAGGGCUGCAGGUGAGACGGGGCACGACGGUGACUAGUGGAGACGGGUAGAGGUGCGGUAACGCGGGUUACAGGCAUCGGGCAGAGGUGCAGUGGUGGGCAUGGCAAUGGCUCGAACAACGUCAGGCAAGAGGGUGGCAGCUCGGACGGUGUCAUGGUUGGACGACAACGACGGUCGGCUUGGUGAUGCGGUGAAGCUCGAUCUACUCCCAGAUCUGGGCCUUUGGCCGACCCCCUUGCCUCGGAUCUUCAGAUCUGAGGGGCUCCGAGUUCAUCCUCCCUCUCCCUCUGGUCUCGACUAGCUUGGCUUCGGGAGAAGUGGCGACGAGUGCUGUAGCUACUAGCAUCGGCGGUAGCAACGUCGAGUGCAAUGGGUCGGACGGCGGGAGCUCGAAUGACGUCGGGAGCAGUGACUGCUGGCAUCGGUGUCAAGUGCAGGGGGUUGGAUAGCGGGAGCUCAAACGGCGUUGAGCUUGGAGGGCGGCAGCUCGGACGACAGCGGCGGCCAACGCCGACGACACCUCCUUUCCUUUCUCUCCCUCCCUGUCUUCUCUCCCUAUUUCUCUCUCUGUUUCUCCCUAGCCUCUCUCGCUCCCCCUCCUUGUGUUCUCUUCGAGCUCUCCUCUUUCUCCUCCAGCUCUCUCUCUUUGUCUCUCUCUCGAUGUUUGCUGUCCUGUUCUCCUAAGUUUCUUGUGCGAAGAUGGAGGAGGGAGAAGGUUGGCGUGAGCCAAGCCAAAGGGGAAACGGGCUUGGGCCGCUCAAGGGAAAAAUGGGCAUUUUUUUUUAAAUUUCUCUCUUUCUUUUCUUUUUUUGUUGUUUUGUUAUUUUUAUUUUUCUUUAUUUUUCCUCUUUUUCUCUAAUAAUUUUUUUUAUGUACUUGAAAACAAAAAUUAUGUAUCAACAACUGCCCGUCUUUGAAUGUAGCCUCGAAGAGGUUGCAUUCAAAAACAGAAGACACCUAAAUUAUUUUGGUGGUAGAGAGACCUUGGGUUCAUAGGCACGCGUCAAGUCGACAGAAAGGACUCAUAACUAUGAAAGCACGUCUUGUUGAUAAGAGGAAGAAGGACACCGGGCUACAAAGCUCCUCGGGAUAUAGGAAGAAAAACUCCGGGAUACAAAGCUCUCCGGGUCAUAAGAAGAGAGAAGACUCCAGGAGAUAAAGCUCUCCAGGUCAUAAGAAGAUAGAGAAGACUCCGGGCUACAGAAGCCCAUAGGGUCAUAAGAAGAGAGAAGACUCUAGGAUACAAAGCUCUCCGGGUCAUAAGAAGAGAGAAAACUCCAUAAUACAAAGCUCUCUGGGUCAUAAGAAGAGAGAGAAGACUCCAGGUUACAGAAGCCCACCGAGUCAUAAGAAGAGAGAAGACUCCAGGAUACAAAACUCUCCGAGUCAUAAAAAGAGAGGAGACUCCAGGAUACAAAGCUCUCCGGGUCAUAAAAAGAGAGGAAUGAGGUCUCACCGUGUAAUAAUGGGUUUCGAUUGGGUAUGAUAGUCUCACUGUGUACGAACGGGUUUCGAUUGGGAGAUAGGUCUCACCUUGUACAAACGAGUUUCGAUCGGAUAUGAUAGUUUCACCAUGUACGAACGGGUUUUGACUGAGAGAUAGGUCUCAUCGUGUAUGAAUGGGUUUCGACCGGAUGCAGACAAGUGUGGUUUACGGAUGAACCCACGAGCCGUGUGGUUUAGGAAAAGCCACCAACCCCAUGGUUUUAACGAUAAAUCCACCAACCUUGGAAAUGGCAUGGUUUAAGGCUAACCAUGAACCCUUGGUUUUUAGGGAAGCACCCGCUAACCCCUUAAAAACUACAUGGCUUCAAUGAGGAAUCCUGUCAAACUCAACUUGAGCAAAUGUCAUUAGAGACGUCAUCAAGAGGCGUAUUGGCAAUAUUACAUCAUUAAUUAAACAAGCUAAUCAAGCUAAGUCCUACUGCUUUAGACAAACAUUUGAUGUCAAUCAGUAUCACGUGGUGCAAAACUGUCAUCUUGCUUGGGGAUAUAUCAUUAAUCAUCAAAUUCUUAGUCAGAAAGGACUUCUCACACACUCUUGAUAAAAUGGCUACUUGAUCCCAUCUAUUCGCGUGGGAUAUAGCUGAUUGCUGAAGAUAUCUCACAUAACCCAUGUCAAAGGCUUUCUGAAACAUUCACGAUAAGCACAAUCUGAUCGAUCAAAAAAGUCUUUUGAAAGGACUGCAAUAUAGGCUUGGUUAAGGCUUACACAAAUGAAUAUUGCUUUGAGGCCAAUAAAGGAAUAUUUGUCGCUAUCUUCAUCGGGUUUACGAGUCGAGAACUUGGAAGAUAAGACAAGAUAGAAUUACUUCCACUCUUUCAAGCAAUAGCUUCUUUGUGGUAUUCUCAUUUUCACUCAAACCAUCCCAAUCAGAAGAGACUUCGGAAGAGGGUUGUAAUGUUGGUUUGGGAAAGGCUCGAAAGGCUUAAAAUUUUCAAGAGGGUUUUUAAGUGUCGAUGAUCAUCAUGGCAUCGUGACCGAGUCACUCGACCUUUGGAAAGCAUUUAGCUUUUGAAACACAACACAUCAUGAAAGUCCCUUAACUAAUCAUUUAUGCAUGGGAGCUUUGCUCCUUUAUCUAAUGUCCUUUGCUCUUGCAAUAAUUUUUUUUGUGCAAGCACUUGGACUUUGAUAAUAUUUUUCUUCCACAUAAGAUGCAACUUUUUGGCUCAUUUUUUUAAACGGGCAUUGGUCUUGCUUUUACCAGGCACACUGCUUUUUCAUACCCCCUAAUUUUGUCAAACUUUUUGCUCUUUGAACCUUUGGAGCUCUUAUGACUUUCGAGAUGCUUUUCAUGCUUUCUCGUAAAUGCCAAUUGUAUGUGGUCAAUCCUUAUGCCUUGCCCUAGUGAAGGGAGAUGAUCACCGCUCGAGGUUUAGAAAUGAAUAAUUAGGCCCAAAUUGGUUAAAGCAAAGGGUAUCGGUGUUUGGGUAGAGAAGGAAAUGCUCUUCUUCACAUUAGGAUAAGUCAAGCUUUAAUGAGAAUUCCUCUGAAGCUAUCACCAGAAGAUUGCUGCAAGUGAAAGUGAUAGAAUCUUUCUCAAUCUUUCACUCUACAACACGACCGUAACCUCUUGUGCUGCCCCAAUGUAGGGUCGUUCUCGACAGGGGUACUUUGAAUGAUCAUCUUUAUUCGGCCCAAAGGAGUAGCAAAAGAUUAGUGCAAUGCUUGGGAUUGAUGAAGGAAACGCCUUUAUCAUUUCAAUCCUUGUGCUCAAUGCGAAUGAAUCAUUUGUCCUAAGAGAAGGUCGCUUUUCACUCAACUCUCGAAAGUGUUUGAAGGACGUGUUUGGAAAUGACUUACCUUUCUCUAUCCUAAGCACUUCUUAUUUGGCAUGGUUGACGUCUCUGUUUCACUCUGCCGAGAUUAUCUGAGUAGAUCAAUCUCCAUAGGGGAAUUUGAUUUAAAUUGAAUAACCCACAAAACGAGAAAAUAAGUUUGAGAUAAAAAUGAUGCUAAAAAAGUUUGUAGAUUUUUUUUUUUUCAUUUUUGUGCUUAUCUUUUGGGCAUAAAAGGUUCUUUUUUGUAAUAGAAAUUCUUCGGUUUUUUUUUUUUUUUUAAGAUUGAGAAGAAGGGUAAUUACCUGCGGUAUGGUGACCUGGUAACUCUGUAAAUAAUGUAAAAGAAUAUGUUAGUGCAAAAAUUUUUAGGGAUUGAAAUCUUGGAAACGAUACAUUAUUACCCUUCACUCGCUUUUAUCUUUUGAGGGCUAACAUCUCUUGGAUUCACCCUCAUGGAUAUUUUUUAACUUGGCAUUACUCUUCACUUGCAUUUUUCUUUAAGCGUUUGAUGUCUUCCUAUCAAAGGAAAGAAAGAAUCAUGUUAGAGACGUUAUCAAAAUGAGCAAUUGGAAUCGACACCAUUUACCUUUCACGUGCUUUCAUUUUUCAGUUAUGAACUUUGCCUGAAGUCACUAGAAUUGAUUGAAAAAUGGCUAUGUGGCCCUGAUUUUAUCCAUAAAAAGCACUUCUUUAUUGUAUACAAACAAUUCACAAAGUUCAAUUCCUACUCUUUUUUUUUUUCAAAUGCUCAUCCUGAAGAAACGUUUAGCAGACAAGGAGCUCGAAAAUUUAUAUAUGGAUCAUGAGAUGUGUUUUCAAGAUCUUGCUUUGAAAGGAGAGUGGGUGCUCCCUAUUUCCACAUCUGAGGAUAUUAUUCUUUAGAUGCUUUGCCCAUUUAUUGCUUGCAAGGAAAAGAUUUGACAUAUUAUUUCCUCGCUUGAUUGGAAAUCAUUUAGGAAUUAUACACAUCCCUUUACGCCAAAAUAGACAGUCGGGUCUUAGCAUGAUUCCUUGAUGGAAGGCGUUGCUUCUACAGUUAAGGUGCAAUAUUUUUCCCAUUCAUCACCCUAUAAGAAGAGGAGAUGAAACAGGUUAUCUCCAUACUUAAUUAGGUUCAAUUUAGGAAUGAUACAUCCUUUCGUGCUAAAUUGGAUGUCUUGUCAUGUCUUAUUGGAGAAAAACAUUGCCCUUAUAAGAAUACUCCUUCGCUUUUGUUGGAACGGUAUAUAACUUGGCGCCCACAAUGUAUCCUUAGCAAUGGAAAAAAAAUCAUGUCAAAGACGGUAUCAGAAAUGGAUAAUUGGAAUUGAUACAGUUUACUCUUGUUGGAGAAAACUUUCUUAUUUAUUUUGAAGUUGACAAAACGUUUCCAUCAGUUUAGUCUGAAGACUUGCAGACUCUAUCGUCAAAGUCUGAAGACCUCCAGACUCAAGACUUAAAGUCUACCCUCACUGAUAGUCUCCAGACCGACGAAGGAAAGAUUUAUCUGACGAAGAAGACUUGUCCAGAUGCGAGUAUAUCUUUAAGGAUUUGGUUUGUAUGGUUGAAGAAGAUCUCAUGGCUGGAAAUAGCAUCUCGUGAUCAGUUAUUCUUAUUGAAAUCAAUUCGGAUAAUUGGAUCUGUUGAUUGGCAAAGUAUACUUGGAAGGUUGUACUUAUGGAAAUCUAGAUCCUGAUUGUAUGGACGAGCAUGAUUUGUGGGUUAUCAUCACAUUCCUUAAAUAACUCGAGAUGUCCAACGGGUAGAUUUGAAGAACUCCUUUGGAAAGUGCCAAUGGUUAUAAUGGCAUGGAGGAGUAUAUAAGGAAGAUGCUCAAGUUAUUCAAGUGUGUGCUUGAAAGAAAAAUUCCAAAGUAUGAAGUUCUUAGUUCUUUGCUAUCUCAAUCGCUGAGCUUAAGUUGUACUCAAAAGAGAGAUUAAAUACUUGUGAGAUCUUGAGGAAGUGUGGUAGAAUUUCUACACUAUGGAAUCAAGAACGUGAGGCUGUAAAGUCUCUUUUGAUUCUUCAUGGAAAUCCAGCCAGUGGGCUGUUAGUGCGGGAGAGUGGACGUAGGCUUGGUCUAAGACGAACCACUAUAAACCUUGUGUUUUAAUUCUCUUUCCUUAAUCUGUUUACUUUAAUUCGUAACUUUAUAUAACUGUCUAUAGUCUUUUACAUCUUCAGUCUAUUAUCCUCAAAAGGCGAAUUAAUUUGUUAAGUCUUGUAAAAGCUUCUUUAACACCUAUUUACCCUCCUUCUAGGUGUUCUUACUAGCCCUAUCAAUUGGUAUCAGAGCCUAUGUGCUCGUUUUAUUUAAGUGUUUUACUUUUGAGCUAAAGAUUUAUGGCUAGUAUUUUGGCUCCUAAUUUGGUUGAAGGCUAAAGUAACACUAGGCCGCCUUAUUUUGAUGGAAAUGAAUACAAUGUUUGGAAAAACAAGAUGAAGGCAUUCCUAAGAUCGAAAGAUCCAUGGGAAUGGGAUGUGGUAGAAAAAAGGAAUCAUUCAUAAAGCUGCAUCAGUCUCAGAAAGAGGAAAAGAAGUUAUAGAUGCUAGCGAUAUGGCACAAGAAGAAAUAACCAAGAGACAAGCUCUUGAUGCUAAAGUAAUCUACUCUUUAUACUAUGCUUUAUCUCCUACUGAAUAUAACAAACUUUCAUCUUGUGAAACAGUAAAAGAAGUCUAGGAUAGGUUGCACGUCACCUAUAAAGGAACUGAUUGAGCUAAAGAAACAAAGAUCAAUAUCUUACUCGGACAGUAUAAAGCCUUCAAUAUGAAAUUAGGAAAAUCCAUUACUGAUAUGUUUAGUCGUUUUACAGAAAUCGUAAACGGUCUAUUAUAUCAGGGACAACCAAUCUCAGGACCAAUGAAGGUUAAUAAACUGUUGCGUGGAUUAUCCAAAGAUUGGAAUCACGUGAAGACUUCAAUGAAAGAAACCCAAAUGAUCAUGCCUCUUACAAUUGAUGAGCUUGUGGGCACACUUCAGUCAUACGAAGUGGAACAACUCAAUAAGGAAGAAGAUCCCAAAGGUAAGAAGUCAAUUGCUUUAAAAUCUAACGAUAAUUCUAAUGUUAUAGAUUCCGAAGAUGAUAUGGAUGACGAAGAGCUAGCACUUAUGAUAAGAAAGUUUAGGAAACUAAACAUAAAGGGAAGAAGAUUUAACUGGAAGAAGCAAGGUUAUAAAAAAUUCUAGAACAAAACAAAUGAGGAUGACGAGAUCAACAAGGAUGUGGUCUGUUUUGAAUGCAAGAAAAAUGGACACAUUAGACCCAACUGUUCUCUGUUGAAGAAAAAGAAAGCAAGAACUGAAAAGUUCAAGAAGGCUCUCAAAGCAGAAACAUGAAGUGAUAUAGAAUGUGAGGAAAGUGAUGAAAAAUAUGCCAACAUAUGUCUUAUGGUGAAUUCUAAAUCGGACUUAGAUUUUGGAACAAAUUCAGACUCAGACAAUGAAGUCGAAGUUAGUAAUUUAAAUAUACCUGUUAAAGUCUCGAAAUACAUUGAUGAACUUUGUUGUAGUCUCAAAACCUCUCUUAAAAGGAUUUUCGAGCUAAAAAUGGAGAGUUCUACACUUAAGCAACAUGAAAAUUCUUGGAAAGAAAAAUUUGAAAAUUUAGACAAAAGUUUUGUUGUUUUAAAAGAAAAUGCAGACUCUUUUUCAAAAGAAAAUACAAUUUUGAAAGAGGACAUCUCAAACAUCUCAAAAAGGUUUUCAAUAGGAUCUAAAAAGUUGGAAAAAAUUCUUUUAGUACAAAGACCUUAUUUCAACAAGUCAGGUUUGUGAAUGACCUCAGAAACUAUUCCUCUAAUUGAUUUUCCAAAAGUAAAGGAAGGAAUCAAACAAAGACCUACAAUUUUUUUUUAAAGAAAUCAUUUUCAAAAAGUCUUUGUGAAACCUGUUGGCCGAAGUGCUCUCAAAAGUUCAAAGUGCAAUAGCUCAUAACACUUUGAGAAAUAAUGCCCUAUGGUUUAGAGACAUAUUAAGAAGGAAUGGGCAAAAACUGUAUAUUGUACUAACUCCACCGAACCCAAGAAAAUAUAGAUACCAAAGAAAGCUUGAGUCUCUUUUUUAAUUGCAGAUCACUAGCAAGAAAAAUGUUAAAUUGUAUUUGGAUAGUGGAUGUUCAAGACAUAUGACUGGAGAUUCAAGUUGUUUUAUUAAAUUUGUUCAAACAAAUGGUGGAAAAGUCUCUUUUGGUGGAAAUACCAAAGGAAGAAUUUUUGGGUGUGAAACUGUAAAGAUUAGAAGUCUCACAAUCAACAAUGUCUCCUUGGUGGAAGGACUAAAUUACAAUCUUCUCAGCAUUAGUCAACUAUGCGACACUGGAUUCAAAAUCAAUUUGCAAGAAGGAGUAUGUUCGGGAACUAGUAAAGAUUUUUCUCAAUCUUUCUCUGGACGAAGACAUGAGAACAUUUAUCUUCUUGAUAUAGAACCAUAAAUGUCUCAAUAUCUUAUAUCAAUUCAAGACGAAGCGAAUCUUUGGCAUCGAAAGCUUGGCCAUGUCAACAUGAAGCAAAUUGCCAAGAUCUCUUCCAAGAAGCUUGUUCGUGGACUGUCCAACUUGAAGUAUCAAAAAUCUGACUUAUACACACCAUGUGUGUUGGGAAAACAGGUUAGAAGUUCUUUUAAACCAAUAACUUAAGUUUCUACUAAUCGUGUUUUGUAGCUUCUGCAUAUGGAUCUCUUUGGACCGACCUGAACUCAAAGCAUUGGUGGAAAGAGAUAUUAUCUAGUAAUUGUGAAUGAUUAUUCUCGAUUCACUUGAGUUUACUUUCUAGCAAGUAAAUCUGAAACUUUUUCUCACUUUUCAAAGUUUGCUAAGAAAUUUCAAAAUGAGAAAAGAUAUGUUAUUCCAAGCAUACGGACAAACCAUGGAGGUGAGUUUGAAAAUCAAGACUUUGCUAAAUUCUGUGAUGAAUCUAGAUUUCAACAUGUUUUCUCAUCUCCAUACACUCUAGAUCAAAAUGGAGUUAUGGAAAGAAAAAAUAGAUCUUUGCAAGAAAUGACAAGAAUCCUUUUAAUUGAAAGUAAUAUUUCUACUCGUUUUUUGGCUGAAGCAGUUUCUAUAGCUUGUUAUAUUAUUAAUAGAGUGUUCUUAAGGCCUAUGCUAGAGAAAACUCCUUAUGAGUUAUUCAAAGGAAAUAAGCCAAUUGUUUCUUAUUUUCACAUGUUUGGUUACAAAUGUCUUAUUUUAAAGAAUGCAAAUGAUAAAACUGGUAAGUUUGAAGAAAGGUCAGAUGAAAGAAUUUUCCUUGGAUAUUCAAUCACGAGCAAAGCCUACAGAGUAUUCAACAAGAAAACUCUAUCUAUUGAAGAAUCUAUGAACGUUAAAUUCGAAGACUCUUUGCAAAAUCAACUGAUUUAGACUCAAUCCUAAGAAUCUGAACUAGCUCCAGACUUUACAAAGUCUACCUCCCCUGAAGCGGCUCAGACUUUUGAAGAUCAACAACGAACAGAUGUUGAAGAAUCAACUGAAGUAGAAGAUCAGCAAUCUAUCAAACAUACUAGUAACUGGAAGCACAAGUCUAGUCAUCCCAAAGAACUCAUCAUCGGUAACAUUGAUGAAGGAAUUCGCACCAGAUCCUAAAAGCAAGAAGAGUCUAGUGCCGUGGCACUUAUUUCUAAAAUAGAACCCAAAAGUAUAGAAAAAGCUUUAACUGAUGAAAGCUGGAUUGAAGCUAUGCAAGAAGAGCUCAGACAAUUCAGCAUUAAUGAUGUUUGGGAAUUAACUCCUAAACCAAAAGAUAAAUCCAUUAUUGGAGUUAAAUGGGUUUUCAAGAACAAGAUGGAUGAAGGAUGAAAAAUGAAAAGUGGUCAAGAACAAAGCAAGACUCGAGGCCAAAAGAUAUACGCAAGAAAAAGGGAUAAACUAUGAUGAGACCUACGCACCAGUAGCGAGGUUAGAAGCAAUUAAAUUAUUACUUGCUUUUGCCUGUUAUAAAAAUUUCGGGUUAUUCCAAAUGGACAUCAAAGUGCAUUCCUAAAUGGAUGUAUCCAUUGAGAAGUUUAUGUGGAACAACCUUCCGGAUUUGAAGACCUAAAGAAACUAGACUUAGUAGUCAGAUUGAAAAAGGCUCUAUAUGGAUUAAAGCAAGCACCUCGAGUGUGGUACGACAUGUUAAGUAAGUUUUUAGUUCAAAAUGGUUUUGUCAAAGGAAAAAUGGAUACUACAUUGUUUAUUAAAAGAGAAGGUAAAAACUUUCUACUUGCUCAAAUCUAUGUUGAUGAUAUUAUAUUUGGAUCACUUAACGAAAGCCUGUGCAAGAAGUUUUCUAAGUCUAUGCAAGAUGAAUUUGAGAUGAGCAUGAUGGGUGAAUUAUCUUUCUUUCUCGGAUUACAAGUAAAACAAUUGAAUGAAGGAAUUUUCAUUCACUAAGAAAAAUAUGCAAAAGAACUAGUUAAAAAAUUCAGAUUGCAAAAUUGCAAAAAGACUAAGAUACCAAUGUCUAGUUCUUUAAAGCUGGACAAAGAUGAAGGAGGAAAGAAAGUUGACCAGAAGCUCUACAGGAGUAUUAUUGGUUCACUUUUUUAUCUUACUAUUUCUAGACCUGAUAUUUUGUUUAGUGUUUGCAUUUGUGCUAGAUUUCAAUCUGAUCCCAAAGAAUCUCAUCUAAGUACUGCAAAACGCAUCAUCAAAUACGUUGCAACUACCUCAAAGUUAGGUCUGUUGUAUCCCAAAGAAUGAGACUUUACUCUCUUUGGAUAUUCAGACGCAGAUCUAGUAGGUUGCAAAGUUAAUAGAAAUAGUAUUUCAGGAGAGUGAACGUAGGCUUGGUCUAAGCCGAACCAUUAUAAACCUUGUGUUUUAAUUCUCUUUCCCUAGUCUCUUUACUUUAAUUCAUAGCUUUAUAUAACUGUUUAUGUUUUUUACAUCUUCAGUCUAUUAACCUCAAAAGGCGAAUUAAUUUGUUAAGUCUUGUAAAAGCUUCUUUAACACCUAUUCACCCCUCUCUAGGUGUUCUUACUAAUCAACUCUUCCUUCGAAUUCGCCUUUUGGAUGCUUGGCAACCUCCUUCACUUGUCUCAUCAUGCAAAGUGAAUGAGAUUGAUGUGCUCUUUCAGCACCUAAGGCAUCUCCAAAUAAAGAAACUUCCUAGAAUGGGAUUCAACUUCGUUAUGCCUUUAUUGGAAGAUUGGCGCCGACGAAGCCUCAACACACGCUUGCUCCUCAAGUUCGAUGAGCCCGAGAAAACGACUACAUGAAGAGAAGGUCUUAAGCAAAGUUUUCUUGAAAUUUGUUUUGGAAGGUAGACGUAAAGGUUCGCUUAAAACACUUAUGAAUUUGUUUUUUAUUUUUUGUUUUUUGUUUUUGUUUAAAAAAUGAUUAUUUUCAUGAAACUGAAUUCCAUCAUUAAAAAUGUGAGUCGCACAAUUUACAAAAGCAACAAUUGGAUUCGCAAUCAAAACUCAAAAUGGAAAACAUGAUUCUUAACAAGAAUAAGAAUAUUGAUAAAAUACAAUAAACUCUUGUAUUGAUAAGAGUAAAAAUCAACUUUGGUCCUAAUGUCAAUGAGCACCACACAUAAUCCGCAAAAAGACGACAAUGUUAGUACGUGAAUGAGAAAAAAUGAUAUCUCAAUGAAGUCGCUUCUUACAAUAAAAUCAAGGCGACGGUACAUGCCCCACAGUCCUUAUUACGGGAUUUUAGUAUUUCGCCAAGAUUUUAUCAUAAGAGAAGACAUCAUUAAGAUAAUCAAUCCACGGCUAUUAAUCGAAUGUUCACUUUUAUUACAAAAGUUUUGUAUGCAAAAGGGUCAUUGAUUUUUGAAAGAUUGAUUUGUGAUUUUACUCCUAGAAAAAUGAAGUGACUUCUAUUUCGAGAAAUUUGUACACAAAAUUAUUUGCAUUUUAGUCCCAAAAUGUGAGGAUGAGAGAAUUUGAUAAAAAAAAUGCAAUUUCAAUUUUUGUGCCCCAAUAUAAAAUCACAGCUUGAAAGUUUUUUUUUGUUUUUUUUUUUCAAAAUGAUUUUGAGUCCAUAACUAGAAAUUGAAACAAAACCAUAUGUUCAACUGGGCCAAAUCAAAGUGAUUAGAACUUGCAUUCAAUGUUCACUUAUCAAAAGUGAUUGCCAAUUUUUUUUUCAAUUAUAAGCCUACAAAACCAAGGGCAAUCGAUUGAUGUUCGCGAAUUUCAAAAUGAAAGUUCAAUACAAAAUAAGCAAAUAAAAAGGAAAAUGAUACUUACAAUGGGUGCCGAUCUUUGUUUCUUUUUUUUUUUUUUUUCAAUUACAUAAACAUGCACAUGGGAUGUGGUUUGAUUUCUACUCUAUACGGCUCAAAAUGGAGUCAUAGGAUCACUGGACUGAACCAACAAGAUCACGGCUAGGUCAUGUUACUCAUGACUCCGGCUUUGUCAAAGAAUCGACUCGUGUUGCGCGGUUGCAAACCGGGGUGGGUACCUUCGACGUGAAGAAAGAAAUUUCAGGGUUGAGAUGGGUGACUCGUACUACACGGUUGUAGUCGGAGUGGUAUCCACCUCAAUACCAUCCUAUGUGAUCCUAUGCAGCCCAGAUCCGGCAGCAAGUAGUGUGUGUCAUGGUGUAGUGCAAUGCAAGAAAUGUAGGCAUGACAAUUUAUAGGCAAGCAACACUUCAUACAUAAAAAAUAAACCAUACAUUCCUACACCUCCUUGCAAGACAAAGGUGAGCAAACACUUCCCUUUAUACCUCCCACUUUGCAAAAACAUUUAACACAUUUAAUAUUAGGGGCAUACUUGAAAUCCUCGCUGCCAAAUAAAAAUAUUUUUGAAUAAGAUUAAUUUUGGCUUAAGUCCUCUAACGUUUAAAACCAAGUCCCCAGUGGAGUCGCGAAGUUGUCGCGACCUACCCCAUAGGGGGGAACAAUAGGUUUAAGGGUAUUGCCUAAAAGACGGGCCUAAGGCCCAUGAUUAGACAUUGACUUUCCCAAGCCCAUACCCCACGUGACAUUGAAAUAUUCUUUAGAAUUUUGUAAAAAUGAGUCGCCACUAGCCUAUUGGGGUCGGCUAGAAAUCAAGCGAGGCAUGGGAGUGUACCUCACUUCCUACGCAACCAGAGAAUUUAGGGUCGGAGACUUGAUUACACUAAUUGACCAAUUAGUGCCUUUUCGGUAUCUAAUCUUGUCCAUUUUAACAAAAUGACUUUUUGGUAGACAGCUUGGAUCGAUUUUAUAUCUAUCCACUAAUAUGUGAGGUGAUCAUACGGGUGUACAAUCAUUAAAGUAACAAUCAUAGCUACCAAGAUUCUAAUUGCAGUAAAAUUAACACAUGCUACUAAGCAAUUGCAAACAUAGUUAAAUAGGUAAAUUAAACAUGCAAUAUAAUCAAUAUAUGAGCAAUUAAAGGCCUAAAUAUACUAUAAAGGCAAUACAUGGUCAUUUCUAAUCAAAACCUACAUUUUUUGGACUUUCGAAAUUUUUAAUUUUAUAAAAUUUUAAAAAAUAUAUAUUUUUAAUAUUAUAAUAAUAUAAUAUAUUUAAAACGAACCGGGUCAGAUCCCCGGGUCGGGUCCAACCCGGGUCGAUGAAAAGGGCCUGGGCCAAGCCAAAUCGGGCCUGACGGCCUGAACCCAUACCGGAUUAGGCUACAGAACCCAAACCAGCAAAACUAGCUGGGCUGGGCUUGAUGUGCAAGCCCAGCUUGGCCUAAAUUUUUUGAAAUAAAGCCCACAUGCAAAAACAGCCCCAAACCCGGCCUAAUACACCCAAAACCCUACUUGGUUGACUAGACCCGGCCCGACUCGCACGACCUGAAUUCUGGAGCCCUUAGGUUCAGAGAUCCGUAGCGCCGGAGGGAUUAGCUAGGACGUCGACAACAGUGAUGGGCUUGACGAUGGCGACAAUGCAGCAAAUGGCGGCAUUGGCACUCGGAGGGCUACGGGUGAGAUGGGGCAUGGCGAUGACUGGCAGAGACGAGUGGAGGUGCGGCAAGGCGUCGGGUAGAGGCGCGACGGCGAGCGUGGCGACGGCUCGAACAGCAUUGGGCAAGAGGGUGGCGGCUUGGAUGGCGUCAAGGUUGGACAACGGCAACAGUCAGCCUAGUGAUGCAGCGGAGCUCGAUCUACUCCCAGAUCUGGGCCUUUGGCCAACCCCCUGCCUCGGAUCUUCAGAUCUAAGGGGCUCCUAGUUCGUCCUCCCUCUCCCUCUAGUCUCGGCUGGCUUGGCGUUGGGAGAAGCGGCGACGAGUGCUGCGAUUACUCACAUCGGCGGUAGUGGCGUCAAGUGCAGGGGGUCAGACAGCGAGAGCUUGAAUGGCGUCGAGAGCAACGACUGCUGGCGUCGGCGGCAGUGGCGUCAAGUGCAGGGGGUCGGACGGCGGGAGCUCGAACGGCGUCGAGCUCGAAGUGCGGCAGCUCGAACGACGGCGGCGGCCAACGCCGACGAUGCCUCCUUUCCUAUCUUCUCUCCCUAUUCUCUCUCUAUUUCUCCCUAGCCUCUCUCGCUCCCCCUCCCUGUGUUCUCUUCGAGCUCUCCUCUCUCUCCUCCAGCUCUCUCUCUCUCUGUCUCUCUCUCGCUGUCUACCUUCCUAUUCUCCUAAGUUUCUUGCACAAAGAUGGAGGAGGAAGAAGGCUGGCGUGGGCCAGGCCAAAGGGGAAUGGCCGUGCAGGAAAAGAGCAUUUNNNNNNNNNNNNNNNNNNNNNNNNNNNNNNNNNNNNNNNNNNNNNNNNNNNNNNNNNNNNNNNNNNNNNNNNNNNNNNNNNNNNNNNNNNNNNNNNNNNNNNNNNNNNNNNNNNNNNNNNNNNNNNNNNNNNNNNNNNNNNNNNNNNNNNNNNNNNNNNNNNNNNNNNNNNNNNNNNNNNNNNNNNNNNNNNNNNNNNNNNNNNNNNNNNNNNNNNNNNNNNNNNNNNNNNNNNNNNNNNNNNNNNNNNNNNNNNNNNNNNNNNNNNNNNNNNNNNNNNNNNNNNNNNNNNNNNNNNNNNNNNNNNNNNNNNNNNNNNNNNNNNNNNNNNNNNNNNNNNNNNNNNNNNNNNNNNNNNNNNNNNNNNNNNNNNNNNNNNNNNNNNNNNNNNNNNNNNNNNNNNNNNNNNNNNNNNNNNNNNNNNNNNNNNNNNNNNNNNNNNNNNNNNNNNNNNNNNNNNNNNNNNNNNNNNNNNNNNNNNNNNNNNNNNNNNNNNNNNNNNNNNNNNNNNNNNNNNNNNNNNNNNNNNNNNNNNNNNNNNNNNNNNNNNNNNNNNNNNNNNNNNNNNNNNNNNNNNNNNNNNNNNNNNNNNNNNNNNNNNNNNNNNNNNNNNNNNNNNNNNNNNNNNNNNNNNNNNNNNNNNNNNNNNNNNNNNNNNNNNNNNNNNNNNNNNNNNNNNNNNNNNNNNNNNNNNNNNNNNNNNNNNNNNNNNNNNNNNNNNNNNNNNNNNNNNNNNNNNNNNNNNNNNNNNNNNNNNNNNNNNNNNNNNNNNNNNNNNNNNNNNNNNNNNNNNNNNNNNNNNNNNNNNNNNNNNNNNNNNNNNNNNNNNNNNNNNNNNNNNNNNNNNNNNNNNNNNNNNNNNNNNNNNNNNNNNNNNNNNNNNNNNNNNNNNNNNNNNNNNNNNNNNNNNNNNNNNNNNNNNNNNNNNNNNNNNNNNNNNNNNUUCAUUUGAUAACAAAUUUAAAAUCUUAAACCUGGUAACAAACUACAAAAAUGACAGCGCAAAAAUUUGGAUAAAACACGAAGAUAUUUUUUUUUAGCUUUUCUUGGAUUUAAUCAAUUGGAGAAAAAAUUCAAAAAUCCUCUCGAACUUUUUAUCCAUAUCAAUUGCUUUGAUUCCUAUCUAUUAUUUUGGAAAUUUAUAAUUCUUCUGUUUUACUGUACGGAAUUUCAAUAAAUUAGAUUCACAAGAAACAUGAAUUCUUAGCUUUUCAAUACAAAGUAAAGCAUUUAGGUUUCGGAUUUUUAUAUCAUUAUAUUAUUUUUUUAUUGGUAGUUCGAUCGUGGAAUUUCUUUCUUUCUUUCUGUAUUUCCGGAAUAUGAGUGUGUGACUUGUUAUAAUUGAUACUAUUGAUGGUACAAAAAAUGGAUAUGUCAUCUUUAUAUAGAUGGUUUUACCUCGUCGGAUAUUCAUUCGAGUAUCUGGAGCACGAAAUAGAUCACAAAAUAUUAACUAUGAUUCAUACUUAAUAUUCAGACCCCGUGACUGGACUCCAAAAAAAUUUCCAAAACGUUAUAAAUCAAAAGAUUUUUCUUCUUUUUCAAAAUAUUUCCCCCUUUUUUUUUUUUUAUCAAAGGACAAAACUUUCUUUUGAUUUUUAGUCAUUAUAUCUAUUCAUUGAAUAAGUGAUGAUAGACAAAAAUCCUAAACUAAAAGUUUAAACCACGAAAAUAAAUUUCAUGUGCCUAUCACACAAUUGACGUGGUAUAACCUAUCAAUCUACAUUACCCGUAUAAAAUGUAUGUAAUCUUAAUUGGCACUUAAAUGUUGGAAAUAUUAUCAUAAAAUACAUUCUCGUUUAUUAUGUCAUUUUUCUCUUUUCUCUCUCCCCCACCUUAUUGCCGAUCGCCAUCCUGGAUGGUGCAUGGUGCCCCCCCCCCCCCCCAACCAACACCACUAAUGCGUGUUCAAGUCAAAAUCUUCCACCAUCUUGCUUGCUUAGAUGCAUUUUAGAAAUUCCAUCUUUCCAGCGAAAAAAAGGGAUGCGAAGCCUUCUCAAUUUAAAAAAAAAAAGACUCUAGUCAACAUUCAACCUUGGAGUGCUUCGAGUUCUUCCCUUGGUUUUCCUCGAAGGUGCGUGAAUGAGAGGUGAUCACGUACUCGUAGGGUCACACGUGAUGGUAUACCUAUCUCUGCAGGUGAAACGCUUCAAUUAUAAUUAAGACGUGACUAGAGCUCGGCAUUUAUCAUUUUAUUAAAGACUUAAUUUUUAAGUGAUGCGAUGGACAAAAUUAAUCACAGUUUGAGAAUUCCCAGAAAAUUUAAUUAUAAAUUUUUUUAACAAUUAACUAAUUCACCAAUUCAAUUAUAAACCUUUGUGGGUAUUUAUAUAUAGCUUAUUUUAUUAAUUAAAUAAACUUCACUUAAUAAAGACAUUCACUUAAUUUUUAAGAUAAAACAAUGGUAUUAAAGUAUACCUUAGUCCAUUUGCAAGAUCACAGUUUACAAUCUAUUUUAAUAAUUCAAUUUUAAUCAAAUGAAAUUGAAAAAGUAUAGAUGUCUCAGACAUCGACUUAUAAUAUUGACAGUUAAGAUAAAUGAAUCCUAUUACUUUUUUUGGUAUUAAUAAAUCCUAUCACUUCAGUUAACAUUAAGACUCAAUAAUUAAAAAAAAAAAAUCAGACGUGUGGUUAUUUAUAAUGUGAGUUAUCUAUUAUUAUAAUUAUUUAUUUUGUGCAUUUGAAAUCUACUCUUAAAUUUCCUAUAGAAUGAACAUAUGAGGUGAAGAAAAUAAAGCGAGUGUCUACUAACGCACCCUAAAUCAAAUCUACCAACACUAUGUUUUGUAAACACAAAUUGGGAGGUGAAGAAAAUUAUAGGGUGAAGAAAAUAAAGUUAUUUGGAACGGUUUGGAAAAUGAAAGUGAAGAUAAAUGAGUAUUUUUGUUUGAAAAGAGUGGGAAAAAGAACGUGAAUAAAGUGUGAAUGAGUAAAAGACAUUAUAAUCCAUUAGAAGAAAAAUGAAAAAAAAAAAAAAACAAAUGGAAAUAUCACAUAAAAGAAGGGUAAUGGGCCCCAGAGAAUGGCGGGCCUGGUCAGGCUUGUAGCCAAUUUUAGGCGUGGCACGAAUCACAGGCCAGGAAUUUUCGAGCCCGAAGAAAAGCUUGGACCCAAAAUGGACUAACUAGCCCAUCACAUUUACGUCAGGCUUUUGGGCUUCGGGUUGGGCUAGGCCCAAAAGGUAGUGAAUUUUUAUAAAAUUGAAAUUAAUUUGUUGAAUUGUAAAAUUUCAUUCUUUUCAUAUACGAUUAACAAAUCUCUAUUGAAAUUCUACAAAUAUAAGAACACAAAAGAACAAUUGAGAUUAGCCACUUUCAGGCUACAAAGUGCGAAGGCCAAAAGCCCGGUUAUCCUAAAAUAUACACAAUAAAGCUCGAAAAUCCUCCUUGGCCUAUCUGGGCUAAAAAUAUUCUGGAUGGUUGGCCGAGCCAAAUUUUUGGACUUCAAAUUUCACCCCAACCAAUCUGCACCUUCAUAUUCAGUGAUUUUCUCUGCUUUUCCACAAUUGAUCCAAAGCUUAUGUACUGCAGAUCUUUAACUAGUGUAUAGAAUUGCUACAUUAGAUUGAAAUAUAUUUAAGAUCAAUUAUAAAUAAGAAUUUAAAAUCUAGCAAUCAUAUAAAAUGAGAAAGUUAUGCUUGAAAUAUUGUAUGUUGCAAAUGUAUACAAAUGUUUGGUUAUAAUUAAAUUUGUCAUGGACUUCAAAAUUAUAUAAGUAACCUUCAGAUUCUUAAUAAAGCAAAGGUAAUUUCACAAACAAUUUAUCGAGUUCAAGUUUCGAGCUAAUUAUCUGUCAAAUAAGUUGAAUUAAUUAUGUAUAUUUAAUAGAUAACAUUGGGAUUAAAAUGAAAUAAAGGCAUUUUUCGUAAUUAACAUAUAAUUAGGUUGAAUGGACAUGAGCAUGUCCUUAAACUACUUCCUCUGAACUCUAGGACGUAAAAACAUCAAGGGUAUCCCCUCCUAGGCGAAGAAGAAAAACUUUCACCUAGGAACUUGGGGGCUGUCGGAGGGAAGGUAGACUCCCCAUCACUUCUUCGGAAGUAAUUAUCUCCAUAUAGGUAUAGUGGCCUCUCGCACGUAAGUGAGAUGGUAGAACCCGCAAGGGAUCCUGCUACAUCAACCUAUGCUACGCAUAGUGUCUUUCAAACAACUUCUUGAUCUAGUACUCUCGGUUGAAAGACAUUGUGUGUUAGUUGCUAAUAAGGUUGAAAUAAUGAUGUAUCUUUAAUAGAUAACGUUGGGAGUGAAAAUGAAAAAAAGACAUUUUCUUAAUUAACAUAUAAUCAGGUUGGGGCUUUGAUUUUCCCAAUUAUAAAAUCUCCGAUCCUUCAGCAACCCUACAUAAUGUUUCUUAGUAAGUUGCUACUCAAUACCUGCUUGCAUUCCAUUUAAAAUGAAGGCGUUUAAGGCUGUUUUUAGCCUUAAAAAAGUUCACCGUUUUUCUUUCUAUCUUUGUUGAAACUUUUUCUAAUCCAACCAUUGUGGACGCAUCAUUUUUCGCUCAUUUGAUUUUAAUACUAUAUUUUCAACUUAUUUAUGACUUUAUUAAGGUGUUUGGUGCCUUUUCUAUUAUUUAUACUUUUAUAUUUUAUAUUAUUAAAAUACUUCUACUCUGUAACCAGGACCAAGAUCCCAGCCCGAGACUUUUUGGGCCCGAAAGUUGAACCGGAUAAAUCUGGGUUUUUGCUUACCCCCAGCGAUGACGAGAAGAGGUUCGGCGUAUUUGAAGACCUAUAAUAACUUGAACAACUCUCUGCUUUGUAAGAAGUUAAUGUAUAGACUAUAGACUUUCAUUUAUUAUUUUCAUAUGUUUCGAAGAAGGGGGGGGGGGGGGGGUAAAUGAAACUAUUUCUAAUUUUAUGACGGCAUGAAAAAUAUUAGUAUAGAUAUUUCUGGAUUAAUCAAGUCAAAGAAAUCUUCCUCUUCAAAGAUUAUGUCCCAAAACACAUAAAUCAUCUAAUUAAAAUUGAGAGCAAUAAAUAAAUAGGGUACUUCAUUUAUUUAAGGGGCAAUCAUCAAAUCACAAUCACCGUGAAAUCAAACUAAGGCCCAACAAAAUCAGUCCAACUCCAAUCCAAUAAGCCCAGCAAGAACAUAGAAAUCUGCCCCUAAUCCUGCUACAUGCCAUCCCAUUUAACUUGUCACUUGCUGAAGCAAGCAGCAUCACGUCCAACUGUGGCCUUGACUUCUUCCUUAACAGCGACCUUCUCUUCCAUCUCAGCAAGCUUCAUCGCAUUCGUUUUCGCACCAACGUUUGCUUCUGUCUUCACAGUCUCUUCCUUCUUCGGAGUCAUGAUCGAUUCAGUCUUUGAAGCCUCGCUGCACGUCGGGCUCUCGUAGCUUCUGGAUCAGCGGGUUUCUCCUCUCCAUCUUCCCUUCUGUUUUAUGUAUCUUUCUGCUGCUGGAUUUGAACAGUCGAUUUGAAAUGCGCAUGACGGUUUUCCCACUCGAGAACCGUGAUUCAAGAAAAGCUGACGGGCUCUUGCGGUUUCCAAAGGGGCAAUUGAAUUAGUUUCAUUUCGAUGGGUCUAUUUUUGACGUUCGAGAACGGCAAAGAACAGCACAAUUUAGACUUUGCUCAUUAUCAUUCGGACGUUUUGCAUGCCGAAAGCUUUGGCCGUCGUGAGAACUCACUUUGAGAAUUACGCCAGCAACAUGCAGAAAAGAAAAAAAAUCAACCAACUAUCAUAAUUAAUGGCAAGUUGAUAUGGAUUUGAAGUAUAAGUUACAACAUUUCUCAAAAAAAAAAAAAAUUGUGAGAAGAAGAAGGUAGUUUUUCAAAUUAUGUCAUCAUAUAACGUGCAGUCGCUAAGUUUCAUUCGGAAUUCAAGUUGGGCACCAUUACUGUUUCACUGAAACGAUAUAAUUAAAAUCUUGAACAUUUUGGUUUGAUAUGAUUGAGUCCUUUCAAUGAUGAUCUGCCCAGUUUUACCGACGUCGCACGCCGAGAAUCCUAUGCGGUGCUUUCUUCGCAUUUUCUUUUAUCGAAUAAGACGGUUAUAUUGAGCCAUGUUAUAAAAAAGUAAAAGGUAGAAUUUAAAACCGAAAGAAAAUUCAAACACAACACAGAAAAGAAAAUACCCGAAAGUUAAAGAAAUAAGAGAGAGAAAGAGAGAGAGUGGUACCGAUUUGGAUUCUUUAGUGGUGGUGGUCAACGACCCUUGCAAAGCGUGAUGGUGGCUAGCAGUUAAGGCUUCUCCGGUAAUAUUUCUGGUUCUCUCUCUCUUUUUUAAAGAAAAAAAAUAGAAAUAUGUUUGUGUAUAUUAAUUAAUUUUUCUACUCCAUUAGCUUUCACAUGGUAGUUUACCACAAGGAAAGUUGUGACACUAAAGAACUUGUUGCCACCACCACCCCCUUGGCCAUCGAGAAUUCAAGAUUGGUUGUUCCGAUCGAAUAUCUUGAAUUCGACGUGGGCCAACCCUUUGAAUAUCUCAUCUAAGCCAUGAAUAAUUACUAUUGUCCAUUUUCUCUUCUCCAUUGACAUACGGGAAGAAUGGUACCUUGAUCGAAUUAUAAAGUAAAUUAAGGCUUUUCAAAUACUCCUAUCCCUAUCAAUCAAUUCAUCGAUUUUGACCUAUGUGAAUUCAACAUUUCCAUCCACUCAAUCGCUAGGAAUGAGAAGUUAUUAGUACCAAUUUGCAGAUUUAAUUUCAUAGGAGUAUGGAUAUGCAUAUCACACGAGUUAUACUCUCAAUAUCUACAUGUGCAUAUCACGCGGGCGUUCACGAAAUGUGCUUCAUUGAGUCUCGUCCACUGAUUUCGAUAGGGACUGAUGAAGCUACUGGCGGACAAUGCCUCGAACGUGAUGAAGGAGCAGAAGCUCGAGAGCUACUUCGGCCGGAGGAUCGCCGUCGAUGCCAGCAUGAGCAUCAAUCAGUUCCUCGUUAAGUUGCUUCUUUAUGGAUUGAUGCCUGCGAUUGCGCGUUUCGGUUUGUCGGUGGGGAUUUGGAUUUUGAGUGUUGGGGUUUUUUGGUUCUUUUGAUUGGCGGAUUAGGUUGUGGUUGGGAGGAAGGGGACUCAGAUGCUCACCAACGAGGCUGGUGAAGUCACCAGGUACACUGGCAUCGUAAUACUCCAUGGAAAUGAAAAUCCACUUUGCUCGAGUUUCGUAGAGUUUAUGGCUGAAUUGUUGACUAGCCUUCUGUUUUGAUGCUUCAGAUGUUAUCUCUUGGACUCGGUUUUAUGUAUAUGAGAUUGAUUUUGAGCUGCCUUUCAAUUUGUUUUCCCAUGUAGUCAUCUGCAAGGCAUGUUGUACCGGACAAUUAGGCUGUUGGAGGCGGGCAUAGAGCCUGUGUAAACUUUUUUUCUUUACCUCCUGUGUUUUCAUUGGGAUAGAAUGCUAGAAGAAUGAAGCUUGUGCUUCUCUGAAUUAUGUUUUGCUGUUGUUAUGAUAGCUACGUAUUUGAUGGUCAACCUCCUGAUUUGAAGAAGCAAGAGCGGGCAAAACGGUACUUUAUUAUUAUGCAGACUUUUCUUUUCUUUUUCUUUUUUUCUUUUUUUGGAAUUAUCUAUAAAUACGUUUAGUUUCCUUAAGUGAGUCUCUGAUCAGUUUUUCGAAGACAGCAGAUGCCUUUGAGUUGGCAGUAGCCAUUGCUGUAUACGCAUCUCUCUCUCUCUCUCUCUCACGCCCACAUAUAAGCACACAGAAACACAGGAUACAGAAAGGCUUGGUGAGCUCUGUAUUUAUUACCUGCAGUCUCAGAACAAGGAAGACAGAGAAAUUCAGUAAAAGAACUGUGAAGGUUGGUCCCGUUUUGGUUUCCUUAUGGUGCAAUAUUUUUGUCCUAUUUGAUGUGAAGUUUGAUUUUGUCUCUGUUUUCCAGAAAAACCUAUCUGCAUAGCUAACUGGAUAUGUGUGUGCUUGUGCUACAUGGCUUUGAUACCCUUGCAGGUGACACAACAGCAUAAUGAAGGCUGCAAAAAACUAUUAAGACUUAUGGGUGUCCCAGUAGUUGAGGUUACAUGUCUGUCUAGAAAGUUUAUUCAUUAUUAUUUCUAACAAAAAGUUUAGAUACCAGAUUCUGUUUUUGUAUGUUAGGCUCCUUCAGGAGCAGAGGCACAGUGUGCUGCACUUUGCAAAGCUGGAAAGGCAAGUAUCCUCCUGUUUGAUCGUCUUCUGAUUUAGGAUAGUUCAUUGUUUUUCCAUGAUUACCAAUCGUUUAACUCUUUGUAAAUUACCAUUUUAUUUCCUUGAUUUGAUUUCCUUUUCACUCACACAUAUGCUUGUUCACUAUCAUUGCUCAAUUUUUGUGUGUUAACCAGAACUCUUUUAUAAUGAAUGGUGCUUUAGCUGUAAUUUUUGUUUUUCAGGUUUAUGCAGUUGCUUCUGAAGAUGUGGAUUCCCUUACUUUUGGAGCUCCUAUAUUUCUUUGCCAUUCGAUGGAUCCCAGCUCAAGAAAAGUUCAAGUCAUGGAAUUUGAAAUUUCCAAGGUACUUAGAAAAGUUUAUUCGUUGUGUUUGCUUAAAUUUUUUUUUCUCACUUUCAUGACUUUUAGAUCUUGGAGGAGAUGAAUCUGGAUAUGGAUCAAUUCAUUGACCUGUGCAUCCUCUCUGGAUGUGAUUAUUGUGAAAGCAUUCGAGGUAGACGUGAUAUUGUUGCAGUGCUCUGUUAACUGUUUUAUGCUAUCGCAUAUCAUUUGUCCCUCUUGUAUUUUUUAGCUUGAUGAUUUCAGUGGUUUUACUUUGGAAUGAAUUUAUCAGGUAUUGGAGGGCUGAGUGCUCUUAAGCUUAUAUGUCAACAUGGUUCCAUAGAAAACAUACUAGAGAACAUAAAUAAGAAGAGGUGCUUCUUGUGCUCUUAUCUCGUCCCCUGACUUGUAAGCAAAAUUAGGCAGCAAAGUUUCUCACUGUGAUAGUCUUGGCUGCUGAAUUCCUUGACUUCAAAGAAUUAUCUCUCAAACUCAGCCGGCGUGGAAAAAUUUCGUCAACAGUUUGAAACUGAAAGAUCAUUUGCCACCAAUAGAUUUGGGCUGGCAAUCAGUGCAUUGGCCGUGCUACUUCGUGUGUUGAUUUACUAUAAUACUUUUAUCUAUUCGGAUGCCUGCUUUGUCUGUUCCUUCAUGUCACUUGAGCAAAUUCAUAUGGUUUCUCUAUCCUUAAGACCCAGAGGUUCUUUGCAUUACUUGAAGUCUUAAUUCAGUUCGGUUAUCCUUCUUAGGGAAAUGUUUGCUUGUUUUAUGUAUAGGCAUCAGAUACCAGAUAAUUGGCCCUACAGCGAAGCUCGACUGCUUUUCAAGGAACCAAUAGUUUCUACGGAAGAACAACCUGAGAUAAAAUGGACUGCUCCAAACGAGGAGGUGGGCCAUUUUCACGUUGAGAUUUACUUGCAACGGUUCACUUUCUGAAUUUUUGACUCGUUUCCUAACUGAUUGUUAUUUCCCUUUCAAGGGCUUAAUUUCCUUUCUCAUGAAUGAGAAUGGGUUCAACAUUGACAGAGUGACGAAGGUAUGGCUUUUAUAUUCAGUAAUGUGUUGGCCAGUUGUCUACUGGAGGAAGUUGCUUCUUUUCCUCUGAAGGAGAGAGCAUACAUGUUUUCAAUGUUGUUUUACCAUGUGUAUCGGCAAUAGAGAAGAUCNNNNNNNNNNNNNNNNNNNNNNNNNNNNNNNNNNNNNNNNNNNNNNNNNNNNNNNNNNNNNNNNNNNNNNNNNNNNNNNNNNNNNNNNNNNNNNNNNNNNAAAUGAAAGUGACUUCCAAAAUGCACUUUUCUAUCCGAUGAUUCUUUCGUUUACUCUGUACAGAAUAGAAUCCUUCUUUAAGCCAGCUAAGAAUAUCUAUACCUCCUAAGAGGAAGGAAUGAACUCAAUCCCCAGCAGUUCUUUAAUAAGAGAAAAGAAGAAACGAACAGUCUAGAUGAGUCUUUUUUUGAAAGCGUAAUAUUAUUUAUGUAAACAUAGCCAUAGCCUCUGCUUUGCCUAUAGUAAUAUUACAUAUUCAAAUGAUUGCUAAAGUUCCCAAUGCUCCGCAAGACGUGUCCCAUCAAAGUAAAUUUGAAUUCUAAGGAGAAUGUGCAUGCAAAUGCCUUUCUCACUCGGACCUUGUGAUAACUUCUACUCCCCUGGAACAAAAAGGAAAUAUUGUUAGCACCGGGCAUUAUCAUAUGCAAAAUCACGAAAAUGACAAAUGAAUCUUCAAUUGACAUCUCUAUGGUAAUUAAUUAGGGAUAAGUCGAUCUCCAAUGACAAUGAUAAUGAUGAUUGUAGAUAAAACGGUCGUCAUCAAAUCAAUUCCCCUAAAAAAAGAACAAAACUCACUUGGAGAAGUUAUUUGACAAACAUGCAUCUUAUAGGUGAUCCUUUUGCACCAGGCAAUCUCAAAGGCAGAAAUAGACUUUAUACAAUCUUAUAGGUACAUCUUCGAGUUUCAGGCUCUCAACAAUAAUAAUUUCCUAUAGCUUUACUAUAGUGUAUGUUCCUUGAGCCUAGACUUCCUAUGAGAAUGCAACGAUGUGAAAUUUGGGAAAAAUCACCAACACUAUUUAAGCCCAAGAUGACAAUUCAACAAUGAAACAUGUUUAUUCUUAACUUUGAUGAGGAAAUUUGUCAUUCAUCAAAUCAAUUUCUUACCUAGCUGGCAAGGAAGAUAAGGUCGGAUGGCAUCAAAUCAUCAUAUGCAGCAACAUACAAGUAAUCAAUUUAUGCAUUGAAUAGCACAGACUGUGUCAUGCAAGAUUGCAUCUCAAUCUACAAGUGUAGAACAAGAAAGAAAUUAGUUGAUCAAGUUGCACUAUUUCUCAAGGGUAGGUUUAGAAAAAAAAAUGAACCUGUGUAGUGCUCAAAAGCCUAAUAGUGUCACGCUUCGAUCCUCGAGCACGUGUCCAUUCCUCGGUGGUCGAUUAAAUUGGGAUAUCUCAAGACGCGUCAUCGACCCAUUCAUUUUAAUAUGCAUGUGGAAGCGAACUAUUACCCCUAACAACAACUAAUAUGGGAUAGAAAAGCGGGACAACAAAUUUUAAAUCAAUCAACAUAGCUUUUAUAAACAAUCUGGUUUACAAACAGAAGCCAACUUUAGGGUCUAAGUACAUGAGGUCUAUCUCUAAAAAGAACUUCUGAGCCACCCAUGCUCCUGACCCUUCCGUCUCAAGCACUGGGUUCUUUACACUAGGGACCUGAAAAGUGAAGCCCAUGACAGGGUGAGACAAUGUCUCAGCAAGUUUACCUUCUAAACCCCGACUAGGAAGGAAAUGCGCCUAAAGGCCAUCUAUGCACACACAAGACAGAUGACUUACCUUGCCUUAAUUCAUUCCUACAAGUCAGUACGGUUCAUAUACUCAACCAAUCAACUCAAUUCAAUUCAAACCAACCCAUUGAUCAAUCAAUCCACUCAAAUCAAUACCAUUAGUACUAUUGAUCAAUUCGAUAUGACCACUGCUCACAUCAGCUGACAUAGAUAGUAUUUGCUCUCACAAGCUGCAAUAUAUGGUCAUAGCUCUCACAAGCUGAUAUAGAUAGAUAGUAACUCGCCCAAGUUGAUAUAUAUAUAGAUCGUGCUCUCACAAACUGAUAAAAAGAUCAUAGCUCACACAAGCUGAUAUAUGUAUAUAUAGAUUGUGCUCCCAUAAGUUGAUAAAACAAUCAUAGCACACACAAGCUGAUAAUGUAUACUGUUCUCACAAGCUGACAUAUCAAGCUCAUAAGCUGAUAUAGUAUAUUGCUCUCACAAGCUGACGAUAAAUAUGCUCGCACAAGCUGAUAAUAUAUGCUUUCACAAGCUGAUAAUUCACUGUGUUAAAAAUACCCAAUAAAAAUAAUUAUGUGUUGGUACACAGUUAGCCUAAGCCAAAAACGCAAUAUCUUGCUUUUCAAAAAUCUCACUAUUUAAUAUAGUCCAUAAACACAUUUUUGGCAUUGUAAACCGAUGCCUGGUAUUUUCUAAUUAAAAUGCCAAAAUCACACAAUUUGGGAUAAAUAUCAAAAACUACACUUUCCACUCAAUUUGCACAAAUUAGCACUCAAUUAAAUAAACCAAACCUACCAUUGCAAUCGGCACGAAAUUCUGGUCACCGGCUAUCUCGAUAUAAUUUCCAGAAAAACUAAAUUAUUGUUUUUUGUUAUUUUGAAUUUCUUAUAUUAGAAUCCAAAUAUUAUUUAUAUUGAAAUAUAAUUUUAAUUUUUUAAUUAAUGUUAUUUGAGAAAAAAAUUCUAUUAUGGAUAUUAGAAAUCCUAUCCGCCUUUAUUUUACCUCCCCCUUAGAAUAAUUUUAUUUAAUCUAUAUUUCUUUUAUAUCCAAUUUUAUCCUAUCAUAAGUAGACAACAAAUGCAGGAUGUGAUAUAUUUUAUCUUAUCUUAAAUUUUCUCCUCACCACCAAACAUAGGUUGAGACUAUAACGGAUAAGAUAAGAACACUUGCCACUCAAGGACCAAAAUCCAAGACAACUCAAGAACAGUUUUGUUAGCAAAAUGGAUUCAAGGUAGGAAGUAAUUACUUUCCACUAUAGAUGAAGUUGUUGAAAAUGAGGAUAUUAAUGUUUGAAACUGCAAGAUUCCCCAAGCCCUCCAACGAGUGUGAACACGAAAUUCUCUUGAAAUGUUGGGAGGUUUUUACCACCGUCUGCGCACCAAAUCAAAUAAAAAAUAAGAUGUCUAUUUGCAUAGUUUUCCUAAGUACCUCAAUAGUAGAAACUUCCCCUAUCAAACCCCUGUAACAAAACUCUAUAUCCAGAUCUGAACAGGGAGAGGUAAUUGUGCAAACAUAUGGUGUGCAAUUUAGAAUUACCAGUAAGUGUUCUGGUGCGGAACUUGGUGCUGCCAUAUUCCAGCCACUAAUGGGGCUCUAAAGGCGAUGGCAAAGGCAGAGGCAGCGGCAACACAUCGAAAAAUGCAACGGAUCUAAGCUCGCCAGAUGCAGAUGACGAUUUAGAGCCGCCAACGAGACUCCUAGAUACUAUGGUGGAGUGGAGGCGGCAUUUGAGGUGUCACCCCAAAACUCUCCAUUACCAAAAAUUUCCUGCUUCUUUAAAGAUUCCAAGUGAUUGAGACCUUGCAUGCUUUUUAGCUUACGACAAUACUUUACUUCGAGCUCCCAUAGCUUUUUCAAUUUUGAUAGGUCUGACAUCCUCUCCAAGGAAGGGCAAUAGUCGACUGAUAAGGAGAAAAGGGAUCCCAAUUCUUCAAAGCCACGAAUCUCGACUAAUGAAAGGCAAAAUCCUAGGCUUACCUUGCAUAGAUUCUUCAUGCGUGAUAGAUCAAGUACUUCCGGAAGGAACUCACAAUAAGCCAUCUCUAAUAAUCUCAAUCUUUUCAUUGCUAGCUGCAACGGUGUGUCCAGUUUUCUAAGCUCACAGAGCUCCAUACGGAGUUCCUCCGACUCCGCAUUAAAUAGACUAGAGAAUUCUAGCGAACAUCCAUAAAAUGUCAAGAUUGAUAAGUUUUUCAAAUUGGAAAAAUCCGGUGAUCGUGUGGUCGCCAGAUCUUGAAGUUGUAACUCUCUUAAACUAGAUGGAAGCUGGGGGAGGCAUUGCACAUUUUUGCAGCACAAUUUUAGUGUUUUAAGCUGAGAUAGGGUACUGAUGCUAGUGGGUAGAGUCGUGACAAGUGUUGCCUGUUGAGAUAGGGCACCUAUUCUAGUGGGAAGAGGGAGAGCUAUCCCGUAUUCUUUAAGAGCAUGACGCUCUAUUUCCUGCUCAUAUUCCUCACGAGCACGGUUUUGCUCCUGCCAAUAUUCCUCCGGCUCAUAUCUAUGCUCCUCCGCAGAGGAACACCAACAAUUUUUAGGGCCCCAUCUCAGACAAGUCAAAUUUGGGGGAAGCUCCGGCAAUUGUUUAAGUUUGGGACUUUUUUCUAGCUUAAGUGUUUGGAGAUUAGAGAGGUGACUCAUUGUGACGGGUAAUCUAGAUAUACAUGUGUUCGAUAAAUCUAGGAUCCUCAAACGAGACAGUCUCCCAAUUUCUUCAAGAAUUUCACCAGUCAAGUUGCAACAUCCUCGAGCAUCUAACUCUUCAAGCUUCUCCACCAGCCCAAUCGCACUUGGUAAUCUUGUAAUCUCUCUUAUGCCGCUUAUCCUUAGUAUUUUCAAUUGCUUGAGAUUGCCGAUUGAAUCGGGUAGGUGACCAAUACUUGUCAAUGACAAAUCCAACUCGACUAAAGAUUGUAAUUUGCCAACCGAAUGUGGAAGUUCCUCUAUGUAUAUACACCUAGAUAAAUUCAACCGCGUAAGUUUUGCCAGCCCUCCGAUCGAGUAUGGCAAUUUUAAGGAUGGUUGUUUGCUGAUCACUGACCUUUUGAAAUUUUCUUUUAGGGGAGAUAUAAUAAAAUCUGUCAAAGCUUGUAGACAUCCUAUUUCUUCGGGCAACUCUCGAAGAGAUUCACAUCCAUCCAAGUUCAAAAUAGUUAGGACCUUUAAUUUAACAAUGGAAUGGUCAAUUUCAAUUAAAUUGCUACAACCUUUAAGAACCAAUCUCUCUAGGUACACCCAUGUAGAUAAAUCAGGUGUUCUCUUUAAGUAUACACAGUAGCUAAGAUCUAGUACUUUUAGUUUCCUAGCCUCCUGCAAAACAAUUUGAUAAAAUAUAUAUUAAGAAACAACCUGUAGGGGAAAAAACAAGACAAAAGAAAUGAUAUGCUUAUGCUAGGAGCAAGACUCGUAUCAUACUCUGAUUUGGUCCCAACCAAUCCAUUCCUCUGAAAUACAGCUGAGUGAAAGGUUAAGAACAAUUAAAUUAGCCGGAUGAAAGUUCGUUGUCUCAAACUUGGAAUUGCUGUGAUGUAAAGAAAGCCAUCUUAAAUUGGAGAGAAGAUUAUUGAAGUCUCCAACAAGGGACACCUCUUCCCCUUGAAAGAACCUCAGGUAUCGUAAAUCGGCAAAUCCAUCAUGCGUCAGAAUGUCUUGACGAAAGAAAGGAUAUUGAGGUCCCGUUGACAGUGCUUCUAUUUUCCUACUUUCCUGACAAUGGUCAGACCAAAAAGUCCACAUGUGUAAGUAAAAAGCAAACAAUUUCAAGCGCCAAACGAUUAUUUUUCCUUUUAUAAGAAUAGUCUACCACAAUUUACAGUAAAGUAAAUUGUCGUUCCCUUUUUUACCUCUUUCAACUUUAGAAUGUCUAGCGCUUCCUCACGGUUCCACACUCUGCUACGUUCGCUGGGAUGUUUGAAAUUCUCUUGACGGAUGAUUUCCCUUCCAAGGUCCCGCACUUGAUCAUGCAUCCAAAAAGUAUUGUUGUCCUUGGUUUUUAUCAAGGACAUGAGAAAGAGGACUUCAAGGGCAUCGUGUGGGUGGUAUCCACAGUCAUCCCACAUGUACAAAGGGUAUGUUUUGUCCUGAUCGACAAAAAAACAAGCUAUAUCCAGAAAUACUUGCUUUUGUGCAUGAUCUAACCUUUCAUAAGAUAUCAUCAAUUUUCUUUGGACUCCCAUGGAAGGGGCUUCUUUUAGCUUCUUCAAUGUGUCUUCCCAUAUUGCUUUGGAUUUACCAUUAAGAGAUGAACCUGUAAUCUCAAGAGCUAAAGGAAGCUUUCCCAAAGUAGAGACUACUUUUUUUGAAAGGGAGAUAUAAUGAUCUGGUGGAGAGUCUCUUCUAAAGGCAUGCCUACUAAAAAGCUUAAGAGCAUGAUCAAAUUCCAUUGCACAUACUUCAUAAGUUGAAGCAUUUGUAGACUUUUUAAUAGGGCUUUACUGUAGCUCUCAUCAAUCAUUAGACACUCUGGUCCCUAGUAGUUAUGANNNNNNNNNNNNNNNNNNNNNNNNNNNNNNNNNNNNNNNNNNNNNNNNNNNNNNNNNNNNNNNNNNNNNNNNNNNNNNNNNNNNNNNNNNNNNNNNNNNNNNNNNNNNNNNNNNNNNNNNNNNNNNNNNNNNNNNNNNNNNNNNNNNNNNNNNNNNNNNNNNNNNNNNNNNNNNNNNNNNNNNNNNNNNNNNNNNNNNNNNNNNNNNNNNNNNNNNNNNNNNNNNNNNNNNNNNNNNNNNNNNNNNNNNNNNNNNNNNNNNNNNNNNNNNNNNNNNNNNNNNNNNNNNNNNNNNNNNNNNNNNNNNNNNNNNNNNNNNNNNNNNNNNNNNNNNNNNNNNNNNNNNNNNNNNNNNNNNNNNNNNNNNNNNNNNNNNNNNNNNNNNNNNNNNNNNNNNNNNNNNNNNNNNNNNNNNNNNNNNNNNNNNNNNNNNNNNNNNNNNNNNNNNNNNNNNNNNNNNNNNNNNNNNNNNNNNNNNNNNNNNNNNNNNNNNNNNNNNNNNNNNNNNNNNNNNNNNNUAGGGAUAAAUUUAUAUUGCAAACUACUCCCUAAGUGACUCAAUUCCCCUUACAAUUUGCAGAAAUUACGUAAAAUAAUUCAGAUGCCAAAACAAUCCAGAUUUUUCCCAAUCUAUCUCCGCUCCCCCAAUAUUAGUUACCACACCAUUGGCCCCCGCCCUUGGCAUGCCGCCAUUAAUAUCACUCACCUCCCCAACCCAAGCCGUCACCGUGGCGUUCUAUUGUCGUAGCCCGUCACGCCCCUAUUGACCCACCCAUCUCGGACUUGUCUCGAUCCUCCACAUCAUGUGGGUCCUCGCCUUGUAAUUGCCAAGGAUGGUAUCACUGGCCUUAGGCAACUCCAGAUUUGGGGUCAUCCAAGGUCGGCGUUGCCAGAUAUUGGCUUGAUCACGUCAGAAUUGGCGUCCCGAGCCCAUAUCCGACUCAAGACAGUGAGUGGAAGGGAGAAAUGGUGGGUGCCAAAUGGCUCAACCGUAGCUUUUGGUUGCUUAGCUAGGCGAGGUCAGCCUCGCCAAAAUCUAGUGAAGCCGAGCUCACCUAGCCACCAACGAGGCUUGACCUCGUUGGACCACUACGAGGCCGGUGUCACUCGCCCAAGGCGAGGCUGAUCUUGUGGUGGCCCGGCGUUUCCUGUGGCUAAGUGAACUCGGCUUUGCAAAUCUAGGCAAGGCUCGGUCUAACUGGGUCACCAUGAGGUUAGUGUCGCCUAGCCAUUACGAGGCCAACCUUGUUGGGGGCCAGUGGCACUUCAACAAGGUCAUUAGCCCUCGUCUGGCCGGUUGUCAGCUAUGGCCGAGGUAGAUGACCGACUAAAGGAAGAAGAAGUGAAAAAAAGAAAAGAAAAGUGUAAUAAAAUUAUUAAAACAUUAAAAAAAAUUCUAAGUCACAAAAGAAUUUGAGGGUUGUACCAAAAUAGUUUCUAUUCUGGGAAUAUAAAUUUUGGAUAGUUAUCAAAUGUCUUCAAAUACUCAAAUACUCGUUUAGGAAACGGAAUAAAAAAAUAAUAACGUUUUAGCAUAAAUUAUUACCAAGAACAUAAUGGUUACCAAACAGGCCCUCAAUGUUUGUGGCUACUGUGUCAGAGAUAGUGUGAUAGGAGAAACAAAAUCAGGAUGAGUAGGUGCGCUACCAUUGUAGUAGCACCAUCAAUCAAAGCUAUCACGGCAAUAGAGUCGAUCAGCCACUAUGGUCGAUGGUAAUAACGGUAAUGGCCACAACCACAAUUUACACUAUCGAGGAUCGGCAAGAUGAAUAAUUUUACCAAUUAUACCGCAAUUAAAAUGACUAGGGAGGAAAAGCAAAUCUAUAGAUGAUAGUUGAAAUGUUUAAGACAUUUUACCUUCCAUCUUUCUUCAAGUUCCAUCCCUUUAUCUCGUCCACCUCAAUAAGAGCCUUUUUCCAUGAUUCAACUUCAGUGCAAAACUUUUUUUGAUACUUCGAUAGAGCUUUGCGGUACAAGUUUGUUUUGAGCAUGACAUCGUCAGGCUCCACAUCCAAGAAAAUGGGUAAAAUCUCUUUAUUCUCAUUCGAUUUGGAGGUACACUCGACCAUAUAUGCGAGCUCUCGGAGGCACCAGUGACUCGAAGCAUAAUUCUUGGAAAAAAUGGGAAUGUAAAUCUUGGAGUUCUCGAUUGCUUGUAGAAGUUCACAGCCAAUUCUUUUACCGACAUGGAGGGAUUCAUUGUCCCUAAAGACAAGGAUCCCAGCCUCAACCAUGCCAUAGUAAAGAAAAUCAGUGAAUCCAUAACGGGUGUCUGCUCCUCGAAAACUUAGGAAAACCUCGGGGGAAGGCCCUGAUGAUGCCUGUGAGUUCGUCUCUUUUGUUAGCAUUUCACGCUUCUCUAAGGUCCCACUGGCACGGAUGCAGAGGUAUAUGACGAGACCAAUGGAGAGCGCAAUGAAGCUGAGGAUUCCGAUGAGGACGUAGAGCUUGAGGCUGACGCAGGGAGUCUUGGAGGUGAGCUCGUGAGGGAGAGAGCCGUCAAGAGAUCGAUGUUCGCCAUAAACUGCCAUGUUUCUAGCAGAGGAGCAAGAGAGUGGAAAAGGCUAAGGGAGUACGCGAAUGCGUGAGAAUUGAAGAAUGAGAGCUCUGCGCAGAGAGAGACAGAGAGAGCAGUGCAGGACCUUAUAAUGGAUACAAAGGAAAAGGAAAGAGAGUGAAAAAUCUGCUAUGUCAUUGUUAAAAGUCUCAUCUAGCAAUUUUAUUAUGAAAGUGCCAUUGUGUUGGAUGAGCGACUUUUGUUUCUGUUGUAUAAAUGGUGGUGAUAAAUUGAUAAUUGGUGUUGUUGAUGGCAUUUUUGACAUUUCGAGAUAGCCGUGGGGGCGAAUGGGGAGGAGUCUUCUUGUUUGAGGCCUAAUUGACUGAACUAAGAGGAGACAAGGAGAAGGUGAGAUUCACAUUGUAUUAUAUGGUUUUUGGGAUGAGACUGUAUAUCAUCAGAAAGUUUGGUCUUUGACAGAGUAGAAUCGUUAAUUGAAUUGGUCGAUCAAUAAGUGUAUUGUGUCAAAGUUAAGGAAUCUAUGGUAGAGGGAAUUUUUUUUAGAAAUAAAAAUAGGAAGAAAACAAAUCCAUUUUUGAGAUGAUAAAACUGCAAUAGAGAAUAUAAAUAUUCCCUAAAAGCAUUUUAAUAAAUUUCAGCCAACCACAAUAUUUUUGGAACAUUUAUAGCAAAACAAUCAUAAUUCUUUUGCUUCAUUUUUCUUUGAGAGAUGGACCGUGCAAUUUUUGAGAGUUUAAACCAUGGAAAUUUUUUUGGAGAGAAAGAUAUUGCUUUACCUUAUUUAUUCUAAAUCAUGCCGACACCCAUUCUAAAAUUAAGGAACUCAUUAGAUUUCAAACCCAUCCAUUCAAUAAUAAAACGCAACUAGUACUAUAUGUGUGUGUAUAUAUAAACCCCAAAUAAUGUGAAAGGCCUUAUUUAUAUAUAUAGAUUGGAUAAACCCCUAGUAAUGUGAAAGGCCUACUAAGUAUUAAACGGUUCAUGCACAAGUCGAUUGUCGACUGUGCAAUCUUAGAAUUGUAGCUAUGCUCCUAUUUUGGUUCUUAAUAUAUAGACAAACAAGAUAGAAGUAAGUCCGCCGCGAAGCGGCGACCGGAGGUUCCCUGGGUUACCAAAAAAAAAAAAAAAAGAUAGAAGUAAGUAUUGUCAUAGUACUAUAUAAGAUUAACUUAAUUAGUUGAUAUAGCACAUCGAAGAUCUUAACUAUGGAUUAUCAAAUAAUAUUUAGUAUAUGGCUCUGCUUGGUUUUAAAAUGUCAUGAUAUCAUAGUGGUGCCAUUUCUUAUAUAGCAAGAAAAAUUUGGUUUAUGGCAAGAAGAAUUAAUUGUCAAUAUUUUUGGCAUUUGUACGAGUGAAAAUGAAGGUUUGAAUAAAGAGAUGGCAUGUGGCAUACAACCUUAUUUACGAAAUUCUUGUCCAUAAGUCUCGUUUAGAAGAGGGGUAAAAAAUUAGAACACAUUUGACGAGUCAUCCCAGAAGAUUUAUAGAAGUUUCCAUUAGCCAAUCAAUGGGUUGUAGUCCUAGGAGUUUCCAUGUCCCUUACACGUUUGAUAACAAAUUCAAGAUCAGAGAUUUACAGUCUUGAAAAUAGAGGAUAUAAAGUGAAAUUGGGAUACAAAAUGAAGAUUACUUUUGAACUUUUUCUUUAUUUUAAUUAUAUUAGAAAAAUUUUAAAAUCCAAUCAAACUUUGUAUCUACAUAUUCUCCAGAUUUGCGGCGUUGUUCAUCUAGAGACAAAAACCCUUAAGUAGAUGUUAAAUUACCCUUUUAUUACUAAAAUGUAUUUUAUGUGGCGAUCACAUAAUUGGCAUGGUGUAAUCAGUCAAUUUGAAUGGUGUAAUCAGUCAAUUUGAAUUGUCCGUGUAAUAUGCAUGUCGUUUUGAUGGAAAAAAUUUGAAGUACCUCUUCCCAAUUAAUUGUUACACGUGUUAGCAUCUAAGCAUGCGUCGAUCCGGGCCUUAAUCUUCCCCCAUGGCCCACUCUAAUUGCUCCCUCUCCUGAUGGAUCAUCCUCAGCUGUCCGAUCCGAAUACCUGCUUCUAAGCCAAACCUCGUCGCACCAUCAGCGGGGCCAAGAAAAGGAAAACGAGAAGAAAAGGCAUAAUGAAACGAGUGUGUCACUUCGACCAAAAAAAAAGAAAAAAGAAAAAAAGAGUGUCACCACCAAGGACCCCCCAACGACCAGAGAAAGCAAGUGAAGAGUCUUCCACCGAUCUUGCCGGCUUAGUUGCAUUAGGAGACAAGAGACCAGCAUUUAUGAUGAUGUAAUGAAUAAAACUAGUCAUGACAUGACGAAAAUAUGCAACUUUAUUUAUUUUUGUUUGUGACACAUGGUAUGAUUUUCAUAAUUUUUCUUAGGUGUGCUAAGAAAUCUAAAUGUCUGACAACACAACGUAAAUUCUUGUCCAUAAGUCUCAUUUAAAAGUUGGGUAAAAAAAUAGAACAUAUUUGACGAGUCAUCCCAUAAGAUUUAUAGAAGUUUCCAUUAGUCAAUCAAUGGGAUGUAAUCCUAUGAAUUUCCAUGUCCCUUACACGUUUGAUAACAAAUUCAAGAUCAGAAAUUUACAGUCUUGAAAAUAGAGGAUAUAAAGUGAAAUUGAGAUACAAAAUGAAGAUUAAUUUUUAAAUUUUCCUUUAUUUUAAUUAUAUUAAAAAAAAUUUAAAAAUCCAAUCAAACUUUGUAUCUACAUCAAAUACUACUUUGAAUUCUCCAGAUUUGCGGCGUUGUUCAUCUAGAGACAAAAACCCUUAAGUAGAUGCUAAAUUACCCUUUUAUUACUAAAAUGUAUUUUAUGCGGCGAUCACAAAAUUGGCAUGGUGUAAUCAGUCAAUUUGAAUUGUCCGUGUAAUAUACAUGUCGUUUUGACGGAAAAAAAUUGAAGUACCUCUUCCCAAUUAAUUGGUACACCUGUUAGCAUCUAGGCAUGCGUCGAUCCGGGCCUUCAUCUUCCCCCAUGGCCCACUCUAAUUGCUCCCGCUCCUGACGGAAUCAUCCUCAGCUGUCCGAUCCGAAUACCUGCUUCCAAGUCAAACCUCGUCGCACCAUCAGCGGGGCCCAGAAAAGGAAAACGAGAAGAAAAGGCAUAAUGAAACGAGCGUGUCACUUCGACCAAAAACAAAAAGAGUGUGUCACCAUCAAGGGCCCCUCAACGAUCAGAGAAAAAGCAAGUCAAGAGUCUUCCACCGAUCUGGCCGGCUUAGUCGCGCAUUCGGAGAGACCAGCCUUUAUGAUGACGUAAUGGAUAAAACUAGUGACAUGACGAUAAUAUGAAAUUUUAUUUUAUUUUAUUUUUUAUGACACACAGUAUGAUUUUCAUAAUUUUUCAUAGAUGUCCUAAGAAAUCUAAAUGUUCAACAACACAAUGUAAAUUCAAUUUAUAUCAAACUCUUCAAUUUGCAUUAGGAGACGAGAAAUAAGUGUCACCAUCAUUGAGAACCCCUCAACAACUAGAGAAAGCAAGUCAAGAGUCUUCCGUCAAUCUUGUCGGGCUAAUUUGCAUUAGGAGAUGAGAGACCAGCAUUUAUGAAAAUGAAUGGAUAAAACUGGUCAUAACAUAAUGAUAAUAUGGAACUUUUUUUUUUGUGACACACGGUAUGAGGUUUUCAUAAUUUUUCUUAGGUGUCCUAAGAAGUCUAGAUGCCUGACAACACAAUGUAAACUCAAUUUAUGCCAAACUCUUCAAUUUGUCUAUUGGCUCUAAAUAACUCUGAGCUGCAAUGGCUAAGAUGCGAAUUCUAUUUAAAACACCGUUACUAUUAAGAAAGACACAGGGAUAGCUUUUAAGCAAAGACACUUAUCUGUCAUUGGAAUUAAUGUAAUUGCUAAAUAAAAAAUAUUGUAUAAGUAUCAAAAACUUAACCUUACUUGGAAUUAAAUUUAUUUACUUAAAUUAAAAUUAUUAGAUGUAUUACAAUCUUAACCUCACUAUAUGAAGGAUUACGUGGCCAGUGUUACCAACAAAAACAGUUAAAAUAAUAUAAGAGAUUGAAAAUAGUUAUUCACAUUAUUACUUAGUUACAAACUAAUGUGACAAUUUUUUCAAUGCCUAACUAUGCUUGACCUUUUUCAAAUGAUCAUUCAUAGUAUAUAGAUCUACAUCCCAAACAAAUAUAGUAAGUAUGUGAUACCACACAUUAACAUAAAGAUGGCUCUAUAAAAGAUGCUAACAAUAUUCCGAAUAUUGUGAGAUUCGAUAAAUGACGGGUCAUAUUAGUGAUGAUUACACAAAAUGAAGUCAAAUAGUCUGGCAUCCCACUCAAAAUAAGAUGAUUGAGGUGAAAACAACUUGAUUUUGGAAAUUGAACUGUGAAACAACCUAGACAAUUAGAUUUAGCAAUUGAGUGAAUGUAGACUAUCGUGAACACCAAUACGUUAUUUAUUUAUAAAAUGGAUUUAAUUGCAAAAUUCUCAAUNNNNNNNNNNNNNNNNNNNNNNNNNNNNNNNNNNNNNNNNNNNNNNNNNNNNNNNNNNNNNNNNNNNNNNNNNNNNNNNNNNNNNNNNNNNNNNNNNNNNNNNNNNNNNNNNNNNNNNNNNNNNNNNNNNNNNNNNNNNNNNNNNNNNNNNNNNNNNNNNNNNNNNNNNNNNNNNNNNNNNNNNNNNNNNNNNNNNNNNNNNNNNNNNNNNNNNNNNNNNNNNNNNNNNNNNNNNNNNNNNNNNNNNNNNNNNNNNNNNNNNNNNNNNNNNNNNNNNNNNNNNNNNNNNNNNNNNNNNNNNNNNNNNNNNNNNNNNNNNNNNNNNNNNNNNNNNNNNNNNNNNNCACCCACUCAAAGAAAGACUGGUGAAGGAAGCAAGUUAAAGUCUUCCUCCAUCUUGCAUUGUGAGAUGAGGGACCCUUAUCAAAGAGUCUUCCUCAGACUUGGUUUACAAAAUUGUUCAAUAAAUUCUUGUCCAUUAGUCACGUUUAAAGGACAUGCCAAAAUGUUGAACGCGGUUUACAAGUCAUCCCGAACUUUUCCUAGAAGUUUCAUUUAUCAAUCAAUGGGUUAUCGUACUAGGAGCUUCCAUGUCACAUUUAUUUAAUUACAAAUUUUAAAUCAAAGAUUCAUAGCUCUAAAAAUAGAGAAUAUAAAGUGAAAUUGAAAUACAAAGUGAAGAUGAUUUUUGAGGUUUUUAAAAAUUCUGAUCAACUUUGUAUCUAUAUCAUGUACGACUCUUGAGUUCUUGACAUUUGUAGCAAUGUUCAUUUUCAGACAAAAAUCUUUAAUUAGAAGAUUAAACUAUCCCUCUACUAAGGAAUUUGAUAUUAUGUGUCAAUCACCAUGAUUGACAUGGUGUAAUCGAUCAAUCCAUGUUGCCCAUGCAAUAUGCAAGUCAUUCGAAUGGGCGUUAAAAUGUUUUUUUUUUUUUUUGGGUCUAAGGCACUAAAACGUUAAGAUAUUCACUUUGCAUUGGUUUAUCACACCACAUGAUAUAACUGUCACAUGAAAUACCUUUUGUUUUGCCAUAUAAUUUCUCUCCCUUUCUCUCUCCCCCAACCAUACUGCCAGUCAAUGUCACCAUCCUUGUUCCCAGUAGACGCUGUCAUUGCUCAAUCAAAAUCGACAACGCCCUCCACACUUAGCCCCACCUUUGUCUGCAUCUCUCUCUUCUUUGCCACGGCCUAACUCAAAAUUAGAGGCAUCUUGCUCAAAGCUACAAUGAUGCGUAUCAUCAUUUUUUUUUUCUUUUCCAUUGUGGACGAAGAGGAUUGUCAACCACUGUGCAAGGGCUUGCAACUCCUUGUGGCAGGUAGUGAGGGUUGCAACCCUCGCCGAGGCCCAUACUAGUCAUAGGCGAAGGAGGGUGUGAAGGCCCUCCUCAACCAUGAAAGCUUUGCCUAUGGCUACGAUCAAGGCAAGGGCUUGCCGGCCCUAUUAUAGGGUCGUUGGUCAUGAUUGAAAAAGAAAGAAAAAAAGAAGAAGAAAAGAAUAAGAAAAAGAAAAUUACAAAAAAAAUUAUUUUAACGAAAAAUUGUGAAAAAAAAGUCCAUGUAAGCGCCUACCAUGUCACAUAAGAAGUCCGGGGUCCACACCAAAGAUUCCCAACCAAAAAAAGCCAGGAGCACUAAAUUGAUAAAUUAUCAAAGACUUUGUUAUAAAAUUAGUUAAAUUGAAAUGUUUAAGGUAUGAAUUGACAUCUAUACAAUAAAUUUAAGAUUUUUUUUGGUAAUUUUCCUCACAUAAUAUGUAAUACCAUGAAAUUAACAUUCGUCUUCAAGUCUCCUUUGUCCCGCUGAGACCUUUUCUCUCCCAACCCCUCUCCUAUUUUGAAACUUUCUUCAUCUCUUCCACUUCUAGAGGGGAGGGAUUUGACCUAGAUCUCUCCCUCCCUUGAUAGUUGUUUUUCCUUCUUUUUUUCCUUUUGAUUCUUUCCUUACUCUCUCGAUCUAGUUUUAGAUUUAGGAGAUUUGCUCUACUAAUCUUAAAUUUGAAAGCUUUCUCUUCAAUCUAAUUCUAGAUUUUGGAGUUUUAAUGAACAAAAGAGGAAUGGAUUCAGCGGAUUGUACCUGCUCAUUUUUUUAGUCUGAAGAGGCCAAGUUGUAUUCCCGAAGCUUUGAGAAACCUUACGGAGCCUGAGACCAUGGAAAACACAACUAAGAAGAGAAUACUAGCCACUCAAGGUCCAAAUUUCCGAACAACUCAACAACAGUUUUGUUAGUAAAAUGGAUUCAACAUAGGAAGUAAUUACUUUCUACUGCCGUCGAAGUAAAGUGAGGAUAUUGCUGUUACGCACUGCAAGAUUCAACUCCAUAAGCCCUUCAACAAUUGUGAACAAAAACUUCCCUUGAAAUGUGGGGUUUUUACCAUCGUCUACACACCAAAUCAGAUCAAAACUAAGACGUCCAUUGACACAAUUUUCCAAUUAGCUCAACACUAAAAACUUCACCCUCUCUAGUAAUAAAACUACAUAUCCACCCUGAACAGGGAAAUAAAUAAUUGUGCAAUCAUAUGGCGUGCAAUUUAGAAUUACCAGUGUGAGUUCUGGCGUGAAACUAGGUGCUGCCAUAUUCCAAAUGUCAAUGGGGCUCCUAGAGGCGAUGGCGACGACAGAGGCAGCAGCGAUAUGUCCAAGAAUGUAGUAGAUUUGAGCUCGUCCAACAUGAAUGACGAAUUGAAGCCGCCGACGGGACUCCUGGAUACGAUGGCGGAGGCGGAGGUAGCGUUUCAGGUGUCACCCCCCAAACUCUCCAUUAUCAUAAAUUUCCCGCUUCUUUAAAGAUUCCAAGUGGUUGAGACCCUGCACAAUUUUUAGCUCACAACAAUAUCUUACUUUGAGCUCCCAUGGCAUUUUCAAUUUCGAAAGGUCCGAUAUCCUCUCCACGGAAGGGCAAUAAAUGACUGAUAGGGAGUAAAGGGAUCCCAAUUCUUCAAGGCCACAAGUCUCGACUAAUGAAAGGCAAUGUCGCAGACGUACCUUGUGUAGAUUCUUCAUGCCCAACGGAUUAAGUACAUCUGGAAAAAAACUCACAUACAUCCAUCUAUAAUAAUCUCAAUCAUUUCAUUUCCCAGCUGCAAUGGCGCAUCCAGUUGUUUGAGCUCACAGCGCUCCACACGGAGUUCCUCCGACUCCUCAUCAAAUAUACUAGAGAAUUCUAGCGAACAUUCAUAGAAUGUCAAUAUUGAUAAGUUUUUCAAAUUGGAAAAAUCCGGUUAUUGCAUGGCGACCAGAUCACGAAGUUGUAACUCUCUUAAACUAGACGGAAGCUGGGGAGGAAUUGCAUAUUUUUGCAGCACAAUUUUAGUGUUUUAAACUGAGAUAAGAUGCCGAUGCUAGUGAGAAGAGCGGCGACAAGGGUUUCAUCUUGAGAUAGGGUACCAAUUCGUCUCUCCUGGCAAAAUUCCUCCAGCUCAUAUUUCAUCUCCUCUUCAGAGGAAUAACAGCAAUUUUUUGGGCCCCAUCUCUGAUGAGUCAAACUUGGGGGUAGGUCCGGCAACUGUUUAAGCUCGGGACAUUUUUUUAGCUUUUAAGUGUUUGGAGAUUAGAGAGGUGACUCACCGUGGUGGGUAAUCUGGACAUACGUGUGCCUGACAAGUUGAUGAUCCUUAAAUAGGACAAUCUCCCAAUUUUGUUAGAUUGCCGGUCAAGUUGCAACAUUCUUAAGCAUCUAACUCUUUGACUUCUCCACUAACCCAACCACACUUGGUAAUUUUCUCAUCCAUCUUAUGCCACUCAUCCUUAGUACUUUCAGUUGCUUGAAAUUGCCAAUUGAAUCAUGUAGGUGACAGUACUUGUCGAUGACAAAUCCGACUUGAUUAAUGAUUGUAAUUCCCAAUCGAAUUUGGAAGUUCCUCUAUGUAUAUACACCUAGAUAAAUUCAACCGCUUGAGUUUCACUAGCCCUCCAAUUGAGUAUGGCAAUUUUAAGGAUGAUUGUUUGCUUAUCAUUAACCGUUGAUAUUCUUCUUUUGGGGGAGACAUAACAAAAUCUGUCAAAGCCUAUAGACAUCCUAUUUCUUCAGGCAACUCUCAAAGAAAUUUAUAUCCAUUCAAGUUCAAAAUAGUUAGAAGCUUCAAUUUGACAAUGGAAUGGUCAAUUUCAAUUAAGUUGAUGCAGCCUUCAAGAACCAAUCUCUCCAAUACACCCACGUAGAUAAAUUAGGUGUUUUCUUUAAGUAUUCACAGGUUCUAAGAUCUAGUACUUUUAUUUUUCUGGCCUCCUGCAAAACAAUUUGAUAAAAUAUAUAUUAAGAAAUAGCUUGGGGAAUUAAAAAAACAACAAGAAAUGACAUGCUUAUUCAAGAAGGGGACUCGUAUCGUAUUUUGAUUUGGUCCUAGCCAAUCCAUUUCUCCAAAUUACAGCUGUGUGACAGGUUAAGAACCACUAAAUUAGCCAAAUGAAAGUUUGUUGUCUCAAACUUGGAAUAGCUACAAUGCCAAGAAAGCCAUUUUAAAUUGGAGAGAAGAUUCUUGAACUCUCCAACAAGGGACCCAACUUCCCUUCAUAAGAACCUUGGGUUUUGGUAAAUCAGCAAAUUCAUCAGAUGUGAGAGUAUCUUGAUAAAUGAAAUGAUAUCUAGGUCGUACCUGAUAGUGCUUCCAUUUUCCUACUUCCCUGACAAUGACACUGAGAAGUCCACGUGUGAAGGUCAGAAGCAAACAAUUUCAAGCAAGAAUAGUGGUUAAUUUAUCCUUUUGCAAGAAUACUCAACAACAAUUUGCGGGAAAAUAAAUGGUUGUUCCCUUUUUAUACCUUUUUCCUCUUCAAAAUGUUAAGCGCUUCCUCAUAGUUCCACACUCUGCUACGCUUAUCAGGAUAUUUGAAAUUCUCUUGAUGGACGAUUUCCCUUCCGAAGUCCUGUACUUGGUCAUGCAUCUAGAAAGUAUUGCCAUCUUUGAUUUUUAUCGAGGACAUGAGAACGAGGACAUCAAUGGCAAUGUGUGGGUGGUACUUAUAGGCAUCCCACAUAUAGAAAGGGUAUAUUCUAUCCUCAUUAACAAAAAAGAAAAUAAAAUCUAUAUCUAGAAAUAUUUCCCUUUAUGUUGGAUCUAACCUUUCAUAAGAUAUCAUCAAAUUUCUUUGGACUUCCAUAGGAGGAGCUUCUUUUAUUUUCUCCCAUGUAUCGAUCCAUAAUUCGUCGGACUUACCAAUAAGGAAUGAACAUGUAAUCUUAAGAGCUAAAGGAAGCUUGCCCAAAGUAUGGACAAUUUUUUUAGAAAGGGAGACAUGAUGAUUUGGUGGAUAGUCUCUUCUAAAUGCAUGCUUGCUGAAAUGAUUAAGAGCAUGAUCAAAUUCCAUUUCAUGUGCUUCAUAAGUCAAAACAUUUGGGCCUUCAUAUAGGACAUUGUUGUCCUUCAUAGCUAUGAUAAUCCUGCUACCGAACUGAAUCAAUCACAUUUUUUUGCAAGACUUUUCAAUUGCUCUUGUUUAUCCAUGUCAUCAAGAAUAAUGAGUAUUUUUUUUUUAUUUCUAAGUAUUCCUCUGUUAAUCAUUUUGAUCCCAUCAUUCACAUGACAAAUUUGGUUAAUAGAAUGAGAACCAAGGAGCUUGGAUAACAAAUGUUUUUGCAAAUUUACCGGACCAUCAUUGCUUUUUGAUGAUUCCUGAACAUCUACAAGGAAACAACAUUGGUCAAAGCAAGAAGAUAGUUUGUAGAAGAUGACCUUAGCAAGGGUUGUUUUGCCAACACCGCCCAUUUCGUGGAUUAUGAGAAAUGUUACAUCAUCGGAUCCCACAUCCAACGUUUUGAUUAUAGCUCCCACACAAUCAUCAACUCCGACAAGAUGUUCGGUCAAAUCUUCAUAUACAACCUUUACUUAACCGAUACCAUGCGAAUUAUUGAACGGAUCAAAUCUCCUUAACUGCCAUAAGGUAAUAACCAUGUUAGCGGUAACUUCUAUAGUGUAAAACUACUCCUACAGUGACUAAAUUGCCCUCACUUGUUGAGGAAAUUACGCAAAAAUAUCUAGACACCGAUACGAACUAAAUUUUUGCCAAUCUCUCUGCUGCCCAACAUCAAUCAUUAUCUAAGUAGCACCGACACCGGGACGUGACAUAACACGACACGCUAGAGUGCCAACACGUCAUUUAAAAAAAAAAAUUAGAUAAUUUCGACAUGUUGAGACACAUUAUAUAUUAAAUGUAUAUUUUUAUAUAUGCAUAAUAAAUUUUCAUUUUUAUGAUUAUUUCAAUCAAAUUAAUUUAAGUACACCAAUAAAUAAAUAAUAAUAAUAAUUCUAGAAUGGAUUUACACUAAAGACAUUAAUUCACAAUUUAUUAAUAUCAUUGUUUCAAUUUGACAAAUUCAAUUCUAUUCCAAUAAUCCAUAAAACUUAGAUAAAAAAUAAUGCACAUUCUAGACUUGCAUGCCAAACAUAUCAAAAGAAAAUAGAUAAAAAAAAACUUGAGAAGUGAAUUGUGUAAUGGGGAAAAUGAGAGUAAGAAGAGAAGAAAAUAUUAGGUUUUUUUUUCUCCAUUUAUUGUCUUCAUUAUUAUUAUUUUUUCACAUAUAUACAUUUUAACCCUCAUUUAUUAAUUUUUUUUUUUUUUAAAAUUGACCUUACUUGUCGGAAUCACAUGUCGAAAACUUGUAUAUUGAAAUUUUAACUCGAGUGUCAGAGAGUGUUAGGAAAGUUAACUAGGCGUUAAAUUUUCUGACAAGUGUCGGAAAGUGUGAAAAAAUAUCGAGCUCCGACAAGACAUGAAGGCUCAUGUCAGUGCUUGACCGUGCGACUGCCGGGGAGGGCGUCAUCGGCCUUGGGCGAGACCAGAUUUAGGGUCGCCCAGGGUCAGCGACGCCAGUGUGGGCUCGGUGGGCUCAGACCUGACGUCCAGAUCCCGGAUCUGACUUGCCUCAGUGAGUGAUAGAGCGAAAGGGCGGGGCCGGAUGGCUCAGAGGUGGCUUAUGUCGGCUUGUUGUCAGGCUGGCGACAAAGAAGUGGCGACAAUCGAAGGACGAGCUGCUGCAUUGGCUCGCCAGAAGCUUGGUGGAGCCACUCGGAAAGCCAUUACUGAUCGUGGCUACUAUGUCAGACUAAGAAUGAGAGGAGAGAGAAUCAAAAUGAGUAGCGUGCGCUGCCACCGCAAUAGUGCCAUUGACCGGAGCUAUUGCAGCGAUACCGGCCACUAUUGGCCACUGUCAGUGAGAAUUCCGUUCUCGUCGCCAUAGUGGCUGAUAGCAGUAGCGGCCGCUAUCUGAACUGUAUAGAAUCGACUAGAUGAAUAAACUACAACUUCACCAACAAUACCACAAUCAUACUAAAUAGGGAGAAAAACGAGUUUAAGACAUUUACCCCUCCUCUUUCUUCCAGUUCCAUCCAUUUCUCUUGCCCACCUCAAUGAGAGCCUAUUCCCAUGACUCCACUUCAGUGCACGACGUCUUCUAGUGCUUUGAAAGAGUCUGUCUGUACAAGUUUGUUUUGAGCUUGACAUCGGCAGGUUCCACGGUCAAGAAAAACCAUGCCAUGGUAAGAUAAUCGGUGAAUUCAUAACGGGUGUUUACUCCUCGAAAACUUCAAAAAACCUCAUACGAAGGUACGGUUGAUGCCUGUGAAUUCGUCCCUUUCUCCGUUGUAGUAGCUCUAAGCAACACAGAUAUCAAAUCCUUUCUAUCUCUCGGGGAAGUUUGCUUUUUAAGUGUGCUUGGAUCUGAGCGACGGCUGUCAGUAUGAUGAGCACUCAAUCUCUGGCGUCAUGGAGGUUGGGAAAAAGGCGCUGGACUUCGAAUAUUAAUUAAUAUAGUCAACACCUUUCUUUCUUUUUCUUCUUUUUUUAAUCCCUUCUUCAUCUUUUGAUUAAUUUGUUUGGUGUUCAUUUAUAUCUUUACUGUUUUGCAUCUUUUUGGCCACCGAAUUUCCCAAAUUAAAUGUUAAGAUGUGAAUUCUAUUUAAAAACACCAUUACUAUUAAGAAAAACACACGAAUAGCUUUUAAGUGAAGACACUUAUAUGCAAUUCUAAUGUAAUUACUAAACCAAAAUAAUGAUAUAUGUAUCAGAAUCUUAACCUUAUUUUGAAUUAAUUUAUUUAAUUAAAUUAAAAUUGUUAUAUAUGUAUCAUAAUCUUAAACUCACUUUAUGAAGCAUUACAUGGCCAGUUUUACCAAUAAAAAUAGUUAAAAUAAUAUAAAAAUUUGAAAAGAGUUAUUCACGUGAUUACUUAUGUACAAAAUAAUGUGACAAAUUUUGAAUGCUUGGCAAUGCCCUAUCUUUUGGAAUGAUCUUUAUAGUAUAUAGAUUUAGAUCCCAAAUCAAUAUGGGAAGAUACGACACCACAUAUUAAACAUAAAGACAGCUACAUAAAAGACUCCGAGUAUUUCGAAAAUUUGUGAGAUUCAAUAAAUCAUGGAUCAAAUCAAUGAAGAUCACACAAAAUCAAAGUCAAACAUAUCUAGCAUCCCGUUAAAAAUGUGAUGAUUUUAGUGAAAUCAGCUUGAUUUUGAAAAUUAAGAUGUGGAAUAGCCUAGAUAAUCAGAUUUAGCAAUGGAGUGAAUAUAUAGUGCCCCAACAAUAUAUUUUUUAUUUAGAAAAUGAUUUGAUUUGAAAAAUUUUCAAUACAAACUAUUUUAUAGAUUAUGAUCCAACCACAAGUCAAAAUUUUAAAGUUGCAACUUGCUUAUCUUAAAUUUUAAAUUUUAAAUUUAUACUUUAAAAUAAGGUAAUGAGAAAGGACAUUUCAAUUAAUAUUGAUUGGUUGAUUUGUCUGGAAAGCACACAAGUCCCAAAUCAUCAUCUUUGUUAGCUAAUCUACCGGGCAUGUAACACGGAAAAGAAAGCCAAAGUCUUCUAAUAUCUUUCCUCUGCUUCGUUGCAUUUUCCUCUUCUUCUUUUUUUGAACAAAGAAGUCAAAAGUCUUCCACCACCUUGCUUGUUUGGUUGCAAAGAAAGCGAUAAGGCAAAAGCCGACGAAACCUACUCAAGAGAAAAGAUUGGCGAGGGGAAGGAAGUCAAAGUCUUCCUCCAUCCUGCAUUGCAGAUGAAGGAUCCUUGUUGAAAUGUCUUCAUCAUACGCGGUUUACAAAAUUGUUCAAGAAAUUCUUGUCCAUUAGUCACAUUUCAAGGACAUGCCAAAAAGUAGAACGCGGUUUACAAGUCAUCCCGGAAGUUUCCUAGAAAUUUCAUUGAUCAAUCAGUGGGUCACAUUUUAGGAGUUUCUAUGUCCCAUUCAUUCAAUAACAAAUUUUAAAUAAGAGAUCAUAGCUUUAGAAAUAGAGGAUAUAAUGUGAAAUCGUGAUACAAAAUGAAGAUGAUUUUUUAGCUUUUCUUUAUUUUAACCAUAGUAGAGAACUUUUAAAAAAUCCAAUCAACUUUGUAUCUAUAUCAUAUACGAUUCUGAAUUAUUGACAUUUGCAACCGCGUUAAUCUCCAAACAAAAAUCUUUAGUUAGAAGAUUAAACUAUCCCUCUACUAAGAAAAUUUAUAUUAUGCACCGAUCACAUGAUCACCUUGGUGUAAUUGGUCAAUCCAUAUUUCCACUACUUAGUCAAAAUGGAAAGAGCACAGCAUUCCUUGUUGCACCUUCAUCUUUUUCAUUAAUUUGUUUCGGGUUCAUGCAUAUCUUGCUUGUUUUGCAUCGGUUUGGCCACCGAAUUUCCCAAAAUAAAAUCAUUAAGACGUGAAUUCUAUCUAAAAACACCAUUACUAAUAAGAAAAACACACGGAUAGCUUUUAAGUGAAGACACUUAUCCGUCAUUGGAGUUAAUGUAAUUACUAAAUCAGAAUUACUAUAUGUAUAUAUCGGAAUCUUAACCUUACUUGAAAUUAAUUUAUUUACGUAAAUUAAAGUCAUUAUAUAUGUAUCAUAAUCUUAACCUCACUAUAUGGAGUAUUAAGUGGCUGGUUUUACCAACAAAAAGCAGUUAAAUAAUAUAGGAGAUUGAAAAGUGUUAUUCACAUUAUUACUUAGUUACAAAUUAAUGUGACAAACUUUUGAAUGCCUGACUAUGCCCAACCUUUCCAAAUGAUCAUUCAUAGUAUAUAGAUCUAGAUCUCAAACAAAUAUAGAAAGAUAUAUGAUACCGCACAUUAAACAUAAGGACGACUCUAUAAAAGAUGGUAAUGAUAUUCCAAAUAUUUGUGAGAAUCGAUAAAUCACGGAUCAUAUCAGUGAUGAUUACAUAAAAUUAGAUCAAAUAAUCUAGUAUCCCACUCAAAAUAAGAUGAUUGCAAUGAAAACAGCUUGAUUUUGGAAAUUAAGUUGUGAAACAUCCUGGAUAAUCAGAUUUAGCAACUGAGUGAAUUUAGAGUGCCAUGAACACCAAUACGUAAAUGGAUUGAUUUGCAAAAUUUCCAAUAGGAAUUAUUUUUAUUAAUAUGUUAUAUAUAUAUAUAUAUAUAUAUAUAUAUAUAUAUAUUCUAAAUUUUAAAAUUGCAACUCGCUUAUCUUAAAUUUUAAAUAGCUUUAAAAGAAGGUGAUGAAAGGAGGCAAUAAAUUUUCAAAUUGGUUUGGUUUAUUCCUUCAUCUUUUGAUUAAUUUGUUUCAUGUUCAUGUUAUAUCUUGUCUGUUUUGCAUCGGUUUGGCCACCGAAUUUUUCAAAUUAAAUAUUAAGAUGCGAAUUCUAUAAAAUCAUCAUUACUAAUAAGAAAAACACAUUUAUAGCUUUUAAGUUAAGAGACUUAUCUGUUAUUGAGAUUGAUGUAGUUACUAAAUCAAAAUUAUUAUAUCAGAAUCUUAACCUUACUUGGAAUUAAUUUAUUACUUAAAUUAAAAUUAUUAUAUGGUUAUCAUGAUCUUAACCUCCUUUUAUGAAGUAUUAUGUGGCCGGUGUUACCAAUAAAAGAAUUACAAUAAUAUAAGAGAUUGAAAAGAGUUCAUAUUAUUGCUUAGUCACAUUUUGAAUGUUUGACUAUGCCGUACCUUUUCAAAAUGAUCAUUAUAGUAUAUAGAUUUAUAUCUCAAACCAAUAUGGAUUGAUAUAUAAUACCACAGAUUAAACAUAAAGACGGUUACAUAAAAGACUUUGACAAUAUUUCGGAUAUUUGUAAGAUUCGGUAAAUUGCAGAUCAUAUCAAUAAAGAUAACAAAAAACCAGACUCAAAUAUAUCUAGCAUCCCAAUAAAAGAAGAUGAUUGCACUGAAAUUAGCUUGAUUUUGGAAAUUAAGCUAUGAAAUAGCCUAGAUAAUCAGAUUUAUCAAUGGAGUGAAUGUAGAGUGCCACGAACAAUAUGUUUUUUAUUUAUAAAAUGGAUUCAUUUGCAAAAUUCUCAAUAUGAACAUUUUUUAUAGUAGCUUGAUAUAUUUUAUUCGAAAUUUCCAGUUGUAACGUGAUUAUUUUAAAUUUAUAUUUAAAUAUUAAAAGAAGGGAAUGAGCAGGGUGAUGAAUUAUCAAAUUUAAAUAAAAUCUGAUUUGUUAAUUGUCUGGAAAGCACACAAGUCCCAAAUCAUUAUCGUUGGAUAAUGUACUUCAGAGCGUGUAACAUGGAAAGCAACCCAAAAGUCUUCUAAUAUCUUGCUCACUUUGUUGCAUUUUCCUAUUCUUUUCUUCCUAACAAAGAAGUCAAAAAUCUUCCACCAUCUCACUUGCUAAGUUGCAAAGAAAUUGAUAAGCCAAAAGCAGACAAAACCUACUCAAAAGAAAAAUAAGCCCCUCCUUUCUCGUUCCCUCUUUUUUUUUUUUUUUUUUGCAGGAUUGCCCUUAGUUUUUUUUUUUAAGCGUUAAUUAAACAAGAAUAACCGGUGCAUUCACGAAACUUCCCUACAUAUCAUUUACACUCAUGCAUCUAAAUACACGAGCGCUCCUUUUUGUGCUAAUUGGCAUAUUUUCCAACUUUGUCAAUCCUAUGCUUUGACCGAUUGACUUGCAAAUCAGAACCCAAACCAGUCAUUUGAUAGGUCUACGUUUGGAUGAAUUGCUUGACAAGAUUACAAAACCCGAUUAAGAUACUUGGCCACAAAUUGCCAACUCUAAUAACACUGAUGUUGUGGUGAUGUGGAGCGGCGAGUGGCCCAAAUGAUAUGGCGGUUGCUUGAUGCUGGUGUAAUCUUCCUGAGCACGUAGCUGGCACGGAUAAAAAAAGAGACUAGUAACACGUGAACUAGGUUAAGUUUGUGGUCUCAACCGUCCAGCCGCAUGUGGCAGCGAUCCGAGUCUCUGUUUCCAGUGUUCAACUCGGAGGACAAUUACUGUCCGAUGGGCGUCAUUGNNNNNNNNNNNNNNNNNNNNNNNNNNNNNNNNNNNNNNNNNNNNNNNNNNNNNNNNNNNNNNNNNNNNNNNNNNNNNNNNNNNNNNNNNNNNNNNNNNNNAGCUACGAAGGUAAAGAUUUGGACGAGUUGCGUUGUCUUGGCACGUGAGGUUUUCAUCCAUGGUGGAGUUGAGUCGCAGUGGGCGUCGAUUCAACAAUGUGAAUCUAGGAUUCAAAGCCUUUCGUAGUGAAUUGUGGCGAAAACUAUCUAAGUAGGUGGUGACCAGUUUUGAUUGAAAGGUUAUGUCAGCAAGAGUAAAGGCCUUUUGUAUAUCACCGGAAUGCAUUAUGCAAAUAAUUUCAAUCAUUUAUCUAUAGCAUAAACUAAUAUACUAUAGAUAUACAAUAUUAUGAUUCUAGAUACAAUCAGACUAUACAGAACGUACAUGAUAUAUUUUGUAUGUGUGAAAGAUUUAGUUUUUGUGGAUGAUGUGCAUUACAAAUAUAUCUAACAAGUUGUGACAUUGUUUCAUAAAUUAAUGAUUUUAAUCUGAUAUUACUGUUAAAAGGUCAUAGUCCAAAGGACAUAAAAUAGAUAUUACGCGUAAAUUUGAAAGGAGUUUUUCGGCUUGUAAUUUUGUCACAUAUCUGGAUAUCUCUUUACUUUAACUUUAUGUUUUUUUUUUCUCUUUUUCGACCUUUUAGAGUUCAAAAUCAGAACUUGAUUAACGUCAAACAUCUCAAAUUUUUAAAACUAGAAUAGGGAAAUUCGAAGAUGGUGUUUUAAUUUGGGGAAAAUUUCAAAAAAUGGCUCGAAAUGCCUUCAUUUCUCAAAUAAGGAUCCAAAGUGAAUCAUAAAAGCCGAAAGUGACCUUGAUUGUUUCAAAAAAGGAGCUGAAGUAGCUAUGAUUGUUUCAAAUAAAGGCCUAACGUCACUAGCAAAAUUUUCUGAUUGGUUAAGGGUGUUUUCGUCCAAAUUUUCUUUUCUUUUUUCUUUUCUAACGUUAGCUAGCGGCCACUGGAAAGGGCCGGCAAGGGCCUUCGAGCCCUUGCUGGCAGCGCGAGAGGGCCUGCAAGCCCUCACCAGUAGCGGGCAAGGCCACCCUUGCCUCGGACAAGUAAGGCCAACCCUUGCCAGCGAGGUCGCUAAGCCCUUGCAGAUGACUACGAAGGGCAGUCUCCCCUAGGGUGAGGCCAUCCCUCACUUGGGGCUAGCAUGGGUGGCCCUAGCCGAAUUGGGCAAGGGCGACCCUCAACCAGCCCUCUAUGGGCAUCCAAUGGCCGAGGAAGAAGAAGAGCUAGAGAAAAAAGGAAAGAAAAAAGGGAAAAUGGUAAAUGACAUAAAUACCCUUCACCACUAGAAAGUGGAGCCCUUAUUUGUAAGGGAUAUAACCAAAGUCCUUAUUUGAAACAUAUAUAACUAUUUCAGAACUUUAUGUGAAAUAAAAUUCACUUUAAGUCAUUAUUUGAGAAAGUAAUAGCACUUUAGACCCUUAUUUGAGAUAAAGUCCACUUCAUGCCAUUUUUUGAAAUUUUCCCAAUAAUUUGGUUUGAAGCAAAAAAAACUAAUUGUGUGUGUGAAAAUGAGAGGAUAUGGUCUUCAUCAGUGUUGGGCAUUUGGAUUUGAUGGUUGAAUGUGGAAACAAAGAAGAGUCGAAUAAACAAUGGCAUGCGGUUACGAAAUUGUUCAGGAAAUUCUUGUCCAUAAGUUAGCUUUGAAAGACACGGCAAAAAGCAAAAGGUCGUUUAUAGGUAGAUGCUAAUAUUGAAAAUGCCAGUUAGAUAGCAAGUAAUUCUUGUCCAUUAAAGUCGGGCUUUAAAAUGAAAUGAUGGAUAAAUUUAAGUGUGAGGCAUAAAAUUCUUGGAAAUUAAAGUGCAAAGGAAAAGUGAAAUGAUAUAGAAGUGAACUAAACGAACUUACUGUGAAAUUGCAUCUCUCUCUCUCUCUUCCUUUUUUUCUUUCCACCUCCACAAGAAUUUGCCUCCUCUGUUUUUCUUUUAUUAUCUUUUCUUUUGCCCGCCAUAACUUUCUCUCUGUAUUCCUCUCUCUUGGCCGUGAAGAAAAGCUUACACCUUUCCUUUUACGAGGUCUCUUUGGCAAUGAAUAAAUAGAUGCUGAAAAGUCACCUUCCCACUUGGCCGAGAAUCUUCCGCUUUUUUUUUUAUAACCAGAUUUUCUUGCUCUGUUUUGGCCGUGAAUACCGGUCCAUGAAUGCUGAGAUCGCUCCCUUUGUCAAGAUGGAAACUGCACGCUCCUUUCCUUCUUUGAUUCUCCUUUGCCUUUUCUUCCAAUUUUGACGCGUGCAGUUGAACAAGACCUUCCUUCCAUCUCAUGUGUUCAGAUUGGAAUUGGCUUCGAAAAUGGGUGUCCACCGAUUGAAAUCUGAACGGCCGCACUUUCUUUCCCUUAAUUAGGCCGAGUUUGAUUAGCUUAGGGCCGGGCUUGCAUGGGCUCGAUUUUGGAAUCUCAAGUGAGUUUAAGACUCUUUCGCAUAUUGGGCGAACUAUUGAGCCAAUCCCAAACAAACUCAUAGCCAGAUUCAUGUUUUGUUAAUUGCGAAUGUUUUAUGCCCUAAAUUUAAAUUUCCCUUUACCUAAAUGCGAAGAAAUACAGUAACAGCUGUAAAUGCAAGCCUAAACAAGAUUGGUAUUUUGGUUUGGGAUCAAAUUCUAUUGAAUUCGAGCCUAGUUUUCUUAUUAAAUGAACGAGAAGUCUUCGAACAAAAAUUUAGGUGUCCGAAAUCAGAUCGACAAUAGUAGCUAGAGUUUGAAGAAAGUAAAGAACAACCAAUUGUUCUUAAUAGGCAAAAGACGAGAAACUGAUGCUAACGCGGACUCCAUCCUUGUAAUAAUUAAAAUGAAGAUGAUAUUGAACAUUUUAAAAUAUUAUAGGAACAUAAUCAAUAGAAUGGUAAGGAAUCACAAAAUCAAUUGUUUGAUUAAGUAUGACAUGGACGUAUUUACACAAAAUUUCAACGAUCAUCCAUUUCAUUAAAAGAUAAAUCUCGAGAACAACCAACUUGUUUUGUAUAAAAAGUGGAAAGUAAAUUUUCUUUUACUUGCUUGAAUCUAUAUGUAUUAAAAUGAUUGGAUGGUCAAUGGUAAAAUGAUGACAUAGCAUGCUUGCGGAUUUAGUUCGAUCAAGUUAGUUGGAGUUAACUUGGCGUGAUGCUGGAUCGCCCUUCUCUCUCGACAUGCAGAGUCCAUUGUCUACCGUCAUGGUAGUUUGCCCUAACUAACCCUAAUUUGAACAUGUUCCCACAAAAUCCAUCGCCCCUUCCCUCAUACCCUCAUUUACUUCGACAUUACCCCCCGGGUUCAUCCGCCUUUCACUCCCUCGAAAUCGCUUGCAGUUACAAUGGAUACAGCCUCCACUAGGUGGACGCCUUCGACUUCCAACCGCAUCUGCUCAUGACUGAUUUCUUCUUCAGGGAUUUACAAGCUCUAGUCUGGGGGUUCGUAGCCAUUCAAUUCCUUUUCUCCUUGCUCCACCUCUCCGGCUCCAAUUUCUGCCUUGACACAUCUCUCUUAUCCUCGCAAACCCUCUCCACCCCGGUUUCGUUGCAUGCCGCAUCUUUUUCAAUCUUGCCCAGUCCAUAUCUUGUCCCGAGCCUCGAUUUCAUGGAAGAGAAGGACUUGGAGGAAGAUUCACGCCUUGCCGCACUUUGCAACAGGUUGGGCCAACUUUGCUCUGCUCAUGAAAUUGAAGUUUGGGAUGACCUGCCGCCGCUAGAGAAGAUCGAGGAAUGCAAGCUAAUCUUAGUCGGUAAAAUUCUCUCAAACCCCUCGAUAAAAUUCUAGGCAUUACAAAAUCUCUCAAAAGAGCAUGGCGUACAGAAUAGGUAGAAAUCAAACUGAUACUCAAUAUGAUAAAACGACAACAACCAAAAUCAAGACAGAGAUACAUAAACUUUAGCAGUAAGAUGAGCAAUAUUGGGCUAUGAGGUCAAUGAUUAAUUGGCCGAAAUGGGGCGAUAAGAACACAAGAUUCUUCCAUGCAACUACCAUCCAGAGAAGACAAAGGAAUAGAAUAAGAAUGUUGUUGGACACCAACCAAAGAUGGGUGAGAGACGAGGAGACUUUGAAGGAGAUGAGGUAGGAUUUCUACUCUAACCUCUACAAAACAGUGGGCUACCGCGACUACGAUCUCAUCCUUGCUCAAUGCCUAGGUAUAGUUACCAAUGACAAGAAUUCCAUUCUAACAACUAAGGUAACUAAAGAGGAGGUUCACCUUGCAACAUUUUAGUUGGGCACUACAAAAGCCCCGAGCCAGGAUGGUUUGAACGGUUUGUUUUACCAAUCUAACUAGGACACACUUCAGGAUGAGAUAUUCCUUUUAGUUCAAAAUUUCUUUCAAUCCGAUGUGUUGCCCCCAGACCUCAAUAAGACAACUGUAACUCUAAUACCAAAGAUACCACUACCUGAAAGUCUGGACCAUUACCGUCCCAUUAGCCUAUGCAAUUACGCCUAUAAAAUCAUAUCCAAAAUUCUCACCAAUUGGCUGAAGCCCUUACUACUUGACCUAAUAUCUACGGAUAAACCGCUUUUGUUUCUGGAAGACAAAUCUAGGACAACAUCCUCAUGGUCCAAGAGAUUCUUCAUCGAAUAAAGAUACGGAAAUGACAAAGAAAUUUUCCGGCGAUCUUAAAAAUGGACAUGCAGAAGGCAUAUGAUGGAGUGGAAUGAGAUUUUAUCGGCUUAUCUACUCAAGCUAGGCUUCCAUCCUACUUGGGUUUAGUGGGUUUCGCAAUGUAUCUCAACAAUGCCUAUCAACAUAAAAUUCAACGGCAAGCAGCUAGAGUAUUUCCACCCGACGCGAGGCCUUCGACGAGGCGACCCUUUGUCCCCUUAUCUAUUUAUCCUGCUGGCAAAUCUCCUAUCAACCCUCAUCCAUCAAGCCAUCAAUAUGGGGAACCUACAGGGCAUCAAGCUAAACAGGUCGUGCCCUACUCUUUCCCACUUGUUUUUCGCUGAUGAUGCAAUUUUCUUUUUAGAUGGCACAAUUAGGGAAUGUCAAAACUUGGCUAACAUACUGAAUCAAUACUGCUUAGCCACGGGACAGGAAAUUAAUAGGAAUAAGUCGAGUAUUUUCUUCAGUAAGAACUACCCAAUGUACCUUAAGGAAAACCUGGCUAGAGAAAUUAGAAUCUCUAUGCUUGACAGAACAGUAAAUAUCUAGGCAUUCCUUCUGAUUGGGGACGGUCCAAAAGAGAUGUGUUUGCUUGGCUUUUGGGUAGAGUGAAUAACAAGUUGGAAUGAUGGAAGGAGAAUCUUAUUUCCAAGGGUGAAAGAAAUCAUGAUUAAGACUGUUGUGCAGCAUACCUUAAUAUACAAUGUCCGUUUUUAAANNNNNNNNNNNNNNNNNNNNNNNNNNNNNNNNNNNNNNNNNNNNNNNNNNNNNNNNNNNNNNNNNNNNNNNNNNNNNNNNNNNNNNNNNNNNNNNNNNNNGGGGGGGGGCCCAGGACUUCGUGCCCCUUCACAGGGGAUGAAAAUGGUGUUGUGGUACAGCGACACACCAUGGGGGGGGGCGAAAAAAGCCAUCUCCGGGGGGGCCCGACAAGACCCCCCUGGCCCUUUACCGGAAAAAACAGUUCCUCUUGUGCUCCCCUUCUAUCCCCCUUGAUAAUUUUUUACAAAUUCAGGUCCCGCGCUAUUUUGUCCCUCCCCAGCCCCCCUUGAUGCCCGGCAAAAGGGGGGUUUGGGGGGGGGGGAGAAGGGUUUUAAGUUCUUGACUUGUUUGUUUGCUCUGUUUGGCAGGUCAGGGUCGUGCCCUCCUCUCACUUUCUCCGUGCUUCGCAAAAUCUUCUUGCUCGCCCUGGUCGGGUGAGUGAGUGAAGUGUCCUCAUUUCGCAUUAAUUUGUGGACUUAGUGGAUUUUGCUUUUCUUGGAAUUCUUUCGAAGCGAAACGUCUUGAUCCACUGCUGAGAGUUUGGUACGGGAAAACGUGGUGAAUUUUUUUUAGUGAUUUGGUUGAUGCAGAUCCGCAUCGCAGAUAUGCGGGUAUGCCGGGAUCGAUUACAGCUCCCCUGUGCUGGGCACGGCCAUGAUGAACCUCAUCCCAGCUUUCACUUUCAUUCUCGCCGUCAUUUCAAGGUUCGUUCUCUCUUUCUUCUCGUUAUCCGCAGUGCACUUAAAUAACCUCCACUUGAAGAAAAAUGAGAGAAGCAGAUGAUGAUGUGUUAAUUGGAUGAUGAUGGAGGUUUGAUUUCACAUAGGUUCUGCUUAAAGUUGAGAAUGCUUUUAAUCGAGUCUGACCAAAGCAAAUCCAUACUUCCUGUUUCAAGCAGGACCGGAAUAAUUCACUUCGCUACGACUUAAUUCACUUCUCAUUUUCAGUGUAUCCGUCCUUCUAAUCUCAGAGAUUAUGAACAGUUCUAUAACUUUUAUUUCUGAUGAUGCUGGGUCCCUAAAAUUUCUGAGAUAGGUGUUGCUCUGCCAAUGAAUAAAUCCCUGAAAUGGGACAAAAAAUCAAGAAAGUCCAGUGCUUCGGCAAGUGGAGGCUGCGCAUUCAAAUGAAACUGCAAAACACAGUAAUGCACAACAUGUCUGUCAGACAAUGAAUCAAGAUAAACUUAUCUUACUGUUGAAUUUGUUCAUGGAUUCAAAAUCUAGGAUGGAGAAGGUGAAUUGGAAAAGCUCGAGUAGCCAAGCUAAGCUUGUGGGAACCGUUGCAUCAAUUCUUGGUGCAUUAGUAAUCACUGUGUACAAGGGUCCAACAGUUCUCCGCUCGCCUUCACUGCCUUCUUUUGUCCAUCCCUGUCACCUUGUCUCUCUUCUCUCACGACAAUUGAAUUGGGUUCUCGGUGGGUUUCUCCUCGCGAAACCAGAAUUUUUGGCAUCAAAAUCGGUUCCAUGGAUCCACUCGGGAACCGGACUGGACCGGCAGUCCGGUUCCUAGGUGGAUCCAUGCAAUAAACGGGUGGAUCCUGGUUCCGAUUUUUCGAAACCGGUCCUUAGCGGGCGGUUCCCGGUUCUAGGUCGAGAACCGCCCGCCCGAACCAUGCACACCCCUACUUCCUGGGGAUGACAAAGCCUAUUGUUAGGAAGGGAGACGAUCUUACCUAACCUUCAAUGGUUGGUUGGCGAUAGAACUCAAAUCAAGAUACACAAAGACCGAUGGCUACCACAAGGAAGAUUCGACGGCCCAUCAGCAAGAGAGGAACCUAUGUUGGUGGCUGACCUAUUGGAGAAUAACUUAAACAACUGGAAUGUGCCUAUUCUGAAUUAAUUUUAUGAUGCACCAACAAUUCAAGAGAUACUGAGAAUUCCAGUUAUAGCUAAUUUUGCAACAGACCGUCUGGUUUGGACAGCCACAACCCAAGGGCUGUACACAGUUAAAAGUGGUUAUCUUUUAAUCAGAAAAGCAGCACCAAGAGCCACCAAUCAUCAAGCCUCGUCGUCCUAUCAAACACCCCCACUCCUUUGGAAUAAAAUUUGGCAGCUUAAACUCGCACCUAAAGUUCAAAUUUUUCUCUGGUCUAUUUGCCACAAUGCAUUGCCAACCCAAGAUGACCUCUUUCGUCGAUGGAUCAACACUGAUCCGGUAUGCACAUUAUGCCAUAACCAACUACCCAAGACGAUUGAACAUCUUCUCCUAUUUUGCCCAUGGACUUAUAGAAUCUGGUCUCACCCUAGUAUCUGCAUUCAAAUUGUCACAACAGACAUACAUCAAGUGGAAGAGUGGAUAGCAGAUCGAAUCAUUUAGAAAAAGACCUCACCUGAUCUGGAGACUGUUGUUGCGGUAUUCUAGGAGAUCUGGAAGGUUCGGAGUAGGUCCAUUUUUUUGUCAACAAAGGCCAAAUCCAAACCUUGUUGUCGAUGCUGCUCUUGCUCAAGUCAAAACAGCUUAGAACCUUGCUCAUCUCUCGAACGGACAAGGAAGCAACCCCUCUGACCAUGGCAACUUUUGGCAGGCCCUUAAUCCGAGCACAUUGAAGAUCAAUAUUGAUGGGGCUUAUAACAUAGAUAACAUAGAAGGAUCUAUGGAAUUUAUAUGUCGAGAUCACUCUGGGAGAAUGCGAGAAGGCUUUACCAGGACUGUUGCUGCUUCUUUGGCCUUGUAAAUCGAAAGCCAAGCGCUGAUCAUCACCCUGCACCACCUUUUGCAGCAAGGCAAAACUGAAGUGCCUCUCCAGAUUGAUUCGGAUUGUCUUCUAUUGGUUGACUCCAUCAACAAUCGGCUUGACUCUCCAUGGGAGAUUCAUACCUGAUUCUUGAAGCCGCCGCUCUCUUUCGUCGCUUCUCUCAUUUUCAAAUUAGGUUUUGCAAACGAGAAGCUAAUUUUGCAACAGACUAGGUCGCAAAAGCCCAUAGUAAGGGCUCUCUUUUUUCUAAUUGGGCCAACCUUCCCCCCCCCCCUCUUUGAUCUUCUUCUUUCGGACGCUUUAGCAGCGGGUUGUAAUACUGUUUCCCAUCAAUAGCUAUUUCCUUUCUGUCCAAAAAAAAAGUCAGUUGGCAUUUUUAGGUACUAAAAAUUCAUAUUUUUCUAUCAAUUUUAAUAAUUUAUUCACUAUUAAAAAGCCACUUCUCACUCUUUUCUUUGUUUGCGAAUUUCGAAAGCAAAUUUAAAUAGUUAUACUUGAAGUUCAUCAUGAAAAUGUCAAUUCUCACCACCAUAAUUCAUUCAUUUGAAAGGACUAUAAUUUGAUAUGUAAGACCAAAUCAUUUCAUAUUAUUAUUAUUAUUAUUAUUAUUAUUAUACUAUGACAAUUGAUGAAAUGUUCAUUUUGCUCCAGUUAUAACAUUUGUCUCACUGUAAUACCACACAACCAUUUCCUGAUUUGCAGUGUUCGCAAUUAGUGCAUGCACAUAUCUUAAAAUUCAUUUAUUGAUUUCUUAAGUAUUGCUAAUAACAUCUACGAAGAUAUGCAAGACCAAUUCCUUUUCAAGAUUUUUUUUCCCACAUUUUUUGGAAUGGUUAAUUUAUGUGAAUUCAUAAUAUUAAUUACGUAACCUCAAUUUUCUAUUAAAUAUAUUUAUAUAGUUACGCUAUUAUGAUAUAUUAGAGAUGCUCAUCGCAUCAAGGUCCUUUCUUUCCAUUGCGUAAUUUAUUUAUUGCUUUAAUUUUUUAGUGUUAAAUUCUUAUUUGGAUAACCGCAUUAUCACUCAUCAUAUGUUAAUGGCUUAAGGUUAAAAUUGACAGAGACUGCUUGCACAACAUUUUCGAACUAAAGAGAAAAUAUAUUAAAAAGGCGCUAGAUUCAUCUUAAGUAAUCAAGUCCCCGUAUACAUAACAAUUUGGUUUGCGAAAGUAAAAUUUUUUGCUGUAUUUUACUUGGGUUAUCAACCCAUAAUAGAUUAGUGGCAACUCCUAGAAUUGAUUUGCAUGUCUAAAUGAUUUAAAUAGAAUCCAAAAAUUGUGAUUGGUAUGAUUUUCGGAGAGUUCGCAUUGAGUGAUGGCACUAUCGACACAUCUCUUUUAUGAUUAAGUGUUUGUCCCUGCUUAGUAUUACAUUAGUUUUCUCUUGGUACUUUUCUCUUGGUACUUUACCUUAAGAAAGGUCGUGACACUAAUAAAUACAUCGCCAUGGCCAUCCUCUCAAUUGAUGAUAAUUUAAGAUUGGUUGUUUCGAUCGAAUAAUUCGAACUCGGCAUGGGUCGAUCCUUUGAAUGUCUCAUCUAAAAGAUGAAGAAUUACUAUUGUACAUUUUCUCUUCCCUACAAACGUAUGGGUAGAAUAGUGUACAUUAGCCGAAUUAAAAUGUAAAUAAAGGCCUUUCAAACGCUCAAAUCUCAGUUGAUCAAUUCAUUGACUUUUUUUACCAAAAAAAAAAAAUCAUUGAUUUUGAACAUGAAGUACACUAUAAAUCAUCAUCCAAAUGCCUCCAAAAAUUAUUCUCUUCUUAUUGUAAGGGAUUGUGGUCGUACAUCGGAGCACUAAUUUUUGUAGCGCUAGUUAGACAUAGACACCUUGAAGUUGUAUUGGGGGAUAAAAGAAGUUGUCCCAAUUUACUUCGACAUACCGAUGGAUUCAAGCUUUAGAAAAUAAUGAGGUUUACAUCGGAGAUCCCUCACAGAGACUUCUCUAAUGUAGCAUGGUUAGCCCCCGAUCUUGUUUUAAAUGGAACAGCUCUACACAUUUCCAAGAAAAUCGGUUUUCUAGACAAAACAAGAUUUCCAUCGUCUGCCGACGCUGCAUUUGCGGUUUAUUGCUAAGAUGGGGGUGUUGGUAGGAGGGUGGAUUGGUGGUUGUGCAUGGAAAAAUCUGUGCUUGUUGGAGGCGAACAGCAUAAGCCAUUGCCGUGACUGAUGAGAAGCAAAAGUGGAAAGUGCGCGUAUAAAUUUAAGUGCGACCGGAAUGAAAGUUUUUGCGUCUACAAAAUAUUUAAGCCUUUGCGCCCCAAUUUUAUUUAUUUUUUUGCUAAUCGUUAUUUGCAACACAAAAAUUAAAUGAUCAUAAACUUUGACCUAAUAUAUAAUAUUAUCAGAAAAUUUUAAUUUGUUCAAUAUAUGCUGUCCCCGGAGUUUAAUUUGUUCAACGUUUUCAUUUACUCAAUUAUUAGGAAUGAGAAGUUAUUACUAGUUUCAUUUAACCUCGAGCCUGUGAAUUUAGUUUUUAAGUUUAUGUCCGAAAGUUUAUCACUAGUAAUUAAAAAAAAAAAAAACCAACUAGCAACAGUUGCGUGUGACGCCCACGCUUCAGCCUUGGAGGGAAGCGGAAGAGCUCGAACCCAUUCAAUUCAUCCCAAGCAGCUUCCAUUUCUUUUCUUUUUUUCUUUUUUUUGUCAGUCCUACUCUAUUUCUACUCUACACUCGCUCUCAGACUUUUGUCAUGCCUCUUGCAGGGCAUGAGAGUCGAAACCCACUCCUAAAACUUACGCGUCCCCACCCCAUCCCUCCUUAAGAAGGUGGGGAUUUGAACCCCUCACCUCCCCCUUCCAUUUCGUCCCCACCCCAUCCCUCCCUAAGAAGGUCGGGAUUUGAACCCCUCGCCUCCCCCUUCCAUUUCAUCCCUCAAUUCCCACUGCAACAAUCUCUCUCUCUCUCUCUCUCCGAUAUGGGCAUCAAGGUAGUUUCAGUUCGACCUCCGUCUCCUCCAAUCCGAUGAUAAUUCAUAUGUUGUUCAUCGAGUCUCGUCCACUGAUUUCGAUAAGGACUGAUGAAGCUACUGGCGGACAAUGCCCCGACCGCCAUGAAGGAGCAGAAGCUCGAGAGCUACUUCGGCCGAAGGAUCGCCGUCGAUGCCAGCAUGAGCAUCUAUCAGUUCCUCUUUAAGUUGCUUUUUAUGGAUCAAUGCCUGUAAUUGCGCAUUUCGGUUUGUCGGUUGGGAUUUUGAUUUUGAGUGUUGGGAUUUUGCCUGUGAUUGGUGGAUUAGGUUGUGGUUGGGAGGAAGGGGACUCAGAUGCUCAACAACGAGGCUGGUGAAGUCACCAGGUACACUGGCAUUGUAAUACUCCAUGGAAAUGAAAAUCCACUUUCGAUGUGAUCUUUGUGCCUGGAAAGUGUUUGGGUUUGAGCUGCUUUCCCGUUCAGUCAUCUGCAAGGCAUGCUUUACCGGACGAUUAGGCUGUUGGAGGCGGGCAUAGAGCCAGUGUAAACUUUUUUUACUUUACCUCGUGUGUUUUCAUUGGGAUAGAAUGCUAGAAGAAUGAAGCUCGUGCUUCUCUGAAUUAUGUUUUGCUGUUGUGAUGAUAGCUACGUAUUUGAUGGUCCACCUCCUGAUUUGAAGAAGCAAGAGCUGGUAAAACGGUACUUUAUUAUCAUGUAGCCUUUUCUUUUCUAUUUUUUGGAAUUAUCUAUGAAUAUGUUUAGUUACCUUAAAUGAGUUUCUGAGCAGUUUUUUGAAGAGGGCAGCUGCCUCUGAGGAGUUGGCAGUAGCCAUUGCGGUAUAUGCAUCUCUCUCUCUCUCUCUCUCUCUCUCACACACACACACACACACACACACACACACAAGCACCCAGAAACACAGAGUACAAAAAUGCUUAGUGAGCUCUGUAUUUAUUGUGUCUGCAGUCUCAGAACAAGGAAGACAGAGAGAAAUUCAGUAAAAGAACUGUGAAGGUUGGUCUCAUUUUGGUUUCCUUACGGUGCGAUAUUUUUGUCUUAUUUGAUGUGAAGUUUGACUUUGUCUCUGUUUUCCAGAAAAUCCUAUCUACGUAGCUAACUGGAUGUGUGUGCACUCGUGGUACAUGGCUUUGAUACUCUUGCAGGUGACGCAACAGCACAAUGAAGACUGCGAAAGACUAUUAAGGCUUAUUGGUGUCCCAGUAGUUGAGGUUACUAUUCUGUCUGAAAAGUUUGUUCUUUUUAUUUCUAACAAAAAGUUUAGAUACCAAUUUCAGUUUUUGUACUUUAGGCUACUUCAGAAGCAGAGGCACAAUGUGCUGCACUUUGCAAAGCUGGAAAGGCAAGUAUCUUCCCAUUUGAUUGUCUUCUGAUUUAGAAUUGUUCAUUGUUUUCCCAUGAUAACCAAUUGUUUAACACUACGUAAACAUGAUUUAAUUUCCUAUUUCACUCACACAUAUGCUUGUUCACUUGUCUAAUGUCUUCCUCUGCAUAGUCACUUACAUUUGAUAUGUUCUUUACUAAGCCAUCUUUGUCCAAGGAAUUUUCACUGACCUUGAAUUCUUAUCAUUACUUAAUUGUCGUGUGGUAACAAGAAUUCAUCUACCAUGAAUGGUGCUUUAGCUGUAAUAUUUGUUUUUCGGGUUUGUGCAGUUGCUUCUGAAGAUAUGGAUUCCCUUACUUUUGGAGCUCCUAUAUUUCUUCUCCAUUUGAUGGAUCCCAUCUCAAGAAAAGUUCCAGUUAUGGAAUUUGAAAUUUCCAAGGUACUUAGAAAAGUCAUUCAUUGUGAUUGCUUAAAUUUUUUUUUGCACUUUCAUGACUUUUAGAUCUUGGAGGAGAUGAAUCUGGAUAUGGAUCAAUUCAUUGACCUGUGCAUUCUCUCUGGAUGUGAUUAUUGUGAAAGCAUUCAAGGUAGACAUGAUAUUGUUGCAGUGCUCUGUUAACUGUUUUAUGCUAUCGUAUAUCAUUCUGCCCUCUCGUAUGUUUUAGCUUGAUGAUUUCAGUGGCUUUACUUGGGAAUGAAUUUAUCAGGUAUUGGAGGGCUGACUGCUCUUAAGCUUAUCCGUCAACAUGGUUCCAUAGAAAACAUACUAGGGAACUUAACAAACAAAGGUGCUUCUUAUUCUCUUAUCUUGUCCCCUGAGUUGUAAGCAAAAGAAGGCAGCAAAGUUUCUCACCGUAAUAGUCAUGACUGCUGAAUUCCUUGAUUUAAAAGAAUUAUCUCUCAAACUCAACUGGCAUGGAAAUAUUUGGUCAACAAUUUGAAACUGAAAGAUCAUUCGCCAACUGUAGAUUUGGGCUGGCAAUCAGUGCAUCAGCCAUGCUACUUCAUAUGUUGAUUUACUAUAGUACUUUUAUCUAUACUGAUGUCUGCUAUGUCUGUUCUUUCAUCUCGCUUGAACAAAAUCAUAUCGUGUCUCUAUCCUGAAGAUCCAGAGGUUCUUUGCAGUACUUGGAAGUCUUUAAUCAGUUUGGUUAUCCUUCUUAAGGAAAUGUUUGCUUGUCUUUUGAAUAGGUAUCAGACACCAGAGCAAAGCUCAACUGUUAUUGGAGGAACCAAUAGUUUCUACAGAAAAACAACCUGAGAUAAAAUAGACUGCUCCAAACGAGGAGGUGGGCCAUUUUCAUGUUGGGAUUUACUUGCAACAUUUCACUUUUUGGAUUCUUGACUCGUUUCCUAACCGAUUGUUAUUUCCCUUUCAAGGGCUUAAUUUCCUUUCUCGCGAAUAAGAAUGGGUUCAACAUUGAGAGAGUGAUGAGGGUAUGGCUUCUAUCUUCAGUAAUGUGUUGGUCAGUUGCCUACUUGAGGAAGUUGCUUCUUUUCCUCUGAAGGAGAGAGCAUACAUGUUUUCAAUGUUGUUUUACCACAUGUAUCAGGCAAUAGAGAAGAUUAAGGCAGCUAAGGAUGAGUCAUCACAAGGCAGGUAACUAAAGCUUGAACAAAUGAAAGUGACUUCCAAGAUGCACUUUCCUUAUUGCAGUGAUUCCUUUCAUUUAUUUUCUACAGAUUAGAAUCCCUAUUUAAGCCAGCUAAGAGUCUAUGUGUACCUGCUAAGAGGAAGGUAUGUUAUCUCAAUAUCUUUGAAUACUGAGCACCUGAAUUUUCCUUCUUUUAAUGUAUGCGAAGGUGUAAUGUACACAUUGCUCUAGUGAAGAGAGCUACUUUUGAUAGAUGAAUAGUAGUCUCUUUAACUAGCUUCAUAAGCCAUUGAUUGCCCCCAUGAUGUACUAUUUAUUUUUUAUCUUUGUGGUCAUUUUUAAACUUUUGGUGAUAGUGUUGUAAAUCAAUGUUAGUAUGUUGUCAUGCCCUGCUGCUUAUGCUCAAUUGCUCUCUUAUGACUUUACUGAUGUGCUAAUGCUGUUGCAUCACCCUAUUCAUUAAAUCAAUUAGAUAAACAAAAGCACCAGUAUGCUUAUACAGAUCUAUUAAGAGGUUCGGCCUGAUUAACUACUGUAAUUGCACUGGAUGACAGGGAAGCAAAUGCACGCUUCAAUCCCCCAAUCUGGCAUUCAAGCAUAAGACAUUCUCUACACAAGUCUCUGUAAAUCUCCAGCCCAGGUUCCUUGGCAGCUUUAUAAUGCCAACCAUGGUCAUGGUUUUGAGGAACUUCAGACAGCUUCUGAGCGUUAUCUGCCUCCCGACAUGGAGCUAAAUGAUGGUGAAUGUAAGAACCCUAUUUAUUGAGCAAGUCCUGACUUGUAGAUGCUGUUUUUGCCCGUAGUUGGAAGCAAGUUGAUGCUUUCCUUCCCUUAAAAACGGAUCAUGUCUUAUGGUACUGCAAUUUUGGAAGAGGUAUAAAUUUUUAUUGGAAGGAUGAAGUUUGCAUACUAUUGUUCUUUUUAGAGUGUGUAAUUGCUGUCUUAAGGAUUCUAUAUCUUCCAUGUAUUGUACAUUUACGACAUGUAUAUAUCACUUUAACAAAUUGUAUAUUAUUGUUAUUUAUGCAACAGGAAACCCUUGGGAAUAUUGCCAAGGAAGCAACUAACUAGAAUUCCAGGGCUGGUGGUGGUAAGAAGAAAAGAAUCGUUUAGUCGGCACGACAUAUCAUGGAACAGCAAAACCAUCAACUUUCAAAACACAAUGAGGAUGUAACAGACACUUUUUGAAUCUAUUUCUAAUCCUAUUUAAUAGUAUACUUAAUAGUAUAUAUGAACCUAUACGAAUGGGUUGGUACGUAGGUUCACAUAUCAUUCUUUCAAUUUCCAUAAGCUCCUAAACUCCUCCAUAUGCAUAUCCAUUUUAAGCUUGUUGCAUCUUUCCAACCUCUAAUUUUCACAUCCUAAUUUUGCCAUUCUUUCUGUUUCUCUUCUAAUCGUGGUUCCAUAUGUUAUAAUGGUAUGACUUUGGGUUUGGGUGCUCUUCCCAUCGCCUUCCUCUUAAGAUAGAAGUCGAGGAGCUUCGCAUUGGUUGGAUCGAUGAGAAAGCUCUGGAGAAAGAGUUUCUAAUGUCGUCACGAAAUCCAAAUGUUUUCAUGUUGUACUCCGGUGAAUUGGUUGGAUCGAUGAGAAAGCUCUGGAGAAAGAGUUUCUAAUGUCGUCACGAAAUCCAAAUGUUUUCAUGUUGUACUCCGGUGAAGAGUUUCUUCAGAGACUACAACUUGCACAGCAUCUUGGAAACAACUCAGCCACACCAAAAUCACCUCAGCGUCAUUCGAACAAUUCAACCUCUCAAACACCAACUGAACAACAUCAAAGUAAACCGUGGCAAAACCGCAGCAAAGGCAGCCAACCUCAGGUUUACUUUGAUGUUGCUGAGUUGGUGUUUUGAGGGGUUGAAUUGUUCAAAUGACGCUGAGAUGGUUCUGGCAUGGCUGAGUUAUCCUUGCAGUUAUUCUCAGUCUCGUCCGUCUCUGAGCUUCUGUCCUAUGAAAAUCUUUAGGUCUUAUGUAAAUGAAAUUCUAUUUUGCAGUUCAUUUGCAUUGACACCCUCGGUUUCUGCCUGGUUUGAUCUCUUAAAUCAGUAUGUCAUAUUAUAUUUUUAAGCAGAAGUUAAAGGCAACCGCGACGAUAGUUACAACACCAUGGAAGAGAGAAUUUGCAUGGACACUUGGACAGGCUUUCUAUUCACGAGUCGCUAUAACAAAUUUUGGUGGGCCUCCUGAACUAUAUGUUCAAAUGAAAUCAAUCCCCAGAAACUCUUUAGUAAUAGAAAAAAAGAAACAUGAGAAAUAAUUCAGACGAGUCUUGUUUUGAAAGCGUAACAUUAUUUAUGUGAACAUAAUUCUAGCCUCUGCUUUGCCUACAGUAAUAUUACAUAUUCGAAUGAUCGCUAAAGUUCGACGUUCUCUGCAAAACGUCCCAUGAAAGUCUGAAUCUUGAGGAGAACAUGCGUGCAAUGCCUUUCUCACUCGGCAUUUUUGAUAAUUUCUACUCCCCUGGAACAAAAUAGAAAUAUUGUUAGCACCUGGCAUUAUCACUUGCAAAGUGACGAAAAUAACUUACGAAUUAUCAAUUGACACCUCUAACGAUGAUAAUGAUGAUCGUAAAUUAAAAAAUAGUUGUCAGAUUAAUUCCCUUCCAAAAGAACAAAACUCACUUGGAGAAGUUUUUUGAUAAGGAUGUAUCUUAUAGGUGAUCUUUCUGCACCAAGCAAUUUUAAAGGUAGACAUGGAUUGUAUACACUCCUGCUGGUACAUCUUCGAGUUUCAAGCCCUCGUCAAGAAUAAUUUCCUAUAGCAGCCUCAGUUUCUUGAGCCUAGACUUCGUAUAAGAGUGCAAUGAUGUGAAAUCUGGGCAAAAUCACCAACACUAUUUUAGGUCUGAGAUGGCAAUUCAGCAAUAGAACAUGGUCAUUCUCAACUUUGAUGGGGAAAUUUGUCAUAAAUCAAAUCAAUUUCUUACCUGGCUUUCGAGGAAGAUAAGAUGGGAUGGAAUCAAAUCUCAUAUGCAGCAACAGACAGGUAACCAGUUCAUGAAUUGAAUAGCACAGACUGCAUCAUGCAAGAUUGCAUCUCAAUCUCAGACAUGUAAUAGUCUACGAGUUGCAGAACGAGAAAGAAAUUAGAUCAAGUUUCACCAUUUCUCAAGAGGGAGGUUUAGAAAAAACUGAACCUGCGUAUGGCUCAAAAACCUAAUCACAACAUAUACAUGAGCAUUUUCUCACACAUACGUCUUUAGAGAUCAAUCAAAUAUCACAUGUUCAUGUUGACAGUUGUUUCAGCACCAUACUGCGAAUCUUGUAUCGUCAGGGAGAAAAUCAAAUAAGAUGAAAGUAUGCAUUUUUUGCCAUGCCUAAGAUAACAUUUGCUUGUAGUGAAGCUGCACGUAAGAAUUGGUGGUAAUAGAAGAGGUAGCUACCUAAUAGAACAAUAUAUCCAAACAUGGUUUCUGGGUAACGAUUAGGAAACAUAAUGAAUUACACCACAAAUCAAUGAGUCCUGGUAAAAGGUGAAGAGAACAUUAGAAUGAAGCAAGCCACCACACACACACACACACACACACACACACACAAAAUUCUCAUUGAGAUUGCAUCAGUAUAGUAAAGAGGAAUGAAUCCUACCAACAAUGUGCUCUCUACCACCUAGUUUGCUCCAUCUCUCAUGAAUCCCACAUAGCUCAUGUAGAACUCUUUUUUGGUAUAUAAGCCGUCUGAGAAUGAAACAGAGCACAAAUAAAACUUGUCCGUCUGAUCAUAGCAUAUUAAGAUAUUCAGAUGAGUGCUCCAGUAGCAUGUGUAUGGGCGACAUGAUUUCCAACAAUUUAGAAAUCCCACAUUAGUUCAACUGACAAUGACCCAUAAAAGGAUCUGUUUCCCUGGUGGUAUUUAGGGUUCUAAAGAACAACCAUCUCACAUCCAUGGGGAUAUGUAAAGACUCCAUUACUUCAACUACAGGAAGUAGUCUGUCGUUCUCACAGAAUUGGUUGGAUAUACCACUAUGUUUUAAUCUCAAAAGCUGUCAUAUCCAAAGUUAGUAAGUGCCUGAUGAUAUUCUUGAAAAUAUAAAGGAAAAAAGCCAAUGCCUUGUUCUCACUACCAAGACUAGUAUUCUACUUGGUCCAUUGCAAAAUUAACAAUAUCAGAAUCUAGCUAGAAGAACUAGUGUAUUGCCAGCAAUGGUCACCACUGGGGCAACUAAAUUGUGCAAGAUUGUUACUUUUGGAAGUAAAAAAUACUCACAUAGUAGGAAAUAGCUGAUAAUUCACCAGUAAACAAAAUGUAUGAUAUUCAUAGACAAUAAAACAAUAUAAGGUGGCAAAUAUGACAUGCUAAGCCCAACACACAAAUGACUAACUAAAAUGGAUAUGGAAAUGCAGCCACUGCUAUGAAGCACCCAAGUUUCCAGCAAAUUGUUCGAGCAAUCAAACCUACUUAAAUGAUUUAUACAAAGUCCACUCCAACAAUUCAGCCCUUGGCAUGUAAUUUCAAAAGCAAAGUAGAACCUAGUACAAGUUAUUAUUGCAAAUGAGUGAAUUAGAGAAAUCACAUCACUGUUCUUACACACAGGUCAUCUUAUGUACUCCAUUUUUUGACUUUUUUUUUUUUUUUGCUUUCAAACCUGAUACAUAAUUUUUAUUGAAGCUCUGAAAAAGAACCUUAUGGAGCUAAACCCUUAACACUAUAAAAGACGCGAUAUGAAACGACCAAAAUCCAAAACAACUCAACAACAGUUUCGUUAGCAAAAUGGAUUCAAGGUAGGAAGUAAUUACUUUCCACUGCUGAUAAAGUCAUCUAAAGUGAGGGUAUUAUUGUUCCACACUGCAUGAUUCAACUCCGUAAGCCCUUCAAUGAGUGUAAACAGAAACUUCUCUUGAAAUGUGGACCCCAUCUGCACACCAAAUCAAAUCAAAACUAAGAUGUCUAGUCACUCAGCUUUUCCAAUUAGCUCAUCACCAUAAACUUCACCCAUCAGAACCCCUGUAACAAAACUUAUCCAGAUCUGAACAAGAAAAGAGGUAAUUGCGCAAACAUUUGGUGUACAAUUUAGAAUUACCAGUGCAAGUUAUUGUGUGAAACUUGGUGCUGCCACAUUCCGGCUGCUGAUGGGGCUCCUAAAGGCGAUGGUGGAGGUGGCAGCGACACGCCGAAGAAUUCAGUGGAUCCGAGCUCGCCGGACGCGGACAACAAAUCAGAGCCGCUGAUGGGAAUCCUGGAUACAACGGUGGAGGCAUAGGCAACGUUUGAGGUGUCACCCUCAAACUCUCCAGUAUUAGGGUUCAUCGACUUCAUUAAAAUUGCCGUCUGGUUUAAUAAUUGCUCUUGGCCCUGGCGUAUUCCAGCCGUCGAUGGGUCUCCUAGAGGCGAUGGCAAAGGUGGAGGCAGCGCCGACAUGCCCCAGAAUUCGGCGGAUCUGAGCUCGCUGAACGCAACUGACGAAUUAAAGCAGCCGACGGGACUCCUGGAUACGACGGCUGAGGUGUAGGCAGCGUCAGCGUCUGAGAUGUCACCACCAAACUCUCCAUUACCAUAGAUCGUCUGCUUCUUUAAAGAUUCCAAGUGGUUUAGACCUUGCACGCUUUUUAGCUCUGGCGAAAACUUGGUGCUGCCAUAGUCCAGCUGCGUGAGGGUGCUCCUAGAGGCAGAGGCGAUGGUGGAGGCGGAGGUGACAUGCUGAAGAAUUCAGCGGAUCUGAGCUCGCCAGAUGUAGACGACGAAUCGGAGCCGCCAACAGGACUCCCGGAUACUACGGCGGAGGCGUAGGCAGCGUUUGAGGUGUCACCCCCAAACUCUCCAGCAUUAGGGUUCAUCAACUUCAUUAAAACUGCCGUCUGGUUUAAUAAUUGCUCUUGGCCCUGCCAUAUUCCAGCCGCCGAGGGGGCUCCUACAGGCAACGGCAUAGGUGGAGGCAACGGCGACACGCCCCAGAAUGCAGCGGAUCUGAGCUCACUAAAUGCAGAUGACAAAUCGGAGCCACCAACAGCACUCCUGGAUAUGACGGCGGAGGCGUAGGUAGCGUUUGAGGUGUCAUCGCCAAACUCUCCAUUACCAUAGAUUCUCUGCUUCUUUAAAGAUUUCGAGCGGUUUAGACCUUGCACGCUUUUUCGCUUUGGCGAAACUUGAUGCUGGCAUAUUCCAGCCACCGAUGGGGCUCCUAGAGGCGACGGCAGAGACGGAGGCGGUGGUGACACGCUGAAGAAGGCAGCAGAUUUGAGCUCGUCGGACGCAAAUGACAAAUUAGAGCAGCCGACGGGACUCUUGGAUACUACGGCGGAGGCGGAGGCGGAGGCAGCGUUUGAGGUGUCACCCCCAAACUCUCCAGCAUUAGGGUUCAUCGACUUCAUUAAAAUUGCCGUCUGGUUUAAUAAUUGCUCUUGGCCCUGCCAUAUUCCAGCUGCUGAUGAGGUUCCUAGAGUCAACGACAAAGAUGGAGGCAGCGGCGACUCGCCCCAGAAUGCAGCGGAUCUGAGCUCGCCAGAUCCGGACGACGAAUUGAAGCCGCCGACGGGACUCCUAGAUACGACGGUGGAGGCAGAGGCAGCGGUUGAGGUGUCACCCCCAAACUCUCCAUUACCAUAGAUUCUCCGCUUCUUUGAAGAUUCCGAGUGGUUGAGACCUCGCACGCUUUUUAGCUUACGACAAUUUUCUACUUCUUUCCAUAGCUUUUUCAAUUUCGAUAGGUCUGACAUCGUCUCCAAGGAAGGGCAAUAGAAGACUCUUAGAGAGCAAAGGGAUCCCAAUUCUUCAAGGCCACGAAUCUCGACUAAUGAAAAACAAUCUCGCAAACUUACCUUAUGUAGAUUCUUCAUGUGUGACAGAUCAAGUACUUCUGGAAGGAACUCACAUCCAUCCAUCUCUAAUAAUCUCAACCUUUUCAUUUCCAGCUGCAAGGGUGUGUCCAACUUUUUAAGCUCACAAAUCUCCAUACGGAGUUCCUCCGACUCCGCCUCAAAUAUACUAGAAAAUUCUAGCGAGCAUCUGUAGAAUGUCAAGAUUGACAAGUUUCUCAAAUUGGACAAAUCCGGUGAUGGUGUGGUCGUCAGAUCUCGAAGUUGUAACUCCCUUAAACUAGAUGGGAGCUGGGGUAAGAAUUCCCCAUUUUUGCAGGACAAUUUUAGUGUUCGAAGUUGAGAUAGGGUACCGAUGUUAGUGGGAAUAGUGGUGACAAGUGUUUCGUGUUGAGAUAGGGCACCAAUUCUAGUGGGAAUAAGGAGGGCUAUCCCAUAUCCCUCACGAGAACGACACCGUAUAUCCUCAUCAUAUUCCUCAAGAGCAAGGUAUUCCUCAAGGUCUUCCUCCUGCUGAAGUUCCUCCGGGUCAUAUGUCUCCAUCUCUGCGGAGGAACACCAGCAACUUUUCGGGCCCCAUCUCAGACAAGUCAAACUUUGGGGAAGCUCCGGCAAUUGUUUAAGCUCAGGACAUUUUUCUAGCUUAAGUGUUUGGAGAUUAGAGAGGCAACUUAUUGAGAUGGGUAAUCCGGAUAUACGUGUGUUUGACAAGUCUAGGAUCUUCAAACGGGACAGUUUCCCAAUUUCUUUAGAAAUUUCGCCGGUCAAAUUGCAACAUCCUCGAGCAUCUAACUCUUCAAGCUUCUCCAUCAGCCUGAUCACACUUGGUAAUUCUUCAUCAAAUGAAGGAUUAAAAUAAUUAAAAAAAUAAUCCGUUGUCUCACGAAUUGAAUUAGGUAGAUGACCAAUACUUGGCGAUGACAAAUUCAUUCCAACUAAUGAUUGUAAUUUUGUAAUCGAAUAUGGAUGUUCCUCUAAGUAUGAACACCUAGAUAAAUGCAACGGCCCUCCAAUUGAGUAGGGCAAUUUUAAAAAUGGUUGUUUGCUGAUCAUUGACCGUUGAAAUUCUUCUGUUGGGGAAGACAAAAUAAUCUCUGUCAAAGCUUGUAGACAUCCUAUUUCUUCGGGCAACUUUUGAAGAGAUUCACAUCCAUCCAAGUUUAAAAUAGUUAGGCACUUUAAUUUAGCAAUGGAAUGGUCAACUUCAGUUAAGUUGCUACAACCUUUAAGAACCAAUCUCUCUAGGUAUACCCAUCCAGAUAAAUCAGGUGUUCUAUUUAAGUAUGCACAGUAACUGAGAUCUAGUACUUUUAGUUUUCUAGCCUCCUGCAAAACAAUUUGAUAAAAUAUAUAUAAAUAAAUGACUUGUAGGGAAAAAAAACAAGGCAAAAGAAAUGAUAUCUUAUUCAAGGAGCGGGGCUCGUAUCAUACUCUGAUUUGGUCCCACCCAAUCCAUUUCUCCGAAAUAUUGCUGCAUGAAAGGUCAAGAACAACUAAUUUGGCUGAAUGAAAGUUUGUUGUCUCAAACUUGGAAUCGUAGCCAUGCCAAGAAAGCCAUCUUAAAUUUUUGAAGUCUCCAACGAGGGACACAAAUUCCCCUUGAAGGAACCUUAGGUAUUGUAAAUCAGCAAAUCCAUCAUGCAUCGGAAUCUCUUGAUGAAAUAAAUGAUGUAUACGUCCUACUGAUAGUGCUUCUAUUUUCCUACUUUCCUGACAAUGGAAACACCAAAAAGUUCACAUGUGAAGGUCAAAAGCAAACAAUUUUUAAGCGAUAAACGAUUAAUUUUUCCUUUUGCAAGAAUAGUCUACAACAAUUCGCAGGAAAAUAAAUUGGCGUUCCCCUUUUUACCUCUUUCAACUUCAGAAUGUUCAGCGCUUCCUCAUGGCUCCACACUCUGCUACGCUCAUUAGGAUGUUUGAAACUCUCUUGAAUGACGAUUUGCCUUCCGAGGUCCCGCACUUGGUCGUGCAUCCAUAAAGUAUUGUUGUCCUUGAGUUUAAUCAAGGACAUAAAAAGGAGGACAUCAAUGGCAUCGUGUGGGUGGUAUCCACAGGCAUGCCACAUGUAGGAAGGGUAUGUUUUGUCUUGAUCAACAAAAAAACAAGCUAUAUCCAAAAAUACUUCCUUUUGUUUAGAAUCUAACCUGUCAUAAGUUAUCUUCAAUGUUUGCAUGACUUCCAUGGGAGGAGCUUCUUUUAGCUUCAUUAAUGUGUCCAUCCAUAUAUCUUCGGAUUUACCAUUAAGGGAUGAACCUAUAAUCUCCAGAGCUAAAGGAAGCUUUCCCAAAGUACGGACAAUUUCUUCAGAAAGGAAGACACAAUGACCUGGUGGAGAGUCUCUUCUAAAGCAAUGCCUACUGAAAAGCUUAAGAGCAUGAUCAAAUUUCAUUUCUUGUACAUCAUAAGUCGAAACAUUUGCAGACUUUUCUACAAGGCCUUUACCUGUUGCUUCUCCCACAAUCUUUAGGACACUUUGGUCCCUGGUAGUUAUGAUAAUCCUACUACCAGAACCGAACCAAUCAUCUUUCUUUACUAGACUUUCAAUUUGCUUUUUCUUAUCCACAUCAUCAAGAAUAAUGAGAACUUUUUUAUUUUUAAGUACUCCUUUCUCAAACAUUUUGAUCCCGUCAUUCACAUUAUAAAUUUGGUUGAUAGAAUGAGGACCAAGUAGCUUGGAUAAUAGUUGUUUUUGCAAAUUUACCAAACCAUCAUAGCUGUUUGACGAUUCCCGAAUGUCCACAAGGAAACAACAUCGGUCAAAUCUAGAAGAUAGGGUGUUGAAGACGACCUUAGCAAGAGUUGUUUUGCCGACACCGCCCAUUCCAUGGAUUCCAAGAAAUCGUACACCAUUAGAUCCCACAUCCAACUUUUUGAUUAUAUCUUCCACACGAUCAUCAACUCCAACUAGAUGUUCAGUCACAUUUUCAUAUUCAACCUUCAGCUUAAGUGAAAGCAUUUGAAUUAUUGAACAUAUAAGAUCGCCUUGGCUGCCAUAAGGUAACAAAUAUGUUAGGUAACAAAUAUGUUAGGGAUAACUAUAUAUGUAAAACUACUCCCAAAGUGACUAUAAAUCUCUCACGUUAUGUGGAAAUAUGGCAAAAGAAUUUAGACAUUAAUACGAUUAAGAUUUUUGCCGAUCUCUCUCCGCUCCUCAACUGCAGUCACCAUCACCGUCGGCCCCCACCAUUGCCAUGCGUGCACCGUCAACAUCGCAUUUCGGUGCCGUCGCUCGUUGCGCCCGUUGACUGGCCAUCUCGGCCUUGGCUCAAUUCUCCACGUCACGUGUGUCGUGGCCUCGCAACUGCCGGGGAUGGCGUCAUCAGCCUUGGGCCAAGGCCAGCGACGUCGGAUAUGGGCGUCCAGAUCCCGGAUCCAAUUCGCCACCGCGAGUGAAAGAGAGAAAGCGAGGGGGCCAAUUGGCUCAGAGGCAGCUUCUGGCUGCUUGGUGUCGGGCUGGCGACGAAGAAGUGGCGGCGACUGACGGACAAGCUGCUGCAGUGGCUGGCCAACAGCUUGGUGGAGCUCUUUGGAGAUCUAUUAAUGUUCGUUUCUAUUGUGUCAUAGACUGAGAGUAUGAGGAGAGAGUGAAUCAGGAUAAGAAGGGUGCGCUAUCACCACAAUAGUGCCAUGGGCUGGAGCUAAUGCAGCGAUACCGCCGAUAGGGGCCACCAGAGAGAAUUCCUUUCUCGCCGCUAUAGUGGCCAAUAGCAGCAGCAGCCAUUGCCGCGACCGCCUCUAAACUAUAUAAAAUUGACUACAUGCGUAAACUAUAUUUUCACCAACAAUACCGCAACUAAACUAAACAGGAAGGGAAAUGAAAUUUGCAGACGACAGUUGACAAGUUAAAAGACGUUUACCCUUGAUCAUUCUUCAAGUUCCAUCCCUUUAUCUCGUCCACCUCAUUGAGAGCCUUUUUCCAUGACUCCACUUCUGCACUAAACUUUUCCUGAUGCUUUGCAAGAGCUUGGCUAUAUAAGUCUGUUUUGAGCUUGACAUCUUCAGGUUCCACAUCUAAGAAAAUGGGCAGAAUCUCUUUGUUCUCAUUCAAUUUCGAGGUGCACUUGACCAUGUAUGCAAGUUCUCGGAGGCACCAGUGACUCGAAGCAUAAUUUUUGGAGAAUAUGGGAAUGUAGAUUUUGGCGUUCUCAAUUGCUUGUAGAAGUUCACCACCAAUUUUUUGGCCGACGCGAAGGGAUUCAUCGUCCCUAAAGACAAGGAUCCCAACCCCAACCAUGGCAUGGUAAAGGCAAUCAGUGAAUCCAUGACGGGUGUCGGCUCCCCGAAAGCUUAGAAAAACCUCGUAUGAAGGUCCGGAUGAUACCGAUGAACUCAUCCCUAUCUCCAUUGCAGGAUCGUUAGACACCACAGGUAUCAAAUCCUCUCUCUCUCUCUCUCUCUCUCUCACAGGAAAUGUCUGCUUUUCGAUGGUGCUUGGAUCUGAGCGUGGGCUCUCAAUAUAAAUAACCUCGCUGUCUCUGGCGUGACGGAGGUGGGGCAAAAGGCGCUGCACUUCGAAUAUCUUGUCUCCUUUGCAUCGGUUUGGCCAACGAAUUUCCCAAAUCAAUAAUAAAAGGCUAAUUUUAUUUAAAAACACCAUACUAUUAAGAAAAGUACAUCACUAGCUUUUAAGUGAAGGGACUUAUCUGUCAUUGGAAUUAAUGUCAUUUGAGAUGAUAAAAGCCCAAUAGAAAAUAUAAUCCUUCCCUAAACUCAUUUUAAUAUAUUUCAAUGAACCACAAUUUUCUUAGAAUAAGUAAAUCAAAAUAAUCAUAUCUCUUUAUGAAAUAUAUUUUGCUUCAUUUUUCACUGAGAGAUGGAUAGUGAAAUUAUAAGAUUUUAAACCAUUGGAAAGAAAUUAUUUUGCCUCACAUAUUCUAAAUCAACACGAUACUCAUUCUAGUAUUAAUUAAGGAACCCAUUAUAUUUCAACCCCAUCUAUUCAACAAUAAAAAAAGUGCAAUUAGCAUUAUAUUAUUGGAUAAUCCCUAGAACCUAAUAAUGUGGAAGGCCUACUAAGUAUUAACUGGUUCAUGCAUGAGUCAACAGUGCAAUCUUAGAAUCCUAGCUAUGCUCCUAUUUUAAUUUUCUUAAUACAUAUACAAACAAGAUAGAAGUGAGUAUUGUCAUAAUACUAUAAAAGAUUAACUUAAUUAGCUAAUAAGGUAGAUUGGACAUCCUAACUAUGGAUUAUCAGGAAAUAUUUAGUAUAUGACUCUACUUGGAUGUAAAAUGUCAUGAUAUCAUAGUGGUGCCAUUUGUUAUAUAGCAAGAAAAAUUUGUAAAGCAAGAAGAAUUGAUUGUCAAUAUCUUUUUUUUUUUAAUAAGAGAUAAUAAAUAUAUAGGGGAAAGGCCAAAUGUACAAAAGGUCAUGGCAUUGAAAACAUACACUCAAGAUGAGAGGACAUAAUGAGUGGACAGAUGUCGAGAUGUAAAAGCAACAACACAAGGCAACCAGGAAAAGGAAGCCAAGCUAACAAGAGACAAGCACGGCAUGAACAACCGACGACCAUAACACAAACUCCUCAAAGGAGGAGGGAGACCACCGCUACAAGUGAAAAUAAAAGUUUGAAUAAAGAAAUGGCAGGCGGUGUAUGACAUUAUUCAAGAAAUUUGUAUCCAUAAGUUUCAUUUAAAAGAUGUGUUGGAAAAAUAAAAUAGGUUUUACGAGUCAUCCUAGAAGAUUCAUAGAAGUUUCUACUGGUCAAUCAAUGGGUUGUCAUCUUAGGAGUUCCCAUAUCCCAUAUGUUUAAUAAAGUUAGAGAUUCAUAGCCUUAAAAUAGAGUAUAUAAAGUGAAAUUAAGAUACAAAAUGAAUAUGAUUUUUGUGCUUUUCUUUAUUGUGAUUAUAUUAAAAAAAAUUGAAAAAUCCAAUUAGACUUUGUAUCUACAUCAAAUACUACUUUGAUUUCUUGAAAUUUGCGGCAUUGUUCAUCUAUAGACAAAAAUCCUUAGCUAAAUGCUAAAUUAUCCUUCUAUAAUCGAAAUGUGUUGAAUGAAGUGAUCACAUGAUUGGUGUGGUGUGAUCCAUCAUUUCAUGCAAUGCACAUGUCAUUUUAACAGAAAAAAUCUGAGGUACGUCUGUCUGAUUAAUUAUUAAACGUGUUAGCAUCUAAGCAUGCGUCGAUCCGGGCCUUAAUUCCCCGAUGGCCCACUCUUAUUGCUCCCGUUCCCGAUGGAAUCAUCCUCAGCCGUCUGAUCAAAAUCCCUACUUCCAAGUCAAACCUCGUCACACAAUCAGCGGGGCCCAGAAAAGGAAAACGGGAGGAAAAGGCAUAUGAAACGAGUGCGUCACCAUCUUUGAGGACCCCUCAACGACAAGAGAAAGCGAGUCGAGAGUCUUUCACCAUCUUGCUGACUUGCUUCGUUGCAUCUGGAGACAAGAGACCAGCAUUUAUCGUGACAAUAUUACAUAGACUUAAUUUAAUAGUGAUGUAAUGGGUAAAACCAGUCAUAACAUAAUGUCAAUAUGGAACUUCUUCUUUUUUUGUGACUCACAUAAUGGAAUUUUUAUCUUUUUCUUAGGUGUUAUAAGAAAUCUAGAUGCCUGACAAUGCAAUAUAAACUCAAUAUACAUCAAACUCUUCAAUUUGUCUGAUGGCUUUAAAUAACUCUUAUUGAUCCGAUAGUAAAGCUACAAUAGUUAAGAUGCAAGUUCUAUUUAAAACAUCAUUUCUAUUAAGAAAAACACAUGAACAUGUUUUAACUAAAGAAACUUAUCCGUCGUUGGAAUAAACAUAAUUACUAAAUCAAAUUUAUUUUAUAUGUAUCAAAAUCUUAACCUUGCUUGGAAUUAAUUCAUUUACUUAAAUUAAAGUUAUUAUAUAUGUAACAGAAUCCAAAAUUAUUAUAAUAUGAAAAAUUUUGAAUGCUAGACUAUGCCCUCCCUUUUCAAAAGAUCAUUUAUAGUAAAUAUAUUUAGAUCCCGAACCAAUAUGGAACAAUACAUGGUACCACAAAUUAAACAUAAAGACGGCUACAAAUUGUGGAUCAUAUCAAUGAAGAUUACACAAAACCAAACUCAAAUAUAUCUAUCAUCCCAUUAAAAAUAAGAUGAUUGCAGUGAAAUCAACUUAAUUUUGGAAAUUGAGCUGUGAAUAAUAGCCUAGAUAAUCAAAUUUAGCGAUGGAGUAAAUGUAGAGUGCCAUGAGCAAUAUGUUGUUUAUUUAUAAAUUGGAUUGAUUUGCAAAAUUCACAAUUCAAAAUAUUUUAUAAAUUAUGAUUCACUCAUGAGUAGCUUGAUAUAUUUUAUUCCAAAUUUUAAAGUUGCAACCAGCAUAUCUUAAAUUUUAAAUUUAUACUUUAAAAGAAGGUAAAGAGUGGGACGAUGAAUUAUAAAAUUUAGGUUAAUCCUGAUUGGUUAAUUUGUUUGGAUGUCACACAAGUUCCAAAUCAUUGGUGUUGGAUAAUCUACUUCACAGCGUGCAACACGGGAAAGCAAGCCAAAGUUUUCUAAUAGUAUUUUUGCUCGCUUCGUUCCAUUUUUCUCUUCUCGGCCAAAGAAGUCAAAAGUCUUCCACCAUCUCCUUGCUUAGUUGCAGACAAAGUGAUAAACCAAAAGCUGACAAAACCUACUCAAAAGAAAAGACUGACGAGGGGAAGCAAGUUAAAGUCUUCCUCCACCUAGCACCAGAGGUGGGACCCUUAUUGAAGAGUCUUUCAUAGACGCGGUUUACAAAAUUGUUCAAUAAAUUAUUGUCCAUCAGUCACAUUUAAAGGACAUGCCAAAAAGUAGAACGCGAAUUUACAAGUCAUCCUGGAAAUUUCCAUGCCAAAAAGUAGAACGUGAUUUACAAGUCAUCUUAGAAAUUUCCUAGAAGUUUCAUUGAUCAAUCCAUGGGUAUCGUACUAGGAAUUUUUAUGUUGCAUUCAUUUAACAACAAAUUUAUAAAUUUAUAAAUUGAGGAUAUAGAGUGAAAGAAGGUGAAUGUGAUUUUUGAGCUUUUCUUUAUAUUAGAACGUGGUUUACAAGUCAUCCCGGAAAUUUUCUAGAAGUUUCAUUGAUCAAUCCACAGGUAUCGUAUUAGGAGUUUCAUGUUGCAUUCAUUUAACAACAAAUUUAUAAAUUUAUAAAUUGAAGAUAUUGAGUGAAAUCAGGUGAAUAUGAUUUUUGAGCUUUUCUUUAUAUUAACCACGUUAGAGAAAAUUUAAAAAUCCAAGCAAACUUUGUAUUUAUAUAAUAUACAACUCUAAGUUAUUGACAUUUGCGACAACAUUCAUCUUCAAAAAAAAAAAAUGCUUGAUUAGAAAAUUAAACUAUCCCUCUAUUAAUAAAAUUUAUACUAUCUACCAAUCACAUGAUUGAUAUCGUAUAAUCAAUCAAUCCAUGCUAUCCACACAAAGUAUGAUUCAUUUUAAUAAGUGCUAAAAUAUUAAAAAUAUUCAUUUUACAUUGAUUUAUCAUAUCAUAUGAUAUGAUUGUCACAUGAAAUGUCUUUUGCUCUACCAUGUCAUUUCUCUCUCUUCCCCCAAAACCAAAAAAAAAAAGAAAAAAAAAACCGUACUGCCAAGCAACGUUACCAUCCUCGGACACCACUACUCCCCAUUCAAAACCAACAACGCCCUCCACAACUUAGCCCCACCUUUGUCUGCAUCUCGCACUCCCUCUCUAUCUCUCUUCUCUACCAUGGCCUAACUUGAAAUUCGAGGCGUCUCACUCAAAGGUGCUAUAAUGCUUGUCUGCAUCUUUUUUCACUUUUAUUUUCCAUUUCAUUGUAGUCGGAGAGGUCGCCAGCAAGCCCUUACAAGCCCUUGCUGACAACUGGCAAUGAUGGCAGUCCUCACCUAAAGUCCUCACUGAUCACUGACGAGAGCACAAAAGCCCUCACUAGACCUGGGUGAGGCCCUCGCCCACAGCUACAAUAUGGGCAAGGGCCUUGCCUAGUGUCACUGGCCACAUCAUUAGAAAAAAAAAAAAAGGAAGAUAAUGAAGCAUCCGGGCUUUCAAUUAAGUAAAUCAAGUCGAUUAGUUGAGCAAAUUUCAUUUCAAAAUUCUGUUAAGCUAAUUACCCUAUUGUUAUUUUUAGUGUGAUGUGAGAUUAUCUAGUCUUAAGGUUGAGAUCCAUGACUCAAUCGAGGCAGCUAGCCAUUGAUUUGUUGUCUUUAUCAAUAAAUUCUUGAAAAUAUGUCGGAUGAUUUCUUGGGAGAAAAAUAUUGAGAUAGACUUGUUCUUUACACUUUUUAUUAGUCCCCCCUCUCUCUCGCCCUCAGGUAGAUGACAUGAUCAAGUUGGUGAUUUAUGCAAACGCAAAACGAUUGCACUUAUAAUACGUAUUUACGUAUUUAUUAUAUGGUUGAAAAAUUGUGUUGACCAUAUGAUAAAGAAAAGAAGAAACCAAAGAAAAGGAGGGGCGCACUAAAUGAACAUUUUCACGUACAGUAAGGGAAGGAUGCUAGAAAAGUGCGAUUCAUAAAAGAUAAAAUGCACAAAACUCCGUUGAGGAGUGUUUUAGUGAAAGUAAGAAUGGAAAGAGCACCGCGUUUCAAUAAUUUAAUAAUGAAGUGAAUGAAGAGUGCCACAAGUGGUAUGCUUUUGAUUAACAAAAUGGAUUGAUUUGCAAAAUCCUUCAUAUGAAUUAUUUUAUUAAUUAGGAUUUAGUUAUGAGCAGCUUGAUAUAUUUUAUUUCAAAUUUCAAAAUUGCAAUCCACUUAAUUUAAAUUUUAAAAUUUAAAUUUUAAAAGAAGGCAAUGAGUACGAGAGUAGGCGAUAAAUGAUCAAAUUUAAAUUAACCCUAAUCGGUUAAUUAGCUAGAAAGCACACAAGUCCCAAGUCAAAGUCUUCCACUAUCUUACUUUCUUCGUUGCAUUUGCCUAUGCUUUUCCUCCGACCAAAGAAGGGGGGGAGAGGAUGAGCCAAAAGCCUACAAAGCCUACUGAAAAGAAAGAAAGAAGACUCAGCCCAGGGAAAGCAAGUCAAAAAGUCUUCCAUCACGUGGCUUGCAUAGUUGCAGAGAAAAGGAGAAGGCAAAAGCCGACAAAGCCAACUCAAAAGAAAAGGGAACAAAAAAGGACUCUGGCAAUUGAAAGCAAGCCUUCCACUAACUUGCGUGCCUAGUUGCGUUGCAAUUUGUACAAAAUUGUACUAAUAAUUAAUGUCAUACUCCUGCUUAAAACUUUUAGCUACUAAGCGAGCCUAAUACUGCUCUAUGGAAUAUUCAGAGUGAGCCUUAACAUAAUUAAACCCACUUGCUAAGCUCUGGUAAAUUUUCCAGGUGAAAGAUCAACCAAAUCCUACGCAGGACUUUCUAAAGCUCGCAGUUCCUCAAGUAUUAGCUUCUGCUAGUGAGUGUUGGAAGAGCCUCUCAAUUGGACUGAGAUUUCAUAAAGUGGAGUAAGAUAACAACAAUAAUAGUAAUAAUCAGGAAGACAUAAAAAAAAGUAAUCCUAUUAGAGCGCUGCAUAUAAGGUUCAACGUCGGAAGUCAUGAGAUCCAUAUACCAGCAGAUUAUGUAGGGAGAGCAAAUCUGAGAAAUCAAGUGUGCAUCAAGAAGAGACAAACUAGAUAGAGACGCAACCAGACAUGACCGACUUGCAUGUGAGAACCAUUUGGAGUCACAUGGACGCAGAAUGCAGUAUUAAAGAACCAUAAAGAAUGACCUAGAGGGAUAGAAAAGGCAAUAGAUUAACCAGAUCUACGCCACACUUUUCUCUUUCUUUCUUUUUUUUUUUAUACGAAAAAAUGUUCAAUUCAACGUCAGACACCUCAAAAUUUUAAAAUUAGGAGAGAGAAAUUCAAAGCUUGGCGUUUUAAUUUUGGUUAUAGCAAGAAAAUUUAAUUAUAAAUAUCUUUGGUUGUUGUAAGUGUGAAUAUGAGAAAACAAUCUUAUCUUCUAUAGCAUUGCUAGGUGAUAGCAGUGGUUGAAUGUGAGAACACAGAAAUAAUGCCCAAAAAGAAAUGGCAGUUUACGAGUCUGUAAAUAUCCGAUAAAGUUGAUAUUCAAUUUCAGGAAACGACAAAAGUAGAUGCUAAUUCUUAAAAUAGUCAAAUGAUUUUUGUCCAUCGUCUUCUGAGUUCAAAUUAAAAAAAAAAAAAAAUCAUUAGAUGUGUGAGUAUUCUUCAGACCAGUUGUAAGGUGAGUUUGUCUGAAGAUGAAUCGAUACCAUGAUUCUUGCAAUCUUCUGAAUGUCAUUGUCAACGAGUUGUCAUCCCAGAAGUUUCCUUAACCCCUUUAUUUAAUAACAAAUUAAAAUCUGAAGGCUUAUAACAACGUUACAAAAGUGACAGCACAAAAUCAUAAAUUCCUAAUUUUAAAAAUAGAGGAUAUAAAGUGAAAUAAAAAUAGUUGAUAAAGAAAAUUGGAGCAACAAUUAAAGAAAAUUUCAAAAUCCUCUCAACCUCUGUAUCUCUAUCGAUUGCGCUUCUCGGUCCUCGUAAUGUUCAUCUUUAGAGAAUGAUCCUUAAUUAAAAGAUCAAACUUCACCUCUAUUGUAGAUAUGUAUUUUAUUGCCAGUCAUACAAUCAAUGUGGCGUAAUCAAUCAAUCCACAUUGCCCAUGCAAUAUGUUUGUCGUCAUAAUUGAAAAUCGAAUGUUGGAAAUUCUCACUUUCCGUUGGCUUAUCAUGUCACAUGUCUCUACCACAUCAAUUAGAUAUAAGCAAAUCAAAGCUUUCCACCAUCUUGAUUGCUUGGUUGCAUUUUUCAUUUCUUUUCCCAACUCAACCUAAGGAAAGUAGUAGAGUUGGGGGCAAACAAACAAAAAUUAAUUUAUUCUCCGAGUAUUCAUCUUCAUGUUAUUCUUGUGUGUAGAAGCUAUGUAAUUCUGAUUGUAUUUCUCUGUAUAAGUCUUUAUGCCUAUAAUUAGGGAAGAAAGUUAGUAUUGCGGGAGUGAGUUUAUAGAAUCAUCUAAUCAAGCAUCCUGUAGAAACAACACUUAGACGAUUACAUAGAGGAUUCCAAACUUAUUGUGGCCGUUAGAGCUUAGAGAGUGGAGUAAGUCAAGUAAAAGAUCAGACCACUUCAAAUCUAUUCUGCAUACCUUCUAUCUCCUUACUUGAUAGAAGAUAAAUGUUACUACAUAAUUGUUUUCCAUUACAGGAACAUAUUCCACAUGUCCUUCACAAAAAUAAAAAUAAAAAUAAAAAAAAAAAAUAAUAAUAAUAAUAAUAAUAAUAAUAAUAAUAAUAAUAAUAAUAAUAAUAAUAAUAAUAGUUUCCCCUAUAACAAGCAAAUCGUCUCCCUCUUAAUUGUUGUGCUUAUCCAUUUAUCAGUAAAUAUUUUUGGUUGUGCACGGGUGCAAAUGAGAAAACAUGGUUUUCGUCUUCUACAUAUUGCUGGGUAAUUGUAUUUGGUAGUUGAACGUGGAAACAUACAGAUAAUUAUUAUCCUCGAUCACCAAAAAAAAAUUGAAAAAUAAUUAUUUGAAUGAAAGAUGAUACGCAGUUUGCUAAAUUGUUCAAAAAAUUCUGGUCCAUUGUUAAAAAAAAUGCUAAAUAAUAGAACAAGGUUACGAUCCGCUAUUAAAAGAUUUGGUGUAAUUGUUCGAUUGAAACAUGUCAUCAAGGAUUGCUAAUACAUUGCAAUUACGCUUCUUUAUGCCAACUAGAUUAUUUCAUUAAUAAAUUCUAAAGAACCAUAACAACCAUAAAUGGAGUUUAUUUUUUUGCCGGCCGAUCAUGAUAAGAUUUUGUCUCACUUUCAUUUCAUAUCGAUCUAUGCCAAAGAUAACUUAAAGUAUAAUUCACAUGAGAAAAGACAAAUUAAUGUCGUUGUCACAAGUCACUAAUUAUAAUCCUUUGUUUCGGUCUAUUAUUAUGGUGUAAGUCUUGGUCGUUGUAAUAUAUUCCAACUAGGUAAAAUGGAUGCCCUUUCAGGAUAGUGACAUUCUCUCUACGGUUAAGAGUCAAUAAUUGCCUUUUAAAUAUUGAGUGUGGAUAAUGAUAGAGAAAUUGGCUAUUAAAUAAAUUAUUUGAUCUAUCGUGAAAGCACAACCUCUACAAUAUCAUUUCAACUUAAAAAACGGAAUUGCAUAGGAGGACAACUUUUGUUUAUGAACGUGCUUGCACAAUACCAUCAUUAGAUUUGUGGGAAAAAGACAUUAGAAGCGACAUAAUUUUUAUAUUACACUUAUUUUGAUGCUAAAACUUUUCGUGGAAAUACUUAAGUACAACUUUAAACAAGAUCACCUAGACGCUAAUUCUUAUUUGGGAUGCCAAAAAUUCAAUGUGGCAUUAUUUUAUCAAUUUAUCCAAUCGAUAUGACUCACUAGCAUGCCCAGGUAGCAUUAUAACUCUAAAUGAUGUCACCUUCAUGUUUUGUCCCAAAUAUAAAUCUUACAAUGGAGAGCAGGAGUAGGACAAGCGGCUCAAAUUUGUUCCAACAAAGCCGAGAUGGAGGUGAAUAUCACUUUUAUGUUGUACUGUUAGAUGUCCAAGGAGAACAACUUGGAGAAGGUCGAAUCCCAAUAAAAGAUUCCUUGCAUCUCACCAUGCACAAUACUCACGCACAUUUUCAUUGUUACGAGAUUCAUCCCCUGACAACAAGCCCCAAUUUCUUCCCUCCGUGCGCCAAAAGGCUAAUUAGUUCUCAUGCCAAUUGAGCGAGAGAUGAUGAUGAUGGUCGAGAGAGAGAGAGAGAGAAUAUGACUCAGUUCGGCAUUGUUCAGAUCAAGACUAGCCACCUCAUAAUUCAUGUUGGACUUUUUUUAAUAUAUAAAAAUUCACGUAUGAAUUAACUUUUAUUUAAAAAGUCACAUAGAACUUAUGGCCAGAAUUUAUUGUCGAAGGCAUUUAAGUAGUUACUUAUUUUCUGAUUUGACACUUAAGUGACCUAUCAAAAAAAUUUGGCACACAAUAAGUGCUGAAUGAAAGGUUUCACGGUUCUAGUGCAUUUUUUUCCUUAGAAUAUUAUCAUUAGUUGUAAUCACGCUGUACCAAUUCAAUGUUUUUCCCAAUACAGCCAACACUCGAAAGACAAAAAUAAAAAUAAAGAAGUCUGACUCACUAGCCACUAAUUAUUUGUCCUGGUCUUUCUUUAUUUGGUCCUUUGUUAAGGUGUAGGUGUUGAUCAUUGUUACGUCUUCUAGCAAGGUAACACGUAGGAUAGCGACAUUCACCAUCAGGUUGAGAUUCAAUAGUUGCCUUUUAGAAAUAGGUAGUCGGUAAUGAUAGGGAAAUUAGCUAUUUAAUUAGAUUAAAUAACUUAUCCUUAAAGCAUAACUACUAUACUAUUAUUGCAAUUUAAAAAUCAUAAUUAGGUAGGAAGACAACUUUUGUGUAUGGAUGUACUUACGCAUUACCAUCAUCAUAUUAUUAUAUUAUCAUUUUUUAUAAAUAUUAUUAUUAGUUAUAAUCUUGCUGCGCUGGUUCAAUGUUUCUCAACACUUCAUAUGUCUUCUGGAUGCAGCCAACACCCGAAAGAUCAUGGAAACUUCUUGCAAUUGUGACAGAAAGGGAAAAUGACAAGAAUAGGUAAAUAUUCAACAUCUCGGAAAUGUUUUAUGGUUGACGACAUUUACUUUUGACGUGGGUCUUGGGAAGAAAAAGAGAAGCAGAUGCUACUCCCCGGAAUAGCCAUAUGAAUAUUGUCCAUCUUCUUCUAAGUUAUAUUAAAAAACUCCAUCAAAUGUGCGAGUUUUCUUCGGUGCAGUUGAAAAGUGAGUUUUCUCAAACAAAUCGAUCGUCUUGAUUCAUUCAGUUUUCUCGAUGUCAUUGGUCAAUCAAUCGGUUGCCAUCGUAAAAGUUUCCUUUUUUCAUUCAUUUGAUAACAAAUUUAAAAUCUGAAAUCUGAUAACAAAGCUACAAAAGUGACAGCACAAAAAUCUGGAUAGAACACGAAGGUAUUUUUUGAGCUUUUCUUGGAUUUAAUCACAUCAUUAGAGGAAAAAUUCAAAAAUCCUCUUAGACUUUUUUUAAUCUAUAUAAAAAAAAAAACGGUUAUUAAACUUUGACAUUUGCAACCAUGUUCAUUUUUAAACAAAAAUCCUAAACUACAAUUUUAAACGAUUCUCCUCUACCAUGGACAUAAAUUUCAUGUGCCUAUCACACGAUUGACGCAGUAUAACCUAACAAUCUGCAUUACCCAUGUAAAACAUAUGUCAUCUUAAUUGGCACUUAAAAUGUGAAAAAUAUUUCUCAUAUAAUUCAUUCUCCUCUACUACGUCAUUUUUCUCUCUUCUCUCUCCCCACCAUACUGCCGAUCACCAUCCUGGAUGCCACCACUCCCCCAACCAACGCCACUAAUGCAUAUUCAAGUCAACGUCUUCCACCAUCUUGCUUGCUUAGAUGGAUUUUACAAAUUCCCUCUUUCCAACUAAAGAAAGGGAUACAAAGCCUUCUCGAAAAUUUAGAAAAAGACUCUGGUGGACGUUCAACCUUGGAGUGCUUCUUGUUCUUCCCCUGGUUUUCCUUGAAGGUACUUGAAUGAGAGGUGAUCACGUAAAAAGCAGGGCUGACACACGUGAUUAGGAGGUGACGAGAGACCAGCAUUUUUUAGAUGUUUAACUUAAUUUAUAAGUGAUGCAAUGGACAAAACUAAUCAUAGUUAGUGAAUUCCUAGUGAAAAUAUGAAAAUUUGUGUUUUUAUCAGUGAGACACGGCAUAUGGUUCUCAUAAUGUUUCGCAAUUUAGAUAAUUUAAAUGCCGCAUAAAUCUACGUAUAUUUGAUAUGCAUCAAACUCUUCAAUUUGUCCUUUGAUUCUAAACCUCUUACGGAAUUGACAGCGUACAUGGUAAUGAUUACUAUUAUGUAACUAUUGAACGCAAGAUUAUGCGGAAAAUGGUCCAAAAAGUCCUAAAACUAUCGUACGGUGGCCAAUUCAAUGCUAUGUCUCUUAAUUAUACCAAUGUAGUUUCUUAACCUUUUAACAAUUUACUGAUUUACCAAUUCAAUUCUAAACUUUUGUGGGUUGUAUCAUCUUUGUUUUGACACAACACAACUUAAAAGGCCAAGCCGAACUACGCUUUUAGCUUGAGGUUCACCAUGUGGGCCAUAAUACCUUCGGUUGGGCCUUAUCUCUCUCUUAAUUUCAUUCCAUUCCUUGGGCCUUCCACUUUCUGGGCCCAACAAAAUGUGUGCUGAGGUUUAACAAAAGAGCGAAAAUUGUUGGCCACAUUAGUAGUAAAUCAACUCCCCUCAACUUCAAAAUAGUUUUAGGAAUAUCUAUGAAUAUUUUGAGUACUUAUGGCUUUGAUCUCAUUGUCUCCAACAUUAUUUUUUUUUGUGUAAUUAUAGUCCCUAAUUUGCACUAAAGUAGGAUAAUCAUUAUUUGACAUGACCUAAGUUUCAAAGAUAUUUCAUUUUUGUCUCUUUGAAUUAAUGAUGUUGAGACUAUAUAAUUAUCUUGUCACGUAGUUUAGCCAUGAGUGCUGACUUGUAAUUUUUUUUUCCUAAUGCUUGCUUGCAUUUAAUAUGAAUUAAAAUACUUACACAUGGGAUCCAAAUUUAAAAAGUAUCAUUGGAUCACUUUUGAACUCUUUUACACGAGGUUACAAAACUAUUUACUUCGUCACUUCCUUAUGUGCAAAAACCGUGGCCAAAUGUGCGACAAAUCCGAUGAUCAAGAACCCAAACAACAUAAAUGAAAGACUUUAAGGACCACAAUCUCACUUUUUAAAGAUAUAAGUAAAUAUUACAAUGAAAUUAGUUACCCCAAAAGUUAAAAUACAUAUAUUAUCACCCAAAAAAAUUAUUUAUAAUAUGAAGAAUGGCUUAUUCCGUUAGUUAAUAAAAUUAAAAGAAAUUCAAUUUAAUUUAGUGGAUGUGCAAAAAAUCAAUAAGAAAUACUUUUGUGACCUCACCACUUACUAACCAACAAUGCUAGGUCGUCAAAACACAUAACGAGUGUUGAUUAUUUAUUACUGUAAGAAUGAUAUUUAUGUAUAGCUUAUUUAUUAUUUAAAUAAAUUUCAUUUAAUAAAGACAUUCACUUAAUUUUUGAGAGAAAACAAUAGUAUGGAAAUAUAUCUUUGUGAAUUUGCAAGAAUCACAGUUUAUAAUCUAUUCCAAUAAUUCAAUUUUUCGAAUCAAAUGCAACUGAAAAUAAAUAGAUGUCUCAAACGUAAACUUAUAAUAGAAUUAAAAAAAAAUGAGGUGAAGAAAGUUAAGUGAAUGUCUACUAGCGCACCCUAAAUCAAAUCUACCAACACUAUGUUUGGUAAAAAAAAUUGGGAGGUGAAGAAAAAUAUAGUGUGAAGAAAAUAAAGUUAUUAUGAAACAUUUGGAAAAUGAAAAUGAAGAAAAUAAGAUAAAUGACUAUUUUUUGUUUGAAAGAGGGGGAAAAUGACGAUGAAGAAAGCGUCAAUGAGUAAAAAAUUAUCAUCCAUUAGAAGAAAAAUGAUUUAAAAAAUGGAAAUAUCACAUAAAAGAAGGGUAGUGUGGAAAAUUUGACCAAAUAAGUGACAAUUCCCCUGGUUUUCUCAAUGCAAAUGGAAAAUUCAAAAAAUUGUGGGCCCCAGAGAAUGGCGGGCCUGGUUGGGCUUGUAGCCGAUUAUUAGCGUGGCCCGAACUGGAAUCUUCGAGCCCGAAGAAAAGCUUGCCCAAAAUGGACUAUCUAGCCCGUCCACAUUAUGUCGGGCUUUUGGGCUUCGAGUCGGGCUAGGCCAGAACGGCAGUGAACUUUUACAAAUUGAAAUUAAUUUGUGCACUUGUAAAAUUUCAUUCUUUUCGUAUACGGUUAAAAUCUUUAGUAAAAUACUACAAAUAUAAAAAAUAAAAUAAAAUACAAGAAAAAAACAACAACAGUGGCGGAGCUGAGUCAUUUCAGGCUACACAGUGGGCAGGCCAAAAGCCCGGUCCUCCUAAAAUAUACACGAUAAAGUUCAAAAGUUCGCCUUGGUCUAUUCGGCCAUUUCGCUGGGAUGGAUUUUCGGACUUUAAAUUUCACCCCAACCAAUCUGGACCUUCAUUAUCUCUACUCCUCCAUAGGUGAAAUUUGUCCAAUUCCGUUGACCACCUUUCAUUAUAUGCCUUUUCCAAGUUUCCAAGCACUGGCUACGGGUGAAACCUGCGCGAUUGUCUGUACUUACCUUUUUUUAAGGCCGAAUAUAAGCAAUACAGUUCAUCCAAUAAUAAACCUAAUAAAAAUUAUAGCACUAUGACAUGAUCAAAUCUGAACGAACAAAUGUUGAAUUGAAUCGUACUAGUCUCUGUAUGGCUUAUUACUCAUUUUUGUACCUGCUGUUCUAUUUUCCUGUGCUUUCAUUGUGGUGGCUGUCCUGAUUAACUUUGCUAAUCUUUUGCCCCACCGCCAUGGAAACCACCCCGCCCCAUGUUUUAAUAGUUGACCUGGAGUUGCGCCCUUGCCGUGUCGAGAUGAACUAAGUUAGUCGUCGGUGUUGAAUGUUGCUAAUAGUCAUCGAUUUCGUCGAGCUUGAUGUGCUUGGAUUGGAUCGUGAGGCAAGCAAGCAGAUAGCCAUCAAAGCUCCCUCUGCAGGUUCUUGUUUCUUACCGAAUUGAACGAAGAUCAUGAGUGUUUCAUGCAUGAUUAGCCGACUGUGACAUCCUGGGCAUGUUUCUAUUUUUCGGGACAUUCGUCUGCAUGUGUUCUUGUUCUUGCUUCUCUACGGCAGAAUCUUUGCCGUGGAUGGAUUGUAUGUAGGGGUGUCAAUGGGUCGGGUCAGGUCGGGUUUUGAUGUUACCUGACCCAACCCGAAUCAUCAGGGUCACAUACUAUGACCUGACCCAAACCGACCGGAAACACAUCAGACCCGCAUCUAAAAUUCGGGUCUGGUUUAUGGGUCUUCCUCUUUUUUUUCCACCUCUCUUUUCUUUGGUAUAAUUUUAUUGAAGUAAAUGGCCAUUUAACUUCUAAAGAACAACAAAUCUGAAAGAUAAUACCUUCAGCCCUAAGGCUUUAGGAACUUUUUAUCAUAAGCAGAUAUUGAAAACAAACUUAGCCAUAGGCGAGCAAUCCACCAUAAAUUGUAGAAAUAUACAUUGAAACAUAUAAAGAUACAAUAGGAAUAACAGCUGAGACAUCAUCCUACAAUUAACAAAUUGUAGAAAAAAAAAAAGGUCUAACAUGGGGGAGUAGCAUUCCCAAAUGGAGAGACACUAUUUGGGAAGAAAGCAAAUUGGCUUUCUAACUCCUGGGAAACUACUAGAUACGUACCAAAGAGGUGGAAACUCCUCGCAAACUGCAGCUUGAAUAUGAGGAGACAGAAGCCCAACUACAGGCAAUAAGAUAAGAACUUUGUUAAAUUUGCACACUACAACCAUCAUGUAAAUAUGUUCAGGACAAUGGUUUCUAUCAAAGAAAGAGGUAAAAUUCCAGACAAGAAGAAAGCAUACAAAUAUUGGAUAUGCUCUCAAACAAGCAAAUAUAAUUUCCAAUGCGACAAAUUUGGUAAGAAGAAUUAGUACUCAUGUCCUUUAUACUACAAAGUUUGUUAGUGUUAUGUUUUCUACAACAAACGAGGUUAAGCCUAUGAUAGUGCCAUAUCCAUUUGCAGUCAGGAGGCACCACUAGGGGUUCUUUAGAAAUCAAAUCUAUGUGCUUGGCGAGCAGGGAAGCCAGCAAUGCUUGUAUCUAAAUUUAGCACAAAAUUGAAAAAUCUGAGAAUCGGAAGAUAUUGUUAGGAGUGCAAAAAGAAAAAUAUGACUUACACAAGUUGCAUAUUACAAAACACUAACCUCUAAUACGUCAAUCAUCAAGAGAAGUCAAUAUCGAGUUUGACUCCAUGGUCAAAUUUGGCAACUCUACAAUAAAUUCACGACGAAAAUGAGAACUAACAUAUGCAUUAAAAUAAAGAAAGGUAUAAAUAUUCUACAAUCAUAUUUUCUCACCCGACUCAAAGAUUUCAAGGUCUUCUAAGUCUUCCUCAAUCGAACGUAAAAGUGGCGCGGAUCGUAAUCAAUCUUGAGCACAUGUAAGAGCUUCCACCAUGGUUGGGGUCAAGGAACUACGAAACACAUCGAACACACAACCUCCUAUGCUAAAUGCUGCCUCAGAUGCUACAGUCAAGAUGGGCACAGCCAAGAUAUCUUGAGCAACAGUAGAAAAUAUAGCAUAUUUCGAUGAAUUUCCUUUCUACCAACUUAAGAUAUCAAAUUCCAAGUUAUAAUGUUCAUAUGCUUCCUCCAAGUACUUGUCCAAUUCAUAUUUUUCAUCCAAAUAUUGUUGUCCAGUUUGCUAAAAUACAUUUCAGUCAUAAUACCAGCACCAACUACCAGGGACCUUGACAUGCUUAUCAUCAUUGUGCUCUUUAGUCUCAAGUUGCUUUGAGGGCUUACACCCGUAUUAUAUUGCUCAAACAAUAAUGUCAGAGAUGUUGUCACUUCUUCUUGUAAAGUUUCUGCCUCCUUACUUUUAUAAACACGACUAAUCAUCCAUAUCACAUGGUCCCACUCAUGUCGCGGGUUAAGUACGCAACAAUGAAUAAAGUGAGAUUUACGUUGUUCACGUUGCCAAAAUACUUACGGAAUUUCGUUUUCAUUCUUUGAGCCAUUUCUCGUAAGCUUUUGUCAUCAUUUCCACAAUUUCUCUCAAUUAUCAUAUAAAUCCCAUACACAUCAUUUGCCAUAUUAUUGCUAGUGACAUAAGAAGAACCUAAAACUUUUAUAGUUGUAUCAAAAAACAACUUCAGAAAAUGAAGAAAGUGACGCGCAUAAUUCCAAUCCUCAUUAGUGGGAAACUCUUUCCCCUUGAAAAGUUCUUGAGCAUAUUUGCUAUUCUGAAGUUCCAUAUUGCUAAAAGCUUUUUUAAACUUCAAAGCUGAUUCCAACAUCAUAUAUGUUGAGUUCCAACGAGUUUCCACAUCCAAACAUACAAGACUCUUCGACUCAAUAUCUUUUAACUCAACAAAACCCAUGAACUUUGAGCAUGAAUGGACCUUGACUUAGAACCAGGGAAGGAGAGUAAAUUUUAUGCAGGUAUGCAUCCCACAUUGGGCGAACAACUCCUGUUCAAGCCCUUCAGGGACAGCCUUUUAGCAGAAAACCACUCAGCCUUUUAGUUCAGAGCCUAGAGACAUCCAAAAGCUUUAGGAUGGAAACGUUUCUAAUUUACCCAAGCUGCAUUUCUCGAAGGAUCCUACUAGGUUAGAGAAGAAGAGGAAUUUAGAAAGCCAUGGAGAGUUUUUCACAAAGCACACACUUUACUUCAGGGGACUCUGCCCAACACAAUACACCCUCCUUGCCUUAUAUAGGCAAUAAGAGGUCACAAAGACAAACACAGGGACCAACUAAUAGGUCCAGAUACAAACAGAGGCACCAGACGAAAUUUCCAGGAGGGAAUUAUUCGCACACUAUGAACAGUAACUGUACUGUGAACAGUACAUUCCAUAGCCUAUUGCUACAGUAAAAAUGAACAGUAAUUUUGCUACAGUGAAAAUGUAUGGAUCUAACGAUCUAGUCCGUCACGAGCAUUGUAGCUGCAUACUGAGUCAUCAUCUAAGCUGUCUUCUAGGAGAUGUGCUUCAUAUUUUGCUUGAAGGGCUUCAAGAUCUUCUGGUGAGAGGAUUUGAUUCAGCCUUCUUGACGAGGAUGCUUGUUCACGAGCCCAAUGGGAUGCUUCUUCUGCUGCCCAAUCUGUAUUUUCGCUGGUAGUAUUGCCAGGAAAACUUGGUUGGGGCCAGUUGGAUGGCUGUGCAUAGUAAGAUGUGUCCAUGUCUUGAAAUGAGGACGAAGGUCCUUGUUCGUAGGAAUUCUGGGACAAAGGACCUCUAAAGCAAGCAUAGGGGUCUUGAGUGGACUGGACAAUGUCUUCUUCGCUUGUCAUUUCCUGCUCUUGGGACGAUGCAGCUUGUCUGUACUGCCUGAGUGCUUCCUUAGCUUCUGGUGCUAGGUUAUAAUGAUCCCACGUAGUGCGUACAUUAUUCCAAAUAUCUUCAGGAAUGGUUUUGUUUUCUUGGCAUAGGAUUCUUUGGAGUUCUCGGUACUCGUUUUCACAAAAUCUAACAGAUCUUGGAUAAGAUUUGUGAAUCCGAGCUUCUCGGCUGUUCAAGUGAGGUUUAUAGGAUGUGGUUCCUAUUUCGAGUGGCCUUUCAAGAAUAGUACCAUUAUUUCUGAAAAAAUUCUAUAGACGGCGGAAAAACAGGAUAGUGUGAACUUCAGGAUUUGGAGUCACAGUUCUCAGUUCAUUUUCUAAGUCUUGUUUCCAGCAUGUAGGAUGAUAAAACCAAUUAAGAAAGUCUAAGAGAUUCUUAUCACUUUCUUUUUCGAUGUUUCUUCUGAGCAUGAAUAUCCUUGUGAGGUUGGCAAUGAAUCUUCUGGUUGGAAUUUCAAUGGCUAUUAAGUACUUAUUGGUUAAGUACCAUAACAGCGUUUUGAGCUGAUCAGGGAAAUCAUCUUCCUUCCAGAUGAGAGGAUGAAUGAAAGGAUAAUUUGAAUUUAACCCAAAAGGAUAAAAAAUCGAACCUCCAUUGAAUCUGAAUAGGUCUAUGUGGCACUGCCAUAUGAGGUUCUCCAGGUUCUCAAUAAGACUGUCAUUCUGGAUUUGAUGAAUAAUCUCCUGAGGAAAUUUCCAGCUUGGCAAGUCUUUGAUCUUCUCAAUCUUAUAUUUGACACCAUGAUUGAGCAUAUGGAAAGCAGGUCUCUUGAUGUACAUGUUGAUCUCAGCUGGUGCUUUGGGUCUUGACAGGAAAUCAGCAAGCACAUUCUUUUUUCCAUGAAUAUGUUUGGUUUCAAAAGAGUAUUUUGAGAACCAUUCAGCCCAUCGAAGCAGUUGAGAGUUUGGAAUAUGUUUUUGUUUAAAUUUGGUCAUCUGUGGGAAAGAUGCCAUGUCUAAUUCUACCAAAAAGUGAUGGCCAAUGAGAUGAAACUCAAAUUUUUUGAUUCCAUUUUUUACUACUAGGAUUUCUUUGAAAGUGGAAUGAUAAUGCAUUUCAGCUGGAGAGAACUUUCCACUUUUGUGAGCACAGAGGUGUUUCUUACCAUCAAUUUCUUCAAAGAGGACGAUUGCCCAGUAUUCAUCACUGGCGUCAGUUUGAAGAAUUCUUUUACCUGUUGAUGGUAUUUGCAAUGGUGGGAGAUUCUGCAUAAUCUCCUUAAGCUCAGCAACUGCUUUAGUUUGAGUUUUUCCCCAAGGUGGGGGAUUCUUCUUUAACAUCGAUUGCAAAGGAAUCAGGAGCUUUGCAAUAUUUAGGACAAAAUCUCUGAGAUAAUUAAUUAUCCCGAGAAAUUGCUGAACUUGUUUUGUUGUGAAGUUGUCUUCAGGAAACUUCAAUAGUUCUUGAGCGAUGUGUGGCCCUGGAUAGUACGUACCUUUAUUAAGGUGCAUACCAAGAAAUUCAAUUUCUGUUUGAGCAAUAUUCAUUUUCCUUUGAGAAAGCAUAAUGCCAUGUUUUUUCACGAUUUCUGCAAAUUGCUCGAGGAGUUGACAGUGUGAUUGUUCAUCAGGGCUGUAGAGCAGAAUAUCAUCGAUAUACACUGCUGCACUUGGCAAAAUUGGUUGGAAAAUGCGACACAUGGCCUUUUGGAAAAGGGAUGGUGCUACCUUUAACCCAAAAGGAAGAACUUUCCACUGAAAGUGCUGGUUUGGGAUACAGAAUCCUGUUUUGGAUCUGUCUUUAGGAUGGAUGCCCAAUUGCCAAAAUCCAGCUUUGAGGUCGAACUUGGAAUAAAUGUGGGCUUUAGUUAACCCAGUAAAGAGAGAAUCUCUGGAUGGCAAAGGGAACUUGUCAUCUUGGAGAAAAAGAUUAAGAGGUUGAUAAUUGAUUACCAAUCUCAUUUUUCCUCUGUUUUGCUCAGCCCGCUUAUUGACAUAAAAAGCUUCACAAGCCCAUUGAGAAUUAGAGAUUUCAAUAAGGCCUUGCUGUAAUAAUUCUGAGCAUUCCCUUUGGGCUAAUGCCAAGUGUUCUGGGUUCAUUCCCAUAUGACUCGCCUUUGUUGGGUUAAUAUCUUCAUUCUUUUUGAAAGGAAUCUCACAUAACGUACAACUAAACGUAGUCUAGCAAUUGAAUCAUUUAUAUCUUUUAACCCCUCGUUAACAACCAAACUUAAUAUACACAUGGAGUAACUCACCAUUUAAUAACGGACAAAUUCAAGAUUUAAGUAUCUUUUUCAUGUAUUAAACUCUCAAGUUAUUCGAGCUAGCAUUACCUACAUAAUAGAAAAACACUUUGGAUCCUCCAAUCAGUCAAACAUUUCUCAAUUGCUUUUCCUAUUAUCUUAGCAGAAUAUCCUGAAAUCUGACAAAACUUUAAUAUAUUCUUCUGCAAUUUUCAAUCGGCAUCAACAAAAUGAGUAGUUAGACACAUAUAAUUUAAGUUUUGACAAGAUGUGUCUCGAAGAAAUAUUUGUCCAAUUUACUUCUUUCCUCCAUGUAUAAGUCAUAACAAUCAUGCCUCAAUGUGUUGCGUGACGGGAUUAAAAAUUUUGGCUGGGUUCUAUUCACAAAUCGACGAAAUCCCUCAUGCUCUACCAAAUUAAGAGGCAACUCACUAAAAAUAAACAUAAUCGCUAAUUCUUUUUUACUAGCAUCUUGAUUAAAUUUCCAAGGACUAGAUGAACUACCACCCCUAACAACUUGACUCGAGGCACUUUUUUGCCUUUUUCCGACGUCUGCAUAUGGAUAUUUCUUACAUCUAGCUAGAUGAUAAUGCAUUGAGCUAGUUCCUUGACCACUAGCACAAUCAAUAAGGGUGCUAUAAUAUAAACACUCAGUCUUUUCUUGACAAAGAAUAUCUUUAAAAUGUUCCCACAUUGUAGAUUUCCUUAUUCUAUUUGUGACAUUAGAAUCACCUAUUGAAGACAUCUAGCAAUCCUUCUAUUUAUAACACUUAGAGCCUACAAAUUAUUAGUUUAAUAAUUUAUAGUAAGCUAGCAUUCAGAAGGCGUAAAAAAAAAAAUAGUCAUGGGUUCAUCCUCUGUUGUAGAUUACAAGCAUUACUAUUUCUUUGCAAGAUUGAAACACAUGAUCAGUUUGUACCUCUGAUUCAACACAAUUUUUCUCCUUUUGCCCCUGGUAAUAUCAGCUCAGAAAAUCUUUAAAGACCGAGCAACAUAAUCAAUUUGAAAAAAAAAAAACAAAAACCUAAAACAACAAUGUGCAAAAAACACAGAAUUCAUGAACUUGAAGAGAAAACAUCAACUUGAAGACAUGAAAAUGCAAGUCCAACAGAAUCAACAUUAUAUGACUUGGAUCCAAUUGCCAUUGUGGUAUCAUGAUCCUAAAAAAGUACUACAUUCACCAUGUAAAUAAAAGGAAAUGUUUAAUAAGAAAAAAAGCCAAUUCUCUGAAUUUAAAUAAAAUGAAAGUAGGUCAUCAAGUGAAACAAGCAGUAGGAUUAUGAUAACAGAAGGCUAGCCAAACAUCUAAAAAAUGAACAAGAGAAUCCAAGAAUAUUUACUAGAAGACAUGUAAACAAUGUUUGAAAAUGAAAUGUGGAUUGCAUAGUAUAACUAAUGGAAUAAGCAACAGGUUUAAUGCAACUAUACAUGCAAGAAUUGCACUGAGUUUGCAGAUAUUUAGAGACACGCACACAUCUAGGAUAACAACACAAAUGUAGCCUUGCUAUCAAAAAGUAGUAUUGGCUUUCAAAACAGGCUUAACCUAACCCACUAUCAUUGCCAACCUUUAAAGGGAUCUUUCUCUUUAACAAGUCUCUUUUCCCCCAAAUGGGAAGAUAGGAUACUUGAAUGAAAAAAUACAUUUUUUUUAUGUGAAAUUUAGAAUUGCCAAUGCUUUGGUUUAGGUAGAAAACAUAAGUCAAUAUCAAACAAGAGAUGCAACAUCCCAUGACCAAAAUGAUAACUCAGAUAAAAAAGUCCAACUUUUGAAGCAUCAACCCUACCAAGAAAGCUAGGCCCCAUCUUCUACCUAAAUAGUAAACAACCUGAAGCAUAGAACAACAUUAUCGAAUGAAUAAACUUAUUCUCAUGUCUUACACUCAGUUAUAAAUAGUCAAGACUUCAAGUUCAACAUGAAAAUGCAAGGACCAAGAAAAUGCUCAAUAAAUUAGAAUCGACUAUGGACUUCUCUUCCAAAAGAAUUAUCACGUGAAAUAAAUAUCAUAAAUAAUCAGAAUAAUCAGUGUCAAUGUGCCUGAAGAUAAAAAAAGAAAAAGAAGGAAAAAAGCAUCAAUCCAACUCAGAUUGUAACAAUGCCUUUUAUGUAGCUCGCAUUCAUAAAGUUUCCUUAGAAAGGUGCUUCUGCUAAACAAUCAUCGCUGCAUCAACAUUAAUCUGACGACUCCACAUGAGAAAAUCUAAGUAUAUGACCAAUUUCCAUGGAUCCCAAACAAACAUCAAACCUAGCUUCAAACUAAGCUCCCAAAUUUGCACAAGACACAAAGCGGGUCUUGCUCUGGAAAAACAAUUGUGCUCAACUUUGGCGAAAAGGGAUGAAUCCCAAAAUGAACACAGGGAACACAAGGAUCUAAAUACAAGAGAAAAUCACGAGCGCACAUAGGUUCUACCAAACUACAUCAUCGCACAAAUUCAAAUGCAGACCAAUGUAUAAAGAAAACGAAGCCUCACACCGCAAGCGAAUCAAAGGAGGAGCAGAGCCCCACACGCACACCUGCACAUUUUGAUGAACAUUGAAUAGAACCUAGAAUGCGCGAGAGAUCGAAUACGCACCCAACAAAGGUUUUGCAACUUCAAAUUGAGUAAGGGAGUUCUCCAAAUCGACUAGGGGGGGGGGGGCUCCUCUUGCUACUGCUGGUGCAGCUACUACAGAGCAAGGGACUUUGCUUUGCAAAACCCUAGAAUGCAAGGAGCAAAGAAGAGGGUGGCGGCAGAACUGACGAGAUGUCGUGCGCGCGGCAGUGGCGGUGGAGUAGACGAUCGAAGUAGGCACAAUCGUCACGUCGGGAGGGUCAUGAUGUGUUUGGGUGAAGAGUGCUUGGGUUUGGGUGAGAGGAAAAUGUGUUUGUUUCAAACACAUGGAGCAAAUAAUGUGUUCGUGGCCGAACAAUGUUUCGACCCUAAGCCGACCCAAAACAUGUUUGUUUUCUUGUUUCAUAACAAUUAUCCGAACAAUAUUAAGACUCGAAACAUGUAUUCAACUUGUUUUGUGUUUGGGUUGUGUUCAGGUCAGGUCGGGUUGUGUUUUUAGACACCCCUAGUUGUAUGUAUGUGUAGAGGAUGUAUCAAUUGGUUAGAGUAAAUCGAAGGUGCAUCUUUGAUAUAUCAUAUGCAUUUUAGGAUUCUAAUUUCUGCAUAAAACAAUUUCUAAACUUGUUUGAGAAUGAAAAAUUGAAACUUUAAAAUGCAGUACUUUGGUAAUGCACGAUUUUGAGCCGUUUCGUGCUUAAGUAUAUUUUGAACCAUGUGCCAUGGGCCGGUGGUUUCUUAGCUGUGGAAUAACCCAUGCAACACCUGAUGAACAAAUAGCACUAGGCCAGCCUUCAUUCUAUAGUUGUUCCAAAGAAUAAUAUAGCGAAUAGGUUCCUCACAUUGGAUCAUAUCAUGCCAACUUAGCUUGGACGUCUAAUCCAUCGAAUGAGUCAACAGAUCACUUUAGGCACAUCAACUGGCAUCAGAAGAGCGACAUCAACUCCUAACCAAUUUAUGCAUUGAAAGCCAAUCCCAUCAUUAGAGCUCUGUAGAAAUAUGUUCAUUCUAUCAUAGAACUCUUAACACCAAUUGUUCCCACUCCCCCGAAUCAAUUGUUUUUAUCCCCUCUACAUCACUCACUCUUCACCCACUAACUCUCCAAGCUCCACUCACAAAGGUAUGUGAGUACGAGAGAAUCACGGAUCAUGACACAUGCAUUCAAGCACAACAUUAAUUGGAAUCAACCUACUUGCAUUAAUUCGCAUGUCAUUAUGGUAGCUUAGUCGAUAUUUAGCAAUGGGACUUCGUUGCUUCUUUAAAGAAGAUGAUGCAUCUUUUCAGCCUAUCAAAAUUGGCACUUGGCAUAUUUAUGAUUAUAUUUCUAGCAUAUCUUUGUGGUGAUCACGUGAAGGUUACUUCUUUUCAAAUGAUUACUUUAAUUUAAUAAAUGCAUACUACUUUAAUUUAAUUAAAAAGCACCAUUUAGUAAAUAAGUUUCUCAUACUGUGUUUAUAAUAAGCCACUUCAUACUUGCAAACACAACAAUUGAUCCAAAACUUUUGCAGUGCAAAUCUUCAGCUAGGGAAUGUACAUAAUGGCAACAUUUUGAUGAAAUAUAUUUUAGAUCCACUAUAACAAAAUUUUAAAAUCUAGCAAUCAUGUAAAAUGAGAAGUCAUGCUUGAAAUAUUGUUUGUUACUGAAAAUAUUUGAUUAUAAUUAAAUUUGUCUUAGGCUUUAAUAUAUAAUAAACCUUAAGAUUUUUAAUAAAGCAAAGAUAAUUUCACAAAUGAUUUAUCAAGUUCAAGUUCCAAGUUAAUUAUCCAUCGAAUAAGGAUGAUAUAAUUAUGUAUCUUUAAUUGAUAACAUUGGGAUUAAAUUUGAAAUAAGUGCAAUUUUUGUAAUUAACCUAUAAUCAGGUUCGGACUUUGAAGUUCCCAUUCAUAAAAUCUCAGAUCCUUCAGCAAUACUAUAUAAGGUUUUUAGUAAGUUGCUACUCAACAUAUCUGCUUGCAUUCCAUUUAAAAUGAAGGCGUUUGAGGCUGUUUUAAGCCUAAAAAAGUUCACCUUUUUCUACUUUUGUUGCCAUUUUUUUCUAAUCCAACCAUUGUGGACGCAUCAUUUUUUGCUCAUUUAAUUUUUAAUACUAUCUUUUUAACUUAUUUAUGACUUUUAUUAAAGUGUUUGGAGAAUAUAAUGCGUUUUCUAUUCUUUAUACUUGUAUAUUUUAUAUUAUUAAAAUACUUCUAUAACCAGGACCAAGAUCUCGGCCCGAGUCUGUUUGAGCCCGAAAGUUGGACUGAAUCAAUUCGGGCUUUUGGGCUCCUGGGGUUUUUGCUCACCCCUGGCAAAGAGAAGAGAUGCAAAUUAUUUGAAGACCAACAAUUUUGUUCCAAUUACUCUACGAGAUGGUAGUAAUAACUUGAACGACUUUUUACUUUGAAUACAUAGACUUUCAUUUAUUAGUUUUAUAUGUUUUGUAAAUGAAAAAAUUUCUAAUUUUAUGACCUUGCAAAAAGUAAUAUGUAUAUAAAUUUAUCGAUUAAUCAAGUCAAAGAAAUCUCACUCCUCCAAGAUUAUGUCGCAAAACACAUAAAUCAUCUAAAAAAGUUGAGAGCAAUAAAUAAACAAGUGCUUCAUUUAUUUAAAGGGCAAUCAUCAAAUCACAAUUACCAUGAAAUCACAAUAAGGGCCCAAAAUCAGUCCAACUCCAAUCCAAUAAUUCUGCCCCUAAUCCUGCCACAUACCGUCCCAUUUGACUUGUCACUUGCUGAAGAAGCAUCACAUCCCAAAUUGCCCUUGACUUCUUCCUUAACAGAGACCUUCUCUUCGAUCUCAGCAAGCUUCAUCACAUUGGUAUUCGCACCAACGUUUGCUUCUGUCUUCACACCCUCUUCCUUCUUCGGAGUCGCAGUCAGUUCGGUCUUUCGAGCCUCGCCGCACGUCUGGCUUGCGUAGCUUCUGGAGCAGCGGCUUUCUACUCUCCAUCUCUUCCCUUCUGUUUUAUACAUCUUUCUGGUGCAAGAUUUGAACUGUAGAUUUGAAAUGUGCAUGACGGUUUUCCCACUCGAGAACCGUGAUUCAAGAAAAGCUGACGGGCUCUUGCGGUUUCCAAAGGAGCAAUUGAAUUAGUUUCAUUUCGAUGGGUCUAUUUUUGAGGUUCGAGAACUGCAAAGAACAGCACAAUUUAGACUUUGCUCAUUAUUGGUGGGACGUUUUGCAUGCCAAAAGAUUUGGCUGUCGUGAAAACUCAAUUCGAGAAUUACGUUAGCAACACGCAAAAAAGAAAAAAAAAAAUCAACCAAUUAUAAUAACUAAUGUUAAAUUGAUAUAGAUUUGAAGUAAAAGUUAAAACUUUUCUCAAAAAAAUAUUUGUGAGAAGAAUAAGAUAGUUUUUCAAAUUUAUGCCAUCAUAUAUGUCGAGUGGCUAAGUUUCAUUAAGAAUUCAAGUUGGGCACUAUUAUUAGUUUAUUGAAAUGAUACAAUUAAAACCUUGAAUGUAUUGAUAUGAUAUGAUUUAGUCAUUUUGGUGAUGAUAUGCCUAAUUUUGCCGACGUCGCACGCUGAGAAUCCUAAGUGGUGCUUUUUUUGCAUUCUGUUUAUCUAAUGAGACGAUAAUGUUGAACCAUGUUAGAAAAAACUAAAAUCUAAAAUCUAAAACAUAAAAAGAAAAUCCAAACACAAAAUAGAAAAGAAAACCCCCAAAAGUAGAAGACAUAAAAAAGAGAAAGAGAGAAUGGAACUGACAUGGGUUCUUUAGUCAUAGUGGUCAACGGCCCUUGCAAAGCCCUUAUGGUGGCUAGCAAUUAAAGCCUAUUUCAUAACAUUUUUGUUUCUCUUUUUUUUUUCCUUUGUUUCUUGAAAAAGAAAAGAGAAUUGCGUUUGUGUACAUUAGUCAAUUUUUUCUAUUCAAUUAAUGUCGUGAUAGUAAUGAAUCUGUUGUCGUCGCGGCCACUCUCUCGGCCAUCUAGAAUUCAAGAUUGAUUGUUUCGAGCAAAUAUCUUGAAUUUGACAUGAGUUGACCCUUAGAAUAUCUCAUUUAAGACAUGAAGAAUUACUAUAGUAAUCAUUUUUCUCUUCUCUUUAGAUUUACAGGUAGAAUAGUAUCUUAACUAAGUUAAUAAAUUACUAUAGUCAAUUAAUCAAUUUCGACCUCCAUUUGAAUUCAACACUCCCAUCCACUCAAUUACUAGAAGUCGUUAGUAUCAAAUGGCAGAUUUAAUUUCGAUAUCUUGGAAAUAUCAAGAAAUCAUAGGAGUACGAAUAUGCAUAACACACGAGGUAUACUCCGGAUGCGUACAUGUCAUGGCAGUUGCUAAUUCAAAUGGGCCGAGUGCUUACAACUAGCACUGAAGAAAACCAGUCGCGACACCUGCGCGUGACUCCCACGCUUCAACCCCAAGCAAACGUGAUGCUCUCCAAAUUAGGCGGGAAGCGGAAGAGCUCGAAACCCUAGAAUUCAAUUCAUCCCAAGCAGCUUCCAUUUCAUCCCUCAAUUUCCACUGCAACAAUUCUCUCUCUCUCUCUCCCGAUAUGGGCAUCAAGGUAGGUUCAGUUCGACCUCCGUCUCCUUCAAUCCCAUCAUUUUUCCAUAUGAUGUUCAUCGAGUCUCUUCCACUGAUUUCGAUAGGGACUGACGAAGCUACUGGUGGACAAUGCCCCGACCGCCAUGAAGGAGCAGAAGCUUGAGAGCUACUUCGGCCGGAGGAUCGCCGUCGAUGCCAGCAUGAGCAUCUAUCAGUUCCUCGUAAUGUUACUUCUUUAUGGAUUGAUGCCUGUGAUUGCGCGUUUCGGUUGUCGGUUGGGAUUUGGAUUUUGAGUGUUGGGGUUUUUUGGUUCUUUUGAUUGGUGGAUUAGGUUGUGGUUGGGAGGAAGGGGACUCAGAUGCUCAUCAACGAGGCUGGUGAAGUCACCAGGUACACUGGCAUUGUAAUACUCCAUGAAAAUGAAAAUCCAUUUUUGAUGUGAUCUUUGUGCCUGGAAAGUGUUUGAGUUUGAGCUGCUUUCCCGUGCAGUCAUCUGCAAGGCAUGCUUUACCGAACGAUUAGGCUGUUGGAGGCGGGCAUAAAGCCAGUGUAAACUUUUUUUCUUGACCUACUGUGUUUUCAUUGGGAUAGAAUGCUAGAAGAGUGAAGCUCGUGCUUCUCUGAAUUAUGUUUUGCUGUUGUUAUGAUAGCUACGUAUUUGAUGGUCCACCUCCUGAUUUGAAGAAGCAAGAGCUGGCAAAGCGGUACUUUAUUAUUAUUUAGCCUUUUUUUCUUCUUCUAUUUUUUGGAAUUAUCUAUGAAUAUGUUUAGUUACCUUAACUGAGUUUCUGAGCAGUUUUUCGAAGAGGGCAGCUGGCUCUGAGGAGUUGGCAGUAGCAAUUGCGGUAUAUGCAUCUCUCUCUCUCACACAUAAACACCCAGAAACACAGAGUACAAAAAUGCUCAGUGAGCUCUGUAUUUAUUGUGUCUGCAGUCUCGGAACAAGGAAGACAUAGAGAAAUUCAGUAAAAGAACUGUGAAGGUUGGUCUUGUUUUGGUUUCCUUACGGUGUGAUAUUUUUGUCUUAUUUGAUGUGAAGUUUGAUUUUGUCUCUGUUUUCCAGAAAAAACCUAUCUACGUAGCUAACUGGAUGUGUGCGCACUUGUGGUACAUGGCUUUGAUACUCUUGCAGGUGACACAACAGCACAAUGAAGACUGCAAAAGACUAUUAAGGCUUAUUGGUGUCCCAGUAGUUGAGGUUACUAUUCUGUCUGAAAAGUUUGUUCUUUUUUAUUUCUAACGAAUAGUGAUGCCAGAUUCAUUUUUUGUACUUUAGGCUCCUUCAGAAGCAGAGGCACAAUUUGCUGCACUUUGCAAAGCUGGAAAGGCAAGUAUCUUCCCAUUUGAUUGUCUUCUGAUUUAGAAUUGUUCGUUGUUUUCCCAUGAUAACCAAUCGUUUAACAAUACGCAAACAUGAUUUAAUUUCCUUUUUCGCUCACACAUAUGCUUGUUCACUUGUCUAAUGUCUUCUUCCGCGUAGUCAUUUACGUUUGGCAUGUUCUUUACUAAGCAUCUUUGUCCAAGGAAUUUUCGCUGACUUUGAAUUCCUAGCAUUGCUUAAUUGUUGUGUGGUAACCAGAAUUCAUCUACCAUGAAUGGUGCUUUAGCUGUAAUAUUUGUUUUUCAGGUUUAUGCAGUUGCUUCUGAAGACAUGGAUUCCCUUACUUUUGGAGCUCCUAUAUUUCUUCGCCAUUUAAUGGAUCCCAGCUCAAGAAAAGUUCCAGUCAUGGAAUUUGAAAUUCCCAAGGUACUUAGAAAAGUUUAUUCAUCGUGAUUGCUUAAAUUUUUUUCUCACUUUCCUGACUUUUAGAUCUUGGAGGAGAUGAAUCUGGAUAUGGAUCAAUUCAUUGACCUGUGCAUUCUCUCUGGAGAUUAUUGUGAAAGCAUUUGAGGUAGACGUGAUAUUGUUGCAGUGCUCUGUUAACUGUUUUAUGCUAUCAAAUAUCAUUUUUCUCUCUUGUAUUUUUUAGCUUGAUGAUUUCAGUGGUUUUACUUUGGAAUGAAUUUAUCAGGUAUUGGAGGGCUGACUGCUCUUAAGCUUAUCCAUCAACAUGGUUCUAUAGAAAACAUACUAGAGAACAUAAACAAGUAGAGGUGCUUCUUAUGCUCUUAUCUUGUCCCCUGACUUGUAAGCAAAAUUAGGCAGGACAGUUUCUCACUGUAGUAGUCUUGGCUGCUGAAUUCCUUGACUUAAAAGAAUUAUCUCUCAAACUCAGCUGGUGUGGAAAUAUUUGGUCAACAAUUUGAAAAUGAAAGAUCAUUUGCCACCAAUACAUUUGGGAUGGCAAUCAGUGCAUCAGCCAUGCUACUUCGUGUGUUGAUUUACUAUAAUACUUUUAUCUAUUCUGAUGUCUGCUUUGUCUGUUCUUUCAUCUCACUUGAACAAAAUCGUAUUGUUUCUCUAUCUUGAAAACCCAGAGGUUCUUUGCAUUACUUGGAAGUCUUUAUUCAGUUUGGUUAUCCAUCUUGCAGAAAUGUUUGCUUGCUUUUUGAAUAGGUAUCAGAUACCAGAUAAUUGGCCCUAUAGUGAAGCUCGACUGCUUUUCAAGGAACCAAUAGUUUCUAUGGAAGAAAAACCUGAGAUAAAUACUCCAAACGAGGAGGUGGGCCAUUUUCAUGUUGGGAUUUACUUGCAACAUUUCAUUUUUGAAUUCUUGACUUGUUUCCUAACUGAUUGAGACUAUCAGUGCGUGUAGCCUAAUUCUUGAGAUAUCUCCUUCUCGUCAGCCUAAGUUGAAAUUUUGGCAUUAUUUGAGCGACCCUUCAGCUUCAUUUUUUUUUUUGGUCUUUGUAAUCCUAAUCUGCACCAGAAGACAAGUAAUUUGGCUCCACCUCCACGUCCUUGCAGUGCCCCUCACGGUCUCUCAUCCGUUCUUCAACAUUUCUAAAAAGAGCAACAUUUCUAUAUUCCGAGCUUUGCAACGAGCUACUCUAUAUUCCUUAUCUUCAUAGAGAAGUUAUUAGGCAGUCCCACUCCGCCAUGUGAGCAUAGUCCCUCUACACCCGGUGAGUGACACGUGGAGCCACGUAAAUGGGUGGUUUCAUGGGGAAAGAUCUCUCUUUAAUAUUUCAAGUUGUUGGGUCUCCCUCUCGUGAGGAAUGAAGAAGACGCAGUCUCUCUUUUCUUCUUUUCAAAAUUCACUCUCUCACCUUUGCUCCCAAUCCGCUGCAUUCCUUUGCUCCCAAUCCGCUGCAUUCUCCACUGCGCCGCCUCUGCUGUCCCCUCCAGGAGUCCCCAUUGGCGGCUCCGAUUUGUCGUUUGUGUCCAGCGAGCUCAGAUCUGCUGCAUUCUCUGGUGCGCUGCUGCUGCCACCAGUAUAGAACAUCAUCAUGACCAUUUACCAUGAUCAUUCUGUAGUGGGUUCUGAACAAUAUUGUGCUUUUGCUGUUGCAGAAACCAGGAGCAAGCUGUGCACCAUCUGUACCGCCAUAUGUAGCUUCUUCGACUCCUUAGCUACCUUCAUACUCUGCACUCCUCCCGCAUCAGCUCNNNNNNNNNNNNNNNNNNNNNNNNNNNNNNNNNNNNNNNNNNNNNNNNNNNNNNNNNNNNNNNNNNNNNNNNNNNNNNNNNNNNNNNNNNNNNNNNNNNNNNNNNNNNNNNNNNNNNNNNNNNNNNNNNNNNNNNNNNNNNNNNNNNNNNNNNNNNNNNNNNNNNNNNNNNNNNNNNNNNNNNNNNNNNNNNNNNNNNNNNNNNNNNNNNNNNNNNNNNNNNNNNNNNNNNNNNNNNNNNNNNNNNNNNNNNNNNNNNNNNNNNNNNNNNNNNNNNNNNNNNNNNNNNNNNNNNNNNNNNNNNNNNNNNNNNNNNNNNNNNNNNNNNNNNNNNNNNNNNNNNNNNNNNNNNNNNNNNNNNNNNNNNNNNNNNNNNNNNNNNNNNNNNNNNNNNNNNNNNNNNNNNNNNNNNNNNNNNNNNNNNNNNNNNNNNNNNNNNNNNNNNNNNNNNNNNNNNNNNNNNNNNNNNNNNNNNNNNNNNNNNNNNNNNNNNNNNNNNNNNNNNNNNNNNNNNNNNNNNNNNNNNNNNNNNNNNNNNNNNNNNNNNNNNNNNNNNNNNNNNNNNNNNNNNNNNNNNNNNNNNNNNNNNNNNNNNNNNNNNNNNNNNNNNNNNNNNNNNNNNNNNNNNNNNNNNNNNNNNNNNNNNNNNNNNNNNNNNNNNNNNNNNNNNNNNNNNNNNNNNNNNNNNNNNNNNNNNNNNNNNNNNNNNNNNNNNNNNNNNNNNNNNNNNNNNNNNNNNNNNNNNNNNNNNNNNNNNNNNNNNNNNNNNNNNNNNNNNNNNNNNNNNNNNNNNNNNNNNNNNNNNNNNNNNNNNNNNNNNNNNNNNNNNNNNNNNNNNNNNNNNNNNNNNNNNNNNNNNNNNNNNNNNNNNNNNNNNNNNNNNNNNNNNNNNNNNNNNNNNNNNNNNNNNNNNNNNNNNNNNNNNNNNNNNNNNNNNNNNNNNNNNNNNNNNNNNNNNNNNNNNNNNNNNNNNNNNNNNNNNNNNNNNNNNNNNNNNNNNNNNNNNNNNNNNNNNNNNNNNNNNNNNNNNNNNNNNNNNNNNNNNNNNNNNNNNNNNNNNNNNNNNNNNNNNNNNNNNNNNNNNNNNNNNNNNNNNNNNNNNNNNNNNNNNNNNNNNNNNNNNNNNNNNNNNNNNNNNNNNNNNNNNNNNNNNNNNNNNNNNNNNNNNNNNNNNNNNNNNNNNNNNNNNNNNNNNNNNNNNNNNNNNNNNNNNNNNNNNNNNNNNNNNNNNNNNNNNNNNNNNNNNNNNNNNNNNNNNNNNNNNNNNNNNNNNNNNNNNNNNNNNNNNNNNNNNNNNNNNNNNNNNNNNNNNNNNNNNNNNNNNNNNNNNNNNNNNNNNNNNNNNNNNNNNNNNNNNNNNNNNNNNNNNNNNNNNNNNNNNNNNNNNNNNNNNNNNNNNNNNNNNNNNNNNNNNNNNNNNNNNNNNNNNNNNNNNNNNNNNNNNNNNNNNNNNNNNNNNNNNNNNNNNNNNNNNNNNNNNNNNNNNNNNNNNNNNNNNNNNNNNNNNNNNNNNNNNNNNNNNNNNNNNNNNNNNNNNNNNNNNNNNNNNNNNNNNNNNNNNNNNNNNNNNNNNNNNNNNNNNNNNNNNNNNNNNNNNNNNNNNNNNNNNNNNNNNNNNNNNNNNNNNNNNNNNNNNNNNNNNNNNNNNNNNNNNNNNNNNNNNNNNNNNNNNNNNNNNNNNNNNNNNNNNNNNNNNNNNNNNNNNNNNNNNNNNNNNNNNNNNNNNNNNNNNNNNNNNNNNNNNNNNNNNNNNNNNNNNNNNNNNNNNNNNNNNNNNNNNNNNNNNNNNNNNNNNNNNNNNNNNNNNNNNNNNNNNNNNNNNNNNNNNNNNNNNNNNNNNNNNNNNNNNNNNNNNNNNNNNNNNNNNNNNNNNNNNNNNNNNNNNNNNNNNNNNNNNNNNNNNNNNNNNNNNNNNNNNNNNNNNNNNNNNNNNNNNNNNNNNNNNNNNNNNNNNNNNNNNNNNNNNNNNNNNNNNNNNNNNNNNNNNNNNNNNNNNNNNNNNNNNNNNNNNNNNNNNNNNNNNNNNNNNNNNNNNNNNNNNNNNNNNNNNNNNNNNNNNNNNNNNNNNNNNNNNNNNNNNNNNNNNNNNNNNNNNNNNNNNNNNNNNNNNNNNNNNNNNNNNNNNNNNNNNNNNNNNNNNNNNNNNNNNNNNNNNNNNNNNNNNNNNNNNNNNNNNNNNNNNNNNNNNNNNNNNNNNNNNNNNNNNNNNNNNNNNNNNNNNNNNNNNNNNNNNNNNNNNNNNNNNNNNNNNNNNNNNNNNNNNNNNNNNNNNNNNNNNNNNNNNNNNNNNNNNNNNNNNNNNNNNNNNNNNNNNNNNNNNNNNNNNNNNNNNNNNNNNNNNNNNNNNNNNNNNNNNNNNNNNNNNNNNNNNNNNNNNNNNNNNNNNNNNNNNNNNNNNNNNNNNNNNNNNNNNNNNNNNNNNNNNNNNNNNNNNNNNNNNNNNNNNNNNNNNNNNNNNNNNNNNNNNNNNNNNNNNNNNNNNNNNNNNNNNNNNNNNNNNNNNNNNNNNNNNNNNNNNNNNNNNNNNNNNNNNNNNNNNNNNNNNNNNNNNNNNNNNNNNNNNNNNNNNNNNNNNNNNNNNNNNNNNNNNNNNNNNNNNNNNNNNNNNNNNNNNNNNNNNNNNNNNNNNNNNNNNNNNNNNNNNNNNNNNNNNNNNNNNNNNNNNNNNNNNNNNNNNNNNNNNNNNNNNNNNNNNNNNNNNNNNNNNNNNNNNNNNNNNNNNNNNNNNNNNNNNNNNNNNNNNNNNNNNNNNNNNNNNNNNNNNNNNNNNNNNNNNNNNNNNNNNNNNNNNNNNNNNNNNNNNNNNNNNNNNNNNNNNNNNNNNNNNNNNNNNNNNNNNNNNNNNNNNNNNNNNNNNNNNNNNNNNNNNNNNNNNNNNNNNNNNNNNNNNNNNNNNNNNNNNNNNNNNNNNNNNNNNNNNNNNNNNNNNNNNNNNNNNNNNNNNNNNNNNNNNNNNNNNNNNNNNNNNNNNNNNNNNNNNNNNNNNNNNNNNNNNNNNNNNNNNNNNNNNNNNNNNNNNNNNNNNNNNNNNNNNNNNNNNNNNNNNNNNNNNNNNNNNNNNNNNNNNNNNNNNNNNNNNNNNNNNNNNNNNNNNNNNNNNNNNNNNNNNNNNNNNNNNNNNNNNNNNNNNNNNNNNNNNNNNNNNNNNNNNNNNNNNNNNNNNNNNNNNNNNNNNNNNNNNNNNNNNNNNNNNNNNNNNNNNNNNNNNNNNNNNNNNNNNNNNNNNNNNNNNNNNNNNNNNNNNNNNNNNNNNNNNNNNNNNNNNNNNNNNNNNNNNNNNNNNNNNNNNNNNNNNNNNNNNNNNNNNNNNNNNNNNNNNNNNNNNNNNNNNNNNNNNNNNNNNNNNNNNNNNNNNNNNNNNNNNNNNNNNNNNNNNNNNNNNNNNNNNNNNNNNNNNNNNNNNNNNNNNNNNNNNNNNNNNNNNNNNNNNNNNNNNNNNNNNNNNNNNNNNNNNNNNNNNNNNNNNNNNNNNNNNNNNNNNNNNNNNNNNNNNNNNNNNNNNNNNNNNNNNNNNNNNNNNNNNNNNNNNNNNNNNNNNNNNNNNNNNNNNNNNNNNNNNNNNNNNNNNNNNNNNNNNNNNNNNNNNNNNNNNNNNNNNNNNNNNNNNNNNNNNNNNNNNNNNNNNNNNNNNNNNNNNNNNNNNNNNNNNNNNNNNNNNNNNNNNNNNNNNNNNNNNNNNNNNNNNNNNNNNNNNNNNNNNNNNNNNNNNNNNNNNNNNNNNNNNNNNNNNNNNNNNNNNNNNNNNNNNNNNNNNNNNNNNNNNNNNNNNNNNNNNNNNNNNNNNNNNNNNNNNNNNNNNNNNNNNNNNNNNNNNNNNNNNNNNNNNNNNNNNNNNNNNNNNNNNNNNNNNNNNNNNNNNNNNNNNNNNNNNNNNNNNNNNNNNNNNNNNNNNNNNNNNNNNNNNNNNNNNNNNNNNNNNNNNNNNNNNNNNNNNNNNNNNNNNNNNNNNNNNNNNNNNNNNNNNNNNNNNNNNNNNNNNNNNNNNNNNNNNNNNNNNNNNNNNNNNNNNNNNNNNNNNNNNNNNNNNNNNNNNNNNNNNNNNNNNNNNNNNNNNNNNNNNNNNNNNNNNNNNNNNNNNNNNNNNNNNNNNNNNNNNNNNNNNNNNNNNNNNNNNNNNNNNNNNNNNNNNNNNNNNNNNNNNNNNNNNNNNNNNNNNNNNNNNNNNNNNNNNNNNNNNNNNNNNNNNNNNNNNNNNNNNNNNNNNNNNNNNNNNNNNNNNNNNNNNNNNNNNNNNNNNNNNNNNNNNNNNNNNNNNNNNNNNNNNNNNNNNNNNNNNNNNNNNNNNNNNNNNNNNNNNNNNNNNNNNNNNNNNNNNNNNNNNNNNNNNNNNNNNNNNNNNNNNNNNNNNNNNNNNNNNNNNNNNNNNNNNNNNNNNNNNNNNNNNNNNNNNNNNNNNNNNNNNNNNNNNNNNNNNNNNNNNNNNNNNNNNNNNNNNNNNNNNNNNNNNNNNNNNNNNNNNNNNNNNNNNNNNNNNNNNNNNNNNNNNNNNNNNNNNNNNNNNNNNNNNNNNNNNNNNNNNNNNNNNNNNNNNNNNNNNNNNNNNNNNNNNNNNNNNNNNNNNNNNNNNNNNNNNNNNNNNNNNNNNNNNNNNNNNNNNNNNNNNNNNNNNNNNNNNNNNNNNNNNNNNNNNNNNNNNNNNNNNNNNNNNNNNNNNNNNNNNNNNNNNNNNNNNNNNNNNNNNNNNNNNNNNNNNNNNNNNNNNNNNNNNNNNNNNNNNNNNNNNNNNNNNNNNNNNNNNNNNNNNNNNNNNNNNNNNNNNNNNNNNNNNNNNNNNNNNNNNNNNNNNNNNNNNNNNNNNNNNNNNNNNNNNNNNNNNNNNNNNNNNNNNNNNNNNNNNNNNNNNNNNNNNNNNNNNNNNNNNNNNNNNNNNNNNNNNNNNNNNNNNNNNNNNNNNNNNNNNNNNNNNNNNNNNNNNNNNNNNNNNNNNNNNNNNNNNNNNNNNNNNNNNNNNNNNNNNNNNNNNNNNNNNNNNNNNNNNNNNNNNNNNNNNNNNNNNNNNNNNNNNNNNNNNNNNNNNNNNNNNNNNNNNNNNNNNNNNNNNNNNNNNNNNNNNNNNNNNNNNNNNNNNNNNNNNNNNNNNNNNNNNNNNNNNNNNNNNNNNNNNNNNNNNNNNNNNNNNNNNNNNNNNNNNNNNNNNNNNNNNNNNNNNNNNNNNNNNNNNNNNNNNNNNNNNNNNNNNNNNNNNNNNNNNNNNNNNNNNNNNNNNNNNNNNNNNNNNNNNNNNNNNNNNNNNNNNNNNNNNNNNNNNNNNNNNNNNNNNNNNNNNNNNNNNNNNNNNNNNNNNNNNNNNNNNNNNNNNNNNNNNNNNNNNNNNNNNNNNNNNNNNNNNNNNNNNNNNNNNNNNNNNNNNNNNNNNNNNNNNNNNNNNNNNNNNNNNNNNNNNNNNNNNNNNNNNNNNNNNNNNNNNNNNNNNNNNNNNNNNNNNNNNNNNNNNNNNNNNNNNNNNNNNNNNNNNNNNNNNNNNNNNNNNNNNNNNNNNNNNNNNNNNNNNNNNNNNNNNNNNNNNNNNNNNNNNNNNNNNNNNNNNNNNNNNNNNNNNNNNNNNNNNNNNNNNNNNNNNNNNNNNNNNNNNNNNNNNNNNNNNNNNNNNNNNNNNNNNNNNNNNNNNNNNNNNNNNNNNNNNNNNNNNNNNNNNNNNNNNNNNNNNNNNNNNNNNNNNNNNNNNNNNNNNNNNNNNNNNNNNNNNNNNNNNNNNNNNNNNNNNNNNNNNNNNNNNNNNNNNNNNNNNNNNNNNNNNNNNNNNNNNNNNNNNNNNNNNNNNNNNNNNNNNNNNNNNNNNNNNNNNNNNNNNNNNNNNNNNNNNNNNNNNNNNNNNNNNNNNNNNNNNNNNNNNNNNNNNNNNNNNNNNNNNNNNNNNNNNNNNNNNNNNNNNNNNNNNNNNNNNNNNNNNNNNNNNNNNNNNNNNNNNCGUUCGACUCAUUAAUACUACAGCAGAGGCAGCGUCUGAGGUGUCAAGGGGCGCGGCUUUCGGAUCUGUCUGAGGCGGCAAAUUGAGAUAAAAUUGCGGCCGCUUCGAUGAGCUGGUACUAGCAUUAGGGCUCACAUUGAGGACGCGCAAGCCGAAGAAUGCACGAACUCUGAACUCGUCGGGGACAGACGACAAAUCGAAGCCACCAACGUUGCAGAUGUCACCCCCAAACUCUCCAUUCCAAUAAUUCCAAUAGAUUUCCUCCCUAUUAAGCUUACCACACUUUAAAACUCGGAGCUUCGGUAGCUUUUUCAAUUUCGAUAGAUCGGACAUCCUCUCUAAGGAAGGGCAAAGUUCGACUGAUAGAGAGCAAAGGGAUCCCAAUUCUUCAAGGCCACAAAUCUUGACUAAUGGACGACAAAGUUCCAAACUUACCUCUUCUAGAUUCUUCAUGCGCGACAGAUCAAACACUUCUGGAAGUAACUUACAAUAAGCCAUCUUUAAUGAUCUCAAUCUUUUCAUUUCCAACUGCAACUGUGCGUCCACUUUUCUAAACUCACAGAGCUCCAUAUGGAGUUUCUCCGACUCCGCAUCAAAUAUACUGGAGAAUUCUAGCGAACAUCUAUAGAAUGUCAAGAUUGACAAAUCUUUCAAAUUGGAAAAAUCUAGUGAUCGUGUGGUCGCCAGAUUUCGAAACUGUAACUUUCUUAAACAAGCGGGGAGUUGGGGGAGGAAUUGCACAUUUUUGCAGCACAAUUUUAGUGUUUUAAGCUGAGAUAGGCUACCGACGUUAGUGGGAAGAGUCAUGACAGGUGUUUCCUGUUGAGAUGGGGCACCUAUUCGGAGGAAUUCUUUAGCAGCAACACUAUCUACUUCAUCUUCAUCUUCCUCAUCAGCACGUUUUUCUUCCUGCCAGAAUUCCUCCUCCUCCUCCUCCCGCCAAUACUCCACGGAGUACCACUUCUUCCAAUAUUUCUCGUCAAGCCAAUUUUGCCAGCCCAGUGUCAGAUAAGUCAAACUUAGGGGAAGCUCCUGCAAUUGUUUAGGCUUGGGAUAAUUUUCUAGCUUAAGUAUUUGGAGAUUAGAGAGGUGACUCAUCGUGGCGGGUAAUCCGCAUAUAUGUGUGUCUGACAAGUCUAGGAUCCUCAAAUGGGACAGUCUCCCAAUUUCUUUAGGGAUUUCGCUGGUCAAGUUGCAACAACCUUGGGCAUCUAACUCUUCGAGCUUCUCCAUUAGCCCAAUCGCACUUGGUAAUUCUGUUAUCCCUCUUAUUUGGCUCAUCCUUAGCACUUUCAGUUGCUUUAGAUUGCCAAUUGAAUCAGGUAGGUGACCAAUACUUGUCGAUGACAAAUCCAACUCAACUAAUGAUUGUAAUUCUCCAAUCGAGUUUGGAAGUUCGUUUAUCUUCAUACACUUCGAUAAAUCCAACCGCCUAAUGUUCACCAACCCUCCAAUCGAGUAUGGCAAUUGCUAAUUCUCCUAUUUGGUAAAUCAAAGGUCAACAAUGAUUGCAAAUUACCGAAUGUCUCCGGAAGUUCAUGUAGCAUAUCAGGCAUGACAAUCUCUGUCAAAGCUUGGAGACAUCCUAUUUCUUCAGGCAACUUUUGAAGACAUGGACAUCCCUCUAAGUUCAAGGAAAUUAGGAGCUUUAAUUUACCAAUGGAUGGGUCAAUUUCAAUUAACUUGUCACAGCCUUGAAGAAUCAAUCUCUCCAAGGACACCCAUGCAGAUAAAUCAGGUGUUCUUGAAAAUGAGCAACCGCGAAGAUCUAGUACUUUUAGUUUACUUGCCACCUGCAAAAAAUUAUCAUAAAAUAUAUACUGAGAAACGACUUGGAAAAAAAAUGACAAAAGAAACGAUAUGCAUAUGCAAGGAGUGGUACUCAAAUCGUACUUUGAUUUGGUUCCAGCCAAUCUAUUCCUCUGAAAUAUGGCUCCAUGAAAGGUCAAGAACAACUAAAUUAGUUGGAUGAAAGUUUGUUGCCUCAAACUUGGGAGAGCAACAUUGCCAAGAAAGCCAUCUUAAAUUGGAGAAAACAUUAUUGAAGUCUCCAACAAAGAACACUCCGCCCCCUUCAAAGAACCUUAGCUUCCGUAAAUUAGCAAAUUCAUCAUGCUUUAGAAUAGCGUCUUCAUCAAAUGCACCAUAUCCCACGGAUAGUAUUUCUAUAUUCCUACUUCCCUGACAAUGGAAACACCAAGAAGUCCCAAUACGAAGGUCAAAAGCGAAUAAUUUCAAGCGCUAAUAGCCAUUAUUUUUUCCUUUUUCAACAACAGUGUACAACAAUUCAUAGGAAAAUAAAUUGAUGUUCCCUUUUUACCUCUUUUUGCUUUAGAAUGCUCAGGGCUUCCUCAAAAUUCCACACUCUACUACGCUUGCAAGGAUCUUUGAAAUUCUCUUGACGGACAAUUUCCUUUCCAAGGUCCCGCACUUGGUCAUGCAUCCAAAAAAUAUUGUCGUCUUUGAUUUUUAUCAAGGACAUGAGAAUGAGGACUUCAAGGGCAUCGUGUGGGUAGUAUCGACAGUCAUCCCACAUGUAGAAAGGGUAUUUUAUGUCCUUAUUAACAAAGAAACAAGCUAUAUCCAAGAAUACUUGCCUUUGUGCAUGAUCUAGCCUUUCAUAAGUUAUCAGCAAUUUUCUUUGGACUCCCAUGGGAGGAGCUUCUGUUAGCUUCUUCAAUGUGUCAACCCAUAAUGCUUCAGAUUUACCAUUAAGGGAUGAACCUGUAAUUUCAAGAGCUAAAGGAAGAUUUCCCAAAGUGGAGACGACUUCUUUUGAAAGAGAGACAUAAUGAUUUGGUGGAGAGUCUCUUCUAAAGGCAUGCCUACUGAAAAGCUUAAGAGCAUAAUCAAAUUCCAUUUCACACACUUCAUAAGUCGAAACAUUUGCUGAUUUUUUUAUGAGGCCUUCACCUGUUGCUGCUCCCUCAAUCAUUAAGACACUUUGGUCCCUAGUGGUUAUGAUAAUCCUACUACCAGAACCAAACCAAUUAUCUUUUUCCGCUAGAAUUUUUAGUUGCUCUUUAUCAUCCACGUCAUCAAGAAUAAUGAGCACUUUUUUUUAUUUCUCAGCACUCCCUUGUUGAUCAUGUUGAUCCUAUCAUUCACAUGAUAAAUUUGGUCGAUAGAAUGAGAAUCAAUGAGCUUCAAUAACAAUUGUUUUUGCAAAUUUACCAUACCAUGAUUGCCUUUUGAUAAUUCCCGAACGUCUGCAAGGAAACAAUAUCGGUCAAAGCCAGAAAAAAGUUUGUUGAAGAUGACCUUAGCAAGGGUUGUUUUGCCAACACCGCCCAUUCCAUGGAUUCCAAGAAAUCGCACACUAUCAGAUCCCACAUCCAAUAUUUUGAUUAUAUCUUCUACACGAUCAUCAACUCCAACUAGAUGUUCAGUCACAUUUUCAUGUGCAACCUUCAGCUUAACCGAAACAAUUCGAAUUACUGAUCGUAUCAGAUCCCCUUGGCUGCCACAAUGCAAGAACCAUGUUAGGAUAACUUUUUUUUUUUUUUGUUAAACUUCUCCCAAAAAGACUAAAUUGCCCUCACAUGUUAAGGAAAUUACGCAAAAAAAUGUAUACACCAAUACGAUUCUGAUUUUUGCAAAUCUCUCUCCGCUCUCCAGCUUCAGUGACCAUCACUGUCGGCCCAUGUCCUACCACGCCACCGUUGACAUCGCUCACCUUCCUACACCGUCACCAUCAAGUUCCGGUGUCGUCGCUCAUUGCGCCCAGUCGACGUGCCAUCUCGACCUAGCCUCAAUUCUCCAAGUCACGUGGGUCAUGGCCUUGCAACCUCCGGCGAUGGUGUCAUCGGUCUUGAAUGGGGAGGGAGAGAGGGAGAGAGGAUGAGUAGGGUGCUAUACCCGCCACAACAGUGCUAUUGACUGGGGCUAUUGCAGCAAUACCACCGAUAGUGGCAGCUAUUGGCCACUGCACGUGAGAAUUGCGUUCUCACCGCUAUAGUGGCCGCCAACAGUAGCGGUAGUGGCCGUCGUCGGCUACUAAACUAUAUAAAAUGGACUAGAUGAAUAUACUAUAUUUUCACCAGGAAAACGAAAUCUACAAAUGGAAGUUGAAAAGUUUAGACAUUUACCCUUGAUCUUUCCUCCAAUUACAUCCCUUUAUCUUGCCCACCUCGAGGAGAGCCUUUUCCCAUGACUCCACUUCAGUGCAGGACGUCUUCUGGCGCUUUGAAAGUCUUUGUUUGUACAAGUUUGUUCUGAGCUUGACAUCAGCAGGUUCCACGUUCAAGAAAAUCGGUAGAAUCUCUUUAUUCCCAUUCGAUUUCGAGGUGCACUCGACCAUAUGUGCGAGCUCUCGAAGGCACCAAUGACUAGAAGCAUAAUUCUUGGAGAAAAUGGGAAUGUAGAUCUUGGAGUUCUCAAUUGCUUGUAGAAGUUCACCACCAAUUUCCUUACCGACAUGGAGGGAUUCAUUGUCUCUAAAGAUGUUGAUCCCAGCCUCAACCAUGCCAUGGUAAAGACAACCGGUGAAUUCAUAACGGGUGUCUGUUCCUCGAAAACUUAGAAAAACCUCAUACGAAGAUCCGGAUGAUGCCCAUGAACUCGUCCCUUUCUCCAUUGUAGGACCUCUAAACACCACCGAUUUCAAAUCCUUUCUGUCUCUCAGGGAAGUUUGCUUUGGGUAUGCUUGGAUAUGAGCAAUGGCCUAUGAAGCACGUGCUUCCAUGUCGUGGUCAACUUUUCUCGAUACGUUUCGAUACGCGUGUCCAGAAGAUGGAGGGUGGAGGCCAGGCCGAGGGAGAAGAGACGAGGCCGUGAGUGACGGCGAGCCCACGACGGCGAGAGACGGUGAGAGAAAGAGCAGAGAUUGAGGCGAGGGCUGCCACUGUGUUGCUCUGAUGGAUCAACGGCAAGGCUGCAGCUAUAAGGGAGGAAGGGCCGGAGGCAAGACAGUGAACGAUUGUGAUGAGGACCAGGAGCAAGCAGAGAUCGAGAGGGAGACGAGAGGAAGGGGGUCGUGCGGCGAGGAGGAGGAGGAGAAGGACGUUAGCUAGGGUUUUUGAGAAGGAAACUCAAAAGAAUAAAAAAAAAAAAAAGGGGGAUUCUAAGGACUUGGCGUGAUUUUUCAUUUUGGAGAGAGGGGGAAGUGACAGCUUGUCAAGUGGUGGGGGAGGGAAAGAAAAGAGAAAUAAAAUUGGGGGUGGGGAAGAGACGAGGGAAAGAAGAGAGUGGCGGGGAGGGAAAAAAAAAGAGAAAUAAUUUUUUUUUUUGUUGGGGGUGAGGGAAAGAAGGGAGUUGGGUACCCAUGAUGGGAUUUUUUUUAAUUGAAAAAAUUAAUAAAUAAGAUUAAAAAUUAAUUUCAAAAAAUAAAAAUAUUGAAUAUUGAAUAGUGCUAAAUUUUGGUAAUUAUAGAAGAUUAUGGAUUUAUUUAAAUAAAUUGAUUCUAAUUUCUUAGUUUCAUCAAUAACUUUUGUCAAUUUAUUAAUAUAUUAGUAUAAAUUCAUUGUAGAAUCUUUUUUAAUUAAUUAUUUAUUUAUAAAUUUGAAUUAAAUUAAUUAAACAUAAAAAUAUUCAUUUAAUAUACAAUAUGUCCCAACGUGUCGGAAUUUUUUUAUUUUUUAGAAAUGGCAUAUCGAUGUGUCAUGUCGUGUCAUAUCGCGUAUCGGUACUACUUAGGUGAUAGCCUAAGAUGGCGAAAGGGGCGAGGGAAAGAAGGGAGUUGGGUACUCAUGAUGGGACUUUUUUUAAUUGGAAAAAUAAAUAAAUGAGAUUAAAAAGUAAUUUCAAAAAAUAAAAUGUUGAAUGUUGAAUAGUGACAAAUUUUGGUCAUUAUAGAAGAUUAUGGAUUUAUUUAAAUAAAUUUAUUCUAAUUUCUUAGUUUCAUCAAUAACUUUUGUCAAUUUAUUAAUAUUAUUAGUGUAAAUUCAUUGUAGACUCUUUUUAUAAAUUUGAAUUAAAUUAAUUAAAGAAAUAUUCAUUUAAAUACAACGUGUCCCAACGUGUCGGGAUUUUCUAUUUUUUAGAAAUGAUGUGUCGACGUGUCGUGUCAUGUUGCAUGUCGGUGCUAUUUAGGUGAUGGCUGUCAAUAUUAUAGGCUCUCAAGUCUCUAGGGUCAUGGGGUAGGGAAAAAGGCGCUAGACUUCGAAUAUUACUUCAAUCAAUAUAGUCAACACCCUUGUUUUUUUCUUCUUUUUUUUUUAAUCCCUUGAUGCACCUUCAUCUUUUGAUUAAUUUGUUUAGUGUUCAUGUAUAUCUUUACUGUUUUGCAUCGGUUUGGCCACCGAAUUUCCGAAAUUAAACAUUAAGAUAUAGUUCUAUUUAAAAGCACCAUUACUAUUAUAAAAAAACACAUGAACAGCUUUUAAGUGAAGACACUUAUAUGUAAUUCUAAUGUAAUUACUAAAUCAAAAUAAUGAUAUAUGUAUAAAUCUUAACCUUAUUUUGAAUUUAUUUAUUUAUUUAAAUUAAAAUUGUUAUAUAUGUAUCAUAAUCUUAAACUCACUUUAUCAAGCAUUACAUGGCCGGUUUUACCAAUAAAAGUAGUUAAACUAAUAUAAGAAAUUGAAAAGAGUUAUUCACAUUAUUUACUAUGUACAAAAUAACGUGACAAAUUUAAUGCUUGGCUAUGCCUUACUUUUUAAAAUAAUCAUUUACAGUAUAUAGAUUUAGAUCCCAAACCAAUAUGGAAAGAUAUGACACCAUAGAUUAAACAUAAAGACGGCUACAUAAAAGACUAACAAUAUUUCGAAAAUUUGUGAGAUUCGAUAAAUUGUAGAUCAUACCAAUGAAGAUUACACAAAAUCAAACUCAAACAUAUCUACCAUCCCAUAAAAAAAAUAAGAUGAUUGCAGUGAAAUCAGCUUGAUUUUGGAAAUUAAGCUGUGAAAUAGCCUAGAUAAUCGGAGUGAAUAUAGAGUGCCUUGAACAAUAUGUUUUUUAUUUGUAAAAUUCUCAAUACCAACUAUUUUAGAGAUUAUGAUCCAACCAUGAGUAGCUUGAUAUAUUUCAUUCCAAAUUUUAAAGUUGCAACUUGCUUAUCUUAAAUUUUAAAUUUAUACUUUAAAAGAAGAUAAUGAGAAGGACGAUGAAUUACAAGCCAAAGUCUUCUAAUAUCUUUGCUCGCUUCGUUGCAUUUUCCUCUUCUUUUCUUCUGACCGAAGAAUUCAAAAGUCUUCCAUCGCCUUGCUUGCUUAAUUGCAAAGAAAGCGACAAGGCAAAAGAUGACGAAACCUACUCAAGAGAAAAGAUUGGCGAGGAUAGGCAAGUCAAAGUCUUCCUCCAUCCUGCAUUGCCUGACGAGGGACCAUCGUUGAAAAGUCUUCCUUAGAUGCGGUUUACAAAAUUGUUCGAGAAAUUCUUGUCCAUUAGUCACAUUUCAAGGACAUGCCAAAAAGUAGAAUGCGGUUUACAAGUCAUCCCAGAAGUUUCCUAGAAAUUUCGUUGGUCAAUCAUUGAGUUAUCGUGCUAGGAGUUUCUAUGUCCCAUUCAUUUAAUAACAAGUUUUAAAUUAGAGAUCAUAGCUUUAGAAAUAGAGGAUACAAAGUGAAAUCGGGAUACAAAGUGAAGAUGAUUUUUGAGUUUUUCUUUAUUUAAUCAUAAUAGUGAAUAUUUAAAAAAUCCAAUCAACUUUGUAUCUAUAUCAUAUGUGAUUCUGAAUUAUUGACAUUUGCAACAAUGUUCAUCUUCAAACAAAAUUCUUUGGUUAGAAGUUUAACUAUCCAUCUACUAAGAAAAUUUAUAUUAUGCGUCGAUCACAUGAUCAGCGUGAUAUAAUCGGUCAAUCCAUGUUUCCACUACAAAGUAAGAGUGGAAGCAGCAUGGCAUUCCUUGGUGCACCUUCAUCUUUUCAUUAAUUUGUUUCAAGUUCACGUAUAUCUUGUUUGUUUUGCAUCAGUUUGGCCACCGAAUUUCCCAAAAUGAAAUUAUUAAGACGCGAAUUCUAUUUAAAAAUACCAUUACUAUUAAGAAAAACACAUGGAUAGCUUUUAAGUGAAGACACUUAUCCGUCAUUGGAGUUAAUGUAAUUACUAUAUAUAUAUAUAUAUAUAUACAUACAUAUAUAUAUAUAUACAUACAUAUAUAUAUAUAUAUAUAUAUAUAUAUAUAUCAGAAUCUUAACCUUACUUGGAAUUAAUUUAUUUUCUUAAAUUAAAAUCGUUAUAUAUUUAUCAUAAUCUUAACCUCACUAUGAAGUAUUUACGUGGCUGGUUUUACCAACAAAAGUAGUUAAAAUAAUAUAAGAGAUUGAAAAGCGUUAUUCACAUUAGUUACAAAUUAAUGUGACAAAUUUUUGAAUGUCUGACUAUGCCCAACCUCUCCAAACGAUAUCUAGAUCCCAAACAAAUAUAGAAAGAUCUAUGAUACCGCACAUUAAACAUAAAGACGACUCUAUAAAAGAUGAUAACGAUAUUCCAAAUAUUUGUGAGAUCCGAUAAAUCACAGAUCAUAUCAGUGAUGGUUACAUAAAAUCAAAUCAAAUAAUCUCACAUCCCACUCAAAAUAAGAUGAUUGCAAUGAAAACAACUUGAUAUUGGAAAUCAAGCUGUGAAACGGACUGGAUAAUCAGAUUUAGCAAUUGAGCGAAUGUAGAGAGCCCUGAACUCCAAUAUGUUUAUAAUUUAUUAAAUGGAUUGAUUUGCAAAAUUUUCAAUACGAAUUAUUUUAUUUAUUAUGUGAUAUAUUUUAUUCUAAAUUUUAAUAUUACAAUUCGCUUAUCUUAAAUUUAAAAUUAUAAUUUUAGAAGAAGGUGAUGUAAGGAGGCGAUGAAUUUUCAAAUUGGUUUGGUUUAUUCCCUCAUCUUUUGAUUAAUUUGUUUCAUGUUCAUGUAAAUCUUGUCUGUUUUGCAUUGGUUUGGCCACUGAAUUUCUCAAAUUAAAUAUUAAGAUGCGACUUCUAUAAAAACAUACUUACUAUCAAGAAAAACACAUUAAUAGCUGUUAAGUGAAGAGACUUAUCUGUUACUGAGAUUAAUGUAAUUACUAAAUCAAAAUUAUUAUAUCGGAAUCUUAACCUCACUUGGGUUAAUUUAUUAAUUAAAUUAAAAUUAUAAUAUAUGUAUCAUGAUCUUAACCUCCUUUUAUGAAGCAGUACGUGGCUGGUGUUACCAAUAAAAGAAUUACGAUAAUAUAAGAGAUUGAAAAGAGUUUGUAUUAUAGCUUAGUUACAAAAUAAUAUGACAAAUUUUGAAUGCUUGACUGUGCUGUACCUUUUCAAAUGAUCAUUUAUAGUAUAUACAUUNNNNNNNNNNNNNNNNNNNNNNNNNNNNNNNNNNNNNNNNNNNNNNNNNNNNNNNNNNNNNNNNNNNNNNNNNNNNNNNNNNNNNNNNNNNNNNNNNNNNCCCCUACUAAGUAAGAGUGGAGGAGCAUGGCAUUCCUUGGUGCACCUUCAUCUUUUCAUUAAUUUGUUUUGAAUUCAUGUAUAUCUUGUUUGUUUUGCAUCGGUUUGGCCACCGAAUUUCCCAAAAUGAAAUUAUUAAGACGCGAAUUCUAUUUAGAAAUACCAUUACUAUUAAGAAAAACACAUGGAUAGCUUUUAAGUGAAGACACUUAUCCGUCAUUGGAGUUAAUGUAAUUACUAAAUCAGAAUUUAUAUAUAUAUAUAUAUAUAUAUAUAUAUAUAUAUAUAUCUUAAUUUUACUUGGAAUUAAUUUAUUUGCUUAAAUUAAAAUCGUUAUAUACUUAUCAUAAUCUUAACCUCACUAUAUAAAGUAUUACGUGGCUGGUUUUACCAACAAAAGCAGUUAAAAUUAUAUAAGAGAUUGAAAAGUGUUAUUCACAUUAGUUACAAAUUAAUGUGACAAAGUUUUGAAUGUCUGACUAUGCCCAACCUCUCCAAAUGAUCAUUCAUAGUAUAUAGAUCUAGAUCCCAAACAAAUAUAGGAAGAUUUAUGAUACCGCACAUUAAACAUAAAGAUGACUCUAUAAAAGAUGGUAACAAUAUUCCAAAUAUUUGUGAUGGUUACAUAAAAUCAAAUCAAAUAAUCUCGCAUCCCACGCAAAAUAAGAUGAUUGCAAUGAAAACAACUUGAUAUUGGAAAUCAAGCUGUGAAACGGACUGGAUAAUCAGACUUAGCAACUGAGCGAAUGUAGAGAGCCAUGAACUCCAAUAUGUUUUUAAUUUAUUAAAUAGAUUAAUUUGCAAAAUUUUCAGUACGAAUUAUUUGAUUUAUUAUGUGAUAUAUUGUAUUCUAAAUUUUAAUAUUACAACUCACUUAUCUUAAAUUUUAAAUUAUAAUUUUAGAAGAAUGUGAUGAAAGGAGGCGAUGAAUUUUCAAAUUGGUUUGGUUUAUUCCCUCAUUUUUUGAUUAAUUUGUUUCAUGUUCAUGUAUAUCUUGUCUGUUUUGCAUCGGUUUGGCCACCGAAUUUCUCAAAUUAAAUAUUAAGAUGCGAAUUCUAUAAAAACAUACUUACUAUCAUGAAAAACACAUUUAUAGCUUUUAAGUGAAGAGACUUAUCUGUUAUUGAGAUUAAUGUAAUUACUAAAUCAAAAUUAUUAUAUCGGAAUCUUAAAAUUACUUGGAAUUAAUUUAUUACUUAAAUUAAAAUUAUAAUAUAUGUAUCAUGAUCUUAACCUCCUUUUAUGAAGUAGUACUUGGCCGGUGUUACCAAUAAAAGAAUUACGAUAAUAUAAGAGAUUGAAAAGAGUUCGUAUUAUUGCUUAGUUAGAAAAUAAUAUGACAAAUUUUGAAUGCUUGAUUGUGCCGUACCUUUUCAAAUAAUCAUUUAUAGUAUAUAGAUUUAGAUUCCAAACCAAUAUGGAUUGAUAUAUGAUACCGGUUUGAUAAUAUUUCGAAUAUUUGUGAGAUUCGAUAAAUUGUGGAUCAUAUCGUUGGAGAUUACACAAAAUCAUACUCAAAUAUAUAUAGCAUCCCAAUAAAAAUAAGAUGAUUGCACUAAAAUUAGCUUGAUUUUGGAAAUUUAGCUAUGAAAUAGCCUCGAUAAUUAGAUUUACCAAUGGAGUGAAGGAAGAGUACCACGAACAAUAUGUUUUUUAUUUAUAAAAUGGAUUGAUUUGCAAAAUUCUUAAUACGAUUUUUUUUUUUUUUAUAGAUAGUGAUCCAACCAUGAGCAACUUGAUAUAUUUUAUUCCAAAUUUUAAAUUUGCAAUUUGCUUAUUUUAAAUUUUAAAUUUAGACAUUAAAAGAAGGUAAUGAGCGAGAUGAUAAAUCUGAAUUGUUAAUUGUUAAUGUGAGAUUUUAUGAUUCCAAAAGCUUAAGUUGUUAAAUGAAGAUGUGGUUUAUUAUUUAAAUAUUCUAACAGUCUAGAAAGCACUCAAGUCCCAAAUAAUCAUGAUUGGAUAAUCUACUUCACAGCGUGUAACGUGGAAAGCAAGCCAAAGUUUUGUUGCAUUUUCCUCUUCUUUUCUUCCGACCAAAGAAGUCAAAAGUCUUCCACCAUCUCACUUGCUAAGUUGCAAAGAAAGUGCCGAGGCAAAAGCAGACAAAACCUACUCAAAAGAAAAAUAAAACCCUCCUUUUCUCAUUCUUACUUUUUUGCAGGAUUGCCCUUAGUUUCUUUUUCUAAGUGUUAAUUAUGAUAUUGCUAGUAUGAGUACCUAGAGGGGGGUGAAUAGGUAUAUAAAGAAUUUUUCUCAAGCAAUUGCACAAUACUAGAUAGUUGGAUGAAACGAUAGUCAAAGUAAGACUGAGAGAAGAGAAAAUUGAACACGCGGUUUAUAGUGGUUCGGCUUAUAUCAAGCCUACGUCCACUCUUCUUCACUGACAGCCUAUUGGCUGGAUUCCACUAUGAACAAGAGAGAGGUUACAGCACAGCUUUGCCUUGAUUCCAUAGUGUAGUUGUUCUACCACACCUCCUCAAGAUUUCUCACAAAUAUAGACUCUCUCUUUCGUAUACAAGUAUUCGCUCAAAGGAUUUGUCUAAACAAAAAGGAGCUUCAGACUUUGGAAUUCUUCUAUCGCGCACACCUUGAACAACUAAGACAGUCUUCCUUAUAUACUCCUUUAUGCCAUCAUACCCGUUGGCACUUACCAAAGGAAUUCCUCCAAUCUACCCGUUGGACGGAAUCAAUUAGGAAGAUUGUCCAAGCUAUAAAUGGAACGUGUUGAUAGCCCAUCAAUCAUGUUUGCCCAUACAAUCAGGAUCUCGGUUUCCAUAAGUAGAACCUUCCAAUAAUAUUCAGGCAAUCACCGGAUCUUCAAUUAUCGAAUCAAUCUUCGAUCAAUCAAAGGACUUCGUUUAUGUCUUCUCCAGCCAUGAGAUCUUCUCCAGUUGAUAAGGUUAAAUCCUCAACGAAACAUCCAGUUCUGGAUAACCUUUCUUCAACGGAUUAGAGACUGUCAAUGAAGAUGGACUUUGAGUCUUGAGUCUGGCUGUCCCAAGGUCUUCAGACUUUAAAUAGCAGAGUUUGCAAGCCUUCAGACUAAACUGAUAGAAACGAUUUGUCAACUUCAAAACACUUCAAGAAGAUUUCUCCAACAAAUUAAACAAGAAAAACCAGUCUAUUCACGAUACUUCCCUACGUAUCAUUUACACCCAACAUGCAUCUGAAUACAUGAGUGCUUUUUUUCGUGGUGAUGGGCAUAUUUUAAUAUAUAUCAUGAAUUUCUUUGUAGAUUUUUCAACUUUAUCGAUCCAGUGCUUCGACCGAUUGACUCACGAAUCAGAACGUAGUUUUUUGAUGUUGUGAUGAUUACUCGACACAAUGACAAAACCUGAUUAAGAUACGUGGCUACAAGUUGCAUACUCUAAUAACGAUGAUGUUGUGAUGAUGUGGAGCAUCUCAAAAAUUUAAAACUAGGAUAGGGAAAUUCAAAGAUGGCGUUUUAAUUUGGUUUGUAACCAAAAAAAAAAAAAAAGACUAAAUAUCUUCAGUUGUUGUGUGUGUGAAAACAAGAGAACGUGAUCCUCGUCUUUUGCAAUAUUGCUGGAUGCUUAGAUUUAAUGGUUGAAUGUGGAAACAAAGAAGAGUGGAAUAAACAGUGGCACACGGUUACGAAAUUGCUUAGAAAAUUCUUAUCCAUUUGCCGGCUUUGAAAGACACGGCAAAAAGCAAAGGUGGUUUACAAGUGAAUGCUGAAGAACUUCAUGAACAGAAAAGAGAUGGAAGAAAUCGAGAGAGAGAGAGAGAGAGAAUUUGAUGAAUGUAUUUCUUCUAUUAUUCAACUUCCUUAAGACUUUACAAUAUGAGAGAUUUCCUUCUUAUAUCUCCUCUGGUUCUCUUAAUGAAACCGUUUUACACAAGAGCUGUUGAAGAAAUAGUCAACUUCCUAACUGCAAGGAACUAACCGAAUACCGGUCACAACAACUAAGAUACAGAGUAAAGGAAAAAACAGAGUGGAUGAGCAGAGUAACGGUUUAGCCGACUUCGCAGCCUCUCUUCAUGCAAUCUCUCGAUCCGUAUAUCAUCCUUCUUCUUUCCUUUCUUUAUUUUUAACAGUAGAUCUUCUUCUUUCUGUACACUUCUCGGCAUCAUUCAUACAAUCAGCUUCUUCCUCAUUUAUUCUCUUGGCUUUUGUUCUUGUUAUUUGUUGUUGAAUAAGCUGCUGUCUUUUGUUCUUAACAUCCCCCCGCAAAUUGGGCAGGGGUGAAGAACCAAUGCCCAAUUUGAGACGAAGAGAGGAGUGUGUUAGUUUAGAUAGUGGCUUGGUAAAAAUAUCAGCAACUUGGUUAUGGCUGGGAACAUAUCUAACACAUAAGGAUCCAGACGCAACUUUUUCUCGAACAAAGUGGAAAUCAACCUCAAUAUGUUUUGUUCGAGCAUGAAGUAUAGGAUUUGCUGUGAGAGAUAUGGCAGAUUGAUUGUCACAGAAUAAUAUGGUUGGUGAGUGAAGAGAAACUCCAAUAUCUCUGAGAACAAAAGUAAUCCAAGUAAGAUCAGCUGUUGCUGAGGCAAGGGCUCUAUAUUCAGCUUCAGUGGAGGAACGAGAAACAGUUGAUUGCUUCUUAGCUAUCCAUGAGAUGAGAUUAGAACCGAGAUAAGUACAGAAGCCUGUGGUAGAACGUCUAGUUUGAAGACAGCCAGCCCAAUCUGCAUCAGAAAAGCCAUAUAAUUUGAGAGAGCUGUGAGAAUGAAGUGAAAUACCGAGGUGAAUUGUUCCUUUUACAUAUCGAAGAACUCGUUUCAGUUGAAGAAAGUCUCCAAUAGUAGGUUGCUGUAGUUUUUGACAUAGGAUAUUUGUUGCAAAGGCAAGAUCAGGCCUGGUGAUAGUGAGAUAUUGUAAGCCACCUACGAGACUUCGAUAGUUCAUGGGAUUUGGAAGAAGAACAGCAUCUCUUUCAAGUAUGACUGGUUUAAGAGAGAGAGGUGUAGCAAUAGGUUUGCAGUCAGUCAUAUUUGCACGAGACAGUAAGUCAAGGGCAUACUUGGUUUGACAUAAGAACAACUCAGUAGACGUUCGUGUGGCUUCAAUUCCAAGAAAAUAAUGAAGCUGGCCAAGGUCUUUCAUAUGGAAUUGAACAUUGAGUGAGUGAAUAAGAGUCUGUAGCAAUUGUUCUGAGCUACCAGUUAGAAUUAUAUCGUCAACAUAUAGAAGUAAAAGUAUUGUCUCUUGUCCUUGAUGAAGUAUGAACAGAGAGGGGUCAGUUGAGCUACAGAAAAAACCAACUUCAAGCAAGAAGUUGCUGAAUUUAUCAUACUAGGCACGCGGUGCUUGACGCAGUCCAUAAAGUGAUUUCUGAAGCAGACAUAUAUAUUGACAAUACUGUGGAUGAACAAAACCAGGAGGUUGCUCCAUGUACACAGUUUCAUUUAAGGUGCCAUGUAAGAAGGCGUUCUUGACAUCAAGUUGAUGUAUAGACCGGUGUUUUACCAUUGCUACAGAGAGGAUAAGUCUAACUGUUGCAUGUUUUAUCACAGGGCUAAAGGUUUCUAUGAAGUCGAUUCCUUCUUCCUGAUGAAAUCCCUUGGCUACUAGACGAGCCUUCAAUCGAUCUAGACUUCCAGUAGAAGUAAGUUUAGUCUUGAACACCCAUUUGCAGCCAAUAACAUUCAUGUUAUUAGUACGAGGAACCAAUAACCAAGUUUGAUUAUGAUGUAAGGCAUUCAUUUCUUCUUGCAUUGCCUGAUACCAUCCAGGAUCUGCUAGAGCAGAUUUUAUUGAUUUUGGUUCUGGAGGAAUUUGGUAUUGAGCAAGACAUGCAUAUCGAGGAUUCACUUUGACUAUACCAGAUUUAGAUCUGGUUUGCAUGUGAUGAGUAGGUUGUGUACCUUGCACAGGAUGGAUAGACUGUGUUUGUAUGUUAGAAGCACUUUGAUUGAUAGCUAGUUCUGUUGCUGUCACUGUUGUGGUUCCAGAUAUGUUUACUUGUGGAGACAUACUUUGAGUAGUAGAUGGAACUUGAUCAUCAGGUGAUUCAGUUGUAGAGAUAGAAUCUAUAUGUUCUGUAAAAACUUGCUCAGCUGGAGGGUUCUGAACAUAUCUUGUUUGAUGAGAUGAUGAAGUGCUGAUAAGCUCUGUACUUGGAGUUUGUAAGAAUCUCUCUUCUUCUGUCCAUAGUUUAUAUAGUCGUGUAUAUGUUGAGGAAUGUGUUGCCAGCUUCUUAGAGAAAGGAAAGAAUGUCUCAUCAAAGGUUACAUGUCGACUGAUGUACACAUGACUAGUGGUAGGCACCAAGCAUCGAUAUCCUUUAUGAUGAGUGCUGUAUCCGAGAAAAACACAGGUAAGGGAUCGUGGAUCCAUCUUGUGUUGUGCAUAGGGUCGAAGACAGGGAUAGCAGGCACACCCGAACACUCUGAGAUGAUCAUAUCUUGGCUUAUGCUGAUAUAGCUUGGUAAAGGGAGAUUGCAUUUUUAACUUCGGAGUAGGAAGUAUAUCGACGGUAUAGUUUGCUGUCAUAAAUGCAUCAACCCAAAAUUUUAAUGGGACUUUUGCAUGAUAUAGCAUAGCCAGACCAAGCUCAACUAUAUGUCGAUGUUUUCUUUCAGGUAUUCCAUUCUGUUCGGGUGUAUAUGGACAAGAAAUAAGCUGUUGGAUGCCACAACUCUGUAGGUGAGCUUUAAACUUGUGACUGACAAACUCUCCCCCACCAUCACAUUGAAACCUCUUGAUUUUACAGUUGUGCUGGUUUUCUACUAACCUCUGAAACAUAAGAAAGAUAUCAUAGAAGUCUGAUUUUAGUUUCAAUGGGUACAUCCAGCUGAACCGAGAGAAGCUAUCAACAAAGAUCACAUAAUAUUUGAAAUUCUGAUAAGAGUUGACUGGAGAAGGUCCCCAGAUAUCGCAAUGGACUUGUUCUAGAGGUUUAUGAGCUACUGAACUCGACAUAGGAAAAGGUAGAGCAGUAUUCUUAGCAAGCUGACAACUUCUACAUAUAGAUUGUGGUUCUGUAUGACACUGGAUUAACUUUUGAUUCUUCAAAUGCUUCAGGACAUUCUGAUUUGUAUGAGCUAGCCGUUGAUGCCACACGUUUUCUCCUGUAAUCUUCUGUCUUUGAGUGAAGAAUACCUCUGCAGCACAAGGAUCAAUUCUGUAUAGUCCUUUCUCCUUCUUCCCUAGCAUCUUGGUUAUGUUGGUGAUGCUGUCCUUUAUGUACACCCCAAUUUUGUCAAAGACAAAAGAACAGGGAUAAUCAUUGGUUAGUCUAGAGACUGAAAGAAGGUUUUUCUUAAUUGCUGGAACAAUUAACACAUCUUUUAGAGGCAAGGUAGUAGUAGUAGUGGUCAACAUUGUAUUCCCAAUAUAUUUCACAGGUAAACAUGAACCGUUGCCAAUCAUUACUGUAUCAGUACCAGCAUUCUUAGAAAAGUUUUGGAGAAUACCAGCAUUUGCCGUAAUGUGAGCAGUUGCUCCAGUAUCAGGAUACCACUCAUUUCCAUUAGUUUCCUCGAUAUGGAGUGCUGAUAGAGCUGUCGGUAUCUCUUCAGCUUGGUAAGAAUUAUCAAAUCUAUACCAACAGUGCAAUGCAUCAUGACCUUUUUUUCUGCAGAUCUGACACUCCAGUCGAGUGUUUGUUGUUGUUUUCUCCAUCUGCACAUCUUUAUGGAGAGUUAAAUUUGAGGAUGGAUAGAUCUUGGCUUCUGUAUACCUCUGAGCUGAACCAUUAUAUGGUUUGAACCCCUGACCAGAACUCAAAGUAGUGGGGGUAUUAACCUGGUUAAGAUGUUGACUCCCCUGUUCAUAGCUCGAGUUAUUAGUUCUGUAAUUCAUAUUUCUUCCAAGAUUUCCAAAAUUUCUGUAUCUGUUACUGAAUGGCCUUCCUCUUCCAAUAUUUCUUCCUCCACGACUAUAUCCCCUUGAACUUUCAAGACUGUUAUUUUGCUGUACAAAAUUUCUAUUUAAACUCCUCUUUGUGUAUAGCUUCAGUCUUCCUUUGACCAUAAUAGGCUAGAUUUGGACUGAACUGGCUUGAGGAAUAGUUUUGCAGCCUUGAUUCAAACCUCUCUAGAUGAGAGAUCACUUCAUCAUAUUCCGGUUGAGGCUUUAAACAAUAAAUUGUUGUUUUAAAGCUCUCAUACUUGGACCCCAAACCUUCCAAAAUACCAAACAGUUUUGUUAUUUCAUCCACUGGUUUACCUAUUGCAUUUAAUUGAUCACAUAUUGUCUUGUACUCUCUGAGAUAUGUUGAUAAAGCUCUAUCACGUUUCUGACAAGCCUGCAAUUUUCCUCUUAGUUCAAACUCCUUUGCCACAGAUUUUUGGGUGAACCGAUUAAGCAAGGCUUGCCAAAGUUCAUAGGUUGUGUUUAAGCCGAUUAUUAGGCUAAGUAUGUCUUCGGAUACAGCACCACUAAUCCAAGAAGAAACAAGUUGAUCUGUCUUAAUCCAAUCAUUAUAGUCAGGAUUAGGGAUAUCAACUAUUUGAUCUCCUUCUUCUACCUGUAGAGUUUUAGCAGGCGGUGGAGUUUCUCCAUUCACAAACCCAAACAGAUCUUGGCUUCUUAGAAACCUAUGAAACUGAGCUUGCCAUAGGAGGAAGUUAUCCUCAGCUAAUCUAAUUGUAACAAAGUUCGAGAUAUUGACAUGAAUGGGAAAUGGAUAUCUCAAGCUUCUUGCUGCCAUUCUACUUUUCCAGAUCUUUGAACACCACUUGUUUCGAAUACAACCUCUACUGGUUUUUGCAAUAUGAUGCAGCAAAUCGAUUUCUGAUGAUAGAGAUUUGAAGGAAGAUGAAGAAUAUCAACUCACAGAUCAAUGAGGCUUCGAUUCCUGACUCCAAUUUGCUGUAGAUUCAGCCAUUUUUAUGCAGUAUUAAGAUGAUUUCUUCAGGAUGAAGGCUCUGAUACCAUGAAGAACUUCAUGAACAUAAAAGAGAUGGAAGAAAUCGAGAGAGAGAGAGAGAGAGAGAGAGAGAAUUUGAUGAAUGUAUUUCUUCUAUUAUUCAACUUCCUUAAGACUUUACAAUAUGAGAGAUUUCCUUCUUAUAUCUCCUCUGGUUCUCUUAAUGAAACCGUUUUACACAAGAGCUGUUGAAGAAAUAGUCAACUUCCUAACUGCAAGGAACUAACCGAAUACCGGUCACAACAGCUAAGAUACAGAGUAAAGGAAAAAACAGAGUGGAUGAGCAGAGUAACGGUUUAGCCGACUUCGCAGCCUCUCUUCAUGCAAUCUCUCGAUCCGUAUAUCAUCCUUCUUCUUUCCUUUCUUUAUUUUUAACAGUAGAUCUUCUUCUUUCUGUACACUUCUCGGCAUCAUUCAUACAAUCAGCUUCUUCCUCAUUUAUUCUCUUGGCUUUUGUUCUUGUUAUUUGCUGUUGAAUAAGCUGCUGUCUUUUGUUCUUAACAAAUUCUGAAAAUGACGGUAAGAUUCUAAGAGACUCUUGUCCAUUAAAUGUGCGAGUAUUCUUUAGAUUAGUUGGAAAGUUAAUUUCCUCCGAAGAGGACGGCCCUCGAGAACAAUCCCUCACUGUCAAUGGUAACUUUUGCAAAGUUCCCAAACGUGGGUUCCCUUUACACGCCCUUUUCUUAAGAUAAAAUUAUUUUUGCACGCAUUGGUUCUAACUUGAACAAAAGUGGUUUGACUUCAAAAUAGGGCCGAGCUUAAAUUCAUUUUUUGGCUUUUCCCAAGUGUAAGGUGCGCCGGGCUUAGAAAUGAAAUGAUGGAAAAAUUUAACUUUGAGGAAUAAAAUUCUUGGAAAUUUUAGAGUGCAAAGGAAAAAUGAACCUUAAGGAAGAUGCUACGGAAGUAAAUUAGAGAAACUUACUGUGAAAUUGCAUCUUUUGUUCCCUCUCUCUUCCUUGUUUGGCCUUUCCACCUCGUCCACGAGAAUCUUCGUCCUCUUUUUCUCUCUCUUUCUUUUCGUUUCUUUUCUUUUGCUAACCAUAACUUUCUCUCUGUAUUCGUCCUUUUUGGCCAUGAAGAAAAGCUUACACUUUUUGUCUUUUUCGAGCUCUCUUCGGCAAUUAUUAUAUGCUGAAAAGUUGCCUCCCCACUUGGCCGAGAAUCUUCCGCUUUUUGACGCGCAGAUUUUCUUGCACUCUUUUGGCCGUGAACUGAAUUCCGGUCCCUGAAUGCCGAGAUUGCUCCCUUCGUCGAGAUGGAAAUUGCACGCCCCCUUUCCUUCUUUGAUUCUCCUUCGCCUUUUCUUUCAAUUUCGACUUUUGCAGCUAAACAAGACCUUCCCUCCAUCUCACGUGUUCAGACUAGAAUCGGCUUCGAAGAUGGGUGAUGGCCGUUUUUGAAUUUCCCUCGUUACCCCCCUUGAAUGGCCGUGCUUUCUUUCCCUUCCUUAGGCCAAGUAUGAUUAGCUUAAGGCCCGGCUCAUGCGGGCUCGGCUUUCGAGCCUCAAUCAAGUUCAGGACUCAUUUCGCAUAUUGGCCCAUCUAUUCGGGCCACUCCCAAGGAAACUUAUAGCCGGAUCUACGUUUUGGGNNNNNNNNNNNNNNNNNNNNNNNNNNNNNNNNNNNNNNNNNNNNNNNNNNNNNNNNNNNNNNNNNNNNNNNNNNNNNNNNNNNNNNNNNNNNNNNNNNNNACCAAUAAUGGAAUCGAUAUAUGAUACCAGAUAAUAUUUCGAAUAUUUGUGAGAUUCGAUAAAUUGUGGAUCAUAUUGAUGAAGAUUACACAAAAGCAUACUCAAAUAUAUAGCAUCCCAAUAAAAAUAAGAUGAUUGCACUAAAAUUAGCUUGAUUUUGGAAAUUUUGCUAUGAAAUAGCCUCGAUAAUCAGAUUUAGCAAUGGAGUGAAGGAAGAGUACCACGAACAAUAUGUUUUUUAUUUAUAAAAUGGAUUGAUUUGCAAAAUUUUUAAUACGAAUUUUUUCAUAGAUUGUGAUCCAAUCAUGAGCAGCUUGAUAUAUUUUAUUCCAAAUUUUAAGGUUGCAAUUUGCUUAUUUUAAAUUUUAAAUUUAGACAUUAAAAGAAGGUAAUGAGCGAGAUGAUAAAUUUGAAUUGUUAAUUGUCAGUGUGAGAUUUUGUGGGAUUAUUGACUGUUCCAAAAGCUUAAUUAUUAAAUGAAGAUGUGGUUUAUUAUUUAAAUAUUCUAACAGUCUAGAAAGCACACAAGUCCCAAAUCAUCAUGAUUGGAUAAUCUACUUCACAACGUGUAAUGUGGAAAGCAAGCCAAAGUUUUAUAAUAUCUUGCUCACUUGAUUGCAUUUUCCUCUUCUUUUCUUUCGACCAAAGAAGUCAAAAGUCUUCCACCAUCUCACUUGCUAAGUCGCAGAGAAAGUGCCGAGGCAAAAGCAGACAAAACCUACUCAAAAGAAAAAUAACCCCCUCCUUUUCUCAUUCUUUCUUUUUUGCAGGAUUGCCCUUAGUUUCUUUUUCUAAGUGUUAAUUAAACAAGAAUAACCAGUCUAUUCACGAAACUUCCCUACGUAUCAUUACACCCAACAUGCAUCUAAAGACAUANNNNNNNNNNNNNNNNNNNNNNNNNNNNNNNNNNNNNNNNNNNNNNNNNNNNNNNNNNNNNNNNNNNNNNNNNNNNNNNNNNNNNNNNNNNNNNNNNNNNUUCGUGGUACUAUAUAUAUUGAAUUUCCUUAUAGAAUUUCCAACUUUAUCGAUCUGGUGCUUCGACUGAUUGACUCACGAAUCAGAACGUAGUUUUUCAUGUUGUGAACAAGAUGACAAAACCUGAUUAGGAUACAUGGCUACAAAUUGCCAACUCUAAUAACAAUGAUGUUGUGAUGAUGUGGAGUGGUGAGUGGCACAAAUGACAUGGUGGUUGCUUGUUGCUGACGUCAUCUUUCUUAGGACCAAACUGGCACGGUUAAGCUUGUGGUCUUGACCGUCCCACUGCAUGUGGCAGCGAUCCGAGUCUCUGUUUCCAGUGUUCAACUCUAAGGACGAUUACUGGUUCGUUGAGUAAGAAGCACGGAAGGACAGCGGGCUAUGAAGGCAAAGAUUUGGACAAGUUUCGUCGUCUCGGCAUGCGAGGGUUUCGUCCAUGGUGGAGUUUGAGUCGCAGCCUGCGUUGAUUCAACAACAUGAUUCUAGGAUUCAAAGCCUUACAUAAUGAAUUGUGUCGAAAACUAUCAAGUAGGUGGUGACGAGGUUGGAAUGAAGGAUUAUAUCAUCAAGAGACAGAUAAAUUAAAGGCCUUUUGUAUAUGUAUUAUACAAGUAAUUGUGAUCAUUUAGAUAUAACCUAAGCUAAUAUAGUGCAGAUGCACGAUAUCAUGGUUCUAGACAUAAUAUGACUAUACACAAUGUACACACUAUACUAUGCAUGUGUGAAAGAUUUGGUAAUUUGUGGAUGAUGCGCAUUACAAAUAUAUCUAACAAAUUGCAACAGUUUUUCAUAAAUUAAUGAUUUUAAUCUUAUAUUACCGUUAAAAGGUCAUAGUCCAAAGGACAUGAAACGGAUUUGGGUGUUAAUUUGAAGGGAAGUUUUUCGGCUAGUAUAUUUUGUCAUAUAUAUGGAUGUCUCUUUACUUUAACUUUAGGCUUCGAAAUAAGGUCUUGAUUCAGUGUCAAGCAUCUCAAAAAUUUAAAACUAGGAUAGGAAAUUCAAAGAUGGCGUUUUAAUUUGGUUUGUAACAAAAAAAAUGACUAUAAAUAUCUUCAAUUGUUGUGCGUGUGAAAACAAGUAUAUUAUGUGAAGGUGGNNNNNNNNNNNNNNNNNNNNNNNNNNNNNNNNNNNNNNNNNNNNNNNNNNNNNNNNNNNNNNNNNNNNNNNNNNNNNNNNNNNNNNNNNNNNNNNNNNNNUCAUCGUGAUUGUCACCGGCAAGAGGGAGAGGCUGAGUUCGCGGCGGCGUGCAUACUCUCGGCGCACAGGGCCCGCGCGUUCCAUCCCUGGCAAGUGGAAAUCGAGAGGAAGAGGGAGAGAAAAUGCGUUGUGCCGCGAGGAGGAGGAGAAGAAGCGUUGCUAGGGUUUUUGAGGAUAAAAAAAUAUAAAAAGGGUUUUGGCGUGUUGGAGGGAGGGGAAGUGACAGGAGGGGGAGGGGGAACUUGGAAGCGAUGGUGUCAGGUGUCAAGGUGGAGGGAAAAAAAAGUGAAAAAAAUUUAGGGGUGGGAAAGAAACGAGGGAAAAGGGAGUUUGGGCGCACGGGAGGGUGUGGGGGCUUUUAUUUAAUCGAAGGGGUUUGGGCGCCAGAGGGGGGGUCUUUUAUUUAAUCAAAAAAAUUGUUAAAUAAAAUUACAAAAUAAAUUUGAAAAAUAAAAAUACUGUAUGUUGAAUGAUUAGUGUAAAUUCAUUGUAGGUUUUUUUGAAUUAAUUAAUUAUUUAUAAAUUUGAAUCAAAUUAAUUAAAAAUAAAAAUAUUCAUUUAAUAUAUAACGUGUCGGAAUAUGUCAAAAUUUUCUAUUUUUGAGAAAUGAUGUGUCGACGUGUCGCUUAUCGCUUGUCCGUGUCGGUGCAAUCUAGGUCUCCAAACACAGGUCCCCUUUACACGCCCUUUUCUUAAGAUAAAUUGAUUUUUGCACACAUUGGUUCUAACUUGAACAAAAGUGGUUUGACUUCAAAAUAGGGCCAAGCUUAAAUUCAUUUUUUGGCUUUUCCCAAGUGUAAAGUGCGCCGGGCUUUGAAAUGAAAUGAUGGAAAAAUUUAAUUGUGAGGAAUAAAAUUCUUGGAAAUUAUAGAGUGCAAAGGAAAAAUGAACCUUGAGGAAGAUGCUACGGAAGUGAAUUGGACAAACUUACCGUGAAAUUGCAUCUUUUGUUCCCUCUCUCUUCCUUUUUUGGCCUUUCCACCUCGUCCACGAGAAUCUUCGUCCUCUUUUUCUCUCUCUUUCUUUUCGUUUCUUGUCUUUUGCCGACAGUAACUUUCUCUCUAUAUUCCUCCUUUUUGGCCAUGAAGAAAAGCUUAGGACGCGUUUGGUAACAUUUCUAUUUAAAAAUUGUUAUAGGAAACAUAAAUUGUUUAUGUUCAAGGAAUAAUUUUUGAACAAAAAACGCGUUUGGUAAAUUUGUUCCGGGAAUAAAAAAUGAACAGAAACACAUUUGGUAAAUUUAUAUAAAUUUUUUAUUUCUUUUAAUUUUUAAAUAUUUUUAUUUUCUUUCUUAUUUAUUUUUUUCUUUUUUCUUCUUUUGGCUGGUUGCUGGCCUCGGCCAUGGCCGGCAAUCGGCCAACGAGGGCCAGCGGCCUUGCCCAGCCACGGCGAGGCUUGCCAGCCCCUAGUGAGGCCGAACUCGCCUAGCAGCCGGCGAGGCUCGGUGUCGCCGACCUGGUAGUGGCUCAGUGAGGCCAAGCCUCGCCGGCCGUUGGGCGAGCUCGACCUUGCCGGAUUUGGGCAAGAUCGAGCUUGCCCAGCCCGAUGCAAGGUCGGCCUCGCUUUGGCUGGGCAAGCUCGAGCUCGCCUAAAUCUGGCGAGGCUGAGCUCGCCCAGUGGCCGGCGAGGCUCGGUAUCACCGGGCCAUCGCCAAGUGCCGUCGCUGGCUGUUGAGCGAGCUCGGCCUCACUGGAUUUGGGCGAGCUUGAGCUGGCCCAGCGGUCGGCAACGUUUCGGCGAGAUCAUCGGCCCUCGACGGUCGGUCACCGGUCAUGGUCGAGGCCGGCGAUCGGCCAAAGAAAAAAGAAAGAAAAAAGAAGAAGAAAAAACAGAGAAGAAAAUGGAAAGUGUUCCUAAAUUUUGUUCCAGAAACAAUAAACAACUUUUUUUUUUGUUUUUUGUUUUUUUUUUUACAGAUGUGUUUCUAGGAACAAAAGAAUAAUUUUGGAAUAAAAAUGCAAACAAACGAGUUUUUGUUCCUUUUUUAUUCCCAGGAACAAAAAGAAAUAUUUAAAAAUAAAAAAAAGAAAUCAAAACAAACACGGCCUUAAAAUUUUUUUUCUUUUUCGAGCUCUCUUUGGCAAUUAUUAUAUGCUAAAAAGUUGCCUCCCCACUUGGCCGAGAAAUCAUUGGAAUUCGCCCCAGUAGCCACCCUUCCAACAUGGAAGGGGGAGAUGAUGGAUUCAAAUCCCCACCUUCUCAGGGGGGAUGGGGUGAGAACGCAUAAGUUUCAGGAGUGGAUUUCGACUCUCACGCCAUGCAAGAGGCAGGACAAAAGUCUGAGAGAGUGUAGAGUAGGUAUAGAGUAAGACUGACAAAAAAAAAAAAUUGACCGAGAAUCUUCCGCUUUUUGAUGCGCAGAUUUUCUUGCACUCUUUUGGCCGUGAAUUCCGGUCCCUGAAUGCGGAGAUUGUUCCCUUCGUCAAGAUGGAAAUUGCACGCCCCUUUCCUUCUUUGAUUCUCCUUUGCCUUUUCUUUCAAUUUCGACUUUUGCAGCUAAACAUGACCUUCCCUGCAUCUUGCGUGUUCAGACUAGAAUCGGCUUCGAAAAUGGGUGCUGGCCGUUUUUGAAUUUCCCUCGUUACCCCCCCUGAAUGGCCCUGCUUCCUUUCCCUUCAUUAGGCCGAGUAUGAUUAGCUUAAGGCCCGGCUCAUGCGGGCUUGGCUUUCGAGCCUCAAGUGAGUUCAAGACUCAUUUCACAUAUUGGCCCAUCUAUUUGGGCCACUCCCAAGGAAACUUAUAGCCGGAUCUACGUUUUGGGCAGUGCGAAUGCUUUAUGCCCAACUUUUGAACGUCCCUAAUGGGUGCGUUUGGUUCAGCAUUUGGAAAGUCCAUUGGAAAAAUGCAAAGCAGUUUAGCCUAAAGGGCUUUGGAGGGAAUACAAAGACUGUUUGGUAAAUUCUGCUUUGGAAAGCAACUUUGAGAUAAAUGCUGUUUGGUAAAAAAACACAUUUAGAAAGCCCAUUUGAGUGAUUAAUAUUAGCUUUUUAGUUUUUAUAUGUUUAAAAUUGACAAAAAUAAUGCAUGCAACUUCUUUUAAUUUAAAUUUUGACGACAAUGCUAAAAAAUAUCAAAUGGAAAAAAUUCACAUCAAAGUGGUCUCUUUCUUAAUUUUAAAAAAAAACCUUUAUUAUAAUAAAUGGAAUAACAUCUGCCCCGAGGAAAUAAAUUUAUUAUCCUUUAAAAUUACAAACAUCCUUAAAUAUUUCCUAAACUUAGAGCCAUUUGAUCAAGCUAGAAUACUAUGUACAACAAACCUUGAUACAACACAGUUUCUCAAAUAUCUAUUCUCCGUUUACAUGCAAAGCGUACAUAAAAGUUCAAAUGCUCCUGUCAUAGAUAGAAUUAAGGGUCAUUGUAGCACAUAAGCUGCCAUGUCUUUUGACCACAAAGAUGAUUUGUCUGGCCUGCUUGACUCCCCAGAUGAAGUGGAGGAUGAAUCCUUUGAGUGACCUCUCAGACCUUCAUCAGCAAUUAGAUCCAUGAAUUUUGAAAGUGACAAGGUGUCGAUAUUUCACUGUCAUUAACCUCAGCUAAGCUCAUUAGCAUCUUCACGACAGUCAACAUGGAUGUUUGAAGCCCUGGUAUACCCUGUGUUCAAAGAAGACCAAUCUUCAUGAAUAGGCAUGCCUCUUACCUAUGAUGUUCCCCAUCCAGAGAUGUACCACUAAGAUCAUUAGCUCCCCUUUCUUGUGCAACUUCCAUGCCCAUAACACAUUGUACAUGUAGAUCAAGAGAUACAUGCAUUUGCAGCAUCACGACUCAACUUCUAAGCCAACAAGAGCAAGAAAGUCUCCAAACCCCAAGCCUAUCUGUCCACAUAAUCCCCAAUUAAACACAGAACCGAUUUUCACAAGAAAGACCCUCCUUAACAGGAACAAAACAUUGUGAAGUUGCCCAUGAACAUCCAGGUUGCAUAACAUAACACAAAAUUGACAUGUAUUCUUUAUACCCAUUCAUUGCCCACUCAUUCUAGCAAGUAUCAGCUAUAUGAAUAAACAUCCAUGUUGCAAAACAAAACACAAAAACCAGUGCAUAACGCGUAACUGGCACGUAUGACUUUGAUAGCAAAAAAUUUGUUGCAACAUAAUACAAACUGGGAUGCUAGAUUAAGCAUACAUAUAGCACCAAAUAAGGAGCAGAUCAGGGCAUCAACAAAUUUGGGCAGCAUGAGUUAAAGAACCUACUGUCAACAGGUGAAUGAACACCCCAAAGCAGGAAUGGGAUUAUGAUGGAUAGCAAUUAAAUGAAGUUCCAUAAGGUCAUUCCGCAUCCACGCAUCACUCAAUGCACUCACCCCUGCAGUCAAACUCUCCAGGAACUCAAUCAUCUUCUCGAUCGAGAGCCCUCGAGACUUGGCAUUCUCGCCUGGUGGGGAUAUCAAACAGAACAGAGAGAGAGAGACAACAGUCAGCAAAAAAUGCCGCGGCGACAUCGACCCCAGCGUCGACCCUGACCCCAAUCCUGACGACGCCGUUGACGAGAUCGACACGCGCGUCGGAUCCUCGACGCCGGCGUGGCCCGGAUCCUCCGCGGUGCCAUACGCGAGUGCGAGGUGGAAGCUCUCAGACGUCCGGUUCCAUCCCACCCAAGACAUUCCUGAUCGGGGAUCCGCCGAUCUCGCGCGCCGCUCAUCGGCCUCUCGGCCGAUCGAUCGCGGCGGUCGUCUUCGUCGGCGGCAGCGACACUGACUGGCGGCGGCAGAUCGGAGGACGGCAAUCGAGCUCGCAGUGAGAGAGUGAUGGGGAAGGGUGCAGAGCGUGGGGGAGGGUGGAGAGAGAAGGUGAUCUGGGGUUUUAGUUUCGAAAUGGGUAAAAUUGGUUUUUCAGUAAAGUUUUGAGGGUAAAAUAGGUAAUGUACUAAUUUUCAUUAAAUGAACUCUUCAGCAUUCCCAAAGUAGACUUUCACUUGAAAGCCCCUUGGGAAUGGUUGCCAAACACCCCUGUUUAGGGUGAAAGGGCUUUGGGGCUUGGAUGGGCUUUCUAAAUGCCCAUCCAAACGCACCCAAUGUCUAAAUGUGAAGAAAUACGGUAGCAGCUGCAAAUGCAAGACCAUGCAAGAUUGAUGUUUUUUGUUUAGUCAUACUCUAUCGAAUUAGAGCCUAGUUUUCUUAUUAAAUGAAUGAGAAGUCUUCGAAUGAAAAUUCAGGUGUCCGAAAUCAGAUCAACAAUAGUAGCUAAAGCUUGAAGAAAGUAAAAAAUGACCAAUUGUUCUUAACGGGCAAUAGAUAGAAAGUGACGUUAACAUGGAUUCCAUCCUCGUAAUAACUAAAAUGAUGAUGAUAUUGAACAUUUUAAAAUAGUACAGGACCAUGAUCAAUUAAAUGAUAAGGAAUCAUGACAUAUAUUAGACAANNNNNNNNNNNNNNNNNNNNNNNNNNNNNNNNNNNNNNNNNNNNNNNNNNNNNNNNNNNNNNNNNNNNNNNNNNNNNNNNNNNNNNNNNNNNNNNNNNNNNNNNNNNNNNNNNNNNNNNNNNNNNNNNNNNNNNNNNNNNNNNNNNNNNNNNNNNNNNNNNNNNNNNNNNNNNNNNNNNNNNNNNNNNNNNNNNNNNNNNNNNNNNNNNNNNNNNNNNNNNNNNNNNNNNNNNNNNNNNNNNNNNNNNNNNNNNNNNNNNNNNNNNNNNNNNNNNNNNNNNNNNNNNNNNNNNNNNNNNNNNNNNNNNNNNNNNNNNNNNNNNNNNNNNNNNNNNNNNNNNNNNNNNNNNNNNNNNNNNNNNNNNNNNNNNNNNNNNNNNNNNNNNNNNNNNNNNNNNNNNNNNNNNNNNNNNNNNNNNNNNNNNNNNNNNNNNNNNNNNNNNNNNNNNNNNNNNNNNNNNNNNNNNNNNNNNNNNNNNNNNNNNNNNNNNNNNNNNNNNNNNNNNNNNNNNNNNNNNNNNNNNNNNNNNNNNNNNNNNNNNNNNNNNNNNNNNNNNNNNNNNNNNNNNNNNNNNNNNNNNNNNNNNNNNNNNNNNNNNNNNNNNNNNNNNNNNNNNNNNNNNNNNNNNNNNNNNNNNNNNNNNNNNNNNNNNNNNNNNNNNNNNNNNNNNNNNNNNNNNNNNNNNNNNNNNNNNNNNNNNNNNNNNNNNNNNNNNNNNNNNNNNNNNNNNNNNNNNNNNNNNNNNNNNNNNNNNNNNNNNNNNNNNNNNNNNNNNNNNNNNNNNNNNNNNNNNNNNNNNNNNNNNNNNNNNNNNNNNNNNNNNNNNNNNNNNNNNNNNNNNNNNNNNNNNNNNNNNNNNNNNNNNNNNNNNNNNNNNNNNNNNNNNNNNNNNNNNNNNNNNNNNNNNNNNNNNNNNNNNNNNNNNNNNNNNNNNNNNNNNNNNNNNNNNNNNNNNNNNNNNNNNNNNNNNNNNNNNNNNNNNNNNNNNNNNNNNNNNNNNNNNNNNNNNNNNNNNNNNNNNNNNNNNNNNNNNNNNNNNNNNNNNNNNNNNNNNNNNNNNNNNNNNNNNNNNNNNNNNNNNNNNNNNNNNNNNNNNNNNNNNNNNNNNNNNNNNNNNNNNNNNNNNNNNNNNNNNNNNNNNNNNNNNNNNNNNNNNNNNNNNNNNNNNNNNNNNNNNNNNNNNNNNNNNNNNNNNNNNNNNNNNNNNNNNNNNNNNNNNNNNNNNNNNNNNNNNNNNNNNNNNNNNNNNNNNNNNNNNNNNNNNNNNNNNNNNNNNNNNNNNNNNNNNNNNNNNNNNNNNNNNNNNNNNNNNNNNNNNNNNNNNNNNNNNNNNNNNNNNNNNNNNNNNNNNNNNNNNNNNNNNNNNNNNNNNNNNNNNNNNNNNNNNNNNNNNNNNNNNNNNNNNNNNNNNNNNNNNNNNNNNNNNNNNNNNNNNNNNNNNNNNNNNNNNNNNNNNNNNNNNNNNNNNNNNNNNNNNNNNNNNNNNNNNNNNNNNNNNNNNNNNNNNNNNNNNNNNNNNNNNNNNNNNNNNNNNNNNNNNNNNNNNNNNNNNNNNNNNNNNNNNNNNNNNNNNNNNNNNNNNNNNNNNNNNNNNNNNNNNNNNNNNNNNNNNNNNNNNNNNNNNNNNNNNNNNNNNNNNNNNNNNNNNNNNNNNNNNNNNNNNNNNNNNNNNNNNNNNNNNNNNNNNNNNNNNNNNNNNNNNNNNNNNNNNNNNNNNNNNNNNNNNNNNNNNNNNNNNNNNNNNNNNNNNNNNNNNNNNNNNNNNNNNNNNNNNNNNNNNNNNNNNNNNNNNNNNNNNNNNNNNNNNNNNNNNNNNNNNNNNNNNNNNNNNNNNNNNNNNNNNNNNNNNNNNNNNNNNNNNNNNNNNNNNNNNNNNNNNNNNNNNNNNNNNNNNNNNNNNNNNNNNNNNNNNNNNNNNNNNNNNNNNNNNNNNNNNNNNNNNNNNNNNNNNNNNNNNNNNNNNNNNNNNNNNNNNNNNNNNNNNNNNNNNNNNNNNNNNNNNNNNNNNNNNNNNNNNNNNNNNNNNNNNNNNNNNNNNNNNNNNNNNNNNNNNNNNNNNNNNNNNNNNNNNNNNNNNNNNNNNNNNNNNNNNNNNNNNNNNNNNNNNNNNNNNNNNNNNNNNNNNNNNNNNNNNNNNNNNNNNNNNNNNNNNNNNNNNNNNNNNNNNNNNNNNNNNNNNNNNNNNNNNNNNNNNNNNNNNNNNNNNNNNNNNNNNNNNNNNNNNNNNNNNNNNNNNNNNNNNNNNNNNNNNNNNNNNNNNNNNNNNNNNNNNNNNNNNNNNNNNNNNNNNNNNNNNNNNNNNNNNNNNNNNNNNNNNNNNNNNNNNNNNNNNNNNNNNNNNNNNNNNNNNNNNNNNNNNNNNNNNNNNNNNNNNNNNNNNNNNNNNNNNNNNNNNNNNNNNNNNNNNNNNNNNNNNNNNNNNNNNNNNNNNNNNNNNNNNNNNNNNNNNNNNNNNNNNNNNNNNNNNNNNNNNNNNNNNNNNNNNNNNNNNNNNNNNNNNNNNNNNNNNNNNNNNNNNNNNNNNNNNNNNNNNNNNNNNNNNNNNNNNNNNNNNNNNNNNNNNNNNNNNNNNNNNNNNNNNNNNNNNNNNNNNNNNNNNNNNNNNNNNNNNNNNNNNNNNNNNNNNNNNNNNNNNNNNNNNNNNNNNNNNNNNNNNNNNNNNNNNNNNNNNNNNNNNNNNNNNNNNNNNNNNNNNNNNNNNNNNNNNNNNNNNNNNNNNNNNNNNNNNNNNNNNNNNNNNNNNNNNNNNNNNNNNNNNNNNNNNNNNNNNNNNNNNAAAAAUUACUAUAGUAGUCCAAUUUCCUUCUCUAUAACGUACAGGUGGAAUAGACCUUGGCUAAAUUAUAAAGUAGAUAAAAGGCCUUUCCUAUACUCAAUCCAUAUAAAUCACUAAGAAUGAGAAGUUAUUACUAUCAGUCUGAAUUGGUUUCGACAGGGACUGACGAAGCUGCUGGGAUGCCCCGAAGGCGAUGAAGGAGCAGAGGCUGGAGAGCUACUUCGGCCGGACGAUCGCGUCGAAUGCCAGCAUGAGCAUCUGUCAGUUCCUCUUUAAGUUGCUUUUGAGUGUGGGGGGCUUUUUGGUUCUUUUGAUUGGGGGAUUAGGUUGUGGUUGGGAGGAAGGGGACUCAGAUGCUCACCAAUGAGGCUGGUGGAUUAGGUCGUAAGACUCCAUGGAAAUGAAAAUCAAAUUCGCUCGAGGUUCGUACGGUUUAUGAAUGAACUGUCAACUAGCCUUCCGUUUUGAUGCUUAAGAUGCUAUUGUAAUGCGAUGUGAUCUUUGUGCUUGGAAAGUGUCGAGUUUGAGCUGCUUUUUGAUUUGCUUUCCCACCUAGUCAUCUGCAAGGCAUGUUUUACCGGACGAUUAGGCUGUUGGAAGAGGGGAUAAAGCCAGUGUAAACUUUUUUUUUUUACCUCCUGUGUUUUCAUUGGGAUGGGAUGCUAGAAGAAUGAUGCUUGCGCUUCUCUAAAUCAUGUUUUACUGUUGUUAUGAUAGCUAUGUAUUUGACGGUCGACCUCCUGAUUUGAAGAAGCAAGAGCUUGCAAAAGGGUACUUUAUUAUUAAGCAGCCUUCCAUUUUCCAUUUUUUCUUUUUUCCUUUUUUGCAAUUGUCUAUGAAUAUGUUUAGUUACCUUAAAUGAAUCUCUGAGCAGUUUUUCAAAGAGGGAAGAUGCCUUCGAGGAGUUGGCAGUAGCCUUGCGGUAUAUGCAUCUCUCUCUCUCUCUCUCUCACACACACACACACACACACACAUAAGCAAGCAGAAACACAGUGUGCAAGAAGGCUUUGUGAGCUCUGUAUUUGUUACCUGCAGUCUCAGAACAAGGAAGACAUCAAGAAAUUCAGUAAAAGAACUAUCAAGGUUGGUCCCGUUUUGGUUUCCUUACGGUGCAAUAUUUUUGUCCUAUUUGAUGUGAAGUUUGAUUUUGUCUCUGUUUUCCAGAAAAACCUAUCUGCAUAGCUAACUGGAUAUGUGUGUGCUUGUGCUACAUGGCUUUGAUACCCUUGCAGGUGACACAACAGCAUAAUGAAGGCUGCAAAAAACUAUUAAGACUUAUGGGUGUCCCAGUAGUUGAGGUUACAAGUCUGUCUAGAAAGGUUAUUCAUUAUUAUUUCUAACAAAAAGUUUAGAUACCAGGUUCUGUUUUUGUAUGUUAGGCUCCUUCAGGAGCAGAGGCACAGUGUGCUGCACUUUGCAAAGCUAGAAAGGCAAGUAUCCUCCUGUUUGAUCGACUUCUGAUUUAGGAUAGUUCAUUUUUUUCCAUGAUUACCAAUCGUUUAACUCUUUGUAAAUUACCAUUUUAUUUCCUUGAUUUGAUUUCCUUUUCACUCACACAUAUGCUUGUUCACUAUCAUUGCUCAAUUUUUGUGUGUUAACCGGAACUCUUUUAUAAUGAACGGUGCUUUAGCUGUAAUUUUUGUUUUUCAGGUUUAUGCAGUUGCUUCUGAAGAUGUGGAUUCCCUUACUUUUGGAGCUCCUAUAUUUCUUCGCCAUUCGAUGGAUCCCAGCUCAAGAAAAGUUCAAGUCAUGGAAUUUGAAAUUUCCAGGGUACUUAGAAAAGUUUAUUCAUUGUGUUUGCUUAAAUUUUUUUCUCACUUUCAUGACUUUUAGAUCUUGGAGGAGAUGAAUCUGGAUAUGGAUCAAUUCAUUGACCUGUGCAUCCUCUCUGGAUGUGAUUANNNNNNNNNNNNNNNNNNNNNNNNNNNNNNNNNNNNNNNNNNNNNNNNNNNNNNNNNNNNNNNNNNNNNNNNNNNNNNNNNNNNNNNNNNNNNNNNNNNNNNNNNNNNNNNNNNNNNNNNNNNNNNNNNNNNNNNNNNNNNNNNNNNNNNNNNNNNNNNNNNNNNNNNNNNNNNNNNNNNNNNNNNNNNNNNNNNNNNNNNNNNNNNNNNNNNNNNNNNNNNNNNNNNNNNNNNNNNNNNNNNNNNNNNNNNNNNNNNNNNNNNNNNNNNNNNNNNNNNNNNNNNNNNNNNNNNNNNNNNNNNNNNNNNNNNNNNNNNNNNNNNNNNNNNNNNNNNNNNNNNNNNNNNNNNNNNNNNNNNNNNNNNNNNNNNNNNNNNNNNNNNNNNNNNNNNNNNNNNNNNNNNNNNNNNNNNNNNNNNNNNNNNNNNNNNNNNNNNNNNNNNNNNNNNNNNNNNNNNNNNNNNNNNNNNNNNNNNNNNNNNNNNNNNNNNNNNNNNNNNNNNNNNNNNNNNNNNNNNNNNNNNNNNNNNNNNNNGAUUCAGUGUUUACUUGAUGAUUUAUCAGUAUGAGGCUGAGUGCUCUAGCUUAUAUGUCACAUGGUUCCCAUAGAAACAUACUAGAGACAUAAUAGAGAGGUGCUUCUGUGCUCUAUCUCGUCCCCUGACUUGUAAGCAAAAUUAGGCAGCAAAGUUUCUCACUGUAAUAGUCUUGGCUGCUGAAUUCCUUGACUUCAAAGAAUUAUCUCUCAAAUUCAGCCGGUGUGGAAAAAUUUCGUCAACAGUUUGAAACUGAAAGAUCAUUUGCCACCAAUAGAUUUGGGCUGGCAAUCAGUGCAUUGGCCAUGCUACUUCGUGUGUUGAUUUACUAUAAUACUUUUAUCUAUUCGGAUGUCUGCUUUGUCUGUUCCUUCAUGUCACUUGAGCAAAUUCAUAUGGUUUCUCUAUCCUUAAGACCCAGAGGUUCCUUGCAUUACUUGAAGUCUUAAUUCAGUUCGGUUAUCCUUCUUAGGGAAAUGUUUGCUUGUUUUAUGAAUAGGCAUCAGAUACCAGAUAAUUGGCCCUACAGCGAAGCUCGACUGCUUUUCAAGGGACCAAUAGUUUCUACGGAAGAACAACCUGAGAUAAAAUGGACUGCCCCAACGAGGAGGUGGGCCAUUUUCAUGUUGAGAUUUACUUGCAACGUUUCACUUUCUGAAUUUUUGACUCGUUUCCUAACUGAUUGUUAUUUCCCUUUCAAGGGCUUAAUUUCUUUUCUCAUGAAUGAGAAUGGGUUCAACAUUGACAGAAUGACGAAGGUAUGGCUUUUAUAUUCAGUAAUGUGUUGGCCAGUUGUCUACUGGAGGAAGUUGCUUCUUUUCCUCUGAAGGAGAGAGCAUACAUGUUUUCAAUGUUGUUUUAUCAUGUGUAUCGGGCAAUAGAGAAGAUUAAGGCAGCUAAGGAUGAGUCAUCACAAGGCCGGUAACUUAAGCUUGAACAAAUGAAAGUGACUUCCAAAAUGCACUUUUUCUUAUCCGAUGACUCCUUUCGUUUACUCUGUACAGAAUAGAAUCCUUCUUUAAGCCAGCUAAGAAUAUCUAUACCUCCUAAGAGGAAGGAAUGAACUCAAUCCCCAGCAGCUCUUUAAUAAGAGAAAAGAAGAAACGUGAGAAACAGUCUAGAUGAGUCUUUUUUUGAAAGCGUAAUAUUAUUUAUGUAAACAUAGCCAUAGCCUCUGCUUUGCCUAUAGUAAUAUUACAUAUUCAAAUGAUUGCUAAAGUUCCCAAUUCUCCACGAGACGUGUCCCAUCAAAGUAAAUUUGAAUUCUAAGGAGAAUGUGCAUGCAAAUGCCUUUCUCACUCGGACCUUGUGAUAACUUCUACUCCCCUGGAACAAAAAGGAAAUAUUGUUAGCACCAGGCAUUAUCAUAUGCAAAAUCACGAAAACGACAAAUGAAUCUUCAAUUGACAUCUCUAUGGUAAUUAAUUAGGGAUAAGUCGAUCUCCAAUGACAAUGAUAAUGAUGAUUGUAGAUAAAAUGGUCGUCAUCAAAUCAAUUCCCCUAAAAAAAGAACAAAACUCACUUGGAGAAGUUAUUUGACAAACAUGCAUCUUAUAGGUGAUCCUUUUGCACCAGGCAAUCUCAAAGGCAGAAAUAGACUUUAUACAAUCUUAUAGGUACAUCUUCGAGUUUCAGGCUCUCAACAAUAAUAAUUUCCUAUAGCUUUACUAUAGUGUAUGUUCCUUGAGCCUAGACUUCCUAUGAGAAUGCAACGAUGUGAAAUUUGGGAAAAAUCACCAACACUAGUUAAGCCCAAGAUGACAAUUCAACAAUGAAACAUGUUUAUUCUUAACUUUGAUGAGGAAAUUUGUCAUUCAUCAAAUCAAUUUCUUACCUAGCUGGCAAGGAAGAUAAGGUCGGAUGGCAUCAAAUCAUCAUAUGCAGCAACAUACAAGUAAUCAAUUUAUGCAUUGAAUAGCACAGACUGUGUCAUGCAAGAUUGCAUCUCAAUCUACAAGUUGUAGAACAAGAAAGAAAUUAGUUGAUCAAGUUGCACUAUUUCUCAAGGGUAGGUUUAGAAAAAAAAUGAACCUGUGUAGUGCUCAAAAGCCUAAUAGUGUCACGCUUCGAUCCUCGAGCACGUGUCCAUUCCUCGGUGGUCGAUUAAAUUGGGAUAGCUCAGGACACGUCAUCGACCCAUUCAUUUUAAUAUGCAUGUGGAAGUGAACUAUUACCCCUAACAACAACUAAUAUGGGAUAGAAAAUGUGACAUCCUGAAAUUCGACCCCGUUUCGAUAAAAUGAAAUGUGCAUAUCGUUGGCGUGCCUACGGUCCUUUUUCUCUGAGCUGAUCACUCAUGAGUUAACUAACUUAUUGGGUGAAGCCGUUAAGGGAUAUAUCCGCGGUAAAAUCCCUAAAAGCUACCUAAUUUGUUGGAUUGGACUAAAUCACGUCCGGUCGAUUUUAAUCAUGGAAUUUGAUUCGAUUUCGGGAAUCGGAAAAUUCGAGCGUGUCACAAUUCAAAUUUUGGACCUUGUCUCAUCGUCCGUCAAAUUAUCGGCGAGUCCGAAAUUUCAAGAAAGAAAUUAUCGGAGGAAAAAUCGAAGACCGGAAGAAAUUAGAAAGGGAAAGAGAAAAGAAAAAUAAGAAAAAUAUAAUUUUAGAUUUCUUUUCUCUCCCUCCCUUUUCUCUCUUUCUUCUCUCUCUCUUCUCUCUCCUCCCCUCCCCCACUCGUGCGACUCCCCCAGCCGACCACCCCUUUUUGCUUUCUUCCACUUUGCUUUACUUUAUUUUAUUUCUCUUUUUGGACCGGUCAAAAUCUUUCUCUCUCUUCUUGCCUCCUCCCUCACGUUAUCUUCUCCUUCUUCUUCGUUCUUCUCUGUGCAAAACCGAACCAGAAGUUGCAGGAGAUCGGAAGCCCAAGCCAGCCGCCGACGCCGCCUGUCCCGCCGCCGCACCGCACGCCCGUGCGCCACCCGCACGUCCGCCGUUCGUUGCCCGUGCACCGCUCGCGCUUGCCGAUCCUCCCGCGCGACCCAGCUACCGUUCGGCCUCUGUUCAGCCACCGUGAGCGGCUGAGCAGGCCGCCGGAGCCGCCGUCCGGCCUCGCCGGAGCUCCACCCGCUCUCCCUACCUCUUACCGGCCCCAACCCUCUCUUUUUCCCUCUGUUUUGCAGCCGAUCCAGCAAACCCGCGAGUGGGUUUCAGCCGGUUCGUGGGCCAUUUCGGGCCGUUUCCGGGCCCCGAAACCGAGCCAUGCUUUGGGAAGUUUCGUUCCUCGCGUCGCCGCCGUCGGAUUGAUCCGAUUAGCGCGCGAUUUGGUGAGUAAUCUCACUAAUCCUUGCUUAGUGGACUAAUUACGCUUAUUGAUUGUUUAGUUGUAAUUAAUUUGGUUGAUGUGUUAGAUUAGUAUAAAUUAGUAUUUAUUAGUCAAUCGUGAUACAAAUUAGAUAAAUUAAAUGUGUAUUUAGCAAGUAGACAUGGUCUACUAUUGAUUGGAAGUGCCUCGGGAUUUUUCCCGACCCUUAGUGGGCCCCAAUUAGGCUUUUCGGGCCUAAGUGGAUUUUUUUGUAUUUAAAUAUUAAUUUUCGGAAUUAAAUUAAAUAAUUAUUUAUUUUCCGAAAAUUCAGCUGAGAUGGUCCGGGACCGGAAUAUUGUGCUGGUGAUUGUGGUGAAGUCCGUUUACUUAAUCGGGCUUUAAUUUGAGCUAAAUGGCAUUUUAAUAUUAAUUAUUUAAUAUUCGAAAUUAAUUAAAUAAUUAUUUAUUUUCCAAAAAUUCAGUUGAGAUGGUCUGGAACCGGAAUAUUGUGCUGAUGACCGUGGUGAAGUCCGUUUAUUUAAUCGGGCUUUAGUUUGAGCUGAAGCGAAUUUUUUAUGUUAAUUAUUUAAUUUUCGAAAUUAAUUAAUUAAUUAUUUAUUGUCCGAAAAUUCAAUUGAGAUGGCUAGUGACCAGAAUAUUAUGCUGAUAAUUGUGGUGAAGUCCGUUUAUUUAAUCGGACUUUAAUUUGAAUUAAAUUGAAUUUUUAAUAUUUAUUAAUUAAUUAUUUAUUUUUCGGAAAUUAAGAUUGAGAUGAUUGAUGACUGAAAUCUCGUGCUGAUUGUCCUGGCGCAGCCCGUUUAUUUAAUUGAACUCUACGUUGCUUGGAAUUAAGUAAAUUGUGAUAUUUUAGGGAUUUACCCUAAAUUGAUUGAAAUUGAAUUAUCAAUUGGUAGUCGGCUGAGUAUGGUUAUUUAGCAUUUUGAAUGCCUUGUUGAGCCGUAAGUGGAGGAAGUGGUGAGAACUAACUGAGCAUGCUAUUGGCUGAGAUCGAUCAAGUACGAAGUAUAGACAGGCGUGGUUCGGUGAUUAAGGAUAUCACUGUGCGAAAACGACGCCUUAAAGAACGCACGUAGACUGUCUAUGAUCUAUGACGGGCGUGGUUCGGUGAUGAGGAAUAUCACUGUGCGAAAACGGCGCCUUAAAGAACGCACGUAGACCGUCUGUUACUUAUGUCACCCUGGCGAAAAUGACGCCCGAGAGCAUUGAUGGAGCUCUGUGACUAAGUGUACUAUUGGAGGUUAUGUGGGAUGGAGUGAAUGAAGUAGAAAUGAUUCGAUUGACUUGUAAUCGUCUAGUUCGAUUGAUCAAUGAUUGAGCCGAUUGUUGUGGUUUGAUUGAUUGUUCGUUGUGAUUUAUGAAGUGUCUAUAUAUAACCUUGAAUUGCAGGUUGAGACUGAGGCCAAGGUAAGUUCUCUGGCUCAUGCUGUGCUUAGGCAAUCGAGUAGUGUAUUGGUUCCCUAAUUGAGUCUUAGUGGGGUAGAACUCGCUGAGACGUAGUCUCAUCCCAGUUUGGGGAAAACAUUUCAGGACCCCGUUGAGGAGCUGAGGAGGAAGAGUCUGUGAAGAAGAAGUAUUUUUGGAAGAAGAUAAUCCCGAGGGAGAUCUUGAGUACGACCCAGGUGGACUGAAAUGUCAUCUUCUUUUGUGCCCCCAUUUUGAAGUGAAUAGAGUAAAGUAAAGAGUUGUGAAGAGUGUGGAGUACUUUGGUUUAUGUCAUGUAUAAAGGUUUGGUUGUAAAUUUCAAUAUGAAAAAUAUGGCCCUGCUUUUCUAUCCCAUCGAUUUAUUGUCUGGGGAUUUUGACUGCUUUCGCAUGUGCUUAAUAAAAUAAAGGGUCGGCGAUACUAGUCCUAGGAUAUCGCAUACUAAAAUUGACCAAAGAUAGAAGGAUGUGUGCGUGCCCGAUGAUCGGGGCGUGACAGAAAAGCAGGACAACAAAUUUUAAAUCAAUCAACAUAGCUUUUAUAAACAAUCUGGUUUACAAACAGAAGCCAACUCUAGGGUCUAAGUACAUGAGGUCUAUCUCUAAAAUGAACUUCUGAGCCACCCAUGCUCCUGACCCUUCUGUCUCAAGCACUGGGUUCUUUACACUAGGGACCUGAAAAGUGAAGCCCAUGACGGGGUGAGACAAUGUUUCAGCAAGUUUACCUUCUAAACCCUGACUAGGAAGGAAAUGCGCCUAAAGGCCGUCUAUGCACACACAGGACAGAGGACUUACCUUGCCUUAAUUCAUUCCUACAAGUUAGUACGGUUCAUAUACUCAACCAAUCAACUCAAUUCAAUUCAAACCAACCCAUCGAUCAAUCGAUCCACUCAAAUCAAUACCAUUAGUACUAUUGAUCAAUUUGAUAUGACCACUGCUCACAUCAGCUGACAUAGAUAGUAUUUGCUCUCACAAGCUGCAAUAUAUGGUCAUAGCUCUCACAAGCUGAUAUAGAUAGAUAGUAGCUCGCCCAAGUUGAUAUAUAUAUAGAUCGUGCUCUCACAAGCUGAUAAAACGAUCAUAGCUCACACAAGCUGAUAUAUGUAUAUAUAGAUUGUGCUCCCACAAGUUGAUAAAACAAUCAUAGCACACACAAGCUGAUAAUGUAUACUGUUCUCACAAGCUGACAUAUCAAGCUCAUAAGCUGAUAUAGUAUAUUGCUCUCACAAGCUGACGAUAAAUAUGCUCGCACAAGCUGAUAAUAUAUGCUCUCACAAGCUGAUAAUUCACUGUGUUAAAAAUACCCAAUAAAAAUAAUCAUGUGUUGGUACACAGUCAGCCUAAGCCAAAAACGUAAUAUCUUUCUUUUCAAAAAUCUCACUAUUUAAUAUAGUCCAUAAACACAUUUUUGGCAUUGUAAACCGAUGCCUGGUAUUUUCUAAUUAAAAUGCCAAAAUCACACAAUUUGGGAUAAAUACCAAAAACUACACUUUCCACUCAAUUUGCACAAAUUAGCACUCAAUUAAAUAAACCAAACCUACCAUUGCAAUCAACACGAAAUUCUGGUCACCGGCUAUCUCGAUAUAAUUUCCAAAAAAACUAAAUUAUUGUUUUUUGUUAUUUUGAAUUUCUUAUAUUAGAAUCCAAAUAUUAUUUAUAUUGAAAUAUAAUUUUAAUUUUUUAAUUAAUGUUAUUUGAGAAAAAAAAUUCUAUUAUAGAUAUUAGAAAUCCUAUCCGCCUUUAUUUUACCUCCCCCUUAGAAUAAUUUUAUUUAAUCUAUAUUUCUUUUAUAUCCAAUUUUAUCCUAUCAUAAGUAGACAACAAAUGCAGGAUGUGAUAUAUUUUAUCUUAACUUAAAUUUUCUCCUCUCCACCAAACGUAGGUUGAGACUAUAAAGGAUAAGAUAAGAACACUUGCCACUCAAGGACCAAAAUCCAAGACAGCUCAAGAACAGUUUUGUUAGCAAAAUGGAUUCAAGGUAGGAAGUAAUUACUUUCCACUAUAGAUGAAGUUGUCGAAAAUGAGGAUAUUAAUGUUUGAAACUGCAAGAUUCCCCAAGCCCUCCAACAAGUGUGAACACGAAAUUCUCUUGAAAUGUUGGAAGGUUUUUACCACCAUCUACACACCAAAUCAAAUAAAAAAUAAGAUGUCUAUUUGCAUAGUUUUCCUAAGUACCUCAAUAGCAGAAACUUCCCCUAUCAAACCCCUGUAACAAAACUCUAUAUCCAGAUCUGAAUAGGGAGAGGUAAUUGUGCAAACAUAUGGUGUGCAAUUUAGAAUUACCAGUAAGUGUUCUGGUGCGGAACUUGGUGCUGCCAUAUUCUAGCCACCAAUGGGGCUCUAAAGGCAAUGGCAAAGGCAGAGGCAGUGGCAACACAUCAAAAAAUGCAACGAAUCUAAGCUCGCCAGAUGCAGAUGACGAUUUAGAGCCGCCAACGAGACUCCUAGAUACUAUGGUGGAGUGGAGGCAGCAUUUGAGGUGUCACCCCAAAACUCUCCAUUACCAAAAAUUUCCUGCUUCUUUAAAGAUUCCAAGUGAUUGAGACCUUGCAUGCUUUUUAGCUUACGACAAUACUUUACUUCGAGCUCCCAUAGCUUUUUCAAUUUUGAUAGGUCUGACAUCCUCUCCAAGGAAGGGCAAUAGUCGACUGAUAAGGAGAAAAGGGAUCCCAAUUCUUCAAAGCCACGAAUCUCGACUAAUGAAAGGCAAAAUCCUAGGCUUACCUUGCAUAGAUUCUUCAUGCGUGAUAGAUCAAGUACUUCCGGAAGGAACUCACAAUAAGCCAUCUCUAAUAAUCUCAAUCUUUUCAUUGCUAGCUGCAACGGUGUGUCCAGUUUUCUAAGCUCACAGAGCUCCAUACGGAGUUCCUCCGACUCCGCAUUAAAUAGACUAGAGAAUUCUAGCGAACAUCCAUAAAAUGUCAAGAUUGAUAAGUUUUUCAAAUUGGAAAAAUCCGGUGAUCGUGUGGUCGCUAGAUCUCGAAGUUGUAACUCUCUUAAACUAGAUGGGAGCUGGGGGAGGCAUUGCACAUUUUUGCAGCACAAUUUUAGUGUUUUAAGCUGAGAUAGGGUACUGAUGCUAGUGGGUAGAGUCGUGACAAGUGUUGCCUGUUGAGAUAGGGCACCUAUUCUAGUGGGAAGAGGGAGAGCUAUCCCGUAUUCUUUAAGAGCAUGACGCUCUAUUUCCUGCUCAUAUUCCUCACGAGCACGGUUUUGCUCCUGCCAAUAUUCCUCCGGCUCAUAUCUAUGCUCCUCCGCAGAGGAACACCAACAAUUUUUAGGGCCCCAUCUCAGACAAGUCAAAUUUGGGGGAAGCUCCGGCAAUUGUUUAAGUUUGGGACUUUUUUCUAGCUUAAGUGUUUGGAGAUUAGAGAGGUGACUCAUUGUGACGGGUAAUCUAGAUAUACAUGUGUUCGAUAAAUCUAGGAUCCUCAAACGAGACAGUCUCCCAAUUUCUUCAAGAAUUUCACCAGUCAAGUUGCAACAUCCUCGAGCAUCUAACUCUUCAAGCUUCUCCACCAGCCCAAUCGCACUUGGUAAUCUUGUAAUCUCUCUUAUGCCGCUUAUCCUUAGUAUUUUCAAUUGCUUGAGAUUGCCGAUUGAAUCAGGUAGGUGACCAAUACUUGUCAAUGACAAAUCCAACUCGACUAAAGAUUGUAAUUUGCCAACUGAAUGUGGAAGUUCCUCUAUGUAUAUACACCUAGAUAAAUUCAACCGCGUAAGUUUUGCCAGCCCUCCAAUCGAGUAUGGCAAUUUUAAGGAUGGUUGUUUGCUGAUCACUGACCUUUUGAAAUUUUCUUUUAGGGGAGAUAUAAUAAAAUCUGUCAAAGCUUGUAGACAUCCUAUUUCUUCGGGCAACUCUCGAAGAGAUUCACAUCCAUCCAAGUUCAAAAUAGUUAGGACCUUUAAUUUAACAAUGGAAUGGUCAAUUUCAAUUAAAUUGCUACAACCUUUAAGAACCAAUCUCUCUAGGUACACCCAUGUAGAUAAAUCAGGUGUUCUCUUUAAGUAUGCACAGUAGCUAAGAUCUAGUACUUUUAGUUUCCUGGCCUUCUGCAAAACAAUUUGAUAAAAUAUAUAUUAAGAAACAACCUGUAGGGGAAAAAACAAGACAAAAGAAAUGAUAUGCUUAUGCUAGGAGCAAGACUCGUAUCAUACUCUGAUUUGGUCCCAACCAAUCCAUUCCUCUGAAAUACAGCUGAGUGAAAGGUUAAGAACAAUUAAAUUAGCCGGAUGAAAGUUCGUUGUCUCAAACUUGGAAUUGCCGUGAUGUAAAGAAAGCCAUCUUAAAUUGGAGAGAAGAUUAUUGAAGUCUCCAACAAGGGACACCUCUUCCCCUUGAAAGAACCUCAGGUAUCGUAAAUCGGCAAAUCCAUCAUGCGUCAGAAUGUCUUGAUGAAAGAAAGGAUAUUGAGGUCCCGUUGACAGUGCUUCUAUUUUCCUACUUUCCUGACAAUGGUAAGACCAAAAAGUCCACACGUGUAAGUAAAAAGCAAACAAUUUCAAGCGCCAAACGAUUAUUUUUCCUUUUAUAAGAAUAGUCUACCACAAUUUACAGUAAAGUAAAUUGUCGUUCCCUUUUUUACCUCUUUCAACUUCAGAAUGUCUAGCGCUUCCUCACGGUUCCACACUCUGCUACGUUCGCUGGGAUGUUUGAAAUUCUCUUGACGGAUGAUUUCCCUUCCAAGGUCCCGCACUUGAUCAUGCAUCCAGAAAGUAUUGUUGUCCUUGGUUUUUAUCAAGGACAUGAUAAAGAGGACUUCAAGGGCAUCGUGUGGGUGGUAUCCACAGUCAUCCCACAUGUACAAAGGGUAUGUUUUGUCCCGAUCGACAAAAAAACAAGCUAUAUCCAGAAAUACUUGCUUUUGUGCAUGAUCUAACCUUUCAUAAGAUAUCAUCAAUUUUCUUUGGACUCCCAUGGAAGGGGCUUCUUUUAGCUUCUUCCAUGUGUCUUCCCAUAUUGCUUUGGAUUUACAUUAAGAGAUGAANNNNNNNNNNNNNNNNNNNNNNNNNNNNNNNNNNNNNNNNNNNNNNNNNNNNNNNNNNNNNNNNNNNNNNNNNNNNNNNNNNNNNNNNNNNNNNNNNNNNNNNNNNNNNNNNNNNNNNNNNNNNNNNNNNNNNNNNNNNNNNNNNNNNNNNNNNNNNNNNNNNNNNNNNNNNNNNNNNNNNNNNNNNNNNNNNNNNNNNNNNNNNNNNNNNNNNNNNNNNNNNNNNNNNNNNNNNNNNNNNNNNNNNNNNNNNNNNNNNNNNNNNNNNNNNNNNNNNNNNNNNNNNUUCUAAGUUGCUCUUUCUCAUCUACGUCAUCAAAUAUAAUGAGAACUUUUUUAUUGCAAAGUACUCUCUUUAUCAUGUUGACCCCAUCAUCCACGUCAUUAAUUUGGUCGAGGAUAGAAUGAGAAUCGAGGAACUUGGAUAAUAAUUGUUUUUGCAAAUGUACCAGACCAUGGCGUCGUGAUGACUCUCCGACAUCCGAAAGGAAAUUGCAGCCUCGGAAGUGAGAAGAUAGUUGGUUGAAGAUGAUCUUGGCAAGUGUUGUUUUACCAAUCCCGCCCAUUCCGUGGAUUCCAAGGAAUUGUACGCUAUCAUUUUCCACAUGCAACAUUUUGAUCAUGGCUUCCACACGAUCUUCAACUCCAAUUAGAUGUUCGGUCACAUUUUUUUUAUGUCCGAUGUUCAGCUUAGUCAACACAAUUUGAAUUACAGAUUGUAUCAAAUCUACUUGGCUGCCACAACAUAACAACCAUGUUAGGGAUAAAUUUAUAUUGCAAACUACUCCCUAAGUGACUCAAUUCCCCUUACAAUUUGCAGAAAUUACGUAAAAUAAUUCAGACGCCAAAACAAUCCAGAUUUUUCCCAAUCUAUCUCCGCUCCCCCAAUAUUAGUUACCACACCAUUGGCCCCCGCCCCUGGCAUGCCGCCAUUAACAUCACUCACCUCCCCAACCCAAGCCGUCACCGUGGUGUUCUAUUGUCGUCGCCCGUCACGCCCCUAUUGACCCACCCAUCUUGACCUUGUCUCGAUCCUCCACAUCAUGUGGGUCCUGGCCUUGUAAUUGCCAGGGAUGGUAUCACCGGCUUUGGGCAACUCCAAAUUUGGGGUCAUCCAAGGUCGGCGAUGCUAGAUAUUGGCUUGAUCACGUCAGAAUUGGCGUCCCGAGCCCAUAUCCGACUCAAGACAGUGAGUGGAAGGGAGAAAUGGUGGGUGCCAAAUGGCUCAACCGUAGCUUUUGGUUGCUUAGCUAGGCGAGGUCAGCCUCGCCCAAAUCUAGUGAAACCGAGCUCACCUAGCCACCAACGAGGCUUGACCUCGUUGGACCACUACGAGGCCGGUGUCACUCGCCCAAGGCGAGGUUGAUCUUGUGGUGGCCCGGCGUUUCUUGUGGCUAAGUGAACUCGGCUUUGCAAAUCUAGGCAAGGCUCGGCCUAACUGGGUCACCAUGAGGUCAGUGUCGCCUGGCCAUUACGAGGCCAACCUCGUUGGGGGCCAGUGGCACUUCAACAGGUCAUUAGCCCUCGUCUGGCCGGUUGUCAGCUAUGGCCGAGGCAGAUGACCGACUAAAGGAAGAAGAAGUGAAAAAAAGAAAAGAAAAGUGUAAUAAAAUUAUUAAAACAUUAAAAAAAAAUUCUAAGUCACAAAAGAAUUUGAGGGUUGUACCAAAAUGGUUUCUAUUAUGGGAAUAUAAAUUUUGGAUAGUUAUCAAAUGUCUUCAAAUACUCAAAUACUCGUUUAGGAAAUGGAAUAAAAAAAUAAUAAUGUUUUAGCAUAAAUUAUUACCAAGAACAUAAUGGUUACCAAACAGGCCCUCAAUGUUUGUGGCUACUGUGUCAGAGAUAGUGUGAUAGGAGAAACAAAAUCAGGAUGAGUAGGUGCGCUACCAGUGUAGUAGCACCAUCAAUCAAAGCUAUCACGGCAAUAGAGUCGAUCAGCCACUAUGGUCGAUGGGUAAUGGCCACAACCACAAUUUACACUAUCGAGGAUCGGCAAGAUGAAUAAUUUACCAAUUAUACCGCAAUUAAAAUGACUAGGGAGGAAAAGCAAAUCUAUAGAUGAUAGUUGAAAUGUUUAAGACAUUUUACCUUCCAUCUUUCUUCAAGUUCCAUCCCUUUAUCUCGUCCACCUCAAUAAGAGCCUUUUUCCAUGAUUCAACUUCAGUGCAAAACUUUUUUUGAUACUUCGAUAGAGCUUUGCGGUAUAAGUUUGUUUUGAGCAUGACAUCGUCAGGCUCCACAUCCAAGAAAAUGGGUAAAAUCUCUUUAUUCUCAUUCGAUUUGGAGGUACACUCAACCAUAUAUGCGAGCUCUCGGAGGCACCAGUGACUCGAAGCAUAAUUCUUGGAAAAAAUGGGAAUGUAAAUCUUGGAGUUCUCGAUUGCUUGUAGAAGUUCACAGCCAAUUCUUUACGACAUGGAGGGAUUCAUUGUCCCUAAAGACAAGGAUCCCAGCCUCAACCAUGCCAUAGUAAAGAAAAUCAGUGAAUCCAUAACGGGUGUCUGCUCCUCGAAAACUUAGGAAAACCUCGGGGGAAGGCCCUGAUGAUGCCUGUGAGUUCGUCUCUUUUGUUAGCAUUUCACGCUUCUCUAAGGUCCCACUGGCACGGAUGCAGAGGUAUAUGACGAGACCAAUGGAGAGCGCAAUGAAGCUGAGGAUUCCGAUGAGGACGUAGAGCUUGAGGCUGAGGCAGGGAGUCUUGGAGGUGAGCUCGUGAGGGAGAGAGCCGUCAAGAGAUCGAUGUUCGCCAUAAACUGCCAUGUUUCUAGCAGAGGAGCAAGAGAGUGGAAAAGGCUAAGGGAGUACGCGAAUGCGUGAGAAUUGAAGAAUGAGAGCUCUGCGCAGAGAGAGACAGAGAGAGCAGUGCAGGACCUUAUAAUGGAUACAAAGGAAAAGGAAAGAGAGUGAAAAAUCUGCUAUGUCAUUGUUAAAAGUCUCAUCUAGCAAUUUUAUUACGAAAGUGCCAUUGUGUUGGAUGAGCGACUUUUGUUUCUGUUGUAUAAAUGGUGGUGAUAAAUUGAUAAUUGGUGUUGUUGAUGGCAUUUUUGACAUUUCGAGAUAGCCGUGCGGGCGAAUGGGGAGGAGUCUUCUUGUUUGAGCCUUAAUUGACUGAACUAAGAGGAGACAAGGAGAAGGUGAGAUUCACAUUGUAUUAUAUGGUUUUUGGGAUGAGACUGUAUAUCAUCAGAAAGUUUGGUCUUUGACAGAGUAGAAUCGUUAAUUGAAUUGGUCGAUCAAUAAGUGUAUUGUGUCAAAGUUAAGGAAUCUAUGGUAGAGGGAAUUUUUUUUAGAAAUAAAAAUAGGAAGAAAACAAAUCCAUUUUUGAGAUGAUGAAAGCGCAAUAGAGAAUAUAAAUAUUCCCUAAAAGCAUUUUAAUAAAUUUCAGCCAACCACAAUAUUUUUGGAACAUUUAUAGCAAAACAAUCAUAAUUCUUUUGCUUCAUUUUUCUUUGAGAGAUGGACCGUACAAUUUUUGAGAGUUUAAACCAUGGAAAUUUUUUGGAGAGAAAGAUAUUGCUUUACCUUAUUUAUUCUAAAUCAUGCCGACACCCAUUCUAAAAUUAAUUAAGGAACUCAUUAGAUUUCAAACCCAUCCAUUCAAUAAUAAAACGCAACUAGUAUUAUAUGUGUGUGUAUAUAUAAACCCCAAAUAAUGUGAAAGGCCUUAUAUAUAUAUAUACAUAGAUUGGAUAAACCCCUAGUAAUGUGAAAGGCCUACUAAGUAUUAACCGGUUCAUGCACAAGUCGACUGUCGACUGUGCAAUCUUAGAAUUGUAGCUAUGCUCCUAUUUUGGUUCUUAAUAUAUAGACAAACAAGAUAGAAGUAAGUAUUGUCAUAGUACUAUAUAAGAUUAACUUAAUUAGUUGAUAUAGAAGAUCGAAGAUCUUAACUAUGGAUUAUCAAAUAAUAUUUAGUAUAUGGCUCUGCUUGGUUUUAAAAUGUCAUGAUAUCAUAGUGGUGCCAUUUCUUAUAUAGCAAGAAAAAAUUGGUUUAUGGCAAGAAGAAUUAAUUGUCAAUAUUUUUGGCAUUUGUACGAGUGAAAAUGAAGGUUUGAAUAAAGAGAUGGCAUGUGGCAUACAACCUUGUUUACGAAAUUCUUGUCCAUAAGUCUCGUUUAAAAGAUGGGUAAAAAAUUAGAACACAUUUGACGAGUCAUCCCAGAAGAUUUAUAGAAGUUUCCAUUAGCCAAUCAAUGGGUUGUAGUCCUAGGAGUUUCCAUGUCCCUUACACGUUUGAUAACAAAUUCAAGAUCAGAGAUUUACAGUCUUGAAAAUAGAGGAUAUAAAGUGAAAUUGGGAUACAAAAUGAAGAUUACUUUUUAACUUUUUCUUUAUUUUAAUUAUAUUAGAAAAAUUUUAAAAUCCAAUCAAACUUUGUAUCUACAUAUUCUCCAGAUUUGCGGCGUUGUUCAUCUAGAGACAAAAACCCUUAAGUAGAUGUUAAAUUACCCUUUUAUUACUAAAAUGUAUUUUAUGUGGCGAUCACAUAAUUGGCAUGGUGUAAUCAGUCAAUUUGAAUGGUGUAAUCAGUCAAUUUGAAUUGUCAGUGUAAUAUGCAUGUCGUUUUGAUGGAAAAAAUUUGAAGUACCUCUUCCCAAUUAAUUGUUACACGUGUUAGCAUCUAAGCAUGCAUCGAUCCGGGCCUUAAUCUUCCCCCAUGGCCCACUCUAAUUGCUCCCUCUCCUGAUGGAUCAUCCUCAGCUGUCCGAUCCGAAUACCUGCUUCUAAGCCAAACCUCGUCGCACCAUCAGCGGGGCCAAGAAAUGGAAAACGAGAAGAAAAGGCAUAAUGAAACGAGUGUGUCACUUCGACCAAAAAAAAGAAAAAGAAAAAAAGAGUGUCACCACCAAGGACCCCCCAACGACUAGAGAAAGCAAGUCAAGAGUCUUCCACCGAUCUUGCCGGCUUAGUUGCAUUAGGAGACAAGAGACCAGCAUUUAUGAUGAUGUAAUGGAUAAAACUAGUCACGACAUGACGAAAAUAUGCAACUUUAUUUAUUUUUGUUUGUGACACAUGGUAUGAUUUUCAUAAUUUUUCUUAGGUGUGCUAAGAAAUCUAAAUGUCUGACAACACAAUGUAAAUUCUUGUCCAUAAGUCUCAUUUAAAAGUUGGGUAAAAAAAUAGAACAUAUUUGACGAGUCAUCCCAUAAGAUUUAUAGAAGUUUCCAUUAGUCAAUCAAUGGGAUGUAAUCCUAUGAAUUUCCAUGUCCCUUACACGUUUGAUAACAAAUUCAAGAUCAGAAAUUUACAGUCUUGAAAAUAGAGGAUAUAAAGUGAAAUUGAGAUACAAAAUGAAGAUUAAUUUUUAACUUUUUCUUUAUUUUAAUUAUAUUAAAAAAAAUUUAAAAUCCAAUCAAACUUUGUAUCUACAUCAAAUACUACUUUGAAUUCUCCAGAUUUGCGGCGUUGUUCAUCUAGAGACAAAAACCCUUAAGUAGAUGCUAAAUUACCCUUUUAUUACUAAAAUGUAUUUUAUGCGGCGAUCACAAAAUUGGCAUGGUGUAAUCAGUCAAUUUGAAUUGUCCGUGUAAUAUACAUGUCGUUUUGACGGAAAAAAAUUGAAGUACCUCUUCCCAAUUAAUUGGUACACCUGUUAGCAUCUAGGCAUGCGUCGAUCCGGGCCUUCAUCUUCCCCCAUGGCCCACUCUAAUUGCUCCCGCUCCUGACGGAAUCAUCCUCAGCUGUCCGAUCCGAAUACCUGCUUCCAAGUCAAACCUCGUCGCACCAUCAGCGGGGCCCAGAAAAGGAAAACGAGAAGAAAAGGCAUAAUGAAACGAGCGUGUCACUUCGACCAAAAAAAAUAUAAAAAAAAGUGUGUCACCAUCAAGGGCCCCUCAACGACCAGAGAAAAAACAAGUCAAGAGUCUUCCACCGAUCUGGCCGGCUUAGUCGCGCUUUCGGAGAGACCAGCCUUUAUGAUGACGUAAUGGAAAAAACUAGUCAUGACAUGAUGAUAAUAUGAAACUUUAUUUUAUUUUGUUUUUUUGUGACACACGGUAUGAUUUUCAUAAUUUUUCUUAGGUAUCCUAAGAAAUCUAAAUGUUCAACAACACAAUGUAAAUUCAAUUUAUAUAAAACUCUUCAAUUUGCAUUAGGAGACGAGAAAUAAGUGUCACCAUCAUUGAGGACCCCUCAACAACCAGAGAAAGCAAGUCAAGAGUCUUCCGUCAAUCUUGUCGGGCUAAUUUGCAUUAGGAGAUGAGAGACCAGCAUUUAUGAAAAUGAAUGGAUAAAACUGGUCAUAACAUAAUGAUAAUAUGGAACUUUUUUUUUUUUGUGACACACGGUAUGAGGUUUUCAUAAUUUUUCUUAGGUGUCCUAAGAAGUCUAGAUGCCUGACAACACAAUGUAAACUCAAUUUAUGCCAAACUCUUCAAUUUGUCUAUUGGCUCUAAAUAACUCUGAGCUGCAAUGGCUAAGAUGCGAAUUCUAUUUAAAACACCGUUACUAUUAAGAAAGACACAGGGAUAGCUUUUAAGAAAGACACUUAUCUGUCAUUGGAAUUAAUGUAAUUGCUAAAUAAAAAAUAUUGUAUAAGUAUCAAAAACUUAACCUUACUUGGAAUUAAAUUUAUUUACUUAAAUUAAAAUUAUUAUAUGUAUUACAAUCUUAACCUUACUAUAUGAAGGAUUACGUGGCCGGUGUUACCAACAAAAACAGUUAAAAUAAUAUAAGAGAUUGAAAAUAGUUAUUCACAUUAUUACUUAGUUACAAACUAAUGUGACAAUUUUGACAAUUUUUUCAAUGCCUAACUAUGCUUGACCUUUUCCAAAUGAUCGUAUAUAGAUCUACAUCCCAAACAAAUAUAGUAAGUAUGUGAUACCACACAUUAACAUAAAGAUGGCUCUAUAAAAGAUGCUAACAAUAUUCCGAAUAUUGUGAGAUUCGAUAAAUGACGGGUCAUAUUAGUGAUGAUUACACAAAAUGAAGUCAAAUAGUCUGGCAUCCCACUCAAAAUAAGAUGAUUGAGGUGAAAACAACUUGAUUUUGGAAAUUGAACUGUGAAACAACCUAGACAAUUAGAUUUAGCAAUUGAGUGAAUGUAGACUAUCGUGAACACCAAUACGUUAUUUAUUUAUAAAAUGGAUUUAAUUGCAAAAUUCUCAAUACAAACUUUUUAUGAAUUAUAAUUAACCGUAAGCAACUUUAUAUAUUUUAUUCUAAAUUUUAAAAUUACAAUUUGCUUAUCUUAAAUUUUAAAUUAAAAUUUUAAAAGAAGGUAAUGAGAAGAGGCAAUGAAUUAUCAAAUUUAAAUUAAUCCUGAUUGGUUAAUUUGUCUAGAAAGCACACAAGUCCCAAAUCAUCUUUGUUAGCUAAUCUACUUCACAGUGUGUAACACGGUUUCUACUCUCUUUGCUCGCUUCGUUGCAUUUUUCUCUUCUUUUCUUCUGACUUAAGAAGUCAAAAGUCUUCCACCAUCUCACUUGCUUAGUUGCAAAGAAAUUGAUAAGGCAAAAGCUGACAAAACCCACUCAAAAGAAAAGACUGGUGAAGGAAGCAAGUUAAAGUCUUCCUCCAUCUUGCAUUGUGAGAUGAGGGACCCUUAUCAAAGGGUCUUCGUCAGACUUGGUUUACAAAAUUGUUCAAUAAAUUCUUGUCCAUUACUCACGUUUAAAGGACAUGCCAAAAUGUUGAACGCGGUUUACAAGUCAUCCCGAAAUUUUCCUAGAAGUUUCAUUUAUCAAUCAAUGGGUUAUCGUACUAGGAGCUUCCAUGUCACAUUUAUUUAAUUACAAAUUUUAAAUCAAAGAUUCAUAGCUCUAAAAAUAGAGAAUAUAAAGUGAAAUCGAAAUACAAAGUGAAGAUGAUUUUUGAGGUUUUUAAAAAUUCUGAUCAACUUUGUAUCUAUAUCAUGUACAACUCUUGAGUUCUUGACAUUUGUAGCAAUGUUAAUUUUCAGACAAAAAUCUUUAAUUAGAAGAUUAAACUAUCCCUCUACUAAGGAAUUUGAUAUUAUGUGUCAAUCACCAUGAUUGACAUGGUGUAAUCGAUCAAUCCAUGUUGCCCAUGCAAUAUGCAAGUCAUUCGAAUGGGCGUUAAAAUGUUUUUUUUUUCUUUUUUUUUUUGGGUCUAAGGCACUAAAACGUUAAGAUAUUCACUUUGCAUUGGUUUAUCACACCACAUGAUAUAACUGUCACAUGAAAUACCUUUUGUUUUGCCAUAUAAUUUCUCUCCCUUUCUCUCUCCCCCAACCAUACUGCCAGUCAAUGUCACCAUCCUUGUUCCCAGUAGACGCUGUCAUUGCUCAAUCAAAAUCGACAACGCCCUCCACACUUAGCCCCACCUUUGUCUGCAUCUCUCUCUUCUUUGCCAUGGCCUAACUCAAAAUUAGAGGCAUCUUGCUCAAAGCUACAAUGAUGCGUAUCAUCAUUUUUUUUUCUUUUCCAUUGUGGACGAAGAGGAUCGUCAACCACUGCGCAAGGGCUUGCAACCCCUUGUGGCAGGUAGUGAGGGUCGCAACCCUCGCCGAAGCCCAUACUAGUCAUAGGCGAAGGAGGGUGUGAAGGCCCUCCUCAACCAUGAAAGCUUUGCCUAUGGCUACGAUCAAGGCAAGGGCUUGUCGGCCCUAUUAUAGGGUCGUUGGUCAUGAUUGAAAAAGAAAGAAAAAAAGAAGAAGAAAAGAAUAAGAAAAAGAAAAUUACAAAAAAAUAAAUUAUUUUAACGAAAAAUUGUGAAAAAGAAGUCCAUGUAAGCGCCUACCAUGUCACAUAAGAAGUCUGGGGUCCACACCAAAGAUUCCCAACCAAGAAAAGCCAGGAGCACUAAAUUGAUAAAUUAUCAAAGACUUUGUUAUAAAAUUAGUUAAAUUGAAAUGUUUAAGGUAUGAAUUGACAUCUAUACAAUAAAUUUAAGAUUUUUUUUGGUAAUUUUCCUCACAUAAUAUGUAAUACCAUGAAAUUAACAUUCGUCUUCAAGUCUCCUUUGUCCCGCUGAGACCUUUUCUCUCCCAACCCCUCUCCUAUUUUGAAACUUUCUUCAUCUCUUCCACUUCUAGAGGGGAGGGAUUUGACCUAAAUCUCUCCCUCCCUUCAUAGUUGUUUUUCCUUCUUCUUUUUUUCCUUUUGAUUCUUUUCUUACUCUCUCGAUCUAGUUUUAGAUUUAGGAGAUUUGCUCUACUAAUCUUAAAUUUGAAAGCUUUCUCUUCAAUCUAAUUCUAGAUUUUGGAGUUUUAAUGAACAAAAGAGGAAUGGAUUCAGCGGAUUGUACCUGCUCAUUUUUUUAGUCUGAAGAGGCCAAGUUGUAUUCCCGAAGCUUUGAGAAACCUUACGGAGCCUGAGACCAUGGAAAACACAACUAAGAAGAGAAUACUAGCCACUCAAGGUCCAAAUUUCCGAACAACUCAACAACAGUUUUGUUAGUAAAAUGGAUUCAACAUAGGAAGUAAUUACUUUCCACUGCCGUCGAAGUAAAGUGAGGAUAUUGCUGUUCCGCACUGCAAGAUUCAACUCCAUAAGCCCUUCAACAAUUGUGAACAAAAACUUCCCUUGAAAUGUGGGGUUUUUACCAUCGUCUACACACCAAAUCAGAUCAAAACUAAGACGUCCAUUGACACAAUUUUCNNNNNNNNNNNNNNNNNNNNNNNNNNNNNNNNNNNNNNNNNNNNNNNNNNNNNNNNNNNNNNNNNNNNNNNNNNNNNNNNNNNNNNNNNNNNNNNNNNNNUUCACCUUCUCUAGUAAUAAAACUACAUAUCCAAAUCUGAACAGGGAAAUAAAUAAUUGUGCAAUCAUAUGGCGUGCAAUUUAGAAUUACCAGUGUGAGUUCUGGCGUGAAACUAGGUGCUGCCAUAUUCCAAAUGUCAAUGGGGCUCCUAGAGGCGAUGGCGACGACAGAGGCAGCAGCGAUACAUCCAAGAAUGUAGUAGAUUUGAGCUCGUCGAACAUGAAUGACGAAUUGAAGCCGCCGACGGGACUCCUGGAUACGAUGGCGGAGGCGGAGGCAGCGUUUCAGGUGUCACCCCCCAAACUCUCCAUUAUCAUAAAUUUCCCGCUUCUUUAAAGAUUCCAAGUGGUUGAGACCCUGCACAAUUUUUAGCUCACAACAAUAUCUUACUUUGAGCUCCCAUGGCAUUUUCAAUUUCGAAAGGUCCGAUAUCCUCUCCACGGAAGGGCAAUAAACGACUGAUAGGAAGUAAAGGGAUCCCAAUUCUUCAAGGCCACAAGUCUUGACUAAUGAAAGGCAAUGUCGCAGACUUACCUUGUGUAGAUUCUUCAUGCCCAACGGAUUAAGUACUUCUGGGAAAAAACUCACAUACAUCAAUCUAUAAUAAUCUCAAUCUUUUCAUUUCCAGCUGCAAUGGCGCAUCCAGUUGUUUGAGCUCACAGCGCUCCAUACGGAGUUCCUCCGACUCCACAUCAAAUAUACUAGAGAAUUCUAGCGAAUAUUCAUAGAAUGUCAAUAUUGAUAAGUUUUUCAAAUUGGAAAAAUCCGGUUAUUGCGUGGCGACCAGAUCACGAAGUUGUAACUCUCUUAAACUAGACGGAAGCUGGGGGAGGAAUUGCAUAUUUUUGCAGCACAAUUUUAGUGUUUUAAACUGAGAUAAGAUGCCGAUGCUAGUGAGAAGAGCGGCGACAAGGGUUUCAUCUUGAGAUAGGGUACCAAUUCGUCUCUCCUGGCAAAAUUCCUCCAGCUCAUAUUUCAUCUCCUCUUCGGAGGAAUAACAGCAAUUUUUUGGGCCCCAUCUCUGAUGAGUCAAACUUGGGGUAGCUCCGGCAACUGUUUAAGCUCGGGACAUUUUUUUAGCUUUUAAGUGUUUGGAGAUUAGAGAGGUGACUCACCGUGGUGGGUAUUGGACAUACGUGUGCCUGACAAGUUGAUGAUCCUUAAAUAGGACAAUCUCCCAAUUUUGUUAGAUUGCCGGUCAAGUUGCAACAUUCUUAAGCAUCUAACUCUUCGACUUCUCCACUAACCCAACCACACUUGGUAAUUUUCUCAUCCAUCUUAUGCCACUCAUCCUUAGUACUUUCAGUUGCUUGAAAUUGCCAAUUGAAUCAUGUAGGUGACCAGUACUUGUCGAUGACAAAUCCGACUCGAUUAAUGAUUGUAAUUCCCAAUCGAAUUUGGAAGUUCCUCUAUGUAUAUACACCUAGAUAAAUUUAACCACUUGAGUUUCACUAGCCCUCCAAUUGAGUAUGGCAAUUUUAAGGAUGAUUGUUUGCUUAUCAUUAACCGUUGAUAUUCUUCUUUUGGGGGAGACAUAACAAAAUCUGUCAAAGCCUAUAGACAUCCUAUUUCUUCAGGCAACUCUCAAAGAAAUUUAUAUCCAUUCAAGUUCAAAUUAGUUAGAAGCUUUAAUUUGACAAUGGAAUGGUCAAUUUCAAUUAAGUUGAUGCAGCCUUCAAGAACCAAUCUCUCCAAUACACCCACGUAGAUAAAUUAGGUGUUCUCUUUAAGUAUUCACAGGUUCUAAGAUCUAGUACUUUUAUUUUUCUGGCCUCCUGCAAAACAAUUUGAUAAAAUAUAUAUUAAGAAAUAGCUUGUAGGGAAUUAAAAAAACGACAAGAAAUGACAUGCUUAUUCAAGAAGGGGACUCGUAUCGUACUUUGAUUUGGUCCUAGCCCAAUCCAUUUCUCCAAAUUACAGCUGUGUGAAAGGUUAAGAACCACUAAAUUAGCCAAAUGAAAGUUUGUUGUCUCAAACUUGGAAUAGCUACAAUGCCAAGAAAGCCAUUUUAAAUUGGAGAGAAGAUUCUUGAACUCUCCAACAAGGGACCCAACUUCCCCUCAUAAGAACCUCAGGUUUAGGUAAAUCAGCAAAUUCAUCAGAUGUGAGAGUAUCUUGAUAAAUGAAAUGAUAUCUAGGUCGUACCUGAUAGUGCUUCCAUUUUCCUACUUCCCUGACAAUGACACUGAGAAGUCCACGUGUGAAGGUCAGAAGCAAACAAUUUCAAGCAAGAAUAGUGGUUAAUUUAUCCUUUUGCAAGAAUACUCAACAACAAUUUGCGGGAAAAUAAAUUGUUGUUCCCUUUUUAUACCUUUUUCCUCUUCAAAAUGUUAAGUGCUUCCUCAUAGUUCCACACUCUGCUACGCUUAUCGGGAUAUUUGAAAUUCUCUUGAUGGACGAUUUCCCUUCCGAAGUCCUGUACUUGGUUAUGCAUCUAGAAAGUAUUGCCAUCUUUGAUUUUUAUUGAGGACAUGAGAACGAGGACAUCAAUGGCAAUGUGUGGGUGGUACUUAUAGGCAUCCCACAUAUAGAAAGGGUAUAUUCUAUCCUCAUUAACAAAAAAGAAAAUAAAAUCUAUAUCUAGAAAUAUUUCCCUUUAUGUUGGAUCUAACCUUUCAUAAGAUAUCAUCAAGUUUCUUUGGACUUCCAUAGGAGGAGCUUCUUUUAGUUUCUUCCAUGUAUCAAUCCAUAAUUCGUCGGACUUACCAAUAAGGAAUGAACACGUAAUCUUAAGAGCUAAAGGAAGCUUGCCCAAAGUAUGGACAAUUUUUUUAGAAAGGGAGACAUGAUGAUUUGGUGGAUAGUCUCUUCUAAAUGCAUGCUUGCUGAAAUGAUUAAGAGCAUGAUCAAAUUUCAUUUCAUGUGCUUCAUAAGUCAAAACAUUUGGGCCUUCAUAUAGGACAUUGUUGUCCUUCAUAGCUAUGAUAAUCCUGCUACCGAACUGAAUCAAUCACAUUCUUUUGCAAGACUUUUCAAUUGCUCUUGUUUAUCCAUGUCAUCAAGAAUAAUGAGUAUUUUUUUUAAUUUCUAAGUAUUCCUCUGUUAAUCAUUUUGAUCCCAUCAUUCACAUGACAAAUUUGGUUAAUAGAAUGAGAACCAAGGAGCUUGGAUAACAAUUGUUUUUGCAAAUUUACCGGACCAUCAUUGCUUUUUGAUGAUUCCUGAACAUCUACAAGGAAACAACAUUGGUCAAAGCAAGAAGAUAGUUUGUAGAAGAUGACCUUAGCAAGGGUUGUUUUGCCAACACCGCCCAUUUCGUGGAUUAUGAGAAAUGGUACAUCAUCGGAUCCCACAUCCAACGUUUUGAUUAUAGCUCCCACACAAUCAUCAACUCCGACAAGAUGUUCGGUCAAAUCUUCAUAUACAACCUUUACUUAACCGAUACCAUGCGAAUUAUUGAACGGAUCAAAUCUCCUUAACUGCCAUAAGGUAAUAACCAUGUUAGCGGUAACUUCUAUAGUGUANNNNNNNNNNNNNNNNNNNNNNNNNNNNNNNNNNNNNNNNNNNNNNNNNNNNNNNNNNNNNNNNNNNNNNNNNNNNNNNNNNNNNNNNNNNNNNNNNNNNNNNNNNNNNNNNNNNNNNNNNNNNNNNNNNNNNCGACACCGGGACGUGACAUAACACGGCACGCUAGAGUGCCAACACGUCAUUUUAAAAAAUUAGAUAUUCCGACAUGUUGAGACACAUUAUAUAUUAAAUGUAUAUUUUUAUAUAUGCAUAAUAAAUUUUCAUUUUUAUGAUUAUUUCAAUCAAAUUAAUUUAAGUACACCAAUAAAUAAAUAAUAAUAAUAAUAAUUCUAUAAUGGAUUUACACUAGAGACAUUAAUUCACAAUUUAUUAAUAUCAUUGUUUCAAUUUGACAAAUUCAACUCCAUUCCAAUAAUCCAUAAAACUUAGAUAAAAAAUAAUGCACGUUCUAGACUUGCAUGUCAAACAUAUCAGAAGAAAAUAGAUAAAAAAAACUUGAGAAGUGAAUUGUGUAAUGGGGAAAAUGAGAGUAAGAAGAGAAGAAAAUAUUGGGUUUUUUUUUUCUCCAUUUAUUGUCUUCAUUAUUAUUAUUAUUUCACAUAUAUACAUUUUAACCCUCAUUUAUUAUUUUUUUUUUUAAAUUGACCUUACUUGUCGGAAUCACAUGUCAAAAACUUGUAUAUUGAAAUUUUAACUCGAGUGUCAGAGAGUGUUAGGAAAGUUAACUAGGCGUUAAAUUUUCUGAUAAGUGUCGGAAAGUGUGAAAAAAUGUCGAGCUCCGACAAGACAUGAAGGCUCGUGUCGGUGCUUGACCGUGCGACUGCCGGGGAGGGCGUCAUCGGCCUUGGGCGAGACCAGAUUUGGGGUCGCCGAGGGUCAGCGACGCCAGAUGUGGGCUCGGUGGGCUCAGACCUGACGUCCAGAUCCCGGAUCUGACUUGCCUCAGUGAGUGAUAGAGCGAAAGGGCGGGGCCGGAUGGCUCAGAGGUGGCUUAUGUCGGCUUGUUGUCAGGCUGGCGACAAAGAAGUGGCGACAAUCGAAGGACGAGCUGCUGCAUUGGCUCGCCAGAAGCUUGGUGGAGCCACUCGGAAAGCCAUUACUGAUCGUGGCUACUAUGUCAGACUAAGAGUGAGAGGAGAGAGAAUCAAAAUGAGUAGCGUUCGCUGCCACUGCAAUAGUGCCAUUGACCGGAGCUAUUGCAGCGAUACCGGCCACUAUUGGCCACUGUCAGUGAGAAUUCCGUUCUCGUCGCCAUAGUGGCUGAUAGCAGUAGCGGCCGCUAUCUGAACUGUAUAGAAUCGACUAGAUGAAUAAACUACAACUUCACCAACAAUACCACAAUCAUACUAAAUAGGGAGAAAAACGAGUUUAAGACAUUUACCCCUCCUCUUUCUUCCAGUUCCAUCCAUUUCUCUUGCCCACCUCAAUGAGAGCCUAUUCCCAUGACUCCACUUCAGUGCACGACGUCUUCUAGUGCUUUGAAAGAGUCUGUCUGUACAAGUUUGUUUUGAGCUUGACAUCGGCAGGUUCCACGGUCAAGAAAAACCAUGCCAUGGUAAGAUAAUCGGUGAAUUCAUAACGGGUGUUUACUCCUCGAAAACUUCAAAAAACCUCAUACGAAGGUACGGUUGAUGCCUGUGAAUUCGUCCCUUUCUCCGUUGUAGUAGCUCUAAGCAACACAGAUAUCAAAUCCUUUCUAUCUCUCGGGGAAGUUUGCUUUUUAAGUGUGCUUGGAUCUGAGCGACGGCUGUCAGUAUGAUGAGCACUCAAUCUCUGGCGUCAUGGAGGUUGGGAAAAAGGCGCUGGACUUCGAAUAUUAAUUAAUAUAGUCAACACCUUUCUUUCUUUUUCUUCUUUUUUUAAUCCCUUCUUCAUCUUUUGAUUAAUUUGUUUGGUGUUCAUUUAUAUCUUUACUGUUUUGCAUCUUUUUGGCCACCGAAUUUCCCAAAUUAAAUGUUAAGAUGUGAAUUCUAUUUAAAAACACCAUUACUAUUAAGAAAAACACACGAAUAGCUUUUAAGUGAAGACACUUAUAUGCAAUUCUAAUGUAAUUACUAAACCAAAAUAAUGAUAUAUGUAUCAGAAUCUUAACCUUAUUUUGAAUUAAUUUAUUUACUUAAAUUAAAAUUGUUAUAUAUGUAUCAUAAUCUUAAACUCACUUUAUGAAGCAUUACAUGGCCAGUUUUACCAAUAAAAAUAGUUAAAAUAAUAUAAAAAUUUGAAAAGAGUUAUUCACGUGAUUACUUAUGUACAAAAUAAUGUGACAAAUUUUGAAUGCUUGGCAAUGCCCUAUCUUUUCGAAUGAUCUUUAUAGUAUAUAGAUUUAGAUCCCAAAUCAAUAUGGGAAGAUACAACACCACAUAUUAAACAUAAAGACAGCUACAUAAAAGACUCCGAGUAUUUCGAAAAUUUGUGAGAUUCAAUAAAUCAUGGAUCAAAUCAAUGAAGAUCACACAAAAUCAAAGUCAAACAUAUCUAGCAUCCCGUUAAAAAUGUGAUGAUUUUAGUGAAAUCAGCUUGAUUUUGAAAAUUAAGAUGUGAAAUAGCCUAGAUAAUCAGAUUUAGCAAUGGAGUGAAUAUAUAGUGCCCCAACAAUAUAUUUUUUAUUUAGAAAAUGAUUUGAUUUGAAAAAUUUUCAAUACAAACUAUUUUAUAGAUUAUGAUCCAACCACAAGUCAAAAUUUUAAAGUUGCAACUUGCUUAUCCUAAAUUUUAAAUUUAUACUUUAAAAUAAGGUAAUGAGAAAGGACAUUUCAAUUAAUAUUGAUUGGUUGAUUUGUCUGGAAAGCACACAAGUCCCAAAUCAUCAUCUUUGUUAGCUAAUCUACCGGGCAUGUAACACGGAAAAGAAAGCCAAAGUCUUCUAAUAUCUUUCCUCUGCUUCGUUGCAUUUUCCUCUUCUUCUUUUUUUGAACAAAGAAGUCAAAAGUCUUCCACCACCUUGCUUGUUUGGUUGCAAAGAAAGCGAUAAGGCAAAAGCCGACGAAACCUACUCAAGAGAAAAGAUUGGCGAGGGGAAGGAAGUCAAAGUCUUCCUCCAUCCUGCAUUGCAGAUGAGGGAUCCUUGUUGAAAUGUCUUCAUCAUACGCGGUUUACAAAAUUGUUCAAGAAAUUCUUGUCCAUUAGUCACAUUUCAAGGACAUGCCAAAAAGUAGAACGCGGUUUACAAGUCAUCCCGGAAGUUUCCUAGAAAUUUCAUUGAUCAAUCAGUAGGUCACAUUUUAGGAGUUUCUAUGUCCCAUUCAUUCAAUAACAAAUUUUAAAUAAGAGAUCAUAGCUUUAGAAAUAGAGGAUAUAAUGUGAAAUCGUGAUACAAAAUGAAGAUGAUUUUUGAGCUUUUCUUUAUUUUAACCAUAGUAGAGAACUUUUAAAAAAUCCAAUCAACUUUGUAUCUAUAUCAUAUACGAUUCUGAAUUAUUGACAUUUGCAACCGCGUUAAUCUCCAAACAAAAAUCUUUAGUUAGAAGAUUAAACUAUCCCUCUACUAAGAAAAUUUAUAUUAUGCACCGAUCACAUGAUCACCUUGGUGUAAUUGGUCAAUCCAUAUUUCCACUACUUAGUCAAAAUGGAAAGAGCACAGCAUUCCUUGUUGCACCUUCAUCUUUUUCAUUAAUUUGUUUCGGGUUCAUGCAUAUCUUGCUUGUUUUGCAUCGGUUUGGCCACCGAAUUUCCCAAAAUAAAAUCAUUAAGACGUGAAUUCUAUCUAAAAACACCAUUACUAAUAAGAAAAACACACGGAUAGCUUUUAAGUGAAGACACUUAUCCGUCAUUGGAGUUAAUGUAAUUGCUAAAUCAGAAUUACUAUAUGUAUAUAUCGGAAUCUUAACCUUACUUGAAAUUAAUUUAUUUACGUAAAUUAAAGUCAUUAUAUAUGUAUCAUAAUCUUAACCUCACUAUAUGGAGUAUUAAGUGGCUGGUUUUACCAACAAAAAGCAGUUAAAUAAUAUAGGAGAUUGAAAAGUGUUAUUCACAUUAUUACUUAGUUACAAAUUAAUGUGACAAAUUUUUGAAUGCCUGACUAUGCCCAACCUUUCCAAAUGAUCAUUCAUAGUAUAUAGAUCUAGAUCUCAAACAAAUAUAGAAAGAUAUAUGAUACCGCACAUUAAACAUAAGGACGACUCUAUAAAAGAUGGUAAUGAUAUUCCAAAUAUUUGUGAGAAUCGAUAAAUCACGGAUCAUAUCAGUGAUGAUUACAUAAAAUUAGAUCAAAUAAUCUAGUAUCCCACUCAAAAUAAGAUGAUUGCAAUGAAAACAGCUUGAUUUUGGAAAUUAAGUUGUGAAACAUCCUGGAUAAUCAGAUUUAGCAACUGAGUGAAUCUAGAGUGCCAUGAACACCAAUACGUAAAUGGAUUGAUUUGCAAAAUUUCCAAUAGGAAUUAUUUUUAUUAAUUAUGUUUUAUAUAUAUAUAUAUAUAUAUAUAUAUAUAUAUAUAUAUAUUUCAUUCUAAAUUUUAAAAUUGCAACUCGCUUAUCUUAAAUUUUAAAUAGCUUUAAAAGAAGGUGAUGAAAGGAGGCAAUAAAUUCUCAAAUUGGUUUGGUUUAUUCCUUCAUCUUUUGAUUAAUUUGUUUCAUGUUCAUGUUAUAUCUUGUCUGUUUUGCAUCGGUUUGGCCACCGAAUUUUUCAAAUUAAAUAUUAAGAUGCGAAUUCUAUAAAAUCAUCAUUACUAAUAAGAAAAACACAUUUAUAGCUUUUAAGUUAAGAGACUUAUCUGUUAUUGAGAUUAAUGUAGUUACUAAAUCAAAAUUAUUAUAUCAGAAUCUUAACCUUACUUGAAUUAAUUUAUUACUUAAAUUAAAAUUAUUAUAUGGUUAUCAUGAUCUUAACCUCCUUUUAUGAAGUAUUAUGUGGCCGGUGUUACCAAUAAAAGAAUUACAAUAAUAUAAGAGAUUGAAAAGAGUUCAUAUUAUUGCUUAGUCACAUUUUGAAUGCUUGACUAUGCCGUACCUUUUCAAAAUGAUCAUUAUAGUAUAUAGAUUUAUAUCUCAAACCAAUAUGGAUUGAUAUAUAAUACCACAGAUUAAACAUAAAGACGGUUACAUAAAAGACUUUGACAAUAUUUCGGAUAUUUGUAAGAUUCGGUAAAUUGCAGAUCAUAUCAAUAAAGAUAACAAAAAACCAGACUCAAAUAUAUCUAGCAUCCCAAUAAAAGAAGAUGAUUGCACUGAAAUUAGCUUGAUUUUGGAAAUUAAGCUAUGAAAUAGCCUAGAUAAUCAGAUUUAUCAAUGGAGUGAAUGUAGAGUGCCACGAACAAUAUGUUUUUUAUUUAUAAAAUGGAUUCAUUUGCAAAAUUCUCAAUAUGAACAUUUUUUAUAGAUUGUGAUCCAACCAUUAGUAGCUUGAUAUAUUUUAUUCGAAAUUUCCAGUUGUAACGUGAUUAUUUUAAAUUUAUAUUUAAAUAUUAAAAGAAGGGAAUGAGCAGGGCAAUGAAUUAUCAAAUUUAAAUAAAAUCUGAUUUGUUAAUUGUCUGGAAAGCACACAAGUCCCAAAUCAUCAUCGUUGGAUAAUGUACUUCAGAGCGUGUAACAUGGAAAGCAACCCAAAAGUCUUCUAAUAUCUGCUCACUUCGUUGCAUUUUCCUCUUCUUUUCUUCCUAACAAGAAGUCAAAAAUCUUCACAUCUCACUUGCUAAGUUGCAAAGAAAGUGAUAAAGCAAAAGCAGACAAAACCUACUCAAAAGAAAAAUAAGCCCCUCCUUUCUCGUUCCCUCUUUUUUUUUUUUGCAGGAUUGCCCUUAGUUUUUUUUUAAGCGUUAAUUAAACAAGAAUAACCGGUGCAUUCACGAAACUUCCCUACAUAUCAUUUACACUCAUGCAUCUAAAUACACGAGCGCUCCUUUUUGUGCUAAUUGGCAUAUUUUCCAACUUUGUCAAUCCUAUGCUUUGAUCGAUUGACUUGCAAAUCAGAGCCCAAACCAGUCAUUUGACAGGUCUACGUUUGGAUGAAUUGCUUGACAAGAUUACAAAACCCGAUUAAGAUACUUGGCCACAAAUUGCCAACUCUAAUAACACUGAUGUUGUGGUGAUGUGGAGCGGCGAGUGGCCCAAAUGAUAUGGCGGUUGCUUGAUGCUGGUGUAAUCUUCCUGAGCACGUAGCUGGCACGGAUAAAAAAAGAGACUAGUAACACGUGAACUAGGUUAAGUUUGUGGUCUCAACCGUCCAGCCGCAUGUGGCAGCGAUCCGAGUCUCUGUUUCCAGUGUUCAACUCGGAGGACAAUUACUUGUCCGAUGGGCGGUUCGUUGAGAAAGAAGCACCGAAGGGCAACGGGCUACGAAGGUAAAGAUUUGGACGAGCUGCGUUGUCUCGGCACGUGAGGUUUUCAUCCAUGGUGGAGUUGAGUCGCAGUUGGCGUCGAUUCAACAAUGUGAAUCUAGGAUUCAAAGCCUUUCGUAGUGAAUUGUGGCGAAAACUAAGUAGGUGGUGACCAGUUUUGAUUGAAAGGUUAUGUCAGCAAGAUAUAGAUAAAGUAAAGGCCUUUUGUAUAUCACCGGAAUGCAUUAUGCAAAUAAUUUCGAUCAUUUAUCUAUAACAUAAACUAAUAUACUAUAGAUAUACGAUAUUAUGAUUCUAGAUACAAUCAGACUAUACAGAACGUACAUGAUAUAUUCUGUAUGUGUGAAAGAUUUAGUAUUUGUGGAUGAUGUGCAUUACAAAUAUAUCUAACAAGUUGUGACAUUGUUUCAUAAAUUAAUGAUUUUAAUCUGAUAUUACUGUUAAAAGGUCAUAGUCCAAAGGACAUAAAAUAGAUAUUAGGUGUAAAUUUGAAGGGAGGUUUUCGGCUUGUAAUUUUGUCACAUAUCUGGAUAUCUCUUUACUUUAACUUUAGGCUUUUUUUUCUCUCUUUUUCGACCUUUUAGAGUUCAAAAUCAGAACUUGUUUAACGUCAAACAUCUCAAAUUUUUAAAACUAGAAUAGGGAAAUUCAAAAAUGGUGUUUUAAUUUGGGGAAAUUUUCAAAAAAUGGCUCGAAAUGCCUUCAUUUCUCAAAUAAAGAUCCGAAGUGAAUCUUGUUCCAAAUAAAAGUUGAAACUGACCUUGGUUGUUUCAAAGAAGGACCUGAAGUAGCCAUGAUUGGUCUCCAACCAGCAAAAUUUUCUGAUUGGUUAAAGGUGUUUUUGCCCAAAUUUUCUUUUCUUUUUUCUCUUUUCUUCUUUUUUCUUUUCCGACAUUAGCUAGCGGCCACUGGAAAGGGCUAGCAAGGGCCUUCAAGCCCUUGCUUGUAACGCGAGAGGGCCUAAAAGCCCUCGCAAGCAGCGAGCAAGGCCACCCUUGCCUCGGACAAGUAAGGCCAACCCUUGCUUGCUAAGCCCUCGUAGAUGGCUAUGAAGGGCAGCCUCCCCCAGGGUGAGGCCGUCCCUCACCUGCGGCUAGCAUGGGUGGCCCUAGCCGAAUUGGGCGAGGGCGACCCUCACCUAGCCCUCUAUGGGCAUCACCAAUGGCCAAGGAAGAAGAAGAGCUAGAGAAAAAAGGAAAGAAAAAAGACAAAAGGAAGAAAAAAGGGAAAAUGGUAAAUGAUGUAAAUACCCUUCACCACUAGAAAUUCAAGCCCUUAUUUAUAAUAGAUAUAACCAUUUUAAGUCAUUAUUUGAAGCAUAUAUAACUAAUUCAGAAUUUUAUUUGAAAUAAGAUUCACUUUAAACCCUUAUUUGAGAAAGUAAUAGCACUUCAGGCCUUUAUUUGAGAUAAAGUCCACUUCAGACCAUUUUUUGAAAUUUUCCCAGUAAUUUGGUUUGAAGCAAGAAAAACUGAUUGUAAAUAUGUUUGGUUAUUGUGUGUGAAAAUGAGAGGAUAUGGUCUUCGUCUGUGUUGGGCAUUUGGAUUUGAUGGUUGAAUGUGGAAACAAAGAAGAGUCGAAUAAACGAUGGCAUGCGGUUACGAAAUUGUUCAGGAAAUUCUUGUCCAUAAGUUAGCUUUGAAAGACACAGCAAAAAGCAAAAGGUCGUUUAUAGGUAGAUGCUAAUAUUGAAAAUGCCAGUUAGAUAGCAAGUAAUUCUUGUCCAUUAAAGUCGGGCUUUAAAAUGAAAUGAUGGAGAAAUUUAAGUGGGAGGCAUAAAAUUCUUGGAAAUUAAAGUGCGAAAGAAAAGUGAAAUGACAUGGAAGUGAAUUAAACGAACUUAGUGUGAAAUUGCAUCUCUCUCUCUCUCUCUUCCUUUUCUUCUUUCCACCUCCUCCAUGAGAAUUUGCCUCCUCUGUUUUUCUUUUAUUUUCUUUUCGUUUGCGCGCCAUAACUUUCUCUCUGUAUUCCUCUUUCUUGGCCGUGAAGGAAAGCUUACACCUUUACUUUUACGAGGUCUCUUUGGCAAUGAAUAAAUAGAUGCUGAAAAGUCGCCUUCCCACUUGACCGAGAAUCUUCCGCUUUUUUUAUAACCAGAUUUUCUUGCUCUGUUUUGGCCGUGAAUACCGGUCCAUGAAUGCUGAGAUCGCUCCCUUUGUCAAGAUGGAAACUGCACGCUCCUUUCCUUCUUUGAUUCUCCUUUGCCUUUUCUUCCAAUUUCGACGUGUGCAGUUGAACAAGACCUUCCUUCCAUCUCAUGUGUUCAGAUUGGAAUUGGCUUCGAAAAUGGGUGUCCAUCGAUUGAAAUCUGAACGGCCGCACUUUCUUUCCCUUAAUUAGGCCGAGUUUGAUUAGCUUAGGGCCGGGCUUGCAUGGGCUCGAUUUUGGAAUCUCAAGUGAGUUUAAGACUCUUCGCAUAUUGGGUGAACUAUUGAGCCAAUCCCAAACAAACUCAUAGCCAGAUCCAUGUUUUGUUAAUUGCGAACGCUUUAUGCCCAAAAUUUAAAUUUCCCUUUAUCUAAAUGCGAAGAAAUACAGUAACAGUUACAGUAACAGCUGUAAAUGCAAGACUAUGCAAGAUUGGUAUUUUGGUUUGGGAUCAAAUUCUAUCGAAUUCGAGCCUAGUUUUCUUAUUAAAUGAAUGAGAAGUCUUCGAACAAAAAUUUAGGUGUCCGGAAUCAGAUCGACAAUACUAGCUAGAGCUUGAAGAAAGUAAAGAACAACCAAUUGUUCUUAAUAGGCAAAAGACGAGAAAGUGAUGUUAACACGGAUUCCAUCCUUGUAAUAAUUAAAAUGAAGAUGAUAUUGAACAUUUUAAAAUAGUAUAGGAACAUAAUCAAUAGAAUGGUAAGGAAUCACAAAAUCAAUUGUUUGAUUAAGUAUGACAUGGACGUAUUUACACAAAAUUUCAACGAUCAUCCAUUUCAUUAAAAGACAAAUCUUGAGAACAACCUAACUUGUUUUGUAUAAGAAGUGGAAAGUAAAUUUUCUUUUGCUUGCUUGAAUCUAUAUGUAUUAAAAUGAUUGGAUGGUCAAUGGUAAAAUGAUGACGUAGCAUGCUUGGGAAUUUAGUUCGAUCAAGUUAGUUGGCGUUUUUAGGUACUAAAAAUUCAUCUUUUUCUAUCAAUUUUAAUAAUUUAUUCACUAUUAAAAAGCCACUUCUUACUCUUUUCUUUGUUUGCGAAUUUCGAAAGCAAAUUUAAAUAGUUAUCCUUGAAGUUCAUUGUGAAAAAGUCAAUUCUCACCACCAUAAUUCAUUCAUUUGAAAGGACUAUAAUUUGAUAUGUAAGACCAAAUCCUUUCGAUAUUAUUAUUAUACUACGACAAUUGAUGAAAUGCUCAUUUUGCUCGAGUCAUAACAUUUGUCUCACUGGUAAUACCACACAACCAUUUCCUGAUUUGCAGUGUUCGCAAUUAGUGCAUGCACAUAUCUUAAAAUUCAUUUAUUGAUUUCUUAAGUAUUGCUAAUAACAUCUACGAAGAUAUGCAAGAUCAAUUCCUUUUCAAGAAUUUUUUCCCACAUUUUUUGGAAUGGUUAAUUUAUGUGAAUUCAUAAUAUUAAUUACGUAACCUCAAUUUUCUAUUAAAUAUAUUUAUAUAGUUACGCUAACAUGAUAUAUUAGAGAUGCUCAUCGCAUCAAAUCGCAUCAAGGUCCUUUCUUUCCAUUGAGUAAUUUAUUUAUUGCUUUAAUUUUUAAGUGUUAAAUUCUUAUUUGCGUAACCUCAUUAUCACUCAUCAUAUGUUAAUGGCUUAAGGUUAAAAUUGACAGAGACUGCUUGCACAACAUUUUCGAAUUAAAGAGAAAAUAUCUUAAAAAGGCGCUAGAUUCAUCUUAAGUAAUCAAGUCCCCAUAUACAUAACAAUUUGGUUUGCAAAAGUAAAAUUUUCUGUGUAUUUUACUUGGGUUAUCAACCCAUAAAAGAUUAGUGGCAACUCCUAGAAUUGAUUUGCAUGUCUAAAUGAUUUAAAUAGAAUCCAAAAAUUGUGAUUGGUAUGAUUUUCGGAGAGUCCGCAUUGAGUGAUGGCACUAUUUACUCAUCUCUUUUAUGAUUAACUGUUUGUCCCCACUUAGUAUUCAUUAGCUUUCUCUUGGUACUUCACCUUAAGAAAGGUCGUGACACCAAUGAAUACAUCGCCACGGCCAUCCUCUCAAUUAAUGAUAAUUUAAGAUUGGUUGUUCCGAUCGAAUAUUUCAAACUCAGCAUGGGUCAAUCCUUUGAAUGUCUCGUCUUAAAGAUGAAGAAUUACUAUUGUGCAUUUUCUCUUCCCUACAAACGUAUGGGUAGAAUAGUGUACAUUAGCCGGAUUAAAAUGUAGAUAAAGGCCUUUCAAAUACUCAAAUCUCAGUUAAUCAAUUCAUUGAUUUUUUUUACCAAAAAGAAAAUCAUUGAUUUCGACCAUGAAGUACACUAUAAAUCAUCAUCCAAAUGCCUCCAAAAGUUAUUCUCUUCUUAUUGUAAGGGAUUGUGGUCGUACAUUGGAGCAUUAAUUUUUGUAGCACCAGUUAGACAUAGAUCACUUAUUUAUAACAGAAUCAUGACAUAGACACCUUGAAGUUGUAUUGGGGGAAAAAAGAAGUUGUCCCAAUUUAUUUUGAUAAAUCGAUGGAUUCAUGCUUUAGAAAAUUGUUGAAUUAUGUCUCAAGUUUGAAUCCAUUAUACGAUACCCGAUACGUGCAAGACACUUACAUGCUGAAAUGAGAAAAAAACACGUCAUCAGAGCAUUUAAUUAAAAUAAAGGUCACGUGGUAGAAGCCGAAUGGAUUCAGCCCUAGAUACGAGCUUCUACCGUUGGAAAUGAAGGCCACACCACGUGUUGAUUUUUGUGGCCUUAUCAUUUGUCAGCAUGAAAUCUUUCUCAAGAGUUGAUCGUGCGAAUUUCUUCAACCUCAUUAUAUGCACGCACAUGGACAUGUGCAUGCAUGCACGUAGAAAAGAAAACCGGUCAACACUUGCUGCUUCAGAAGCUAUCACGUAGGCGCCGAAUUCCCUCUCUUCUUGGUCAUCUUUUGUGGGCUUCUUGUUUUAUUAUUGAUAAAGAAAGAGGGAAGGCGGAAGCUCUUCUACGUGUGUCAGUUUAUGCUGCUCACGCUCACACGCUAUCAUUAAAUGCAUGGAGGCGCAUGCUUUGAAUCGGCACCGUUCUGACAAUUGGGGAAUACAAGCUUGUUUUUUUUAUUUCCUUCCCUUCCGCCGAUAAAUGGAGAAGACGUCUGGAGCUCGUGUGCUGUGUAAUAGAGAGCGAAAGAAAAAGAGCUCGAGAGACCGAGAGCGAGAGACGUAAGCUCAGAGAGAGAGAGAUUUGUGUGGAAGCCGAGUCCAUUGAGUGUGAGUUGUUAAACACCGUGGGUAUCGGGAAUAAAGUAGGGCUGGGAAACACUUGAGUGCAUAUAUGAUUCUAAUCCUGUAAUUCUCUGAUUUAUAGUGGAUUGAUUUGCUGGCUCUUCCCGUGGACGUAGGUUCCGACAUUUCGGACCGAACCACGUUAAUCUCUGGUGUCCUUUUCUUUUAUUGUUCCUCGUUUUAUUUCGAUCGAUUUCUAUAGCUCCCGACAUAAUUGCAAAAAUAUACGAUCUGCUUCCGCUGCGACGCCGAUUAAUUGCAACAAAAAUAAUGAGGUUUAAAUCGGAGAUCCCUCAAAAGGACACAGACUUCUCUAAUGUAGCAUGGUUAGCCCCUGAUCCUAUAUCAAAUGGAACAGCUCUACACAUUUCCAAGAAAAUCGGUUUUCUAGACAAAACAAGAUUUCCAUCGUCUGCCAACGCUGCAGUUGAUGUUUAUUGCUAAGAUGUGCGUGGCAAAAUCUGUGCUUGUUGGAGGCGAAUAGCAUAAGCCAUUGCCGUGACUGAUGAAAAGCAAAAGUGGAAAGUGCGCGUAUAGAUUUAAGUGCGACCGGAAUGAAAGUUUUUGCAUCUAGAAAAUAUUUAAGCCUUUGCGCCCCAAUUUUAUUUAUUUUUUUGCUAAUCGUUAUCUGCAACACAAAAAUUAAAUGAUCAUAAACUUUGACCUCAGUCUCCUUUCAUUCCCAUCAUUUUCCAUAUGUUGUUCAUCGAGUCUCGUCCACUGAUUUCGAUAGGGACUGACGAAGCUACUGGCGGACAAUGCCCCGAAAGCCAUGAAGGAGCAGAAGCUCGAGAGCUACUUCGGCUGGAGGAUCGCCGUCGAUGCCAGCAUGAGCAUCUAUCAGUUCCUCGUUAAGUUGCUUCUUUAUGGAUUGAUGCCUGUGAUUGCGCGUUUCGGUUUGUCGGUGGGGAUUUGGAAUUUGAGUGUUGGGGUAUUUUGGUUCUUUUGAUCGGUGGAUUAGGUUGUGGUUGGAAGGAAGGGGACUCAGAUGCUCACCAACGAGGCUGGUGAAGUCACCAGGUACACUGGCAUCGUAGUACUCCAUGGAAAUAAAAUCCAAUUUGCUUGAGUUUCGUAUAGUUUAUGGCUGAAUUGUCGACUAGCCUUCUGUUUUGAUGCUUCAGAUGUUAUCUCUUGGACUCGGUUUUAUGUAAAUGAGAUUGACUUUGAGCUGCCUUUCGAUUUGUUUUCCCAUGUAGUCAUCUGCGAGGCAUGUUUUACCGGACGAUUAGGCUGUUGGAGGCGGGCAUAAAGCCAGUGUAAACUUUUUUUCUUUACCUCCUGUGUUUUCAUUGGGAUAGAAUGCUAGAAGGAUGAAGCUCGUGCUUCUCUGAAUUAUGUUUUGCUGUUUUUAUGAUGGCUCCGUAUUUGAUGGUCGACCUCCUGAUUUGAAGAAGCAAGAGCUGGCAAAACGGUACUCUUAAUAUUAUGUAGCCUUUUCUUUUCUAUUUUUUGGAAUUAUCUAUGAAUAUGUUUAGUUACCUUAAAUGAGUUUCUGAGCAGUUUUUCGAAGAGGGCAGCUGCCUCUGAGGAGUUGGCAGUAGCCAUUGCGGUAUAUGCAUCUCUCUCUCUCUUUCUCACACACACACACACACAAGCACCCAGAAACACAGAGUACAAAAAUGCUCAGUGAGCUCUGUAUUUAUUGUGUCUGCAGUCUCAGAACAAGGAAGACAUAGAGAAAUUCAGUAAAAGAACUGUGAAGGUUGGUCUCGUUUAGGUUUCCUUACGGUGCGAUAUUUUCGUCUUAUUCGAUGUGAAGUUUGAUUUUGUCGAUGUUUUCCAAGAAAAACCUAUCUACGUAGCUAACUGGAUUUGUAUGCACUUGUGGUACAUGGCUUUGAUACUCUUGCAGGUGACACAAUAGCACAAUGAUGACUGCAAAAUACUAAUAAGGCUUAUUGGUGUCCCAGUAGUUGAGGUUACUAUUCUGUUUGAAAAGUUUGUUCUUUUUUAUUUCUAACAAAAAGUUUAGAUAACAAAUUCAGUUUUUGUCCUUUAGGCUCCUUCAGAAGCAGAGGCACAAUGUGCUGCACUUUGCAAAGCUGGAAGGCAAGUAUCUUCCCAUUUGAUUGUCUUCUGAUAUAGAAUUGUUCAUUGUUUUCCCAUGAUAACUGAUGGUUUAACACUAUGUAAACAUGAUUUAAUUUCCUUUUUCACUCACGUAUUCUUGUUCACUUGUCUAAUGUCUUCUUCUGCGUAGUCAUUUACAUUUGGUAUGUUCUUUAGUAAGCCAUCUUUGUCCAAGGAAUUUUCGCUGACUUUGAAUUCCUAUCAUUGCUUAAUUGUUGUGUGGUAACCAAAAUUAAAAUACCAUGAAUGGUGCUUUCGCUGUAAUAUUUGUUUUUCAGGUUUAUGCAGUUGCUUCUGAAGACAUGGAUUCCCUUACUUUUGGAGCUCCUGUAUUCUUUGCCAUUUAAUUAAAUCCCAGCUCAAGAAAAGUUCCAGUCAUGGAAUUUGAAAUUUCCAAGGUACUUGGAAAAGUUUAUUCAUUGUGAUUGCUUAAAUUUUUUUUUCUCACUUUCCUGACUUUUAGAUCUUGGAGGAGAUGAAUCUGGAUAUGGAUCAAUUAAUUGACCUCUGCAUUUUCUCUGGAUGUGAUUAUUGUGAAAGCAUUUAAGGUGGACGUGAUAUUGUUGCAGUGCUCUGUUAACUGUUUUAUGCUAUCUCAUAUCAUGUUUCCCUCUCGUAUUUUUUAGCUUGAUGAUUUCAGUGGCUUUACUUUGGAAUGAAUUUAUCAGGUAGCAGAGGGCUGACUGCUCUUAAGCUUAUCCGUCAACAUGGUUCCAUAAAAAACAUACUAGAGAACAUAAACAAGCAGAGGUGCUUCUUAUACUCUUAUCUUGUCCCCUGACUUGUAAGCAAAAUUAGGCAGCAAAGUUUCUCACUGUAAUAGUCUUGGCUGCUGAAUUCCUUGACUUAAAAAAUUAUCUCUCAAACUCAGCUGGCAUUGAAAUAUUUAGUCAACAAUUUGAAACUGAAAGAUCAUUUGCCACCAAUAGAUUUGGGCUGGCAAUCAGUGCAUCGUCCAUGCCACCUCAUGUGUUGAUUUACCAUAAUACUUCUAUCUAUUCUGGUGUCUGCUUUUUCUGUUCCUUCAUCUCACUUGAACAAAAUCAUAUCGUUUCUCUAUCCUUAAUACCCAGAGGUUCUUUGCAUUACUUGGAAGUCUUCAUUCAGUUCGGUUAUCCUUUUUAAGGAAAUGUUUCCUUGUUUUUUGAAUAGGUAUCAGAUACCAGAUAAUUGGCCCUACAGUGAAGCUCAACUGCUUCUCGAGGAACCAAUAUUUUCUUCAGAAGAACAACCUGAGAUAAAAUGGACUGCUCCAAAUGUGGACCAUUUUCAUGUUGGGAUUUACUUGCGACAUUUCACUUUUUGAAUUUUUGACUUAUUUCCUAACUGAUUUUUAUUUCCAUUUCAAGGGCUUAAUUUCCUUUGUCGUAAAUGAGAAUGGGUUCAACAUCGACAGAGUGACAAAGCUAUGGCUUUUAUCUUCAGUAAUAUGUUGGACAGUUGCGUACUGGAGGAAGUUGCUUCUUUUCCUCUGAAGGAGAGAGCACACAUGUUUUCAAUGUUGUUUUACCAUGUGUAUCAGGCGAUAGAGAAGAUUAAGGCCGCUAAGGAUGAGUCAUCACAAGGCCGGUAACUAAAGCUUGAACAAAUGAAAGUGACUUACAAGAUGCACUUUCCCUUAUCCAAAGAUUCAUUUCUUUUAUUCUCUACGGAUUAGAAUCCUUCUUUAAGCCAGCUAAGAAUCUGUCUGUACCUGCUAGGAGGAAGGUAUGUCAUCUUGAUAUCUUUGAGUACGGAGCACCAGGAAUUUUCCUUCUUUCAAUGUAUGUGAAGGUGUAAUAUCACACAUUGCUCUAGCAAAGAGAUGUCUUCAGAUGCUUCUUAUGAUGGAUGAAUGGUAAUCUCUUUAACUCACUUCGUAAGCCAUUGAUUGCCCUAAUGGUGCGCAAAUUUUCAAAUCUUUGCGAUCAUUUUUAAACUUUUGGUGAUAGUGUUGUAAGUCAAAGGUAGCAUGUUGACAUGUCCCUGUUGCUUUUACGCGAUUACUCUUAUAUAACUUUACUGAUGUGCUAAUGGUGUUGCGUCACCCUAUUCAUGAGAUCAAUUAGAUAAACGAAAGCACCAAUGUGCUUAUACAGAUCCAUUAAGAGUUUCGGCCUGAUUAACUACCGUAAUUGCACUGGAUGACAGCGAAGCAAAUGCACACUUCAAUCCCCCAAUCUGGCAUUCAAGACUAAGACAUUUUCUACACAAGUCUCUGUAAAUCCCCAGCCCAGGUUUCGUGGCAGCUUUAAAAUGCCAACCAUGGUCCUGGGUUUGAGGAACUUCAAACAACCAUUGAGAGUUGUCUGCCUCCCGACAUGGAUCUAAAUGAUGGUGAAUGUAGGAAACCUAUUUAUUGAGCAAGUCCUGACUUGUAGAUGCUGUUUGCCUGCAGUUGGAAGCAAGUUUAUGCUUUCCUUUCCUUAAAAAUGGGUCAUGUCUUAUGGUACUGCAAUUUUGGGAGAGAGUUGUAUAAAUUUUAAUUAGGAGGAUGAAGUUUGCCCUCUAUGCUAGAUCGACAGGGGUACUUCAUUUCGGGCAGAGUGCAUGUUAGUGUUCCUUUUACAGUGUGUAUCUGCUAUCCUAAGGAUUCCUUUUCUUCCUUGGAUUGUACAUUUUACGAUAUUUAUAUAUCACUUAUACAUAUUGUAUAUCAUUGUCAUCCAUGGACCAAGAAACCCCACAGAAUGUUGUCUCCAGGGCUGGUGGUGGUAAGAAGAAAAUAGUUUAGUCAGCACGUAACAAAUCAUGGAACGGCAGAACCAUCGACUUCUAAGACACAAUGAGGAUGUAACAUGCAUACUUUUCAAAUCUAUUUCUUUUCCUACUUAUGCACUUCAAAUUCAUCGGAAGUAAUUUUGUCAUGUGUAUCUUUGUGAAUAUUUAGUUUUUUAUUUACUAAUAUUUCCAUUUCUAUUAUUCUAACUAGCAAGAUUAUGCUCUACAAAAUCCACCUUUUAAUUCCUUGAUAUGAAUCAAUAGAAGAAAUUUAUUUAUUUGAAGAUAUUUUAUUGUUUUAAAUUUUGGAGACAUUUUAAAUUAGAUAUCCAUGUAACUUAGAAGUUGAACAUUUUGGAGUUAUUUUGUACAUAUUUACAUGCUAGUUUAAAAUAACUAAACUUGAAUACUAUUGUUUUUUUUUUUUUGGUCAGUAAGGCCUUGUUUGGUAACCAUCCAAACAGGGCUAAAUUCUGAUUCUUUAUUCCCAGAAUCAGUUUCGGCCUAGAAUCGCGAUUGGUAAAAAUUUUGUUCCCGGGAACAAAUUGAGAAUAGAAUCAAGAACCAAAAAAAAGUUGAUUCUUAUUUCGGGAACAAAUUUGAGAAUCAAAAUCAAGAAAUUUUCUUCUUCCCUUCGGCCAUCUCGCGACCGCCAUCCACCACCGCCCGCCACCAUCCACCGUCCGCCGCCGCCGUCCACUGCCGCCGCUAGCCGUCGUCCGCUGGUCCGGCGAGCUCGCCGGAGGCAAGCCCAGCCACCGGCGAGCUCGCCGGUGGCUAGGCGGGCCUCGCCGGGGCUUGGAGAGGCCUCGCUAGGGCGAGCGAGGCCCGCUUGGCCACCGGCAAGGCUGUGCAGGGGUUGGGCAAGCCUCGCGACGCCCAGCCCCACCGGUGGCUAGGCGAGGCUCACCUGGCCACCGGCGAGGCUCGCCCAGUCCCGCUGGUGGCCUGGUAGGCCUCGCCCAACCUCGACGAGGCCGGCUUGGCCACCGGCGGGGCUAGGUGAGCCUCGCCCAGCUGCCGCCGAGGGUCGGCAACCUUCUGGUGAGGUCGCCGACCCUCAUCUGGCCGGUCGCCGGUCCGACAACCGGCCAAAAGAAGAAGAAGAAGAUGAGAAAAAGAAAAGAAAAAGAAAAGAAAAAAAGAAAAGAAAAAAAGGGAAAAAGUAAAAAAAAUUAUUUAAAAAUUAAAAAAAGUUGAUUUAUAACAGAAUUAAUGAAUACGGUACCAAAUACAAUUCUAUUCCAGAAUCAGAAAUUUUGGACAGUUACCAAACGGCUUAAAAUGCUUAGAAUCAGUUCUCGGGAACAGAAUAAAAAAGAAUCAGUUCUGAUCAUAAUCUACUUUUGGAAAUAGAAUCGUUACCAAACGUGCCCUAAUACUAUCGUUUAGUAGCAAAACAUAAUUAGGUCAUUCAUUGUACUUGUAUGUAAAAAGUAUAUAAAUGGAUAGGCAAUGUUAUUUACAAAUGUUUCUUGAGAUACAUUCUCGUUAUUUUUUCUUAAUUUUAAAUCUAUAAUAAAAAAAUAAAUAUAAUUGAUGAUGCACGCGUGUAGGUUUCACCUUGACUGUAAAGGAAAUUUCCAAGGAUUUUUAUUAGGUCAACCAACAAUGUGAAAACUUACCAAUGAUAUGAUUUCAAUUUACUUGCAUACAUCAUACAAAUACAAACAAAAUAAAUCCCUAACUAAUGAUAAGAUUCUAGUUUACUUAGAUAUAUCACACAUUCAAAUAAUAUAACAAAACCAAUCAAUGAUAGGAUUUGAGUUUCUUAUAUACAUUGCACAUACUAAUAAAACAAAUGACCUAAUUAAGGAUAGGAUUGCACUUUAGUUAUAUACAUUACAAGUUAAUAGCAUAUAUGAACCUUUACGAAUAGGUUGUUAUGUAGGUUCACAUACCAUUCUUUCAAACCCCAUAAGCUCCUAAACUCCUCCACGUGCAUAUUUAUUUUAAGCUCGUUUCAUCUUUCCAACCUCUAAUUUUCACAUACUAAUUUUUCCAUUCUCUCUCUCUCCUAAUGGUGGUUCCAUAUUUUAUUAUGGUAUGACUUCAGGUUUGGGUGCUCUUCCCAUCACCUUCCUCUUGAAAUAGAAGUCGAUGAGCUCUGCAUUGUUUGGGUCAAGAAGAAAGCCGCGGAGAAGAGCUUCUAAUGUCAUUGCGAAACUAAAAUAUUCUCAUGUUGUAAUCCCAUGAAGAGUUUCUUCAGAGACUACAAUCAACAACCUGCACAGCAUCAUGCAAACAGCUCAGCAGCGCCAAGAUCAUCUCAGCGUCAUUCAAACAAUUCAACCUCUCAAACACAAACCGAGCAUCAGAGUAAAUCAUAGCGAAGGCAGUAACAUCAAACAUUAACUCCACAUUUGAUGCAAUUUACUUUGAUGUUGCUGAGUUGGUGUUUCAGGGGUUGAGUUGUUUGAAUGAUGCUGAGGUGGUUUUGGCACUGCUGAAUUGUUUGCAUGAUGCCGUCCAGAUUUUUUAUUUGUUGUCUCUGAAGAAACUCGUCAUGGGAUAAAAACAGGAGACAACAAUCAUGUUUCACGACGACGUUAGAAGAUAUUUGCGACUGGUUUCUUGCCAUGUUUUCAUGCACGCAGAACAAGGUAGAAAUGAAUACAAGUCGUCCGUAUGAGACUGACAUUACAAGCUCCACACCUGAUUCAUCCUUAAUUGGUGAGGCUGAUUGUCUAGUUGCCCUUUUUAUUCUCUCUUAUUUGUGGAGACUCUAUCAGUGUGUGUAGCCUAACUCUUGAGAUCUCUUCCUCCUCGUCAGCCUAAGUUGAAAUUUUGGCAUUGUUUAAGCGUUGUCUUCAGCUUCAUUUUUUUGGCCGUUGGAAGACUAAUCCGCACCAGAAGACAAAUAAUUUGGCUCCGCCUCCACGUCAUUGCAGUGCUCCCCACGGUCUCUGGUCUCCGAGAGGCUCGCACUGCUCUGCAACGUACGAAGCCGUUAAGUCUCCGGGACGAUAUUAUUCUUGGUUGAGGUCAUAUGCCGAGCUUUGCAAUGUACUACUCUCUUGAUUAAACUACAGCAUAAGUGCCAAAACUUGACACAAAUAGAAAAUUAAGUAUCAAAAUUUCACACUUCAAUGUCAAUUCUUUUUUGAAAACUGAGACAUUCAAGUGUCAAGUCCGAUGAAGGUAACUGGAAAUCCAAUGUAGCAUAUUUUUAAUAAAACAAGUGGUCUACAUGGCAUGUUGGAAAGUUGACUCAACAAUGAAAAUGCAAAACAAUCUCGUUUUGCCUCAAAUAUCAAAUUUUAAUGUAUACAUUAAUUAAAAUAAAUUAAAAGAACCAAUUUUUUUUCUUUCUUUUUAAAAAAGGUGCAGCAGCAUUGGCCCAAUCUGGGCGAGGUUUGCAACCUCAGGCAAAGGUUGGCGACACUCGUCAAAUCUAGGGGAGGGUCGCAACCCUCAUGGAGCAAGGGCUUGCAAGCUCUCACCAGCAGUUGGCCAAUGACAGCUGGUCCCCCCUCCCCCAAACAAAACCUCCGUUGGCCUUUGCCGGAGAUAGCAACAUAUGCUUAAGAAGAAGCUGUGUAGUGCUCAAAAGCCCGAUAGCAACAUAUACUUGAGCAUUGUCUUCCGCACACAUAUCUCUAGAGAUCAACAAAAUAUCAUGUGCUCAUGUUGAUAGUUAUAAGAACACUAUGCUGCAACUCUUGGGUCAUUAGGGAGAAAAUCAAACACGAUGAAAGUAUGCGUUUCUUGUCAUGCCUAAGAAAAAUUCACAUUUGCUUGUAGUGAAGUUGCAAGUAAAAAUUGGUGGUGAUAGAAAAAGUAGCUGCCUAACAGAAGAAUAUAUCCUAGCAUCGUUUCUGGGUAACAAUUGAGAAACAUCAUAGAGUACACAACAAAUCAGUGGGUGUGGGUAAAAUGUGAAGAUAAGAUGAUGACGACGACAACGAGGACGACGACGACAACGACAAUAACAACAACAAGAAUAACAAUAAUAAUAAUAAUAAUAAUGACAACAACAACAACAACAACAACAACAGCAACAACAACAACAACAACAACAAUAACAACAACAACAACAACAACAAUAAUAAUAACAACAAAACAAAAACAAAAACAAAAAGUUUCUCGCUAAGAUUGCAUCAGAAUAGUAAAGAGGGACGAAGUCUACUAACAAGUGUAAUGUCUCUUCUCUACCAACCAUUUUGCUCUAUCUCCCAUGAAUCCCUUAUGCCUUGUGUCAAACUCUUUUUUUUGUAAAUAAGCCGUCUGAGAAUGAAGCAGAGCAAAAAUCAAAUUUGUCCUUCUAAUCAUAGCACGCCACUCACUAAUACGAUAGUAUAUUAAGAUACACAUAUGAGUGCUCCAACAAUUUGGAAAUCCAACAAUUUGGAAAUCCCCCAUUAGUUCAGCUGACCAUGACCCACAAAAGGGUUUUAGGAAUAGAAGUUUACUUGGCAAUAUCAAGGGUUUUGAACAACACCCGUCUCACAUCCCUGGAAAAAUAUGUAAAAACUCCAUUACUUCAGCUGCUGCAGGAAGUAGUCCAUAUCAUUCUAAUAAAAUUGGUUUGAUAUAUCAUUAUAUUUUUAUCUCAAAAGCUAUCAUAUCAAGACCAAGGCAUCAUUCUCAUUACCAAGACGAGUAUUCUACUUGGUCCAUUGCAAAAUUAUCAAUAUUAGAGUCUAGCUAGAAGAACUAGUGUAUUGCUAGCAAUGGUCACUAUAGGGACAACUAAAUUGUGCAAGAUUUUUACUUCAAUAAAGAAUAUAUACUCCCAAUAGUAGCAAAUAGCUCAUAUUUAACCAAGAAACGAAAUAUAUGAUAUCCAUAGACAAUAAAACAAUAUAAGUUGGCAAAUAUGACAUACCAAGCCCAACACACAAAUGACUAACUAAAAUGGAUAUAGAAAAUGCAGCCACCAUGAUGAAGCACUUAAGUUUUUAGCAAAUUGUUAACAGUAAUAAUGAUGAUGAUGAUAAUGACAAUAACACCAACAAUUCGGCAAUCAGCAUGUAAUUUUAAAAGCAAAGUUAGAACCUAGUAAGAUUUAUUAUUGUAAAUGAGAGAAUUAGAUAAAUCACACUACUAUUCUUACACAAAGGUCAUCUCAUGUUCUCCAUCUUCUGACAUUUUCUUUUUUCUUUUUUCAUAUUUUGCUUUUGAACUUGAUAAUAAUUUUACACGCCUAAGAAAAGAGGAAUAGAUUCAACCAGUCAUACUUGCCAAUUUUUUGGUCUGAAGAGGCCAAGCCGUAUUAUCAAAACUCUGAGAACCAACCUUACGGAACCAAACCCUUGAGACCAUAAAAGACAAGAUAAGGACACUUGCCACUAUUGAUGAAGUUGUCGAAAGUGAGGAUACUGUUGUUCCACGUUGCAAGAUUGAACCCCCUAAGCCCUUCAAAGAGUGUGAACAGAAAUUUCUUUUCAAAUGUGGGGUUUUUAUCGUCUGCACAACAAAUCAAAUCAAAACUGAGAUGUCCAUUUGCAGAGUUUUCCCAAUUAGCUCAACACCAAAAACUUCACCCAUCAAACCUAUGUAAUAAAACGCCAUAUCCAGAUCUGAACAGGGAAAGAGGUGAUUGCACAAACAUUUAGUGUGCUUAGAAUUACCGGUGCAAGUUCUGUUGCGAAACUUGGUGUUGCUUAUUCCAGCUGCCGAUGGGGCCCCUAGAGGCAACGGGGACUGUGACUGAAGUAGCGGCGACUCGAAAAACUAGGCAAUAUAUUCUUCACACCCAAUUUCCGCACCUUUAAAGAUUCCAAGUUGUUGAGACCUUGCACGCUUUUUAGCUUACGACAAUAUUGUACUUCGAGCUCCGAUAGCUUUUUCAAUUUCGAUAGGUCUGACAUUCUCUCCACGGAAGGGCAAUUGACGACUGAUAGGGAGCAAAGCGAUCCCAAUUCUUCAAGGCCACAAAUCUCGACUAAUGAAAAGCAAGCUACCAUACUUACCUUGUGUAAAUUCUUCAUGCGCGACAUAUCAAGUACUUCUGGAAGGAACUCACACCAGGCCAUCUCUAAUAAUCUCAAUCUUUUCAUUUCCUGCUGCAAUGGCGCAUCCACUUUUCUAAGCUCACAGCGCUCCAUACGGAGUUCCUCCGACUCUACAUCAAAUAUACUAGACAAUUCUAGCGAACAUCUAUAGAAUUUCAAGAUUGACAAGUCUUUCAAAUUUGAAAAAUCCGGUGAUGGUGUGGUCACCAGAUCUCGAAGUUGUAACUCUCUUAAACUAGACGGGAGCUGGGGGAGGAAUUGCAAAUAUUUGCAGCACAAUUUUAGUGUUUUAAGCUGAGACAGCAUACCGAUGCUAGUGGGAAGAGUGGUGACAAGUGUUUCGUGUUGAGAUAGGGCACCAAUUUUAGUGGGAAGAGCUCGGUCUUCUUCCUGCCAAUAUUCUUCCAGCUCAUAUUUCCUCUCCUCUGCGGAGGAACACCAGCAAUUUUUAAGGCCCCACCUCAAACAAGUCAAACUUGGGGAAGUUCCCGCAAUUUUUUAAGCUCAGGACAUUUUUGUAGCUUAAGUAUUUGGAGAUUAGAGAGGUGACUCAGUAUGGUGGGUAAUCCAGAUAUACGUGUGUCUGAUAAGUCUAGGAUUCUCAAACGAGAGAGUCUCCCAAUUUCUUCAGGGAUUUCAUUGGUCAAGUUGCAACAUCCUCUAGCAUCUAACUCUUCAAGCUUCUCUAUCAGCCCAAUCGUACUUGGUAAUUUUGUUAUCCCUCUUAUGCCGUUUAUCUUUAGUACUUUCAAUUGCUUUAGAUUGCCGAUCGAAUCAGGUAGAUGACCAAUACUUGUCAGUGACAAAUCCAACUCGACUAAUGAUUGUAAAUUCCCAACCGAAUAUGGAAGUUCCUUUAUCUUUGUGCAAUUCGAUAAAUCUAGCCGCCUAAUUUUCACCAGCCCUCCAAUCGAGUAUGGCAAUUUGUUGAUUUGCCUAUUUGGUACAUUGAACUUCAACAAAGAUUGCAAAUUACCAAACGUCUGCGGAAGUUCAUGUAGCCUAUUAGGCAUGACGAUCUCUGUCAAAGCUUGUAGACAUCCUAUUUCUUCCGGCAACUCUCGAAGAGAAAAACAAUUCUUCAAGUUCAAAGUAGUUAGGAACUUCAAUAUACCAAUGGAUGGGUCAACUUCAAUUAACUGGUAACACCCUUCAAGAAUCAAUCUCUCCAAGAACACCCACAUAGAUAAAUCAGGUGUUCUCCUUAAGUAUCUACAGUGGCUAAGAUCUAGUACUUUAAGUUUCCUUGUUGCCUGCAAAAUAAUUUGAUAAAAUAUAUAGUAAGAAACUACUUGUAGGAAAAAAAAUAGCAAAAGAAACCAUAUGCAUAUAGGGAGUGGGGCUCGAAUCAUACUCUAAUUUGUUCCCAGCCAAUCCAUUUCUCCGAAAAUGGCUCCACGAAAGGUCAAGAAUGACUAAGUUAGUUGGAUGAAAGUUUGUUGCCUCAAACUUGUCAGAGUAAUAUCUCCAAGAAAGCCAUUUUAAACUGCGAAGAAGAUUAUUGAAGUCUCCAACAAGCAACGGCCGAUCCCCUCGAAAGAACCUCAGCUUUCGUAACUGAGCAACUUCAUCACAUGUUAGAAUGUCUUCAUGAAAUCCACAAUAUCCUUCUAGUGACAUUGCUUUUUAUUUUCCUACUUCCCUGACAAUGGAAACACAAUAGUGAUUAAUUUACCCUUUUGCAAGAAUAGUCUAAAACAAUUCAUCAAAAAAUAAAUUGCCAUUCCCUUUUUUUACCUCUUUUUCCUUUAGAAUACUUAGGGCUUCGUGAUAGUUCCACACUCUACUACGCUCAUAGGGAUCAGUGAAGUUCUCUUGACGGACGAUUUCCCUUCCAAGGUCUCGCACUUGGUCAUGCAUCCAGAAAGUAUUGUCGUCUUUGAGUUUUAUCAAGGACAUACAAAGGAGGACAUCAAUGGCAAUGUGUGGGUGGUAUCCACAUGCAUCCCACAUGUAGAAAGGGCUUGUUUUGUCUCGAUUAACAAAAGAACAAGCCACAUCCAGAAAUACUUCCUUUUGUGCAAGAUCUAACCUUUCAUAAGUUAUCCUCAAUUUUCUUUGGACUUCCAUGGGAGGAGCUUCUUUUAGCUUCUUCAAUGUGUCUAUCCAUAAUGCUUUGGAUUUACCUAGAAGGGAUGAACCUACAAUCUCAAGAGCUAGAGGAAGCUUUCCCAAAGUAUGGACAAUUUCUUCAGAAAGGUGGAAACAAUGAUUUGGUGGAGAGUCUCUUCUAAAGGCAUUCCUACUAAAAAGCUUAAGAGCAUGACCAAAUGUCAUUUCCUGUACAUCAUAAGUGGAAAAAUUUGUAGGCUUUUUUACGGGGCCUUCACUUGUUGCUUCUUCCUCAGUCAUUAGGACACGUUGAUCCCUAGUAGUUAUGAUAAUCCUACUACCAGAACCAAACCAACUACCUUUUUCUGCCAGACAUCUUAGUUGCUCCUUCUCAUCCACAUCAUCAAGAACAAUGAGAACUUUUUUUUCUUUAAGUACUCCCCCAUUAAGCUUGUUGAUCCCAUCAUUCACUUGAUAAAUUUGAUCAUUAGAAUGAGAACCAAUGAGCUUGGAUAACAGUUGUUUUUGCAAAUUUACCAAACCAUUAUUGCCUUUUGAUGAUUCCCCAACGUCUACAAGGAAACAACAUCGGUCAAAGCUCGAAGAUAGUGUGUUGAAGACGAUCUUAGCAAGAGUUGUUUUUCCAACACCGCCCAUUCCAUGGAUUCCAAGAAAUCGUACACUAUCAAAUCCCACUUCCAACAUUUUGAUUAUAUCUUCUACGCGAUCAUCAACUCCAACUAGAUGUUCAGUUACAUUUUCAUAUGCAACCUUCAGCUUAACUGAAAUCGUUCGAAUUACUGAACAUAUAAGAUCUCCUUGGCUGCCAUAAGGUAACAACCAUGUUAGGGAUAACUUUAUAUGCAAAACUACUCCCAAAGUAACUAACUUGCUCUCACAUUAUGUGGAAAUUUGGCAAAAAAAUCUAGACACCAAUACGAUUAUGAUUUUUUGCCAAUCUUUCUCCGCUCCCCAACUUCGGUCACCAUAACCAUUGGCCCCUGCCACUGCACCAACGUCGCUCGCCUCCCUGCACCGUCACCAUCGCAUUUCAGUGUCGUCGCCCGUUGUGCCCGUUGACUGGCCAUCUCGACCUUGCCUCAAUUCUCCACGUCACCUGAAUCGUGGUCUUGCAAUUGCCGGGGAUGGUGUGAUCAGCCGUGGGCCAAAGUUAGCGACGUUCGAUAUGGUCGUCGAGAUCCCGGAUCCAACUCGCCACAGUGAAUGAGAGAGAGAAAGUGUGGGGGCAGAAUGGCUCAGAGGCAGCUUCUGGCUGCUUGGUGUUGGGCUGGCGACGAAGAAGUAGCGGUGACUGACGGACGAGCUGCUGCGGUGGCUGGCCGACAGCUUGGGAGAGCUCUUCGGAGAUCUAUUACUAUUUGUGGCUACUGUGUCAGAGACUGAGAGUAUGAGGAGAGAGAAUCAGGAUAAGAAGGGUGCGCUACCACCGCAAUAAUGCCAUUGACUGGAGCUAUCGCAGCGAUAGCACCGAUAGGGGCCACCAGAGAGAAUUCCUUUCUCGCCGCUAUAGUGGCCGAAAGCAGCAGCGGCCAUUGCCACGACCAAUUUUUGAACUAUAUAAAAUCGACUAGACGAGUAAACUAUAUUUUCACCAACAAUACAACAAUUAAACCGAACUGGGAGGAAAACGAAAUUUACAGAUGGCAGUUGACAAGUUAAAGGCGGUUACCCUUCAUCUUUCUUCAAGUUCCAUCCCUUUAUCUCAUCCACCUCCUUGAGAGCUUUUUCCCAUGACUCCACUUCCGCACUAAACUUUGCCCGGUGCUUUGAAAGAGCUCGGCUAUAUAAGUCUGUUUUGAGCUUGACGUCUUCAGGUUCCACAUCCAAGAAAAUGGGCAGAAUCUCUUUGUUCUCAUUCGAUUUCGAGGUGUACUCGACCAUAUAUGUGAGCUCUCGGAGGCACCAAUGACUUGAAGCAUAAUUUUUGGAGAAUAUGGGAAUGUAAAUUUUGGAGUUCUCAAUUGCUUGUGCAAGUUCACCACCGAUUUUUUUACCGAAACAGAGGGAUUCAUUGUCCCUAAAGACAAGAAUUCCAGCCUCAAACAUGCUAUGGUAGAGACAAUUAGUGAAUCCAUGACGAGUGUCGACUCCCCGAAAGCUUAGAAAAACCUCGUACUGAGGUCCGGACGAUGCUGAUGAACUUGUCCCCAUCUCCAUAGCAGGAUCUUUAAACACCACAGGUAUCAAAUCCUCGCUUUCUCUCAGGAAAGUUUGCUUCUCGGGGGCGACAUGGGGGUAGGGAAAAAGGCGCUGCACUUCGAAUAUCUUGUCUACUUUGCAUCGGUUUGGCCAACGAAUUUCUCAAAUCAAUAAUAAAAUGCGAAUUUUAUUUUAAAACGCCAUAGCAUUAAGAAAAGUACACUAGUAGCUUUUAAGUAAAGAGACUUAUCUGACAUUGGAAUUAAUGUAAUUAAUAAAUUAAAAUUAUUAUAUAUGUAACAAUAUCUUAACCUUAUUUGGGAUUAAUUUAAUUAUUAAAACUAAAAUUAUCAUAUAUAUGUCAUGAUCUUGACCUCACUUUUAUGAAGUGCCGGUGUUACCAAUAAACACAGUUAAAUAACAUAAGAGACUGAAAAUAGUCAUUCACAUAUAUACUUUUCAUUGGCUUGUCACAUCAUGUGUCUCUACCACGUCAAUUAGGCAUUAACAAGUCAAAGUUUACCACCAUCUUGAUUGCUUAGUUGCAUUUUCCAUUUCUUCUAUCCUAAUCCAACCUAAGGAAAAGUAGUAGAGUUGGGGGGAACGACAAAAUUAAUUUAUUCUCUGAGUAUUCAUCUUCAUGUUAUUCUCGUGUGUAGAAGCUAUAUAAUUAUGAUUGUAUCUCUCUGUACAAGUCUGUGUGUCUAUAAUAUGGGAAGAGAGUCAGUGUUGUGAGAGUGAGUUUAUAGAAUCAUCUAAUCAAGCUUCCUGUAGAAACAACACUUUGAGGAUUACAUAGGGGACUCCAACCUUGUUGUGGUUGUUAGAGCUAGGAGAGUGGAGUAAGUCAAGUAAAAGACCGAACCACUCUAAAUGUAUUUUGCGUAUCUUCUAUCUCCUUAUUUGAUAGCAGAUGAAUGUUACUGCAUAACUGUUUUCCACUAUAGCAGCACAUUCUACGUGUCCUUCACUGGAAAAAUUUUAAUUUCCCCCUAGAACAAACAAUUCGUCUUCCUCUUAAUUGUUGUGCUUAUCCAUUUAUUAGUAGAUAUCUUUGGUUGUUGCACGUGUGAAAAUGAGAAAACACGGUCUUUAUCUUCUGCAUUGUUGCUGGGUAAUUGGAUUUGGUUGAACGUGGAAACAUACAAAUAAACUCCAUCCUCAAUCGCAAAAAAAUAAAAAUAAAUAAAUAUAUAUAUAUGUGUGUGUGUGUGUGUGUGUGUGUGUGUGUGUGAAUAAAAGAUGAUACGCGGUUUGUGAAAUUGUUCAGGAAAUUCUGAUCCAUUAUUAAAAGAAAUGUUCAGGAAAUUCUGAUCCGUUAUUAAAAGAAAUGCUAAAUAAGAGAAUGAGGUUUACCGUCCACUAUUAAAAGAUACGGUGUAAUUGUACACGUCAUCAAGGCUUGAUAAUCAAUUGCCACUAGGCUUACUAUUAUCUUUUUUUUUUUUUAAUACAGUACGUCGUCAUAAAAGGUUUUAAAAACGAAAGGCCACUGCCCGGGAAAAAAACAAUUGCAUAAAGGAUUUCUAAAUAGCGAUGAAAUUGUGACAGAAGGGCAAACAUGAGAAUAAUCAAGUACCUGCGUCUUGGAAUUGCUUUAUUAGUCGACAACCAAUGAACUUUUAAGAUAGUUGCGAGAAGAAUUAUUAGAGCCAACUAAAUUAUUUAUUUAUUUUUUUGGUAAAGGCAAGAAUAUAUAUUGAUAAGCAAAGGACAAAUGUACACAAACGGCACCAAAACUUACACUCUAAAUGUGAACAAAAGAGUGGAAGGGAGCCGCGCAAAAGCCACAAAGGGCAAGGACAGAAAGAGCGCAAAAAAAACAGACACAGCCUAGCCACCAUAUUCAGCAACCAGAUCUCCAAGGACGAAGCCCAGAACAUCCGUGCUGAAGACGACCUAGCAGGAUUAAAAAGGAAAGAAACCCCAAAGGGUUAAGUGAAGAUAAUUGGGUCAAGCUCCCAACCCCUCUGAAGACGCCGAUUCCUUGGAGUGUCAGGGACAUCCUUGUAUGUAACUGCUUUAUCUUUAACCAUCUUUAUCAAAUGGUUCUUCAAAGCGGGAAUAUCAAGAGAUUCCCCUCGAAAAAUCAUAGCAUUUCUCUUCUUCCAAAUUAGAUAGCAAAGAGCUCCAAAGGAAUAGCGGGAGAGACUAUGAAAGAAGUCUUUACCAGAAAGGAAUUUCAUAGCCCAAGCAAGGUUUUCCGCCCAAGUGCCGUUCCUCCACGGCAAAUUGCACCUAGUUGCCCAAAAGUAAAUAACGGUAUUUAAAAUAUUACACUCAAAGUACAGAUGGUUAGUCGAGUCAGGCUAAGUAUUACAAAAGGUGCAAACCAGGUAAUCGAUCCUUCCAUAUGAGAGAAGAAGUGACUGCGUUGGCAAGCGGUUUUUAGUAAUAAGCCACAAGAGGAAUUGAAACCGAGGGGCUAAAUCCUUAUCCCACACAAAAGAAGUCCAAGGUGCUUUGGCUUUUGAAGCUCUGAUGGCGUUCCAAGCAGAAGCUACGAAGAAGGCCCCCGAAGAAUCUUGACGCCACACAAAACGAUCGCUAUCAACCAAAAGAGGAGGAAGCGAGAAACCACAAUUCUCCAACCGCAAUUUACAGGAUCUUCCAGCACACGAAUAUAAAGAAGCCACAGUCGCCUUUGCUGGAACGUCGGGGUCCAACAAAAAAGAUUGAGGAACUUGUAAAUGAAGAGGGCCACAAGGCAACCAGCUAUCAAACCACAAUGAGAUAGAUCGGCCGUCACCGACCUUCCAACCGAAGGAUUGUCUACAACCGCCCCGAAGUUGAAGGAUCUGCUUCCAACUCCAUGCACAAACCGAAGGCUGAGGGGCAACCCAGAAGUUAUGUUUCUUUAAAAAGUUGGAGUGGAUCCAACGGCACCACAGAGAUUCCUUAUCCGUAAAGAGGAUCUAAAUGAAUUUCAUCAUUGAGGCUUUGUUACAAUCUUUGAUAGACCGAAUACCCAGGCCCCCUUCCUCCUUAGGCAAACAAACAUCCGCCCAUGAGACUUUAGCACCUCCCUUAUCCAAGGAGGUGCCUUUCCAAAGAAAUCUACGAAGAAUGCUUUCAAUUCCCAGGAUAACCGAGGAGGGCAAAGUGAAGACACUAGCCCAAAAAGACUGAAUAGCGUGAAGCACUGACCUUAUGAGCUGAAGUCUCCCAGCAAAAGAGAGGAACCUGUGGGACCAGGAGCGGGCUCGCGCGGUAAUGCGGUCAAUUAACUGAGUACAGUCAGCCUUACUCAACCUCUUUGAGAUAAUCGGCACUCCAAGGUACCGAAUCGAGAGUUUACCUUCCUGAAAACCAAAUGCUAGGAGGAUUCUGUUGCACAAAGCAGGAUCGCCUCCCAAAAGAAAGAUGUCGCUCUUAUUUUUGUUGGGGAGAAGACCACUCCAUGAAGAGAAAAUGUCGAGGCUUCUUUUGAGGAUCACAGCCGAUUUCCAAUCUGCUUGGCAAAAGAGGAACACAUCGUCUGCAAAAAACAGAUGAGUAAGCUUGGGAGACUUAAUAAUAUUUAAAGUCUUUAGUCGAAGACCUUUGGUUCAGUAUUCCCGAGAAGAUUUCCAUGAUCAAUGUAAAUAAAUAAGGAGACAUUGGGUCACCCUGCUUAAGGCCUCUACCUCCUGGGAAGAAGCCAUGAAGCUCCCCAUUAAUAGAGAUAGAGAACCUGGGAGUGCGUACACAAGCCAUAAUCCGACGAAUAAUCCACGGAGGAAACCGGAAGGCAAUAAGAGUAAGCUCUAGGAAAUCCCAGUCCACAGUGUCAUAGGCCUUGCGAAAAUCCAUUUUGACCGCACAUCUUGGGAGGUAUGGGUCUAGGUGGAAGCCUGCAAACAGCUCUUGAGCCAAUAAGAUAUUAUCCCUUAUUCUUCUUCCUUUUACAAACGCAUUCUGGGACGGGUUUACAAUGUCCUGAAGUACAGGCGCAAUUCUAUUGGCCAAGAUCUUGGUGAUAAGCUUAUAGAUAGUAUUGCAGCAAGCAAUUGGUCUGAAGUCGUUUACUUCACAAGCAUUCGGCACCUUAGGAAUUAGAGCUAGGAUAGUCGCAUUAACUUCUUUAAGAAGACAACCAGAGGAGAAAAAAUCUUUCAUAGCCUCUAUAACUAAAGGGCCUAUGAUAUCCCAAUUACUUUUAAAGAAUUCUGCUGUAAACCCAUCUGGACCAGGGGCUUUUCCCUUCGCAAGCGAGAACAAGGUCUUCUUAACUUCCAAAUCAGAGACAGGAGAAGCUAAGGAAUAAACCUGGCUGUCGGAAAUCGGCUUUCGAAUAAGAGAAGUAAGCUCAUGAAGAUCAGGCUUAGCUAAGCCAACUCGAGGAGCAAGUAGAUCUGAAAAGAAAGAUAGAAAAACUUGAGGCACCAAAUCAGGGUCCGAGACGACCAUACCUGCAGUGUCUUUGACAGAGAGGAUACGGUUAUUGAGCUGUCUAGCUUUGACACAAUUGUGGAAGAAUCUCGUGUUGCGAUCUCCUUCCUUCAGCCAUCUAAUUCUUGAUUUUUGCUUAUAGAACGAUUCCUCUUGACCACGAAGGUCUAUAAAAGCAUGGCGCUGCCCUUUUUCAAGCUCAGCUAGUGGAAUAUUUUCAGGAUCCAACUAAAGGAGAUGCUGAGUAGAACGCAAGGCUUCCCUCGCUUCAAGAGUUCUCAGAGAAAUAUCCGAGAAAGCCUCCAGAUUAAGAUCCCUGAGGCGAGAUUUCAACAAUUUCAGCUUCGUAACUAGUUUAAACAUGGGAACUCCCCAAACUUGACUAUCCCACACCUGCAAAACCGUAGAAUGGAAGUCCGGGUGCUCAACCCAAAAAUCAAAGUACUUAAAAGGCUUCCUCCUUGGACGCGGAUCCACAACCCUGACAACCAUAGGAGUAUGAUCAGAAAUUCCAGGAUUGAGAAACGACGCCUCCGAGUAUGAAAAGUCCAUUCUCCAUUUAGAGUUGACAAGAACUCUGUCAAUUUUUCGCAUCUUCCUAUUCGCACCCGCCGAGGUCGACCAGGUAAACCGAAGACCAGAGUACCUAAGGUCCUCAAGAUCCGUUUGGUCCAGACAUAACUUGAAAUCAUCAAAACAGGGGAUCCAGGCAUUAGAGCUACCAACGCGAUCAGAAGGGUCCUUGAUUGCAUUAAAAUCUCCGGCUACUAUCCAGGCAUAGUCUUGAAAAAGAUCGUCACAAUUGAUAAGAUCAGACCAAAGAGGCCUCCGCCGCACAAAGGAAUGCUCUCCAUAGAUAGCGGAAACACAGCAAGUAAAAUUAGAAGAUAACCCCUUCAAGCACCCAUGGAUGGCUUGGUCAUUCGAAGAGAUCAACUCAAAACUGACGGUAGCUGGAUCCCAUCCAAUCCAGACUCUACCGCGCGGUGCAAAAUCAUAGUUCGCAAUCCAAUUCCAGCCUCUCAAAAUAUUGGAAGAUAUGGAACCAAACAAAGGCUCUGGAACUUUAGUUUCAAAAAGCCCAAUAAGGCAAAGCUUAUUUGCAACAGCAAACUUUCUAAUCUCCGCCCUUCUGACAGGGUUCAUAAUACCUCUAACAUUCCAAAAACCAAAAAACAUAGACAGCAAAAGGAGAGAAUUACUUCAGCUUGGCGCCCCUGCGCCUACUUCUAGUCGCUUUCGAGUCCUCUGUAGGAGAAGGUCCCGGCGGGUCAGGCAGCAAAAGGAGAAGCUGAUCUUAGAGCCAACUAAAUUAUUCAUUUAAUAAAUUCUAAAGAAUUAUGAAUGGGGUUUUUUUUUUUGCCGGUCGAUCAUAAUUAGAUUUUGUCCCACUUUCAUUCAUAUCAAUUUAGGCCGAACAACUGGCAAGUCUGAUUUGCAUGAGAAAAUAAAAAUUAAGAAUUCAUUGUCACUAGCCACUAAUUAUUUGUUUUGGUCUAUUAUUAUGGUUAAAGUCUUGGUCGUUGUUUAUAUCUUCCAGCUGGGUGACAAGGAUGCAACCUUAGGACAGUGACAAUCAAUAAUUGCCGUUUAAAAAUUUAUAGUAGGUAAUGAUAAAGCAAUUGGCUAUUAAUUAAAUUGAUUGAUCUAUCACAACCACUACAACAUUAUUUCAUAUUCAAAACAGAAUUGGGUAGGAAGAUAACUUUUAUUUAUAAAUGUGCUUGCGCAAUAUGAUCAUUAGAUUAUUAGGAAGAAGACAUUGGAAGCGCCAUAACUUUUAGUGUCAUUUUCUCUUAAAAAAUUAUUACGAGUUGUAAUCUCACUAAGCCGAUUUAAUGUUUUCCAACGUUUCAUAUGUUUCUUCCGAAAUGCAGCCAGCAACUAGAAAGACAGAAAAAGAAAAAUUAAGAAGUUCGCCUCACUAGUCACUAAUUUAUCUUGGCCUUUUAUUAUGGUUUAAGCGUUGGUCAUUGGUACAUCAUCUAGCAAGGUAACAUGAUGGAACCUUAGGAUAGUGACAUUCACCCUCAGGUUAAGAAUCAAUACUUGCCUUUUAAAAACGGGUUGUGGGUAAAGAUAGAUAAAUUGGCUAUUUAAUUUGAUUAAUUAACUUAUCGUAAAAGCAGCACAACUAUACCACAGAGAUUUAAAAAACGGAAUUAGGUAGGAAGACAUUUUAGUGCGUUAAUGUACUUACGUAUUGCCAUCAUUAGAUUAUUAUUAGUUAUAAUCUUGCUGAGCCAAUUCAAUGUUUUUUUUACGCUUUACGUGUUUCUUCCGGAAUGUAAUCAACACUCAAAAGAGCAUGAAAAAUUCUUGCAAUUGUGACAGAAAAGGAAAACGAGAAGAAUAAGUAAAUAUUUGCCAUCUCGGAAAUGUUUCAUGGUUGACGACUAUUGCGACCUACCCCUCAGGGGGGAACAGUAGGUUUAGCAGUAUUAUCUAAAGGACGGGCCUAAGGCCCAUGAUUAGGCAUUGUAUCUCCCAAGCCCAUAUCCCACGUGACAUUGUGAUAUUCUUUAGAAUUUUGCAAAAAAGAGUCGCCACUAGCCUAUUGAGGCCGGCUAGAAACGAAGUGAGGCAUGGGAGUGUACCUCAUUCCCUACACAACCAGAAAAUUUAGGGUCGGGGACUUGAUUACACUAAUUGACUAAUUAGUGCCAUUUCGGUACCUAAUCUUGUCCAUUUUAACAAAAUGAUUUUUUUGCAGGCAGUUUGGAUUGAUUUUAUACAUAUCCACUAAUAUAUGAGGUGAUCAUGCGGGUGCGCAAUCAUAAAAGUAAUAACUAUAGCUACCAAGAUUCUAAUUGCAGUAAAAUUAACACAUGCCACUAAGCUGCAAACAUAGUUAAAUAGGUAAAUUAAACAUGCAAUAUAAUCAAUAUACGAGUAAUUAAAUGCCUAAAUAUACUAUAAAGGCAAUACAUGGUCAUUUCUAAUCAAAACCUACAUAUUUUGGAUUUUCGAAAUUUUUAAUUUUUUUUUAAUUUUUUUAAAAUAUUAUUUUAAUAUUAUAAUAAUAUAAUAUAUUUAAAAUGAACCGGGUCAGAUCCACGGGUCGGGUCCGACUCGGGUCCACGGAAAGGACCUGGGCUCGGCCCGAAUCAAGCCCGACGACCCGAACCCAGACCAAACUGGGCCGUGGGACCUAAACCAGCAAAACCAACCGGGUUGGGCCUAAUGUGUAGGCCCGGCCUAGCCUAAAUUUUUUGAAAUAAAGCCCACAUGCAAAAACAGCCCCAAACCUGGCCCAAUAUGCCCAAAACCCUACCCAGUUGACUAGACUCGUCUCGACUUGCGCGACCCGAAUUCUGGAGCCCUUGGGUUCAAAGAUCUACGGCGCCGGAGGGAUUAGCUAGGACGUCGAUAGCGGUGAUGGGCUUGACGACAGCGACGAUGCGGCGAAUGGCGACAUCAGCGCUCGGAGGGUUGCAGGUGAGACGGGGCACGGCAGUGACUGGCGGAGAUGGGCAUAGGUGUGGCAACGCCGGUUAUAGGCAUUGGGCAAAGGCGCGGCGGUGGGCACGGCUCGGACAGUGUCGUGGCUGGAUGACAGCAACGAUCAGCUUGGUGAUGCGGCGGAGCUCGAUCUACUCCCAGAUCUGAGCCUUUGGCCAACCCCCUUGCCUCGGAUCUUCAGAUCUAAAGGGCUCUAAGUUCGUCCUCCCUCUCCCUUUGGUCUCGACUAGCUCAGCGUCGAGAGAAGCGGCAACGAGUGCUGCGGCUACUAGCGUCGGUGGCAGUAGUGUCGAGUGCAGGGGGUCAGAUGACGGGAGCUCAAACGACAUCGAGAGCAGCGACUACUGGCGUCGGCGGCAGCAGCGUCGAGUGCAGGGGGUUGGAUAGCGAGAGCUUGAACGACAUCAAGCUCGGAGGGCAGCAGCUUGGACGACAGCGGCAGCCAACGCCGACGACGCCUCCUUUCCUUUCUCUCCCUCCCUGUCUUCUCUCCCUAUUUCUCUCUCGUUUCUUCCUAGCCUCUCUCGCUCCCCCUCCCUAAGUUCUCUUCGAGCUCUCCUCUUCCUCCUCCAGCUCUCUCUCUUUGUCUCUCUCUCACUGUCUGCCUUCCUGUUCUCCCAGGUUUCUUGUGCGAAGAUGGAGGAGGGAGAAGGCUGGCUUGGGCCAAGCCAAAGGGGAAAUGGGCUUGGGCCGCUCAAGGGAAAAAGAGGCAUUUUUUAUUUUUCUCUUUCUUUUCUUUUUUUGUUGUUUUGUUAUUUUUUUUCUUUUUUUUCUCUUUUUCUCUUUUUCUCUAAUAAUCAUUUUUAUGUACUUGAAAACAAAAAUUAGGUAUCAACAAUUGCCCCUCAUUGAAUAUAGCCUCGAAGAGGUUGCAUUCAAAGACAGAAUAUACCUAAAUUAUUUCGAUAGUAGAGAGACCCUAGGUUCAUAGGCAUGCGUCAGGUCGACAGAAAUGACUCAUAACUAUGAAAUCACGUCUUGUCAAUAAAAGGAAGAAGGACACUGGGCUACAGAGCUCCUCAAGAUAUAGGAAGAAAAACUCCGGGAUACAAAGCUCUCCGGGUCAUAAGAAGAGAGAAGACUCUAGGAGACAAAGCUCUUUAGGUCAUAAGAAGAGAGAGAAGACUCUGAGCUACAAAAGCCCAUAGGGUCAUAAGAAGAGAGAAGACUCCAUGAUACAAAGCUCUCCGGGUCAUAAGAAGAGAGAAAACUCCAUGAUACAAAGCUCUUUGGGUCAUAAAAAUAGAGAGAAACUCCGAGCUACAGAAGCCCACCGGGUCAUAAACAGAGAGAAGACUCCAGGAUACAAAGCUCUCUGAGUCAUAAGAAGAGAGGAGACUCCAGGAUACAAAGCUCUUCGGGUCAUAAGAAGAGAGGAAUGAGGUCUCACCGUGUAAUAACGGGUUUCGAUUGGGUAUGAUAGUCUCAUUGUGUACGAACGGGUUUCGAUUGAGAGAUAGGUCUCACUGUGUACGAAUGAGUUUCAAUUAGAUAUGAUAGUUUCACCGUUUACGAACGGGUUUCGACCGGAUGCGGACAAGCGUGGUUUACGGAUGAACCCACGAGCCUUGUGGUUUAAGAAAAGUUACCAACCCCAUGGUUUUAACGAUAAAUCCACCAACCUUGGAAAUGACAUGAUUUAAGGCUAACCAUGAACCCUUGGUUUUUAGGGAAGCACCCACUAACCCCUUGAAAACUACAUGGCUUCACUGAGGAAUCCUAUCAAACUCAGCUUGAGCAAAUGUCAUUAGAGACGUUAUCAAGAGACGUAUUGGCAAUAUUACAGCAUUAAUUAAACAAGCUAAUCAAGCUAAGUCCUACUACUUUAGACAAACAUUUGAUGUUAAUCAGUAUCAUGUGGUGCAAAACCGUCAUCUUGCUUGGGGAUAUAUCAUUUAAUCAUCAAAUUCUUAGUCAGAAAGGACUUCUCACAUAUUCUUGAUAAAAUGGCUGCUUGAUCCCAUUUAUUCGCGUGGGAAAUAGCUGAUUGCUGAAGGUAUCUCACAUAACCCAUGUCAAAGGCUUUCUAAAACAUUCUCGAUUUGCACAAUCAGAUCGAUCAAAAAGGUCUUUUAAAAGGACCGCAAUAUAGGCUCGGUUAAGGCUUACACAAAGGAAUUAUUGUUUUGAGGCCAAUAAAGGAACAUUUGUCGCUAUUUUCAUCGGGUUUAUGAGUCGAGAACUUGGAAGAUAAGACAAGAUAGAAUUACUUCCACUCCUUCAAGCAAUAGCUUCUUUGUGGUAUUCUCAUUUUCACUCAAACCAUCCCAAUCAGAAGAGAUUUCGGAAGAGGGUUAUGUUGAUUUAGGAAAGGCUCGAAAGGCUUAAAAUUUUCAAGAGGGUUUUUAAGUGUUGAUGAUCAUCAUGGCAUUGUGACCGGGUCACUCGACCUUUGGAAAGCAUUUAGCUUUUGAAACACAACACAUCUUGAAAGUCCCUUAACUAAUCAUUUAUGCAUGGGAGCUUUGCUCUUUUAUCUAAUGUCCUUUGCUCUUGCAAUGAUUUUUUUUUUUUUUUUGCGUAGGCACUUGGACUUUGAUAAUUUUUUUCUUCCACAUAAGAUGCAACUUUUUGGCUCCUUUUUUUUUUUUUUUGAAAUGGGCAUUGAUCUUGCUUUUUACCAGGUACACUGCUUUUUCAUACCCCCUAAUUUUGUCGAACUUUUUGCUCUUUGAACCUUUGGAGCUCUUAUGACUUUCGAGAUGCUUUUCGUGCUUUCUUGUAAAUGCCAAUUGUAUGUGUCAAUCCUUAUGCCUUGCCCCAAUGAAAGGAGAUGAUCAUCGCUCGAGGUUUAGAAAUGAAUAAUUAGGCCCAAAUUGGUUAAAGCAAAGGGUAUCAAUAUUUGGGUAGAGAAGGAAAUGCUCUUCUUCACAUUAGGAUGAGUCAAGCUCUAAUGAGAAUUCCUCUGAAGCUAUCACCAGAAGAUUGCUACAAGUGAAAGUAAUAUAAUCUUUCUCAAUCUUUCACUCUACAACACGACCGUAACCUCCUAUGCUGCCCCAUUGUAGGGUCGUUCUCGACAGGGGUACUUUGAAUGAUCAUCUUUAUUCCGCCCAAAGGAGUAGCAAGAGAUUAGUGCAAAGCUUGGGAUUGAUGAAGGAAACACAUUUAUCAUUUCAAUCCUUGCGCUCAAUGCGAAUGAAUCAUUUGUCCUAAGAGAAUGUCGCUUUUCACUCAACUCUCAAAAGUGUUUGAAUGACGUGUUUGGAAAUGACUUACCUUUCUCUAUCCUAAGCACUUCUUAUUUGGCAUGGUUAACGUCUCCGUUUCACUCUGCCGAGAUCAUCUGAGUAGAUCAAUCUCCAUAGGGGAAUUUGAUUUAAAAUGAAUAACCCACAAAACGAGAAAAUAAUUUUGAGAUAAAAAUGAUGCUCAAAAAGUUUGUAGAAAGUUUUUUUUUUUUUUUUUUUGUGCUUGUCUCUAGGAAAGCACAAAUGGUUCUUUUUUGUAAUAGAAAUUCUUCGGUUUUUUGUUUUUUUGUUUUUAAGAUUGAGAAGAAGGGUCCUUACCUGCAGCAUGGUGACCUGGUAACCCUGUAAAUAAUGUAAAAGAAUAUGUUAGUGCAAAAAUCUUUAGGGAUUGAAAUGUUGGAAACGAUACAUUAUUACCCUUCACUCGAUUUUAUCUUUUGAGGGCUAACAUCUCUUGGAUUCACCCUCGUGGAUAUUUUUUAACUUGGCAUUACUCUUCACUUGCAUUUGCCUUUAAGUGUUUGAUGUCUUCCUAUCAAAGGAAAGAAAGAAUCAUGUUAGAGACAUUAUCAAAAUGAGCAAUUGGAAUCGACACCAUUUACCCUUCACGUGUUUUCGUUCUUCAGUUAUGAACUUUGCCUGAAGUCACUAGAAUUGAUUGAAAAAUGGCUAUGUGGCCCUGAUUUUAUCAAUAAAAAACACUUCUUUAUUGUAUACAACAAUUCACAAAGUUCAAUUCCUGCUCUCUUUUUUCAAAUGCUCAUCCUGAAGAAACAUUUAGCUGACAAGGAGCUUGAAAAUUUUAUAUAUGGAUCAUGAGAUGUAUUUUUCAAGAUCUUGCUUUGAAAGGAGAGUGGGUGCUCCCUGUUUCCACAUCUGAGGAUAUUAUUCUUUAGAUGCUUUGCCCAUUUAUUGCCUGCAAAGAAAAGAUUUGACAUAUUAUCUCCUCACUUGAUUGGAAAUCAUUUAGGAACUAUACACAUCCCUUUACGCCAAAAUGGAUAGUCGGGUCUUAGCAUGAUUCCUUGAUGGAAGGCGUUGCUUCUACGGUUAAGGUGCAACAUUUUUCCCAUUCAUCACCCUAUAAGAAGAGGAGAUGAAACGGGUUAUCUCCAUACUUAAUUAGGUUCAAUUUAGGAACGAUACAUCCUUUCGUGCUAAAUUGGAUGUCUUGUCAUGUCUUAUUGGAGAGAAACAUUGCCCUUAUAAGAAUACUCCUUCGCUUUUGUUGGAACGGUAUAUAACUUGGCGCCCACGAUGUAUCCUUAGCAAUGGAAAAGAAAAUCAUGUCAAAAACGGUAUCAGAAAUGGAUAAUUGGAAUCGAUACAGUUUACUCUUAUUGAAGAAAACUUCCUUAUUUGUUUUGAAGUUGACAAAACGUUUCCAUCAAUCUAGUCUGAAGACUUGCAGACUCAAGGCUUAAAGUCUGCCCUCACUGAUAAUCUCCAGACCGACGAAGGAAAGAUUUAUCUGACGAAGAAGACUUGUCCAGAUGCAAGUAUAUCUUUAAGGAUUUGGUUCGUACGGUUGAAGAAAAUCUCAUGGCUGAAGAUAGCAUCUCGUGGUCAGUUAUUCUUAUUGAAAUCAAUUCGAAUAAUUGGAUCUGUUGAUUGGCAAAUUAUACUUGGAAGGUUCUACUUAUGAAAAUCUAGAUCCUGAUUGUAUGGACGAGCAGGAUUGGUGGGCUAUCAUCACAUUCCCUAAAUAACUCGAGAUCUUCCUAAUUGAUUAUGUCCAACGGGUAUAUUAGAAGAACUCCUUUGGAAAGUGCCAAUGUUAUAAUGGCAUGGAGGAGUAUAUAAGGAAGACGAUUAAGUUAUUUGAGUGUGUACUUAAAAAAAAAAUUCCAAAGUCUGAAGUUCUUAGUUCUUUGCUAUCUCAAUUGCUAAGCUUAAGUUGUACUCGAAAGAGAGAUUAAAUACUUGUGAAAUCUUGAGGAAGUGUGGUAGAAUUUCUACACUAUGGAAUCAAGAACGUGAGGUUGUAAAAUCUCUUUUGAUUCUUAAUGAAAUCUAGCCAGUGGGCUGUCAGUGCGGGAGAGUAGACGUAGGCUUGGUCUAAGCCGAACCACUAUAAACCUUGUGUUUUAAUUCUCUUUCCUUAAUCUCUUUAUUUUAAUUCGUAACUUUAUAUAACUGUCUAUAAUCUUUUACAUAUUCAGUCUAUUAUCCUCAAAAGACGAAUUAAUUUGUUAAGUCUUGUAAAAGCUUCUUUAACACCAAUUUACCCUUCCUCUAGCCCUAUCAAUUGGUAUCAGAGCCUAUGUGCUCGUUUUAUUGAAAUGUUUUACUUCUGAGCUAAAGAUUUAUGGCUAGUAUUUUGGCUCCAAAUUUGGUUGAAGGCUAAAGUAACACCGGGCCGCCUUAUUUUGAUGGAAAUGAAUACAAUGUUUGGAAAAACAAGAUGAAUGCAUUCCUAAGAUCGAAAGAUUUCUAGGAAUGGGAUGUGGUAGAAAUAGGGAAUCAUUCCCAAAGCUACAUUAGUCUCAGAAAGAGGAAAAGAAGUUGUAGAUGUUGGUGAUAUGGCACAAGAAGAAAUAACCAAGAGACAAGCUCUUGAUGCUAAAGUAAUCUACUCCUUAUAUUGUGCUUUAUCUCCAACUGAAUAUAACAGAAUUUCAUCUUGUGAAACAGCAAAAGAAGUCUAGGAUAGGUUGCACGUCACCUAUGAAGGAACUGAUCGAGUUAAAGAAAUAAAGAUCAAUAUCUUACUCGGAUAGUAUGAAGCCUUCAAGAUGAAACUAGGAGAAUCCAUUACUGACAUAUUUAGUCGUUUUACAGAAAUCAUAAACGGUCUAUUAUAUCAAGGACAACCAAUCUUAGGACCAAUGAAGGUUAAUAAAUUGCUGUGUGGAUUAUCCAAAAAUUUGAAUCACGUGAAGACUUUAACAAGAGAAACCCAAAUGAUCAUGCCUCUUACAGUUGAUGAGCUUGUGAGCACACUUCAGUCAUACGAAGUGGAACAACUAAAUGAGGAAGAAGAUCCCAAAGAUAAGAAGUCAAUUGCUUUAAAAUCUAAUGAUGAUUAUGAUGUUAUAGAUUCUAAAGAUGAUAUCGAUGACGAAGAGCUAGCACUUAUGAUAAGAAAGUUUAGGAAACUGAACAGAAAUGGAAGAAGAUUUAACUGGAAGAAGCAAGGUUCUAAAAAAUUCCAGAACAAAACAAAUGAGGAUGACGAGAUCAACAAGGAUGUGGUCUAUUUUGAAUGCAAGAAAAAUGGACACAUUAGACUCAACUGUCCUCUGUUGAAGAAAAAGAAAGCAAGAACUGAAAAUUUUAAGAAAGCUCUCAAAGCAAAAACAUGAAGUGAUACAGAAUGUGAGGAAAGUGAUGAAAAAUAUGCCAACAUAUGUCUUAUGGCGAAUUCUGAAUCGGACUCAGAUUUUGGAACAAAUUCAGACUCAGACAAUGAAGUCAAGGUUAGUAAUUUAAAUAUACCUGUUAAAGUCUCGAAAUACAUUAAUGAACUUUGUCGUAAUCUCAAAACCUCUCUUAAAAGGAUUUCCGAGCUAAAAAUGGAGAAUUCUACACUUAAGCAACAGGAAAAUUCUUGGAAAGAAAAAUUUGAAAAUUUAGACAAAAGUUUUGUUGUUUUAAAAGAAAAUGUAGACUCUUUUUCAAAAGAAAAUACAUUUUUGAAAGAGGACAUCUCAAACAUCUCAAAAAGGUUUUCAAUAGGAUCUGAAAAAUUGGAAAAAAUUCUUUUAGAACAAAGACCUUAUUUCAACAAGUCAGGUUUGGGAAUGACCUUAGAAACUAUUCCUCUAAUUGAUUUUCCAAAAGUAAAGGAAAGAAUCAAACGAAGACUUACAAAAACUUUUUACAUAAAUCAUUUUCAAAAAGUCUUUGUGAAACCUGCUGGCUGAAGUGCUCUCAAAUGUUCAAAGUGCAAUAGCUCAGAACACUUUGAGAAAUAAUGCCCUAUGGUUUAAAGACAUAUUAAGAAGGAAUGGGCAAAAACUAUAUAUUAUACUAACUAUCACUGAACCGAAGAAAAUAUGGAUACCAAAGAAAGCUUGAGUCUCUUUUUUAAUUGCAGGUUACUAUCAAGAAAAAUGUUAAAUGGUAUUUGGAUAGUGGAUGUUCAAGACAUAUGACUAGAAAUUCAAGUUGUUUUAUUAAAUUUGUUCAAACAAAUAGUGGAAAAGUCUCUUUUGGUGGAAAUAGCAAAUGAAGAAUUUUUGGGUGUGGAACUGUAAAGAUUGGAAGUCUCACAAUCAACAAUGUCUCCUUGGUGGAAGGACUAAAUUACAAUCUUCUCAGCAUUAGUCAACUAUGCGACACUGGAUUCAAAAUCAAUUUCCAAGAAGGAGUAUGUUCGGGAACUAGUAAAGAUUUUUCUCAAUCUUUCUCUAGACGAAGACAUGAGAACAUUUAUCCUCUGGAUAUAGAACUAGAAAGGUCUCAAUAUCUUAUAUCAAUUCAAGAUGAAGCAAAUCUUUGGCAUCGAAAGCUUGGCUAUGUCACCAUGAAGCAAAUUGCCAAGAUCUCUUCCAAGAAGCUUGUUCAUGGACUGCCUAACCUGAAAUAUCAAAAAUCUAACUUAUGCACAUCAUGUGUGUUGGGAAAACAGGUUAGAAGUUCUUUUAAACCAAUAAAUCAAGUUUCUACUAAUCGUGUUUUGCAGCUUUUGCAUAUGGAUCUCCUUUUAAUUGAAAGUAAUAUUUAUAUUCGUUUUUGGGCCGAAGCAGUUUCUAUAGCUUGUUAUAUUAUUAACAGGGUAUUCUUAAGGCCUAUGCUGGAGAAAACUCCUUAUGAGUUAUUCAAAGGAAAGAAGCCAAUUGUUUCUUAUUUUCACGUGUUUGGUUACAAAUGUUUUAUUUUAAAGAAUGCAAAUGAUCAAACUGGUAAGUUUGAAGAAAUGUCAGAUGAAAGAAUUUUCCUUGGAUAUUCAAUCACGAGCAAAGCCUACAGAGUAUUCAACAAGAAGACUCUAUCUAUUGAACAAUCUAUGAAUGUUAAAUUCCAAGACUCUUUGCAAAAUCAACUGAUUCAGACUCAAUCCUAAGAAUCUAAACCAGCUCCAAACUUUACAAAGUCUACCUCCCCUGAAGCGGCUUAGACUUUUGAAGAUCAACAACGAAUAGAUGUUGAAAAAUCAACUGAAGUAGAAGAUCAGCAAUCUAUCAAACAUACUAGUAACUGGAAGCACAAGUCUAGUCAUCCCAAAGAACUCAUCAUCGGUAACAUUGAUGAAGGAAUUCGCACCAGAUCCCAAAAGCAAGAAGAGUCUAGUGCCGUGGCACUUAUUUCUAAAAUAAAACCCAAAAGUAUAGAAGAAGCUUUAACUGAUGAAAGCUAGAUUGAAGCUAUGCAAGAAGAGCUCAGACAAUUCAGCAUUAAUGAUGUUUGGGAAUUAACUCUUAAACCAAAAGAAAAAUCCAUUAUUGGAGCUAAAUGGGUUUUCAGGAACAAGAUGGAUGAAAAAUGAAAAGUGGUCAGGAACAAAGCAAGACUCGUGGCCAAAAGAUAUACGCAAGAAAAAGGGAUAAACUAUGAUGAGACCUAUGCACCAGUAGCGAGGUUAGAAGCAAUUAGAUUAUUACUUGCUUUUGCCUAUUAUAAAAAUUUCGGGUUAUUUCAAAUGGACGUCAAAGUGCAUUCCUAAAUGGAUUUAUCGAAGAAAAAGUUUAUGUGGAACAACCUUUCGGAUUUGAAGACCCAAAGAAACCAGACUCAGUAGUCAGACUGAAAAGGGCUCUAUAUGGAUUAAAGCAAGCACCUCGCGCGUGAUACGAUAUGUUAAGUAAGUUUUUAAUUCAAAAUGGUUUUGUCAAAUGAAAAAUGGAUACUACCUUGUUUAUUAAAAGAAAAGGUAAAAACUUUCUACUUGCUUAAAUCUAUGUUGAUGAUAUUAUAUUUGAAUCACUUAACAAAAGCCUGUGCAAGAAGGUUUCUAAGUCUAUGCAAGAGAAAUUUGAGAUGAGCAUGAUGGGUGAAAUAUCUUUCUUUCUUGGAUUACAAGUAAAACAAUUGAAUGAAGGAAUUUUCAUUCACUAAGAAAAAUAUGCAAAAGAACUCAUUAAAAAAUUUGGAUUGCAAAAUCGCAAAAAGACUGAGAUACCAAUGUCUAGUUCUUCAAAGCUGGACAAAGAUGAAAGAGGAAAAAAAGUUGACCAGAAGCUCUACAAGAGUAUUAUUAGUUCUCUUUUUUAUUUUACUGCAUCUAGACCUGAUCCCAAAGAAUCUCAUCUAAGUACUGCAAAAUGCAUCAUCAAAUACGUUGCAACUACCUCAAAGUUAAGUCUAUGGAUCCCAAAGAAUGAGACUUUACUCUCUUUGGAUAUUCAGACACAGAUCUAGCAGGUAGCAGAGUUAAUAGAAAUAGUAUUUUUGGUACUUGUCAAUUGCUGAGAAACAUUACAGUAUCAUGGUUCUCAAGGAAGCAAAAUACUGUAGCUCUUUCAACGGCAGAAGCAGAGUAUGUGGUUCUUGAAAGUUGUUAUUCUCAAAUUUUAUGGAUAAAACAACAACUGAGAGACUUUGAAAUCGAAGACUCAUACAUCGAGAUCAAAUGUGACAACACUAGUGCAAUUAAUCUCACAAGGAAUUCAAUUCUUCAUUCAAGAGCAAAGCACAUAGAGAUUCAACAUCACUUUAUUAAAGAUCAUGUUCAAAAUGGAAAACUUAUGAUCCAAUUCAUUGAUUUAAAGAAUUAAUUGGCGGACAUAUUUACAAAGCCACUGGAGAAAAGCCUAUUUAAGUAUAUUCGCACUAGACUGAACAUCACAUAUUUUAUUCAGUAAAGUCUGAAGGAGCUCAGACUCUGAGAUAAAGUCUGAAGGUGAUCAGACUCAGAAGUCCAAGAGUUACGACUGUAAGUUAUUUUCGUUCUAUUAAUUUAAUUUUUGGUUAAAGACUUGAAAAUGUACGGCUACUUAUUAAUCGCUAAUUGAUUGAUGUUAUCUUUCCAAGUUUUUGAAGUUGUAGCAUUUAUUCUUUUUCAAAAAGGCAGUUAUCAAAAGGUAGUUAUUUAUUUUUAAAAAGGCAGUUAUUCAUUUUCGAAAAGGUAUUUUUAUUUUUCCUUUUAUGACGAUUCGUUUUCCUCACUUCAUUUGCUUUAUAUAUUGUAGAGAUCCGUCUUCUUUGUUCUUACACUCAAACCCUAGAAUACAAAACUCCCACUUGCUUUCACUUUCACUCUCGAUUUGUCCAAAAAGUUUUCACCUUUUUCAAGCAAGUUUGAGAUUUUCUCUCUCAAAGUGACUAUGUCUCCAAGAAAGUCUUCGAGGAUUGCAAGCAGGGGACCACGUCACAUGCUUGAGAGUCCUACGCAUUUCGAUCUAACCGAGGAAGAAGAAUCUUCUCCUCCACAGCGACUAAGUCAGCAACAACCUUCUCAGCAGUGUCAGUCUUCUCCACCGACUCAACUAGAAGAAGAAAUUUUGGAAGAAGUUGAACCAGUAAGAACGCUAACUCCUAAGGUUGCUUUUAAGCUUUAUUCUAAUUUGAAGCAAGGAGGAACAACGAUGUCUUUGAUCGAUAAAUUUUUAAGAGAUAGAGGAUUCAAGAACGAAACUUUAUUCUUACGGGAGAUGGAAAAGUUAGGAGUUGUUGAGAGAGGGACGGCUGAAAGAACCUUCGCAAAUUUUUUGAGUGACCCACAUUAUGGUACUGCAAAUCAACCACAAGGACGGGACGACGAUGAAUAGAUGUUUACCCAUUUUCAGCUAAUGAUAGGAGUGUCUGUUAAUGCUAAAGGAAAUGGAGAGAGCAUUUUUCGCUCUAAAGAGCACAAGAAAGUCUAUUCGCGAUUGUUGAAAAGAGGGGUGAUAAACCCUAGAAGUGUUGACUUUGAUUUUCUCGAUUCGGUAAAAUUCAAUUUGUGAGAAAAGUUAGCACGUCUUCAAUUGGAGCGCUUCUGUUCAGAAUCUACGCUUGCCUAUUCGGAACUCACUACCUACUUUUACUUGAAUUUAUCUUUUCUGGAUGCAAACAGUUUCUCUUUCACAGUUAGGAACAAAGAGUUUUUGGUGGAUGUGGACACAUUAGCUUACCUAAUUGGGGUGGAAAGAGCGAGUUUCCAGCUAAUUAGCGUGUUAGUUGCACAUGCUACACUGGCAUUGGUUAAAGACGGACAUGUUGAAGGCAAAAUAUCCUACUCUAGGAUGAAUGCUUCAAAUGUGUUGCUGCACAAAAUUGUUAUCAACUGCAUCCGGCCAAAAUCGACAUCCAAGACUUAUGUCUCUCGAUCAGAAGCAAAUUUGAUGUUUGCGAUCAAUACUAGCUACAGAUUCUCUCUGCCUCACACCAUCAUGUUUCACAUGUACAGGUCGGUGGUGAAAGAUAAGGGACAACUUACUUAUUCAGCUCUUAUCACGCGUCUUUUUAGACAUUUUAAAAUUCACAUCCCUGCACCAUUAUGCUUGACAAACAUUCCUCCGAUUGUGAUUUGAUUUAAAAUGAUCGCCAAGAUGCGCUUGAAAAGAGCUUAACAAGGUGCUUGAGCACAUGAAGGAGAAAUCUCCUGUUAAAGCUAAAUAAGACUCUGCUGCGGCCAAGAGAAAAGGCAAUGAGCCCAUGGAUGCUCCAGGGAAGAAGAAGAGAGUUCUCAUCUUGCACGAUGAAGAGGAUGAGGAUGAAAUGACUCUUUUAGCCUUAAGAAACAUGAAGAGUUUUGUCAGUUUUCAAGAGACAAGAGAAGAGCCAGAAGAAGGAGAAAAAUAGAGAGACAAGACAGAAAAGGAAGAUGAAGAACAGAGGAGGACAGAGGAAGCAAGAAGAGAAGAAGAAGGAGAGAAAGGAAGGAAGAGAAAGAAGAAGAAGAAAGAAGAGAAGAAGGAGAAAAAUGAAAAGAAGAUGAGAAAGAAUAGGGUCAUGAAGACUCUUUUGAGUCAACUUUGGCUGUCUCCUUAUCAAGUGACUCUGAGAUGGCUGACAUUGGAACUGCUGGAGCACAUGACACAGCCAAACAUCACUCUGAAGUUGAAGUUGAAGUUGCGCUAGAAGAAGAUUUUUCUACUCCUCCUAAAAGCAAACAAAUAGGGGGAGCUGUUGAACAAAAAUGUACUUCUUCACCUAUCUUUACUAGUGAUGUGAGUCGCUUCGCUGCAGAUCCAGAUGAUGUAUAUGCCUCUCAUUACCCAGAAGAAAGUCAUGGUGGACAAUCUGCUGAAGACCAUCAAUUCUCAAAGCUCCCAGAAUAGAAUCAGUUGGACCUAGUGCUACAAUAGAACAAACGGCAGAUUUUUUGAGACUGCUAGACAUCUUAUUGGAUGUAAGGAAACAGCAAUAUGCUAUGGGGUAUGAAAUGCAGGAUCUCAAGAAUACUUUCAUGGCCACUUCAAUGUCUUUGCAUGAUCAGUUAAAUGCCCUGAAGAAUCAAGUGCAGUCUACUGUGCAGAGUGAAGAUUUUCAGUCACUGAAGUAGAGUUUUGCAAAGCUUGAGAAGACAAUAAAUUCUAUGGGAGAGUUCGAGCUUGUUCGCUUUCCAAAAUAGCCAUGAUUCUGACUCUAUUUUCAAACAACUCUUUUUAUUUGCUCUCAACUUUUUGCUGUUGACAAAAAGGGGGAUAGUUGUUUUACAAGACUAACAUGUUUUAUGUGGUUGCAAAGUCGUUGCUAUCCAUAUCCUAAUCUACUUAUCUUUUAUGAGAUAUCUUGUUUUGCUUAAGUAUUGUUUUGCAGGAUAAAAAUAUUCAAAUCUGCGAGAAAGUUUUGUCACCAUAAAAAAUGGGGAGAUUGUUGGAGAAAACUUUUUUAUUUGGUUUGAAGUUGACAAAAUGUUUCCAUUAGUCUAGUCUGAAGACUUGCAGACUCUAUUGUCAAAGUCUGAAGACCUCCAAACUUAAGACUUAAAGUCUACCCUCUCUGAUAGUCUCCAGACCAACGAAGGAAAGAUUUAUCCGACGAAGAAGACUUGUCUAGAUGCGAGUAUAUCUUUAAGGAUUUGAUUCAUACGGUUGAAGAAGAUCUCACGGCUGGAGAUAGCAUCUCAUGAUCAAUUGUUAUUCUUAUUGAAAUCAAUUUGGAUAAUUGGAUUUGUUGAUUGGCAAAGUAUACUUGGAAUGUUCUACUUAUGGAAACCUAGAUCUUGAUUGUAUAGGUGAGCAGAAUUGGUGGGUUAUCAUCACAUUCCUUAAAUAACUCAAGAUCUUCCUAAUUGAUUCUGUUCAAUGGGUGGAUUGGAAGAACUCUUUUGGAAAGUGCCAACGGUUAUAAAGGCAUGGAGGAGUAUAUAAAGAAGAUGCUCAAGUUGUUCGAGUGUGUGCUUGAAAUAAAAUUUCCAAAAUCUGAAGUUCUUAAUUCUUUACUAUCUCAAUCGCUGAGUUUAAGUUGUACUCGAAAGAGAGAUUAAAUACUUGUGAGACCUUGAGGAAGUGUGGUAGAAUUUCUACACUGUGAAAUCAAGGAUGUGAGGCUAUAAAAUCUCUUUUGAUUCUUAGUGAAAUCCAACCAGUGAGCUGUUAGUGCGGGAGAGUGGACGUAGGCUUGGUCUAAGCCGAACCAUUAUAAAUCUCGUGUUUUAAUUCUCUUUCCCUAACCUUUACUUUAAUCCGUAGCUUUAUAUAACUGUUUAUAGUUUUUUACAUCUUUAGUCUAUUAACCUCAAAAGGCGAAUUAAUUUGUUAAGUCUUGUAAAAGCUUCUUUAACACCUAUUCACCCCCACUCUAGGUGUUCUUACUAGCCAUAUCAACUUUUCCUUUGAAUUCGCCUUUUGGAUGCUUGGCAACCUCCUUCACUUGUCUCAUCAUGCAAAGUGAAUGAGAUUGAUGUGCUCUUUCGGCACCUAAGGCAUCUCCAAAUAAAGAAACUUCCCAGAACGGGAUUCAACUUCGUUACGCCUUUAUUGGAAGAUUGGCGCCGACGAAGCCUCAACACAUGCUUGCUCCUCAAGUUCGAUGAGCCCGAGAAAACGACUACAUGAAGAGAAGGCCUUAAGCAAAGUUUUCUUGAAAUUCGUUUUGAAAGGUAGACGUAAAGGUUCGAUUAAAACACUUCUAAAUUUGUUUUUUGUUUUUUGCUUUUUUUUUUGUUUAAAAAAGGAUUAUUUUCAUGAAACUGAAGUCCAUCAUUAAAAAUGUGAGUCGCACAAUUUACAAAAGCAACAAUUGGAUUCGCAAUCAAAACUCAAAAUGGAAAACAUGAUUCUUAACAAGAAUAAGAAUAUUGAUAAAAUACAAUAAACACUUGUAUAGAUAAGAGUAAAAAUCAACUCGUCCUAAUGUCAAUUAGCACCAUGCAUAAUCCGCAAAAAGAUGACAAUGUUAGUAUGUGAAUGAGAAAAAAAUGAUAUCUCAAUGAGGUCACUUCUUAUAAUAAAAUCAAGGCAACGGUACAUGCCCCACAGUCCUUAUUACGGGAUUUUGGUAUUUCACCAAGUUUUUAUCAUAAGAGAAGACAUCAUUAAGAUAAUCAAUCCACGGCCAUCAAUCGAAUGUUCACUUUUAUUACAAAAGUUUUGUAUGCAAAAGGGUCAUUAAUUUUUGAAAGAUUAAUUUGUGAUUUUACUCCUAGAAAAAUGAAAUGACUUCUAUUUUGAGAAAUUUGUACACAUAAUUAUUUGCAUUUUAGUCCUAAAAUGUGAGGAUGAGAGAAUUUGAUAAAAAAAAUGCAAUUUCAAUUUUUGUGCCCCAAUAUAAAAUCACAACUUGAAAGUUUUUUUUUUUUUGUUUUUUUUUUCAAAAUGAUUCUGAGCCCAUAACUAGAAAUUUAAAUAAAACCAUAUGUUCAACAGGGCCAAAUCAAAAUGAUUAGAACUUGCAUUCAAUGUUCACUUAUCAAAAGUGAUUGCCAAUUUUUUUUUUCAAUUAUAAGCCUACAAAACCGAGGGCAAUCAAUUGAUGUUCGUGAAUUUCAAGAUGAAAGUUCAGUACAAAAUAAGCAAAUAAAAAGGAAAAUGAUACUUACAAUGGGUGUCAAUCUUUCUCUCUCUCUCUUUUUUUUUUCAAUUACAUAGACAUGCACAUGGGAUGUGGUUUGAUUUCUACUCUAUAUGGCUCAAAAUGGAGUCAUAGGAUCACUGGAUUGAACCAACAAGAUUACGGCUAGGUCGUGUUACCCAUGAUUCCGGCUUCGUCAUAGAAUCGACCCUUGUUGCGUGGUUGCAGAUCAGGGUGGGUACCUUUGACAUGAAGAAAGAAAUUUCAGGGUUGAAAUGAGCGACUCGUAUUACACGGUUGUUAUCGGAGUGGUAUCCACCUCAACACCAUCCUAUGUAAUCCUAUGCGGCCUAGGUCCGGCGGUAGGUAGUGUGUGUCAUGGUGUAGUGAAAUGCAGGAAAUGUAGGCAUGACAAUUUAUAGGCAAGCAACACUUCAUACAUAAAAAAUAAACCAUGCAUUCCUACACCUCCUUGCAAGACAAAGGUGAGCAAACACUUCCCCUUUAUACCUCUCAUUUUGCAAAAACAUUUAACACAUUUAAUGUUAGGGGCAUACUUGAAAUCCUCGCUGCCAAACAAAAAUAUUUUUGAAUAAGAUUAAUUUUGGCUUAAGUCCUUUAACGUUUAAAACCAAGCCCCAGUGGAGUUGCAAGUUGUCGCGACCUACCCCUUGGGGGGGAACAGUAGGUUUAAGGGUAUUGCCUAAAAGACGUGCCUAAGGCUCAUGAUUAGACAUGAACUUUCCCAAGCCCAUACCCCGUGUAACAUUGAGAUAUUGUUUAAAAUUUUAUAAAAAGAAGUUGCCAUUAGCCUAUUGGGGUCGACUAGAAACUAAGCGAGGCAUGGGAGUGUACCUCACUUCCUACGCAACCAAAGAAUCUAGGAUCGGAGACUUGAUUAUACUGAUUGACCAAUUAGUGCCAUUUCGGUACCUAAUCUUGUCCAUUUUAACAAAAUGACUUUUUGGUAGACAGCUUGGAUUGCUUUUAUACCUAUCCACUAACAUGUGAGGUGAUCAUGCGGGUGCGCAAUCAUUAAAGUAACAAUCAUAACUACCAAGAUUCUAAUUGCAGUAAAAUUAACACAUGCCACUAAGCAACUGCAAACAUAGUUAAAUAGGUAAAUUAAACAUGCAAUAUAAUCAAUAUACGAGCAAUUAAAGGCCUAAAUGUACUAUAAAGGCAAUACAUGGUCAUUUCUAAUCAAAACCUACAUUUUUUGGAUUUUCGAAAUUUUUAAUUUUUUUAAAAAAUUUAAUUUUUUAAAUAUUAUUAUAAUAUAAUAUAUUUAAAACGAACCGGGUCGGGUCCGACCCGGGUCGACAAAAAGGGCCUAGGCCCGGCCCGAACCUGGAUCGGAUUGGGCCGCGAAACCCAAACCAACAAAACCAGCUGGGUUGGGCCAGAUGUGCAGGCCCAGCUUGGCCUAAAUUUUUUGAAAUAAAGCCCAUAUGCAAAAAUAGCCCCAAACCCGGCCCAAUACGCCCAAAACCCUACUUGGUUGACUAGACCCUGCCCGACUCGCGCAACCUGAAUUCUGGAGCCCUCGGGUUCAAAGAUCCGUAGCGCUGGAGGGAUUAGCUAGGACGUCGACAGCAGUGAUGGGCUUAACGAUGGCGAUGAUGCAGCGAAUGGCGGCGUUGGCACUCGGAGGGUUGUAGGCAAGAUGGGGCACGGUGGUGACUGGCAGAGAUGAGCGGAGGUGCGGUGAUGCGAGUUGCAGGUGUCGAGUAGAGGCGCAGCGGCAGGUGCGGCGACGACUCGGACAGUGUUGGGCAAGAGGGCGGUGGCUUGGAUGGCAUCGGGGUUGGACAAUGGCGACGGUCAGCUUAGUGAUGCAGCGAAGCUCGAUCUACUCCCAAAUCUGGGCCUUUGGCCAACCCCCUGCCUCGAAUCUUCGGAUCUAAAGGGCUCCGAAUUCAUCCUCCCUCUCCCUCUAGUCUCAGCUGGCUCAGCGUCGGGAGAAGCGGUGACGAGUGCUGCGGUUAUUGGCAUUGGCGGCAGUGGCGUCGAGUGCAGGGGGUCAAACAGCGAGAGCUUGAAUAGCAUCGAGAGCAGUGACUAUUGGCAUCGGUGGUAGCGGCAUCAGCGGUAGCGGCGUCGAGUGCAGGGGGUCGGACGGUGGGAGCUCGAACGGCGUCAAGCUCGGAGUGCUGCAACUCGGACGAUAGCAGCAGCCAAUGCCAACGAUGCCUCAUUUCCUUUUUCUCCCUCCCUAUCUUCUCUCCCUAUUCUCUCUCUGUUUCUCCUUAGCCUCUCUCGCUCCCCCUCCCUGUGUUCUCUUCGAGCUCUCCUCUCUCUCCUCUCUGUCUCUCUCUCUCUGUCUCUCUCUGUCUCUCUCUCUCGUUGUCUGUCUUCCUGUUCUCCCAAGUUUCUUGCGCGAAGAUGGAGGAGGAAGAAGGCUGGCGUGGGCUAGGCCAAAGGGGAAACGGGCUUGGGCCGUGCAAGGGAAAAAAGAGGCAUUUUUUUAUUUUUCUCUUUCUUUUCUUUUUUUGUUGUUUUGUUAUUUUUCUUUUUCUUUUAUUUUCUCUUUUUCUCUUUUUCUCUAAUAAUUUUUUUUAUGUACUUGAAAACAAAAAUUAGGUGUCAACAACGACAUUAACUUUUCACAUUGGUCCUGGGAAGAAAAAGAGAAGUAGCUGCUAAUCUCCUCCGGAAUAGCCAAAUGAUUCUUGUCCAUCUUCUUCUAAGUUAUUUUAAAAAACUUCAUCAAAGAUGCGAGUUUUCUUCGGAGCAGUUGAAAAGUGAGUUUUCUUUAAAGACGAAUUGAUCACCUUAAUUCAUGCAGUUCUCUCGAUGUCAUUGGUCAACCAUCUGUUGCCAUGGUCAAAGUUUUCUUUUCCCAUUCAUUUGAUAACAAAUUUAAAAUCUUAAACCUGGUAACAAAGCUACAAAAAUGACAGCGCAAAAAUUUGGAUAGAACACGAAGAUAUUUUUUAAGCUUUUCUUGGAUUUAAUCACUUGGAGAAAAAAUUCAAAAAUCCUCUCAAACUUUUUAUCCAUGUCAACUACUUUGACAUUUGUAGCAAUGUUCGUUGUUAGACAAAAAUCGUAAACUAAAAGUUUAAACCACGAAAAUAAAUUUCAUGUGCCUAUCACACAAUUGACGCGGUAUAACCUAUCAGUCUACAUUACCCGUAUAAAAUGUAUGUAAUCUUAAUUGGCACUUAAAUGUUGAAAAUAUUAUCAUAAAAUACAUUCUCGUUUAUUACGUCAUUUUUCUCUUUUCUCUCUCCCCACCUUAUUGCCGAUCGCCAUCCUGGAUGCUGCAUGCUGCCACCCCCCCCCCUCCCCCAACCAACACCACUAAUGCGUGUUCAAGUCAAACUCUUCCGCCAUCUUGCUUGCUUAGAUGCAUUUUAGAAAUUCCAUCUUUCCAGCAAAAAAAAAGUGAUGCGAAGCCUUCUCAAAUUUUUUUAAAAGACUCUGGUCAACGUUCAACCUUGGAGUGCUUCUAGUUCUUCCCCUGGUUUUCCUCGAAGGUGCGUGAAUGAGAGGUGAUCACGUAUUCGUAGGGUCACACGUGAUGGUAUACCUAUCUCUGCAGGUGAAGCGCUUCAAUUAUAAUUAAGACGUGACCAGAGCCCGGCAUUUAUCAUUUUAUGUUUAAAGACUUAAUUUAUAAGUGAUGCGAUGGACAGAAUUAAUCAUAGUUUGAGAAUUCCCAGAAAAAAAUAUAGAAACUUGUGUUUUCCAGUAAGACUCAGUACAUGAUUCUCACUAUUUUCCCCGAUUUAGAUAUUUAAAAUGUCAGACAACACUACGUAUACAAAUUGAACUCUUCAAUUUGUCUAUUGAUUCUAAAUCUCUUAUUGAAUUGAUAGCGUACAUGGUAAUGGUUACUAUCAUGUAACUAUUGAACGCAACAUUAUGAGAAAAAUAGUCCAACAAGUCAUAAAUAUAUUGUGCGGCAGCCAAUUCAGUAUUAAGUUUCUCAAUUAUGUCAAUUUAAUUAUAAAAUUUUUAACAAUUUACUGACUCACCAAUUCAAUUAUAAACACAUGGGUUGUAUCAUCUUUGUUUGAACACAUCUUAGCCAAGCCGAACUACGCUUUUAGCUUGAGGUUCACAACGUUGGCCGUAAUACCUUCGGUUGGGCCUUCUCUCUCUCAAUGGCAUUCCAUUCCUUGGGCCUUCCACUUUCUAGGCCCCCAAAAGAAAAGGCAAUUCGCUUUAUUAUAGGGGAUGCACAAAAAAUCAAUAAUAGAAAUACUUGUGUUUGAUUACACAACUUACUAACCGACACUGCUAGGUCAAAACACCUAACGUGAGUGUUGAUUAUAUAUUACUAAAAGAAUAUUAUUUAUAUAUAGCUUAUUUUAUUAAUUAAAUAAACUUCACUUAAUAAAGACAUUCACUUAAUUUUUAAGAGAAAACAAUGGUAUUAAAGUAUACCUUAGUCCAUUUGCAAGAUCACAGUUUACAAUCUAUUUUAAUAAUUCAAUUUUAAUCAAAUGAAAUUGAAAAAGUAUAGAUGUCUCAGACAUCGACUUAUAAUAUUGACAGUUAAGAUAAAUGAAUCCUAUUACUUUUUUUGGUAUUAAUAAAUCCUAUCACUUCAGUUAACAUUAAGACACUAAUUUAAAAAAAAAUCAGACAUAUGGUUAUUUAUAAUGUGAGUUAUCUAUUAUUAUAAUUAUUUUUUUUGUGCAUUUGAAAUCUACUCUUCUUAAAUUUCCUAUAGAAUGAAAUAUGAGGUGAAAAAAAUAAAGCGAGUGUCUACUAACGCACCCUAAAUCAAAUCUACCAACACUAUGUUUGGUAAACACAAAUUGGGAGGUGAAGAAAAAUAUAGGGUGAAGAAAAUAAAGUUAUUUGGAAAUGUUUGGAAAAUGAAAGUGAAGAUAAAUUACUAUUUUUGUUUGAAAAGAGUGGGAAAAAGAAUGUGAAUAAAGUGUGAAUGAGUAAAAGACAUUAUAAUCCAUUAGAAGAAAAAAGAAAAAAAAAUGGAAAUAUCACAUAAAAGAAGGGUAAUGGGCCCUAGAGAAUGGCGGGCCUGGUCAGGCUUGUAGCCAAUUUUAGGCGUGGCACGAACUCACAGGCCAGGAAUUUUCGAGCCCGAAGAAAAGCUUGGACCCAAAAUGGACUAACUAGCCCAUCACAUUUACGUCAGGCUUUUGGGCUUUGGGUUGGGCUAGGCCCAAAAGGUAGUGAAUUUUUAUAAAAUUGAAAUUAAUUUGUUCAAUUGUAAAAUUUCAUUCUUUUCAUAUAUGAUUAACAAAUCGACUCACGUGAGGGACUUUGGAAGCCGAACAGGGAAGUGUUUCAUUGAAAGUGACUGUUAUGCGGCGGUAGAAAUGGUCAUGGGCCGGGCCGAACCUCCAUGGAUCUAAAAGAAAUCGUCCAGCGCUGCAGGAAUGGGUUAAAGCAGAACAACAAUAUUACGGUGAUUUAUAGUCCACGCCAAACAAAUGCUGCAGCGGAUUGGAUCGUACGGCAUCAUCGACUAAACGCCCCCCCACGUAAUUGGUUGAUUUCUCCCCCUUUUCCUCUAUGGAAUAUUUUAUGCGCAGAUCUUUCUCCAUCGGUGUUAUGUAAGACUCCUCCUUAAUCAAGUAAUAGUCAUUUCUAUUUUGACCAAAAAAAAAAAAUAUACGAUUAACAAAUCUCUAUUGAAAUUCUACAUAUAUAAGAACACAAAAGAACAAUUGAGAUUAGCCACUUUCAGGCUACAAAGUGCGAAGGCCAAAAGCCCGGUUACCCUAAAAUAUACACAAUAAAGCUCGAAAAUCCUCCUUGGCCUAUCUGGGCUAAAGAUAUUCUGGAUGGUUGGCCGAGCCAAAUUUUUGGACUUCAAAUUUCACCCCAACCAAUCUGCACCUUCAUAUUCAGUGAUUUUCUCUGCUUUUCCACAAUUGAUCCAAAGCUUAUGUACUGCAGAUCUUUAACUAGUGUAUAGAAUUGGUACAUUAGAUUGAAAUAUAUUUAAGAUCAAUUAUAAAUAAGAAUUUAAAAUCUAGCAAUCAUAUAAAAUGAGAAAGUUAUGCUUGAAAUAUUGUAUGUUGCAAAUGUAUACAAAUGUUCGGUUAUAAUUAAAUUUGUCAUGGACUUCAAAAUUAUAUAAGUAACCUUCAGAUUCUUAAUAAAGCAAAGGUAAUUUCACAAACAAUUUAUCGAGUUCAAGUUUUGAGCUAAUUAUCCAUCAAAUAAGUUGAAAUAAUGAUGUAUCUUUAAUAGAUAACAUUGGGAUUAAAAAUGAAAUAAAGACAUUUUCUUAACUAAUUUCUUAACUAACAUAUAAUCAGGUUGGGGCUUUGAAUUUCCCAAUUAUAAAAUCUCCGAUCCUUCAGCGACCCUAUAUAAUGUUUCUUAGUAAGUUGCUACUCAAUAGCUUCUUGCAUUCCAUUUAAAAUGAAGGCGUUUGAGGCUGUUUUUAGCCUUAAAAAAGUUCACCUUUUUUUCUUUCUAUCUUUGUUGCAACUUUUCUAAUCCAACCAUCGUGGACGCGUCAUUUUUCGCUCAUUUGAUUUUAAUACUAUCUUUUCAACUUAUUUAUGACUUUAUUAAGGUGUUUGGUGCCUUUUCUAUUAUUUAUACUUUUACAUUUUAUAUUAUUAAAAUACUUCUACUCUGUAACUUUUUGGGCCCGAAAGUUGAACCGGAUAAAUCCGGGUUUUCGGGCUUCUGGGGUUUUUGCUUACCCCCUGCGAUGACGGGAAGAGGUUCGGCUUAUUUGAAGACCAAUAAUAACUUGAACAACUCUCUGCUUUGUAAGAAGUUAACGUAUAGACUAUAGACUUUCAUUUAUUAUUUUCAUAUGUUUCGAAGAGGGGGGGUGUAAAUGAAACUAUUUCUAAUUUUAUGACGGCAUGAAAAUAUUAGUAUAGAUAUUUCUGGAUUAAUCAAGUCAAAGAAAUCUUCCUCUUCAAAAAUUAUGUCCCAAAACACAUUAAUCAUUUAAUAAAAAUUGAGAGCAAUAAAUAAAUAGGUACUUCAUUUAUUUAAGGGGCAAUCACCGUGAAAUCAAACUAAGGCCCAACAAAAUCAGUCCAACUCCAAUCCAAUAAGCCCAGCAAGAACAUAGAAAUCUGCCCCUAAUCCUGCUACAUGCCAUCCCAUUUAACUUGUCACUUGCUGAAGCAAGCAGCAUCACGUCCAACUGUGGCCUUGACUUCUUCCUUAACAGCGACCUUCUCUUCCAUCUCAGCAAGCUUCAUCGCAUUCGUUUUCGCACCAACGUUUGCUUCUGUCUUCACAGUCUCUUCCUUCUUCGGAGUCAUGAUCGGUUCAGUCUUUGAAGCCUCGCUGCACGUCGGGCUCUCGUAGCUUCUGGAUCAGCGGUUUUCUCCUCUCCAUCUUCCCUUCUGUUUUAUGUAUCUUUCUGCUGCUGGAUUUGAACUGUAGAUUUGAAAUGUGCAUGACGGCUUUCCCACUCGAGAACCCUGAUUCAAGAAAAGAUAACGGGCUCUUGCGGUUUCCAAAGGGGCAAUUGAAUUAAUUUCAUUUCGAUGGGUCUAUUUUUUACGUUCGAGAACGGCAAAGAACAGCACAAUUUAGACUUUGCUCAUUAUCAUUCGGACGUUUUGUAUGCCGAAAGCUUCGGCCGUCGUGAGAAUUCACUUCGAGAACUACGCCAGCAACAUUCAGAAAAGAAAAAAAAUCAACCAACUAUAAUAAUUAAUGGCAAGUUGAUAUGGAUUUGAAGUAUAAGUUACGACCUUUCUCAAAAAAAAAAAUAUUUGUGAGAAGAAUAAGGUAGUUUUUCAAAUUAUGUCAUCAUAUAACGUGGAGUCGCUAAGUUUCAUUCGGAAUUCAAGUUGGGCGCUGUUACUGUUUCACUAAAACGAUAUAAUUAAAAUCUUGAACAUUUUGGUUUGAUAUGAUUGAGUCCUUUCAAUGAUGAUCUGCCCAGUUUUACCAGCGUCGCACGCCGAGAAUCCUAUGCGGUGCUUUCUUUGCAUUUUCUUUUAUCGAAUAAGAUGGUUAUAUUGAGCCAUGUUAGAAAAAAGUAAAAGGUAAAAUUUAAAACCGAAAGAAAAUUCAAACACAAAACAGAAAAGAAAAUACCCAAAAGUUAAAGAAAUAAGAGAGAGAAAGAGAGAGAGUGGUACCGAUUUGGAUUCUUUAGUGGUGGAGGUCAACGACCCUUGCAAAGCGUGAUGGUGGCUAGCAGUUAAGGCUUCUCCGGUAAUAUUUCUGGUUCUCCCUCUCUUUUUUAAAGAAAAAAAAUAGAAAUAUGUUUGUGUAUAUUAAUUAAUUUUUCUACUCCAUUAGCUUUCACAUGGUAGUUUACCACAAGGAAAGUAGUGACACUAAAGAACUUGUUGCCACCACCCCCUUGGCCAUCGAGAAUUCAAAAUUGGUUGUUCCGAUCGAAUAUCUUGAAUUCAACUUGGGUCAACCCUUUGAAUAUCUCAUCUAAACCAUGAAGAAUUACUAUUUUCUCUUCCCCAUUGACAUACGGGAAGAUGGUACCUCGAUCGAAUUAUAAAGUAAAUGAAGGCCUUUCAAACACUUCCAUCCCUAUUAAUCAAUUCAUCGAUUUUGACCUAUGUGAAUUCAACAUUUCCAUCCACUCAAUCGCUAGGAACGAGAAGUUAUUAGUACCAAUUUGCAUAUUUAAUUUCAUAGGAGUAUGGAUAUGCAUAUCACACGAGUUAUACUCUCAAUAUCUACAUGUGCAUGUCACGCGGUGCUUUCACGAAAUGUCGCAACGAUCGCUAAUUCAAAUAGGCAUGACUAACCAUUGGGAGUUUGCCUAGUGGCCACCUUUCCAAAGGCCACCCUUCCAAUUUGGAAGGGGGAGGUGAAAUGUUUAAAUCCCCACCUUCUCAGGGGGAUUGGAGUGUAGACGAUUUCAUUUCAGGAAUGGAUUUCGACUCCCAUGCCUUGCAAUGAAGCAUGAAAAAAAAUCUGAGAGUGAGUAUUAAAGUAAGAUUAGAGUAGAAUCAACCAAAAAAAAAAAAUCAGCGUGACUUAAAAAACCAGUCGCAACACCUGUGCGUGACUCACACGCUCCACCCCCAACCCGCCAUAAUCCCAUACGCGAUGGUCUCCAAAUUUGGCGGGAAGUGGAAGACCUCGAAACCCUAGAAUUCAAUUCAUCCCAAGCAGCUUCCCUUUCAUCCCUCUAUUUCCACUGCAACAAUUCUCUCUCUCUCUCUCUCUCUCUCUCUCUCCGAUAUGGGCAUCAAGGUAGUUUCAGUUCGACUUCCGUCUCCUCCAAUCCGAUCAUUUUCCGUAUGUUGUUCAUCGAGUCUCGUCCACCGAUUUCGAUAGGGACUGACGAAGCUACUGGCGGACAAUGCCCCGAACGCCAUGAAGGAGCAGAAGCUCGAGAGCUACUUCGGCCGGAGGAUCGCCGUCGAUGCCAGCAUGAGCAUCUAUCAGUUCCUCGCUAAGUUGCUUCUUUAUGGAUUGAUGCCUGCGAUUGCGCGUUUCGGUUUGUCGGUUAGGUCGUGGUUGGGAGGAAGGGGACUCAGAUGCUCACCAAUGAGGUUGGUGAAGUCACCAGAUUCGCUGGCAUUGUAAUACUCCAUGGAAAUAAAAUCCACUUUGCUCGAGUUUCGUAUAGUUUAUGGCUGAGUUGUUGACUAGCCUUCUGUUUUGAUGCUUCAGAUGUUAUCUCUUGGACUCGGUUUUAUGUAUAUGAGAUUGACUUUGAGCUGCCUUUCGAUUUGUUUUCCCAUGUAGUCAUCCGCAAGGCAUGUUUUACCAGACGAUUAGGCUGUUGGAGGCGGGCAUAGAGGCAGUGUAAAAUUUUUUUCUUUACCUCGUGUGUUUUCAUUGGGAUAGAAUGCUAGAAGAAUGAAGCUCGUGCCUCUCUGAAUUAUGUUUUGCUGUUGUUAUGAUAGCUACGUAUUUGAUGGUCCACCUCCUGAUUUGAAGAAGCAAGAGCUGGCAAAACGGCUCUAUUAUUAUGUAGCCUUCUCUUUUCCUUUUUUUUUUUUUUUUUUUGGAAUUUUCUAUGAAUAUGUUUAGUUACCUUAAAUGAGUGUCUGAGCAGCUUUUUGAACAGGACAGAUGCCUCUGAGGAGUUGGCAGUAGCCAUUGCGGUAUAUGCAUCUCUCUCUCUCUCUCUCUUGCACACAUAAGCACCCAGAAACACAGAGUACAAAAAUGCUUAGUGAGCUCUGUAUUUAUUACCUGCAGUCUCAGAAUAAGGAAGACAUUGAGAAAUUCAGUAAAGGAACUGUGAAGGUUGGUCUCAUUUUGGUUUCCUUAUGGCGCAAUAUUUUUGUCUUAUCGAUGUGAAGUUUGAUUUUGUCUCUGUUUUCCAGAAAAAAAAAAAAAAAAAAAAAAAAAAAAAAAAAAAAGACCUAUCUACAUAGCUAACUGGAUGUGUGUGCACUUGUGGUACAUGGCUUUGAUACUCUUGCUGGUGACACAACAGCACAAUGAAGACUGCAAAAGACUAUUAAGACUUAUGGAUGUCCCAGUUGUUGAGGUUACAAUUCUGUCUGAAAAGUUUAUUCGUUAUUGUUUCUAACAAAAAGUUUAGAUACCAGGUUCAGCUUUUGUAUGUUAGGCUCCUUCAGAAGCAGAGGCACAAGGUGCUACACUUUGCAAAGCUGGAAAGGCAUGUAUCUUCCCAUUUGAUUGUCUUCAGAAUCGUUCAUUGUUUUCCCAUGAUAAUUAAUCGUUUAACUCUGUGUAAAUUACCAUUUUAUUUCCAUGAUUUAAUUUCCUUUUGCACUCUCACCUAUGCUUGUUCACUUGUUUAACGUCUUCUUAUGCGUAGUCAUUGACAUUUGGAAUAUUCUUUACUAAGCCAUUUUUGUCCACGGAAUUUUCACUGACUUUGAAUACCUAUCAUUGCUUAAUUGUAUUGUGGUAACCAGAAUUCAUCUAUCAUGAAUGGUGCUUUAGCUGUAAUAUCUGUUUUUCAGGUUUAUGCAGUUGCUUCUGAAGAUAUGGAUUCCCUUACUUUUGGAACUCCUAUAUUCCUUCACCAUUUGAUGGAUCCCAUCUCAAGAAAAGUUCCAGUUAUGGAAUUUGAAAUUUCCAAGGUACUUAGAAAAGUUUAUUCACUGGGAUUGCUUAAAUUUUCUUCCUCACUUUCAUGACUUUACAUCUUGGAGGAGAUGAAUCUGGAUAUGGAUCAAUUCGUUGACCUGUGCAUUCUUUCUGGAUGUGAUUAUUGUGAAAGCAUUCAAGGUAGACAUGAUAUUAUUGCAGUGCUCUGUUAACUGUUUAAUACUAUCGUAUAUCAUUCUGCCCUCUCGUAUAUUUUGGCUUGAUGAUUUCAGUGGCUUUACUUUGGAAUGAAUUUAUUAGGCAUUGGAGGGCUGACUGCUCUUAAGCUUAUCAGUCAAAAUGGUUCCAUAGAAAACAUACUAGAGAAUAUAAACGAGCAAAGGUGCUUCUUAUUCUCUGAUUUUGUCCCCCAACUUUGUAAGCGAAAAAAGGCAGCAAAGUUUGUCAGUGUAAUAGUCUUGGCCGCUGGAUUUCUUGACUUAAAAGAAUCAUCUCUCAAACUCAGCUGGCAUGGAAAUAUUUGAUCAACAAUUUGAAACUGAAAGAUCAUUUGCCACCAACAGAUAUGGGCUGGCAAUCAGUGCAUCACCCAUGCGACUUCAUGUGUUGAUUUACUAUAGUACCUUUAUCUAUUCUAUUGUCUGUGUUUUCCUUUCUUUCACUCACUCAAACAAAAUUGUAUCGUUUCUCUAUCCUUCAGACGUAGAGGUUCUUUGCAUUACUUGAAAGUCUUUAUUCAGUUCGGUUAUCCCUCUCAAGGAAAUGUUUACUUGUUUUUUGAAUGGGUAUCAGAUACUGGAUAAUUAACCCUAUAGUGAAGCUCUUCUGCUAUUCAAGGGGCCAAUAGUUUCUACAGAAGAACAACCUGAGAUAAAAUGGACUGCUCCAAACGAGGAGGUGGGCCAAUUUCAUGCUGUGAUUUACUUGCAACGUUUCACUUUUUGAAUUCUUGACUCGUUUCCUAACUGAUUGUUAUUUCCCUUUCAAGGGCUUAAUUUCCUUUCUCGUGAAUGAGAAUGGGUUCAACAUUGACAGAGUGACGAACGUAUGGCUUCUAUCUUCAGUAAUGUGUUGGUCAGUUGCAUACUCAAGGAAGUUGCUUCUUUUCCUCUGAAGGAGAGAGGGUAGAUGUUUUCAAUGUUGUUUUACCAUGUGUAUCAGGCGAUAGAGAAGAUUAAGGUAGCUAAGGAUGAGUCAUCACAAGGCCGGUAAUUAAAGCAUGAACAAAUGAAAGUGAGUUCCAAAAUGCACUUUCUUUUUUCCGAUGAAUCCUUUUAUUUAUUUUCCUUCUCUAAGCCAGCUAAGAAUCGAUCUGUACCUGCUAAGAGGAAGGUAUGUCAUGCUGAUAUCUUUAAGGACCAAGCACCUGGAAUUUUCCUUCUUUUAAUGUAUGCGAAGGUGUAAUUUCACACAUUGCUCUAGUGAAGAGACGUCUUCAGAUGCUACUUUUGAUGGAUGAAUAGUAAUCCCUUUAAUUCAUAUCGUUAGCCAUUGAUUGCCCUAGCGGUGCACAAAUUUUCAGAUCUUUGUGAUCAUUUUAAACUUCUGGUGAUAGUGUUGUAAGUGAAAGGUAGUAUGUUGCCAUGCCCCUGCUGCUUAUGCUCGAUUACUCUAAUAUAACUUUACUGAUGUGCUAAUGGUGUUGCAUCACUCUAUUCAUGAAAUCAAUUAGAUAAACAAAGACACCAGUGUUCUUGUACUGAUAUGUUAGGAGUUUUGGCUUGAUUAACUCCCGUAAUUGCACUGGAUGAUGGAGGCAAAUGCACACUUCAAUGCCCCAGUUUGGCGCUCAAGCCUAAGAUAUUCUCUACACAGGUAUCUGUAAAUCCCCAUCCCAGGGUCCUUGGCAGCUUUAAAAUGCCAACCAUGGUGCUGGGUUUGAGGAACUUCAAACAGCCGUUGAGAAUUGUCUGCGUCCCGACAUGGAUCUAAAUAAUGGCAAAUGUAAGAACCCUAUUUACUGAGCAAGUCCUGACUUGUAGUUGCUGUUUUUGCCUGUAGUUGGAAGCAAGUUGAUGCUUUCCUUUCCAAAAAAAAGGGGUCAUGUCAUAUGGUACUGCAAUUUUGGAAGAGUUGUAUAAAUUUUUAUCAGAAGGAUGAAGUUUGCCCUCUAUGCAAGAACGAGAGGGGUACUGCUUGUCGGGCAGAGUGCAUAUUAGUGUUCCUUUUACAGUGUGUGUAUUUGCUGUCCUAAGGAUUCCAUUUCUUCCAUUUUACGAUACUUAUAUAUCACUCAUACAAAUUUUAUAUUAUUGUCAUUCAUCGAAACACCUGGGAAUAUUGCCAAGGAAGCAACUAACAGGAAUUCCAGGGCUGGCGGUUGUAAGAAGAAAUAAUAGUUUAGAAGACAAUGAGGAUGUAACAGACACUUUUCAAACUAUUUCUAAUCCUACUUAAUAGUUUAUAUGAACUUAUACGAAUGAGUUGGUAUGUAGGUUCACAUAUCAUUCUUUCAAUUCCCAUAAGCUCCUAAACUCCUCAAUAUGCAUAUCCAUUUUAAGCUUGUAGCAUCUUUCCAACCUCUAAUUUUCACAUCCUAAUUUUGCCAUUCUCUCUCUCCUUAUUGUGGUUCCAUAUGUUAUAAUGGUAUGACUUCGGGUUUGGGUGCUCUUCCCGUUGCCUUCCUCCUGAGAUAGAAGUCCGAUGAGCUUUGCAUCGAUUGGAUUGAAGUGAAAGCUGUGGAGAAAGAGCUUUUAAUGUCGUCACAAAACCCGAAUGUUCUCAUGUUGUACUCCGGCAAAGAGUUUCUUCAGAAACUACGACAACCUACACAACAUCAUGUAAACAAUUCAGCUGCACUAAGACCACCUCAGCGUCAUCUGAACAAUUCAACCCCUCAAACACCAACCGAGCAGCAUCAAAGUAAACCGUGGAAAAGGCAGCAACCUCAGGUUUACUUUGAUGUUGGUGAAAUGAUGUUUGAGGGGUUGAAUUGUUUGAAUGACGCUGAAGUGUGGCUGAAGUGUGGCUGAGUUGUCUGCAUGAUGCUGUGCAGAUUUUUUAGUGUCAUGUCUGAAGAAACUCUUCCAAGGGAUAACAACACAAGACAACACCAGAUUUCGCGAUGACAUUAGAAGCUCUUCACUACCGGUUUCUUGCCAUAUUUUCCUGCACUCGGGGACAGUUCAUGCAAGGAAGGAAUGAAUACAAGUUAUGUUCGUAUGAGACUGACAUUGCAAGCUUCCAUCCCUGAUUCAUUCUUUAUUAGAGGGGCUGAUUGUCUAUUCUUUGUAAGCCUAAUCCGCACCAGAAGAGAAACAAUUUGGCUCCGCCUCCACGUCCUUGCGGUGCUCGUCAGAGUCUUUCGUCCGUUCUUCAACAUUUCUAAGAUGGUGCUUAAUUAACUCCCUUCUCCAUUGCCCACGCCUCCGAGAAACUCGCACCGGUCUGCAACCGUUUCUGAGCUUCAGUCCCAUGAAAAUCUUUAGGUCAUCAGUAAAUGAAAAUCUAUUUUGCAGUUCAUUUGCAUUGACCACCUCGGUUUCUGCCUUGUUUGAUCUCUUAAAUCAGCAUGUCAUAUCUUAUAUUUUUAAGCAGAAUAACUGCGAAGAUGGUUACAACACCAUGGAAGAGAGAAUUUGCAUGGACAGGCUUUCUAUAUAUGAGUCACUAUAACAAAUGAACUCAAUCCCAGAAACUCUUUAGUAAUAGAAAAGAAGAAACAUGAGAAACAAUCCAGACAAGUCUUAUUUUGAAAGCGUAACAUUAUUUAUGUGAACAUAACCCUACCCUCUGCUUUGCGUGUAGUAAUAUCACAUAUUCAAAUGAUCGCCAAAGUUUUCUCCGCAAAACAAAGCAAGUCUGCAUCUUGAGGAGAACAUGCAUGCAAUGCCUUUCUCAUUCAGCAUUUUUUAUAUUUCUACUCCCCUGGAACAAAAGAGAACUAUUGUUAGCACCUGGCAUCAUGAAAUGCAAAGUGAUGAAUAUAACACACGGAUCUCCAAUUGACACCUCUAUGGUAACCAACCAGAGACAAGUCAAUCUCAUGUGACAAUGAGAAUGGUAAUCGUAAACUAAAAAACCAUUGUCAAAUUAAGUCCCUUCCGAAAGAACAAAACUCACUUGGAGAAGUUUUCUUUGAUAAGGAUGCAUCUCAUAGGUGAUCCUUCUGCAUCAAGCAAUUUUAAAGGCAAACGUGGAUUGUAUACACUCCUGCCGAUACAUCUUCGAGUUUCAAGCCCUUAUCAAGAAUAAUUUCCUACAGUUACCGUAGCAUUAGUUUCUUGAGCGUAGACUUCAUGUAAUAAUGCAAUGAUGUGAAAUCUAGGCAAAUUCACCAACACUAGUUUAGGUCUAAGAUGGCAAUUCAGCAAUGGAACAUGGUCAUUCUCAACUUUGAUGGGGAAAUUCGUCAUACAUCAAAUCACUUUCUUACCCGGCUUUCAAGAAAGAUAAGAUGGGAUGGAAUCAAAUCUCAUAUACAGCAACAGACAGGUAACCAGUUCAUGCAUUGAAUAGCACAGACUGCGUCAUGCAAGAUUGCAUCUCGAUCUUAGACAUGUAAUAAUCUACAAGUUACAGAACAAGAAAGAAACUAAAUCAAGUUUCACCUUUUCUCAAAAGGGAGGUUUAGAAAAAACUGAACUUGCGUAUUGCUCAAAAGCCUGAUAGCAACAUAUGCGUGAGCAUUUUCUCACACGCAUGUCUUUAGAGAUCAAUUGAAUAUCACGUGUUCAUGUUGACAAUUAAUACAACACCAUACUGCAACUCUCAUGUCGUCCAGGAGAAAAUCAAAUAAGACGGAAGUAUGCAAUUCUUGCCAUGCUUAAGAAAAAUAACAUUUGGUUGUAGUGAAGCUGCAAGUAAAAAUGGGUGGUAAUAGAAAAGGUAGCUACCUCAUAUAAAAAUCUAUCCUAGCAUGGUUUAUGGGUAACAAUUGAGAAAUAUCAUCAAGUACACUACAAAUUAUUGAGUCUGGGUAAAAGGUGAAGAUAAGAUGAUGGUGAAGCAAACCACCAUACACCAAAAAAAAAAAAAAAAUUUCUCACUAAGAUUGCGUCAGAAUAGCAAAGAGGGACAAAUCCUAUCAACAAGUUUAACGUCUUUGUUCUCUAACAACCAUUUUUCUCCAUCUCUUAUGAAUUCCACAUAGCUCAUGUCAAACUCUUUUUUGUCCAUAAGCCGUCUGAGAACGAAACAGAGCACAAUCAAAUUCAUCCUUUUGAUCAUAGCACUCACUAAUACCACAAUAUAUUAAGAUAAUCAUAUGAGUGCUCCAACAAUCUGGAAAUCGCACAUUAGCUCCACUGACAAUGACCUACAAAAGGAUUUCAGGAACAUAGGUUUACUUGGCAGUAUCAAGGUUUUGAACACCACCUGUCUCACACCCUCGGGAACAUAUAAAAACUCCAUUACUUCGGUUGCAGGAAGUAGUCUAUAUCAUUCUUACAAAAUUUGUUUGACAUAUCACUAUGUUUUAAUUUCAAAAGCCGUCAUAUCAAAUGUUAGUAAGUGCCUAGCAAUAUUCUUGAAAAAAAAAAAAAAAAAAGAAGGAAAGAGCCAAGGCCUUGCUCUCACUAGUAAGUGCCUAACCAUAUUCUUCUACUUAUUCCACUGCAAAAUUAACAAUAUCAUAAUCUAACUAAAAGAAGUAGCGUAUUGCCAGAAAUGUUCACUAUUGGCAGAACUAAAUUGUGCUAGAUUUUUACUUCCUAGAAGGAAUAAAUAAACUCAAUAGUAGCAAAUAGCUCAUAUUUCACUAGUAAACAAGAUAUAUGAUAUCCAUAGACGGUAAAACAAUAUAAGUUGGCAAAUAUGACAUGCCAAGCCCUAACACACAAAUGACUGACUAAAAUGGAUAUGGAAAUGCAGCCAGUCCUAUGAAGCACCCAAGUUUCUAGCAAAUUGUUCAAGCAAUCAAACCUACUUACCAAUAAUGAUGAUAAUGAGGACAACACCAACAAUUCAACAAUUGGCAUGUAAUUUCAAAGGUAAAGUAGAAUCUAGUACAAGUUAUUAUUGCAAAUGAGUGAAUUAGAGAAAUCACAUCACUAUCUUUACGCAAAGGUCAUCUUGUGUACUCCAUCUUCUGACAUGUUAUUUUUGUAUUUUGCUUUUGAAAUUGAUACAUAAUUUACAUGCAUAAGAAAAGAGGAAUAGAUUCAGCUAAUUUUUGAUAUGGCUAGUAUAAGUAUCUAGAGGGAGGUGAAUAGGUAUAAAGAGUAAUUUCUUAUGAUAAUCGCACAAUACUAGACAGUUGAUAGAAAUGAGACAAUUUUUUCUCGUCAAUAAACAAACAACGAUCAACGUAAGAUCGAGAGUAGAGAAGAGAAAAUUGAACACGAGGUUUAUAGUGAUUCGGCUUAUUUCAAGCCUACGUUCACUCUUCUGCACUGACAGCCCACUGGCUGGAUUCCACUAUGAACAAAGAGAUAUUAUAGUACUAUUCUUCCUUGAUUUCUUGGUGUAGAAGAUCUACCACACUCUCUCAAGGUAUCACUAAGUAUAGACUCUCUUUGUGUGUACAGUUUCGCUCAAUAUGAAUCGACUAAUAAUCAAGGAGCUUCAGACUCUGAAAUUUCUCUAUCGAGCACACACUAGAAUAACUGGAACGUCUUAUUUUUAUACUCCUUUAUGCCAUCAUACCUGUUAGCACUUUCCAAAGGAAUUCUUCCAAUCUUCCCGUUGGACAGAAUCAAUUAAGAAGGUCAUUCGAGCUAUUAAAGGAACAUGUCGAUAGCCCAUCAAUCUUGUUCGCCCAUACAAUCAGGAUCUUGGUUUCCAAGAAUAGAACAUUCUAAGAAUAUUUCGUCAAUCAUCGGAUCUUCAAACGAUCUUGAUUUCGAAUAAAUAAUCCGUCAUAUCAAAUCUAGCCAGAGAUCUUCUCUAGACGAUAAGACCAAAUCCUUAACCAAACACUUUAGCUCUGGAUCGCCUUCGUCGCUCGAUUAGAAACUGUCAAUGAGAAUAGUCUUGAGUCUUAAGUCUUGUGUGCUGAGUCUGGUGAUCUGAAAGUCUUCAGACUCUAAGUACAAGGGUCUACAUAGCUCCCAGACUAGACUGAUAGAAACGUUUUGUCAGCUUCAAAACACUCUAGAGAGAUUUCUCCAACAAUUUUACCUGUCCGUUUUUUAGUCCGAAGAGGCUAGGCCAUAUUACUAAAGCUCUAAGAAAGAACCUUACAGAGCCAAACCCUUGAGAGCACAGAAAACACAAUUAUGAUGAGAACACUAGCCAAUCAAGGUCCAAAAUCCAAAACAAUCCAACAACAGUUUUUGUCACCAAAUGGAUUCAAUGUAUGAAGUAAUUACUUUCCACUGCCGCUGAAGUCAUUGAAAGUGAGAAUAUUGUUGUUCCAAACCACAAGAUCCAACUCCCUAAGCCCUUCAACGAGUGUGAACAGAAACUUCUAUUGAAAUGUGUGGUUUUUACCACCGUCUGCACACCAAAUCAAAUCAAAACUAAGGUGCUAGUCACUCAGUUUUCCCAAUUAGCUUAACACCAUAAACUUCAACCAUCAGACCCCUAUAACAAAACUCCAUAUCUAGAUCUGAAUAGGGAAAGAGGUAAUUGCACAAACACUUGGUGUGCAAUUUAGAAUUACCGGUGCAAGUUAUGGUGUGAAACGUGGUGUUGCCAUAUUCUAGUUGCUGAUGGGGCUCCUAGAUUGAUGGCAGAGGCAGAGGCAGCAGCAACACGUUGAAGAAUGCAGCAGGUUUAAGUUCGCUGGACGUGGACGACAAAUCGGAGCCGCCGAUGGGACUCAUUAUACCAUGGCGGAGGUCAAAGCCGCCGACGUUGUAGAUGUCACCCCCAAACUCUCCAUUCUAAUAAUUCCAAUAGAUUCCCUCAUAUUUAGCUUGCAACAACCUAAUACGUCGAGCUUCGAUAGUUUUUUCAAUUUCGAUAGGUCUGACAUCGUCUCUAAGGAAGGGCAACGGAAGAUUGUUAGGGAGCAAAGGGAUCCCAGCUCUUCAAGGCCACGAAUCUCAACUAAUGAAUCGCAAUGUCUUAAACUUACCUUUUCUAGAUUCUUCAUGCGCGACAGAUCAAGUACUUCGGGAAGGAACUCACAAAAAUCCAUCUUUAAUAAUCUCAAUCUUUUCAUUUCCAGUUGCAACAGCGCGUCCACUUUUUUGAACUCACAGAACUCCAUAUGGAGUUCCUCCGACUCCGCAUCAAAUAUACUGGAGAAUUCUAGCGAACAUUCAUAGAAUGUCAAGAUUGACAAGUCUUUCAAAUUGGAAAAAUCCGGUGAUCGUGUAGUCGCCAGAUCUCGAAGUUGUAACUUUCUUAAACUAGAGGGGAGCUGAGGGAGGAAUUGCACAUUUUCGCAGCACAAUUCUAGUGUUUUAAGUUGAGAUAGGCUACUGAUGAUAGUGGGAAGAGUAAUGACAGGUGUUUCCUGAUGAGCACGGUUUUGCUUCUGCCCAUAUGUCAGACAAGUCACACUUAGGGGAAGCUCCGGCAAUUGUACAAGGGAAUAUGUUUUUAGCUCAAGUGUUUGGAGAUUAGAGAGGUGAUUCACUAUGGUGGGUAAUCCACAUAUACAUGUGUCCGACAAGUUUAGGAUCCUCAAAUUGGACAGUCUCCCAAUUUCUUCAGGGAUUUCACCGAUCAAGUUGCAACAUCCUCGAGCAUUUAACUCUUCAAGCUUCUCCACUAGCCAAAUCUCACUUGGUAGUUUUGUUAUCUCGCUCAUGUCCCUCAUCCUUAGUACUUUCAGUUGCUUUAUAUUGCCGAUUGAAUAAGGUAGGUGACCAAUACUUGUUGAUGACAAAUCCAACUCGACUAAUGAUUGUAAUUCCCCAAUCGAGUCUGGAAGUUCCUUUAUCUCCAUGCACUUCGAUAAAUCCAAUAGCCUAAUUUUCACCAGCCCUCCAAUCGAGUAUGGCAAUUUGCUAAGUUUACUAUAUGGUAAAUUCAAGGUCAACAAAGAUGGCAAAUUACCAAUGGAUGGGUCAAUUUCAAUUAAGUUGAUACAACCAUCAAGAACCAAUCUCUCUAGGUACACCCACGUAGAUAAAUUAGGUGUUCUCUUUAAAUGGCAGCACGACUUGAGAUUUAGUACCUUUAGUUUUUUGGCCUCCUACAAAACAAUUUGAUAAAAUAUAUGUUAAGAAACGACCUGUAGGGGAACAAAAAGAUAAAUAAAUGAUAUGCUUAUGCAAGGAGUGGGACUCAUAUCAUACUCUAAGUUGUUCCCAGCCAAUCCAUUCCUCCGAAAUGUAGCUCCUUGAAAGGUCAAGAACCACUAAGUUAGUCGGAUGAAAGUUUGUUGCCUCAAACUGGCUAGAGUAAAAUUGCCAAGAAAGCCAUCUUAAACUAGGGAGAAGGUUGUUGAAGUCUCCAACAAGGCGCUCCCCAUUCCCUUGAAAGAACCUUAGGUUUCGUAAUGGAGCAACUUCAUCACUUGUCAAAAUACCUGCAUGAAAUCCAUGAUAUCCUUCUAGUGACAUUGCUUUUAAUUUCCUACUUCCCUGACAAUGGAAAGACCCAGAAGUUCAUAUGUGAAGGUCAAAAGCAAACAAUUACAAGCGCUAACAGCGAUUAAUUUUUUCUUUUGCAAGAAUAGUCUACAACAAUACAUCUAAAAAUAAAUUGCUAUUCUUUUUUUACCUCUUCCUGCUUCAGAAUGCUCCAGGCAUCAUCACAGUUCCACACUCUACUACGCUUGUAGGGAUCGGUGAAGUUCUCUUGAUGGACAAUUUCCCUUCCGAGGUCCCGCACUUGGUCAUGCAUCCAGAAAAUAUUGCCUUUGAGUUUUAUCAAGGACAUGAGAAAGAGGACUUCAAUGGCAUCAUGUGGGUGGUAUCCACAGGCAUCCCACAUGUAGAAAGGGUAUGAUUUCUCCUUAUUAACAAAAAAACAGGCUAUAUCCAAAAAUACUUCCCUUUGUGUACGAUCUAACUUGUCAUAAGUUAUCAUCAAUUUUCUCUGGACUUCCUUAGGAGGAGCUUCUUGUAGCUUUUUCCAUGUGUCAACCCAUAAUUCUUUGGGUUUUCCGUUAAGGGAUGAACCUGUAAUCUCAAGAGCUAAAGGAAGCUUUCCCAAAGUAUGGACAAUUUUCUCAGAAAGGAACAUACGAUCUUUUGGUGGAGAGUUUCUUCUAAAGGCAUGCCUACUAAAAAGCUUAAGAGCAUGAUCAAAUUCCAUUUCUUGUACAUCGUAAGUCAAAACUUUUGUAGACUUUUCUACAAGGCCUUCACCUAUUGCUUCUCCCUUAAUCAUUAGGAUACUUUGGUCCCUAGUAGUUAUGAUAAUCCUACUACCAGGACUAAACCAAUUACCUUUUUCUGCUAGACUUUUAAGUUGUUCUUUCUCAUCCACAUCGCCUAAAACAAUGAGAACUUUUUUAUUUUUAAGUACUCCUCUGUUCAUCAUGUUGAUCCCAUCAUUCACGUGACAAAUUUGGUCGAUAGAAUGAGAACCAAAGAGCUUGGAUAACAGUCGAUAUUGCAAAUUUACUAGACCAUUAUUGCCUUUUGAUGAUUCCCCAACAUCUGCAAGGAAACAACAUCCGUCAAAGCUAGAAGAUAGUAUGUUGAAGACGACCUUAGCAAGAGUUGUUUUGCCAACACCGCCCAUUCCGUAGAUUCCAAGAAAUCGUACACCAUCAGAUCCCACUCCCAACAUUUUGAUUAUAUCUUCUACGCGAUCAUCAACUCCGACUAGAUGUUCAGUUACAUUUUCAUGUGUAACCUUCAGCUUAACUGAAAUCGUUCGAAUUACCGAACAUAUAAGAUCUCCUUGGCUGCCAUAAAGUAACAACCAUGUUAGGGAUAACUUUAUAUGUAAAACUUACUCCCAAAGUGACUAAAUUGCUCUCACGUUAUGUGGAAACCUGGCAAAAAAAUCGAGACAUCGAUAGGAUUAUGAUUUUUGCUGAUCUCCGCUCCCCAAUUUCAGUCACCAUCACCGUCGGCCCCUGCCACUGCACCAUUGACGUCGCUCGCCUCUUUGCACCAUCACCGUCACAUUUCAGUGUUGUUGCCUGUUGUGCCCGUUGACUGACCAUCUCGGCCUUGCCUCAAUUCUCCACGUCACAUGGGUCGUGGCCUUGCGACGGCCGGCGAUGGCUUCAUUGGCCUUGGGCCAAAGUCAGCCACGUCGGAUAUGGUCGUCCAGAUCCUGGAUCCAACUCGCCACAGUGAGUGAGAGAGAAAGUGUGGGGGCCGAAUGGCUCAGAGGCAGCUUCUGGCCACUCGGUGUCGGGCUGGCGACGAAGUGGUGGCGGUGACUGACGGACGAGCUGCUGUGGUGGCUGGCCGACGGCUUGGUGGAGCUCUUUGGAGAUCUAUUACUGUUCGUAGCUAUUGUGUCAUAGAGAGAGAGCAUGAGGAGAGUGAGAAUCAGGAUAAGAAGGGUGCGCUACCACCGCAAUAGUGCCAUUGACUGGAGCUAUUGCAGCGAGCUAUUGCAGCGAUACCACCGAUAGGGGCCACCAGAGAGCAUUCCUUUCUCACCGCUGUGGUGGCAGAUAGCAGCGGCGGCCAUUGCCGCGACCGCAUUUUUAACUAUAUAAAAUCGACUACAUGUGUAAACUAUAUUUUCACCGACAAUACCACAAUUAAACUGAACAGGGAGGAAAACGAAAUUUACAGAUGGCAGUUAGACAAGUUAAAGGACAUUUACCCUUGAUCUUUCUUCAAGUUCCAUCCCUUUAUCUCGUCCACCUCAUUGAGAGCCUUUUUCCAUGACUCCACUUCUGCACUAAACUUUUCCUGGUGCUUUGCAAGAGCUUGGUUAUACAAGUCUGUUUUGAGCUUGACAUCUUCAGGUUCCACAUCCAAGAAAAUGGGCAGAAUCUCUUUGUUCUCAUUCAAUUUCGAGGUGCACUCGACCAUGUGUGCGAGCUCUCGGAGGCACCAGUGACUUGAAGCAUAAUUUUUGGAGAAUAUGGGAAUGUAGAUUUUGGAGUUCUCAAUUGCGUGUAGAAGUUCACCACCAAUUUUUUGACCGAUGCGAAGGGAUUCAUCGUCCCUAAAGACAAGGAUCCCGACCCCAACCAUGGCAUGGUAAAGGCAAUCAGUGAAUCCAUGACGGGUGUCGAUUCCCCGAAAGCUUAGAAAAACCUCAUAUGAAGGUCCGGAUGAUGCCGAUGAACUCAUCCCUAUCUCCACUGCAGGAUCGUUAGACAUCACAGGUAUCAAAUCCUCUCUCUCUCUCUCUCUCAGGAAAUGUCUGCUUUUCGGGGGUGCUUGGAUCUGAGCCUGGGCUCUCAAUAUAAUAACUGGUUAAUUCGUUUGGAAAGCACAUCGUCCGUGGCUAAUCUACUUCACAGCGUGUUUCACGGGGAAGCAAGUCAAAGUCUUCUAGUAUCUUUGCUCGCUUCGUUGCAUUUUCCUCUUCUUUUCUUCCGACCAGAGAAGUCAAAAGUCUUCACCGCUUGCUUAGUUGCAAAGAAAGUGGUAAGGCAAAAGCCCAUGAAACCUCCUCAAAAGAAAAGACUGGCAUGGGGUAGCAAGUCAAAGUCUUUCCUCCAUCCUGCAUCGCCAGACGAGGUACCCCUAUCGAAGAGUCUUCCUCAGACGUGGUUUACAAAAUUGUUCGAUAAAUUCUUGUCCACUAGUCACAUUUAAAGGACAUGCCAAAAAAAUAGAACGCGGUUUACAAGCCAUCCUUGAAGUUUUCUAGAAAUUUCAUUGAUCAAUCAAUGGGUUAUCGUACUAUGAGUUUCCAUAUCCCAUCCAUUUAAAGACAAAUUUUAAAUCAGAAAUUCAUAGCUUUAAAGAUAGAGCAUAUAAAGUAAAAUUAGGAGGUAAGGUGAAGGUGAUUUUUGAGAUUUUCUUUAUUUUAACCACAUUAGAGAAAAUCUAAAACAUCCAAUUAAAUUUUGUAUAUCAUAUUCAACUGAAUUAUUGACAUUUGUGACAAUGUUCAUCUUCAAACAAAAAUCCUUAAUUAGAAGAUUAAACUAUCCCUCUCCUAAGGAAAUUAAUAUUAUGCACUAAUCACAUGAUUGACGUGGUGUAAUUGGUCAAUCCAUGUUACCCAUGCAAUGUGCUAGACAUUCUAAUGGGUGCUGAUAUGUUAAAAACACUUCCUUUGCAUUAGUUUAUUAAACCACGUGAUACGACUAUUACAUGAAAUACUUUUUGUUCAACCGCACCAUUUCUCUCUCUUUUUUAUUCCCCACCAUACUGCCAAUCAACGUUACCAUUCUUGUCCCCGAAAAACACCGCCACUCCCCGAUCAUAACGAAAAAUGCGCUCCACAACUUAGCCUCGCCUUUGUUUGCAUCUUUCUCUUGCUGUCUCUAUCUCUCUUCUUUGCCAUGGCCUAACUUGAAAUUCGAGGCGUCUUGCUCAAAGGUGCAAUGAUGCUUGUCUGCAUCUUUUUUCACUUUUAUUUUCUUUUUCAUUGUGGCCAAAGAGGGUCACCAGCAAGCCCUCAUUAGCAGCUGGGCAAUGGUUGCAACUCUCACCCAAGCAUUUGCUGAUCACAAGCAAGGGCACAAAGGCCCUCAUUAGAUCUAGGUGGCACCCUUGCCCAGCCUGCAAGCCCUUGCCUAGUGUUGCUGGCCACGAUAUGAAAAGAAGGAACAAAAAAUAAAAAAUAAAAAAAAAUUUAAUUUUUUUGAAAAAUUGCAAAAAUUGUCAACUUCAAUGUAUGUUGUGCCACAUAAUAUAGCCAAGUUCUACGUCAACGAUUUUUUGAUAAAAUUAAUCGAAAUUACUAAAUUGGUAAAUCAUCAAAGGUUAUAAAAUUAAAUUGGCUAAAUUGAAAUGUUUAAGUUAUGAAUUGAUAUCCAUAUGAUAAAUUUAAGAAUUUUUUUGGCAAUUUUCCAACAAAAUGUGUAAUAUUUCCAUGAAACUAACAUUAGUCAUCAACUUUUUCAAUACCAAUUGGAUGUCCGAGACUCUUUAAAGAUCUGAGUAAUCCCUACCGAGUGUGAUGGUACCGUUCAUUCAAUUAAGAACAACUGAAAUCUGCUCGUACCGGUUAUUCAUGUUCUCCCGUUUUAUAAUUGACAACUUUGCUCUUAAAUUCAUGGGCUAAGCUAACGGUCACGGAAAAUUGUGUACGUGCCCUUCGUGUGGGAAAAAGGUGAAAUACCAAAUAUCAAGUUGCAAGUGUUUAUUUUAAUAUUCUUCUAUGUUGACAUGUUUUUUUGUUCUCUUGAAUAUGUAAAUUUCUGAAAUGAAUGGCAGAUAUUGGUUGUAAGAGAGUUUUUGUUUGUAUAUCUUACGAUUUUUUAAUUGAUAUAUAUAUAUGAACUAAAAAUUUACAUAUUCCUAAAAUAUAGCGACUUCCCAUUGUUUGUGAUUCCUAAAAUAUAGCGACUUCCCAUUGUUUGUGAAGUUAAGAUACUAUGUUUAGAGCUAACAGAGACAAACUUGGAAGUUAGUGUCAAUAAAUAAUUUAAUCUAAAGUGAUGUACACAACUAUCCUUAAUCAAAAUUCUCAAGACAAAGUAUAAUCCCCUGCUCUUGUUGUGUACUCCACCAAUCUAUAAGGUAUCUUGAGUGAGCCUAAGCUCAGUAAAUGAAGGCUCUAGUUCCAAAGUAUGCGAUCUACUCACCAUUUGAUUCUAGAUCACAACAUCAUAGUAACAAUCAAUAAGUAAUAUUACAUAUCAUUUAGAGGAUCCACUAUAAUUUAGAAUAUGCCAAUCAUUAGAAGAUUAAAUUAUCCCUCUACUAAGGAAAUUUAUAUUAUGCACUAGUCACAUGAUUAACUAUUCCUGAGCUCUAGCGCAAUAUGCAAUGUUAUCUCUGAAUUUUUAAUUUGUUUAAUGUGGUCUCACAACAUUUGGUAUGUGUUCAAUGUAGUCUAUGGAUUAUUUAAAAAUGUUCAAUGUUGUUGUUGAAUUUGAAUUAAUAAAAAGAUAACAUUAUAUAUUUUUUAUAUAGUUCAACGACUAGAUUAAAUAUUUACCAAAAGUUUAGAAACUAUAUUGAAUAAAUUAAAAGUUCGAGAACGACAUUGCACAUGGGAUCAAAGUUUAGUUCGGGGACCAUUUAUAUAAUUAUCCCCAUGACUAAGUAAUAACUUAAGACAAAGCGAUAACCCUAAGAUUACUUCACAUGACAAUAUGGUAAUACAUUUCUAAAUAGAGUAAUUAGUGACAUUACAUCAGUACUCCAUUUGAAAUUGACUUGGUGAUGCAUCUUGUUUAUCAAAAAAAUCCACAAAUGAGCCUUUAUCUUUGGAACAUUACCACGCAUAAGGAAACUCAUAACAUUAUUGGGAUAUAGCACGCUAGAUAUUAUACGAAUAGAUAUUUAGCAAAGAUAAAUUGAUUCCGUUUACCUUCUUGAGAUGCGACGUGUUACCUAUAUAUAAAAAGAUAAUGGGGCAUCGUGGAUUUCGAUUUAGCAAACCAAGUCAAUUAGUCGACCAAAUCUCAAUUCUAAAUUCUGCUAAACUGGUUACCCUGCUGUUAUUUUCAUUGUGAUAUUAGAUUCUCCAGUUUUAAGGUUGAGAUCCAUGAUUCAAUUGAGGCAACUAUCCAUCAAUUUGUCCUCUUUAUCAACAAAUUCUUGAAAAUAUGUCACCAAAUUAUUUCCUGUGAGCAAAAUUGUUGGGAUAGACAUGUUCUUUACACUUUUUAUUAGUCCCUCCUCCCCAGUCCCUCAUGCAGACGACAUCAUCAGGUUGACGAUUUACGCGAACACAAAACAAUUGCACUCAUAAUACAUAUCUAUUAUAUGGUCAAAACACUGUCUUGACCAUAUAAUAAGAAAAAGAAGAAACCAAACAAAAGGAUGGGCGCACUAAAAGAACAAUUUCGUGAAUGGUAAGGGAAGGAUCCUAGAAAAGUGGGAUCCACAAAAGGCAAAACGCACAAAAUACUAUGUUGAGGAGUGCUUUAGUCGAAACAAGAGUCGACGAUAUGGGAAUAUAGAUGUCACUUGGGGGUUUACGGCGCGGCUGUCGGCUGCAAGCCGGUUCCUCCAAUACCAAAAAAAAAAAAAAAAUGGGAAUAUAGAUUUUGGAGUUCUCAAUUGCUUGUAGAAGUUCACCACCAAUUACCUUACCUACAUGGAGGGAUUCAUUGUCUCUAAAGAGUCGUUCCCGGCCUUAACCAUGUCAUGGUAAAGACAAUCAGUGAAUUUGUAGUAAGUGUCUGCUCCUUAAAAAUUUAGAAAAACCUCAUAUGAAGGUCCUGAUGAUGCCUAUGAAUUCGUCCCUUUCUCCAUUGUGGGAUCUUGAAGCACCACAGAUGUCAAAUCCUUUGUCUCUCAUGAAAGUUUGCUUUUUGGGUGUGCUUGGAUCUGAACGAGGGCUGUUGAUAUGAUAAACUCUCAGUCUCAGGCGUCAUGGGGUUAGGGAAAAAGGCGUCGGACUUCGAAUAUUACUUCAGUCAACAUAGUCAACACCUUUCUUUCUUUCUUUUUUAUCCCUAGAUGCACCUUCAUCUUUUGAUUAAUUUGUUUCGUGUUCAUGUAUAUCUUGUCUGCCAUCGAAUUUCCCAAAUUAAAUAUUAAGAUGUGAAUUCUAUUUAAAAACAUCAUUACUAUUGAGAAAAGCACAUUAAUAGUUUUUAAGUGAAGACAAUUAUCUGUUAUUCUAAUGUAAUUACUAAAUCAAAAUAAUUAUAUAUGUGUCAGAAUCUUAACCUUAUUUGGAAUUAAUUUUGCUUAAAUUAAAAUUAUAUAUAUCAUAAUCUUAACCUCACUUUAUGAACUAUUACAUGGCCGGUUUUACCAAUAAAAGCAGUGAAAAUAAUAUAAGAGAUUAAAAAUAAUUAUUCACAUUAUUACUUAUGUACAAAAUAAUGUGACGAAUUUGAAUGCUUGACUAUGCCCUACCUUUUCAAAUGAUCGUUUAUAGUAUAGAUCUAGAUCCCAAACAAAUAUGGAAAGAUAUAAAACACCACACACCAAACAUAAAGGCAGCUAUAUAAAAGAAUUGACAGUAUUCGGAAUAUUUGUGAGAUUCGGUAAAUCACGAAUCAUAUCAAUUAAGAUUACACAAAACCAAAUCAAAUAUAUCCAGCAUCACACUCAAAAUAAGAUGAUCACAAUGAAAGCAAUUUGAUUUUAGAAACCAAGCUAAGAGAUUUGAUUUAGUAAUGGAGUGAAGGAAGAGUGCCGCGAGCAGUACCUUUAUGAUUAACAAAAUGGGCUAAUUUGCAAAAAUUCUCCGUAUGAACUAUUUUAUUAAUUAGGAUCCAAGAAAUGGCAGGCGGUGUACGACAUUAUUCAAGAAAUUUUUUUCCAUAAGUUUCAUUUAAAAGAUGUGUCGAAAUAUAAAAUGCGUUUUACGGGUCAUCCUAGAAGAUUCGUAGAAGUUUCUACUAAUCAAUCUAUGGGUUGUCAUCUUAGGAGUUCCCAUAUUCCAUAUGUUUAAAAAAGUUAGAGAUUCGUAGCCCUACGAAAAUAGAGUAUAUAAAGUGAAAUCAUGAUACAAAAUGAAUAUGAUUUUUGUGCUUUUCUUUAUUGUAAUUAUAUUAGAAAAGAAAAUUGAAAAAUCCAAUCUGACUUUGUAUCUACAUCAAAUAUUACUUUGAGAUCUUGAAAUUUGAGGCAUUGUUCCUCUAUAGACAAAAAUCCUUAGCUAAAUGUUAGAUUAUCCUUCUAUAAUCGAAAUGUGUCAUAUAGGACGAUCACAUGAUUGGUGUGGUGUGAUCCAUCAUUUCAUGCAAUGUGCAUGCCGUUUUAACGGAAAAAAUCUGACGUACAUCUGUCUGAUUAAUUAUUACACGUGUUAGCAUCUAAGCAUGCGUCGAUCUGGGCCUUAAUUCCCCGAUGGCCCACUCUUAUUGCUCCCGCUCCCGAUGGAAUCAUCCUCGGCCGUCCGAUCCAAAUAUCUACUUCCAAGUCAAACCUCGUCACACAAUCAGCAGGGCCCAGAAAAGGAAAAUGAGAGGAAAAGGUGUAUGAAACGAGUGUGUCACCAUCAUUGAGGAGGGGUGUCAGGAACCGAACCGUUAACCGAACCGAACCGAAAACCGAACCGAACCGAACCGAAAAAUUUGGUUUUUUCGGUUCGGUUCGGUUUUCGGUUCAGUUCUCCUAAAAAAACUGAUAUUUUUUUUAUUGGUUCGGUUUUUAUCAGUUAACCGAACCGAACUGAACCAUACAAACCGAUAAAAUUAUAUCUUCGGUUUUAUUUUGUCCCGAAGUCCUCUCGUCUCCUCUCAUGUCUGUCUUGGUUGGCUUGGAGGUGCAACGGCGACGGCGACGGCGACGGCGAUGGCGACUGUGAAGAGCACUUGCAGUCGCUCCUUCCGGACCACCACUGGCUUCAAAGGACCCCAUCGAUAGUUUUCUUGAGGGACUGGAUUUUCGGAGGGCACCGAUUAACAGGUAAAAUCAACUCGAAUCGUGUCGAGUUUCCAACUUUUUAGUGUUCCGCUUGUUAUAAUUUCUGAUCGUGGACUCCGCCGAGGCGAUUACGGUUCCUUGGUUUGGUGGCGCGGUCUUUGCUUGGAACACGAGGGUUGUUUCUCGGAUCUCCAGAUAAUACCAGAGAAGAGCUGCGAUUUUGGAACUCUGACACAACUCGAUCUGCUUCAAAGCCCACGAAACAGAGCACAAUGUGCGAGCGAGACAGAGUAGCCCGUUCGUCCUCUCAAAGACCCCCGAUGGCCAUGCCGCCGCCCGAUUGCUACAUCCCCAUGCAGCCCCAACCGCGUCACCUCAAUCCCUCUCCGUCUCUCUGUAUCAAGGGGCUUAGGCGACGACUCACAAGCCCAGAUCUAGGGCGUCGAACCCAGAUCGAGGGGUGGGUAGCCUUCGGAGAUGGUCGCCGGAGGGAAAGCAAUCCCACCGUGACCGCGAAGCAGGGGGAACAGGCGUCAUCAAGCGUCGUGUAAGGACUGCUUAAGGAAGGACCGAAAAACCGAAAGCUGAAAACUAAAAACCGAAAAACCGAACCGAACCGAAAUUUUCGGUUGGGUUCAUAUUCGGUUCGGUUCGGUUCAAAGGAUUUUUUUAAUGGUUCGGUUCGGUUUUUCAAAAAAACCGAACCGAACCGAACCAUUGACACCCUUAUUGAGGACCCCUCAACGACGAGAGAAAGUGCGUCGAGAGUCUUCCACCAUCUUGCUGACUUGCUUUGUUGCAUUCGAAGACAAGAGACCAGCCUUUAUCAUGAUAAUAUUAAAUAGAUUUAAUUUAAUAGUGAUGUAGCGGAUAAAAACCAGUCAUAACAUAAUGACAAUAUGGAAAUUCGCAUUUUUUGUGACACACAGAAUGUAAUUUUUAUAUUCUUCUUAGGUGUUAUAAGAAAUCUAGAUACCUGAUAAUGCAAUAUAAAGUUAAUAUACAUCGAACUCUUCAAUUUGUCUGCUGGCUUUAAAAUAACUCUUAUUGAUCCGAUAGUAAAGCUACAAUUGUUAAGAUGCAAAUUCUAUUUAAAACACCAUUUCUAUUAAGAAAAACGCAUGAAUAGGUUUUAACUGAAGAAACUUAUCCGUCGUUGGAAUUAACGUAAUUACUAAACCAAAAUUAUUUUAUAUGCAUCAAAAUCUUAACCUUGCUUGGAAUUAAUUCAUUUACUUAAAAAAAAUUAUUAUAUAUGUAAUGGAAUCCAAAAUUAUUAUAAUAUGACAAAAUUUGAAUGCUAGACUAUGCCCUACCUUUUCAAAAGAUCAUUUAUAGUAUAUAGAUUUAGAUCCCGAACCAAUAUGGAAAGAUAUAUGGUACCACAGAUUAAACAUAAAGACGGCUACAAAUUGCAGAUCAUAUCAAUGAAGAUUACACAAAAUCAAACUCAAAUAUAUCUAUCAUCCCAUUAAAAAUAAGAUGAUUGCAGUAAAAUUAGCUUGAUUUUGGAAAUUGAGUUGUGAAAUAGCCUAGAUAAUCAAAUUUAGCAAUGGAGUAAAUGUAGAGUGCCAUGAGCAAUAUGUUUUUAUUUAUUUAUUUAUAAACUGGAUUAAUUUGCAAAAUUCACAAUUCGAGCUAUGUUAUAAAUUAUGAUCCAAUCAUGAGUAGCUCGAUAUAUUUUAUUCCAAAUUUUAAAGUUGCAACCUGCAUAUCUUAAGUUUCAAAUUUAUACAUUAAAAGAAGGUAAUGAGUGGGAAGAUGAAUUAUAAAAUUUAGAUUAAUCUUGAUUGGUUAAUUUGUCUGGAAGUCACACAAGUUCCAAAUCAUUGGUGUUGGAUAAUCUAUUUCACAGCGUGCAACACGGGAAAGCAAGCCAAAGUUUUCUAAUAGUAUUUUUGCUCGCUUCGUUCCAUUUUUCUCUUCUCGGCCAAAGAAGUCAAAAGUCUUCCACCAUCUCCUUGCUUAGUUGGAGAGAAAGUGAUAAACCAAAAGCUGACUAAACCUGCUCAAAAGAAAAGACUGGCGAGGGAAAGCAAGUUAAAAGUCUUCCUCCAUCUAGCACCAGAGGUGGGACCCUUAUUGAAGAGUCUUCCUCAAACGCGGUUUACAUGUUCAAUAAAUUAUUGUCCAUUAGUCACAUCUAAAGGACGUGCCAAAAAGUCGAAUGCGGUUUACAAGUCAUCCUAGAAAUUUCCUAGAAGUUUCAUCGAUGGGUAUCAUACUAGGAGUUUUCAUGUUGCAUUCAUUUAACAACAAAUUUUUAAAUUUAUAAACUGAGGAUAUAGAGUGAAAUCGGGUGAAUAUGAUUUUUGAGCUUUUCUUUACAUUAACCACUUUAGAGAAACUUUAAAAAUCCAAGCAAACAUUGUAUAUAUCUUAUACGACUCUGAGUUAUUGACAUUUGCAACAACAUUAAUCUUCAAACAAAAAUGCUUGAUUAGAAAAUUAAACUAUCCCUUUAUUAAUAAAAUUUAUAUUAUCAGCCGAUCACAUGAUUGAUAUGGUAUAAUCAGUCAAUUCAUGUUAUCCAUGCAAAGUACGAGUCAUUUUAUUAAGUGCUAAAAUAUUAAAAAUACUCAUUUUACAUUGAUUUAUCAUAUUAUAUGAUAUGAUUGUCACAUGAAAUAUCUUUUGUUCUACCAUGCCAUUUCUCUCUCUUCCCCCAUACCAAAAAAAGAAAAAAGAAAAAAAAAGCCGUAUUGCCAAUCAACGUUACCAUCCUUGGACACCGCCACUCCCCAAUCAAAACCAACAACACCCUCCACAACUUAGCCCCACCUUUGUCUGCAUCUCGCACUCCCUCUCUGUCUCUCUUCUCUACCAUGGCCUAACUUGAAAUUCGAGGCGUCUCGCUCAAAAGGUGCAAUGAUGCUUGUUUGCAUCUUUUUUCACUUAUAUUUUCUUUUUCAUUGUAGCCACAGAGGUCGCUAGCAAGCCCUUACAAGCCCUUGCUGACAGCUGGCAAUGGUCGCAGCCCUCACCUAAGUCCUCAUCGAUCGCUGACGAGGGCACAAAAACCCUCACUAGACCUAGGUGAGGCCCUCGCCCACAGCUGCAAUAUGGGCAAGGGCCUUGCCUAGUGUCACUGACCACGAUAUGAAAAGAAAAAAAAAGGGGGAAGAUAAUGGAGCAUCCCAGCUUUCAAUUAAGUAAAUCAAGCCGAUUAGUCAAGCAAAUUUCAUUUCAAAAUUCCGUUAAGCUGAUUACCAUGUUGUUAUUUUCAGUGUGAUGUGAGCUUCUGCAGUCUUAAGGUUGAGAUCCGUGAUUCAAUCAAGGCAGCUAGCCAUUAAUUUGUCGUCUUUAUCAACAAAAUCUUGUGUGUAGAAGCUAUAUAAUUCUGAUAAUAUUUCUCUGUAUAAGUCUGUAUGCCUAUAACAAGGGAAGAGAGUUUGUGUAGCGAGAGUGAGUUUAUAGAAUCAGCUAAUCAAGUAUCCUAUAGAAACAACGUCUAGACGAUUACAUAGUAAAUUCUAACCUUGUUGUGGCCAUUAGAGCUUGGAGAGUGGAGUAAGUGAAGUACAAGGCCAAACCACUUUAAGUCUAUUUUGCGUAUCUUCUAUCUCCUUACUUGAUAGAAGAUAAAAGUUACUGCAUAAUUGUUUUCCUUUACAGCAACACAUUCCACAUGUCCUUCACAAAAAAAAAAAAAAAAAAAGUUUCCCCUAUAACAAGCAAAUCGUCUCCCUCUUAAUUGUUGUGCUUAUCCAUUUAUCAGUAAAUAUUUUUUGUUGUUGCACGGGUGAAAAUGAUAAAACAUGGUCUUCCUCUUCUGCAUAUUGCUGGGUAAUUGUAUUUGGUAAUUGAACGUGGAAACAUACAGAUAAUUAUUAUCCUCGAUAACAAAGAAAAAUCGAAAAAUAAUUAUUUGAAUAAAGAUGAUACGCGGUUUGCUAAAUUGUUCCAAAAAUUCUGGUCGAUUGUUAAAAGAAAUGCUAAAUAAUAGAACAAGGCUACGAUGCGCUAUUAAAAGAUCUGGUGUAAUUGUUCAAUUGAAAACACUUCAUCAAAGAUUGCUAAUGCAUUGCAACUAGGCCUCUUUAUGCCAACUAGAUUAUUUCGUUAAUAAAUUCUAAAGAACCAUAAAUGGAGUUUAUUUUUUUGCCGGCCAAUCAUGAUAAGAUUUUGUCUUACUUUCAUUUCAUAUCGAUCCAUGCCGAGGAUAACUUACAAGUAUGAUUUGCAUAAGAAAAGACAAAUUAAUGUCAUUGUCACAAGUCACUGAUUAUAAUUAUUUCUUUCGGUCUAUUAUUAUGGUGUAAGUCUUCGUCGUUGUUAUAUCUUCCAACUAGGUAAAAUGGAUGCAACUUUAGGACAGUGACAUUCUCUCUAUGAUUAAGAAUCAAUAAUUUCCUUUUAAAUAUUGGUUAUGGAUAAUGACAGAGAAAUUGGCGAUUAAUUAAAUUAAUUGACCUAUCUUGAAAGCACAACCCCUAUAAUAUCAUUUCAACAUAAAAAACGGAAUUGGGUAGGAAGAUAACUUCUGCGUUACAGACGUGCUUGCGCAAUACCAUCAUUAGAUUAUUGGGAAAAAGACAUUAGAAGCGACAUAAUAUUCAUACGACUUUUAUUUUGAUGCGAAAACCUUUCGUGGAAAUACUUAAGUGCAACUUUAAACGAAACAAUCACCUAGAUGCUAACUCUAAAAUGGGAUGCUAGAAAUCCGACGUAGCAUUAUUUUAUCAAUUUCUCUGAUCAGUAUGACUCACCAGCAUGCCUUAGUAGCAUUAAUAGCUCUAAAUGAUGUCGCCUGCAUAUUUUGCCCCAAAUAUAAACCUUAAUCGGACAAAUCAAGCCAUUUCCCCAAAUUCGAAAAUCCUAAUUCGAAAACCACAAAAUUGAAAGCGAAAUCUUACAAUGGAGAGAAGGAGCAGAACAAGCGACUCAAAUUUGUUCCAACAAAGCCGAGAGGGAGGUGAUUAUCACUGUUAUUUUGUGCUCUUAGAAGUCCAAGAAGAACAACUUGGAGAAGGUCGAAUCCCAAUUAAAGAUUCCUUGCAUCUCACCAGACACAAUAUUCACUCACAUUUUCCUUGUUACGAUAUUCAUCCCCUGACAAUAAGCCACAACUUCUUCCCUCCAUGCAGCAAAAGUCUUAAGUAUUUCCCAUGCCAAUUGAGCGAGUUGAUCGAGAGAGAGAGAGAGAGAGAGAGAGAGAGAGAGAGAGAGAGUAUAACUCAGUUCGGCAUUGUUUAAGUCAAGACUUCCCACCUCAUAGUCCAUGUUGGACUUCUUUUUAAUAUAAAAAAAGCCAUGUAUGAAUCAAAUUUUUAUUUAAAAAGCCACAUAAGACUUUUGGUCGGAAUUUAUCACUGGAGGCAUUUAAGUAAUCGCUUAUUUUCUAAUUGGACAUCUAAGUGAUCUAUCGAAAAAUUUUGGCAGAAAAUGAGCACUGAAUUAAAGUUAUGAUACCUCUAAUGUCUUUUUCCUUAGAAUAUUAUUAUUAGUUGUAAUCUGGCUGAAUUGAUUCAAUGUUUUUCCAAAUACAGCCAAUACUCGAAAGACAGAAAAAUAAAAAUAAAGAAGGCUGACUCACUGGCCACUAAUUAUUUGUCUUGAUCCUUCAUUAUUUGGUCCUUUAUUAUCGUGUAAUUGUUGAUCAUUGUCAUAUCUUCUGGCGAGGUAACAUGUAGGAUAGCGACAUUCACCAGCAGGUUAAAUAUCAAUAGUUGCCUAUUUAAUUAGAUUAACUAACUUAUCGUAAAAGCUCAACUACUACACUAUUAUUGCAAUUUAACAAUCAUAAUUAGGUAGGAAGACAACUUUAGUGUAUGGAUGUACUUAUGCAUUACCAUCAUCAGAUUAUUAUUAUUAUUAGUUAUAAUCUUGUUGCGCUGGUUCAAUGUUUCUCGACGCUUCAUGUGCGUCUUUUGAAUGCAGCCAACACUUGAAAGAUCAUGGAAACUUCUUGCGAUUGUGAUAGAAAUGGCAAAUGAGAAGAAUAACUAAAUAUUUAACAUCUCGGAUAUAAUCUAUGGUUGACUACAUUAACUUUUGACGUUGGUCUUGGGAAGAAAAAGAGAAGCAGUUGCUAAUUCUCAGAAUAGCCAAAUGAAUAUUGUCCAUCUUCUUCUAAGUUAUAUUAAAAAACUUCAUCAAAUAUGUGAGUUUUCUUCGGAGCAGUUGAAAAGUGAGUUUCCUCUAAAGACGAAUCGAUCACCUGGAUUCGUGCAGUUUCCACAAUGUCAUUAGUCAAUUAGUCGCCUGCCAUCGUAGAAAUUUCCUUUUCCCAUUCAUUUGAUAACAAAUUUAAAAUCUGAAACCUGAUGACAAAGCUACAAAAGUGACGGCACAAAAAUCUGGAUAGAACACGGAGGUAUUUUUUUUUUUAGCUUUUCUUGGAUUUGAUCACAUUAGGAAAAGAAAAAAUCAAAAAAACUCUCGAACACUUUUAUCUAUAUCAAAAAACGGUUAUUAAGCUUUGACAUUUGCAGCAAAUGUUUACUUUUAGACAGAAAUCCUAAAGUAAAAGUUUAAAGUACCCCUCUACGACAAACAUAAAUUUCAUGUGCCUAUCACACGAUUGAUGCGGUAUAAUCGUUCAAUCUGCAUUAUUCAUAUGAAAUGUAUGUCAUCUUAAUUGACACUUAAAUGUAAGAAGUAUUCACAUUAAAUACAUUCUUGUCUACUACAUCAUUUUUUUUUCUUUUUCUCUCUCACCAUCAUAUUGUUGAUCUCCAUUCUGGAUGCUACCACUCCCCCAACCAAUACCACUGAUGUGUAUUCAAGUCAAAGUCUUUCACCAUCUUACUUGCUUAAGUGCAUUUUACAAAUUCCUUCUUGCCAACCAAGAAAAGGGAUACAAAGCCUCCUCAAAAAUUUUAAAAAAGACUUUGGUCAACGUUCAACCUUGGAGUGCUUCUAGUUCUUCCCCUGAUUUUCCUCGAUGGUGCGUGAAUGAAAGUUGAUCACCAACUCGUGGGGUCAACACACAUGAUGGCAUACCUAUCUAUCUCUAGAGGUGAUUGUGCUUACAAGCACUUGGAUUGUGAUUAAGGUGCGACGGGAGAACUGCACUUAUCAUAUGUUGUAUGGAUUUAAUUUAUAAAUGACGCGAUGGAUAAAACUAAAUAUGGUUUGGAAAUUUCCAUUGAAAAUAUGGAAACUUAUAUUUUCUAUUGAGACUCGGUAUAUGGUUCUCACAAAGUUUUUUAGGCGAUUUAGAGAUUUUAAAAGUUGGACAACACUAAGUAUAUUUGAUGUAUAUUGUACUCUUCAAUUUGUCUAUUGACUUUAAAUAUUGAACUCUUCAAUUUGUCUAUUGACUUUAAAUAACUCUUAAUUGAACCGAUAGCGAACCGAUAGCAUACAUGGUAAUGGUUACUAUCAUGUAACUAUUGAACGCAAGAUUAUGACGAAAAUGGAUCAAAAAGUCCUAAACCUAUUGUACAAUAAUCAAUUCAAUUAUAAAAAUUUCAAUUAUGCUAAUUUAGUUCUAAAAUUUUUGAGAAUUUCCCAAUAUAGUCCUAAAUAUUUUAAGAAAUUGUCAAUGUAGUCCUUUUAUCUAAUUUUGAUCGGAAAUAACUGACAUGACAGUCUAAUCAGCACUCACCGUCGCAUGUGGCGCAGACAACACUGACAUGAAUUAUAUUCUAAUUCUUUUAUAAAAAAAAAAAUCAACCUUUUUUAUUUUAUUUUUCCAUUUUUACUUCGCUGGUCCGGUGGGGCCAGCGAUGUCUGCCGGCCAAUAGGAGGGGUCACCAGUUCACCGGGUGGGCCGCAUCAUCUUUGGUUUGGCCUCCUCCUCCCCCUCCCCCCGGGGAAAAAAACAAUGCCUUGGGCCUUCCAUUUUCUAGGGCCGACAAAAUGUGUGCCGAGGUUUAACAAAAAGAACUGUUUGCCACAUUCGAAGUCAAUCGACUCCAUUCGACUUUUAGAUACUUCUAGGAAUAUCUAUGAAUAUUUUCAGAGCUUAUGACUUUGAUUUCAUUGUCUCUAAAAUUACUUUUUUUUUAAUUAUAUUCUCUAAUUUGCAAUAAAGUAGGAUCAUCAUUCUUCCACAUGACCUAAGUUUCAAAGAUAUUUCAUUUUUGUCGCUUCGAAUUAAUAAUGUCAAGACUUCGUAAUUAUCAUCAUGUAGUUUAGCCAUAAGUACUGACUUCUUCUUCUUUUUUCACCUAAUAGUUAUUUGUAUUUAAUUUGAAUUGACAUACUUACACGGGAUCCAAUUUUAAAAAUAUCAUGGGAUCACUUUUGAACUCUUUUACACGGGGUACAAAACUAUCUCAUGGGUAACUUCCUUAUGUGCAAAAACCAUGGCCAAUGUUUGACAAACCCGAUGAUGAAGAACCCAAAUCACAUAUGUGAAUAACUUUAGAACCCAAACCUGACUUGCGUUAUGAUAUUUUUGUUACCUUCCUUUUGUUUCCCUAAUUGGAAUGAAGUCUAGGGCCACUAGUACCAACCUUGGUACUAGCGAAGUAUCAUAACAAAACAAAAGUAUCUUUAAACGUAUUUUUAAAUAUAUCUCAAUUUUUAAAGAUCUAAGUGCUAACUCCUAACUUUUAAAUUGUAUGGCAGUGAAUAUGAUAACAAUCGUCACAAAAGAUAUGGCAUGGUUAGCCAUGCGGCCCAUAUUUGAUUGACGAAUUUUAAAUCAUUGAUUUAUGAUCUCUAAAAGUAUAUCUUUUAUUAAGUUUAAACUUGAAAAAAAAAGGAUAAAAAAGUAUUAUCGGAUAUAUUUUUAAUAAUAUGGCUUAUUUGCAAUCAAAUUAUGAUAGUAAAAUCUAUGAGACAUAUUUAAUGUGAAUUGAAGCAAACAAGAAAGUAGAAAAAAGAUAUAAUGUAUCUCAUUCAUAAUUGUUGAUAACUAGAAGUAUAACUUAUUCAAUAAAUGAAUAUUUUUCGCUAACGUCUCCUAUUACAAUGAAAUUGGUUGCAGCUUUCCAUUAUUAUAAUUAUUUAUUUCAGUUGUUUGAAAUCCAUUAUGCUUAAAUUUUCUAUGGAAUGAAAAAAAUGCGGUGAAGAAAAUAAAGUGCAUGUCUACCGGCGCAACCUAAAUCAAAUCUACCAACACUAUGUUCAGUAAAAAAAGAAUUUGGGAGGUGAAAAAAUAUGGGUGAAGAAAAUAAAGUUGUUCGGAAAAUGAAAGUGAAGAAAAUAUGAUAAAUGACUAUAUUCUGUUUGAAAAGAGUGGGAAAAUGAAGGUGAAGAAAGUGUGAAUGAGGAAAAAGACAUUAUUGUCCAUUAAAAGAAAAAUGAGAAAUAAUGGAAAUAUCACGUAAAAGAAGGGAAGUGGGGCCCAAAGAAUGGCGGGCCUGGUCGGGCUUAUAGCCAAUUUUUACCUUGGCCCGAACUUUCAGGCCUGGAAUUUUCAAGCCCGAAGAAAAGAUUGGACCUAGGCAAAAUGGACUAUCUAGCCCAUCAACAUUUUAUGUCGGGCUUUUAAUGUUCGGGUAGGCUAGGCCAGAAGGGUAGUGAAUUCUUUAAAUUAAAAAAUUAAGAUUAAAAGUAAAAUUAAUAAUAAUAAUAAUAAUAAUAAUAAUAAUAAAAACAACGGUAGCAGCAAUGGAGCUGAGCUAUUUUCAGGCUAUGCAGUGCGAAGAAAUAUGCACAAUAAAGCUCGAAAACCCACCCCGGUCUCUUUCAAGCUAAAAAUAUUCGAGUUCGUUCGCUGAGAUGGAUUUUCAGACUUUGAGUGCGUUUGGUAACGUUUCUGUUAAAAAAUUGUUCCAAGGAACAUAAAUAGAACAUAAAUAGAAAAAAAAAAAUAUUUCUGUUCCAGAGAAUAAUUUUUGAACAGAAGAACGUGUUUGUUAAAUUUGUUCUCGGAAUAGAAAAGGAACAGGAACGCAUUUGGUAAACUUGUAUAAUUUUUUUCUUUUAAUUUUUAAAUAUUUUUAUUUUAUUUUUCCUUUUUCCUUUUUUAUUUUUCCUUUUUUAUUUUUUAUUUUCCCUUUUCCCUUUUUUUCUUUUUCCUUCCUUUUGGCCGGUCGCCGGCCUCGUCCAUGGCCGGCAACCGGCCGACGAGGGCUGGCGGCCUCGCCUUGUCACGGCGAUGCGUCACCUAGCAGUGGCUUGAUGAGGUUGAGCGUCGCCAAUGUUUUGGCGAGCUCGGCCUCGCCGGAUCUGGGCGAGCUUGAGCUCGUCCAGCCAAGGCGAGGAUGAGCCUCGCUAGGGGCCGGCGAUGCUCCGGCGAGGUCACCAGCCCUCGACGGCCAGUCAUCGGCCAUGGCUGAGGCCACUGACUGGCCAAAGAAAAAGAAAGAAGAAAAGAAAGAGAAGGAAAAAAUAGGAGAGAAAAAUUGUUUCUUGAAAGUGUUCCAGGAACAAGAAACAAGUUUUUUGUUUUUUUUUUGUUCCAAAUUUGUUCUCGGGAACAAAAACGCAAAUAAACGCGUUUCUAUUCUUUUUUUGUUCUUCAGAACAAAAAAAAAAAAAAAAAACAGAAAUUGUGUUCAAGAACAGAAGAAAAGAACACAAACAAACAGGGCCUAAAUUUCACCCCUACCGUUCUGCCCCUUUAUUUUCUCUAUUUCUCUUCCAGUACUUUUCACCACCUUUCUGUCCACGCCUUUUCCAAGUUUCCAAGCACAGGAUACGGGUUGAAGCGGAUGGAUUCCCUCCCAUAGAUACCUAGAUUUUCACUAAGAAUCUCUCUCGCAUUUCAUGGAAACUAAGGAAAGAAUCCGUUGAUGAUGACGAAUUCGACCCCUAAACAAAAAAACUAAUAUCGCACGGGCUUGCAUUCUCACUAUUUUACAUCAAACCUUCUCUUUAGGAAUUUCUUUUAAUUCAAAAAAAAAAGAUGGGAGGAAGCUGAAAUUCACGAACCUCACGAACAUUUAAUGGUUUGUACUGCCUUGCAACGAUUCACCACUUUGGUUGCUACAGAAGCCGCCAAGGCCGUUUCAACUGAGGCCCACUCACCACUUGGGGUGUCAAAACUGAACCAGAAAACUGAACUGAAAUAAAAAUCGAAUUGAAUCAAAAUUUCAUGUAUUUUCAGUUCAAUUCGUAUUUUGAUUUGAAUAAUGAAAAAAUAAUUAUUUUUUAUUCUGGUUUGGUUUCAUUAAUUGAACUGAAUUGAAUAUCGCCUUUUGUUCUUAAUAUUACAAUUUACACAAACUCUAUCUUUUUUCAUUGAAUAUAUCUUUCUAAUAAUAAGACUUUGUAUUAAACCACACCGACCCAUAAUAUGUUACUAGCAACUCCCAAGUUGAAACCUAAUGAAUAAUAAACAAGAAACCAAAUUGCAAUCGGUGCAGCUUGAAAGAGCCAGUGCCAAGCACAUGUGCCACCUCAAAAAAGGGUUAUUCUUAACAAUCUAUCAAACUCCCUUAUACUCAUUUAAGAAGGGUUGUGACACCUUCGGAACAUUUUUGUGGUGUUCAUUUUUCGAAUUCAAGGGGUUAAUUCCACCGUAACUUAAAGAUUUCUUGGUUAAACUUCAACGUUGUAACAGUAUAAGAAAGCAUUGAUGGUGGGAUGGAACCGGGAUGAGAAUUUUUUUUUUUGUCAGAAUAACAAUACACAUUCCUUCCUUAAGUCUUGUCUUGUGAGUACAACGACACAUCAUCAAAGAAACGUAGACUCCAAAGAUCGGAAGGGGGGUAAAGGGUCCAAUUAUGAGGCAAGGAAUUUUUUCUUUGGGCCUUCGCUAUCCAAUUUGCCACAUUAUUGGACUCUCUAUUACAAUAGGCUAGCUUAAUAUUGGAAAUGUUUUUCAAAAUUUCUUGAGCUUUCAAGAUAAGCAUACGUAUAUUCCACCUGAAAUGAUCAACACUUGUGAGAGCUCUUAUCGCGUCUUAACAAUCUGACUCUAGUUGAAGACAAUCCAUAUCACGAUCAGAGAAGAAAACUAAGGUUUCUACAAAAUCAUUGACCUUGACUUGAGCUGCGAAGCUGACCCUCAGUGUUUUCGCAAAUCUAUCUAUAAUCCUUCCGAGGCUAUCUCGCAACACACCAGCAACCGCUCCAGUUGUUGAACCUUCAAUAAAGGAAGUAUUGAUAUUGAUCUUCAAUACUCCAUAUUUUGGGUUUUGCCAAAUUUGAGGUAAGUUUUGACCUUCAACGGCUUUCCCUUUUCUAGAUUUUAUUCCUCUUGCUUCAUUAUGCACCACCAAAGUUGAGUUCACCAAUUGUUGUGGAUUUGGUUUUAGUCUUCGAAAUAUAAAAUUGUUCCUUGAUUUCCAAAUAAGCCAAAGGAUAGUUGCAAGUUGCUUGAAUGGUACAAAUGUGACACUAAAGUUCAAGAGCAAUUCUUCAAUUCUUGGAAGACCUUGAGUGGGAAUUUUGAUUUGCAGUGAAGGAUCAGACUAAACUUGUUUCGUCCAUGAGCAAAGGAGAAAGAUAGGCUCUACAAUCUCUAGAUGUUGCUGACAUAAAUCAACUCAGGGUCUGGUAUAAUUCUCCUCCUGAAUAGAUUUUUCUUUGUUGGCAAAGCAUUUUGACAUAUCACCCAAAGGAAAAAUCGGAUUUUCGGUAGUGUGUUAGGCCCUGUUUGGCAACAUGCCAAACAAUGACUAAUUCUGAUUUUUUGUUCCCAAAAUCAGUUUGGGACAAGAAUCGCGUUUGGUAAAAUUUUUGUUCCCAAGAACAAUUUUGUUCCUAGAAUUAGUUUUGGAGAAGAUUUGAGAAUAAAAAAAAAAUUUGAUUUUGCGUCUGAGAAUCAGAAAAAGAAUCAACACAAUAAAACCCUUUUUCUUUCCUUCGGCCAUCCCACGACUAUCGCCUGUCGCCGCCCGCCGGAGGCUCGCCCAGCCACCGGCGAGCCUCACCGGGGCUGGGCGAGACCCGCCUGGCCACCAGCUGAGCUCGCCUAGCCUUGGUGAGCCUCGCCCAGCCCCGGCAAGGCCCGCUUGUCCACUGGCAAGGCUUGGCCAGCCCCGGCGAGGCCCGCCUGUCCACUGGCAAGGCUUGGCCAGCCCCGGCGAGGCCCGCCUGUCCACCGGCGAGGCUUGGCCGACGAGGGCCAGCCUCACCGAGGGCCGGCGAUGCUUUGGUGAGGUCGCCGGCCCUCAUCCGGCCGGUCGCCAAUCCGGCGACCGGCCAUAAGAAGAAGAAGAAAAAUAGGAGAAAAAGGAAAAAAAGAAAAGAAAAAAUGAUAAAAGAAAAGGAAAAAAAAAAGGAAAAAAAAAAGAAAAGUAAAAAAGUAGAAACAAUUAUUUAAAAAUUUAAAAAAAUAAUUUGGAACAGAAUCAAUAAACACGUUAUCAAACGCAAUUCUAUUCCAAAAUCAGAAAUUUUAGACAGUUACCAAACACGUGUUUUUACUCAAAAUCAGUUCUCGGGAACAGAAUAAAAAAUAAUCAUUUCUUGUCAGAAUCAGUUCCCGGGAACAGAAUCGUUACCAAACGCGCCCUUAGUCUUCCAAAUUUUAUUCCACAAAGCUCUGGGGGUUUGAUAUGAGGAGGAGGCAUGAUUUGGGUUUGGUUUCUAUAAAAGAUCUCUAUUCCAAUUAUGGCCACUCUUUACUGUGUAGGACUUGAAUUUGGCAUUUAACCAAACCAAUUUGUCUUUAGUGUCGUGUAACCUCAAUGGGAUGGCAAGAAUUUCAUUGACAAUAUGUUCAUCAAAUAGCUGCUUCAAUAUCUGUUCAUUCCACUUUAACUCCUCCUGGACAAUAAACUCAACUACCCUCUUAGGCUCUCCAAUGUUAGCUAGACCACCAAUAAUUCCCCUAUGUAGCAAUUUGUCUUCUUUAAUAUUUAUCUUUUCCCCAUUAGCCAUAGACCACAUAAUGGAAGGAUGGAUAGAUGCUCUCUCCAUUAGUACACUUUGCCACACCCAUGAUGGUCGAUUCCCUUCCCCAGCAUGCCAAAAGUCAUAAUUCGGGAAGUAAAACCCUUUUAAUACUUAAGUCCAUAAUGAGGAUGGGUAUUAAGUAAUUCGGCAUACUUGUUUUUCUAACAUAGCCCCAUUAAAAGUCAUUAGAUCCCUGAAAUCGAGUCCUUCACUAUCCUUCCUCCGUUUUAGCUCAUCCCACUUCCUCAAAUGUAGCCCGGCUUGUUGUUUUACCAUUUUUCCACCAAAAGGAUGCAAUUUUCUUUUAAAUUGCCUUGUAGACAGAGACGGGGAUUUUAAUGCUUGUACCACUACUUUAAUGAGUAUUUCUUUUCCAACUUUUGACAUCAAAUUUUCCUUCCAACCUUCUAGUUUCAUGUUUACUUUGGCUAGUAUCCAGGUAAACUUUGUUUCUUUGAUGCCCCUCAGUCUAAAGGAAUCCCCAAGUACUUCCCUAUCUUCUCUAGUUCAGGAACUUUAAGCUCAUAGGCUAUUUUUUGCCUCAAACUUUGUGGACAAUCCCUACUGAAAUAUACCCAUGACUUGUUUAAAUUAAUUGAUUGCCCCGAAUCAAAGCAAUACUGAUUCAAAAUAGCUGCAACAUUUUGGCAUUCCUUAAUCGUUCCAUCAACGAAAAAAAUUGAGUCAUCUACAAACAAAAGGUGAGACAAUGUGGGGCAAGAACCAUUAAGCUUAAUCCCCUUUAUACUUCCAUCCUCCAUUGCCUUUUUCAUCAAAUAAGAUAACACAUUUCCAACUAGGAUGAACAAGUAGGGGAAAAGGGGGUCACCUUAUCGGAUUCAUCUUGAUGGUCGAAAAUAGGGUAGAGGCUCUCCGUUAGAUACCAUUGUGACCCAUUGCAUAAUCCACUUCACCCAUUGAUAGCAAAAACCCAUUUUUAGCACGCAAGCUUCCAAAAAAUCUCAUUCAACUCGGUCAUAAGCCUUUUGCAUAUCAAGUUUAAGCAUUGCCUAGAACUUUCUCUUUCUUUUUCUUAUUCUCAGCUGAUGUAGCACUUCUUGGACAAUUAAGAUGUUAUCUUGAAUUUGUCUUCCACUCACGAAGGUAUUCGCUCUAUAGAAAUCAAGUUUGGAAAUUAUAUUUUCAAUCGAUUAGCCAAGACUUUUGAUAUAAUCUUAUACACAAAGUUACACAAGCUGAUGGGACGAAAUUGUUCCAGUUUUUCCAAGUUUGGGUUCUUUGAGAUGAGGGAAAUAUGUGUUUUGUUCAACUUUGGGUUGAGAUACCUUGAGUGGGAAAAUUUUUCUACCUCCCUAAAUAUUGCUUGUUGUAGAUCUUCCCAAUUAUGUUGAAAAAACUAACCAUUUAAGCCAUAUGACCCUAGAGUUUUUUUAGAUCCCAACUAGUGAACUGCUUCUAUUACUUCUUCUACUGUCAUUAGCUUUGUCAACAUAUUGUUCAUGUCCUAUCCUACUACGCAUAGGUAUUCUUCUAGUAUUGGCUAGAAAUUUCGAGAGCCAACUAAUUCGAAGAGAUUUCCAAAAUAAUCAAAUGUUUGUUGCUUUACUCUCGAUCUCAUGCUCCUAUACAUCUUCUCCUAUCUCCAUAACCUCUCAAUUUCAUUCUUUAGAAUCUACAACCUCUCUCUAUUAUAAUGUAAGUGUUGGCUAUUGGAGAUCUCCUGAAGUUCUCUCUUGAAAAGGUUUUUCUUUCCAUUAGAGAACUUUGUUUUGCUCCUUUUAGCCUUUUCAACAAGUCUUCAUGCUCCAAUUUCACCGAGUGCCAAACUUUUUUGAUGAUUUCUCCACAUUCCUCACCUUCAAGUAAAAAAACUUCAAAUUCGAACUCUUUUUUCCUUUGUAUUGGCUCGGGAAAAAGAGAUAAUAAAAUAGGACUAUGGUCUAACCCUAUGGCUAGUAAUGCAUAUGCCUUAGCAUUUGGAAAGCAAACUUGCUAGUCCAUAGUGCAUAAAACCCUAUACAAUCUUUCCUUGACAUGAUUAUUUCCAUCCCUAUUAUUUGCCCAAGUGAAAGCACAUCCCUUAUUUUGCAAGUCCAUCAAGGAACAAGCAUUUAGAAAGUCCCGGAAAGCAUUGAGCUGAUAGUGUUCUGCCAUGCGCUUCCCUGCUUUUUCCCCAGUGAUAAAUGAUUUCAUUGAAAUCUCCUAUGCAAGCCCAUGGUAGAUAAUUCAAGAGGCUAAUGUUGUGCAUAUCCUCCCAAAGAACUAGUCUUAUAUGGAAAUCAUUUGGUGCAUGUAUAAAGGUUAGUCACAUUUUCUAUUUUGUUUCCUCUAAUACACACACCAAAUCUAUAAAGAUUUCAGAGUUUGACUCCAUUGUCAUAGAUACUUUUUCAUCCCAAAAAUAAGCCAUACCCCUUACAAUGCCUCUCAGAUUCACCAAAAAACUAUUAUGGAGUCAUAACUACCUCCUUAAACGAAGCACUAUUGAUUCUCAAUUUUUGGUCUCCAUAAGAAACACAAUAUUAGGCUUUUCUUGAGCCACAAGGACUUUGAUUGCUUGAAUUGUCAAGGAAUUGCCCAACCCUUGACAAUUCCAACAUAUCAACUUCAUUUGUAAACCGGUGACUUAUUGGAACUAGCCACCAAAGCCCAUUCCAUUGUUCUUAACACCUCAUGAACAGGUGUAUUCAGUAAUUGAAUCUCAUCUAGUAACUGUGAGUUUGCCAUUUGUGUAUCAUAGGGGCUAUACUUGCAUUUCUUUUUACUAGCAUAUUUAUUGGUCUCUUUAAACUUAUUAUUCUAAGCAACUUUUGGAAGCAUUUACAAAUCAAGGGAGGGAGAGUCACUACUCUUACCUAGAUCAGGCAAAUUGGAAUGAAAGAAGUCCUCACCUUGCUUGGCUUGCGCCUGCAUAAUUAUGUCCCCUUAAACUACACCUUUUCCCUUUUCUGCCUGAAAAUGAGUCGGCUAAGAUACAGGGUGCUGGAUGUCUCUUGUAAAGGGCAUAAUUUGGAGGGAAUGUAUUGGAGUUUUGGGGAUAUAAUCUUCCUCUUCGUCUUCUCCCUUUAACUUCCCAUAAAACGGCUUCAUAAAAGGACUGUGACCUUGUGCUUCGACCUUUAGCCAUUGGCCGUAAAGACACUUUUCCUCAAUUUCAAAGUUUUCCUCUUUGAAUUCCACUUCUUCACAAUCAUUGACGUAAUGGCCCAAUUUACCAUAGGAGUAACAGAAGUUAGGAAGCCUCUCAUAUUUAUAAUCCAAUUAAAGCUUUUUCCCUCCAUUACUGGUAAUAAAUCCAAAUUUUAAGGGGGUUGUCACAUCUAAGAGGACGCUCGCCUUCCCAAUUUUGUGACCAGCAUCACCCUUCGCUUCAACCUUCACAUUCAUAACCAAACCAAGACUUUUAACAAUCCUAACAGCCACUUCUCUGUAAGCCAUUCAAAAGGAAGUCCAUGGAUCUGCACCCAAAAAGUACACAUAUUAAACUCAUAAUGGUGUGGAGGCAUAUCUAGCUCCCAUUUUUUGAGUAGUAAUAGAUGGCUUAAAAAGGACCAAGGACUAAUCCCAUACACUUGUAGUAGAUCUGCCUCCGUCAUAAAUGUAAUGGCAUAUAUUCCAUAUUCCAAAGGGGAGAAGAUUACAUUCUCAAGUCUCCAUGCUCUCCUCAUAGUGUUUUGGAAAGCUAGAAAGUUUAUCUUUGGGCUUUGAAAAUGCUUGCCAACAAGGGUGAGCCUGCCUUCUUUAAUUUUCUUUGUAGGAACCACCUCAUCCAUUGCAGUUAUUUCUAUUCCCGACCGAAGUUUGCCUAAGUGUUUGCUAAGAACUGCUAUUCGCAUUAAUGCUUAAGACCCACUAAGUGCAAUCUAAAGACCCUUUUGAUUUCUGAUAUUGACUUCAGCUUGGGACGUUGUUGGAUGAGUCACCGACCAUAAAAACCCAUUUACUAGACUCUCAGUAGUUGCUCUCAAAAGGCUAGAGUCAGCAAAAAAGGUGAGGCAUCAAGACAAGGAUUUGGGUUUAAGGUCGAUUAGGGUUUAUAGGUUGUUGGGGUUUAACGGAAUUUCCACUUCCUUUGUUGAGAAGGAGCCACUAGUGCAAAGAUGUGUGUUUGUUUUUGUGUGAUUCACAGGGGGUUGAAAAGAAAUGUGACAAUAAAGAUGAGGGUUUUGUGAUCCCUACCAUCACGGGUAGAGGAGAGCUCUUCAAAACGAGAGAGAGGACUUCCAGCAACUGGGAUGAGUUUUGGAACAACCGUCCUUGUGCAUUGCAGAUCUUCAACCGGAAAAUGCAUAGAAUCGCAACAUUAAAUUGAAAUAUAUUUAGGAUCAAUUAUAGUACAAAUUCAAAAUCUAGCAAUCAUAUAAAAUGAGGAAGUCAUGCUCAAAAUAAUGUCUUUUUGCUGAAAAUUAAUUUUUUUUUUGGACUUUAAAAAUUAUAAAAUAACCUUGAAAUUCUUAGUAAAGCAAACAUAAUUUCGCAAACGAUUUAUCGAGUUCAAGUUUCGAGCUAAUUAUCUGUCAAAUAAGGUUGAAAUAAUUGUGUAUCUAUUAUAGAUAACAUUGAGAUUACAAAUAAAAUGUCAGUUUCGUAAUUAACAUAUAAUCAGGUUGGGGCUUGAGUAAGUUGCUACUCAAAACCUGCUCACAUUCCAUUUAAAACAAAGGCGUUUGAGGCUGUUUUAAGCCUAAGUAAGUCCACCUUCUUUCUAUCUUUGCUGCCACUUUUUCUAAUCCAACCAUUGGGGACGCAUCAUUUUUCGCUUAUUUUAUUUUACUACUAACUUAUUUAUGACUUUAUUAGAGUGUUUGGAGAAUAUAAUGCGUUCUCUAUUCUUUAUAAUAUUAUAUUUUAUAUUAUUAAUUUACUUUUAUUUUGAAACCAGGACUGAAAUCCCAGCUGAGCCUAUUUGGGACCGAAGGUCAGACCGGGUCGAUCCCGGUUAUCCGGCUCCUAGGGUUUCACUCACCCCUAGCAACAAGAAGAAAUACAGCUUAUUCGAAGAAACAAUUUUGUUCAAAUUAGUCUGGCAUAUUUGUAAUAAAUUGAACAACUAUCUACUUUGUAAGAAGAACAUAUAAACUUUCAUUUAUUAAUUUUAUACGUUUCAAAGAGGGGGCAUAAAUGAAACGAUUUCUAAUUUUAUGACGAAACAUAACAUAUUAUGCAUAGAAAUUUAUGGGUUAAUCAAGUUAAAGAAAUCUCCCUCUUUAAAGAUUAUGUCGCAAAACACAUAAAUCAUCUAUAAAAAAAUCGAGAGCAAUAAAUAAAUAGGUACUUCAUUUAUUUAAGGGACAAUCAUCAAAUAACGAUAACCAUGAAAUCACAAUAAGGCCCAAUGAAACCAAUCCAACUCCAAUCCAAUGAGCCCAACAAGAACAUAUAAAUCUGCCCUAAUCCUCCAACAUGCCAUCCCAUAUAACUUGUUCCUUCUUGAAGUAAGCAGCAUCACGUCCAACCGUUGCAUCGACUUCUUCCUUAACAGCGACCUUCUCUUCGAUCUCAGCAAGCUUCAUCACAUUGGUAUUCGCACCAACGUUUGCUUCCGUCUUCACAGCCUCUUCCUUCUUCGGAGUCGCAGUCAGUUCGGUCUUUCGAGCCUCGCCGCACGUCUGGCUUGCGUAGCUUCUGGAGCAGCGGCUUUCUACUCUCCAUCUCUUCCCUUCUGUUUUAUAUAUCUUUCUGCUGCAAGAUUUGAACUGUAGAUUUGAAAUGUGCAUGACGGUUUUCCCACUCGAGAACCGUGAUUCAAGAAAAGCUGACGGGCUCUUGCGGUUUUCAAAGGAGCAAUUGAAUUAGUUUCAUUUCGAUGGGUCUAUUUUUUAGGUUCGAGAACUGCAAAGAACAGCACAAUUUAGACUUUGUUCAUUAUUGGUCGGACGUUUUGCAUGCCAAAAGCUUUGGCCGUCGUGAAAACUCAAUUUGAGAAUGACGUUAGCAACACGCAAAAAAAAAAUAUAAAAAAAAUCAACCAAUUAUAAUAACUAAUGGUAAGCUGAUAUAGAUUUGAAGUAAAAGUUAAAACCUUUCUCAAAAAAAUAUUUGCGAGAAGAAUAAGGUAGUUCUUCAAAUUUAUGCCAUCAUAUAUGUCGAGUGGCUAAGUUUCAUUCAGAGUUUAAGUUGGGCAUCAUUACUAUUUUAUUGAAAUGAUACAAUUAAAACUUUGAAUGUAUUGAUUUGAUAUGAUUUAGUCCUUUUGGUGAUGAUCUGCCCAGUUUUGCUGACGUUGCACGCCAAGAAUCUUAAGUGGCGCUUUUUUCAUGUUCUGUUUAUCAAAUAAGAUGAUGAUGUUGAGCCAUGUUAGAAAAAAGUAAAACGUAAAAUCUAAAACAUAAUAAAAGAAAAUUCAAACAUAAAAGAGAAAAGAAAACCCCCAAAAGUAGAAGAAAUAAAAACGAGAGAAAGAGAGAAUGGUACCGAUUUGGGUUCUUUAGUCGUAGUGGUCAACGGCCCUUGCAAAGCCCUUAUGGUGGCUAGCAAUUAAAGCCUAUUUCAUAACAUUUUUGUUUCUCUCUCUUUUUUUUUUCCUUUGUUUCUUGAAAAAGAAAAGAGAAUUACAUUUGUGUACAUUAGUCAAUUUUUUCUAUUCAAUUAACUUUCUCAUGACAGCUCACCACAAGGAAAGUCAUGACAGUAAUGAAUCUCUUGUCGUCGCCGCCACCCUCUCGGCCAUCAAGAAUUCAAGAUUGGUUGUUUCGAGCAAAUAUCUUGAAUUUGACAUGAGUCGAUCCUUAGAAUAUCUCAUUUAAGACAUGAAGAAUUACUAUAGUAGUCCUUUUUCUCUUCUCUUUAGACUUACAGGUAGAAUAGUAUCUUAACUAAGUUAAUAAAUUACUAUAGUCAAUUAAUCAAUUUCGAACUCCAUUUGAAUUCAACACUCCCAUCCACUCAAUUACUAGAAGUCGUUAGUAUCAAAUGGCAGAUUUAAUUUCGAUACCUUGGAAAUAUCAAUAAAUCAUAGGAGUACGAAUAUGCAUAACACACGAGGGAUACUCCGGAUACAUACAUAUCAUGGCAGUUGCUAAUUCAAAUGGGCCGAGGAGCUUACAACUACCACUGAAGAAAUCCAGUCGCGACACCUGCGCGUGACUCCCACGCUUCAACCCCAAGCAAACGUGAUGCUCUCCAAAUUAGGCGGGAAGCGGAAGAGAUCGAAACCCUAGAAUUCAAUUCAUCCCAAGCAGCUUCCCUACAAUCUCUCUCUCUCUCUCUCUCUCUCUCUCUCUCUCUCUCUCUCCGAUAUGGGAAUCAAGGUAGUUUCAGUUCGACCUCCGUCUCCUCCAAUCCGAUUAUUUUCCAUAUGUUGUUCAUCGAGUCUCGUCCACUGAUUUCGAUAGGGACUGACGAAGCUACUGGCGGACAAUGCCCCGAACGCCAUGAAGGAGCGGAAGCUCGAGAGCUACUUCGGCCGGAGGAUCGCCGUCGAUGCCAGCAUGACUAUCUAUCAGUUCCUCGUUAAGUUGCUUUCUAUGGAUUGAUGCCUGUGAUUGCGCGUUUCGGUUUGUCGGUUGGGAUUUGGAUUUUGAGUGUUGGGGUUUUUUGGUUCUUUUGAUUGGUGGAUUAGGUUGUGGUUGGGAGGAAGGGGACUCAGAUGCUCACCAACGAGGCUGGUGAAGUCACCAGGUACACUGGCAUUGUGAUACUCCAUAAAAAUGAAAAUCCACUUUUGAUGUGAUCUUUGUGCUUGGAAAGUGUUUGAGUUUGAGCUGCUUUCCCGUGCAGUCAUCUGCAAGGCAUGCUUUACCGGACGAUUAGGCUGUUGGAGGCGGGGAAAAUGUCUUCUUUUUCACUCACACAUAUGCUUGUUCACUUGUCUAAUGUCUUCUUCUACGUAGUCAUUUACAUUCGGUAUGUUCUUUACUAAGCCCUUUGUCCAAGGGAUUUUUGCUGAUUUUGAAUUCCUAUCAUUGCUUAAUUGUUGUGUGGUAACCAGAAUUCAUCUACCAUGAAUGGUGCUUUAGCUGUAAUAUUUGUUUUUCAGGUUUAUGCCGUUGCUUCUGAAGACAUGGAUUCCCUUACUUUUGGAGCUCCUAUAUUUCUUCGCCAUAUUAUGGAUCCCAGCUCAAGAAAAGUCCAGUCAUGGAAUUUGAAAUUUCCAAGGUACUUAGAAAAGUUUAUUCAUUGUGAUUGCUUAAAUUUUUUUCUCUUUUUCCUGACUUUUAGAUCUUGGAGGAGAUGAAUCUGGAUAUGGAUCAAUUCAUUGACCUGUGCAUUCUCUCUGGAUGUGAUUAUUGUGAAAGCAUUCGAGGUAGACGUGAUAUUGUUGCAGUGCUCUGUUAACUGUUUUAUUCUAUCGCAUAUUUCCCUCUUGUAUUUUGGCUUGAUGAUUUCGUUGGCUUUACUUUGGAAUGAAUUUAUCAGGUAUUGGAGGGCUGACUGCUCUUAAGCUUAUCCGUCAACAUGGUUCCAUAGAAAACAUACUAGAGAAAAUAAACAAGCAGAGGUGCUUCUUAUGCUUUUAUUUUGUCCCCUGACUUGUAAGCAAAAGUAGGCAGCAAAGUUUCUCACUGUAAUUGUCUUGGCUGCUGAAUUCCUUGACUUAAAAGAAUUAUCUCUCAAACUCAGCUGGCAUGGAAAUAUUUGGUCAACAAUUUGAAACUGAAAGAUCAAUUGCCACCAAUAGAUUUGGGCUGUCAAUCAGUGCAUCGGCCAUGCUAUUUCAUGUGUUGAUUUACUACAAUACUUUUAUCUAUUCUGAUGUCUGCUUUGUCUGUUCCUUCAUCUCACUUGAACAAAAUCAUACUGUUUCUCUAUCCUUAAGACCCAAAGGUUCUUUGCAUUACUUGGAAGUCUUUAUUCAGUUCAGUUGUCCUUCUUAAGGAAAUGUUUGCUUGUUUUUUGAAUAGGUAUCAGAUACCAGAUAAUUGGCCCUACAGCGAAGCUCGACUGCUUUUCAAGGAACCAAUAGUUUCUACGGAAAAACAGCCUGAGAUAAAAUGGACUGCUCCAAAGGAGGAGGUUGGCCAUUUUCAUGUUGGGAUUUACUUGCAACAUUUCACUUUUUGAAUUUUUGACUCGUUUCCUAACUGAUUGUUAUUUCCCUUUCAAGGGCUUAAUUUCUUUCUCGUGAAUGAGAAUGGGUUCAACAUUGACAGAGUGACGAAGGUAUGGCUUUUAUCUUCAGUAAUGUGUUGGUCAGUUGCCUACCGGAGGAAGUUGCUUCUUUUCCUCUGAAGGAGAGAGCAUACAUGUUUUCAAUGUUGUUUUACCAUGUGUAUCGGGCAAUAGAGAAGAUUAAGGCAGCUAAGGAUGAGUCAUCACGAGGCCGUUAACUAAAGCGUGAACAAAUGAAAGUGACUUCCAAAUCUUAUCCCAUGAUUCCUUUCGUUUAUUCUCUACAGAUUAGAAUCCUUCUUUAAGCCAGCGCGGAAUCUGUCUGUACCUGCUAAGAGGAAGGUAUGUCAUCUUGACAUCUUUGAGGACCGAGCACCUGGAAUUUUCCUUCUUUUAGUGUAUGUGAGGUGUAAUAUCACACAUUGCUCUAGUGAAGAGAUGUCUUGAGAUGCUUCUUAUGAUGGAUUAAUAGUAAUCUUUUUAACUCACUUUGUAAGCCUUUGAUUGCCCUAACAGUGCACAAAUUUUCAGAUCUUUGUGACCAUUUUAAACUUAGGUAGUAUGUUGACAUUCCCCUGUUGCUUAUGCCCGAUUACUCUAAUAUAACUUUACUGAUGUGCUAAUGGUGUUGCAUCACCCUGUUUAUGAAAUCGAUUAGAUAAACAAAAGCGCCAGUGUGCUUAUACGGAUCUGUUAAGAGUUUCGGCCUGAUUAACUAUUGUAAUUGCACUGGAUGACAGGGAAGCAAAUGCACACUUCAAUCCCCCAAUCUGGCGAUCAAGCCUAAGACAUUCUCUACACAAGUCUCUGUAAAUCCCCAGCCCAGGUUCCGUGGCAACGUUAAAAUGCCCACCAUGGUCCUGGGUUUGAGAAACUUCAAACAACCAUUGAGAGUUGUCUGCCUCCCGACAUGGAUCUAAAUGAUGGUGAAUGUAAGAACCCUAUUCAUUGAGCAAGUCCUGACUUGUCGAUGCUGUUUUUGCCUGUAGUUGGAAACAAGUUGAUGCUUUCCUUUCCUUAAAAAUGGAUCAUGUCUUAUGGUACUGCAAUUUUGGGAGAGAGCUGUAUAAAUUUUAAUUGGAAGGAUGAAGUUUGCCCUCCAUGCUAGAUCGAAAGGGGUACAUAUUUUUGGGCAGAGUGCAUAUUUGUGUUCCUUUUAUAGUGUGUAUAUGCUAUCCUAAGGAUUCCAUUUCUUCCUUGGAUUGUACAUUUAACAGUACGUAUAUAUCACUUAUGCUAAUUGUAUGUUAUUGUCAUCCAUGCACCAGGAAACCCCUAAGAAUAUUGCCUCCAGGGCCGGUGGUGGUAAGAAGAAAAAUAGUUUAGUCGGCAUGUAACAGAUCAUGGAACACCAAAACCAUCGACUUCUAAAACACAAUGAGGAUGUAACAGACAUACUUUUCAAAUCUAUUUCUUUUCCUGCUAAUGCACUUCAAAUUUAUUAAAAGUAAUUUUUUUCAUGUGUAUCUUUGUGAAUAUUUAGUUUUUAUUUACUAAUUUUCCAUUUCUAUUAUUCUAACUCGCUAGAUAUGUAUGCUCUACAAAAUCCACCUUUUGAUUCCUUGAUAUGAAUCAAUAGAAGAAAUUUGUUUAUUUGAAAAUAUUUUAUUGUUUUAUAUUUCAGAGACAUUUUAAAUUAGAUAUCUGUGUAACCUUAAAGUCGGACUUUUUAGAGUUAUUUGUACAUAUUUACGUGCUAGUUUAAUAUAACUAAACCUGAAUACUAUCAUUUAGUAGCAAAACAUAAUUAGGUCAUUCAUUGUACUUUUAUGUAAAGAAUAUAUAAAUGGAUAACCAAUGUUAUUUAUAAAUGUAUCUCAAGAUAUAUUCUCUUUAUUUUUUUCUUAAUUUUAAUUUUAUAAUAGUAAAAAUAAUAAUUAUAAUAGAUGACGGACCGUGUAGGUUUCACCUUGACAGUAAAGGAAAUUUCCAAGGAUUUUUAUUAGGUCAACUAACAAUGUGAAACCUUACCAAUGAUAUGAUUUCAAUUUACUUAUAUACAUCAUACAAAUACAAACAAAAUAAAUCCCUAACUAAUGAUAGGAUUCUAGUUUACUUAUAUACCAUACACACCAAUAAUAUAACAUAACCAAUCAAUGGUAGGAUUUGAGUUUCUUAUAGAUGUUGCGCAUACUAAUAAAACAAAUUACCUAAUUAAUGAUAGGAUUGCACUUUACUUACAUACAUUACAAGUUAAUAGCAUGUAUGAACCUAUACGAAUUAGUUGGUAUGUAGGUUCACAUAUCAUUCUUUCAAACCCCAUAAGCUCCUAAACUCCUCCAUAUGCAUAUCCAUUUUAAGCUUGUUUCAUCUUUCCAACCUCUAAUUUUCGCAUCCUAAUUUUGCCAUUCUCUCUCCCCUAAUGGUGGUUCCAUAUGUUUUUAUGGUAUGACUUCAGGUUUGGGUGCUCUUCCCAUCGCCUUCCUCUUGAGAUGGAAGUCGAUGAGCUCUGCAUUGGUUGGGUCGACUAGAAAGCUGCGGAGAAGAGCUUCUAAUUUCUUUGCGAAACCCAAAUGUUCUCAUGCCGUAAUCCCAUGAAGAGUUUCUUCAGAGACCACAAUCAACAACCCGCAUAGCAUCAUGCAAACAACUCAGCCGCGCCAAGACCAGCUCUGUGUCAUUCAAACAUUUUAACCUCUCAAACACCAACCAAGCAACAACAGAGUAAACCAUAACAAAGGUAGUAACAUCAAACAUCAACUCCACAUUUGAUGCAAUUUACUUUGAUGUUGCUGAGUUGGUGUUUGAGGGGUUGAAUUGUUUAAAUGAUGCUGAGGUGGUUUUGGCAAUGCUGAAUUGUCUGCGUGAUGCCGUGCAGAUUUUUUAAUUGUUGUCUCUGAAGAAACUCGUCAUGGGAUAACAACACAAGACAACAGUCGUAUUUCACGUUGACAUUAAAAGAUAUUCGUCAUUGGUUUCUUGCUAUGUUUUCAUGCACGCGGACAGUUCAUGCAAGGAAGGAAUGAAUACAAGUUAUGUGUAUGAGACUGACAUUGCAAGCUUCCACACCUGCUUCAUUCUUUCUUGGUGGGGCUGAUUGUCUAGUUGCCCUUUUUAUUCUCUCUUAUUUGUGGAGACUGUAUCAGUGUGUAGCCUAAUUCUUGAGAUCUCUUCCUCCUCGUCAGCCUAAGUUGAAGUUUGUUGCCUUCAGCUUCAUUUUUUUAGGUCGUUGGAAGCCUAAUCCGCACCAGAAGACAAAUAGUUUGGCUCCGCCUCCACGUCCUUGCAGUGCUCCUCACAGUCUCUCGUCUCCGAGAAGCUUGCACUACUCUGCGACGUAUGAAGUCGUUAAGUCUCUGGGACGAAGUCAUUCUUGGUUGAUAUCAUAUGCCGAGCUUUGCAAUCUACUACUUUCUAUAUACCUUAUCUUCAUAGAGAAGUUAUUAGGCGGUUCCGCUCCACCACGUGAGCACAGUCCCUCUCCACCCUGUGAGUAACGCUUGGAGCCACGUCAACGGGUGUUCCUACUGGGAAAGAUCUUAAAAUUCUCUGUAUUGCGAAUUGUUAGGUCUCCCUCUUGUGAGGAACGAAGAAACUCUCUCUCUCUUCUUUUCAAAAUUCACUGUCUCGCCUUUGCUCCCAAUCUGCUGCAUUCUCCGACGCAUCACCUCUGCUGUCCUCUCCAGGAGGCCUGUCAGCAGCUCCGAUUUGUCGUCUAUGUCUAGCAAGCUCAAGUCUGCUGCAUUCUCUGCCACAUUGCCGCUGCCCUCCGGUGUAGAACAGCAUCAUGACGAUUUGCCAUGAUCAUUCUGUAGUGGAUUCUGAACAAUAUCGUGCUUGUGCUGUUGUAGAAACCGGGAGCAAGCUGUGCACAGUAUGCACCGCCAUAUAUAGUUCUUCAGUUCGUCAGGUGCUCUCGUACUCUGCGCCUCUCCCGCAUCAGCUCCUCAUUAUAGUAGACAAUUGUGCAAACAGUACUGUUUCUGAGUAGGUCUGGAUAUUGGUCCUUGAGUGGCUAGCAUUCCUAGCUGUGUUUUCAGACUAAAAAACGGGCAGAUACGAUCCGUAGAAUCUAUUCCUCUUUUCUUAUCCAUGUAGAAUUAUGUAUCAGGUUCCAAAACAACAUACAAGAAUGUCAGAAGAUGGAGUACAUAAGAUGACCUUUGUGUAAGAACAAUGAUGUGAUUUCUCUAAUUCCUUGUUUUCCAACAAUAUAAUGUGAGUUCUUGGCAUUACCGUUUACACAUUUUGUUUCAUAGAUGAUGCAGGCAACCAAUUACGUAGCCUCCUGCUUAGGCAGAAGACGUGCAGUAUGGUAUGACUCGAAACAUAAAUUUAAAAAAACAAAAAUGCUGAUCUGAGUGACAUUUUUCCCUGGAUAAAUGUAAAACGUAGGAGGGAAAUGAUGAAGAUGGUCCAAUGACAGCUUACCGGGUUCUUCUAUCUCAUUCUUCCCUAUGAGUGGUGAUGCAUAGGAUCGAUUUUCUAGCAGAUUCUCCUCUCCUCCGUUAUUCCUUUAUACAUGUAUAACUUAUCUACCCAAUAGAUACCCCCAAUCUAUCUCUGUGGCAUCAAGUUGUAAAGUAGGAUAAUUGUUACUUAGCAUUUGCAUUACUACCCUCUAGAAAGAAAGAUUUUGAUUGCCUAUAUCAAAGUGCCCGUUUGUUCUUUGAUUCCAGAUAUGCCAGAGAAGCACGAUUGAUAUUACAUUGUCCAAAUGAAGGAUUACUACCCUCUAGAAAAGUUAAAGAUAGUCCAAUGACAACUUCCAGGUUCUUCCAUCCCAUUCUUUCUUCCAUACAAGUUGUGAUGCAAAUUAUGGAUUUUCUAGAAGAUUCUCCUCUCCUCGGCUAUUUCUUUAUACUCUGUGGCAUCAAAUUAUGAAGUAGGACAACUGUCACUUAUCAUUUGCAUUACUAUCCUGUAGAAAUAAAGGUUUUGAUUGUCUAAAUCAAAGUACCUAUUUUUUCUCUGAUUCUAGAUAUGCCAGAGAAGCACACUUGGUAUUACAUUACGCAAAUGCAGUGGUAAAUACCAAUUUCAUUUGGUAUAGAAUAUCAUCAUCACCAUUUACCAUGAUCAUUAUGUUGUGUAUUCUGAACAAUAUUGUGCUUGUGCUGUUGUAGAAACUAGGAGCAAGCAGUGCACUAUCUGCACUACCAUAUGUAGCUUCUUCAGCUCGCUAGCUACCUUCAUACUUUGCAACUCCUCCCGUAGCAGUCCUACUUACGGUGUACUCACAACAGCAUACGUUGUGACAGCUCCUGCAUACCCAUCGUAUCCACCAUAUCCAGUGACGUACCCACCUCCACCACAUUUUCCCCAUCCUCCAACAGCCGACGUGCGGACCCCUGGAGUGCCUUAACUUUGGCCAAAGGGACACUUAAGUGCUAUAACUUACGAAAGGUACACUUAAGUACCAAAAUCGGAGUAAAAUGGAUCACUUGAGUGCCAAUCUGGCCAAAAUUCGGUGAAAAUAUCGACGUGGCAUUUUUCCGGCGAAUCGAGCCCAAAACGACAUCGUUUUGCACACCGACGUGGCCAAAACGGCGUCGUUUUGGGCUGACAUGGUAAAAAAAAAUUUAAAUUAAAUUAAAUUUAGUUAAAAAUUUUAAAAAUAAUAAUUUUAAAAUUAAAUUUAGUGAAAUAUAAAGUAUCNNNNNNNNNNNNNNNNNNNNNNNNNNNNNNNNNNNNNNNNNNNNNNNNNNNNNNNNNNNNNNNNNNNNNNNNNNNNNNNNNNNNNNNNNNNNNNNNNNNNCCAGGAGUCUCGUCAGCGGCUCCGAUUUGUGUUCAGCAAGCUCAGAUCCGUUGUAUUCUCUGGCGCAUUGCCGCUGCCUCUGGUAUAGAACAUUAUCAUGACCAUUUACGAUGAUCAUUCUGUAGUGGAUUCUGAACAAUAUUGUGCUUGUGCUAUUGUAAAAAUCGGAAGCAAGCUGUGCACUGUCUGCACCGCCAUAUGUAGCUUCUUCGGCUCCUCAGGUGCCUUCGUACUUUGCACCUCCUCCCACAUCAGCUCCUCCUUCUAGUACUCCAUUUUGCUAACAAAACUGUUUUCAAGUUGUUUUGGAUUUUGGUGUGGCUAGCGUUCUUAUCUUAGUUGUAUUUUCCAUUGUUAGGCCCCAUAAGGUUCUUUCUUAGAGCUUGAACAAUAUGGCCUGGACUCCUUAGACUAAAAAAUAGGCAAGUACGAUCCGUAAAAUCUAUUUCUCUUUUCUUAUGCAUGUAGAAUUAUGUAUCAGCUUCAAAAGCAACAUACAAGAAAAAAAUGUGAGAAGAUGGAGUACAUCAGAUGACCUUUGUGCAAGAAUAGUGGUGUGAUUUCUCUAAUUCACUUGUUUCCCAGCAAUAUAAUGUGAGUUCUUGGUAUUACUAUUCACACAUUUUGUUUCAUAGAAUGAUAUAGGCAGCCAAUUACGUAGCCUCCCGUUUAGGCACAAGAUGUGCAGUAUUGUAUGACUUGGUACUAAAAAAAAAAAAAAAUGCUGAUCUGAGUAACAUCCUCCCCUGGAUUAACGUAAAACAUCUGAGGGAAAAGAUGAAGAUAGUCCAAUGACAGCUUACCGGGUUCUUCUAUCUUGUUCUUUCUUCCAUAUGAGUUGUGAUGCAUGUGAUGGAUUUCCUAGCAGAUUCUCCUCUCCUCGGCUAUUCCUUUUUACGUGUAUAACAUAUCGACCCAACAGAUGCCCCCAAUCAAUCUCUGUGGCAUCCAAUUAUGGAGUAGGACAAUUGUCACUUAUCAUUUGCAUUGCUAUCCUCUAGAAAGAAAGGGUUUGAUUGUCUAAAUCAAAGUGCCUUUUUUUUCUCUGAUUCCAGAUAUGCCAGAGAAGCACGCUUGGUAUUGCAUUACACAAAUGAAAUGGUAAGUAUCAAUUUCAUUUGGUAUGAACAUCAUCAUCACCAUUUACCAUGAUCAUUCUGUAGUGGAUUCUGAACAAUAUUGUGCUUGUGCUAUUGUAGAAACCAGGAGCAAGCUGUGCACCAUCUGCACCGCCAUAUGUAGCUUCUUCUGCUCCUUAGCUGCCUUUGUUUUGCACCUCCUCUCGCAUCAGCUCCUCCUUGCAGUGCACUUGCCACAGCACACCUUGCGACAGCUCCUGCAUACCCAUCGUAUCCACCAUAUCCAGUGAUGUACCCACUUCCGCCACAUUUUCCCCGGCCUCCAACGGCCUAUCCUCCUCUAGCAUACCCUCCUCCCCCUUCGGCUUAUCCUCUGCACCCAUCUCCACCACCUCCCAGCCCACCUGGUAUGCGCCAAGUUUCAACCAUUGUGCAUGAAUUACCUAAUUAUUAGGUUGAUUCUAUGUUGUUCAUUGCCGAGUGUAGUUAGUAGUUCAUUUCUCAGGUCCUUAUUUGGGGCAUUAUCCUCCACGACCUUGCUGAGAGAGAGCUUCUACUAGAAGAAAGGUCAAAGGUUCCGCAGGAAGCUGCUAUUGUAUAGUCAUGUAAUAACGUUGUCAAACACUGGAAGUUCUCUUCCUUUGACCUGGAAACUUUUCUUUGUUUUCUAAUCUUAUUUACUUGUCAAGAGGUGUUUGUAUAUCAAAUUACCUUCAUUGUAAACCGUGGCAUCUUCUGCUGGUUCCAUUUUUUUUUUUUUAUAAUGAACAAAGUCUGCAUACAAUCUAAAUAUCUUGCUAGCUAAAGAGGGAAAGCCAAUUUUAUUUGCAAAUAGCUAUCAUAAGCAGUAGGUGUAAGAGCGCAGUUACAUUGUGCAUAUUUGCAAACGACCUAGUGCAAAUUGCUAAAUCUUUAAGUCAUAUGUAAGUCAAAAUCUAUUUUGCAGUUCAUUUGCAUUAUUCGCCUUAGUUUCUGUUGGAAUUGAUGACUCAAAUCACGCUGCCUCUCAUAUCUUACAUUUUUAAAAAGAAGCUAAAGCGAACUGCCAAGAUAGUUACAACACCACGGAAGAGAGAAUUCGCAUGACAGGCUUUCUAUUCACGAGUCACCAUAACAAAUUUUGAUGGGCCUCAACAAGUAUAUAAUCAAAUGAACUCAAUCCCCAACAGUUCUUUCGCAAGAGAAAAGAAAAAAAACGUGAGAAACAAUCUAGACGGGUUUGAUUUUGAAAGUGUAAUAUUAUUUAUGUAACAUAACCAUAGCCUCUACUUUGCCUAUAGUAACAUUACACAUUCAAAUGAUUGCUAAAGUUCCCAAUUCUCUGCAAAAUGUGUCCCGUCAAAGUAAAUUUGAAAUCUAAGGAGAAUAUACUUGCAAUGCCUUCUUACUCGGUCCUUUUGAUAACUUCUACUCCCUCGCAACAAAAAAGAAAUAUUGUCAGCACCUGGCAUUUUCACAUGGAAAGUCACGAAAAUGACAAAAGAAUCUUCAAUUGACAUCUCUAUGGUAAUCAAUCAAGAACAAGUCGAUCUCUUGUGACAUUGAUAAUGAUGAUCAUAUAUAGAACAAUUGUUGUUAGAUUAAUUCCCCUAAAAAAGAACAAAACUCACUUGGAGAAGUUAUUUGAUAAGUAUGCAUCUUAGAGGUGAUCUUUCUGCACCAAGCAAUCUCAAAGGUAGACAUGGACUCUAUACAAUCCUGUAGGUCCAUCUUCGAGUUUCAAGCCCUCAACAAGAAUAAUUUCCUACAGCUUUAAUGUAGUGUCAAUUUCUUGAGCCUAGACUUCAUAUGAGAAAGCCAUUUUUUGAAUCCCAUGACCUCCAUCUUUGUGUUUAAUCGAUAUGAAUUAACCCUUAUGAUUGAGGCGUUUCGGAAAGCCAUUGGGGUAGGCAAUGCUUCCCUAGAUUUCAUUACUGCUCCUAUUGGUCAAGAUUCAAUCUCUCUGCUAAGUCAAUUCCUGAAUAUCCCUACCAACAAAAUUAGGGCUAUUCUUAAAGGAAAUUCAAAUUCCAUCCCAUAUUCAUUUCUUGAACAACAUCUUCUUAGCCUAGAGCCUAAAUCUGGGAACCGAAUUUCUCGUGUCUUUCUUCUCAUAUUCUUUGAUUUUGUGGUGUUCCCGCGUACUCGAAGAACAAUGGAUCCUUUAAUCACUGAUAUUGUCAAUCAAGUGUGCACAUUUAGUUGCUCUACACACAUGAUGCUCAUCAAAAAUUUUGUGUCUCUUAAUUGUUUCAAAGAAAAUAGCCAAGGAACACUUAGAGCCCUAUUAGGAUUUCUCCAAAUUUGGCUCUUUUCGCAUAUGAAAGAAUUCGCCCGUCACAUGAGGAUUGUUGAUGUCACGAAAUAUCAUCAUCAUAUUCUUAGAUUUCAUCAAAGAAAUGAAUUCUUUCCAUCAUGAUCUUUCUUUAUAUGAUUCCAUUUUCUCAAGAACCUCCCCCUAGCUUAAUUUAAUGGCAUGUCCAAUGGCUUGGGAAUUCUGAGGUGCGCCUUGUUAGUGGAGUUGACAACCUACUACCCCUUGUGGGAUUAACGAGUUUAACGUUGUAUUACCCUUCAAGGGUGCACUGCUAAUAUUGUGCGCUUCAAACGAUCCUGCCAAUCCUCAAGCUCGGGUUAUAUCAUAUUGAUUAUCACAAUAAGGUCAUUGAGGAAAACCAAAUUGGCCAUGUUGAAGCCACGAUUUGAGUUGCCAUCGGAAUUUGGUACUCCAAUUCCUCACAUUACAUGGUCACCAUAGAUGAAGCCGACUUGGAGGGAGAAAUGAGGACUCAUCUUGCUACCAUUGAUUAUAUCUACCAUCAAGGGGAACCUGAGAUUGAGGUUCAAUCGCCUGAUAUUCCUGAGCCUCAAGGUUUUCGACAAGCUCAUAUUGAGGAGCAUGAAGACGAAGCUUUGAUCGAUAAGGAAUGCUUGACCCAUGAUAACAAGUGUCUCUGCACGAUCCCAUCUAGUCUUUAGGCUUUUUAUUUGAUAUUCUUCUCUUGUAAAGGAAUUCUUUUAUUACUUCCCUCAUUUUCAUCGAGAUUUCCUUGUAUUUAUUUUUAUAUUACAUGUAAAAUUGAACCACUUUGUAAGCUUCAAGAAUGCAACGUCCUGUUUCCCUUGUAAUUGUUUGAAGUAAUUAAUAAAAAUUCAUGAAGAUUUUCAUUCUUAUGUAAUUUUUAGAAAAGGGGCAUUCAAAUUAAAUAUUUGUCGUCAUCCUUUUCAAUUGUAAUACUUCUUUUGAAGAAAUUUUGAUGAUGGAAUGUUAUAUAAUACUGGGAUUACAUACGCUUCUUAUCACUAUUUCGUCUUAAGAAAAUAUAAAAUCGAUAAGGUUUUGUAUUUUGUGGAUUUCUCUUGACUCAUGUACUAAGUGGAGUUCUUUUUCUUCAAAGGUAUUGAAAGACAGCUCAGAAACGGUCUAUUAUACGUACUCGCUACCAAGCAAGAAUGCAGAACGAACAUAUCUGCUCUCGCGUCAUUAACAUGGAGAACUAAAUGGUGUAAAUGAUGGCGCUAUUAGCCGAUCUCUCUAAUCAAGUAAAAAACUUAACAUCUGUAGCUCUUGCUACUCUUAUUGCACCUACUGAUGUGCCGGUAACUGAACCUGUGGAAAAAGGACUUGCUGAAGAAGUCCCUAUUGCUAUCCCAACAAUUAUUAAUCUAGAGGGUCCGUUUAAGGAGAUCCCGACUCCUUAUUUUGAUGAAGAAGGUUCAAGACAUCUUGCGAAAAUCAAGGAACGCCUUUGCAUGUUGUAAGACUACCAACUUCAGGGGUUCGACAAGCUGUCACCCUUUGCUAAAGUGAAGGUUCCCGAAUUCUACAAGGAGCCUAUAACGACAUUGAGUGCCCAAAGACAUAUCUGAAGUACUAUCUGGGCAAGAUGGCUUGUUAUUUUGACAAUCCUCCGCUCCUUGUCAACUCAUUUUGAGAUAGCUUGGUUGGUCUUGCGCUAACGUGGUUUAUCGAAUUGGACUUGGAAAUUAUCCAUACUUGGGAAGAUCUUGCUGACAAAUGCUUGCAACAAUACAAGUUCAACACCGAAAUCAUCACGACUCGAGAGGAGUUGGUUUGGGUCGAGAAGAGAAGGACUGAAACCUUCAAAGCCUAUACUUAAAGGUGGAGAACCACGAUGUCUUAAGUGAAACAACAUUUGUCUAAGAAGGAGGCUAUGAAAUUGCUGGUUCAAGCCAUGCCUCGGGACAUUUUCGAAAAAAUGUAUAAUCACACUUGUAUUAACUUUGCUGCGUUGAUGGAGUUGGGUGAACGCAUUGAAGGGAUCAUGCAAGAAGGACGGUUGAUUGAGACGAAUUGCAGGUAUAUCCUAAAGAAAGAGAAUGAGUCAACUGUGGAGAUUGCCUAUAUACAAAACCCCACUUCUUAGAAAAUGUACAAUCCUUUUGCUCGCAAAUCUGCUAUGGAAGUUGGGAAUUCUUCCCAAACUUCGAUUGCAAAGUAAAAACAUUGCAAAGACAAUUUACUCCAUUGCCUAGACUUAUGUCUUAACUACUUUUGAUGUUGAUCGAAAGCCAUUUGGUAGUGAGAGAAAUCCCGAGGGAUAAUCCGCCAAAAUUCCCUAGGUUUGACCUUAAUAAGACUUGUGAAUAUCAUAUGGGCGAGAAAGGACAUCAUGUGGAUAAUUGCUACAUCCUCCGUUCAAAGAUCCAGAACCUGCUGGACAAGAAUCUGCUUACAUUCAAAGACUCAAUGCCGAAUGUUCAACAAAAUCCCCUCCUAAAACAUGUAGAGGAUGUCAAUGUAAUUUUUGGGGAUGAUGACAAGUAUCCACUUCUGAUGGAUAUGCAAAAGUAGGAGCAAAUUAUGUCCUUCGUUGAUCGCCAAUUGAGAGGCGACAUCACUCGUGAUGAGAAGAUGGCUUGCUUAGGAAAGAUGGUUGAGUUGGGAAUCCUUCAAUAUGAAGAUGGUGAACUUGCUCAAGGACAGAUGUCUUUAGUUGAAGUUGAUUUAUCUAGUAAAGAGAUAAUCUCAACGGUCAUAAAACAUGCUGAGAACCUAAGCCAGGAUGAGACUCGAAAGGAGGAUCGUCAAGCCUUGAAAGGGAAAGUCUUUAUGUACUAAGAUUUUGACACCAAAAGCUAAUAUGAACAUCGAACUUCUAGCAUGGACCGUGAGUUCAUUAAAAGGGCUCACAAGAGUGGUGAAGUAGUUGAUAUCUUUGGCCAACCAAGUGGAAAUUAUGACUUCAAGGUGAAGGUCACACCAUCACUGAGUUUUUUUGUUGAUGUAAAGGACAUUGUCCCAAGUGGAUGGGAUAAUGAAGAGGACCUUGCUCCAACUUCAUCGAAGAAUGAAGAAGCCCAUUAUGAUGAAGAUGAUGAAGAUGAUGAAGAUGAAUACAACACCUCCCAUUGGUAUUGAGAGUUUGUAAGGAAAGCCCACGAGAAGGGUGAAGUAGUGGAUACCCUUGAGCAACUAAGUGGGAAUUAUGACUUUAUGGUCAAGCAUACUCCUUCUCCGAGUUAUUUCUGAAACCCCAAGGACAUCAUCCAUAGUUGAUGGGGAGAUGAAUUCGAUGGUGACUUUGUAGCUAUGAUUGAGUCGGUUGUAAUUGAUCUAACCAAAGAGGAUGUGGCAUCCGGGAAUUUCGACAACCCGAAAUAUUAAUUUUGAGGGAAACGAUAUUUGUCUUUGAAUGGCCAUAGGGACAAUUACAUCAUCGGCCACGAUAUUUUAUCUCUUGGACCGAACCCCCUAUGAAAAUGUUAAUUGAUUAUGGGAAUGUUAAUUGAUUUUUAUAAUAAUAAAAAAUCAAAAUCAAAUGCCCUAAAGUGGUGUAGGAAUUAUGGGCUUAUUAUUGAUAUUUUUCUAUGGGCUAUUUAAAUUGGACAUGGGACAACUUGGCCCAAAAUUUUCGGGCCCAAAGCAGGCCAAGAGGCCCAAACCGUCGGCCCAUGGAGGAGAACCGGAUGGAGGCCACGCCACCUCCUCCAUUUGUCCUCUUGAUGCAGCCACUUGUCUCCUUGUUGAAGCCACUUGUCCUCCUCUUGGAGCCAAGUGUCUCAUGCAUGCAAAACCUAAUGAUUACAAGCAAACAAGAGUAUAAAAGGAAAGGGGAAGGGGGCGGAGCAAUCGAGAGAAAGAGAGAGUGAGAUCGAGAGAGAGAGGAGGAGAGUUCGAGCGAGAGAGAGAGGGGCGAGUGCGGGUCGCGAGGGGGAAGAGGAAGGCCGUCUCCUGCCUUGUCUUGCUGUGUUUCCUUCGAAUUUGAGGCAAGUGAAGUCCUAAAACCUACUCUUUGUAUUGCUGUGUGUAUGUGUAGUAGAUGGUAAGUCUUGAUUGUGGUAGAUGGGAUGAAAUUUCGGAGCUAUGGAGAGAGAUUCGUUGGUCAUGCAUGCUGUUUCUGGAAAGACCAGUUUGACCAUCUUUGAGUUUGUGUGUUGCAUGCGACUUUUUAGUCGGAAUCUUGUUUCGAUUUCUUCAUGAAAUUUAUAGAAAAUACCUUGAAGAAUACUAAAAUUUGAGGCAAAACGAACAAGAAAUGGUUAGUAAAAUGAUUUUUCUUUGGAGAGACUAGAUCUGGAAUUCGUCGUGAUGACCUUCAGUGGUUUCGUGGUCUGUAAAAAGUAACCUUCUUGUUGAAAUUUCACUUUGAAUUAUUAACGAAAGUUGUAAAGGACAUCCUGAGGUUUAACAUAUCAAAAAUUUAGAGAAAAAAGAAGAAGAAUAGGUAGGUGAAAUCGUGGUCCUUUGGAGAUGGUUAGAUUUGGAAAUUUCGAUACUAGGAACAGAGAUUUUAACCGACCAUAUUUAAUUAUCUAGAACGAAUUUGACUUCAAUGUCUUCAUGAAAUAUCUACCUUAUGGUCUUGUAUAUCACAUAUUCAAAUUUCAUAAAUUUUUAGGUUCAUUUGGGUAUUUAAUCGAAAAUGUUUCUAAAACUGUGCAAUCUGAUGUGUUCGGACUUUGUAAGUUGCAAUGCAUGGACUAUAUCGUUUUGUAUGAGGUUAUUUUUGAAACAUGUUCUGCAUGAAAUAUCUCUCUUCAUGUAUUCCCUACAACAUAUUCAAAUUUAAUAAUUUUUGAAGUUCAUUUUCCUAUUUAACCAAAAAUGUUUCAAAAACUGUGCAAGUUGAACUGUUAGAAUAGUAGUGCUGCAUGGUCUAUACCGAAUUAUAUGGGGAUAUUUUGGUGUAUUGUUCUGCAUGAAAUAUCUGGAUUUAUGUCUUAACUAUCACAUUUUCGAAUUUCAUAAUUUUUGAAGGUCAUUUGACCAUUCAAUUAAAAUGUUUUCUAAAACUGUGCAAGCUGGAUUGUGCGAAUUUCAAAAGCUGUAAUGCAUGGACUAUUCUGUUUUGUAUGAAAUUCUGGUGGUGUUGUGUUCUUCAUGAGAUAAAUGCCUCUAGAGCUUGUCUAUGAUGUAUUAAAUUCUUAGAAAUUAUUAGGGCCAAUCACUAAAUUUUAAGAAGUGUAAAUUAAAAGAACGCAUUUUGUUUCUAAAAUAAUAGCAAUAAUCCAUGAGUUUGCCCCAUGAAUUAUAUUGUUUUUAAGUGAUUGAGUCUUGCUGUACAUGUGAUGAUAUUUGGCACUACAUAUAAAAUCAAAAGCUGAAAUUGACCUUGUUGCCAUCACAUCAUGUGCCAUGUUGAUAUUGAGACAAAUGUGAAUAUAAAUUAUGAUAAUGAUGAUACCGUCGGAGGUGUGAGCCGACGAUGCCUCGGGAGCCGGGAUGCCCAAAGGUUUGAAUGAGUCGAUGCCCUUUGGAUGCCCGGUUGUAUUACGAUACAUGCCCGGAUGUCCUCCGGAGUUUUGAGAUGCCCGGUGGUAUACGGUACGUAAUGUCCAGGGGGGAAUGCCUGGUGGUAUGGCGGUACGUAAUUCCGGAAGCCCUGGAGGUGUGUGCCGGGGGAGAUUCCUCAUGAUGCCAGUUGGGGUACAAGAUGCCUGGAGCUGUGUGCCGAAUGCUCGGAAGUGUGUGCUGGAGGUUCCUCGCGAUGCCAGGUUGGGUGCGAGCGAUAAAUUGUGGGAUGCAAACAUUGGUCCCUAGAAAGAAAAACUGAUGAGAUCCUUGUGAAAGAUAAUAAUUGAAAAUGAAUCACGUGCAUGGGUGUAUGCAUAUGGCAUGAUGCAUGAUUUGCUUAUGAAAGUAAAUUAAUGCUAUUUGAUAUUGAAAAUGUGAUCAUGAAGGCAUGAAUGGAUCUCAUGGUGAUGUAUGCUUGAUAACAUGGAUGAUAUGAAUCAUGGUGGUAUAUGUACAUAUGGCAUGGUGAGAUAUGCAUGACUACCUGGUGGUAUAUGAACAUAUGUCAUGGUGAUAUAUACAUGAAUGCUUGAUGAUGAGUGCAUGAUGGUAUAUGCACAUAUGGUAUGAUGACAUAUGCAUGACUGCAAGGUAAGUUAUGCUUGAAUACAUGAAUGAUAUGUGCUUUGUUAUGAUGUCUUGAUUGUUCUGUUUGACGAAAUGAGUAGUUUGGUGGAUCUUUACUGCUGAGUGAUUGUACUUAUCCCUUUUGGGGAUUAACAUUUUAGACUAGAUAAGAUACCUCUACUGCCACUACCACCGGUAGAUGGAUCAAGUGGUUGGAUAUGACCGCGAGGAGGAGGGUAGCAAAGGAAGGAACUUUUGGACGUCGACACUGAUCGAUGGACUUUAAGUAUAUGACUGUUAGAGGAGACGUUGGUCAUCUUUUGAGGUAUAGCCAAGUAUAUAAAACUAUGGCAUUUUGAUGUACCGAUGAAUGAUGUCCAUCUGGUUUAAGUAAAUAAAAGUGUUUGGCUUUUACUUAUAAAUGUUUAGUAGGUGUGCAUCGUUUUCUGAAUAUAGGGAAGGGAGUUGAUGGAUGUGCUUCCCCCAUAUUUCUGCGCAAGGGACUGAUCUAAAAGAUGUAAACCCCCAGGUUGUAUGGACCUGCUGCAAUUGAAAUGGUAUCAGAGUGACAUGUUAUUAGGGAAAGUGAAAGGUAAGCGAACUAUGGCGACCCUAACAGAUCGGGGGCCGCGUCAAGGGGUGCCACAGAGGAUGUUCCUCGCAAGACUUGCGCAAUUGGCGUUAAUCCUGUCAAGUUGGGCUCAUUAGUUGAUCACUUUGAAGCCAUGAAGAUCUCAGGCAUGGGUUUCAAACCAGUUAUCAUCAAAUUACCACCACAAGUUGGUGAAUGUUCCAAGACCAAUGUGCCUCCUACUUAUAACACCAAAACUAUCCCAUGGACUUAAGAAGCUAAUGAAAUCGACGUCAUCACCCGAUCGGGUCGAGUUUAUCCAUCACGUAGGGGUGUUGAAAAGAAUGCUGUAAUUGAUGAGGAAGUUGAACAAAUCCUCAAAACACUCAAGACUAGUGAGGUAGAGGUAAUAGAGCAAUUGUGCAAGAUGUCCGCUUAGAUUUCCUUACUAGAGCUCUUUAAGUCUUCAGAAAAGCACAUGAUUGCCCUUAUCAAAAUCUUGAAUGAAGUCCAUGUGCCUAAAACUAUUGGAGAGGUACAAUUGGAAGAGUUUGUGGGUGCCAUACUUCUUAAAGAUCAAAUAUCAUUCUUUGAGAAGGAUCUUCCUCUAGAAGGCUAAGCACACCCUAAGGCAUUAUAUGUGUCUGCCCAACAUUUUGGUACCGGGAUUUUGAGGAUACUGGUCGAUAAUGGUUUCACAUUGAACAUUUGCCUUUUAUCCACCCUCCAUCAGCUGGGAAUUAGUAUGAAAAGCGUCCACCCUCCAAAGAUUCAUGUCCGAGCCUUUGAUGGGAUGAGAAAGGAAUCAUUAGGGGAAAUCAACUUGCCACUGAUGAUCGACCUGUCACCAUUACUCGGAUAUUCCAAGUGGUCGAUAUCCCAAGCAACUUUAGCAUGCUGUUAGGACAUCCUUGGAUCCAUGCCCCGAGGAUCAUUCCCUCUAGCCUUCAUGAGAUGAUGAAACUUGCUAUCGAUGGAAAGAUCAUGACCAUUCAAUGCGAAAGAGACGUGGAGACUUUCCAUAACACGACCAUAUCUUACAUUGAGCCAGAGGUUAAGGAGGAAUUGAGCUACCACUCAGUUGAGCUCAUGUCUAUCACCCAUGUGCCUACUAGGUCAAUCAUCAUGAAGCUUCAGUUCUCGAAGGUCUCCCUAAUGUCGAGCAAAGAAUUACUCAAGAACGAAUUCAUUGCUAGUAAGGGUUUGGGCAAGCUUGCCCAAGGAGUUUUAAGCCCUAUUGAGGCUAUCUAGAGGAAAAAGCAUGAAGGCUUAAGUUACCAAGGGGACCGAAAGGGUCAAGAUAAUUAAAAAGGCCUGAAUAUUAAGGGAGAGAGAUACCAAUGCCUUCUACCUUCACUGUUGAAGGAUUUCUUCACUGGCCCACCAAAACUCUUGCAAGAAGAGGAGGUCACUAUCCAUCACUUCGCCGACUAGUUUGAAGAUAUCAUGAUUGGUGCCAUUGAUGAAGAUGGAGAGCCUACUGAUCUCACUAUGUAAGGGAUGUUUCUAGUUCCUUCUUUUCAUUUCAAUUGUAUUCCCUUCGUUUCUCCCUUGGGAGGGAAUUUCAUUGGUUUCAUUUGUUUAUACCUUGUAAGAGUUUGGAUCGUGAACUCUAUUGAUCCAAGACAAUACUCGUUGUAAUGCAAUUUUUCAUAUCAAUAAAAUGUACUUUUUAUUAAUAGAUAUGUGAGGUAUCCUAAACUAGUCAUAUGAUGAUGCUUUAAGGCCUGGGUCUCCACACAAUUUAUAGUUUUAAAAUGUUUUAGUGGAAUGAGGAUGUUCGAUGACAUGAGGGCGAGUUUCCAAUAACUUUUUCAAAAACUCAAAAUUUGAAAAAAAAUAAUUUCCAUGACAUUUGCAUGCACUACAUUUAUUUAUAAUUACAUACUAACUAUUUUUAAUUGCAUCUCAAGCAUGACAUUUCAUAUUAUUUCAAAUGAGACAGUCUCGCAAUUUCUUCAAGGAUUUCGCCAGUCAAGUUGCAACAUUCUCGAGCAUCCAACUCUUCAAGCUUCUCCAUCAGCCCAAUCACACAUGUUAAUUUUGUUAUCCCUCUUAUGCCAGUUUUCCUUAGUACUUUUAGUUGCUUUAGAUUGUCAGUUGCUUUAGAUUGUUGAUUGAAUUGGGUAGGUGACCAAUACUUGUCGAUGCCAAAUCCAACUCGACUAAUGAUUGUAAUUUCCCAACUGAAUAUGGAAGUUCCUCCAUAUAUAUACACCUAGAUAAAUUCAACCGUUUAAGUUUCACCAGCUCUCCAAUUGAGUAUGUCAAUUUUAAGGAUGGCUCUUUGCUGAUCAUUGACCAUUCAUAUUCUUCUUUUGGUCAGACACAACAAAAUCCAUCAAAGCAUGUAGUAAUCCUAUUUCUUUGGGCAACUCUUGAAAAGAUUCACAUCCAUCUAAGUUCAAAACAGUUAGGAGCUUUAAUUUAUCAAUGGAAUGGUCAAUUUCAAUUAACUUGCUGCAGCCUUCAAGAACCAAUCUCUCUAGGUACACCCAUGUAGAUAAAUUAGGUGUUCUCUUUAAGUACUUGCAAUAGCUAAGAUUUAGUACUUUUUGUUUUCUAGCCUCCUGCAAAACAAUUUGAUAAAUUUAUAUUAAGAAAUGGCCUAUAGUGAAAAAAAAACUAAAAAUGAUAUGCUUAUGGUAAGAGUGGGACUCGUAUCAUACUUUGAUUUGGUCCCGGCCAAUCCAUUCCUCCAAAUAUAGCUGUGUGAAAGAUUAAGAACAACUAAAUUGACCGGAUGCAAGUUUGUUUUCUCAAACUUGGAAUUGUAGUCAUGCCAAGAAAGUCAUCUUGAAUUGGAGAAAAUAUAAUUAAAGUCUCCAACAAGAGACACAAACUCCCCUUCAAAGAACCUCAGGUUUCGUAAAUUAGCAACUUCAUCACGUGUCAGAUUCUCUUCACUAAAGAAAUAUGAUCCAUGAUAACCUACUAACAAUGCUUCUAUUUUUAAACUUCCCUGACAAUGGAAACACCAAGAACUUUACAUGUGAAGGUGAAAAGCAAACAAUUUCAAGCGUUAAUAGCAAUUAAUUUUUCCUUUUGCAAGAAUAGUUUACAAUAAUUUGCAGGAAAAUGAAUUGUUGUUCCCUUUUAUACCUCUUUCCGCUUCAUAAUGCUUAGUGCUUCCUCACGUUUCCACACUCUGCUACACUUGCUAAGAUGUUUGAAAUUCUCUUGAUGGACGAUUUUGCUUCCGAGAUCCCACACUUGGUCAUGCAUCCAAAAAGUAUUGUCGUCUUUGAUUUUUAUCAAGGACAUGAGAACAAGGACAUCAAUGGCAACUUGUGGGUGGUAUUUAUAGUGAUCCCACAUAUAUAAAGGGUAUGCUAUAUCAUCGUUAACCAAAAAAAAAGAGAAAAAAAAAGCUAUAUUCAGAAAUAUUUCCUUUUCUACGAGAUCUAACCUUUCAUAAGUUAUCAUCAAUUUCUUUUGGACAUCCUUGGGAGGAGCUUUUUGUAUACUCUUCCAUGUGUUGAACCAUAAUUCUUUAGAUUUACCAAUAGGGAUGAACCUAUAAUUUCAAGAACUAAAGGAAUCUUUCCUAAAGUAUGGACAAUUUUUUGGAUAGGGAGACAACAAUCUGGUGGAGAGUUACUAUUGAAGGCAUGCCUACUAAAAUGAUUGAGAGAGCAUGAUCAAAUUUCAUUUCACAUGCUUCAUAGUUCCAAACAUUUGGGCCUUCAUUUAGGACACUUUUGUCCCCCGUAGUUAUGAUAAUCUUGCUACCUAAACCGAACCAAUCUUUUUCUGCCAGACUUUUCAGUUGCUCUUUCUCAUUCGCGUUGUCAAGAACGGUGAGAACUUUUUAAUUUCUAAGUGCUCCUCUAAUCUUGUUGAUUCCAUCAUUCACAUGAUAAAUUUGGUUGAUAGAAUGAGGACCAAGGAGCUUGGAUAACAACUGUUUUCGCAAAUUUACCAGACGAUCAUUGCCUUUUGAUGAUUCUCGAACAUCUGCAAGGAAACAACAUCGGUCAAAAUUAGAAGAUGGUUUGUUGAAGACAACAUUAGCCAGGGUUGUUUUGCCAACUCCACCCAUUCCAUGGAUUCUGAGAAAUCGUACACCAUCAGAUCCCACAUCCAACAUUUUGAUUAUAGCUUCUACACGAUCAUCAACUUUAACUAAAUGUUCAGUCACAUUUUCAUACGCAACCGUCAGCUUGACAGAAACCAUUCGAAUUACUGAACAAAUGAGAUCUCCUUGGCUGCCAUGAGUUAACAACCGUGUUAGGGAUACUUUUAUAUUGUAAAAUUACUCUUAAAGCAGCUAAAUUGCCCUCACACGUUGAGGAAAUUACACAAAAAAAGAAAAAUCUAGAAGCCAAUACGAUGGUGAUUUUUGCGAAUCUUUCUCCGCUCCCCAACUUCAGUCACCAUCACCGUUGGCCCUUGCCACCGCCACGCUAUUGUGGACGUCGCUCACCCCCCUGCACCAUCAACAUCGCGUUCCGGUGCCGUCACCCAUUGUGCCCCAUCGACCCGCCAUCUCGGCCUUUUCUCAAUUCUCCACGUCAUGAGGGUCGUGGCCUUGCGACUGCCAGGGUUGGCAUCAUCGGCCUUGGGUGACACCAGAAUUGUGGUCACCCACGGUCAGCUAUGCCAAAUAUGGGCUCGGUGGCAUCAGACCUAAUAUCUAGAUCCCAAAUCCAGCUCGCAACAAUGAGUGAGAUAAAGUGUGGGCGGCGGACGGCUUGGAGCCUUCUGGCGGCUUUGUGUCGGGCUGGUGAUGAAGAAGUAGCGUCGACUGACGGACGAGCUGCUGCAGCGGCUAGCCAGCAGCUUGGUGUCUACUUGGAGACCUAUUACUACUGAUGGCUGCUAUGUCAGAGGCGGAGAGUGAGAAGAGAGAGAAAAUCAAGAUGAGUAGGGCGCGCUACCACCGUAAUAGUGCCAUUGACCAAAGCUAUUGCCGUGAUACUGCCGAUAGCAGCCACUACUGACUACUGCCAGUGAGAAUUCUAUUAUCUCCGCUAUAUUGGCCGAUAGCAAUAGCGGCGACCGCUAAUUAAACUAUAUAAAAUCAAGGAGAUGUAUAAACUAUCUUUUCAAUAGUAAUACCACAAUUAAAAAGAAUAGGGAGGAAAAAGGAAACCUACAGAUUAUACUUGAAAAGUUUAUGACAUUUACCCAUCGUCUUUCUUCAAGUUCCAUCCCUUUAUCUCGUCCACCUCAAUAAGAGCCUUUUUCCAUGAUUCUACCACUUCAGUGCAAAACUUUUUCUGAUGCUUUGAAAGAGCUUUGCUGUAUAUAUAUAUUUUUUUUUGAGCUUGACAACAUCAGGUUCCAUGUCUAGGAAAAUGGGUAAAAUCUCUUUAUUCUCAUUCGAUUUGGAGGUGCAAUCAACCAUGUAUGCAAGCUCUUGGAGGCACCAGGGACUUGCAGGAUGAUUCUCAGAGAAUAUGGGAAUGUAAAUCUUGGAGUUCUCAAUUGCUUGUAGAAUUUCAUCACUAAUUCUCUUACCAACACAAAGGGAUUCAUCAUCCCUAAAGAAGAGGAUCCCAGCAUCCACCAUGGCAUGGUAAAGAUGAUCGGUGAACUCAUGACGAGUGUUUGGUCCUCGAAAACUUAGAAAAACCUCAUAGGAAGGUCCGGAUGAUGCCCGCAAAUUCGUCUUUUUCGCUGUCGUUUUGCACUUCUUCAAGGUCCGGCCGAGAUGGAUUUGGAGGUAUAUGAGGAAAGCUAUGAAGAUCAAGGAGAUGCUGAGGAUUCCGACGAGGAAGUAGAGCUUGAGGCUGGGAAAGGGAGUCUUGGAGGUGAGCUCCUGAGAAUGAAAGCCGUCAAGAGGUCGGUAUUCACUGGAAACCGCCAUGUUUCCAGCGGAGCGAACAAAGAUAGAGAGUCGAAAAGGCUAAGGGAGUGGGUGAAUGCGUGAGAAUUGAAGUGUGAGAACUCUGCCGGGGGCGGGGAGCAGUACCUUAUAAGGUUACAAAGGAUAACGAAAGAAAGUGUGGGAGUGAAGUUAAAAGGAAAGAGAGUGAGGGAGUGACGGAUCUUCGAUGCCAUUGUUAAAAGUCUCGUCUAGCCAUUUUAUUAUGGAAGUGCCAUUGUGGUGGAUGAGCAAUUUUUGUUUCUGUUGUAUGGAUGGUGAUGGUGGUGACAAAUUAAUAAUUGGUAUUGAGUACAUUGAGAGAGUAGGUUCAGCAAUUGAAUUGGUCGAUUAAUAAGUGGACAGUGUCAAAGCUAUGGAAUCUAUGGUAGAGGGAAAUUUUUUAGAAAAUAAAAAUAAGCAGAAAACAAAUCCGUCCUUGAGAUGAUAAAAGCACAAUAGAGAAUAUGAUCCCUCCCCAAACGCAAUUUUAUAGAUUUCAGUCAACCAAAAUUUUUUUUAUGGUAAGUGAAGCAAAACGAUCCUAAAUUUUUAUGAAUUAUAUUUUCCUCAAUUUUUAACUGAGAGAUGAAUAGCGCAAGUGUGACACCUGCAGCCAUCGACAUUUUUUCGAGAGAAAAAUAUUGCUGUACCUUAUUUAUUCUAAAUCAAGCUCAUACCCAUCCUCGUAUUAAAUUUUUGUCCACCACAAUAAGGAACCCAUUAGGAUCAUCCACUCAACAAUAAACACGCAACUAGUAUUUUAUUGGAUAAUGUGAAAGGCCUACUAAUUACUGACAGGUUGAUGCAUUAGUCAACAGUACAAUCUUAGAAUUCUAGCUAUGCUCCUGUUUUGGUUUUUCUAGACAAACACAAUAGCAGUGAGUAUUGUCAUAAUACUAUACAAGAAUGAAAUAUUUAGCUGAUAGGGCAGAUCCGAGAUCGUAACAAAUGGCACUACUUGUUUAUAAAAUGCAACAUUAAAAUCAUUUUAUUGCAACAAAAAUGGUUUGUAUAUCCACCAGAAGACCGGCCCUACAGUUCAAUCCGAGCGUCAAAAAAGUUUCCUUGUACAACUAGCAAUAGAGUUUUAACAAAUGUAAGUUAGGCAAUUGAUUCAAAAUUUUCCUAAUAGUCGAUGUCAUACUCCUGCUCAAAACCUUGGCUAUGAAGCGAGCCUAAUGCUAUUCUACAGAAUCACCGGAGUGAGUAUUAGACUUAAUAAACCCACCAGCAAACUCUGAAAAUUUUUCCAGCGGGAAGAUCAACCAUAUCCUACACAUAAAUCCUUUCCAAAGGUUGAAGUUCCUUUCCUCAAAUAUUAGUUUCCGCCAAUGAGCAUUGGAACGAGCCUAUCGAUAUGAUUCACAUUCACGAAAAAAGAAAAAAAAAAUGAUAAUUAUGAAGACGUAUUGAAGGGAAUCCUCUCAAAGCGUGGCAUAUAAGGUUCAAAUGUAGAGAGUAGUGAGAUUCAGAUAUGACCGGAUUCUGUGGGGAAAACUAAUGUGAGGAAUUGGCGUGCAUCCAAAAGAGACAAAUUAGAGGUAAAGAGGCAACCUACAUUACUUAAUUGCAUGUGAGAACCAUUUGUAGUGCACAUAUACUAGGUGUAUUGGGAACAAGUACUUUACUCCAAAAAAACAUCAAAGUCACAUGGUUGCAUACGGUAUACGAAAUUAUUCAGUAAAUUAUAUCCAUUAGUUACAUUUAUAAGAUAUGACAAAAAAUAGAACUCGGUUUAAAAUCUUUAAAUAUCCGAUAAAUUUGCUUUUCUAAUUCAAAAAACGACAAGAUUAGAUGCUAACCCAUCAACAAUCAAAUAAUUCUUGUCCAUCUUCUUCUAAGUUAUAUUAAAAUACUCCAUCAAAUGUGCGAGCAUUCUUCAAAGCAGUUGAAAAGUGAGCUUCCUCCCUAAUGCUCGCAAUCUUCUCGAUUUCAUCAAUCAAUUGAUGGGGUGUCACCCUAGAAGUUUCCUUCUCCAGUUCAUCUAAUAACAAAUGUAAAAUCUGAAGCCUAUUAACAAAGUUACAAAAGGGACAACACAAAAUCAAAGAAUCCUAUCUGUAAAAUGAAGGAUUAAUAGCGCAAUCGGGAUGUUUUUUUCUUUAUUUUAAUCAAUCAGAUAAAAUUUCUAAAAUCCCCUCAAACUUUAUAUCUGUAUCAAUCACACUUCUCGCUUUUCAGCAUUUGCGGUAAUGCUAAUCUUUAGACAAAAAUCUCUAACUUAAAGGGUAAGCUACCCUUCUAUUAAUUUGUGCCGAUUGAUAUGGUAUAAUCAUGACAUCCAUUUGGCUCAUGCACUAUGUAUGGUCGAGUGAGAGAGAGAGAGAGAGAGAGAGAGAGAGAGACGUUGUGCGAGCAAGCAAGGACAAUAGGCAACUUCGAAUGAAGUGUGACGUCAAGGGAAAGACAAGGAUAGAGAAACCUAUCUUUAUGAGAAAACGACUCGAUGCGGUUUUGUUAAGGCCAAGAUGAGCCACCUCAAAAUCCACGUUGGACUUUUUUUUUAAAAUAAAAAAAAAAUAUGUAUGAAUCAACUUUUUAUUUAAAAAAAAAAAAAAGCCAUGUGGGACUUUCAGCAGGAAUUUGCCUCCGGAGCUAUUUAAGUGAUUGAGUUUUCUUUGAUCUUAACCUUAAGUGAUUAAUCAAAAAGUUUUGGUACCAAGCGAAUAAUAUAUGAAGAUUAUGAUAUCUCUAGUGUCCUUUUCCCUUAGAAUAUUACUUUUAGUUGUAAUAUCGCUAAGUUGAUUCAAUGUUUUCCAACAUUUCACGUUUUUCUUCCGAAAUGCAACCAACGCCAGAAAGGCAGAAAAAGAAAAAUUAAGAAGUCUGCCUCACUAGUGACUAAUUAUUUGUUUUGGUGUUUCAUUGUGGUGCAAAUGUUGGUAUUGUUAUAUCUUCUAGCAAGGUAACAUGGACGGAAGCUUAGGAUAGCGACAUUCAUCCUCAGGUUAAGAAUCAAUACUUGCCUUUUAUGAUAAGUUGUGGGUCAUGAUAGAGAAAUUGGCUAUUUAAUUAGAUUAACCAACUUAUCAUAAAAGCACAACAACUAUACUAUUAUUGCAAGUUAAAAAUCAGACUUAGGUAGGAAGACAACUUUAGUUUAUGGAUGUACUUACGCAAUGCCAUCAUUAGAUUAUUGUUAUUAUUAGUUGUAAUCUUGCUUGAAAAUUCAAUAUUUCUUGAUGUUUCAUGUGUUUCUUCUUGAAUGCAACCAAUACUCGAUGGACCAUAAAAACUUCUUACAACUAUGAAAGAAAGCCCAAACGAGAAGAAUAAGUUAAUAUUUAUCAUCUUGGAAAUGAUUUAUCAUUGACGACAUUAACUUUUCAACAUUGGUCCUGGGAAGAAAAAGAGAAGUAUAUGCUGCUAAUCCCCAGAGUAGCCAAAUGAUUCUUGUCAAUCUUCUUCCAAGUUAUAUUGAAAAAACUUCAUAGAAUAUGCGAAUUUUUUUCCAAGCAGUUGAAAAGUGUGUUUCCUCUUAAGAAAAAUUGAUCAAUCAAUCGAUGUCAUUGGUUAAUCAAUCAGCUGUCAUAGUAGAAGUUUCCUUUUCCCAUUCAUUUGAAAACAAAGUUAAAAUCAGAAACCUAAUAACAAACUACAAAAGUGGUAGCACGGAAUCAUAGGUUCAUAGCUUUAAAAGUAAAUCAUAUAAUAGAAAUAUUGGAAAAUUCCAAAUAAAAGCUCGAAGUGCUCUCAUUUUAUGAAAUAAUGAUCCAAAAUAAAUUUUGUUUUAUUUACCCAAAAAAAAACUUUUUUUUAAAUAAAAACUUACAAUGGUUAUAUUAGUCUUAAAGAAUGCUCUAAAGUGGUUAUGAGUAUUUCAAAUAAAUAUCUAACCCCACUAACUAGCAAAAAAUUCCAGUUGACUAGAGAUAUUUUUGUUCGAACACAAUUUAAAUUUAAAUUAAAUUAAAUUAGAAUUUUUAAUUAAAAAAAAAAAAAACAGGCGAGAGGACUCUCUCCCACCUAUGACCAUUACCCCAUUACUAGUGGGGUGACGGUGAUGGCAUGCAAACCCCACCGACUAGAGGUGAGGGCUAAUAGGCCCUUGUCAGAGAUGAGAGAGGGCAAUGACCCUCUCCCAAAUCUAGGUGAGAGUCGCUCACCCUUACCUCAAUCUAGGCAAGGGUUUAGGCAAGGGUCGCCGCCCUCUCUCGUCUCUAGCGAGGGCUUGCUGGCCUUCGCCUCUAGUCGACAAAGGCCUAAGGGCACUGGGUGAGGGCCGCUAGGCCUACGCAAGGGCGGGCAACCCUCGCCUAGAUUUGGGAGAGGGUUGCCACCUUCUUCCAUCCACUAGUCCUCACCUUUGGUUAGCAAGGGUUGCCAACCCUCACCUAAGCACUAGCAACCUCAUCGAUCAUCGUUGCCGCCCCACCAGCAAUAGGAUGGUGGCCACAGGCGUGUUUUUCCUUCUUCUUCUUUUUAAGUUUUAGUUUUUUUUUUAUGAAUAAAGGAAGAAAGAAAUGAAUUUAAAAAUAAAAAGAUGAAAUUGCCCUUCACAGGUAGUGAGUUUAGGCCCUUAUUUAAGACUGAUAUAGCCAUUUUAGUCCUUUAUUUAAAAUAACGUCCACUUCAUGUUCUAAAUUGAGAAAAUGAUGCCACUUCAAGCUCUAAUUUGAAACAAUAUCCACUUCAAACCCUUAUUUGAGAAAAUGAAAACACUUCAUGCCCUUAUUUGAAAUUUUUCCAAAAAAUCUGGAUAGAAUAUGAAGAUGUUUUUUGAGCUUUUCUUGGAUUUGAUCGCAUUAGAGAAAAAUUCAAAAAUCCUCUCAAACUUAUUAUCCAUAUAAAAAAUCCUAACAUAAAAGUUUGAACUACCACUCUACCACUAACAUAAAUUUCAUGUGCCUAUCACACGAUUGAUGUGGUGUAAUUAGUCAAUCCGCAUUACUUGUGUAUAUUGUAUGCCAUCUUUUUUUUUUCUUUUUUGGUCAGUUAUUGUAUGCCAUCUUAAGUGGCACUUAAAUGUUGGAAAUAUUCACUUUUCAUUGACUUGUUAUACCCGACGAUAUAAUUAUCACAUAAAUACAUUCUCCACUACUACAUUUUUCUCUUUUCUCUCUCUCCCCACCAUACCGGUGAUCACCAUCCUAUCCUCGAUGGAUGACGCCACUCCCCCAACCAAACCGACACCUCUCUCUCUCCUACGCAAGACAUUUCUCUUUUUUACGAAAUCAUGUUUGAUUUAACGUCAAACGUCUCAAACUUUUAAAACUGGAAGAGAUAAAAAUUCAAUGCUUGGCGUUUUAAUUUGGUUGAUAGCAAGAAAAAUUGAUUGUAAAUAUCUUUGGUUGUUGCAAGUGUGAAUAUGAAAAAACAUGGUCUUCGUCUUCCGCGGUAUUGCUAGGUAAUAUGAUUCGGUGGUUAGAUGUGAGAACAAAGAAAUAAUGCCAAAAAAAUAAAAAUAAAAAUAGCGGUUUGCGAGUCUUUGAAUAUCCAAACAACUUGAUAUUCAAUUUCAGGAAACAACAAAAGUAGAUGCUAACCCCUGAAAUAAUCAAAUGAUUCGGUCCAUCUUUUUCUGAGUUAGAAUAAAAAAAUAAAAAUAAAAAACUUCAUUAGAUGGGCAAAUAUUUUUCAGACUAGUUGUAAGGUGAGUUUUCUCUUUCAGAUGAAUCGACACCCCUGAUUCUUGCAGUCUUCUCAAUGUCAUUGUCAAUGGUUUGUCACCCCAGAAGUUUCCUUGCCGCGUUCAUUUAAUAACAAAUUAAAAUCUGAAGCUUAAUAACAAAGUUACAAAAGUGACAGUACAAAAUCAUAAAUUCCUAGCUUUUACAAUAGAGGCUAUAAAGUGAAAUCCCGAUAGUACGUAAAUAUAAUUUGAGUGAUGAUUAAAAAAAAUUAAAAAUCCUCGCGAAAUUUGUAUCUAUAUCAAUUACGCUUCUUGGUUUUUGGCAUUUUUAGGAAUAAUGUUCAUCUUUAGAGAAAAAUUCUUAAUAAAAAGAUUAAACUUCACCUCUGCAGUGGAUGUGUAUUAUUGCUAGUCACACGAUUAAUUUGGUGUAAUCGGUCAAUCCACUAUCCACAUUGCCUAUGCGAUAUGUUUGUCAUCCUAAUUGAAGGUUGAAAGUUGGAAAUACUUACUUUUUAUUGGCUUUUCAUGUCACGUGUUUCUGCCACAUCAAUUAGGUGUUAACAAGUAAAAGUCUGCCAUCAUCUUGAUUGCUUAGUUGCGUUUUUCAUUUCUUCUUUCCUAAUCCAACCUAAGGAAAAAGUAGAAGAGUUGGAAGGGAACGACAAAAUUAAUUUAUUCUCUGAGUAUUCAUCUUCAUGUUAUUCUUGUGUGUAGAAGCUAUAUAAUUACGAUUGUAUUCUCUGUACAAGUUAGUGUGUAUAUAAUAUGGGAAGAGACUCAGUGUUGUGAGAGUGAGUUUAUAGAAUCAUCUAAUCAAGCUUCCUGUAGAAACAACACUUUGAGGAUUACAUAGUGGACUGCAACCUUACUGUGACUGUUAGAGCUAGGAGAGUGAAGUAAGCCAAGUAAAAGACCGAACCACUGUAAAAUCUAUUUUGCAUAUUUCUAUCUCCUUAUUUGAUAGCAGAUGAAUGUUGCUGCAUAACUGUUUUCCGCUACAGCAGCACAUUCUACGUGUCCUUCACAAAAAAAAAAAUUUAUUUUUUACUAGAAAAAGCAAUUCAUCUUCCUCUUAAUUGUUGUGCUUAUCCAUUUCUCAGUAAAUAUCUUUGGUUGUUGCACGUGUGAAAAUGAGAAAACACGGUCUUCAUCACGUGCAUUAACUAAUGGUAAGUCGGUAAGCAAGAGAAAUGAAAGUGGUCCCUCAAUAGAAAAGUUAGUAAAUUAAAAUAGAAUAUAAAUGUUAGCUAAUAACUUAUUUGGGGAAAAGUUCAUAGGUCACUCAAAUGAAUAUUGAUAAUUUCAUAUAAUAGUCGAUAAAUUUAAAGCAAUGGCAAAAAAAGUCAACAAAAUUAUGUAACAGAUAAGAAAAAAAUUGGUCUAGUAUAAGAGAAUUUGGUAAUAGUAAAAACAUUGGGAGCAACUCAAAUAAGAUUUGGUAAUGAAAAAUUAGCCAGUAACUUAAUUGAAGAAAAGUUGGUAAUAACUUUAAUUAAGGUUGGUAAUUUCUAACUAGUUGGUAAGUAAGAUGAAUGAAGUUGAAAACUCCAUAGAAAAGUUGGCAAAUUUAUGAAAAAAAUUAUAAAUAAAAAUUGGGAGCAACUCAAAUUAGGGUUGAUAAUCUAACUAUAGAAAGUCAAACGACCACAUGGAUAAAAGUUGACAAAUUCAUAUAAAAGUUGAUAAGUAUAAGGUGUUUGUAAGAAAGACAAACAAAAGUUGUUAAAUUAUAAAAUUAAAUAAACUUUGGUAAGUAACUCAAAUAAAAGCUCAUAACCUGAAAAUGAGUUCGUAAUUUAAAUGGAAGAAAGUUUGUGAGUCUUUCAAAUUAAAAAUGUAAAUUAAUAGAGGAGUUCGUAACUUUAAGGGGUUGCCAAGGAAGAGAAAUAAAAAUUAAUAGAAAAAAAAAAUUGGCAAUUUACAAAUGAUUUCUUAGUGAAAUUGAUCAUAAUAAUUAUAUUGAAAGAUAAUCAAAAGGUUUAUGACUAAAUUUACCAAAUUGUAAAAAUUAGAAUUGGAGAGGUUGUCGUACAAUAAAUUUGUAACUUUUUAAACAAUUAUCCCAAGGUAUAUCAUACAAGUUCAUUACAACAACCUAAUUUCACAACGGUAUAGGUUUUUUAUGGUACCGUCAUAUCCUACUUUUAUGUGAUUAUAAUAAAUCUUGUCAGCUAUUCAAUCCGUAGUUCUAAACAAAGGGGACCAAAGUUCAUGUGUUGGGUGGCCUUACAACAUUUUUUAAGGAUGCGAACGGGGCAAGUUGUAUUCCGACAGCGAUCACUUGCAUGCUGCCGAACACCAAAAGUGAAGUAGAAAAACGACCAAUCGGAAAAGGAGAUCGAAAGUCAACGAGGGCCAAAAUGCCGGGAAAAGUGGAGUAGAUUGAUGAUUUUAUAAAUAAAUGACAGGCCAAAACCCUAAACUCGUGUGGUUAAUGUGCUAGUUUCAUUUAGAUAUGCCAUAAAUAAAUUUAUUUAAUUGUCUCCAACUAUAAGAUUCCAAAGCCGUCUUCAGAUGCUUUCCCAUAUUCAGUAAAGGCCUUUGAAAAUUCCAGAACUUAUAUUUAUAAAUCGAUUUAACUCGUUUAUUUUUAUUUAAACAUUCUUUCGAUCAAAAACAUAUUUGGUUACGGAAAAUAGUAAAUGUUUAUCUAUUUUCAGCUCGCUAAACAAUGUUUGUCAUGUCCAGAUGUUAUUAUACCUUUUAUUUGUGUCAGUCCAUGAUAUCUUUCAUCAUAAUGAAAAAAAUGUCAAUUAGUUAGAAUUAACUAAAGUAGCACAAUUAUUUCUAUAUAACAUUCAAAGAACUACUCUAGAUAUUCUAAGGAUAUCCUCAUCGUUUAUCAUCACACACAAGAAAGUUUUUUAUUAUUGAAGGACAAGUAAAAAUUUCAAAGAUGCCGAUAGCUCUUAAAAGACAGAGGAUACCCUUAUUUUUCUCGUUUAAGAAUAGAACAAAGUGAUUACAUAAACGUAACUAAAUGACUUUUAAGAAGUGCAAAUGGUAUGUAUUCCAUCAAAUGGCUACAAAGCAUAUGCCAUACGCCGUAGUAGGUUCCUUGUGCAAAAGCCUUUUUGUUAGGUUGCUACGCGCCAAAUUAAGAUGUGUAUUUUCUAUAAGUAAUGAAUUUAGAGAUGCACAAAAAAUUAACUAUGAUUUUGAUGCAACUCGCAAGCAUAUCUGGUGUUAAAAUUGAAUCUUGAUAUAUGUGUGUAUAUUUAUAGACAGAGAGUGGGGAUGGUGAUUGCAAAUAGUCUAUGGAAUUGAUAUCCUAAAUGAUAUACUAUGUUUUAGUGGGCAUUCAAGAUGAGUAUGUUUGUAUUUAAGCACCAUGAGAAAUUUACAAGAUCACUCCAUAAUUGUAAACUAACUUUGCAUAAUUCAAGUGUGUCAAGCAUUUGUUUCAUAGCGAAAAAGAUGGGUUCGAUGAAUAGCACUCUUUCGUCAGUUUUGGAUCCCGCAACGAAAUAUGUUCCAUCAAGUGUUACAUUUUGAUUUUUUUUAAAGGGGACCUAGGCUUUAUGCUAGUAUAGGACAGAGAAGGUCAAAUGCUAAUGGAGAUAUAUAAUAUAUAGUCUUGCACCUAAUGGAGUCGAUCAAUACAAGCUUGGAAUCAAUGAUGACCAGUGUCAAAAUCUAAUCAAUAGCUUGAUUCAAACACACUUCAACACGCUAAUGAAACACCAUUAAAAUCAACGUGGUUUGUAGAAUAUCGAAGCUAAUUCGACAACGUUGGACAUUGAAAAUAAUACCGAGAAGGCACUUCUCCUAAUUGGGUUUGAGGACACGACGUUGGAACCUAAUCAACAAUGCUAGACAGUGGAAACAACACCUGGUAGGUACUGCUCCUAGAUGGAUAUGAGGACACGACGUCGGAACCAAAUUGACGACACUGGAUGGUGGAAACACUUGGUAAGUAUUGCUCCUAAAUAGAUAUGAGCACACAACGUUGAAUUUUAAUUGACGACGCUAGAUGGUGGACUCAACACUUGGUAAGUAUUGCUUCUAGAUGGAUAUGAGAACAUAACGUUGGAAUCUAAUCGAUGACAGCACUGCCUAGAAUAUAGGCACUCCCAAGAAUUGAGUCUACGAAAAGAAUCUGAAGCUAUAACUAAAUCUACGCUGCGCUCCCUUAUUUAAAAGAAAAAGACGAGGGAUUUUUCCCCCCCUCCCCACGGGGGGGGGGGGGGGGGGGCAUGGGUGGGGAGGCCCUUCAUUGGAUUAUUUACGGUAUUUAUAGCCCAAUCUGGUAACCAUCGAUGGUCGGUUGAGUCCUCCUUGAAAGUCGCUCCACUUUCUCUACUUAACUGCUUUAUCCAUAUCUUGUUGUCUUAUGACCUGUUCAAUGAUACUCACAUGACUUGUCAAACAAGUAUUAGUUGCUCAUUUGAUUAUGCAUGCUCUUUUAAGUACCAACCAUUCCCACCUAAAUCUUGAUGCCAAUUCUAUUUGAAUUUUACAUCUUCAAUAGUAUCUCUUGACCUUGACACGUGGCAAUGAAUCUAUGGUAGAGGGAAAAUUUUUAGAAAAUAAAAAUAAGCAGAAAACAAAUCCGUCCUUGAGAUGAUAAAAGCACAAUAGAGAAUAUGAUCCCUCCCCAAACGCAAUUUUAUAGAUUUCAGUCAACCAAAAUUUUUUUUAUGGUAAGUGAAGCAAAACGAUCCUAAAUUUUUAUGAAUUAUAUUUUCCUCAAUUUUUAACUGAGAGAUGAAUAGCGCAAGUGUGACACCUGCAGCCAUCGACAUUUUUUCGAGAGAAAAAUAUUGCUGUACCUUAUUUAUUCUAAAUCAAGCUCAUACCCAUCCUCGUAUUAAAUUUUUGUCCACCACAAUAAGGAACCCAUUAGGAUCAUCCACUCAACAAUAAACACGCAACUAGUAUUUUAUUGGAUAAUGUGAAAGGCCUACUAAUUACUGACAGGUUGAUGCAUUAGUCAACAGUACAAUCUUAGAAUUCUAGCUAUGCUCCUGUUUUGGUUUUUCUAGACAAACACAAUAGCAGUGAGUAUUGUCAUAAUACUAUACAAGAAUGAAAUAUUUAGCUGAUAGGGCAGAUCCGAGAUCGUAACAAAUGGCACUACUUGUUUAUAAAAUGCAACAUUAAAAUCAUUUUAUUGCAACAAAAAUGGUUUGUAUAUCCACCAGAAGACCGGCCCUACAGUUCAAUCCGAGCGUCAAAAAAGUUUCCUUGUACAACUAGCAAUAGAGUUUUAACAAAUGUAAGUUAGGCAAUUGAUUCAAAAUUUUCCUAAUAGUCGAUGUCAUACUCCUGCUCAAAACCUUGGCUAUGAAGCGAGCCUAAUGCUAUUCUACAGAAUCACCGGAGUGAGUAUUAGACUUAAUAAACCCACCAGCAAACUCUGAAAAUUUUUCCAGCGGGAAGAUCAACCAUAUCCUACACAUAAAUCCUUUCCAAAGGUUGAAGUUCCUUUCCUCAAAUAUUAGUUUCCGCCAAUGAGCAUUGGAACGAGCCUAUCGAUAUGAUUCACAUUCACGAAAAAAGAAAAAAAAAAUGAUAAUUAUGAAGACGUAUUGAAGGGAAUCCUCUCAAAGCGUGGCAUAUAAGGUUCAAAUGUAGAGAGUAGUGAGAUUCAGAUAUGACCGGAUUCUGUGGGGAAAACUAAUGUGAGGAAUUGGCGUGCAUCCAAAAGAGACAAAUUAGAGGUAAAGAGGCAACCUACAUUACUUAAUUGCAUGUGAGAACCAUUUGUAGUGCACAUAUACUAGGUGUAGUGGGAACAAGUACUUUACUCCAAAAAAAAACAUCAAAGUCACAUGGUUGCAUACGGUUUACGAAAAUAAUUCAGUAAAUUCUAUCCAUUAGCUACAUUUAUAAGAUAUUACAAAAAAAAUAGAACUCGGUUUAAAAUCUUUAAAUAUCCGAUAAAUUUGCUUUUCUAAUUCAAAAAACGACAGAUUAGAUGCUAACCCAUCACAAUCAAAUAAUUCUUGUCCAUCUUCUUCUAAGUUAAUAUUAAAAUACUCCAUCAAAUNNNNNNNNNNNNNNNNNNNNNNNNNNNNNNNNNNNNNNNNNNNNNNNNNNNNNNNNNNNNNNNNNNNNNNNNNNNNNNNNNNNNNNNNNNNNNNNNNNNNNNNNNNNNNNNNNNNNNNNNNNNNNNNNNNNNNNNNNNNNNNNNNNNNNNNNNNNNNNNNNNNNNNNNNNNNNNNNNNNNNNNNNNNNNNNNNNNNNNNNNNNNNNNNNNNNNNNNNNNNNNNNNNNNNNNNNNNNNNNNNNNNNNNNNNNNNNNNNNNNNNNNNNNNNNNNNNNNNNNNNNNNNNNNNNNNNNNNNNNNNNNNNNNNNNNNNNNNNNNNNNNNNNNNNNNNNNNNNNNNNNNNNNNNNNNNNNNNNNNNNNNNNNNNNNNNNNNNNNNNNNNNNNNNNNNNNNNNNNNNNNNNNNNNNNNNNNNNNNNNNNNNNNNNNNNNNNNNNNNNNNNNNNNNNNNNNNNNNNNNNNNNNNNNNNNNNNNNNNNNNNNNNNNNNNNNNNNNNNNNNNNNNNNNNNNNNNNNNNNNNNNNNNNNNNNNNNNNNNNNNNNNNNNNNNNNNNNNNNNNNNNNNNNNNNNNNNNNNNNNNNNNNNNNNNNNNNNNNNNNNNNNNNNNNNNNNNNNNNNNNNNNNNNNNNNNNNNNNNNNNNNNNNNNNNNNNNNNNNNNNNNNNNNNNNNNNNNNNNNNNNNNNNNNNNNNNNNNNNNNNNNNNNNNNNNNNNNNNNNNNNNNNNNNNNNNNNNNNNNNNNNNNNNNNNNNNNNNNNNNNNNNNNNNNNNNNNNNNNNNNNNNNNNNNNNNNNNNNNNNNNNNNNNNNNNNNNNNNNNNNNNNNNNNNNNNNNNNNNNNNNNNNNNNNNNNNNNNNNNNNNNNNNNNNNNNNNNNNNNNNNNNNNNNNNNNNNNNNNNNNNNNNNNNNNNNNNNNNNNNNNNNNNNNNNNNNNNNNNNNNNNNNNNNNNNNNNNNNNNNNNNNNNNNNNNNNNNNNNNNNNNNNNNNNNNNNNNNNNNNNNNNNNNNNNNNNNNNNNNNNNNNNNNNNNNNNNNNNNNNNNNNNNNNNNNNNNNNNNNNNNNNNNNNNNNNNNNNNNNNNNNNNNNNNNNNNNNNNNNGAGAAAUUGGCUAUUUAAUGCUAUUAUAGAUACACUAUCAUAAAAGCACAACACUUAUACUAUUAUUGCAAGUUAAAAUCAGACUUAGGUAGGAAGACAACUUUAGUUUAUGGAUGUACUUACGCAAUGCCAUCAUUAGUUUAUUGUUAUUAUUAGUUGUAAUCUUGCUUAGAAAAUUCAAUAUUUCUUGAUGUUUCAUGUGUUUCUUCUUGAAUGCAACCAACACUCGAUGGACCAUAAAAACUUCUUACAACUAUGAAAGAAAGGCCAAACGAGAAGAAUAAGUUAAUAUUUAUCAUCUUGGAAAUGAUUUAUCAUUGACGACAUUAACUUUUCAACAUUGGUCCUGGGAAGAAAAAGAGAAGUAUAUGCUAAUCCCCAGAGUAGCCAAAGGAUUCUUGUCAAUCUUCUUCCAAGUUAUAUUGAAAAAACUUCAUAAAAUAUGCGAAUUUUUUUCCAAGCAGUUGAAAAGUGUGUUUCCUCUUAAGAAAAAUUGAUCAAUCAAUCGAUGUCAUUGGUCAAUCAAUCGGUUGUCAUAGUAGAAGUUUCCUUUUCCCAUUCAUUUGAAAACAAAGUUAAAAUCAGAAACCUAAUAACAAACUACAAAAGUGGUAGCACGGAAUCAUAGGUUCAUAGCUUUAAAAGUAAAUCAUGUAAUAGAAAUAUUGGCAAAUUCCAAAUAAAAGCUCGAAGUGCUCUCAUUUUAUCAAAUAAUGAUCUGAAAUAAACUUUGUUUUAUUUACCCAAAAAAAAAAACUUUGUUUAAAAUAAGAACUUACAAUGGUUAUAUCAGUCUUAAAGAAUGCUCUAAAGUGGUUAUGAGUAUUUCAAAUAAAUAUCUAACCCCACUAACUAGCAAAAAAUUCCAGCUGACCAGAGAUAUUUUUGUUCGAACACAAUUUAAAUUUAAAUUAGAUUAAAUUAUAAUUUUUAAUUAAAAAAAAAAACAGGCGAGAGGACUCUCUCCCACCUAUGACCAUUGCCCCAUCGCUAGUGGGGUGACGGUGAUGGCCUGCAAACUCCACUGACUAGAGGUGAGGGCUAACAGACCCUUGUCAGAGAUGAGAGAGGGCAAUGACCCUCUCCCAAAUCUAGGUGAGAGUCGCUCACCCUUGCCUCGAUCUAGGCAGGGUUUAGGCGAGGGUCGCCGCCCUCUCUCGUCUCUAGCGAGGGCUUGCUGGCCUUCGCCUCUAGUCGACAAAGACCUAAGGGCACUGGGUGAGGGCUGCUAGGCCUACGCAAGGGCAAGCAACCCUCGCCUAGAUUUGGGAGAGGGUUGCCAACCCUCGCCUAAGCACUGGCAACCUCAUCGAUCAUCGUUGCCGCCCCACCAGCAAUAGGAUGGUGGCCACGGGCGUGUUUUUCCUUCUUCUUCUUCUUUUAAAGUUUUAGUUUUUAUUUUUUAUUUUUUAUGAAUAAAGGAAGAAAGAAAUGAAUUUAAAAAUAAAAAGAUGAAAUUGCCCUUCACAGGUAGUGAGUUUAGGCCCUUAUUUAAGACUGAUAUAGCCAUUUUAGUCCUUUAUUUAAAAUAACAUCCACUUCAUGUUCUAAAUUGAGAAAAUGAUGCCACUUCAAGCUCUAACUUGAAACAAUAUCCACUUCAAACCCUUAUUUAAUAAAAUGAAAACACUUCAUGCCCUUAUUUGGAAUUUUUCCAAAAAAUCUGGAUAGAAUAUGAAGAUGUUUUUUGAGCUUUUCUUGGAUUUGAUCGCAUUAGAGAAAAAAUCAAAAAUCCUCUCAAACUUAUUAUCCAUAUAAAAAAUCCUAACAUAAAAGUUUGAACUACCACUCUACCACUAGCAUAAAUUUCAUGUGCCUAUCACACGAUUGAUGUGGUGUAAUUAGUCAAUCUGCAUUACUUGUGUAUAUUGUAUGCCAUCCUUUUUUUUUCUUUUUCUUUUUUUUGGUCAGUUAUUGUAUGCCAUCUUAAGUGGCACUUAAAUGUUGCNNNNNNNNNNNNNNNNNNNNNNNNNNNNNNNNNNNNNNNNNNNNNNNNNNNNNNNNNNNNNNNNNNNNNNNNNNNNNNNNNNNNNNNNNNNNNNNNNNNNNNNNNNNNNNNNNNNNNNNNNNNNNNNNNNNNNNNNNNNNNNNNNNNNNNNNNNNNNNNNNNNNNNNNNNNNNNNNNNNNNNNNNNNNNNNNNNNNNNNNNNNNNNNNNNNNNNNNNNNNNNNNNNNNNNNNNNNNNNNNNNNNNNNNNNNNNNNNNNNNNNNNNNNNNNNNNNNNNNNNNNNNNNNNNNNNNNNNNNNNNNNNNNNNNNNNNNNNNNNNNNNNNNNNNNNNNNNNNNNNNNNNNNNNNNNNNNNNNNNNNNNNNNNNNNNNNNNNNNNNNNNNNNNNNNNNNNNNNNNNNNNNNNNNNNNNNNNNNNNNNNNNNNNUAAAAAUAAAAAUAGCGGUUUGCGAAGUCUUUGAAUAUCCAAACAACUUGAUAUUCAAUUUCAGGAAACAACAAAAGUAGAUGCUAACCCCUGAAAUAAUCAAAUGAUUCUUGUCCAUCUUUUUCUGAGUUAGAAUAAAAAAAUAAAAAUAAAAAACUUCAUUAGAUGGGCAAAUAUUUUUCAGACUAGUUGUAAGGUGAGUUUUCUCUUAAGAUGAAUCGGUACCCCUGAUUCUUGCAGUCUUCUCAAUGUCAUUGUCAAUGGUUUGUCACCCCAGAAGUUUCCUUGCCGCGUUCAUUUAAUAACAAAUUAAAAUCUGAAGCUUAAUAACAAAGUUACAAAAGUGACAGUACAAAAUCAUAAAUUCCUAGCUUUUACAAUAGAGGCUAUAAAGUGAAAUCCCGAUAGUACGUAAAUAUAAUUUGAGUGAUGAUUAAAAAAAAUUAAAAAUCCUCGCGAAAUUUGUAUCUAUAUCAAUUACGCUUCUUGAUUUUUGGCAUUUUUAGGAAUAAUGUUCAUCUUUAAAGAAAAAUUCUAAAUUAAAAGAUUAAACUUCACCUCUGCAGUGGAUGUGUAUUAUUGCUAGUCACACGAUUAAUUUGGUGUAAUCGGUCAAUCCACUAUCCACAUUGCCUAUGCGAUAUGUUUGUCAUCCUAAUUGAAGGUUGAAAGUUGGAAAUACUUACCUUUUAUUGGCUUGUCAUGUCACGUGUCUCUGCCACAUCAAUUAGGUGUUAACAAGUAAAAGUCUGCCAUCAUCUUGAUUGCUUAGUUGCGUUUUCCAUUUCUUCUUUCCUAAUCCAACCUAAGGAAAAGUAGAAGAGUUGGAGGGGAACGACAAAAUUAAUUUAUUCUCUGAGUAUUCAUCUUCAUGUUAUUCUUGUGUGUCUAAGCUAUAUAAUUACGAUUGUAUUCUCUGUACAAGUUAGUGUGUAUAUAAUAUGGGAAGAGACUCAGUGUUGUGAGAGUGAGUUUAUAGAAUCAUCUAAUCAAGCNNNNNNNNNNNNNNNNNNNNNNNNNNNNNNNNNNNNNNNNNNNNNNNNNNNNNNNNNNNNNNNNNNNNNNNNNNNNNNNNNNNNNNNNNNNNNNNNNNNNCUCUGGCGGUCUAGUGUCGCCCACCGCGAAGAAGAAGACGAACGGCGAAGAAGAUGGGCGGUGAAGAAGGCGAUGAACAGUGACUCGGAAUCGCAUCUCCAGAAUGGGAAUGCUCAAAGCAACCCCAACCCAGCAUUGGGCUUUCAGCAUUGGGGAUGCUGGCAUUAGGCAAAUGGGCAUUCAAAAACACAUGCCAAACACCAAAAAUUUUCCCCAAGGGGCUUUGGGCUCCCAAAGCCCCUUGGGAAUGCCCAACCAAACACCCCCUACGCCCGGUAUUGGUUACCCGAGGAAGGCAUCGUGAGGAUCUGGGUGGGUUUCGAGCCCCCUGAAGGGGGCUUUGUGGCCGGAGAGCCCCGUGGGGGGUUAGGUCCAUUUUUCGUUUGAACCACCCCGGUUUGGAAUGAAACAUUUUAAGGUCUUGCUUAGGACUCGAAAUUAUUAACAGGAUUACGGGAAAAUCAAAUCAAAAUUCCCAAAAUGUUUUUUUAGUUUAUUUUCAAGUUUUAGACGAACCUUAGAAAACAUUAUCACUUUUCUGAAAAAUAGCUUACUUGAAAACAUUUUUCAAAAAUACUACAUUUCUCGCAAAACGAACGGUCUUAGAAGAAAAUGAAAGAAAUUGUUUCAAUUGCAGUUGUAAAGGAAGAGCAAUUUCAGUUUAGUUUCCAAUCGGAUUAAAAAAACAGUUAUUUUUUCAUGCCGAAUUGAACCGAAAGCACACAAAUUCAAUUUGGUUCAAUUUUCCAAUUCAAUUUUGAUAUCCUAGAUGAAUGGUUACAAGAUUUGAAAACUUGUCUUGAAGUCUAAGAUCCCAUCAUUUGGUUCGGCUUGGCUUUUCAGAAAUUUCAAAUCAUAUAAAACUGAACCAUUUGGAUGUGCAUUAACUUUGAAUGGAACUACGCCCCAAACCAAAUACCAAAUAUAACCCUAGUCUUCGGAUCGGUUUUUGGUUUUCUUUUUUGAAAUAUUAAACAGAGAUUUGAUGAAAAAGUGAAGAGAUUGUGUAAAUUAUAAUAUCAAGAAGGAGGUGAGCCAAAACUAUCCGAACCGGAAUAAAAAAAAAAAAACAGUUAUUUUUUCAUUAUCCAAACUACACUGAAAAUGCACAAAAAAAUCUGUUGGGUUCGGUUUUCUGAUUUAGUUUUGACGCCCUUGGAUUGAUGAUUAUGAGAAUGUGUAACUUUCAUGUUUAUCCCGAAAAAGCAAAGAAGAAAAGGAUCCUGGUAAAGGGACAACGAUGUCAUCGGCCGUGUCGUCUUAUGGCAAAGCAAGUGGGAAAAGGGAAGGAGACUUUAGGAGGAUGGAGACUUCAAGGUGACGAAUCGUAGAUUCACCUGUUGCAUACAGUGGAUCCAUCCAUGGGAUACGAAAAAGACCAAUUAUUGAAAUAGAGAAAUAUAACUGUGUGAUAAUUUUUUAAAUAUUGUAAGAAUAAUAGUCUAUUUUAAAUUAUAAAAACUCAAAUUACAUGUAACUAUAAAUUACUAUAAAACUCACUUCUUUAAAAAUUUAUGACUCAUUGUUAUUUUCAUAGUACUCCAAAAAUUGUUAUACUAAUAAAACCUAAAUGAAUAUGGGUAGACUUAUAAAAUGAGAGCAGGUGCAUCGGAGAAGAUUAUGAGACGAGGUUUACAGUCGGAAAAUAAUUUGAAGGAAGGUCUCACUUUUUGCCAAAAAAAAAUGAGCCUGUUCGUAUCCAUCAUGUAGCCCUUCAGACCCAUAAGCAAAGUAUCUACCGUUCUUUUGCUUUGCUGUGAGAAUUGAUUGAGGAGCCUCUAGAAAUCAUCUUCAAGAAAAGUUUGGACUGAAUUACAUCUGGGCCAAGUCCCGAACACCGCAUUGAGUUCCGGCUUCAAGAUCCGAUAAGGAGACAACUGACGAUUUACGCUGACAUCGGUAGAUUUACAAGGACUUUAAUUUCUUGCGAGUUAGCCUGAAGAGAAUUUUGUUGUGUUAGCUCGACCAAUGCCUGUUCUUUUAACCGGUCGCUGGGGCGGUCUCUUUCAAGUGUAAAGUAGGAACGAACAAAAGGAAAAAGAUGGUGAGAAGGACGACGCAUUCCACUUCUUGGCCAGAAGAAUGAUAUCGACGUUCGUCGAUAACGCUGGACUGCUGAUAUCGACGUUAGUAAAGGUGGUGAUGACUGGAACUUUCUCUUGAACUUGUGAUGGGCACAAACUUCAAUGUCAUUUUCCUGAGUGACUUUCAGUGUCGGCCAAAAAACUCGAGGAGCUAAAAGCAAGUCGUCUUUCGCACGGCAAGAAAAAACAAGUCAAACCCUUGCCUAGAUCUUUAUUUAGAUGAACCGAGACAAAUCCCAGCUGAUGAUCAUGUAGUGACAGAAAAAAUCCCUCGAAAUCCAUUGAUUGCGAGUGCGCCGUUCACGCGAGACUUUUCCUCAAACAGAGUCCUUGGCCAUCUAAAUUGCAAUACUCCAACUCGGCAGAGAACAAGAAUCCUCGGGACGUUGCGGGCUUUCGUCAUGUCGAUGACAUGAAAUUACUCGUGUUGAAUUUAAAGCUGUGAAAGGAAUUCAUAUGAGGAUGAGAAGAAAGCUAGUCAUUGUUUCAACGUGUUACUCUUCUUAUUCCAUGGGUGAUCUAAGCUAGGAGUACAGGAUGUGGAGACACAAGCUGUCACGUUCUGAUCCUUGAACGCGCGCCCAUCCUUCACCUGGUCAAUUCAUAGUGACAUCCCAAGAUGCAUAGCCGAUCAUUUCAUUUUAAAUACGCGUACGAAACCAUAUAAUAAAUCCCUAGAUAAUAAAACAAUGAGAUAGAAAGAUAUGGCCAUAUUUUUCCAACAUGAAAAAUCAUAACCACAUUUUUAUACAAGACAACCCACAUAGUAUAUAUCACAAUACUAUUUACAGAAGUCUGAUCUAUUAUACAUAUCAGUUCACAUCUUAGGGUUGCAAAACAGGAUGAGGUCUCAAUCCUCAUCUGAAUCAUACUCAAGAUCCUCCUCGAGGUCAUCCUCCUCUUCUUCAUCAUCAUUUUCUUCUUCUUCAGGCUCCUCAUCUUCUGGCUCCUCCUCGGGCACAUCCUCAGGCUCCUCGUUUCUAGGCUCAUCCUCCUAUCCCUCCUCCUGCUCAACAAUCUCCCAUUCUUCUUCGCUCUAGUUGGCAUCUUCGAUUGAGUACAUGAGAGUACGAACAUCAUCCACUUCCUUAGGAUCCUUGGCAUCCACUACUGACUCACCUUUAGGAUCUGCCGUCUCUUCAUCGAAUGCCUCAUCUAGUAUAUACAAGGGCACACUACCUUCUGGUAUGGAACAUUCUCUCCGCCUAUCAUGGUAGUGAUGGUAUCACAAUCGAUACUCAUGAGGCCUCAGGGCAUCUUUACCCACGUCAACCCAGACAGUCGACUUAACCAAUAUGUACUCCAGUCCCUCGGCGUGGUUAUGGAUGUGGAAGUGGUAUGCUAUCUUUGAGAUCUCUUCAGGAAUACCAAAAUGCAUAGGAGGAUGAGGAAAUAGAGGUGCUGCCAUCUAGGGGCCUGAAAUAUUAUCCCACAACGAGGUGAGACUACAUCUCAGCAAGUUCUACCCUCCUAAGACCCGAUUAGGAAACCAAUAUACUAGGUACACACAGGUCAGAGGACUUACCUUGACCUCAGAUUCCACUUGCAAAUCAAUACAGUUCAUAAAGACACCCAAUCAUAUUACCACAGAUCGAAAUAUCGAUUAAUUGACCUAGUCGAUUAUAUGUCAAACAGACCAUUCCCUGGUCAUUUCAAUUAAUACUAUGCAUUUUCCAAGAUAGUAUACCUAGUCACUGAGCCACGUGCAUUCUCUAAGGCGAUAUACUUAGUCACCGAAUUACGUGCAUUCUCUAAGGCGAUAUACUUAGUCACCGAGUCACGUGCAUUCUCUAAGGCGAUAUACUUAGUCACCGAGUCACGUGCAUUCUCUAAGGCGAUAUACUUAGCCACCGAGUCACGUGCAUUCUCUAAGGCGACAUAUCAAAUCACCGAGCCUUGUGCAUUCUCUAAGGCGACAUACUUAACCACCAAGCCAUGUGCAUUCUUUAAGACGAUAUACCAAAUCACCGAGCCACGUGCAUUCUCCGAGGUGACGUAUUAAUCACCGAGCUACAUGCCUUUUCCAGGUGAUGUAUAUAAUCAACGAGUCACAUGCAUUCUCUAAGGUGAUGUAUCUAAUCACCGAGCCACGUCAUACAACAUUUUCUCUCAUCUUUUAUCAUACUCGAUAAAAUAUUGUAUGUGGGUACACGGUUGUUUUUAGCCAAAAUACCAUAUUUUCCUUCCCAUAAAUCUCACCAUUUUCUGUAGUCCACCAAAACAUUUUUGGCACUGUCAACUGAUGCCCGAUUAUUUUUCAAUUAAUUACCAAAAAUUAUUUAAUUUAGGAAAUAAAUCCUAAAAUCACCAAUAAAUCGAUUCAGCACAAAUUAACAAUCAAAUAAAUAAACAGAGUGCACCACGAUAGUCAACAUAAAAUCCCGGUCAUCGGCCAUCCUGGUUGAAUUUCCGGAAAAUAAAUAAAUAAAUAAAUAAUUACAAAAAUUAAUUAUUAAAUAGUAAUAAAUCCAAUUUAGGCUAGUAAUGCCUAAUUGGAAGCCGAAUCGAAUCUAGAAAAAUUUCAAGUUUCAUUCAAUAAAUAAUAUGCCGUGUCUAUUCGCUAAUUACACUAACAAUUUGCCUAACAUGUAUAGGUAAAUCCCUAAUUUAAUUAUUCUAAUAUAAUCUAUCAACCUAAUUGUACUUAAUUAAAUCUAACCAACAAUUAAGCAUUAUUAGUCUACUAAGCGAGGAUUAGUGAGUAAAACUCACUUGUUUCGAGAUCUGCUCGGAUCAAAACGUCGAGAACACGACGAGGCUCGACUUUUCCAAAGACGGGCCUAGGUUUCGAGGCUUGGAACCACUUUAAAACAAGCCUUGAAGCCACUGCGAAAUCCACAACCCAACUCUCUAUUUGCUGCUGCAAAAAAGAGGAAACAAGUUGGUCAAGACAAAGCAAAGCCGGUGGAGGCGGUUUGGGUGCUCGGUGGCCAACGGCGGCCUUAGCUAACUUUGGCGGUGGCUAGCAUGGCUGGACAUCACCCCUAGACGCACGAACAGAGGCUGGAACGGCGGUGGCUGGAUGGUGGCUCGUGUGGCACGUGGGCGGAAUCGGCGACAGCAAAUAGUGGCAGUGCGGGCAAUCUUGGCUCCGGCGAUGGCUGCUCGGCUGCUCUUCGGGCUUGUUGCUGGGGUUCGAAGCUUGCAAAGCACAUGAAGGAAGGAGAAGGGUGGUUGCACGGCAAGAGGGAGAGAAGAGGGAGAGAGAGACAAGCUUUUGGCUUUGGUGGGGUCACUUUAGCCAAUUUUUCCACCACUUUGUCCCCUUGAACUUGUCCACCAAGCUUGGCUUCCUUGGCCCUCAAUGAGCCACCCAUGCACUCUUCUACAAAGCCGAAAUGGUCCAAAGGUUGUGGGUUGGUGGGGGCACACGAAUUUGGAAGCAUUUUCUCUCAAUUGAACCCCCAUUCUUGCUCGAUUCAACUCAAUUUGACAUCACUAAAUUCAAUUGGCCUCUCAAUGCUCCCAUUGAUAUUUUUGCUCACCCAUAUAUCCAUCAUGCUUCCCAAAUUUGCAAUAAAAAACGAUCUCCGGUAUUUUCUGAACAAAAACGGCCUUGUGAUGACUUUUUCCCAAAAAGUCUCGGGUUUCAGAAAAAUCUUCUGAGACUGAGUCGAUACUCUUAAAAUUUAUUGUGACAUGACAGAAUCUUCAAUUUCUGAAAUCGAGCUCAUAUUCACAGUUAAUUUCAAUUCGGCGCGUUUUUAGCAUGACAUAGGCUACCGGGUAGUUUUUAGAAAUUUUUAGUGCAAAUGACCCGUGGUCGAUACUCAUUGGUGACUCUUAGGCCCUAUUUGGUUCAGCAUUUGGAAUGCUCAUUUGGGCUCUAAAGUCCCUUGGCCAAAUGCAAAGGUGUUUGGUUCGUAUUUUUGCGCGACUUUGGCGAGAUGCAAUUGCAUCUCCAAGUGACUCUAAGGGCCUUUAGCCCAAUGCAGCUCUUGAGGUCCUUUGGCAAGUUGCAUCUUCGGAAUGCAACUUCGGUACUGUUCAUCUUCUUCGCAGUCCUGUUCAUCUUCUUUGGAGAGACGAACGGAGGCCGACACCGCCGGCCAAGGAGAGGCCCGCACCGGCAACCGUCGCCUGAGGCAUCACCGACCCCGGCGACCGUCGCCUGAGGCGUCACCGACCCCGACGACCGCCGCCUGAGGUCGUGCGACCUCGGGCGUCACCUGGGUCGCACGGCUUGGUCACCAGACCUCAGGCGUCGCGUGACCUAAGCGUCGCCUUAGGUCCAGCGACAUUAGGCGUGGUCGGCUGGGUUCGCGCGACCAGGCAAUGGAGGCGUGAGGUCACCGACCUCAGGCGACGAAGGCUUGAGGUCCCGGUGACCUCAGGCAGUGGUCGCCUGGGUUUGUGCGACCCAGGCGACAGAGGCUUGAGGUCGCCGGACCUCAGGCAACGCCUGGGUCGCGCGACCCACGACGGCGCCUGGGUCGCGCAACCCACGACGGCGCCUGGGUCGCGCGAACCCCAGGCGUCGCUUGAGGUCCGUCAGCAACAAGCGACCAUCGCCUGGGUCACGCGAACCCAGGCGACCUCAGGUGAGGCUAUCCGGCAGCCAGAUCUGGCCGCCGGACAUUGGCCGCCGAUGGCCACCGGUGGCUUCCUUUAAAAAAAAAAAUUAAAACUUUUUAUAUAUAUAAAAUUUACCAAAAAUCCUUCACAAAAUGUAGUUUUUACCAAACGGUGUUUAAGCUAAAGUUCUUUCACAAUGCAUUUUAAAACUAUAAGUUACCAAACGCUAUUUGCAUUUGCACAAACCCCUUUAACUCAAAGGUAUUUACAUUUUUCCAAUGGCAUUUGCCCAAAGCCGAACCAAACGGGCCCUUAAUUGUCGUGAAAAUUUUGAGAAUCCAAAUAUAGACACAAGGUACCAAAACGAUAGAAAAAUCAGUCCAGUGAUGGUCAACGAGAAUUUUCCAAUUUAGUGGUGUCACCCACGAUUAGCCACACAUCUCUGUCGAAUCGACUUAUCUCUAAUCCCAAAUUGAUUUUUAACUGUGCCGUAAUGGCCUCUAAAGAUGAGCACGAUCAAGAAACCGAUUCCUGGUCGAAUUCUCAAGUCUAUUGCAUUAAAAUUUUUUAAUGGCUUUCCUAGAUAGUCUAGUUAUCUCGAGAGUGAUCAGCUCUAAGAACAGCCCUAUAGGCACGUUAAUGAAAUGCUUGAUUUAUUUAAUGGAAAACGGGAUCGAAAAUUUGGGAUGUCACAACUCUUCACCUCUUAUAAAGAUUUUGUUAUUGAAAUUUAAACCUUAAAAAACUUAAGCAAAAAUGUGGGGGUACAAUUGUCUCGCUGACUCUUUAGUCUCUCAUGUCGCUCCUUCAGUACCGUGGUGUUGCCAAACCACUUUGACCAACGAUAUGGUUUUUGUAUGCAACACUUGUUCUUUUCCGUCCACGAUCUAAACUAGGUUUUCCACAUAUGACACUCGGUCUUCCACGUCCAAUUCUUCAAAAUUGAGUAUGUUGGUUGGGUGAGGCUCGUACUUCCUUAAUAUCGACACGUGAAAGACGUUGUGCACUUGCGCUAGUCUCGGUGGCAACGCAAGACGAUAUGCUAAAGUCCCAAUUCUUUAUAGAAUUUCAAAUGGAUCUACAUGCCUUGGGCUCAAUUUUUCUUUCUUUCCAAAGCGCGAAGUUCCCCUCAUUGGUGAUACCUUUAGAAAAACGUGAUCACCAACUUGGAAUUAUAAUAAUUUCCGGCGCUUGUCUGUGUAACUUUUAUGUCUACUUUACGCGGUCUUUAAUUUGUCUCUGAUUAAUGCGAUGGCAUCCACUAACUGCUGGACUAACUUUGGACCUGUUAUCUUCCUUUCCCCAACUUCAUUCCAACACACUAGUGUCCUGCACACUCUGCCAUACAACGCUUCAAAUAGGACCAUAUGAAUGCUCUGUUAAUAACUGUUGUUGUAGAAAAAUUCCACCAGGUGAAGUUGAUCUUCCCAACUUUCCUUGAAGUCUAGUACACAAGCUCUCAGCAUGUCCUCGAGGGUCUGAAUUGUCCUUUCAGACUGGCCAUCCGUCUAAGGAUGAUAAGCCGCACUAUAUUGAAGCUUGGUACCUAAAGCACUUUGCAAGCUCUUCCAAAAAGUAGCUGUAAAUCUUGGGUCUCGAUAUGAGGUUAUCGUAACCAGCAUUCCAUGCAUUCAAACUACUUGACACAUGAAUAGAUCUGCAUGCCUAUCCAAACUCAGGUUUUUUGGAACUGCAAUGAAGUGAGUCGACUUUGUCAGUUUGUCCACUACCACCUAAAUAGAAUCAUUUCCUCUUUGACUCCUCGGUAUUCCGGUCAUGAAAUCCAUCGUGAUAUACUCCCAUUUCCAUUCUAGGAUCGCGAGAAGUUGCAAAAGUCCUUCCAGCUUAUAAUGUUGGGCUUUUACCUAUUGACAUGUCAAACACUUGGCAACAUAUUUGGCGAUGUCCGCCUUCAUACCUGACCACCAAUAGUGUUGACGCAGAUUCUGAUACAUCUUGGUGCUUCCAAGAUGAAUACUGUAAUUGCUACGAUGUGCUUCAAAUAAAAUAGCUCUACAUCGUCAAGUACAACCAAACGUCCUCGGAACCUUAGUGUUCCAUCAUCAGCGAUCUGAAACUCGGCCUUUCUUUUCUCAGUGUCCUCUUGAAGAAUUUUAUGUACAUCUGGAUCUGUCGGUUGGAGUAGUUUGAUUCUAACCUGGAUAUCCAGUUCAAUUCUAAGGGUGGCCAUAAGACUUGAAAGGUGGCCUACCUUGAGCUUGAAUGUUGAAUCUUGAGCCCUCUCGAUUAGGUUCCACUCCUUAAUCAGUAUAUUAGCUAAUGGAGACUUUUGACUUAAAGUAUCGGCGACCUUAUUCACCUUUCUUGGGUGAUAUAGAAUAUCACAGUUAUAGUUUUUCAGCAAUUCCAUCCAUCUGCAUUGUCUCAUGUUUAACUCCUUCUAAGAAGACAUGUGCUUGAGGCUUUGAUGGUUCGUGAAGAUUUGGAAUCUUUCCCCACACAGAUAAUGUCUCCAAAUUUUCAGGGCAAAGAUGAUUGUCGCAAGUUCUAAGUCAUGUGUCGGGUAGAAGCUCAUGAGGUCUCAACUAUCGGGAAGCGUAUGCAACAACCCUACCAUGUUGCAUCAGCACAUAACCCAACCCUCUGAAUGACACAUCACUAUAGAUCUCAAAAGCUCCAGGACCAGAUGGAAUGGUCAGCAUAGACGCAGUAGUCAGUUUUUCCUUCAGCUCUUGGAAACUAUGCUCGCACUUGUUUGUCCACACAAUUUUUUUUCCUUCUUCACAACAGCGAUGCUAACGAUGAAAACCCUUCCACAAACUGUCUAUAAUAACCUACCAAACCCAUAAAACUUUUGAUCUCUAUCACUGUAGUCGGUCUUGGCCAAUUGAUCACAGCUUCUAUCUUGCUCGGGUCCACUGAAAUUACUUCUUCUGAGAUCACAUGCCAUAAGAAAGCAACACUAGUCAACCAAAAUUCGCACUUGCUAAACUUGGCAUACAAUUGAUGGACUCUUAGCUUCUGUAGCACUAAUCUCAAAUGAUUAUCGUGCUCUUCAUCACUUCUCAAGUAAAUCAGAAUAUCAUCAUGAACAUGAUCACAAACUGAUCCAAAUAUUCCUUGAAUACUCUGUUCAUCAAAUCCAUGAAGGCAACUAGAGCAUUCAUCAACCCGAACGGCAUCACUGUGAACUCAUAGUAACCAUACCGAAUACGAAAUGCUGACUUAAGAAUGUCCUCCUUCCUAAUUCUCAGCGGAUGAUAUCUCGUCCUUAAGUCGAUCUUCGAGAAUAUUGACGCUCCUUGCAACUAAUCGAACAGGUCAUCAAUCCUCAGGAAUGGAUACUUAUUCUUGAUCGUUACUUGAUUGAGUCGUCGAUAGUCGAUGCACAGGCGCAACGAACCAUCUUUCUUCUUUACAAACAUAACGGUUGCUCCCCAAGGUGAUGCACUAGGACGAAUAAAUCUUUUAUCCAGUAACUCCUGCAUCUGCACCUUCAGUUCCUUCAACUUAGAUAACGCCAUUUGGUAAGGAGUCUUAGAGAUUGGCUCUGUCUAGGGUGAUAGCUCAAUUACAAACUCAAUUUCCCUUUCUAGCAACAAGCUCGGCAAUUCAUUUGGAAAGACAUUCGAAAAUUCUUGCACGACUGAAAUAUCUUCCAUUUUCAGUUCCUCGACUGUCGUAUCCACGACAGUUGCUAGGUAACCUUGAUAACCCUUGUCUAACAAAUGAGUGGCCUAUGGCGACAAGAUCAGGACAAUCGAGAGUCCUCCUUGACUUCCUACAAACUCGAAACUCUCACUCUCUAACGGGUCAAACUAAAUCGCCUUGCAAUAUCAGUUCAUUUUAGCUCGUUGCUUGGUGAGCCAGUCCAUGCUAAUUAUUAAAUCGAAAUCAUACAUGUUUAGGACUAAUAAGUCUAUUUUCCCCACUCGCUCACCAAUCGCUAACUUGCACCUCGAACAACCCAAAGCAGCAACAACUUUAUCCUUCAAGGGUGUAAAUAUGCAAAUUGCCGACUCUAAUAAUAUAGGACUGACUCCUAUCAACUUAACAUAUUGCUCAACAAUGAAGGAAUGGGUUGCUCCCGGAUCAAAUAAAGCAUAAGCAGGAUGGUCAUUUAACGAAACCAUAUUUGUGAUCACGUCAGGUGCAGCUUUUGCCUGACCUUAUGUAAUUGCAUACACGGUGCCUUGAACUGGAGGUCUCAACUGUCCUCCCUGUGACACAUUCUAAGGGAAAUACCCUCGUAUUUGUCCCAUCUGCGGCAGCGGCGGUAGCUAUGGUUGUCCUCUUAGCUUUCUAGGACAAUUUUUGACUAGGUGGCCCUAUUGGCCACAUUCAAAACACGCACCUGACCUAGAUGGGCACAAAGUUGACCCGUGUUGUCUCCCACAAAGGUGACAUGGUUCACUCCUAUUAGGCCCUGACCUACUAGAUCCACCAUUCUUGUUGGGUGGGACUUGGAAUUUGCCUUCAGGCAUGAGCCUCUUUCCCUGUCGGAUUGCAUCUCGGAUAACACUAAAUCUUGACCCAAACAUAGCAGCUCUCUCGUUCUGAUCUUUUUCGAUCAUCUGGGCUCUCUGAUAUAGUUUAUCGAAACUCCUUAGAUUUAGCGAAAUCAAUACGCUCCUCAAGUCUGGCCUGAAUUCGUCCCUGAACCUUCUCACUCGGUUUGUUGGAUUUUCAAUUAGUUUAAGAGCAUAUUGCGAAAGUUCAGUGAACUUCGCCUCAUAUUGAUCCACAGUCAUGGAGCCUUGGCGAAGACGUUGAAACUCUACCAUCUUCAUCUCCUUGGCAGUUUCAGAAAAAAAAAAUUGUCAUUGAAAGCCUCAAGAAAGGCAUUCCACUCAAGGGGGACACCUUCUGGGAAUACUGCACUUCGGGUGGUUCUCCACAAAGUAUCUACAACUCUCUCUAGUUGGUAAGUUGCAAAAACCACUUUCUCAGUCUCGUUGCACAUUAGUAGUGCAAAAGCCUUCUUUAAUUUUUGAACCCACAAGGCAGCAGCUUCAGGGUCUCCUACCCUAGUGAACUAAGGUGGAUUCAACCUCAAGAAUUGUUCCACCAGUUUGUGGGUCGGCCUUUCUCUCUGUGCCAAAAUGUUCUCAGGUUGAGCUUCGGUCGGUGCGACAACAGGUGCGACGGCAGGUGAAGCAGCAACGGUGGCUUGAUUUAGAGUCUGAUGUGCUAUGACAUCUCUCAUGGCUUUUAGCACUUGCAUAAUCCCUUCUAUUUAGGGAUCACCGGGGGCUGCUACCCCGAUAUUCACUGCAAGUGGUGCCACUCCACUUGCGCUAGCCUGAGUUGGUGCUCGACCUCGGCCUCCUCGGGUAUUAACCCUGGUCGGCGUUCUACCUCAAGUCACGACAUGAACGGUCCUUUUGCUAGGAGUUCUUUGCUCCCGAUUGCUCAUAGUUCAGCUUUAAUCUACUGACACCUGCUUCCAAUUCAACACUGAAUUAGAAACAGAGCAAUCCAAACUACAAGCAAUUCUAACACUUAGCUAACACAGACAUGCUCCAGCAUGAAUUUAAAGGCAUUUCCUACUACUAUCACAUGAACCAUCGCUCCUUAUCACUCCAAUCUUAAACUUCGCUUUGAUACCACUAAAGCGGGAUGUCAUGCCCCGAUCCUCGAAUGCGCGCCCAUCCCUCACCUGGUCGAUUAGUAGUGACAUCCCAGGACGCAUCGCUGACCCUUUCAUUUUAAAUACGCAUGCGGAAGCAUAUAAUAAAUCCCCAGACAAUAAAACAAUGGGAUAGAAAAGUAGAGCCAUAUUUUUCCAACAUGAAAAACCAUAACCACACUUUUAUACAAGGCAACAAACAUAAUAUAUAUCGCAAUACUAUUUAUAGAAGUCUGAUCUAUUAUACAUAUCAGUUCACAUCUUAGGGUUGCAAAACAAGAUGGGGUCUCAAUCCUCAUCUGGGUCAUACUCAAGAUCCUCCUUGAGGUCAUCCUUCUCUUCUUCUUCUUCUUCUUCUUCUUCUUCUUCAAGCUCCUUAUCUUCCAACUCCUCCUCAGGCACAUCCUCGGGCCCAUCCUUAGGCUCAUCCUCCUGUCCCUCCUCCUACUCAACAAUCUCCCAUUCUUCUUCACUCCAAUUGGCUUCUUCGAUUAAGUACACGGGAGUACGAACAUCAUCCUCUUCCUUAGGAUCCUUAGCAUCCACUACCGACUCACCUUUAGGAUCUGCUGUCCCUUCACCGAAUGUCUCUUCUAGUAUAUACAAGGGCACACUACCUUCCGGUAUGGGACAUUCUCUCCGCCUAUCAGGGUAGUGACGGUACCACGAUCGAUACUCAUGGGGCCUCGGGACGUUGUUAGGGAAAUCCCUUAUGAUGUUUUGAAGAUGACAAAAUAAAUCAAAGGCUACUAACAUGUUUGAUGGUUGAGUAAUAGACCAUGCAGAUGAUAGAACAUGUAAAGGAUAUUAUCAAAGUCAGAAGACGGCCAGAAGACUGAAUGUAACAUAUGCCCAAAGUAUAUUCUGAAGAUUUCCAGACUUCUGUGUCAAAGUCUGAAGACUGCCAGACUCAAGACUCAAAGUCUGAAGAUUGCCAGACUCAAGACUCAAAGUCUGAAGACUGCCAGACUUUAAUGUCAAAGUCUAUUCUACAUCAGAAGUUUGCUCACUCUGACUAAUUCCAGACUGAACGUGAAUGCUGAACCAGAAGACAGAUUCUAUGCUGAAGCUGAACUAGAAGAUAGACUCUAUGCUGAAGCUGAACUGGGUACAGACCUUAAAGCUAAAUCUGUUCAGAAGAAGAUAUGUUCAGACCCAGAUUGUAAAGUCUACAGACUCAGAUUGUAAAGUCUAUGGCUAUCAGACUUUACAUCCAGAUUCAAUUAAUCGUAACUCAAACCCAAUCAUAUAACGGCUAGUGAUCUGGUUUGGAUUCCACAUCAAUAUUGAUUUGAUUGAUUCAAUCUAAUUGAUUGACGAUUGGAUCUUGAAGAUAAGAACUUUCUAUACGAAGAAGCUUUACUUAUGGAAACCAAGAUUUCGUUUGUAUGGGCGAUCGGAAUCAAUUUGGCAUUUUACCUUUGUCACUCAACGGCUACCAAAUCUUCUAGAUACAGAGCUGUCCAAUGAGUAUAUUGGAAGACGAUUCUCCGGGAUACUGUCCAACGGGUAGUUUGGAAGUAGAGGAGUAUUUAAGGAGAUCAUGGACCGAUGAGCAAGUAAGAGACGGAGCGUAGAAUUUAUAAUUCCAAAGUCUGAGCGACUUUCGAUCAUAUACUUGUCUCUUGAGAGCUUAAACGUUUGUAAUCGUGAGAGAAAUACCGAAAGAGUGACUUAGUGAGAUAGUGUGAUCUACUACUAAGUGUUUGCACUCGAAGUUGUAAUCUCUUGUUGAUUGCAUAGUGGAAUCCAGCUAAGAAGGCUGUUAUCGUGGGAGAGUGGACGUAGGCUUGGAUUAAGCCGAACCACUAUAAAUCUUGUGUUCUUAUUCUCUUCCCUAACUCCUUUAUUUUGUUCAUACUAGCACUCUCAGGUGUCUCUACCCACAUCAACCUAGACGGUCGACUUAACUAAUACGUACUUUAGUCCCUUGGGUGGUUAUGAAUGUGGAAGUGGUAUGCUAUCUCUGAGAUCUCUUUAGGAAUACAAAAAUGCAUAGGAGGACGAGGAGGUGGAGGUGCUGAAAUGUUAUCCCACAACGGGGUAAGACUACGUCUCAACAAAUUCUACCCUCUUAAGACCCAAAAGUAUUAUGAUGUAAGGUCAUUAAUGUCUCAACAAAAGUAUUAUCAAGUCUAAUUUGUAGAGACCAUCACAUAAAGUUUCAGUUUCAAUAAGAGUAUCACUCUUAAAUAAACUGAAAGAUUAAGAACCAAACUUACAAUAAAAUCUCGCUACAUCAAGUCUUGGCAAAGAAACUAAAUUGCGAGAAAAUGUAGGCACAUAAAGGGUUUGAAACAAAUCUAAAUAAUGCACAGUAUCUAAAAUCAAACGGUAAGUGCCAAUGCCUUCAACUGGAGCUUUGUUUCUGUUCCUCGUAAUCACAUAACUUUCAUUUGGCUUUAUGGUUUGAAUCAUAAGAAAUCCCUGCAUCAUAUUUGACACAUGAGUGGUUGCACUAGAAUCAAUCCACCAAGUAUUAUGAGGAAUUUCAGUAAAAUUUGAUUCAAAACAUACUAGAGCACAAUGCUUACAUUUUUUUUUUUCGAACUAAGCCAUACUAAAACAUACUAAAUCUUUCUUCAAGUGUCCAAUUUUGUUGCAAAAAUGAUACUUAAUAAGAUUGUGUUCCUUCUUGUGGAUUUGAGAAGCGUUUGAAGAGUCAUUCAGGACGUAUAAUCCUUUCUUCUUGCUCCUUCGACAUUUCCUUUUGAAAUUCAUUUGAACUUCUUAAUGACCUGAGAGAUGAACAUAAUGAACUUUUUGAUUCUUUAUCCUUAUUUCCUCUUGAACUAGCAUACUAGCCAAUUCAUUCACAUUCCACUUAUCUUUUAUAAUGUUGUAAUUCAUUUGAAAUGGCUCAUAUUGCUCAUGAAGCAAGAAAUUAAGUAUAAACUGUACUAAAAAGUACUCAUCAACGUUUAUUCCUAAAAUCCUUAAUUUUGCUGCUAAAUUCGUUAUCUCAAGUAUAUGCUCAUGCAUGGUAUGUGAACCAUCAUAUUUCAUGGUGGUAUGAUGGUCAGUGUGCUCAUCAAGGUACCAGCAAGUGACUUAUCAGUAAUUUGAGAACGCUAUUCCACAAAUUUCAUAAAUUCCUUAGCAUUGUCAGUCUUGGGAAGAGAAGUCUUUAAAUUAUUUGCAACUGUCAUUCACAUGAACAUUAAGCUCAGUCUGUUCGAUCUUUCCCAAGCUUUAUGGAAAGACUUCUUAUUAUCGCUACUUUCAUCAGUAAUAGCAGCUGGUUUCUCAACUUGAAGCGCUAAAUCAAGAUCUAGGACACCUAAGUGAAACUGGACUUGUUCACUCCAAUCGGGAAAAUUCAUCCCAUUGAAUAAGGGAACAGACGAAGCAUGCAAAUGAAAUGAAACAGGUACAGAUACUGCAAAUAUGCAAUAAAAUACUCAUAAUGUCUUGAGAAUAUCACCUAAUCAGAUUCAAACUAAACUACACAUGUACAUCAUAGUUCUCCUUUGGGUGAUCCUAUGAUAUACAAAUAUAUAUGAACCAUAAUGAUGCUAAUAACUUUUAUUUGAUAAUUGUAAAUAUAUCUUAUUAAAAUUCAUUUGCUAUCUUUGGAUAUACAAACAAAUUUAACAAGUCAUAUUAAUUAUCAACUAUCAUGUUCAUGAAUUAUAAGAAUAUAAUUAACUUUUGGGUUAAUCCCUAAGUUCUUAUAAUAAUUGAACUUCAAUAUACCCAUAACAUCAAUAAUGAUAUGAAACAUAUCAAUUUCAUAUAUAGCAUCAAUUAAUCAUGGGUAAUUGAAUACAACAAUUUACAAUAUCAAAAAUUCAAAAGACUUCAAGGUUUGACCACUUUGGUGACUAAUAAACCAUUUAUAAUUUGAAUUUUUAAUAUUGUAAAAUACAAAUAUUUACCAGAUUGCACAUAAGGACAAAAACGUAAUCAAAGCAUAAGGGCACAAUCGUAAAAUCAUAAUUCUAUAAGGCUAGAACCAUAAAUUUAAAAUCCAUGAGUAAAAUGGUAAAUUAUUAGCAAGGGUAGAAUCGUAGUUAUAAAUAAACAGGGGCUGAACAAUAAAUAGCGCAGUGACAAAACUGUAAAUAACCAUUAAAGAGGAGGGCAAAAAUGUAAUUAGGCGCGGAAAGCAGCAGGCGCAUGCAUUGCCGUGCGGGCGUGUGCAAUGCGUGUGCCUUCAUUGCCAUGUGGGCGUGUGCAUUGACGCACGGGCACUGCACGCGCCUGUAGCGUCGGGCGCGUGGAGACCACAUGUCUGCAACUGCACUGCGCGAGUGGUCCCACACGCCUUCUUCACGUGCGGGCAUUGCACGCCUUGCAGUGCCGAGCGCGUGGAGACCACGUGCCUGCAAUUGCAAUGCGCGCGUGGUCCCACACGCCUUCUUCCUUGCGCCAUUUCUUUCUUUUCUUUUUUUGUUGGCCCUAUUUCCCCCGAAUUCCUCCAAUUUCGUCCUUUUCUCCAUAAAAACAUUCUAUCAUUCGGAUUUUCUUCAACAGAACCCUUCGAAAACAUUUCAACAACAACAAAUAGUAUGAAGAGGAUCGUUCAACGAAUUAUCAUACAUAAAUCAUAAUAUUUCUAUAAACGGAAAGAUCAUGAGAUCAUAAAUCACGCUCUGAUACCAAUUGUUAGAAGAUACAUAUAAUUCUUUAAUGAGGAAAUUUAAAAGAAAAACAGUGAUCUUUAAUCUUCAUGAUUUUCACGAAUAGAUGAAGAUGUACAUUUAUCCAUAUUGUUACUCUUGAUGAUAAUCAUUGUGGAAAACCGAAGAACUUGAACCAAAUGAAGAAAUCUGAUUUCUCUCCCUUAAUCCACUAUUCUUUAAUGUAUUCUAUCGAUGGAGGAGAGAAUAUCAAAUUCUUUUCAGUUAUUGUUGUUCAUAUGGGUGGAGAGAGGACCAGACUCUAUUAUACGUUCUAUCAAUAGGUGCCUUCCAUCAAAGCACCAUUUAAAUUCCAUAAAUGCCACACCUCUUCGGAAAACGAGUAACUUCCCUUGAGAAUUAUACAAUUUCGUUUUAUUAGAGUCGCAACUUCUCAUAAUCAAUAUUUAUUUAUUUUAUAGCAUUUCAACAAUUAUCAAAACGUAUAAUAAAUCAUAUCAUGUGGGCCACAAUAAUUCUUACAAGGAGUAGCCUGUGUAUAUAUAGAUAUAUAUAUAUAUAUAUAUAUAUAUAUUUAUUUAUUUAUUUUCAAAACUGUCAUUUCUAAAUGUUCGCUUCAACCGCUGUUUCACCUCCCAAAAGCAAAGUUGGCUUGACAAGCUCAGAUGAGAGGAUGCGGGAUUUUCUCCUUCCGGUCGAUAAUAAGGGCGAUUUCGUCAUCCAAAACUGUUAUACCCUUUUGACCUAGUCGAUGUAUAAUAAGUCCGUUUCUUAACACUUCUUUGACAUAAUCGAAAUCAAGUGGUUCAAUGGGUGGUUCAACUGGUUGACUCGCAAAUCGAAACCCAAACUAGUUCUUUGACAAGUCCACAAUUGGAAAAAUUGUUUGACACGUUUAUAAAACCCGAUACUGAUGCGUGGCAUAAAUUGCCAGCUCUAAUAACAAUCAUGUUGUGAUGAUGUGGAGCGGUGAGCGGCACAAAUGAUAUGGUGAUACUUGAUUAUGACGUCAUCUUUCGGCCGCAUGUGGCAGCGGUCCGAGUCUCUGUUUCCAGUGUUCAACUCGGAGGACAAUUACUUGUCUGAUGGAUGGUUCGUUGAGAAACAACCACCGAAAGCCAACGGGCUACGAAGGCAAAGAUUUGGACGAGUUGCGUCGUCUCGGCACGUGAGGUUUCUGUCCAUGGUGGAGUUGAGUCGCAGUUGGCGUCGAUUGAACAACGUGAUUCUAAGAUUCAAAGCCUUUCGUAGUGUAUUGUGACGAAAACUAUCUAAGUAGGUGAUGACGAAUUUCAAUUGAAUGGUUACGUCAACAAGAGAUAGAUAAACUAAAGGCCUUUUGUAUAUCACUGGAAUAUGUUAUACAAAUAAUUGCGAUCAUUUGUAUAUAGUAUAGAUACACGAUUUUGUGAUUCUAGAUAUAAUCAGACUAUACUGAACAUACACGCUAUAUUUUGCAUGUGUGAAUGAUUCAGUAUUUGUGGAUGAUGUGCAUUACAAGUCGUAACAUUGUUUCAUAUAUCAAUGAUUUUAAUCCCAUAGUACUGUUAAAAGGUCAUAGUCCCAAGGACCUAAUAUAGAUGUUAGGUGUAAAUUUGAAGGGAGGUUUUCGGUUCGUAAUUUUGUCAUAUAUUUAGAAAUCUCUUUUACUUUAACUGUAGGCUUGUUUCUCUUUUCAGACGUUUCGGAGCUAGAAAUCAGAACUCGAUUACCGUCUAACAUCUCACAUUUUUAAAACUAGAAUGGGAAAUUCAAAGAUGGCGUUCUAAUUUGAUUUGAAGCAAGAAAAACUUACUGUAAAUAUCUUCGGUUGUUGUGUGUGAAAAUGAGAGGACAUGGUCUUCGCCUGUAGUUAAAUAUUGGAUUUGAUGGUUGAAUGUGGAAACACGGAAGAGUCCAAUAAACAAUGGCAUGCGGUUACGAAAUUGUUCAGGAAAUUCUUGUCCAUAUGCCAUUUUUGAAAGACACGGCAAAAAGCAAAAGGUGAUUCAUAAGUAGGUGCUAAUAUUGAAAAUGACAGUUAGAUGGCAAGUGAUUCUUGUCCAUUAAAGCUGCGCUUUAAAAUGAAAUGAUGGAGAAAUUUAAGUGUGAGGCAUAAAAUAUUUGAAAAUUAAAGUGCAAAGGAAAAGUGGACUCUGAGGAAGAUACUAUGGAAGUGAAUUAAACGAACUUACUGUCACAUUGCAUCUCUCUCUCCUUUUUUUUUUUUUUUUUUCCUUUCCACCUCUUCCACGAGAAUUUGCCUCCGUUUUUCUUGUCUUUUCUUUUCUUUUGCCCGCCGUAACUUUCUCUCUGUAUUCCUCUUUCUUGGCCGUGAAGAAAAGCUUACACCUUUUCUUUUACGAGGUCUCUUUGGCAAUGAAUAAAUAGAUGCUGAAAAGUCACCUUCCCACUUGGCCGAGAAUCUUCCGCAUUUUUUAUAAGCAGAUUUUCUUGCUCUGUUUUGGCCGUGAAUUCCGGUCCAUGAAUGCUGAGAUCGCUCCCUUUGUCAAGAUGGAAACUGCACGCUCCUUUCCUUCUUUGAUUCUCCAUUGCCUUUUCUUCCAAUUUUGACGCGUGCAGUUGAACAAGACCUUCCUUCCAUCUCAUGUGUUCAGACUGGAAUUGGCUUCGAAAAUGGGUGUCAGCCGAUUGAAAUCUAAAUGGCGGCACUUUCUUUCCCUUAAUUAGGCCGAGUUUGAUUAGCUUGGGGCCGGACUUGCAUGGGCUCCAAUUUGGAAUCUCAAGUGAGUUUAAGACUCUUUCGUAUAUUGGGUGAACUAUUGAGCCAAUCCCAAACAAACUCAUAGCCAGAUCCAUGUUUUGUUAAUUGCGAAUGCUUUAUGCCCAAAAUUUAAAACCCCUAACAAUGAAAUACGGGAUAGACGGCAGUAAGCAAAACCACCACAUAACACUUACAUAAACCAAUAGAGUUAUAAACGAAGGCCUACAGCCGAAAGUCUACAAAAGUCCGGCUAUUAAAAAUGAACUGUCCUACGACCUACAAGUCGGACACGCUCUUCAAUCCUUAUGACUUCACCUCUGCAACUCCUCAAGGCCAACCAAAGCUAUCUAGCCGCUCCGUCCACCAGGGACCUGAAAUUUUAAUCCCCAAACUGGGAUGAGACAAUGUCUCAGCAAGUUCAACUCCCUAAACCCCUAUUAGAAAGAAAAUACAUCAAAGGGUGGCCUAACCACAUCAUACAGAGAACUUACCUCGCCUCAAUUCCUUCCUGUAGGUUAGUACAAUUCAAAUCACUCAAUCACAGAUAGUAAUAAUAAUUCAAACAAUUGGAACGCCAUCACUUUCAUAUAAAUCACAGUCGCACUUAGCACGCAUUCCAAGUAUUAUUCACUGCCACACAAUGGCAUAGCCUACUCGCAGUUCGGCUAUCUACUGGCAUAUAGCCAGGCAUCGCCUCCCCCCUUGGAGCGCGGCUUCGUCAGUACGUCGACGACAUUCCCGAAGGAGCAUCAAUCCAGUCGGCCCAGCCUCUACUGCGAUCGGCAUCCACCGCGUGGGCAUCCCAUAUAGAGGCAAGUCCGGCUCAACAGCCCAGGACGAUUCCUCUUAGUUAUCACAAAGCCAAAGCAUACUCAGCCCCAGGACACUUUGCAUUUCAUUCAAUACUCUCAUUUAAAAUAGUGAUCCCGGCCAUUUUUCUUCAUAUUAAAAAGGGAAAAUCUCAAAUAAGGACCCAAAGUGAGCCUAUUUUCUCAAAUAAGGACCCAAAAUAGUCGUUGUCCCAAAUAAGGAUCUGAAGUGGCUAAUAAGUCUCAAAUAAGGACCUGAACCCCACCAGCCGGCGAGCGUGUAAUAUUUCCGGUGGCCGGAGUAUGGGCAAUUUUGUCCACAAAAAAUAUUAAUAGAAUUUGACAAACCCUAAAAACAAACCCCCCAAACUCUUCACGUCUUUUGACCUAAAAAAACCUCUUCACGUUCUCCUUUCUUCUUCUCUUCAUCUUCUCCGUUCUUUGUCCUCUUUUGCUUGGAGCACUGAAAUUUUCUGUUAAUGGAACACGAAUUGAAACACAAAACGAAAUCCCUACCUUCGUUUCUUCACAUCUUCUUCUUUUGUUUUCUGUCUUCGUUUCUUUCCAACGAAGAAAAAAAAUCUCGAGUAAAGCCACCUUUUUGUUAUUGAGACACUCGUGUGUAACACAAGGAUCUCGAUUCUUCAUUAUCCUGUCCUAGCUUUGCCAUACACUUUGAUUCACACUCCAGUUUCGUUCAAAUUGGUGCAAUCGAUCCUUCGUUCGUUCAAAGUGGUUGUAACUUGUCGAAGCAACAUGUCGACAGGGCGCAGGCAUGUGGUGGAAUAUCACACAGAUGGCAGCGAGGAUGGUGAUGGUAGGACGAAUUCUUUUGUUUUAUGGUGUUCUUUUUGCUUGUUUUGUUGGAUUUCUGAGUUUAUGUCUCUUUUGUCCGACAAAAUGCAUAUGAGUUGUGUCCACGAUGGAUUUCUAAUUAGAUAUUACUGCUGUUGGGGUCCUACAUGUUGUGAUGGUGGUCCCUGUUUUGCGAUUUUUUUAUACUCUCUUUUUGUCUUUUUCUGGUUUAUAUUUUGUCGUUGAUGGUUGGAACUCACGGCCUGUCAUGGAAUUUAAAAGCCCACAUAGAUUCUCAUAGGGAAAGUAGAUAGACAUUUAAAAAAAAAGCUAUAAUUACUCAGAUAUGGGUACUCUGAUAGAAAGUAUUUAGAGGACGAAAUUUGGUGGAAAAAUGUUGAGACAAAAUCAAUUUGAGUCUAUGUGCGCAUGAGUUUACGGUCAGAGCAUGAGGGCAUAUUGUUUCCAAUAAUUUUUGUGCGCACUACUUAUUAGGAACUGGAGGUGUCUUGUUUUCUGCAUUUUUUGUGCACUGGAUGUAACUUCUAAAGCAGCAAUUUGUUAGAUUACUUGUUAGAAGUUCCUUCUUCUCAAGUUAUUAAUAUGAAGACUAUUUAAUCUUUGUGUCAAGAUGCAUUGCAAUUAAGUCUUCUUUAUAGGAUUGUGUUUUCAGCCUUGUUUGUUGAACGAGAAAGAGAGAAUUCAGACAAAAGUUGAGUCAACUAAACUUAGUAGUCGUUUCCAUAAUUUUCAAGCCGAUAACAUAUGAGCCUAAGAAAUGCUUUGAAUGGGAUCAGUUUUCUUUUCCUUAUGGUAUAUAUCUCUAAGUUUGGUUCUCGGGUCACCAUGGUUGGCUCGCCUAGGGAGAAAUUUAUGGCAACAUCGAAAACAUUUUAACUCCAUAAUGCACAAUAUUUUGACAAACGGUAUCCAAUAAAAGAGUGGUAUAUAGUCACUAGUGUGCCUAGUUUUCUUUCAUUAAUCAAAGCAUGGUACAAUUUUAUUGCAAUUGUUUACUAUUUUUGUUUUGUUUUUUCCUGGUGUACGUUUUGCAUGGAAAUAUAUUGACUUUAUUUUUGCUUCAUUUUGCACCAGUUGAGGGAUGUGAAGAACUAAACUAUUCAAUAUAUGGUGGUGGGUAUGAUGGCGUUGCUAGAGAAGAUGGGUUCGCCUUUGUUGAUCUUGACGAGUUAUACAUGAGAAAUGUAAGUUGUGCUAACAGUGAUGGUUCAAUGGAGAGGGAUAUGGAGGUUGGAGACAUCAGUCAGUAUGUAGAUGUGUUAGCUGACAAUGUAGAUUUCUUGAAUAUGAAUGGCGAAAAUGAGUAUACACAUCCCGAGUUUAAUGCUGAGGUUGAUAUGGAAAAUCCUGUCUUCAAGUUAGGAAUGUGCUUUAGCAAUGCUGAGGAGUUUAGAAAGGCCGUUAGGAACCAUGCCAUAAAAAAUGGGAGAAAGGUGAGGUUUGUUAAGAAUACACCUAAUAAAUUGAGGGCAGUGUGUUCUGAUGGUUGUGAUUGGCUUAUAUAUGCUUCCAAAGUGCAAAGGGAGCAUACUUUACAAGUCAAAACCUUUAACUCUAUACAUACAUGUAAUAGAGCUCUACAUGUUCCUCAAAUAAGCACUAAAUGGUUGGCAAACAAGUACUGUGAUAGGUUGAGAAACAAUCCUACAUGGCCAGGUGCUUCAAUGAAAAAAACAAUGGAGUCUGAGAAUGUUUUAAAGUUGUCGAGGACAAUGGUUUAUAGAGCUAGGGCAACGGCAAUGAGUAUGAUUAUUGGGAAUGAGGAAGAGCAAUUUCGGAUGCUUAGGAGCUAUUGUCAAGCACUUCUUGAUGCCAACCCGGGAUCCACGUGUAUAAUCAAAACCGAGCAAUAUCAAGACCAAUACAAGUUUAAGGCAGUCUAUAUUUGUCUGGAUGCAUUAAGGAGGGGCUUUGUAGAAGGAUGUAGGCGCUUUGUAGGUUUUGAUGGUUGCCAUUUGUCAUCAGGCUACAGGGGUAUACUUCUAGCAGCGGUGGGCAUAGAUGGCAACAAUCAAAUGUAUCCCUUUGCAUGGGCAGUUGUCGGACAAGAAACAUAUAAGACAUGGCAUUGGUUUAUUAGUUUGAUUAUAGAAGACUUGGGGAUUACCGACCCUGAAAAUUCAAAGUACUGGACUUUCUUAUGUGACAAACAGAAGGGAUUGGUGCAAGCACUAGCAAAUCUAAUGCCUGAAGCGGAACAUAGAUUUUGCUUAAGGCAUCUUUAUGAAAACUUCAAGCUACAUCACAGAGGGGUAGAACUUAAAAAGCUCCUUUGGAAGGCUGCCAUGGCGACUAGAGUAUGUGAUUUUGACUUGGCAAUGGAAGAGCUGAAGGCAAUUAAUAAGAAAGCUUAUGAAUGGUUGUCUCAAAGGCCUCCGGUGCAAUGGAGCAAGUCCUACUUCAGGACAAGCUCAAAAUGUGAUAUUUCAUUGAAUAAUUGGUGUGAAAGUUUCAACAAAAGCAUCAUUGACGCAAGGGACAAACCUAUCAUCACAAUGCUUGAAGCUAUAAGAGUGCAGCUCAUGGAAAGAAUUCAUAAGCAAAGAGAUGGGAUGGCUAAGUACACCGGUAUGAUAUGUCCUAAUAUCCAAAAGAUAUUAGAUCUUCAAAAACAAUUUUCAGCAUCAUGGAUUCCUAGCUGGAAUGGGGAGGAUGAAUUUGAAUUGAGUGGCCCAUAUGGCGACAAGAGAGUUGUUAAUAUUAGACAUAGAUCUUGUAGUUGUAGAAGAUGGGACAUCAGUGGAAUCCCUUGCUGUCAUGCUGUGGCAGCUCUUAUAUACAUGAGAGAAGAUCCUGAAAAAUGGGUUCACACAAGUUUUAGUAAGGAAACGUUCAUGCAAACUUAUAGCCAUGUUGUGCAUGUUGUAGAUUCUAUGGACACAUGGCCUGCUAGAGAGCCAUUACUCCCACCAGAUGUGCCCAAGAAAGUUGGCAGAAAGAAGAAACAAAGAACAAAAUCAGUGAAUGAAACAACUGAUAAAAAUUUGAAGACAAGAAAGAAGAAAGUUGUGCAAGAGCCCGAGGGAACAAAAUUGAAGAGACAAAAUACUACAAUCACUUGUGGGAAAUGUGGCGGCAUAGGCCAUAACAGGUAUCAUUGCAAUAAUCCAUCAAUAGUAUCGAUGACAGCGGCAACGACAACGGUAGCAUCGGCAUCUUCAGCCCUUGUAGCAUCUUCAGCCCCUUUAGCCCCAUUAGAAUCACAACCUGAGAUAGUUGAAUUUCUUGCUUCAACUUUUGGUAACAUCUCAAGCUCGUCAACAUCUAUAGGAAGGACAAAGAUGCAAGUAUCCAUUUACCCUUGACUUUGUCCUAGAAGUGUUCUUACUUGCACCUUACUUCUUUUGACUAAUUAAUUUAUUUUUUGAUUCAAUCGUAGGUAAAGAGGAGGAUGUAAGGAUCUCAACUUGAAAGCAGUGGUAGACGAGCAAUUUUUUUUUGGAGAAACGCAGGACCAACAACACAAUUUCUCUUCUUGUUAGUUGAUGUGGAUGGGUCUAUUUUGGUCUAUUAGGGAGCAUUUUAAAGUAUAAAUAUGUAUAGGUCUACUUCGUUAGGAAGAUUUCUUUCGUGGGAUAUUUAUUUUUUCCAUCAUAUAGGGGGGCCGUGUUUCAUGGUCUUCAAGGAGGACCACACAUCUUGUAGUCUCGUGGUUGAUGUAUCUAAGUUUUAUGUUCCUAAUAUCUAUGAUGCUUUUACCCUUUGCUGCAUAUCUAUCUAUUUGAUAGAAUUAUGGAAUCUAUUGAUAUCAUUUGACUCCAUUUAGCGCGCGCUGGAAACACGACUUCCUUGUUGCUUGAACUUUGGCUAAACUGGGUUCCCAAACUCAAAUUGAAGUAAUACCCCUGGCUAUGUUUUUCCAAGUUAGAAAUACCAUUAUGUUCUUAGAGAAUAAGUCGAAGCUCAUUAGUCCAACUCAAAUUGAAGUAAUACCCCUGGCUAUGUUUUUCCAAGUUAGAAAUACCAUUAUGUUCUUAGAGAAUAAGUCGAAGCUCAUUAGUCCAUGGACGUUAGUUUCUCUGCCCACUGAACUUGAUCUGUCAUGGCCAUUUAGACAUCACGUCCAGCUUUAGACAACAUAAUUUUGCNNNNNNNNNNNNNNNNNNNNNNNNNNNNNNNNNNNNNNNNNNNNNNNNNNNNNNNNNNNNNNNNNNNNNNNNNNNNNNNNNNNNNNNNNNNNNNNNNNNNNNNNNNNNNNNNNNNNNNNNNNNNNNNNNNNNNNNNNNNNNNNNNNNNNNNNNNNNNNNNNNNNNNNNNNNNNNNNNNNNNNNNNNNNNNNNNNNNNNNNNNNNNNNNNNNNNNNNNNNNNNNNNNNNNNNNNNNNNNNNNNNNNNNNNNNNNNNNNNNNNNNNNNNNNNNNNNNNNNNNNNNNNNNNNNNNNNNNNNNNNNNNNNNNNNNNNNNNNNNNNNNAUACAGACUUUCUUGACAUCGAAAUUUGUAUCUACAGCAGCACUUCUACAUCAUAAUUGAUUUUGUACCACACUAAUCCAUGAUUUGUUCCUCUGUUCUUGUACUUCAUUGCCAUUUUCUCGAACUCAAUUGUAGGAAAUUGCUUUGCAUACUCCUCAACAUCGUGGCGAAGUUUAGGACCCAAUUGUAGCAAUCUUUGAUUGAAAGUGAGGGGAAGACUGCAUUGUGGCCCAAGAAGUCCUUCAACUUUGUUCUGCUAGACAAAUUUUUUUAACAUCGAAUAAAGAAAGCGUGAACAAAAAAGAGGAAGCAAUAGAGAAAAAGCAUUAAGCAUGCUUGAAUGCAAGAGGUGAUUUGAACCAUCUAUAAUUGGCAAACAAAAAAAUGAAUUUGGUAGAAUCAUUCAUCUUUGGUUAUGACCUUGAUUUUCACUACCCAACUGACGACAUCAUCAAAGAACUCACUACUUCCACAAAGUCUUCUUCGACAAGAAAGCAACAAGAUGGACAAAUUUAUAAGUAACCAACAUAAAAACCCUGAAUAUGAAAGCACAAUCUAGUCCACAAGAAGCCUCUACCAUCAGGAGCCAUGGCGGAUGCAUCUCGUGCAACAUAGCAAUAUGAACAGAUUCCGUCACAUUUUCAACUCUGGAACCAUCAAUUCCUUACAGAGAUUUGAAAGCAAAAAAGAGGGAUAAAUUGAUUCCUAUUUUUGAUGGGUUAACGAUAGUACAAUUAAAGUGCCUACAUUACCUACAAGUAAAGGGUAGAUGAACUAUAAGAUUUGCGUAAGUUCUUCAAGGUAUAUCUAGCAGACUUGUAGAAAGGAGAGAAUGUGAAGUUUUUGCAUUACCUUUUUCUUCAAGUUUACUAGAACCGAAUGACUUUCAGUCCCCCAGAAACAAGUUCAAUAAAAAAAGGAAACAGAGGUAAGAAAAUAAUACAGAGUAUUUCACAAACACCUCAAUCUCGAGCACAAUUCGAAUCCACCCAAGACAGAGGACAUCUCCAUCUCAAGUACCCACAUCUCGAGCAUAAUUCGAAUCCACUUUCACGGACCCAACCAUGAGAGAAAGAACAUCUCCAUCUCGAGUAUCCACAUCUCGGGCGCAAUUCGAAUCCACUUCCACGGACUCAACCAUGAGACAAAGAACAUCUCCAUCUCGAGUACCCACAUCUUGGGCACAAUUCAAAUCCACUUCCACGAACCCAACUGAGAGAGAAGAUAGAGAGAAAAGGAGGGCANNNNNNNNNNNNNNNNNNNNNNNNNNNNNNNNNNNNNNNNNNNNNNNNNNNNNNNNNNNNNNNNNNNNNNNNNNNNNNNNNNNNNNNNNNNNNNNNNNNNCCAGUCCUGAGCACGCGCUGACCACGCACCAGCCCUUCGGUUCCGUCCAUGGCGAUGGUCCUGACCAUGUUCUCGCCCAGGUGUUGGGCCACCUCCAACACGAGCCUGAUCGAGUUGUCGAACACCUCCAGGGCCGUCAAGAUCGGGGGCAAGCCCUCGUCGAACCGCACGUCGACCACGGCGCUGAUCACCUGGCACACCUGCUCGAUCGCGCCGGCGCCGGUGAACUCAUCGGUGAUCCUACCCUUCCCGGCGCCCUUGGCCGCGGCGACGGGGGGAGGAGGGGGCGAUGCGGCGGCGGCGGCGGAGGUGGAGUAGUGGGCAGCGCGGGUGAGGAGGUAGCCGUGGGGGGGAGGGGCGGUGGUGGUAGUGGUGGUGGCGGGGGGCGGAGGAGGGGGUGAAGAAGGGGGCGGAUUUGGGGUUGGAGGAGGAGGUGGGCCGCGACGGCGAUCGGCGGAGGGCGGCGGAGCGGAGGAGGGUCGGCAGGAGCCGGCGCGAAGACGGCGACGCCAUGAAGGAGGGGUGGGGGGUUGAGAGUGAGAAGGGAGGAGUGAGAAGAGUACGAAGGGUUUUGUUUUUUUUAGGGUUUGUCAAAUUCUAUCAAUAUUUUUUGUGGACAAAAUUGCCCAUGCUCCGGCAACCGGAAAUACCACACGCUCACCGGCCGGCGGGUUCAGGUCCCUAUUUGAGACUUAUUAGCCACUUCAGAUCCUUAUUUGGGACAACGACUACUUUAGGUCCUUAUUUGAGAAAAUGAGCUCACUUUGGGUCCUUAUUUGAAAUUUUCCCUAUUAAAAAUAUUCCAGAAAUUACUCACGUGUGUGGGGACACGCUAAUUUCGAAUCAAAAAGCCAAUAUCUCAUUUUUGCAAACCCCACUAUUUAAUAUAAUCAUCAAAAUCCAACUUUUGCAUCAAAACCCGACACUUGGGUUUUUAUGAAUAAAGUCCUUAUUUACCACAAUCAACACUCAAUUUGCCACAUCCAUUAAUCAAAUGCAAAUUCUAAAUGCACAGCAGCGAUCAGCACGAAAUUCUGAUAAAAUAAGGUUCCAAAAUAAUUUUCAGAAUUUAUUAAAUAAUUAAAUUUAUUCCGAAAAUUAAUUAAAUAAUAAUAUCCAUAUCUUUCACGAUCCACACUCAAUUCAUAAUAUCCAAUCGUCAAUUUCAAAAUCUAACUACACAACAGCGACCGGCACGAAAUUCUGAAAAUUUAGGAUUCUGACAAAAUUUUCGAAAUUUAAUAAAUAAUUAAAUUUAUUCCGAAAAUAAUUAAAUAAUAAUAUUUUAAUAAUUUCGAAUAAUAAUAUAUUAUUAAAUUAUUUCGGAAUAUUUAAAUAAAUCAAAAGUAAAUUCCUUUAUGUCACAUCAAAGCUUAUAUUAAUAUAAACAUCGAUUUAACCUUAACUAAACAUAUUUUAAGUUAAUCAAACCUCUUAAUCUAAUUCACAAUUAAAUAAACUAAACUAACCACCUAAGCUUAAUUAACUUAAGCUAAACACACCUAAAGCAUAAUGAACACUCUAAUCGAGAUUUAGUGAGUUAAACUCACCUAAUUAACGAAUCGAGCGGACCAAAACGACGGGGACGACGAGAGGAUCGACUUUCCUAAAAGCGGGCUGAGCAUCCGAGCUCGGGAAGGCGGCCAAAACGAGCCAAACAUGGGCUGUCAUACCCAUUUUUCCAGCCACUGUCCGCUGUGGUUUGAGGCCGAGAAAUGGUAGAUCCGGAGCUUGGAUGAGAUGGGGAAGGACCGGGGAAGGUUGAGCGGUCGAACCGGACCUAGGUGGGGCCUGAACGGUGGCCGGAGGUGGCCCAACGGCUCCGGCACGGGCUGAUGCAGCAACCGCGACGCAAGGGCAGGCGAGAGGGAGCCGGAGAUGAGCGGAGCAGCAGCGGGCAGUGAUGGCCUUGGCGCAAGGCUUGGACGGCGAGCGGCGGUGGAGCGCGGCUACUCCGGGCGGUGCUGCUGGCCUCGCUGACUUCGGCUUGCAAAUUUUCUGGGGACAUCGAGCACGAGCAGGAGAAGGAGGAGAGACGGAGGCGGUGGUGCGGUGGUGGCACGAGCGGGCGGCAAGCGGCCUAGCGGUGCAAAGGGCGGCGGCAACCGGCGAUGGCUGCUCCGGGCAGCUUGCUGGCGACGUGCAGCUCUCCUCUGGAAUUUUUCUGGUCUUCGCACCAAGGAGAUGAAGGAGAAAGGCGACGGGAGAGAGGGAAGGAGGAGAGAGAGGAAGGAGAGAGAGAGAUGGGACCAUUUUUCUUUUCUCUUUUUCUCUUUCUUUAAUCCCACAUAAUGGCCCACCAUGACAUCAUCAAGUGAUAUCAUACCCCACUAUCUCCAAACCUCCCACAACAUUUUCCAAUGGUUGCAAUUUACUUUUCCGCCGUGGCAUGAGAUCUUGUACCAUAAUUUCUCCAAUUCCAUUCAAUUCUCUUCCAAUUGAGUCCAAUUGAAGUUUAUAAAAUUAAUCCAAUGUCACCACACUUCAAUUCACAUCUUCACUUGUCCAUAGAACUAACUUAAGUCCUAAAAGUACGACCAAAAGCGAGCCUACUAAUUUCUUGAGCCAAAUUAGCCAUUUUCUGAUUAUUUUGCUGAAAAACUCGGCUUGCAUGAAAAAUCUUUCGAAGAUGAGUUAAUAUUCCUAAAAUGAUUUGUGACACACCAGACUUCCAAUUUCUGAAUUCGAUCUCAAUUCCACGGUUAAUUUCACUUUGGCACGAUACUAGUACGGCCCAACCUACUAGGUAGCUUUUAAAAAUUUUCAUGCAUUUGACCUGUGGUUGAUCAUCUCAAGCCACAAUGUACAUUUUUGAAACAUUUGCGACUUUCGGUUGUCGGGGUAAUCUCAAGAUUUCAAAUACGAACAUAAGGUACCCAAUCGAUAAAAAGUCGGUUCAGUGCCGAUCGACAAGAAUUGUGCAAUCUGGUGGAAUCACCCACACUUGAUCACAUGCCUUUGUCGAGUCGACCUAUCUCCGAUCUCUAAUCGGUUUUUAAUUGUACCGUAAUGACCCUUGCAAAUUAGCUCGGUCAAAAGAUUGCUUCCUAGUCAAAUUCUCGAGUCUGAUGCAUUAUAAUUUCUUAACGGCUUCACCUGAUAGACUAGUUUUCACAUGAGUGUCCGACUCAAGGAAAGGAACUAUGUGCGUGCCAACGAAAUGCCCGUUUUAAUUUAUUAAAAAUAGAAUUGGAAAAUCGGGAUGUCACAACUCUUCCCCUCUUAUAAAAAUUUCGUCCUCGAAAUUUUUACAUUUACCAAUUCUUAAACAAAAAGGUGGGGGUACAGUCGUCUCAUAUAAUCUUUUCUUUCUCAAGUUACUCCUUCUGUACCAAUACUGCUGGAUCAUUGCUAUCUUUCCCAAACCACAUCGGAUCCAAAAUAUUGAAGACUUGCCCACUUAAAAUUCCAAAGGUCUUUAACACAAAAUCUUCAAAGCUAAACUGGCGAUUCUGAGCAGUCUCUAAACUGUCUCUGAUAAUUGCAACUGAAUCACUGAUUUCUGACCCAACUCUGGACUUGCAAUUUUUUUUUAUCUCUGAUCUCAUCUCAACCGACUGAAAUCAUGUACACUCCGCUCUGCACUGAUUAAAAAGAAACUAUCUGACUGAUCUGCUGAAACUAAGAACCUCUGGUCAAGAUCUGAUAUAACUCUGACACUAAUCUUGGUAAUUGUAAUCAUUGACUACUGUACUGACCCUGGCCUGCGAUCUUUCUUUCCCUGACUUCAUCUCAGCAAUUGAAAUUAUGCACUCUCUGCUAUGCACUGCUUAAGAAGGAACCAUCUGAAAGCUCUGCAAACUUGGAACAUCUGAUCUAGAUUUGAAAUACAAUUCAUCCCCGGCACUCCAUGUAGAUAAAUUAUAUGAUAUACACACACUUCGGUAUACUUAUUCUAAUCGAGAUAUUUUCGUGCUAUACUAAGGUGAGUUGACUCUGUUCAUCUAUCGACCACAACCCCAUAAGGAAUCAAUACUCUUCCCGACUCCUUAAUAAGCCUGUCAUAACAUUCCAUCAUGUUAUACUUCCAUUCCCACACAUGACUCUCUCAAGUGCUUGAAGAAACUUUUCUAGUUUACAUUACCAAAUUCUCACUUACUAAUACAUCCAACACGUGCAACUUGUUCAGCGAUAUCUAUCUUCAUACCGAUCUACCAAUCCCGAUGAUGUAGAUUCUGACUCAUCUUUGUACCGUCUGGACAACGUUGAAGUUGCUAUGAUGAGCUUCCCAUAAGAUCUCUUCUUUAAUCUCUGUAUCGACAAUUACAUACAAUUGUCCUCGGAACCUUAGCGUUCUGCCUUCGGAAAUCUGAAAAUCAAUCUCUCUCUCAUCUGCAUUCUCUUAUAGAAUCUUCUGAAUUUCUGAAUCUGUCCACUGAAGCGAUUUGAUUCUGAUCUGAACUCUCGGCUCAAUUCUGAGGGUAGUUAUAAGAUUCAAAAAGGUGGCAUAUCUUAGAUUUGAAAACUGAAUUUCGAACUUUCUCAAAUAAGAUCCAAUCCUUAAGUACCAACUGUGCAACUAAGGACUCUCGACUCAGUGCAUCUGCGACUUUGCUCACCUUUCCAGAGUGAUACAAAAUAUCAUAGUCAUAAUCCUUAAUGAGUUCCAUCCGACGAUGCUAUUUCAUAUUCCACUCCUGAGGUCUCAACUGAUGGGACACAUAUGCAACAACUCUAUCAUGAUGUAUCAACACAUAACCCAAGCCUUUAAACGACGCAUCACUGUAGAUCUCAUAACUUCCAGGACCGGAUGGAAUAGUCAGCACAGGUGCAGUAGUCAGCUCUUGCUUAAGCUCUUGUAAACUACACUAACACUAUGUAAACAUGAUUUAAUUUCCUGUUUUACUCACACAUAUUCUUGUUUUCUUGUCUAAUGUCUUCUUCUGUGUAGUCAUUUACAUUUGGUAUGUUUUUUAGUAAGCCAUCUUUGUCCAAGGAAUUUUCACUAACUUUGAAUUCCUAUCAUUGCUUAAUUGUUGUGAGGUAACCAGAAUUCAUCUACCAUGAUUGGUGCUUUAGCUGUAAUAUUUGUUUUUCAGGUUUAUGCCAUUGCUUCUGAAGACAUGGAUUCCCUUACUUUUGGAGCUCUUAUAUUUCUUCGCCAUUUAAUGGAUCCUAGCUCAAGAAAAGUUCCAGUCAUGGACUUUGAAAUUUCCAAGGUACUUAGAAAAGUUUAUUCAUUGUGAUUGCUUAAAUUUUUUUCUCACUUUCCUGAAUUUUAGAUCUUGGAGGAGAUGAAUCUGGAUAUGGAUCAAUUCAUUGACCUGUGCAUUCUCUCUGGAUGUGAUUAUUGUGAAAGCAUUCGAGGUAGACGUGAUAUUGUUGCAGUGCUCUGUUAACUGUUUUAUGCUAUCACGUAUUUCCCUCUUGUAUUUUUUGGCUUGAUGAUUUCGUUGGCUUUACUUUGGAAUGAAUUUAUCAGUUAUUGGAGGGCUGACUGCUCUUAAGCUUAUCCGUCUACAUGGUUCCAUAGAAAACAUACUAGAGAAAAUAAACAAGCAGAGGUGCUUCUAUGCUUUUAUCUUGUCCCCUGACUUGUAAGCAAAAGUAGGCAGCAAAGUUUCUCACUGUAAUUGUCUUGGCUGCUGAAUUCCUUGACUUAAAAGAAUUAUCUCUCAAACUCAGCUGGCAUGGAAAUAUUUGGUCAACAAUUUGAAACUGAAAGAUCAUUUGCCACCAAUAGAUUUGGGCUGGCAAUCAGUGCAUCAGCCGUGCUACUUCAUGUGUUGAUUUACUGUAAUACUUUUAUCUAUUCUGAUGUCUGCUUUGUCUGUUCCUUCAUCUCACUUGAACAAAAUCAUGUCGUUUCUCUAUCCUUAAGACCCAAAGGUUCUUUGCAUUACUUGGAAGUCUUUAUUCAGUUUCGUUAUCCUUCUUAAGGAAAUGUUUGCUUGUUUUUUGAAUAGGUAUCAGAUACCAGAUAAUUGGCCCUACAGCGAAGCUCGACUGCUUUUCAAGGAACCAAUAGUUUCUAAGGAAGAACAACCUGAGAUAAAAUGGACUGCUCCAAACGAGGAGGUGGGCCAUUUUCAUGCUGGGAUUUAUUUGCAACAUUUCACCUUUUGAAUUAUUGACUCGUUUCCUAACUGAUUGUUAUUUCCCUUUCAAGGGCUUAAUUUCUUUUCUCGUGAAUGAGAAUGGGUUCAACAUUGAUAGAGUGACGAAGGUAUGGCUUUUAUCUUCAGUAAUGUGUUGGUCAGUUGCCUACUUGAGGAAUUUGCUUCUUUUCCUCUGAAGGAGAGACCAUACAUGUUUUCAAUGUUGUUUUACCAUGUGUAUCAGGCAAUAGAGAAGAUUAAGGCAGCUAAGGAUGAGUCAUCACAAGGCCGGUAACUAAAGCUUGAACAAAUGAAAGUGACUUCCAAAAUGCACUCUCUUAUCCCAUGAUUCCUUUCAUUUAUUCUCUACAGAUUAGAAUCCUUCUUUAAGCCAGCGCAGAAUCUGUGUGUACCUGCUAAGAGGAAGGUAUGUCAUCUUGACAUCUUUGAGGACCGAGCACCUGGAAUUUUCCUUCUUUUAGUGUAUGCGAAGGUGUAAUAUCACACAUUGCUGUAGCGAAGAGAUGUCUUGAGAUGCUUCUUAUGAUGGAUGAAUAGUAAUCUCUUUAACUCACUGCGUAAGCCAUUGAUUGCCCUAACGGUGCACAAAUUUUCAGAUCUUUGUGAUCAUUUUUAAACUUUUGUUGAUAGUGUUGUAAGUCAAAGGUAGUAUGUUGACAUGCCCCUGUUACUUAUGCCCAAUUACUCUAAUGUAACUUUACCGAUGUGCUAAUGGUGUUGCAUCACCCUAUUCAUGAAAUCAAUUAGAUAAAUAAAAGCACCAGCGUACUUAUACGGAUCUGUUAAGAUUUUCUGCCUGAUUAACUACCGAAAUUGCACUGGAUGACAGGGAAGCUAAUGCACACUUCAAUCCCCCAAUCUGGCAAUCAAGCCUAAAACAUUCUCUACACAAGUCUCUGUAAAUCCCCAGCCCAGGUUCCAUGGCAGCUUUGAAAUGCCAACCAUGGUCCUGGGUUUGAGGAACUUUAAACAAUCUUUGAGAAUUGUCUGCCUCCCGACAUGGAUCUAAAUGAUAAUGAAUGUAAGAACCCUAUUCACUGAGCAAGUCCUGACUUGUAGAUGCUGUUUUGGCCAGUAGUUGGAAGCAAGUUGAUGCUUUCCUUUCCUUAAAAAUGGGUCAUGUCUUAUGGUACUGCAAUUUUGGGAGAGAGUUGUAUAAAUUUUAAUUGGAAGGAUGAAGUUUGCCCUCUAUGCUAGAUCGAGAGGGGUACUUCUUUUUGGGCUGACUGCAUAUUAGUGUUCCUUUUACGGUGCAUGUGUAUCUGCUAUCCUAAGGAUUCCAUUUCUUCCUUGGAUUGUACAUUUAACGGUACGUAUGUAUCACUUAUACUAAUUGUAUGUUAUUGUCAUCCAUGCACCAGGAAAUCCCUAAGAAUAUUGUCUCCAGGGCCGGUAGUGGUAAGAAGAAAAAUAGUUUAGUCGGCAUGUAACAGAUCAUGGAACACCAAAACCAUCGACUUCUAAAACACAAUGAGGAUGUAACAGACAUACUUUUCAAAUCUAUUUCUUUUCCUACUAAUGCACUUCAAAUUUAUUAAAAGUAAUUUUUUUCAUGUGUAUCUUUGUGAAUAUUUAGUUUUUUAUUUACUAAUUUUCCAUUUCUAUUAUUCUAACUCGCUAGAUAUAUAUGCUCUACAAAAUCCACCUUUUGAUUCCUUGAUAUGAAUCAAUAGAAGAAAUUUGUUUAUUUGAAAAUAUUUUAUUGUUUUAUAUUUCAGAGACAUUUUAAAUUAGAUAUCCGUGUAACCUUAAAGUCGGACUUUUUAGAGUUAUUUGUACAUAUUUACGUGCUAGUUUAAUAUAACUAAAUCUGAAUACUAUCGUUUAGUAGCAAAAUAUAAUUAGGUCAUUCAUUGUACUUUUAUGUAAAGAAUAUAUAAAUGGAUAACCAAUGUUAUUUAUAAAUGUAUCUCAAGAUAUAUUCUCUUUAUUUUUUUCUUAAUUUUAAUUUUAUAAUAGUAAAAAUAAUAAUUAUAAUAGAUGACGGACCGUGUAGGUUUUACCUUGACAGUAAAGGAAAUUUCCAAGGAUUUUUAUUAGGUCAACAAACAAUGUGAAACCUUACCAAUGAUAUGAUUUCAAUUUACUUAUAUACAUCAUACAAAUACAAACAAAAUAAAUCCCUAACUAAUGAUAAGAUUCUAGUUUACUUAUAUACCAUACAUACAAAUAAUAUAACAUAACCAAUCAAUGGUAGGAUUUGAGUUUCUUAUAGAUGUUGCGCAUACUAAUAAAACAAAUUACCUAAUUAAUGAUAGGAUUGCACUUUACUUACAUACAUUACAAGUUAAUAGCAUGUAUGAACCUAUACGAAUUAGUUGGUAUGUAGGUUCACAUAUCAUUCUUUCAAACCCCAUAAGCUCCUAAACUCCUCCAUAUGCAUAUCCAUUUUAAGCUUGUUUCAUCUUUCCAACCUCUAAUUUUCGCAUCCUAAUUUUGCCAUUCUCUCUCCCCUAAGGGUGGUUCCAUAUGUUUUUAUGGUAUGACUUCAGGUUUGGGUGCUCUUUCCAUCGCCUUCCUCUUGAGAUGGAAGUCGAUGAGCUCUGCAUUGGUUGGGUCGACUAGAAAGCUGCGGAGAAGAGCUUCUAAUUUCUUUGCGAAACCCAAAUGUUCUCAUGCCGUAAUCCCAUGGAGAGUUUCUUCAGAGACCACAAUCAACAACCCGCAUAGCAUCAUGCAAACAACUCAGCCGCGCCAAGACCAGCUCUGUGUCAUUCAAACAUUUUAACCUCUCGAACACCAACCAAGCAACAACAGAGUAAACCAUAACAAAGGUAGUAACAUCAAACAUCAACUCCACAUUUGAUGCAAUUUACUUUGAUGUUGCUGAGUUGGUGUUUGAGGGGUUGAAUUGUUUAAAUGAUGCUGAGGUGGUUUUGGCAAUGCUGAACUGUCUGCGUGAUGCCGUGCAGAUUUUUUAAUUGUUGUCUCUGAAGAAACUCGUCAUGGGAUAACAACACAAGACAACAGUCGUAUUUCACGUUGACAUUAAAAGAUAUUCAUCACCGGUUUCUUGCUAUGUUUUCAUGCACGCGGACAGUUCAUGCAAGGAAGGAAUGAAUACAAGUUAUGUCUGUAUGAGACCGACAUUGCAAGCUUCCACACCUGCUUCAUUCUUUCUUGGUGGGGCUGAUUGUCUAGUUGCCCUUUUUAUUCUCUCUUAUUUGUGGAGACUGUAUCAGUGUGUAGCCUAAUUCUUGAGAUCUCUUCCUCCUCGUCAGCCUAGUUGAAGUUUGUUGCCUUCAGCUUCAUUUUUUUCGGUCGUUGGAAGCCUAAUCCGCACCAGAAGACAAAUAAUUUGGCUCCGCCUCCACGUCCUUGCAGUGCUCCUCAGUCUCUCAUCUCCGAGAAGCUUGCACUGCUCUGCGACGUAUGGAGUCGUUAAGUCUCUGGGACGAAGUCAUUCUUGGUUGAUAUCAUAUGUCGAGCUUUGCAAUGUACUACUUUAUAUAUACCUUAUCUACAUAGAGAAGUUAUUAGGCGGUUCGCUCCACCACGUGAGCACAGUCCCUCUCCACCCGGUGAGUAACGCGUGGAGCCACGUCAACGGGUGUUCAUCUUAAAUGUAAAACAUAGGAGGGAAAUGAUGAAGAUGGUCCAAUGACAGCUUACCAGGUUCUUCUAUCUCAUUAUUCCAUAUGAGUGGUGAUGCAUAGGAUGGAUUUUCUAGCAGAUUCUCCUCUCCUCUGUUAUUCCUUUAUACAUGUAUAACAUAUCUACCCAACAGAUACCCCCAAUCUAUCUCUGUGGCAUCAAGUUGUAAAUUAGGAUAAUUGUUACUUAGCAUUUGCAUUACUACCCUCUAGAAAGAAAGAUUUUGAUUGCCUAUAUCAAAGUGCCCAUUUGUUCUUUGAUUCCAGAUAUGCCAGAGAAGCACAGUUGAUAUUACAUUGUCCAAAUGAAGGAUUACUACCCUCUAGAAAAGUUAAAGGUAGUCCAAUGACAACUUUCAGGGUUCUUCCAUGCCAUUCUUUUUUCCAUACAAGUUGUGAUGCAAAUUAUGGAUUUUCUAGCAGAUUCUCCUCUCCUCUGCUAUUCCUUUAUACUCUCUGUGGCAUCAAAUUAUGAAGUAGGACAACUUUCACUUAUCAUUUGCAUUACUAUCCUCUAGAAAUAAAGGUUUUGAUUGUCUAAAUCAAAGUACCUAUUUUUUCUCUUAUUCCAGAUAUGCCAGAGAAGCAUGCUUGGUAUUACAUUACGCAAAUGCAGUGGUAAAUACCAAUUUCAUUUGGUAUAAAAUAUCAUCAUCACCAUUUACCAUGAUCAUUCUGUUGUGUAUUCUGAACAAUAUUGUGCUUGUGCUGUUGUAGAAACCAGGAGCAAGCUGUAAACUAUCUACACCACCAUAUGUAGCUUCUUCAGCUCGCUAGCUACCUUCAUACUCUGCAGCUCCUCCCACAGUAGUCCUACUUACGGUGCACUCAUGACAGCAUACGUUGUGACAGCUCCUGCAUACCCAUCGUAUCCACCAUAUCCAGUGACGUACCCACCUCCACCACAUUUUCCCCAUCCUCCAACAGCCUAUCCUCCUCCAACAUACCCUCCUCCCCCUUUGGCUUAUCCUCUGCGUCCAUCUCCACCACCUCCCAGCCCUCCUGGUAUGCAUUGAAUUUCAACAGAUGUGCAUGAAUUACCUCAUUACUAGGUUGAUUCUAUGAUGUUCAUUGCCUAGUGUCAUUACUAGUUGUUCAUUUCUCGGGUCCUUAUUCGGGGCAUUGUCAUCCACGAGAGCUUCUACUAGAAGAAAUGUCAAAGGUUCCGCAGGAAGCUGCUGUUGUAUAGUAACGUAAUAAUGUUGUUGAACACCGGAAGUUCUCUUCCUUUGACCUAGAAACUUUUCUUUGUUUUUCUUGUUGGAAAUUUCCUAUAAUAUGGGCUUACAUUAAUUAAUUGAUUUUCUAUUUUAAAUAAUCGAGUUAAUGACUAUACCAAUAUUUGUUGAACCCUACAGUGAUCUGAUUGAAUUGGGUAUUUGCAUCUAUUAAUAACGGGCCUAGUUGAGCAGCAAAGUGUAGGCAAUUGUGUUUGACUGAAGCCCAUAAUGGGAAGGGCCCAGUUGACACGUUAUUGAUUAGGGCUUGCUAGGUCCCCUCUCUAGCCUAUAAAAGGAUAGGUUAUACCUAUUAGUUGCUUUAAUCCCAUUGAAAGCUGCUAUAUCGAAAUAGGUCAUAGAGGGGAAGAUCUGGUAUUCUGAUAGAUCCCUGAUUAUCAGAGUGAUCUAGUUUUCUUCAAGUGAAACGAUGGCUCAAACAGGUACGCUUUAAUUCCGUUGUAUUUAUUUAUCUCGGUGUUUUACAAUCAUGUAUGGAUCCGUUUUUAUUGAUUGAUUAAUUGUUCAUGAUAAUAAUUUUCUACAUGUGGUAUCAGAGCUGGUCAUAUAUGAUUGUAGAACCCAAAUUUUAUCUUUUUAUGGACAAAUUUGAAAUUUUCCUCUUUGAGCCAAAUAUGGGCAUUAUCUUUCGUGUGGAUUUUUUGCUUGAUUGAUCUGAAACCAUAGGGCUUUUAUUCUACAUGUUGAGAUCUUUCCAACCAUAUAUAAUUUGUAUAAUUUCGUUGAGAAUUGAGAGAGAAUUUUAAAUUUGAAAUUCUUGGGUUUAUACAUGAAAAGUUCUAGAAUUUUCAAAUUACUUGCAAUUGGUUGAUGUUCAUUGUAAAUCAUUGCAUGAGCAUUGUUAUAUAUAUGUUUUAGCAUCUUUCGAUUGCAAUAAAGAAAGUUCCUUGGGCUCCAUCUCCCAUGGCAAAGAUUGUUUCUUUUUUCGGUGUUCAAAGGGGUCAAUCCUGAGUAAGUGCCCGUGUUUGAUCACCCUUUUCUUGUUUUUUUUUUUUCCUUUAGGGAUCCGAAAUCUUGUGGUAGAAUUCUUUAGAUGUAGCUUGUGCAAUGAUUGUUUUGUUCGGAAGAGAGAAUUUUUUAUUUAUUUUUAACUGGCUACUCGAGAUUUUUGGGUUUUGGGAUGCUGUGUAUGGUGCAAUUGGAGUGAUUGUCUUGUAUAUAUAUAGAAAAAGUUCUAGAAUUUUAAGUUAGAUUCUAGUGUUACCUUCAAUUUUUAUUCAACGGUGGCAACGGUUGGUUUAGAGAUUAUUGUAGUUGAUUGUUUGUUCUGCUCCAGACGAGUGGUUAGGGUUUCUGCCUUCUCUUCCUCCCGCCUCAUGCUUUGGUGCGAUUGUGCAUACAGGGUUUCUAUGCGUUCGCAUUAGGUUCUUGCACCUCUUUCCUUUUCCUUGAUUGCCACUUUGCCGUUUUACUUGGUGGACCAAGAUUACGCAUCAAUUGAUCCACGAAUGCAAUGGGUGACGCUUAUGGGGUGCUUUGUUAUAAAGUCGAGAUUUGUGCCCUAUUUUUCGUUGAUUUGGGUUAUUUCUAUAUUAAGUAGUUAGUGAGUCGCUGAAGCUUUAGGGCUAUGGUGCUCCCUUUAGUCUGGAAAAGAGAACCAAUGGUUAAGAUUUUUCAAGUUGUCGGGAUAUCAAAAUUUAAAGAUGGAAAUAGUUGGUUUUUGCUUUUCACAUGCAGUGCGUGCAUCUUGUUGCUAGAUUCUAAAUGAAACCACUGCUUUAAGGCUUCAUUGUGAUUUCGCCAUAAAUAUGUUGAUUGUGGGGUGAGCAAAAGACCAAAAUGUGAUUUUUGUUUGUACGAGUGGUUUUAUACUAAGUUAUCUGUCUGGAUUUGUUGGGUUCAUAGUUGAUUUGCUGAGUAAUGUGGCAUGACCAGCAAAUUCCAAACUUGCAAAUUCUAAUCUUUUUGCAAAUUGCUCGCACGGCUCCUACGAUCCAUUGGUGUUUUAUUGACUAAGGUUUAAAAUUCCAUUGAAGGCGAUACAAUGAAACCAAGAGAUUGUGAAUCGAGAUCCAAAUGUAUAUAGAUACAAACAAGAGGAUGUUAUUUAUCAAAAAAUUAGGAUUAGGCUAGAGAGAUGUAAAAGUUGAAGGUUUCAACAGUGGAAGAAAAGUCCAUAGUCUACUGUGUAAUGCUUUGUGGAAACCCCAGGUUCAAAAGGGGAAAAUCGUAGAUGGUGCAUGAUGAGAAGCACAUGAAUGUUUUUUUUUUUUUUUACAUGGGAAUUAUGUUUUAAAUCUAUCCAUUUGUAGCUUUUUUAUUUUUAUUGUAAUCUUUGGACCGAUGACUAACGGAAGACUAUAGCAUCAAAAUACGAAUUAAUUAAUAUUAUUGAAAAUUCUGGCGAACCAAAUGGACCUUUCAUGUCUUCUUGUCUGGUUUUACCACGAAUCAUCGAAGUGGACUGGCUUAACAUGAUUGAGGUUUAGAAGUUCUUUUUAUAGAGAUUUUGCUUGAUCUCUUGUGGGUUUCAUGCUAACAUGCAUGAAGGAUACUUCUAAAUUUAGAUGAUAUGAUUGUGUCAAAUAGGUGGAGAUUGAGUUAUUGCAUGACUACGGAAUUUUCCAAAUUUAAAGAUGCCAAAUUUAAAUAUGCCAACCAAGGGUUAACAGUGAGAAAGUAUGAGAUAAAGAUUAUCCUCAUGAUUUUUUGAUGUAAUGAUUAAUGAUAGCUAUGAAAUUUUUGGCUCCCUUUAAUUCUAGUAACCAUUCGUAUCCAUUCUUGUUUUGCCAUGAGUCCGAAAUAUUAAAAUAAUAAUUUAAAAAAAAUUGUGGCAAAAAUUGUUGCUUGAUAAAUGCAAUAUGAUCUUAGGAAGCACAUGUUGUUAAGUGCUUCAUAUUAUUUGAUGAAUUUUGGGCAUAAAUUUUAUUGAAAUUCCUUAUUGAUAAAAAUUAGUAUAUAUAAUCACCUGCCCAAAUGGGGUUAUUGUGUAUAUUAAUUUGAAAAUUGCAUGAAGAUAAAUUCCAAAAUUAAAAGAUGGGGAUGUAUGACUCAAAAAGAUUUAUCUGCCCAAAGGGGAUAAAUUUUUUGAAAGUUAUAUGUAAUUCCCCACUAUAUUGAUAUUUUAGAGAUAAAUGAUGGGGAUGUGUGACUCAAAAGGUUUAUCCGCCUAAAGGGGAUAAAUUGUUUAGAGUUAUGUGUAAUUCCCAUCUAUGUUGAGAUAAUGGAGAUAUAUAUAUAUAUAUAUAUAUAUAUAUAUAUAUAAUUUAAAGGAUUUGUCUGCCCAAAGGGGAUUGAUCCUUGAAGAUUAUAUGUAAUUCUCUUUUAUCGUCUCUAUAUAUUGAUAUCAUGGAAAUAUAUAAUUUAAAUGAUUUGUCUGCUCAAAGGGGAUGGAUCAUUGACAAUUAUAUGUAAUUCUCCUUAUUGUUGCUUUAUAAACUUCAUACUGUGAAAAAUAAUUGUGCAUUAUGCACUCUGCCCAAAUGAGAGUUUAUAAUGUACUAAUUAUUUUUUGUUGAAAUACUUAUUGCCCAUAAUUGAUCUUAUUGCAUUAUGUGUGACAAACAGUUACAUUUGCUGUAAAUAACAAUAAUGCCACAGUUGAAAUAUUAACUUGAUCAAAUAUUAUAAUAUUAAGGACUUGGUUAAAAAUGGAGAUAUUGUGAUCAAGAAUGUCAUAACUGAGUCCAUGUUAUUUGAUUCUCUAACAAAAGGCUUACGACCCAUUUUGUUUGAAGAACAUGUAAAGAAUAUAAAUGUUUUAGAUUCUUUUGAUUUCUUUUGGCAGUGGGAGUCUCAUAAUUUGUCUUUCUAGAGAUUAUAGUUAUAUGCAGAUUGAUAAUGCUUUUAUGAUGUAUGUUAAAGCAUUUAUUUUCAAUGAUUGUUGUUAUUGAUUCUGUUGUUAUCCUUUCUCCUGUUGACUGAGAAAUGGAAGUAGAAAACAGUAUCUUUAAACAAAUUUUGUUUAAAGAUGACUGGAUGUCACUGAUUAUGAGAUCUCAUGUUGGAUUGUGACAUAAUUGUGCAAUUUCAUAUUAUUUAGAAAUCGCACUAAGGCAAUUUCAUGUUGUUUAGAAAUUGCAUUAAUGCAGUUUCAUGUCGUUAAGAAAUUGCAUUGAGGACCAAUAAGAAAUAGUGUAUAUUUUGAUCACAUAUUGGCACUAUUUCUUACUACACUACUAGGCCCAUGAUCCAUGAAAAUAUAAUGCUUAUUAUAUGUGAUUAUGGAAGGUCUUGUGUUGUGGCAUUUUCUUAACACAUUGAUCUCCAUAGUCCUAUACUAAGAUUAUAUAGGAUUGGAUUGGUAUUAAGAUGCCAUUAUUGGAAUAUUAUUUUUUAAAAGUUGUGGCCACAUAAAACAAAGUUUUCAGUUAUUAACCCGAUAGUGUCGUUUUCAAUAUAAAACCUUUUCAAAAUAAAAUAAGUUAAUUAAUGUAGCCCAAGUGGGAGAAUGUUGGAAGUUUCCUAUAAUAUGGGCUUACAUUAAUUAAUUGAUUUUCUAUUUUAAAUAAUCGGGUUAAUGGAUAUUCCAAUAUUUAUUGAACCCUACAGUGAUCUGAUUGAAUUGGGUAUUGGCAUCUAUUAAUAACAGGCCUAGUUGAGCAGCAAAGUAUAGGCAAAUUGUGUUUGACUGAAGCCCGUAAUGGGAAGGGUCCAGUUGACAUGCUAUUGAUUAGGGUUUGCUAGGUCUCCUCUCUAGCCUAUAAAAGGAUAGGUUAUACCUAUCAGUUGCUUUAAUCCCAUUGAAAGCUGCUAUAUCGAAAUAGGUCAUAGAGAGGAAGAUAUGAUAUUCCGAUAGAUCCCUGAUUAUCAGAGUGAUCUAGUUUUCUUCAAGUGAAACGAUGGCUCAAACAGGUACGCUUUAAUUCCGCUGUAUUUAUUGAUCUCGGUGAUCUAGAUUUCUUCAAGUUAAACAAUGGCUCAAAUAGAUACGCUCUAAUUCCACUGUAUUUAUUGAUCUCGGUUUUUUACAAUCAUGUAUCGAUCCAUUUUUAUUGAUUGAUUAAUUGUUCAUGAGAAUAAUUUUCUACAUUUCUAACCUUAUCGUUGCUUGUCAAGAAGUGUUCGUACAGCAAAUUACCGUCGAGCAUCCUACGCCAGUUCCAUUUUUUCAUACGGAACAAAGUCUGCAUAUAAUCUAAACAUCUUGCUAGUUAAAGAGGGAAAACGAAAUUUAUUUGCAAAUGGCUAUCAUAAGCCGUAGGUGUAAGAGCACAAUUACGUUGUGCAUAUUUUGCGAAUGAUCAGGUGCAAACGGCUUAAUCUUUAAGUCAUAUGUAGAUGAAAAUCUAUUUUGCAGUUCAUUUGCAUUGAUCGCCUCGGUUUCAGCUGGAAUUGAUCUCUCAAAUCACGUUGUGUGCCAUAUCCUACAUUUUUAAGCAGAAUCUAAAGGUAACUACCAAGAUAGUUACAACACCAUGGAAGAGAGAAUUUGCAUGACAAGCUUUCUUUUCAUAAGUCACUAUAACCAAUUUUGAUGGGCCUCGUCAAGUAGAUAUCGCAUGAGUUCAAAUCCCCAGUAGCUCUUCAGUAAGGGAAAAGAAAAAACAAGAGAAACAAUCUAGACGAGUCUUCUUUUGAAAGCCUAAAAUUACUUAUUUAAACAUAACCAUAGCCUCUACUUUGCUAUAGAAAUACUACAUAUUCAAAUGAUUGCUAAAGUUCCCAAUUCUUUGCAAAACGUGUCCAUCCCAUCAAGUAAAUUUGAAUUCCAAGGAGAAUGUGCAUGCAAUGCUUUUCUCACUUGACCCUUUUGAUGACUUCUACUCCCCUAGAACAAAAAAGAAAUACCGUUAGCUCCUAGCAUUCUCACAUGCAAAGUCAUGAAAAAGACAAACAAAUCUUCAAUUGACAUCUCUAUGGUAACCAAUUAGGGACAAGUCAAUCUCUCGUGACAAUGAUAAUGAUGAUCGUAGAUAAAAUAGUCGUCGUCAAAUUAAUUCCCCUAAAAAAGAGCAAAACUCACUUGGAGAAGUUUUUUGAUAGGCAUUCAUCCUAUAGGUGAUCCUUUUGUACCAACCAAUCUCAAAGGCAUAUAUGGACUGUAUACAUUCCUGCAGGUAAUCUUCGAGUUUCAAACCCUCGACAAGAAUAAUUUCCUACAGCUUUCCUGACAUGUCAGUUUCUUGAGCCUAGACUUCAUAUGAGAAUGCAACGAUGUGAGAUCUGGGCAAAAUCACCAACACUAGUUAAGUCUGAGAUGGCAAUUCAGCAAUGAAAUGUUCAUUCUUAACUUUGAUGAGGAAAUUCGUCAUAUGUCAAAUCAAUUUCUUACCCAGCUUUCAAGGGAGAUAAGGUGGGAUGGAAUCAAAUCAUAAUAUGCAACAACAAAUAGGUAAUCAAUUUAUGCAUUUAAUAGCACAAACUGGUCAUGCAAGAUUGCAUCUCAAUCUACAAGUUGCAAAACAAGAAAGAAAUUAGUUGAUCAAGUGGCACUAUUUCUCAAGGGUAGACUUAGAAAAAAAUGAACCUGCGUAGUGUUCAAAAGCCUAAUAGCAAUAUAUGCUUGCGCAUUGUCUUACACACGCAUGUCUUUAGAGAUCAACAGAAUAUCAUGUGUUCAUGUUGACAGUUAUAACAGCAUUGUACUGCAACUAUUGUGUCAUCAGGGAGAAAAUCAAACAUGAUGAAAGCAUGCAUUUCUUGCCAUGCCUAAGAAAAAUAACAUUUGCUUGUAGUGAAGCUGCAAGUAAAAAUUUGUGGUAAUAGAAAAGGUAGCUGCCUAACAGAAAAAUAUAUCCUAGCAUGGUUUCUAGGUAACAAUUGAGAAACAUCAUGAAGUACACUACAAAUUAGUGAGUCUAGUUAAAAGGUGAAGAUAAGAUGACAAUGAAGCAAACCGGCAUCACCUAAAAAAGAAAAAGGAUUCUUACUGAGAUUUCAUUAGAAUAGUAAAGAGGGAUGAAUCCUACCAACAAGUUUAAUGUUUGUGUUCUCUACCAAGCGUUUUGCUCUGUCUCUCAUGAGUCCCACAUAGCUCAUGUCGAACUCUUUUUUGCACAUAAGCCAUCUGAGAACGAAAUAGAGCACAAAUCAAAUUUGUCCCUCUGAUCAUAGCACUCACCAAUACCAUAGUUUAUUAAGAUACUCAGAUGAGUGCUCUAACAAUUUGGAAAUCCCACAUUAGUUCUGCAGACCAUGACCCGCAAAAGUAUUUCAGGAACAUAAGUUUAACUGGCAGUAUCAAGGGUUCUGAACAACACCCGUCUCACACCCUUGGGAAUAUGUAAAAACUCCAUUACUUCAACUGCAGGAAGUAGUCUAUAUCAUUCUUACAAAAUUGGUUCAACAUAUCACUAUGUUUAAAUCUCAAAAGCUGUUGUAUCAAAUGUUAGUAAGUGCCUAAUGAUAUUCUUGAAAAAAGAAGGACAAAGCCAAGGCCUUGUUCUCACUAACAAGACGAGUGAUAUACUUGUUCCAUUGCAAAAUUAAAAUAUCAUAAUCUAGCUACAACAACGAGUGUAAUGCCAACAAUGUCACUAUUGGAAGAACUAAAUUGUGCUAGAUUUUUACUUCCUGAAGGAAUAAAUACACUCAAUAGUAGCAAAUAGCUCAUAUUUCACCAGUAUACAAGAUAUGUGAUAUCCAUAGAUGGCAAAAGGUGGCAAAUAUGACAUGGCAAUCCCUAACACUAAAAUUGAUAUGGAAAAUGCACCCAGUACUAUGAAGCACCUAAGUUUCCAGCAGAUCAUUCAAGCAAUCAAACCUACUUAAUAAUAAUAAUGACCACCACCACCACCACCACCACCACCCCAACAACAACAACAGUUUGGCAGUUGACAUGUAAUUUCAAAAGCAAAGUUAGAACCUAGUCGAGUUAUUACUGCAUGUGAUUGAAUUAGAAAAAUCACAUCACUAUUCUUAAACAAAGGUCAUCAUAUGUACCCCAUUGUCUGACAAAAUUUUUUUUUUUUUUGUAUUUUGCUUUUGAACCUGAUAAAUAAUUUUACAUACUUAAGAACAGAGGAAUGGAUUUUACCUUCCCGUUUUUUAGUCUGAAGAGGCCAGACCGUAUCAUUGAAGCUCUGAGAAAGAACCUUAUGGAGCCGAACUCUUGAGACCAUGGAAAAGACAACUAAGAUAAGAAUGCUAGCCACUCAAGGACCAAAAUCUAAAACAGCUCAACAAUAGUUUUGUUAGCAAAAUGAAUUCAAGGUAGGAAGCAAUUACUUUUCACUGCCCAUGAAGUUGUUGAAAGUGAGGAUAUUGCUGUUCCACACAGCAAGAUUCAACUCUCUAAGCCCUUCAACGAGUGUGAACAGAAACUUCUAUUGAAAUGUGGGCUUUUCACUACCUUCUGUACACCAAAUCAAAUCAAAACUAAGAUGUCUAGUCGCUCAGUUUUCCCAAUUAGCUCAACACCAUAAACUUCAACCAUCAGACCCCUGUAACAAAACUCCAUAUCCAGAUCUGAACAGGAAAGAGGUAAUUGCGCAAACACUUGGUACGCAGUUUAGAAUUACCAGUGCAAGUUAUGGUGUGAAAGGUGGUGCUACCAUAUUCCAGCUACUGAUGGGGCUCCUAGAGGUCAUGGCGAAGGCGGAGGCAGAGGCGGAAAAAGAGGCGGAGGUGGAGGCGGAGGCGAAGGCGAAGGAAUAAGCCAAAAAUCAAAUUCGUUGAAGUCGUUGAUGUUGCAGAUGUCACCCCUAAACACUCCAGCAUUAGGGCUUGUAUAGGGGACAGGCUGGCCGAAGAAUGCAUCAAUUAUGUGCUCGUCGGGGACAGACGACAAAUCAAAGCCGCCGACGUUGCAGAUGUCACCCCCAAACUCUCCAUUCCAAUAAUUCCAAUAGAUUUCCUGCUUAUUUAGCUUAUGACAACCAAAUACAUCGAGCUUCGGUAGCUGUUUCAAUUUCGAUAGGUCUAACAUCCUCUCCCAAGGAAUCGCAAUAGUGGACUAAUAGAGAGCAAAGGGAUCCCAAUUCUUCAAGGCCACAAAUCUCGACUAAUUUCUCGCAAUAUCUCAAUUCUACCUUUUCUAGAUUCUUCAUGCGCGACAGAUCAAGUACUUCUGGAAGGAACUUACAGUAAGCCAUCUUUAAUGAUCUCAAUCUUUUCAUUUCCAGCUGCAACGGUGCGUCCACUUCUCUAAAGUUACAGUAAUCCAUACGGAGGUAUUCCGACUCCACAUCAAAUAUCCUGGAUAAUUCUAGCGAACAUUCAUCGAAUGUCAAGAAUGACAAGUUUUUCAAAUUGGAAAAAUCCGGUGAUCGUGUGGUCUCUAGUUCUCGAAGAUGUAACUGUCUUAAACUAGAGGGGAGCUGGGGGAGGAAUUGCACAUUUUCGCAGCACAAUUGAAGUGUUUUAAGACAUCCUAUUUCUUCGGGCAACUCUUGAAGAGAUUCACAUUUAUCCAAGUUCAAAACAGUAAGGAGCUUUAACUUACCAAUGGAAUGGUCAAUUUCAAUUAAGCUGUCACAACCUUCAAGAACCAAUCUCUCCAAGUACACCCACGUAGAUAAAUUAGGUGUUCUCUUUAAGUGUUUGCACCGGUUGAGAUUUAGUAUCUUUAGUUUUUUGGCCUCCUACAAAAUAAUUUGAUAAAAUACAUGUUAAGAAACGACUUGUAGGGGAAAAAAAGAUAGAAUAAAUGAUAUGCUUAUGCAAGGAGUGGGACUCAUAUCAUACUCUAAGUUGUUCCCAGCCAAUCCAUUCCUCCGAAAUAGUGCUCCGUGAAAGGUCAAGAAUGACUAAAUUAGCCGGAUGAAAGUUUGUUGCCUCAAACUGGCUAGAGUAAAAUUUCCAAGAGAGCCAUCUUAAACUAGGGAGAAGGUUGUUGAAGUCUCCAACUAGGCACUUCCCAUUCCCUUGAAAGAACCUUAGGUUUCGUAACGGAGCAACUUCAUCACUUGUCAAAAAAAUGCCUUCGUGAAAUCCAUAAUGUCCUUCUAGUGACAUUGCUUUUAUUUUCCUACUUCCCUGACAAUGGAAACACCCAGAAGUCCAUAUGUGAAGGUUAAAAGCAAACAAUUACAAGUGCUAAUAGCAAUUAAUUUAUCCUUUUGCAAGAAUAGUCUACAACAAUUCAUUGAAAAAUAAAUUGCUAUUCCCUUUUUUUUACCUCUUUCUCCUUCAGAAUGCUCCAGGCAUCAUCACAGUUCCACACUCUACUACGCUUGUAGGGAUCGGUGAAGUUCUCUUGACGGACAAUUUCCCUUCCGAGGUCCCGCACUUGGUCAUGCAUCUUGGAUCUAUGGCCUUCGAGUUCAAUCAAGGACAUGAGAAAGAGGACUUCAAUGGCAUCGUGCGGGUGGUAUCCACAGGCAUCCCACAUGUAGAAAGGGUAUGAUUUCUCCUUAUUGACAAAUAAACAGGCUAUAUCCAAAAAUACUUCCCUUUGUGUAGGAUCUAACCUAUCAUAAGUUAUCAUCAAUUUUCUCUGGACUUCCUUAGGAGGAGCUUCUUGUAGCUUCUUCCAUGUGUCAACCCAUAAUUCUUCGGGUUUUCCGUUAAGGGAUGAACCUGUAAUCUCAAGAGCUAAAGGAAGCUUUCCCAAAGUAUGGACAAUUUUUUCAGAAAGGAACAUACGAUCUUCUGGUGGAGAGUUUCUUCUAAAGGCAUGCCUACUAAAAAGCUCAAGAGCAUGAUCAAAUUCCAUUUCUUGUACAUCGUAAGUCAAAACGUUUGCAGACUUUUCUACAAGGCCUUCACCUAUUGCUUCUCCCUUAAUCAUUAGGAUACUUUGGUCCCUAGUAGUUAUGAUAAUCCUACUACCAGGACUAAACCAAUUACCUUUUUCUGCUAGACUUUUAAGUUGUUCUUUCUCAUCCACAUCAUCUAAAACAAUGAGAACUUUUUUAUUUUUAAGUACUCCUCUGUUCAUCAUGUUGAUCCCAUCAUUCACGUGAUAAAUUUGGUCGAUAGAAUGAUAACCAAGGAGCUUGGAAAACAGUUGUUUUUGCAAAUUUACCAGACUAUUAUUGCCUUUUGAUGAUUCCCCAAUGUCUGCAAGGAAACAACAUCCGUCAAAGCUAGAAGAUAGUAUGUUGAAGACGACCUUAGCAAGAGUUGUUUUGCCAACACCGCCCAUUCCGUGGAGUCCAAGAAAUCGUACACCAUCAGAUCCCACUUCCAACAUUUUGAUUAUAGCUUCAGCCCGAUCAUCAACUCCAACUAGAUGUUCAGUUAUAUUUUCAUGUGCAACCUUCAGCUUAAAUGAAAUCGUUCGAAUUACCGAAUAUAUAAGAUCUCCUUGGCUGCCAUAAGGUAACAAUCAUGUUAGGGAUAACUUUAUAUGUAAAACUUACUCCCAAAGUGACUAAAUUGCUCUCACGUUAUGUGGAAACCUGGCAAAAAAAUCUAGACACCUAUAUGAUUAUGAUUUUUGCUGAUCUCCGCUCCCCAACUUCAGUCACCAUCACCGUCGGCCCCUGCCACUGCACCAUUGACGUCGCUCGCCUCCCUGUGACCAUCACAUUUCAGUGUCGUCGCCCUUUGUGCCCGUUGACUGGCCAUCUCGGCCUUGCCUCAAUUCUCCACGUCACAUGGGUCGUGGCCUUGCGACUGCCGGGGAUGGCGUCAUUGUGCCUUGGGCCAAACUCAGCCACGUCGGAUAUGGUCGCCCAGAUCCCGGAUCCAACUCGCCACAGUGAGUGAGAGAGAAAGUGUGGGGGCCGAAUGGCUCAGAGGUAGCUUCUGGCCACUUGGUGUCGGGCUGGCGAUGAAGAAGUGGGGGUGACCAACGGACGAGCUGCUGCGGUGGCUGGCCGACGGCUUGGUGGAGCUCUUUGGAGAUCUAUUACUGUUCGUAGCUACUGUCAUAGACAGAGAGCAUGAGGAGAGAGAGAAUCAGGAUAAGAAGGGUGCGCUACCACCGCAAUAGUGCCAUUGACUGGAGCUAUUGUAGCGAUACCACCGAUAGGGGCCACCAGAGAGCAUUCCUUUCUCACCGCUGUGGUGGCCGAUAGCAGCGGCGGCCAUUUGCCGCGACCGCAUUUAAACUAUAUAAAAUCAACUACAUGUGUAAACUAUAAUUUCACCGACAAUACCCCAAUUAAACUGAACAGGGAGGAAAACGAAAUUUACAGAUGGCAGUUGACAAGUUAAAGACACUUACCCUUGAUCUUUCUUCAAGUUCCAUCCCUUUAUCUCGUCCACCUCAUUGAGAGCCUUUUUCCAUGACUCCACUUCUGCANNNNNNNNNNNNNNNNNNNNNNNNNNNNNNNNNNNNNNNNNNNNNNNNNNNNNNNNNNNNNNNNNNNNNNNNNNNNNNNNNNNNNNNNNNNNNNNNNNNNGUUUGAGCUUGACAUCUUCAGGUUCCACAUCCAAGAAAAUGGGCAGAAUCUCUUUGUUCUCAUUCAAUUUCGAGGUGCACUCGACUAUGUAUGCGAGCUCUCGGAGGCACCAGUGACUCGAAGCAUAAUUUUUGGAGAAUAUGGGAAUGUAGAUUUUGGAGUUCUCAAUUGCUUGUAGAAG
rnacentral:lncRNA from 1 species